rnacentral:lncRNA from 1 species
CGUGUUUGAUGCAGGUAAUUGGAGUAACCCCAUCACUGAAUUUUCUACUGACCGUCUUCCGGUCAAGAGAGGUGAUCCAGGACGCCCCGUCAUCCCGAUCUCCAUCGGCAUGGUGGACUUCCCAGAAGCACUCUGUGACUUUGGCUCCAGUGUCAACAUUAUACCCAGGGUACUCUAUGAGAAAUUCUUUACAUAUCCUUUAUUAGAGACAACCAUGUGUUUGCAGUUUGCAGAUCAGACGAUAACUUUUCCAAAAGGAAUAGUGAGGAACCUUUGUGUCCGAGUUGGUACCUUGUAUGCCCCAGCAGACUUCGUAGUGGUAGAGACCGGAAAUGAUGAGAGAGCACCUAUAAUCCUAGGGAGGCCAUUUUUGAACACCACGGGAGCUAUCAUCUACGCUAGUGCUGCCAAGAUCAGUUUCUACGUCAAAGGGAAGAAGGAGACAUUUUUCUUCAAGAACAAGACUACACAAAUUCAAGAUCAAUCCAGACGUGAAUCAAGGAAGAGGACCAACAGGAGGAACAGGAACAAGCAAGUGUGGACCGAGUCAGCUAAGAUGGUCACUGUAGUCCAUGGAGGCCAAGAUCACCAACUUAAGUCACCGUUUUUGACCAAGAAGGACGACCCAGGAAUGCCAAGCAUUUACUGCUCCAUAAAUGGAUACAACUUCUACAAGAUGAUUUGCGACACCGGAUCAGGCGUCAACAUAAUGGCCGCAGUCACCUAUCGGCUCUUGUUCGGGACCAUGCCACUAAGACCAACAUACAUUCAGCUCCAGAUGGCAGAUCAGACAUUUUGAGAAGUUCAAGGAAUAGUAUCUGAUGUCCCAGUUAAAAUAGACGAUCACUUUGUCUACACAGACUUUCAAGUUGUUGACAUGGGAGAAGACGAGUAUGAUCCACCCAUCAUCCUUGGAAGACCGUUCCUCAGCACCGUUAAAGCAAUUAUCUACAUUGGAACUGGAGAAGUCCAUAUGCACUUCCCCUCAGAGAAGGUACGCCGUUACUUUAGUGACCCUGACUAUAUCGUUGAAGAAUCUAAGCAGGUUAGAAAGAGACGCAACCGCAACCAGAGGAGGCAGAUCAUCAAGGACAGAUGGGUAGACUAUGAAGGAGAAGUUAUAAGGUCAGAAGACGUAGAGUUUAAACAGAAUUAUCCAGAGGAGAUUGAAGCACCGAGUCAGGUAUGGAAAAUGAAGAUAACUAUACAAGAAGAGGAGGCACUGCCGGAAGUACCGACUACGCCACCCAACGAACCUCAGGACGAUUAAGAAAUUGGAGAGUCCCGUUCGGAGGACUUAAAAACACCGAACGCCUUGCCAAGAGGUAAACUUGGUAGUUAUCCUUACCUUUUCAAUUAUUUCAAAUAGUUUACUUAGUUAAACAUGUUCAUGCUAUCUUAAAAGGAAAAUAAAAAUAUGAAAAAAGCCCCAUGUGAGUAUACGAGUGGCAUAAAACCCAUAAGUACAUUCACUGUGGUGGCAUAAAAAUAAAAAUAAAUAUUUUUUUGCUUUAUAAAAUAAAAAUAUAAAAACAGGGAUUAAUAUUUAAGGAGUCUCAAGAUAAUAAAGGCUAGAUAUUUAUGCUAACACUUAAUCAGUUCCACAAGCUUUGUUGUCUAUUUGAGCUCCACUGAAUUUAAGAAUCAAGAAGACUAGCAGACGGAGGACAUUCUAAUCGCUGUCAGAAUGCUGCUGACUUUCAACUACACCUCUGCCACCUGCUAGCUACAUCAAGAGAAAUUACGUCAAAAUUCAGCUUGGGGGAGAGCACCCCCAUUUAUCCCGAUAAGUAUAUCUAUCUAUCUUUAUACUUAUAUUAUUUUAGAAUAUUAAAAUACACAUAAACUAUGGGAAAACCAAAUAAAGAUUUUAUGCUUAUAUAUGUCUUUUGCUUAGUGUGUUUAAGUGGCUAUGCUAAUCUGUAUCUAAAUAAAACUCAAGCAUGGAUAUGAUGAAUAGUUGCUCUGCCUAAUGUGCACAUUUUAAGUUCUCUCUCAAGUUUAGAUAUAACUGUUAUAAUUUAAAGCUUGCUCUAGACCUAAACUUGUGGGAUGAAAACUUGAUCUGAAGUCUAAGUUGUUAACGGAUACGAUAUGGGAAGGUUGAGCUGCUGUUUAUCUGUUCCUAGAGAUGCUAGAAUUCUGGAGAAUUUUAUCUUUGAAAAUCUUUAAAAUGUUGCAUGAUGAGUUCGUGUAUGAUGAGAGUCUAAAUUCCUACCAUAACCAUAUAUACAUGCCUGCUAGAUUUUGAGCCACACCUUUACUAUUUACUGCUUAUGAGCAUUGAGUGUGGUCAAGCUGUGUAGACCCUUAGGAGCUUGUCAUGUGGUUAAAUCAAGAUUUCACUUGCACGUUCACUCAUAUAUGCUACUUCUAUUCCGGAAGUACCAUCCACAUAUAUCCACCCAUUCCAUCUCCAAGAUCACCCAAAAAUAUUCUACUCCUAAUCCGGGAGAGAAUAACCAAAAAUAUUUCUGUUUUCCCCUUGUGAAAUAAAUGCUCAAGUUAUCUUGUUACUACCACUUGCUAUAUUAUCGCAUGAGAUGAAUGCUCUAAAAAAAAGAAAAAAAAUAAUAUAUAUAUAUACGAGGAAAUAAAAAGGAGCAAGUGCUCAGAACCUCGAAAGAAGAGAAAAAGUGAGACGAGAGGUAAAAAUAGACAAGUGUCCGACAGUAGAAUUAGGGGUGCAAGAUACCCACCUGAGAGAAAAGAAAAAGAAGAGCAUCUCAUUCUCCUCAUAAAGUUUCAAAAGCAAGGAAGGUAUGUAUCCCCUCAAAAGAGCAAAGUAGAAUUAGACUUCCACCACCAUUGUUUCCACCAUUGUUUUCACCAUUGUUAUCACCAUCAUCACCAUACACCAUUCAUUCGCCACACAUGCACAUCUUGAUUUGGCUUAUUGAUUUGUUUCUUUGGAUCCAUGGUUUGACUAUACAAUAAAUGUCUUGUAAGUAUGUAUAUUUUAUCUCCCACCUAUGAGCUCCAGAUAUUAAAGCCUUAUUAGAGUAGGGUGAGAGAAAAGGCAAUGUCACUAUGCCUCAUACCACAAAUACUACAUAUCUUGAGAGAAGGCAUAUACCAUCAAUGCCUUGGUAAGGAUCCAAAAAUACCACAAAAGAGAGACCUGAGAGAAUCAUACAAGGAAUCUCUGAGUUUUAUUUGAAAAUCUACAAAAACCCCAUAGCUAUAGCUGAUCAAGAAUAAGAGACAUGGCACUUGGCUAGACUGUUCUAUCUUUUAACCACUCAAGACAGAAGUGACAGUUACAAGUCCCAUGGUGGAGGUAAAGUAAGUAAGUUUUAAGUCUUGACAGUUUACUCUAACUCAAAGAUGAGAUCUUAUUUAAAAGCAUCUGUACCGUCAAAAUUUUAAAAUAUAAUGCAACAACUUAUGAUCCAUAGCUGAGUCUAUCCUUGCUCAGGGACGAGCAAGAGGUAAGCUCGGGGGAGUUUGUUGACGGUCCUUAAGUAUCAAAUUUAAUUAUCAAAUAAAUAAAGAAAAGGAUCCAAUUGAAAUCAGGAUCUAGACUUAGGGUUUUAUCUGACAGAAUUCCACGAGUUUUGGUGUUUGUCUAUUUCUGCAGGGGGUUAUCAGGAAAUAUGGAAGAAAGGCCCACAUGUCAGGAUUACGUAAAGAUAUUAACGUGCUGCGCAAUUACCUUACAUCUAGAAGACUCCAGAAGCCACGAGACCGAAGCGGAGGCGAAACGGGGCCAGACCCUGGGCGGCCGCCCAGUUGGUCAGGGCGCCCGCCCGCCUCCUGAGUCCAAUCUGGACUCUGCUUUGCGGGAGAUCUCCACUGACCUAAAGGAUGAAUCUAAACCAUACAAUCUAUGUCGGUUUGAUCCAAGGGCCCAUAUUCACUUGAAGGGACUAUAAAACCAGACCCCCUGGCCCCUGGAGGAGAGAGCCUCUCAACCCUAAUUCAUUGUUCCAUCAAGGGAGAAGAAGCCUCUGAUCAAGAUUAGAGCCACCACAUCAAUUAGACAUCUAGAUUAGCAUAGCUACAUAGGAUUAGAACUAGAAGGAGUCAAUCUUCGAUUGGUUUCCGGAUCUGUCAGGAGGAUUCUUGGUAAUUCUCUAAUUGUGCUUCUAAUUACUCUCUAAUUAUCUUUGUUCUUCAAUAUUAUGAAUAUGACUUUGUUCUACUUCAAUAUAUUGCUUAUGACUUUGCUCUACUUGCUUAUUUUCAAGAUUAUAUUGUGCUUAGUUUAUCAUAGUUAUGUACUUGGCUUAGUUAGAUACGAUCUAUAUACAUGCUUAGGAUCGUAUAGCGUUUAUCCAUCGGAUCCAUGGGUAAAUGAUAGAUAUUCUGUAGGCGUGGUGCUUAUACCGUAUUUAUCUGCGAUUGUACCCAAUAUGCCAGAUCGUGGGGUGGUUCGUGAUAGUGACAGCUUCAUUGAUUCUUAUAUAGUCCCCCUCUCGUGUAUUGGGCUGGCUGAGCAACAUUAUUACAUGGGAGUGAUUGCUAUGUUUCUCAUAUUCCUUGCUAAUAUCACUAUGCAUGGGCGUAGUCUUAUCUCACAAUGAUUGCUAAGUAUGCUUGCACUAACUAUGAUAUGCUAGACUAUAUAGUUGAGAAUAACUUAGGAAAUAUUCUUGUAGUUCGUUCUAAUACCAUGAUAAUGACUUUCUAGAGUAUCUAAUUGAGGUGCUUAUCAUAUUUAUUAUGUGGCUAGAUCAGAUUAGUUAUCCUUGUCACUAUUAUUAUUUCAUAUAUCUUUUAUGUGACACUUAUCCCUGUAUAAGAAGUUAGAUAUAAUGUUCUCAAUUAUACAUGCAAUGAUAGAUGCUCAAUCUCAUAUUCUAUUAUGUAAUGAUUAGUGAUGAUUUCUAAUCCCUUCCCAGUGGUAAAAAUAUAAAUAACGAUACCUGGAAUACUUCCCGGUUAAAAUGCUGCAUCGGUAUUAAUCUGUGCGCUUGCAGAUCCCAUUCAUUAUUUAUUUAGAAGAGCAAUUGCAUAUUUCAAUACCGCGUCUCUCAUAUCAUGCUGGGGAUGACAACUUGGCUUAAGUGGUGUGAGGGAUAGGUUUGGCAUUUUUGGCACCGUUGCUAGAUUUAGAACUUAGUCUACUUUUAGUAAUGAUGUUAAGAAUACCCAACAUCUAUCUAUAUUUAUGUUGUUUUUUUUAUAAAAUAUAUCUUCCAAAGAUCGAGUGUGCAACAUUUUAGUUCAUAGGAUUAGGAGUGUGGGAUCACAAAGGUGGAAGGACUAAACAUGUUGAAUCUAUUGGGUUGGUUAAUCUAGAGUUGUAAAUCAUACAUGUUUGUCUCUUUAUUCAUGUGAACGCUAGAACCAAGGAGAAACAUAUAAAAGUGAUAGUCAAGUACCUUAAGAUAUAACCUUACUUGAAGAGUGAUGGUAUAGUAUCACCUUGUGGAAGCUUUCCUCUCUUAGCGGUUGUGCAUCGUGUUUGUGGCACCCUCCACGGAUCAUCUCUUGUGAGCUAUGCCUUCCUUGUGUAAAUUGUUAAACUUCAUGUGUCUCUAUCUUUGUCUCCAAUGUGAGUUUAUCUCAGGACUUACCAGGUCAAUAUUGAAAGUUUUUCUGCAGGAGUUAGUCCAACAAAAUAUCCCAUAUCUACUAUAGCAUACUAUCGGCUCAAAAAUCAACCUAGACACCAUGUCUAAUUUGAUUCAGGAGGGCUUUUUUAACCUAAGCACCAUGCUUAAUUUAAAACCCCUUGGAAGUAAGAUCAUCAUUCCAAAACUAAGCACCAAGCUAAAUUAAGAGAUAAAUGAAACUACUCCAAACCUAGACAUAUACUAAAGCAAAUAAAGGUAGCAUGAGAGCAAUUAUAGAGAUCUACUCAAGUGGAGAUGAAGUAGUGUGAAUAGCAUUUAACAGAUUGAGCAUGUUUCAAAAUUAGGGACAACUAACAUAGCAACUUGGCAAAUGAUGUUUUUAUGUAAAGUACUCUCCCAAGCUUGAAUUUUGCAAAAUUCAAGUUUGGAUGAAUUUAAUUCAAUGUUGUAUGAUGAUUGGUUGGACAUACCUUGUGCUUGUCAUUCAUCCGAUCUUCUUGCUCCAAUCCUGGAAAGGUUAGUGACAAGAAUACCCGAAGGAAUAUUUUUUACAAUUAUCCUUAUAUGCUCAACACACAAGGUAAUGUUGCAAAUAAUUAAAAGCUCAAGUUAUGAUCUGAUCAGUGCUUGUUUUAGGACACUAAGCUUGUCCUUGGGAAACCAUCAAUUUAUGUCAGUGAAGUGGUUUUCCCUCCAACGCUGACCUAUAUCAAGAUCAACUCAACGAAAUCUGCAAAAUUUAUUAUAGACAUAUGCAUCGACAACCGCCCUCUUAAAGUUUUUAUAAAUAGAAAGGAUGAGGGGGUUGGAGAUCUCAAAUGUGGUGAUGUUGGAAAAACCAAUGGAUUGGGAAGAUGUUGCAUAUGAGCAUGGAGUAAAUGAAGUGGCUAUGAAAUAAAUUCCAUGCUCAUUAAUGCUUAGAGUGAAAUCCAUGUGGUAUGGUGAAAAUGAUAAGGUGAGUGUGGUAAAAAAGGAAAAUAAAAAGGAUACACGGACGACUUGGUUCGAAACUAGCACAGCUACCGUUCCUCGGCAACGGCGCCAGAAAGCUUGUUGGGUAUUUUAAACGCAAACAGAAAAAUCCGCAAGCGCACGGAUACCGAUGUAGCUUUCACCCGGGAGUAUUCCAGAGUAUCGAUUUUCCACAGAGAACGUGAGUGUACUAAUUAAGAUCCAAGAUCGCCCAAGAAUAACUAUAUAAUUAUUUUUGGUGGGAAGAGAGGAAGUUUGCUGAGAGUUCUCUAGUUGAUCUAAGAAUCAAGAAUUACUUCAAGAUUAUCUAUAUCGGGACAUCAGAGCACUAACCACAGAAAGAGAUGAGAAGGGGGCUAGGAAGGUCUGACUACGGUCCUACAAACACCGAUCCGAACGUGGUGGAAUACGUCGACCGUUAGGGCUGUCACUACCCUAAGGCUACCACAACAAUCCGCAGGAUUGGGUGCAAUUCCAGGUAAUCACAAGACUAAACACCACGUCUAAUCUAUUAAUUACUACUCUAGCGUUAUAAAGACUAGAGCACUUGAUGCAAGCGGGAAUCCAAUAAACAACUUGAAUGUAAAUAAAAGUAAUUAAAGAACUCAGGAAUUAUGAAUUGAAGAACCUGGAGAACGGUGAAGAACGAACCAGAUGCUGCAAAAGUAUAAUGUUGAGGAAGAUCCGACAGACCCGGCUCCUCCUCCGCUCUCCUCUUCUCUCUCCCUAUUUUCUAGAUUACAACUAGAACUAACUAGAACUAGAACUAGAAGAACUAGAACUAGAACUAGAUGAACUAGAACUAGAACUAGAUGAACUAGAGGUAGAACUAGAAGAACUAGAGGGAUCCUCUCUACUUGGAUGAAGAAUUGAAACCCUAGCUUUGAUUCUGUAGAAGAGGUAUGAUCUCCAGGGGCCAGGGGGGUCUGGUUUUAUAGUCCCUUCAAGUGAAUCUGGGCCGUCGGAUCAAACCGACAUUGAUUGAACGGUUAUUGUUGAUCCUUUAGGUCGGUGGAGCAAUAUCCCGAAAGAGAGUCCUGUUUGGACUCUGGCUGAGGGCGGGCGCCCAGGAAAGGAGGCCGGGCGCCCUGUCCCUGUGUCCUCUCGGCCUCCGCUUCGGUCCCGUGGCUUCUGGAGUCUUCUAGAUGAUAGAAAAUUGCGCGGCACGUUAAUAUCUCUAUGUAAACCCGACGUGUGGGCCUUUCUUCCGUAUUUCCUGAUAACCCCCUGCAGAAAUAGACAAACACCAAAACUCGUGGAAUUCUGUCAGAUAAAACCCUGUCUAGGUGUUGGUUGCAUUUGGAUCCUUUUCCAUGAUUAGUUGAUGGUUAAAUGUGAGCAUUAAGGACCGUCAACAACAUACAGCUUGAACAGAACUGUCCUGAGGAGAACGUAGCACCGAGUUAGGUGUGUAGAGAGAAGAUAACUAUACACGAAGAGGAGGCGCCGCCGGAACCACCGACUACGCUAUCUAGCGAAUCCCAGGACGACUGAGAAAAUGCAGAGUCCCGUUCGGAGGACUUAAAAACACCGAACGCCUUGUCGAGAGGUAAACUUGGUAGUUAUCCUUUUCCUUUCAAUUAUUUUAAAAUAGUUUGCUUAGUUAAUCAGGUUCAUAUCAUCUUGAAAAGAAAAUAAAAAUGUUAAAAAUAGUAAGCCCCAUGUGAGUAUGCUCAUGGCAUAAAACCGAUAAGUACAUUCACUGUGGUGGCAUAAAAAUAAAAUAAAUAUAUUCCUGUCCUAUAAAAAUGAAAAUAUAAAAAUAAAUUUAUGAUCCUACCAAAGAGAGUAAUAUUUAUUGAGGAGGCUCAACAUGAUAAAGGCUAAAUAUUUAUGCUAACACUUAACUAGUUCCACAAAGCUUUGUUGUCUAUUUGAGCUCCAUAGAAUUCAAGGAUCAAAGAAGACUAGCAGACGGAGGACAUCCUAAUCGCUGUCAGGGUGCUGCCGACAUUCAAAUACACAUCCGCCACCUGCUAGCUACACCAGUAGAAAUUACGUCAAAAUCCAGCUUGGGGGAGAGCACCCCCAUUUAUCCAGCUAAGUGUUCUACUCACGUUUAUACUUUACUCAAAUAAUAAAAAGAUGCAUAAUCAUAAAAACCCAAAUAAAGAUUAUGUGCUUAUAUAUAUAUAUAUAUAUCUUUGCUUAGUUUGCUAAAUAAAUAAAUAAAUAAAGUUUGCUAUGAACCCUCAUGAUAAGCUCUCACAUGGAAAUGAUGAAUAGUUGCUCUGCCAUGGCUAGUUCUCAAAAUUGAAAUCUCUCUCAAGUUCAGGCAUGACCGGUAUUAAUUAAGAUUUGCUCUAAACCAGAACUUGUGGGGAGAGUACUUGAUCUAAAGUCUAAGUCGUUAACGGAUACGAUAUGGGAAGGUUGAGCUGUUGUUUAUCUGUUCCUAGAGAGGCUAGAAUUCUGGAGAAUUUUAUCUUUGAAAAUCUUUAAAAUGUUGCAUGAUGAGUUCCUGUAUGAUGAGAGUUUAAAAUCCUACCACAGCCAUAUAUACAUGCUUAUUAGACUAUGAACCAUAUAUUUACUUUUUACUGCUUAUGAGCAUUGAGUGUGGUCAAGCUGCGUAGACCCUUAGGAGCUUGUCAUGUGGUUAAAAUCAAGAUUCACUUGCACGUUCACUCAUACAUGCUGCUUCUACUCCGGAAGUACGCAUCCACAUACAUCCACUCAUUUCCAUCUCUAGAUUCACCCAAAAUUAUUCUACUCCUAUCCGGGAGAGAAUACCCAAAAACAUUAUCCUAUCCCUGUUAUUCCCCGUGAAACAAAUGCUCUUGAUAUUUUGGUUACUACCACUUGCUACAUUAUUCUAGGAGGGUGAAUGCUCUGAAAAAAUACGAGGAAAUAAAAAGGGGCAAGUGCCCGAAACCUCGAAGAAAAGAAAAAGUGAGACGAGAGGUAAAAAUGGACAAGUGUCCGACAGUAGAAUUAGGGGUACAAGAUACCCACCUGAGACAAAUGAAAAAAAGAAGAAAAUAUAGAGCAUCUCAUUCCCUUCAAAAAGCUUCAAAGUGCAAGAAAGGUAUGUAUCCCCUCAAAAGAGCAAAAGUAGAAUUCGACUUUCACCAUUGUUUUCACCAUUAUCACCAUCAUCACCAUACACCAUUCAUCCACCACACAUGCACAUCUUGAUUUGACUUAUUGACUUGUUUCUCUGGAUCCAUGGUUUGACUAUGCAAUAAAUGUCUUGUAAGUAUGUAUUAGCUGUCCCCCACCUAUGAGCUCCAGAUAUCAAAACCUUGUUAGAGUAGGGUGAGAGAGAAGGCAAUAUCAUUAUGCCUCUGUUGACACCAUUUUUGGGCACGUGUCUAGGAUGGCAGGAUAAGACGGUAGUAUGUGGUUUACAGGAUGAGUUGCCGAUGAGGAUGGUUGCCGACAAAGGAGAGGUUGAAUGUGGCUAAGUUUACGGGCGAUGAUGUGUUUAUGCCGAUGGCUAUGAUGAGGAAGUCUGCCGAUGACUAUGGCAGGGGAGUCUGCCGAUGAUACAAAGGGGGAGUCCGGAAGCUGCCGGUCGGUUUGUGGAAGAAUUCCAGUUCGUUACGGGGGAUAGCUUUAUUAUUUCCUUAUUUAUUUGAGUCGUUUUAUAUACGGAUUCUGUGUAAUUUGGAAUUCGAAUUCUAGUCGUGUAUGGUUAUAGUUCUUUAAGCAGGGUAUAAAUAUAAACCCCAAGACCUUGUAAUGAGACAUCUAUCAAUCAAUCAAACACACGUUUUUACUCAUAUUCCAGCAUCUACUUUUCAACGACUUCGUCAUACCUUUUUCCCUUUUAUUACGAGUUCUUAGGAAUUCGUCGACUUAAGAUCGGCGUAUUCUCGAGUUCCGCGUGAGUACCUCUUAGCCGUGACAUCCGGGCGCAUCACUGUUGUCAGGACUAAAGUAUUCAAGUUAUCACCUUUGCCGAUAGUAAGGUCAAAUCGGCUGGCACGCCUUAACGUUUGAAUCGGGUAUUAGCCCUUUGUGUUUGCAGAUCGAUUUUGCAUCAACAGCCUCAUACCACAAAUAACACAUACUUUGAGAGAAGGCAUAUAUCAUGACUGCCUUGGUAAGGAUCCAGAAGUACCACAAAAGAGAGACUAGAGAGAGUCAUACAAGGAACCUCUGAGUUUUAUUUGAAAUCUACAAAAACCCUAGAGCUAUAGUUGAUCAAAGAACAAGAGACAUGGUGCUUGACUUGACCGUCCUAUCUUUUAACUGCUCAAGACACAAGUGACGGUUGCAAGCCCCAUGGUGGAAGGUAAUAUGAGUAAGUUUAAGUCUUAACAAUUUACCUUAACCUAGAGAUGAGAUCUUGUUUAAACGCAUGUAUACCUUUAAGACAUAAAACCACUGCAGAAACUCUUGAGUCCAUCCUUGCUCAGGGACGAGCAAGAGGUAAGCUUGGGGGAGUUGUUGACGGUCCUUAAGUACCAAAUAUAACCAUCAAAUAAAUAAAGAAAAGGAUCCAAAUGCAACCAACACCCAGACUUAUGGUUUUAUCUGACAGAAUUCUACGAGUUUUGGUGUUUAUCUAUUUCUAUAGGGGGUUAUCAGGAAAUAUAGAAGAAAGGCCCACACGUCGGGUUUACAUAGAGAUAUUAACGUGCCGUGAAUUUUCUAUCAUCUAGAAGACUCCAGAAGCCACGGGAACAAAGCGGAAGCCGAGAGGGCUCAGGGACAGGGCGCCCGCCCAAGUCCUUAGGGCGCCCGCCCACCUAUUUUGGCCAAUCAUGAUCAACUUCACGGAUUAUGCUCCACCAACCUAAAGGAUCAAGGAUAACCGUUCAAUCAAUGUCGGUUUGAUCCAACGGCCCAGAUUCACUUGAGGGGACUAUAUAACCAGACCCCCUGGCCCCUAGAGGAGGCACCCCUUGAUCAUUAUUCAUUAUUUAUAGACAGAGAAAAAGCUAGGGUUUAGAGAUGAGAGCUCUCCUCUCUUCUCUAAACUAGAGUAGAUCUAGAUAGUAGCGAGAUGGAGAGCGAGGGAGGAUUGGAGGAGAGGCCGGCCUGUCGGUUCUUCCUCCGGUUGUACUUUGCCAUGAUCAAGCUCUAAUCAAGUUUGCUCAUGGGAUGCCUCUGGUAAUCUACUUCUAAUUCAUUAUGCAAUUACUAAUCAUGUAUGUUCUGGUUCACAACUCUUUUGAGUACUUCUAAUCUAUAGGACGCUAUAGGUGAGAGUUGUAGUAUAGGUGUAAGCGAGGUGCUUAGACCUAGAUUACUUGUGGAUAUCACCUAUCUACCUGGAUCGUGUGGUAGGCCGCGUAGGUGACAGUUAUGUUGGUCCCUUGUAGUCCACCUCCAAUUAGCAGGACGGGUGGGGUUUAUUGGCCUAUGGAUAAGCAUCCUUUGUGGUGUAUUCUUAUCACGUGGUUCGUCCCAGACAUAGACAUACCCCUUUGAAGUAGAGAAACCAUAGUUAUCCUCUCUAUUCUGCUACCAUCGCCCAUAUACUAGAUUGCUCUACUUUCUAUUCCCAUAUUACCACCUAUUGUUAUCUUACCUUUAAUAUUGUUCUUAUUUAAUUCUAUCAUCUUUCCUAUUUACACCUAUCUAUCUAUCAUGGUUAAGUUAGAGCGUAGUUGGUUCUCCCGUUUCCCUGUGGAUACGAUAAAACCUUUAACCGGGUAAAAACUUCAACGGUAUCUGUGCGCUUGCGGAUUAUCUGUGUGCGUAUAAAUACCAUAGUACACUCUAGUGCCAUGCUGGGGAUGACAACCUAGUAUUCAAGUGGUGUUAGCAAGUGUCAAUAGCUAGAUAAUAGGAAUGUUGUUCCAUACAAUCUGCAUCUAUGAAAGAAAUAUAAUGCGCAUAUAAAUGUGGAGUGGUGCAACAAAUCAAACAUGAUUAAAUAUCUAUUCAAAUAUGUGACCAAAGGAAAUGAUAAGGCGAAGGUCUAUUUCGAGGUUACUGCGAAGACUGUGAAUGCAUCGCCUGAACCUCAAAUAGCCCCGCGUGAUGAGGUCCAUGAGUAUAUGGAAGCUAGAUUCCUAUCUUGCUACGAGGCUCUGUGGCGUGCUUUCGAAUAUGACAUCCACUUCAGAAUACCUCCUGUAGAGCGACUCACUGUGCAUCUCCCUGGCCUUAACCAUAUACGAUAUGAACCUAGUGCUGACUUAAGAGCGUUGCUGGACAGUUCUACAGCAAAGAACACGAUGCUAACUGGCUGGUUCGAGGCUAAUUCAAAGUACCUAGAAGCUAGGCACUUAACUUAUUGUGAUUUCCCGAAAGAGUGGUCUUGGGACGCGUCUAAGUGGUGCUGGAGGCCGAGGACGCCUUGUGCUAAGAUUGGACGUAUAUACUAUGUGCAUCCUGCUGCUGGAGAGCUGUAUUACCUGCGCAUGCUACUAAUGAUAGUUAAAGGAGCGACGAACUAUGCUGAUAUAAGAACGUUUAACAACAAAGUAUACCAUACGUUUCGAGAAGCAUGUGAUGACACGGGGUUUACUUGAAGGUGAUAAUGAAUGGAACCUUUUGUUCGAUGAGGCGAUAGUAUCUGCAUCAGCAUAUCAGCUAAGACAACUAUUUGUUACCGUUGUUCUAUACUGUUCGGUAGGUGACGUUCGUGCUUUGUUUGAUAAAUAUUGGCUUUACUUUACGGAUGACAUACACCGUAGGCUUAGAGAUUCACUUGGAAAUCCACAUUAUGUCGUUCCACAUGAACAGCUCAUGUCCUUACUUAUACAGAAACUUACACAUGUCUUUGCAAGUAGUGGUGGCAACAUAAAUGAUUACAACCUACCAAGAUUGAUGACACAUUAUGAUAGCAUGUAUGAUAAUAGGCUAAUCAAUGAAGAACUAGAUCAUGAGCCGCUGAUGUUAUCUAUGCAUGCUUCAUCUUUAGUCUCACAGUUAAACAUAGAGCAAAGGCAUGUAUUUGACACCAUAACCAGCCGAGUUUUGAGUGGCUCACAUGGGUUUUUCUUCGUGUGUGGCCAUGGUGGUACAGGGAAGACUUUUCUGUGGAAUGCUAUAAUCGCGAGCUUGAGGUCCGAAAAAAAAAGUGCUUGCAGUCGCGUCAUCUGGUGUGGCUUCUCUGUUGUUACCAAGAGGGCGUACUGCACACUUGAGGUUCAAAAUACCUUUUGACCUAAAUGAUGCUACUACAUGUAGUGUGAAACGAGGUACUAUGCUUGCUGAGCUUAUACAGUUAGCUGCCCUAAUUAUAUGGGAUGAAGCGCCCAUGACACACUGACGUUGCUUUGAGGCUCUAGAUAGGACUAUGCGAGAUAUCCUUUCUAAACAUGAUCCCACAAAAUCGAUCGUACCAUUUGGUGGCAAGCCUAUUGUUCUAGGGGGUGAUUUUCGUCAGAUCUUACCGGUUGUGCGAAAAGGCUCACGAUCUGCCGUAGUUGAUGCGUCCAUAAUGAACUCUAGGCUUUGGCAGCAUGUUGUUCUAUUAAAGCUACAGACAAACAUGCGACUUCUCAAUCCCUCUUUAGAAGAGACCAAACGUGAUGAACUAGAGCGGUUUAGCAGCUGGGUCCUAUCUAUUGGUGAUGGUACUGCCCUUGCUGAAAAGAAGGGAGAUGAGCGUGAAGCUUCAUGGGUUACUAUCCCUGAUGAUUUGCUAAUUCAUACCGAUGGUGAUAAGAUUGCAGCUAUAGUGUCUGAAGUGUACCCAGACUUUUUGAUGAACCACAAUAAUCCUGAAUAUUUGGCUUCAUGUGCUAUUGUCUGCCCAAAUAACAUAACUGUUGAUGAGAUUAAUGAUUUUGUUGUCUCCCUCAUCCCUGGUGACAGUGUGCACUACCUAAGCUGUGACACUAUUUCGAAAUCGUCUGAACACAUACCAGAUUUUGAUGUGUUGUACCCUACGGAAUUUCUUAAUUCUAUCAAUGUGAACAAUUUCCCUUGCCACAAACUUGUAUUAAAGAAAGGGGUCAUAGUAAUGCUGCUAUGAAACCUGAAUCAGAAUAUGGGUCUCUGUAAUGGCACUGGGCUGCUUGUUAAAGAGCUGGGACAACGGUUGAUACGAUGCGUAGUACUAAUAGGGUCUAAUAUCAACGAAGAGGUUCUCAUACCAAGAAUCGCCCUUAACACUACAGAUUUGAAGUGGCCAUUCACACUACAAAGGAGACAAUUUCCAGUGCGAAUAUGCUAUGCUAUGACAAUAAAUAAGAGCCAGGGGCAGACCCUUUCAAGGGUUGGACUUUACCUUAAAAAACCUAUGUUUACACAUGGCCAGCUCUAUGUGGCUGUUUCACGAUCGACUUCUAGAGGUGGCUUAUGAAUUCUGAAUGAGAAUACUGAUGGUUCAUGUGGCUCAUAGACCCGAAAUGUUGUGUACCGAGAGGUUCUUGAUGCCGCUUAUGCGGCAUCAGCCUGAAACUUCUGCGAUGUGUUAGAUUUUGGGCCUUGGUGUAUAUACAUGUUGUUGAAACUGUUGGCUGGCCACCUGCAUCCCUUAUUCUGCAUCAACUAUAUUGGUUUAUGUGAUGUGUAUAGUGUCUAUUUGACUAAGGUUCCCCUCUUUUGAUCUAAUCUUGAUCUUGCAUAUGAAACUUAUUUUGCUAUGAUUGAAUGAGUGGUAGCAGCCUGAGACAUUUGCAAUGUGUUAGAUUUUGGGCCUCGGUGUGUAUACGUGCUCUUGAAACUCUGGGUUGGCCACCUACAUCUCUUAAUUUCUAACGACUGUGUUGGUCUGCAUGAUGUGUAUGAUGUCCUUUGGACUAAGGUUCCCCUCUUUUGAUCUGAUCUUAAACUCGUGUACAGAACUUACUCCAUGAUUUUUUUACUAACUCUGUGUCUUAUUUUGUGCCUGCAGAUGGGAGAUAGGCUGAUUCCUGGUCUUAUGCUUGGAAACUGCAGUGAAGCCAUAUGUGUGCGAGCCUCUAGGUUCUGGGACUUCUAUGAUCCACAUGAUGAAUCAAAGUUGCUGCACUGUGACCUGGUUUUGAUUGAUGAGGAGGUACGAUGACUUAUGUUCCUAUACUCACAUGUAUGCUAGCUAAAAGACUGUAUAUUGGUAAUAGGUUGCAAUAUCCACAAUUCUUACCAUGAGUGCGUAUGUUUCUUUUACUAUGGAACAUGGCUGUAGGAUUUUGAAACAUCAGAUAUAUGUGCUGAACUACACUUACCUGUAUAGGGAAACUGCAUCCAUGCACAGAUCUACCCACCUGACCAUGAACAGUUCAAACCUUUGAUAAAAGAAGGCAGUGUGUACAACUUGUCCUACUUCCGGGUCAGGAAAUCUGGGAAGUAUAGGCCGGUUGAUAACGAUCACAUGAUCAAUUUUACAAGGUGGACUUCUGCGGAGGAGGUUGUUGAGAUUCCGCCUGCUUUCCCUAUGUAUACCUAUUCCCUUACUCCCAUGGAACAACUGCCACCAUGUGCUGAGGAGACCACGUUCUUCACAGGUAUAUCUUUAUAUGUACAGAGAUUGUGAUCCUAGCGGACCUACACAAACUGAUUACGUAUUGUCCAUCUCCUGUGUAGAUGUAAUUGGUGUAGUCACUAUGCUCUCAAAUGUUUCAUCACUACGUAUUAGGACACGCCAGAGUGAAUCGCUGAAAAGGACAGUCACUAUAUGCAAUGCAAGGUCAGACGCCCACAAAUGUUUGCAUGCUAUGUUUGUUGCAUACUAUGUUUGCAUCAUGUCCUACUAUGUAUAUGGCUGCUUAAGUUACAGACUAUGCUUGACAGUGGUGCUUCACUGGAUGUUGUGCUUUGGGGUGAGAGGGCAACUGCAUUCCCAGCUGAACAAGUCCAUAGGGAUAGAACCACCCCACAGACCGUGAUAUUUGUUGGAGCUCUUGUCAAGAGCUAUGCAGGUAGGACACUAUUAUAUUAUUACUAUGCGUUUUCAGGUGAUAUGAACUUAAUGUGCAUAUGAGAAGUUCGCUCUUCUUGGCUCUAAAUCUACAUACUAGAUGCUGCACCUAAAUCCACCGCUUGUGGUUUCAGAUAACGUGUCAUUGUCUGGGGGACCAUCAUGCAAGUGGUACAUAAACUUCGAGGUCCCUGAGGCGAAGGCCCUAGCAGCAAGGUAACAUGCUCAUCUAUAUAUUUAGAGAUUACAUGUGGCAUCGACCACUAAACUUGAUCUAAAUCAGAAAAAAAGUCUCUCACCAUGCUCUAAACUAUCAUAAACUUUUUAAUGAACAGUGGGUCAAACAUUUACCAACCAGUCAAAUGGGAACAACAUAUGGCUUCCAGUGAGCCUGUGGCUUUCGCUCCUCCUGAGCAUAAGAAAGUGUCGGACAUCAAAUUGCUUCAUCCAUUCAAGUACAAGGUCAUAUAUUUAUUGUUUUGACCUAAUUCCCUAUGCCAAUUCCAAACCCUAUUACAUAUUAAUCCCAAGAUAAAUCUCUACAGAAAACAGAGUGGCUGGUUACAGUGACAGUUCAGAAGAUUGACAAAUCAUGGUGGUAUAAUGCAUGCAAGAAAUGUCUCAAAACAGCAAGACCUUUUCAUGAUUCUUUUAGAUGCACUGAGCCUAAGUGUGGAACUAUUGGUGUGCCUGUCCCAAGGUCAGCAAGUCGCCCACAGCUUGCUGUUAUAUGACUUGUACUGUACCUAUAAAGACUUAUUGCUAAUCUGUCGUGUCUGCCAAUAGGUACAAGCUGUGCAUAAGUGCUGGAGAUGAGACAGGUGACACUGAGUUUGUCAUCUUUGGCCGUAUCGCACAGCGUCUCACCAGAAAACCAGUUGAUACUCUCAUUGCAGAUAAUCCAACUGGAUUCAUACCAGAUGAGGUCACAAGGUUGCUGGAGAAGGUGUUUGUGUGGAAUGUCAGUUUCACAGAAAACACAAUUGCUACUGGGAUUGUCUCUUUUCAGGUCAAUGGUCUCGUGGCUCAGCUAGAUGGUGACAAUGCUCUUUCGGUGACGCCGAUAGGGUCACAGUCAUCAUCUCUCAUGCUCUCUAGAGAUGGUGGCAGCAGCAUGCAGAAUACCCCUCAGAAAAGUUUCACCAGUACUCUCCCUUUGCCACCAGCUACCUCAGAAACUAGCCAUGCGUCCAGCAACACACCAAUCAAAAUACCUCCGCUGAUCCCAAGAGCACCAGCUACACCAGAGAGUUCCAACGCCGCUGCUAAAGAUGAGGUGGGUUGUGCAUUUCUCUUUCAAUACUAAUUGUUUUCCAAUGCAGUCAUUCAAGAUUUACUUGCUGCACAACUCUAUUAUAGGUGUAGAAUGCUAUAAAUAAGGAUGAUAUGCUUGCUUUAGCCUCAGCAACAGCUACUCCAAAACAAAAUGAUCCUCCAACAACUCGUCUUAUUCUGCCCACGCCUAAGCUAGAGAGUUCACCCAUACGUACAUGCCUUUUCACUGUUUACUAAAUUAUAGCAUCUAUGGUUCUUGGAUUGUGGUCCCUGCAGGCUGCUGUUGUUUCUAGCAUAAACAAAGAUGCUCGUGACAACUCUGAACCCAAGACACUAAAAAAUGUGAAUAGGAAAAGGUUGACACUGCUGAAAACUAUUUUAUGUAUAUUCACAUGUGUUCGCAUGGUAUCCUAAUAUGUAUAUGCAUGUGGCUGUUUCCUUCUAGAACUCGCUCAUCACCCAAAAAAUCUGCGAAGAAACUUUUCUUAGAUGGAGAUACCGUGAAUAGUUGAUCGGAGAAGGGUGAUCAAGGUGCUUUUGUCUCUACAAGCUGCAGCGGAGUGCUCGUUGGCGUGUACCUUAAACCUCGCGUGCAACUGAUACUCUUUUGGUUUCUCGGUACCUCUAUAUAUGUACUCUCUAAUGAUCGCCAAUGUAUUUGGAUCAGCAUUCUAAGCUACUGACUAUAGUGUUUGGUAGUCAUGAAUACCGAUCGUGAACUGUAAUGGCAUGGUAUGUGAUGUAUGGCUAGAUAGAACCAUAAUGGCUAGAGAAGCCAUGCAUGUAGUGAUGGAUUGUGUAGUAUGUGGCUGAACAGGACCAUAACGGCUGCGGAGCCCUCAUAUUUGUUGUUUAUGGAUGCUUCUUUUCUGCUAAGUUAAAAACAUUAGUGAUAAAUGUGUUUCGUAACAUAGUACAUAUUUGUUAUUCAAAUAUUGUUUUCCAUUGUAGGGCGCCCGAAGGGCGCCGAAUGAUCUAGUCUCAUUAAAAUGCACAUAGGCCUUAAUGGACCAAAAUCUGAUUUGGGCUCAAUUAAUCCCGCAGCUCUUUUUGUGGAGUCCUUCUUUUAUUAAUAUCUCUUGAUUCCGAACUCCAAAUAUAGCAAAUAAUAUAUGCAUUUCGAUCAGCUCGACGAGAUCUUUGUAAUGGUGUACUCCAUUCUGUGAUUGGUGCUUGUACCAGGGCGGGCGCCCUAGGAUCAAGGACGGACGCCCUGGCCCCGGGCCCGUCUCGGCUCCGCUUCGGUCGAGUUGCUUCUAGAGUCUUCCUGAUUAUGGAAAAUUACCGCACACAUUAAUUCUCUAUGUAAACCCGACAUGUGGGCCUUUCCUUCGUAUUUCCUAACAACCACCUGCAGAAAUAGGCAAACACCAAAACUCGUGGAAAUCUGUCAGAUGAAACCCUAAGUCUAGGUGUCGCUUGCAUUUGGAUCCUUUUUCAUGAUUAGUUGACGGUUAAAUGUGAGCAUUAAUGACCAUCAACAAUUGCUUAGACCUUUGUUUCAAUCUGUUAUUUUAGUAAGUUCGGUUAAGUCGCAGUUCAUUAGAGUCUUUGUUUUAGUUGUUGAUCAUUUAUCCUUCGCGUGUUCUUUGUGCCUCUUUUAUAUCUAAAAAUCCCAACAAAAAAAUCUCUAUAGCCUAUAUCAACCUUUGUGUUAACUUUGAUCCUAUCUAGCUACUGGUUGUUGUUUUAUUUCUAUCUUUAGUUGUGCAAGUAUUAUAAUCUGAUCUCUGUUUUUAGUUCUAUAUAGAAAGAAAAAAAAGUGUGUCAAAAAAAAGAAAAGUGAAGUGAAAAAAAAAGUUGAGAAAGGUUCAGAGAGAAAGUCUGAAAGAUUAGUUGGUUUAUGUGCACAAGUGCUGAAAGUUUCAUAUCAAGUUCUGCAACCAGUUUGCUAUCUUUGUUUGGUGCAAAACUUUGGUUGGGUCUGAUUGCAACACUUCCAUCCCAAUCAUACUCCUUGUUUGCAUCAAUUCUGAAAUUUCUUUGCGUGUGUGUGAUCUAUUUAUACACUUCGAAUCUUUUGGUCAGCACUAGGCAGAGAACUUCUAGUUUGGAUCGUUACUUAACUUUACAACAACUAGACUUCAGAUUGCAUUCCUUGUGUAUUACUCCCCACCAAGCUCCACAUAAAAACCAUCAUAAUCGGUACUCUCUGUUCUUGUAUUCACCUCGCCAUCACUUUCAGUUGCCACCAUACAUUUGUUUUCUUUGUAAUCUGCAGCAGAGGAAUUCAUAAGAGCUUCGGUGGUUAGAGAGGUGAGUUGUGAGAGCCACAAAAUUUUCAUAUUCCACAAAUACAAAUUAUUUGUAUUCAGCUAACCUUACAGGAAGAUGGGUCGAGUGGACAUCAAAGAUCGUGUUACCAUAGCACAAUUUAAUAAACUCCGACAAAGCAUGGAAGAAAAGCAAGAGAGGUUGACACAAGAUCUUCAGAAUCUUAUGACUGAAAUCAGAAGGCAUCGUCCACCUCAUGAUGGUGCAAGCAACCAUAGUGGAGAUAGAGAAGAUAGUGAUGGAAGAAGAGGAGGUCGGAGGAACCUGAGGGCUGCACAUUGUAAAGGAAGAAGACAUAGUGGAAGAAACGAUGAUGAAUCUGAAGAUGAGGCUAAUGACAACCCUUCCAACUCAGUUUUGGUCGCCGAUGUCAUAGAAGAGGCAACCAUGAAGAAAGAUUUGGCAAACUGAAAUUUACCAUGCCAAAAUUUGUUGCUGAACCAUCCACGAGGAAUUUCUCUAGAGGCUCAAGUGGAGGCUCUCGAUCUAAUUUUCAGGGUACUUUUAGUGGAAAGAACACUGUUGUCCCAAGUUCAAACCAGCAGCAUCAACGGCUACUUCAGUGGGUUCUACUUCCAGGAGUAGUGGAAUUCAGAGCUUCAAGUGUGGAGACCUUGGGCAUAUAAGUAAGGAGUGCCCCAAUACUCAGGUGAUCAUUGUGAAUGAUGAUGGAGAUCUUGAAUCAGCUAGUGAAGAGGGAAUUGAGGAGGAAGCCCAUGGAGAUGAGGACUUUACGAGCUGCGAGUUUGAGCAAGGAGCUGCUCUUGAGGUGACUCAAAUCUUGAGUGUUCUGGCAAAUGAAGCCGAAAAUGGGCAGCGAUAGAAAUUAUUUCAAACUAGAGCAAAGGUGCAUGAUAAAGUGGUGAAGGUGAUUAUCGAUGGAGGGAGCUGCCAUAAUCUUGCUAGUUGUGAGAUGGGUGAUAAACUUGGCUUGAAGCUGCUACGACACCCUCAUCCAUAUCAUGUACAGUGGCUGAAUGAUUCGGGAGAUAUCAAGAUUGGAUAUAAAGUAAACGUUCCAUUCAAGAUAGGUGAAUAUGUUGACACAGUAGAGUGUGAUGUGGCACCUAUGUUGGUGUGUCACUUGCUGCUUGGAAGGCCAUGGCAAUAUGAUCGAUAUAGCCAACAUUGUGGGAGAACAAAUCAGUUUACUAUCAAUCUAAUGGGGAAGAAGUUUGUUCUCCAGCCUAUGACACCCCAACAAAUCAUGGCUGAACAUUUACAAAAGAAAUCUGAAACUGUUCCAGUGAGUAGAGAGGAAGGAGAGCAAAAGAAAUUGAGUGCCAUCCACAAUUCGGUGAGUGAGUGCCACAAGCCAAAUUUGACGGAGAAAAAGAAAGGAGAGGGAGAGAAUUUAGUCAUGCUAGCCACAAAAUCUGAAAUGAGAGAAGUGAGGAACAACCCUGAACAAGUGCUCUUUGUACUUGUGUACAAAGACAUUUUAAUGUCAGCUAACGACAUGAACUCUCUUCCUAGUGUUGUGUCUCAUCUUUUGUAGGACUUUGGAGAUGUCUUACAAGAAGAAACACCAGCGGGACUACCUCCAAUUCGUGGGAUUGAGCAUCAAAUUGAUCUCAUUCCAGGGGCUGCACUACCUAAUCGACCACCAUACCGAACCAAUCCAGAAGAAACAAAGGAGAUACAAAGGCAAGUGCAAGAACUUCUUGAGAAAGGUUUUGUUCGUAAAAGUUUAAGUCCUUGUGUUGUUCCUGUAAUUUUAGUACCUAAGAAAGAUGGUUCUUGGAGAAUGUGUGUUGAUUGUAGAGCUAUAAAUAACAUCACUGUUCGCUAUCGUCAUCCUAUCCCACGUUUAGAUGACAUGCUUGAUGAAUUAAGUGGUUCCACCAUAUUCACUAAAAUUGAUUUGAGAAGUGGAUACCAUCAGAUAAGAAUGAAAAUAGGGGAUGAAUGGAAAACUGCAUUUAAAACCAAAUUUGGGCUGUAUGAAUGGUUAGUUAUGCCUUUUGGUUUGACUAAUGCUCCUAGUACUUUCAUGAGAUUAAUGAACCAUGUAUUGAGAGCUUUCAUUGGAAAAUUUGUUGUUGUCUACUUCGAUGAUAUCUUAAUUUACAGAAAGUCUUUUGAGGAACAUGUGAAUCAUAUUCGGCAAGUCUUGGAAGAGCUUAGAAAGGAGAAAUUAUUUGCUAAUCUUGAGAAGUGCAGUUUUUGCACAGACCAUGUUGUGUUUCUUGGCUUUGUUGUUUUAGGAAAGGGCAUAGAAGUGGAUGAAAGCAAGGUGAAAGCCAUCAAGGAUUAGCCAACUCCAACAAAUGUAAGUCAAGUAAGAAGUUUUCAUGGCCUUGCUGGUUUUUAUAGGAGGUUUGUGAGAGAUUUCAGUAUCAUCGCUGCUCCUUUGAAUGAAUUGACAAAGAAAGGUGUUGACUUUAAAUGGGGAAAAUCACAAGAAAAUGCUUUUCAAGAACUAAAGAAACGUUUAACUGAAGCACCAUUACUUGUUCUUCUUGAUUUCAUUAAAACUUUUUAAGUUGAAUGGGAUGCUAGUAGAAUUGGCAUAGGAGGAGUUUUUAUGCAACAAGGAAAACCUAUAGCAUAUUUUAGUAAAAAACUAGGAGCUGCUCAACUGAAUUAUUCUGUGUAUGAUAAAGAAUUAUAUGCUUUGGUGCGUGUGCUUAAAACAUGGCAGCAUUACUUAUGGCCAAAAUAAUUUGUUAUUCACUCUGAUCAUGAAGCUUUGAAAUACUUGAAAGGACAAGCAAAACUGAACCGUCGUCAUGCCAAAUGGGUUGAGUUCAUCAAAACAUUUUCAUACAUUAUGAAAUAUAAGUGAAUCGCACAUUGUCAAUGUUGCUGCAAACAAUGGUAAAAAAGAACCUGAAGGUUUGGGAGGAAUGCUUGCCACAUGUGGAGUUUGCAUAUAAUAGGGCAGUACACUCUGCCACUAAUAUGUGUCAUUUUGAAAUUGUAUAUGGGUUCAAACCUAUUGCUCCGAUAGAUUUGUUGCCCCUUCCAUUGCACGAAAGAACCAAUAUGGAAGCCUCCAAGCGUGCUACAUACAUCAAGAAGGUACACGAGAAACCAAGGAAGCAAUUGAACUCAAGGCAGGACGCAAGGCUGCAAGUAUGAACAAACAUAGGAAGAAGGUGUUAUUUAAACCCGAGGACUUGGUGUGGAUACACUUGCGCAAGGAUCGCUUUCCUCAGUAGCGCAAAUCAAUAUUGCUGCCACGAGGAGAUGGUCCAUUUCGUGUUCUUGAGAAGAUCAAUGACAAUGCAUACAAGAUUGAUCUUCCUACAAGUUAUGGCGUGAGCAACUCCUUCAAUGUUGCUGAUCUCUCACCAUUCACAAGUGAAGACACUUUAGAGUCGAGGACGACUCCUUUUCAAGGGGGAGGAUGAUAUGACCAUGCCACCAAGCAAGAUGUCACAAGCUCCAAGUCAAGCUACACUCACUCAAGUUUCACCUACACCGACACCAGCCCAAGUCAUCGAUGGACCGAUUACACGUAAUCAUGCAAAGAAGCUACAAUAAGAGGUCCACGCGCUACUUUGUGAGAUUAUUUUAACAUUAAUGAGAAUUAUAUACUACCUAAGUGUUGUACCUUGAUUGUACUAAGGUAUAUAGAAGAAGAUAAGGAUGAAUCUGACCCUGAAGAACAGACCAGUGCAAGUUCCAGAAGAAGUCAAAAACGGACCAGUGGAAGUCAAAAACGGACCAGUGCAAAGAAAUCUUCAUAACGUUUUUCUCACAAAAGCUAUGAAGGUCCAUGAGGACUUGUUGGAAAGCUUGACGAGUCUACUUUCCAAUGAAUCUAGUGGCGACCAGUUUGGAAACUCCAUAUUGCCUGCAGAACAUAAUUAGUACAGACUGCUCAGAAGGUCAACAGUCUAUCGUGACAAAAUGUUGGUACAACUUGCCAAGUAAAAUUGUAGCAAUCUAUAAUGUUUCAUGAUGGUUGGCAUAUAUUGCUGAAAAUCCCUUUGAGUCUAGUUUCACACCCAAGAAACGGUUCAUCAUUUGGACUUUCCAAUAAAACGUUAUGGUCAGUUUAUUGGAAACUGCUCUGGAGGCCAACAGUCACGCGAAGCCACUUCGUGAAUCCAUUUCGAGGGGACCUUUCACAUUGCCUUCCCUCAGAAACUCUAUUUCGUUUUCAUACCUAUCUAGCAGGGCUGUUGCUAGUAUAAAUAUCCCCUAAGACUCAUUGUAAUCGAAGACUUUCGAUAAUUGAAAUACAGAAUCCCUUUUGUUUAGCUGUGUGCUAACAAAUAUUCAGAGAGUGAUCUCUACCCCUUUGCUCUUGUGAUUUCCUCGCAGGAUUACAUAGGCGGUGGCUUCAUCCGCUCCCAAUUGGUGCUCCUACUCCCUUCAAGGUAUUCCUUGAUUGAUUGUAGGUUAUGUUGGUUGGUUCUUUGAGAGUGUGGUUGGGCGAAUCCUUGAUUCAGGUUGCCGGUUAAAGACGGUGGUUGGCUUUGAGUUUUAUUUGCCAGGUUGCACUAGUUAUCGCUGCUUGCAGCAAGUUAUCCGGCUGUUCUUCAGCAAGUUAUCAAUGUUCUUCCUACGUCGUUGUUGACGGUCCUUAAGUACUAAAAUUAAUAAUCAAAUAAACAUGGAAAAGGAUCAAUAUGAAACAAACAUCUAGAAUUAGGGUUUUAUCUGACAGAAUUCCACGAGCUUUGGUGUUUAUCUAUUUCUGCAGGGGGUUAUCUGAGAAUAUGGAGAGAAGGCCCACAUGUCAUGUUUACAACGAGAUAAUUACGUGCCGCGCAAUUUUCCUCAAUCUAGAAGGGUCCAGAAGCCACGGGAACGAACGAGAAGAGAAUCGGGCUCGGGGGCAGGGCGCCCGCCCACCCCCCUUGGGUGCCUGCCCUGGCCAAGAGUUGGAUCGGGACUCUCUCUCGGGACAACGCUCCACCGACCUAAAGGAUCAAUCUAACCGUACAAUCUAUGUCGGUUUGAUCCAAUGGCUCACGUUCACUUGAGGGGACUAUAAAACCAGACCCCCUGGCCCCUGGAGGAGAAGAGAAGAAAUCAUUAUUCAGAGGUAGCCAUCAAAGUUAGGGUUUAGAGCUUCUCUCCCAUAGAGAAUUAGAAUUAGCCACUCUCUAAUCCUUCAAGUUUAGAGGUUUGAUUAGAUAGCAAUUAGAGAAGUAGAGCACUACGCUCUGGAUUCGGAUCUUCGGUAAUAAAGAUUGGUAUUAUUCAUAUCUUUCUCUAAUUCUUUGUUCUAAUUGCAUUAUGUCUCUAAUUAUUAUGUUCUUAGUUUGUUCUAAUUCUAUAUUUGAUAUAGUUCUAAUUGAUAAUGAGUUUAUGUAUAUGUUUGCAAAGCGCUUAGCUCUUGACGCGAGGGAGUUACGUGAUAGAUCACAUGUGAGCGUGGUGCUUAGAUGUUAUUUAUCUACAAAUGUAUCCUAUUGGUCGGGUCGUGUGGUAGUUCGCGAUAGUGACAGCUUCGUUGAUUCUUAUAUAGUCCACCCUCCGUUGAUAGGACAGGCAGAACCGGUAUUGUGGAGUAAGUCAUGCGAUGCUCUGAUUUACUUUAUCAAUGUUCCUUAUACAUGAAUGAAGAGUGUUUUAUGCUAUAUAUGGUCUUGUAGAUAACUAGAGUAGAUUAUGACUUAGUAGUUAGUAGGUAACUUAGAAUCCAUUCUCUAGCUAAUCUGACAUCACCUACAUAUAUGAGGAGUAGUCUAUUUUCUAAUCGCUGUGUUAUCUACCCAUGAACUUAUAAUUCAUUAUCAUUAUCUUUAUGGUUUACCCCCUGCUAAAGUAAGUGACUGUGUGACGAGUUUCUCAUUAGUAAUCAUGUUCUUGCAAGUUUAUCUCUAGUCUAUGCCUUGAUAGAUUUUGCCCCUUGAUUUAAUUUCAUCUUCUUUAAUUCUCUUGAGCAAAAUUAUAAAUAACGAUACCUGGAAUACUUAUCCUGGUGAAAUGCUACAAUGAGGUGUUUUAUCUGUGCGCUUGCGGAUAGAAUAGAUUAUUUUCUAGAGAGCCUUUACAUUUAUAAAUACCUUUGUACACUCUGGCACCAUGCUGGGGAUGACAACCUAGUAUCUAAGUGGUGUUAGCUAGUGUCAACAGUCGUGAAGAUCGGGACAACGUGUCGCAUCACCUAGUGUCAUCGCUGCAGCACCACACCAGCCGAAUGCCCCAGGCGUUCGUCCUUCUGCUCCGCAGAACCAUAAUUACCCUUGUUAUAAUUGUGGUAAACCCAGACAUUUUUCCAAGGAAUGCCCCUACCAUAAACAAUAUAAGCCCAACUUCCAAAGGCCGCGUGUCGGCCAACCUUAGUCGAGCCAGUUUAAGAAUGUGGCUCAAAAAGGUCAAAAUGCACAGAGGGGUAAUCCCGCAAAGAAAGUUGGACAAGUUUUUCACAUGGAGGUUGAAACCAUACCGGAAGGCGAGCCGGUGAUGAUGGGUAUGUUUUCUGUUGACAAUCAUCCUGCUUUAAUACUUUUUGAUUCCGGUGCAUCUCACACCUUCAUCAAUCGCACCUUUGUGGUAAAGCAUGACAUACCCAUCGGGGAAACUAAAGAUCAUUUCUGUAUACAGUCGCUAGGAGGACGACUAAGUUCUAAGGAAAUGGUCUAUCAGAUACCCAUCAAAUUUGGUGGGCAUAGUUUUCCCACCAACAUGAUUUUUCUUAAGGAUCAAGAUAUUGAUGUUAUAUUAGGCAUGAACUGGAUGGCACAACGAGGGGUUGUGCUAGAUAUCCUACAUAGAACUAUCAAGAUGCAAUUGCCUGAUCCCUACCUCUUAAUCCAGCUAGCCACUCCAAAACAGGCAAUUGAAUAAGUUCAUGCCGCCACAGAGAAAGGAGUUGAAGAUAUCCCGGUAGUUUGGUAAUUCUCGGUUGUGUUUCCGGUGGACCUACCAGGUCUGCCACCAGACCGAGAUGUUCAAUUCAAUAUAUAAUUGAAACUAGGGACAACCCCAAUUUCUCGAAGAGCCUAUCGAAUGGCACCAAAAGAACUGGCUGAAUUAAAAACCCAAUUACAAGAAUUGUUGGAGAAGGGUUUCAUUCAACCCAGUUCAUCUCCAUAGGGUUGCCCAACCUUAUUUGUGAAAAAGAAAGAUCAGACAUUAAGGCUAUGUGUGGAUUAUUGUCCCUUAAAUGAAGUGACGAUUAAAAAUAAGUACCCAUUGCCCUCAUUAACUUGUUAUUUGAUCAGUUAGCCGGGGCUAAAGUAUUCUCAAAAAUUGAUUUGAGAUCUAGGUACCAUCAAAUCAAGAUUAAGCCGGAAGAUGUUCCCAAGAUGGCUUUCACAACCCGCUACGGGUUGUAUGAAUAUCUGGUGAUGUCAUUUGGUUUCACCAAUGCACCAGCUCAUUUCAUGUACUUGAUGAACUCCGUCUUCAUGCCUGAACUAGACAAAUUUGUAGUCGUCUUCAUUGAUGACAUCCUGAUCUAUUCUAAAACAAAGAAAGAACACACAGAACAUUUGAGGAUUGCAUUGACCCGUCUGAGAGACCAUCAACUAUAUGCCAAGUUCAGCAAGUGUGAGUUCUGGCUAGACAAAGUUCAUUUCUUGGGUUAUGUAUUAUCAGAGGAGGGAGUCGCUGUAGACCCAGGUAAAGUAGAAGAUGUCUUGAGUUGGAAGCCCCCUACUAUGGUGCAAGAGGUCUGUAGCUUUUUGGGUAUGGCGGGAUAUUACCGCCGCUUCAUUCCUGACUUUUCAAGGGUAGCCAAGCCAAUCACAACCUUGCUCAGGAACCAAACAAAAUUUCUUUGGUCAUCUAAAUGUGAUCAGGCCUUCCAAACCUUGAAAAGGCUGUUGACUACUACACCUGUGUUAGCCCAGCCAAAUAUUGAGAAGCCCUUUGAUGUGUAUUGUGACGCAUCAGGAAUAGGGAUAGACUAUGUGCUGAUGCAGGAGGGUCGAGUAAUUGCAUAUGCAUCUAGGCAACUUAAGCCACACGAAGGGAAUUACCCUACCCAUGAUCUUGAGCUAGCCGCCGUAGUACAUGCCCUAAAGAUUUGGUGCCACUACCUACUGGGAAACACUUGUCAUCUAUAUACAGAUCAUAAGAGCUUGAAGUAUAUUUUUACUCAAGCUGAACUUAAUAUGCGCCAGCGAAGGUGACUAGAAUUGAUCAAAGACUGUGAUCUUUAGGUGCAUUAUCACCUAGGCAAGGCAAAUGUAGUAGUAGAUGCCCUCAGUCGUAAGGCCCACUAUAAUUGCUUGAUAGUGAUGCCUAGAGAUAUUACUCUGUUCCAAGAGCUUGAGAACUUGGGAAUAGAGAUGACUCCACAAGGGAGUUUAGCCAAUUUAAAGAUUGACUCCAAUCUCGAAACCUAGAUCAUAACGACACAAAAAGAAGAUAAAGGCAUGAAAUACCUCAAAGAGAAAAUUGCUAAUAGAGCACCCACAGGCUUUAGGGUGGAUGAUGCAGGUGCAAUCUGGUUUAAAAAUCGGUUGGUAGUUCCCAAGGUACCUGAGUUACGUCAACAAAUCCUAGAUGAAGCUCAUACCACAAGGUAUUCCAUUCACCCAGAAAGCAAUAAGAUGUAUCAGGACUUGAAGCAGAGAUUUCGGUGGACGAAGAUGAAAAUAGAGAUAGCCCGCUAUGUAGCCCAAUAUGACACUUGUCGAAAAGUCAAAGCCAUCCAUCUCAAAUCUGCUGGAGAGUUGCAACCCUUGCCAAUUCCCACCUAGAAAUGGGAUGACAUCAACAUGGAUUUUGUGGUGGGCUUGCCUAAAAGGACAAAAGGCUUUGAUUCUAUUUGGGUUAUUGUGGAUCGUCUUAACAAAAUGGCACACUUUUUACCUAUGAAGACAUUAUAUCCUCCUUCCACCUAUGCCAAGAUCUAUUUUGAUCAUAUAUUAAGUCUACAUGGGGUGCCAAAGAUGAUAGUGUCUGAUAGAGGCACUCAGUUUGUCUCCCAAUUUUGGAAAUGCUUACAUGAAUCCUUGGGCACCAAGCUUCUAUACAGUUUAGCUUACCAUCCUCAAACAGGUGGGCGAACUAAACGAGUUAAUCAAACAUUAGAAGAUCUAUUGAGGUCACAUGCCCUAAUUUUUCUAGACAAGUGGGAUGACUGCCUGCCUCUAGCGGAAUUCUUGUAUAACAAUAGCUAUCAAGAAAGCAUUAAAAUGGCUCCCUUCGAGGCACUAUAUGGUCGUCGAUGUCAAACACUAUUACACUAGUCUGAACCCGAUGAAAGAUGGUUCUUUGGGGUUGACUUGGUGAAGGAAACUGAAGACAAAGUCAAACAAAUUCAGAAUAACUUGAGAGUUGCUCAAUCCUGACAAAAGAGCUAUGCUGAUAGAAGACGUCGACCCCUAAGAUUUGCUAAGCGCAACUAUGUGUAUUUAAAAAUAUCCCCAAUUAAAGGAGUGAAUCAUUUCGGGGUUAAAGGCAAGUUAGCACCUCGCUACAUUUGUCCAUUCCCAAUCAUCGACCGAUGUGGACAGGUAGCUUACCGCCUUAAAUUGCCUGAACGGUUAUCCGGGGUACACAAUGUCUUCCAUGUAUCCCAAUUGAAGAAGUGUCUCUGAGUACCAGACCGGAUCCAAGAUUUUGAGGAUCUGGAACUUGAACAUGAUCUUACUUAUGUAGAGUAUCCCAUCCGAUACUGGACCAAAAAGAUAGAAUUACCCGAAGAACAACUACCAAGUCGUACAAGGUACAAUGGAGUCAACAUUCUGAAGAAGAAUCCACGUGGGAAUCCGAAGACUAUCUGAUGGAGAACUUUCCCAAGUUUUAUGCUUCUCUUCAAAUUAGUGGCUAAUAAAAACAAAUGUGCUUUAAGGUGGAUAAAGGUGUAACCAAAGACAUGUACCUAAUGUACGUGUAUGUUUAUAAUGAGAUGUUCUUCCCCAACCACUUGUCUUGUGAAAAAGCUAAUGAUAGAUUAGCUUGACACAUUUCCUUUUCCAUUACUUACCCUAAGGCUUUAAAUCUCGGGGACGAGAUUUCUUUAAGGGGGAAGGGCUGUAACAUCCCUGAUGUUACGGAUACUAAAACUGGAUCAUGUCAUCAUAAGCAUUGAAUAGCAUAUUUGUUGAGCACAUCCUGGUGCAUCAACUUAAAAUAAGUUUCAUUUUGUUGAUUGUGCUUAGGGAAUUAAAAUGUGCUUAUGUUGUGAUGUGAUGCUUGUGAUGGUUGUCUAAUCCCUAGAUAAGGAGGGUUGUCGGGAGAUAGCUAAGAAAAACCCUUAAUUUCAACCCAAGUUUUUACCCCCUUUUGUGUAACUUAAAAACUAAGAAAAAUUUGAGGAUCAGUUCAAAAGAAAAGUUGUAGAUCUUGUCAAAAUGUACAACUUUAGUGUUUUGGGUUUUUGAAGUUUCAAUACAAAAUCCAAAGUAAUUUUGAAAAUACAUAUUUCCAGAAAUUGCCCCCUUUUCCAAUUUGAAUCCCUAAUUCAAAAUCUCUUUGGAAUCUUGAAAAGUGAUCAAAAUGAAAGUUGUAGAGCUCAAUGAAAUGACCAACUUUUAUUCUGGGAGUUUUUCAAGUUGUUGAGAAAAAUCAAAAGUAAUUUUGGAAUUUUUGUUCUGAUCAAAUUCAAAUUGGAAUUCCCCCAAAUUGGAGUUUGAAUUUCAAACUGUUUUAUACAAAUUCAUACUCUUCCAUUCAGAAUCAGCUUUGGACCCUUAAAGAUGUUUUGUAGCACUCAAAAUUCUGAACAACUUUUGUUUUGACAGAAAUUUGACUUCAAUUCAAAUUUUGGAAGUAAUUUGCAAAAGAUAGAAAAGGAGGGGAUAUGUCUUGCUACAGUGAUCCGAUGAGGAUCACGGGCGCCUCUGCCCAACGUGGCCGCAGAGCAUGCAGAGCCACGCGCACGCCCCCGCUGCCAUGCAGCUGCUUGCUGGCUGUGUCACCGCACGACAUGGACGCUCGAGACCCCUUCGCCUCGUCCUCUUGAGCGCUAAUGCGGCCGGCACCACGUUUUCGCCAUCCCAGAGCAAGAAAAUACCGACGAACUUCCUUGCGAAAUUCACCACACUCGUCUUCUCUUCGGCCGAAUUGAGCUCCCCACCAUCUCCGCCAUUUCCUUGCGAACCGAGAGCACGCCGAGGAGAGCCUUCUCCCCUUUCCAAAUGCUCAGACCACCUCCUUCCUCUCCAACUCCGCCCGACUUCCGCCGCGAGCCCCUUCCUCAUGGUCAGGCCAUCCCAGGAGGUAUCAAGCUAUGGUAAAUGGUGUUAGAGCUCCACCUCGCUAUCCCGUAGCUCAUGCGCUUGCUCUUCUUUCUUGUGCACGAACAGGUUCGCCGGAACGACGUCACCAAGCUCGGAGCGCCCGCUCGAAGACACCGCCACCGUCGCCAGCACCCUCGGUUGCCUCUCCAACCUCGGUGACGUGAGCACCAUGCUCCUUAUCGCUCCUGGAAGCUCUCUAACGUGUUAGUUCGCGCUCUACCAAACUCUCACGGCCGGUCUACGUGCGACUAGUGUCGCUGUCCGCCAUGCGUGUGGCCAGGGUAGGGAGAGAGAGAGGUAGAGCGUCCGUGGGAGAGAGAAAGGUGAAGCCGCUGCGCUUCUUCGCGAGGGCUAGGCCCCCACUAACGGCGGCCGGAAGCACGGCCGAGCUACCGGCGGGGUAGGAGACGAAGCUGACAGCGGGGCCCCGCUGUCAGCGACGUCGUGAGAGGGGGGAGAGGCGCGCGCAGCGCGCGGGACCAGAUGGGCCGGCCUGCGGGCCGAACUGCUGGGCCUGUCACGGUUCCAAAUUGGUUUUUCCUUUAUCUUUUUAUACUAAAAAUGAUUUAUGUUUGACUUUGUGUAGAAAAAUGUGUGCAGAUCCAUAAAUGGUGAAAAUAUUUGAGUACGUUAUAUGCAGUGAGCAUAACAUAGGAAAAAUACUAGGUUUCAUUUUCUGAUAUUUUGAACAUGUGUAAAAAUUGUGUUCUUUAUCUAUUAAAUAGAAUUUCCAUGAUUUUUAGGGAUUUAUUUAUGUGUCCAAAAAUCACCAAAAUUUGUGAGAUGUCUCUGAGUGAUAUUCCCUGGCUUCACAAAAAGUUUGGUGGCAUUUGGAUAAUGUUUGAAUAAAAUAUUAAUAUACCCAUAUUUAGUAAUUAAGUAAUAAUUCCAAAAUAAGUAAAUAAUAUUUAGCUUAAUUUUCAAAUUAGGAUUUGAGUGAUUUUGGGAUUGUGUGAUGACCUGAGGUCAUUAACCUUAAUGACCUUUGUCAUUUAAUUAUUGUUUGGUAUUAAUACUUAAUUACUGUCAUUAAUGCUUAAUUAAAGAUUAAUUAAGAUAAAAGGGACUAAUAAUUAAUUAAUUUAGAAUAAUUAUGGAUUAAGAAAAAUCUUAAUUUAUUGCUGCAACCUCUUGGGUAAAAACACUAAAAUAAUAAACAACCUUUGAUUACUGUUUUAAACUUGCUUUUGCACCGAGAAGGAAAGUUGUACUCUGACUCAAUCCUUCUUACGUGUUGUCAUAAGCAUAUCAUGAGCAUACUUCAUUUUGUGUAUAGUGCACGUGACCGAAGGAGCGAUCGUUGAACCGAACCCCGAGGUUGGUGUUCCGUUCGAGGAAGUUGGAACCGAGACUUGGGAAGUCUCCGAGGAACUCACUCAGCCUUGCAACCAAGGCAAGCCCGGGAUGCAUUUAAACCUUCCUUGAAUAUUUUAAAUCUUUUAUUACUUGUGAAUUAAAAUGUUGCAUUAUGUAGUCAAGAAUUGGGUUUAACCAACUUGUUGCAUUUACUACCUUGAUAUUUGUUAUCCUGUCCUUGGCACCUACUUGAUGCUUAGCCCUACCUAUUAGAUAGGUUUUCAGCUAUGAAAGUUUGAAGGGUUGUUGUGGAAUACUUUUAUUGUCAAUGAUGUUUCAACUUGAGACCAGUCGGUGGACUUGCUUUAAGAAUGGAGUCUUAAAGUAGUGUCUCCAACUGUGUCGAUUAAGGAUUGGUCCGUUGAUGGCCUGCUAGGUUGAGAAUUUAUAGUACUAGCCACUUGCCCUCGGUAAGCCCGGUCUUGUGAUUCCUCGACGAGAGCGGCUACUCGCGCACUAGGCAUGGAGUGAUGGCGAGAGUAGCGUGUACCCUCCUAGCAAAUGGGCUGGACGGAGGAGUACUGUGCUCUCGGGUGCCGCGAACCCGGUCAGAUCUUGGGAGAGCUAGAUUUGGGUUGACAUAUGCAAGAUUUGGUUCUACGUAUGUCGGGUGGUUAGGAACUCCAGCUAGAUUGCUAAGCGAUUCGAAUCGUCGUUGCUCCCCGAUUGGGAGACUCAAUUCCUUCGACCCUCAUCAUAGUUAAAUAUUCAACUAAGUUAUGAACUGGGGAAAAAGAAAAUGUCUCAUGGAGUUCGGAUCCCAAUUCCCAGACUCAGAGUGACAUGAAGCUAUGGCCAUCGGAUGAAUAACACUUUUGUUAAGGACUAGGAAUUCACAGACUUGUCUAUGAAAAGCAACUAGAUAGACUGUCCUCGAAUUCCUCGGCCUCUUGAGGCGACUAAUUUGAGGCUAAAACUUGAAAGUAAGGAUUCACAAUUAGUAAGCUUUUAUGCAAAACAACUUGGCUCCUUGCUCAACCACUCCUUGUCUACCCUAAGCUUGCAUUCCUAAGUUCUCCUCUUUUCCACCGGGUAAGUCUUGUUGAGUACUCCCGUACUCAGGGUUCUAUAACCCCUGUUGCAGGUGAGGCACAGGAGCCGACUUGCUUCGGGCCCUAUUGCGUGACUGUCGUUGAGGUUGACGACGAUGAGGAAUGAGAGUGACCUGUAGGCUGGGUCUGUAAGUUGUAAUCCUUGUAUUAUGGUUGAGGUUGCUCCAUUAAACAUGGCUUGUAAUUGUUGAUAUUUGGGAACGCAAUAAGGAAUUGAUCCGCAAGCGCACGGAUAUCGGUGAGCACUUCACCCGGGAGAUUAUCCAGAGUAUCGUAUUUAUUUUUUUACCACUAGGAGAAAGAGUGCUUCUGACUAACCUGGUCUAUUACUACUAACCCUUUAGGCUACAAAGAAUGAGUCUUGAUGUGAGUGAUGAAUAGAGAAGACUACAACCGUAAUCUCCUUCUAACCUUGGUAAGGAUGAUCUACUGUUCUGUUGGGGAGGCUAACGGAAUCUAGACACCACAGAGGAUGUUCAACCCGCACCUAUAAACCCUAUCCUUCCUGCUAACGAGAUAUGGUCUGCAAAGGUAACUCGGAAUUGUCACGUUCCUCACUACUACCACGGUCUAGCUAGUCAGAGAAUAUCUAUGAGUAUCCUAGCCCAAACACCACGUCUACGCUAGAGAUGAUUAUUCUAAACUCUACGCGAAGAGAUUAAAGUAAACUCAUAAACCAAAAGAACAAUAAAACAAGAACUUACUAGAAUUUAGAACUGAAAAUACUGAAGAAUCCUAGGAGCAAGCUUCGGGUUAGGAGAACUUGAUCCCGCAGGUACAAACUCGGAGUAGACACCGACAGGCCGGGCUUCCUCCAAUCUACACCUCCACUCUAUCUCUCUCAAUCUAGUAGAAACUAGAAGAUCUAUUUCUACUCACAUUGGUUGCUAAGCCUAAAAAGAAAUUUUAUUUAGAGGAGAGGUAUUCCUUCGAGGGCUCCUCUCAACUCUAUGAAAAACUUGUCUCCUCCAGGGGCCAGGGGGUCUGGUUUUAUAGUCCCCUCAAGUGAACGUGAGCUAUUGGAUCAAACCGACAUUGAUUGGACGGUUAUCCUUGAUCCUUUAGGUCGGUGGAGCAUCGUCCGCGAAAAGAGUCCUGAUCCAACUCCAGGAGGGGGCGGGAGCCCAGUGCCUGGCCCCGUUCGGCCUCCGCUUCCUUCCCGUGGCUUCUAGAGUCUUCUAGAUGGUAGAAAAUUGCGCGGUGUGUUGAUAUCUCUAUGUAAUCCCGACAUGCGGGCCUUUCUUCCUUAUUUCCUAAUAACCCCCUGCAGAAACAGAUAAACAACAAAACUCGUGGAAUUCUGUCCGAUCAAACCCUAAUUCUAGGUGUUGGUUGCAUAUUGGUCCUUUCUCUUGUUUAUUUGAUAAUCAAAAUUGAUACUUAAGAACCGUCAACAAGUACCCCCAUACUUAGGCUUUUACUCGUCCUCGAGAAAAGGAUGGUUAAGAAUAAUAUCUGGGGUAAAACAUUUUAAAACAUUCUCUUCAUACCUACAGGGUAUUAAAAUCCACUGUGUACUAUAGUCAGGGAAGUAUAUGGUUAAGAGUAAACAUCCUUUCUUCUCAAUCCUGUCACUUGGAGUUUUUUUGUAUAUUUUUGAAAAGAAAGUUAGCAUACCUUUAUCCUCACAGGUUCUCUUAGAUCACUCAUUAACUUACUGAGGCUGUUUUAAUUUGCAAAAAUUCUCAAGCAUACUUACUUUGCAUUUAUUGCCUGAUCAAAACAGGAUCCGAGGAGGGGAAUGUCAUACUCUUAGAUCAAAGACUUGGGAAAUUAAAAUAUUUGUCAACUCUUGCUGGCAUAUUGCUUAUUAGAGGGACCAUGGGCUAUCAUUUUCUUUUUUUUCUUUUUCUCUAUUUUUUUAUUUAAGUGGAUACCGAGAUACCCCUAAUUCUACUGCCGGACACUUGUCCAUUUUUUCUGUGACGUUAUCGAGCACUUGCUCCUUUUUAUUUCCUCGAAACAUCCUUAUUUUUGCAUAGCCCAUGCCUCUAAUGCAAUAAUACUUCGGAAGAGUGAAUCUUUCUAAAUAAAUGUCUUGAUCUUAGGAGCAUGAUAAAUCUCUCCACAAGGGUCUAACUCAUUUUGAACAAACUCAAUACAGAGUAGAUAGCUUUUAUAAUCAUAAUUAAUAUUUUCAGUUUUAGUAGGCAUGUAAAACACUGAGGAUGGUAGCUAGAAUUUUUGAAUAAAUUUUGAAAUAAAUUCUCCAAGCAACAAUGAUAUCAAGAAUAAGAAACUCAUACUCUACCAUCUCAUAUUCCACAAUGACUUAAGUAACACAGGGUUUUUAAAAUGAUUUUUUUCAAUAAUUGCAGGUUUUCAGGAAAUAUUACAAAGUGAGAUUAAUGAUGAUUAGGAACAUUUUAAUCUUUUUAAUUUAUCAUGUCGGAAACAAUAUUCUGCAUAAUCCAAGAUAUAUGUAUGUGUAAGGUGUGUAGAGUGUGUACCUAAAUCGUGGAGUGGUGUAGUCGAAGUGUGUUUGGCAUGUCAAGGGAUCUCCCCCAUACUUGUUUUCUGCUUUCUUGCACAAAAGUAAAGUAGAGACAUACAAGACAUAAUAAUAAUAAUAAUAAUAAUAAUAAUAAUAAUAAUAAUAAUAAUAAUAAUAAUAAUAAUAAUAAUAAUAAUAAUAAUAAUAAUAAUAAUAAUAAUAAUAAUAAUAAUAAUAAUAAUAAUAAUACUCUUUAUUAAUCUUGAGGCAUUUAUUACAAAUGACUAGUAGCAAACUGACAAUAAUAGUAACAAACUGAUGAUAGUAGUAAACCUAAACCGAAUUUAAAGAUAGAUAAUUAAGAUGCAUUGCCUCAAGAUCUAAUCUAGAUAACUUAGCGGCGCUCUAAUUCCUUGAUCUUCUUAUUGGCACUGGCAAGAUCCUGCCUAAGGCCUAGUAUAACGGUGUUGUGGUUAGAGAGCUGCCUAGUGAGGGAAUUAACUGAGGACUGGAGGUCUAUGAUAACUCUGUCUAGCCUGCGAACGUCCUCAUCAAUAUCUACUAUAGUCUUGCGACGCUUGGGAGGUGUCUCAAAAGCAUUGAGAGUGUGCUUCGGGGCUGCCUUUAGAGGGAUGAAACGGACUUUGGCUGCUCUAAUCCCUUCGAAGUAAGGCCUCUCCUCCUUCGUAGUGUAGCGGAUACUGCUGAUCUCGCCGCUCCGGUUGGUCUUGGCUCCAACGACCUUCUCAUUGGGUCUAGGUGGAAGGAUCCUUGUGUCGGUUGGCACCUUGAUGGUGGUCUUCAUCUUGGAUGAUGAUCCCUUGAGGAGUAGGGGUUGUGGUGGUGCGGUGAAAACUGGUUGAGCAUGGUAGGAUUGGGCGGAGCUGCGCUGGCGUAAUGGCAUGGCUUCUAGCUGUCGCUCUGUGUUGGCCGGGACGAGAGCACGGGCGUCGGGGUCUUCCGCAGGCUCCAUGUUGAGGUUGAAGGGAACGACUUCCCAAUCAUCGUGGAACUUCUCGGCCAUGGGAGCAGCGAGGGGCUAAUCAAGCUCUAAUUAAAAAAGAAGAGAAGGCUUGUGUGGAUUGGUGUUUGAAAACUGAUGUCAGUGGUCUGUUUAUAUAGGGGUCAAAAAGUGCCUCUAGGGGUUGUUCGGGUUGCUCCCGUCCAUGUGCGUGAGGAACUUUCCAUCUGAGGGAUUAUUCGGAUUACCAUAAGUGUAUUUUUCAUAACAGAGAAAAUCGGGACCAAAGGGGAACAGGGGCUGGGCGCCCGCCCACUUGAUCAGGGCGCCCGCCCUCUCUCUGUCUCCUCUGUGGGCCCACUUCCUCGAGCGUGUUUCUAGAUGCAAAACUUUUUAGGAAAAUAUAUGUAUGCCCCAAAAACGUUAGAUUAAAACUGUCGGGCUCUAAUUCUCCAUGGGAAGGUAAAAAUGGACUACGUCUAUUUCUUCUAAUUCUUUAUUGGGCUCUAAAAACAAUUUAAGACGUUGACCAUGUACCUUGAAUAAUGUACCUUCGUCAUUUUGAAGUGUGAUAGCUUCGUGGGACGAUGAAUUGAUCACCUUGAAUGGUCCUUCCCAUUUACUCUGGAGUUUUCCAUGCCCGAAAAGCUUCACCCUCGAAUUAAAAAGUAAUACCUUAUCUUCGGAUGCGAACUCCUUCUUCUUGAUUCUCUUGUCAUGCCACCUUUUAACUCUUUCUUUAUAGAUCUUCGAAUUGUGAUAUGCUUUCUCUCGCCAUUCUUCCAAUUCUGAUAGUUGCAUUCUUCUAUGUUUUCCGGCGACAUCUAGGUCCAUAUUCCAUCUCCUUAUGUCCCAGUGUGCUUUGAAUUCUAGUUCAACAGGUAGGUGGCAAGUCUUCUCGUACACCAAUUGGUAUGGGGACAUUCCAAUUGGGAUCUUGUAUGCUGUCCGGUAUGCCGAGAGUGCAUCGGUUAACUUGUCUCUCCAUGUUGUUCCCAUUUCAUUGACUGUCUUCUGAAGAAUAUUCUUGAUUUGCUUAUUGGAAGUCUCUGCUUGGCCACUUGUCUGAGGAUGAUAGGGGGUAGCGACGCUGUGACGGAUUCCAUGUUUUGAUAGAUAUUACUUGAAGCGUUUGUCGAUGAAGUGUGCUCCUCCAUCACUUAUUACUACUCUGGGAACUCCAAAUCUUGGAAAUAUAAUUUCUUCAAACAUCCUCUUUGAACUGAUGUUGUCGGCAUGCUUGCAAGGUAAUGCCUCUACCCACUUGGAGACGUAGUCAACUGCCACCAAGAUGUACUCACACUUCUUUGAUGGAGGAAAUGGACCCAUGUAGUCUAUUCCCUAGACAUCAAAGAGCUCAAUCUGAAGGUUGUUGGUGAGUGGCAUGGCAUCUCUUGUGUUUAUGUUUCCGUGUCUUUGACAUGGCCCACAUCUUCUGAUAUAUUGCUUCGUGUCUUCAUACAUUGUAGGCCAGUAGAAUCCACACUGCCAGAUCUUUGAAUGUGUACGGAAUGCUCCAUAGUGACCUCCAUAUGGUGAUGAAUGACAUCUGUCGAUGAUCUUCCAUCCUUCCUCAGUGGUCACACAUCUCCUGAGUAAGCCAUCAGAGCAUACUCGGAAGAGGUAUGGCUCAUCCCAUAUAUGUGAACGACUUUCUUGAAUAAGCUUCUUCUUGUUUGCUCCUGGUGGUACAUACCUUGAAACCAUAAAAUUAACAAUAUCUGCAUACCAGGGGUCAGACCUGUUAAUCCCGUAGAGCAUGUCGUCCCGGAGUGAAUCAUUGAUGGGGGUUUCCUGUGGAUUCUUAAAAUACAUUCUAGACAAGUGAUCAGCAACAUAAUUUUCUACUCCCUUUUUAUCUUUUAUUUCUAAGUCAAAUUCUUGAAGUAAUAAGAUCCAUCUAAUCAGGCGAGGUUUAGCAUCUUUUUUAGUGAGCAAAUAUUUUAGUGCAGCAUGAUCUGUGUAAACAAUUAUUUUAGCUCCAACUAAAUAAGAUAUAAAUUUGUCAAUGGCAAAGACAACAGCCAGAAGCUCUUUUUCAGUGGUUGCAUAGUUAAGUUGAGCUCCUGUCAAAGUUUUACUGGCAUAAGCAAUUGCAUGAUGCUUCUUUUCUUUAGUUUGUCCCAAAUACUGCCCCCACAGCAUAAUCACUAGCAUCACACAUAAUUUCAAAAGGCAACGACCAAUCAGGGGGUUGAAUGAUUGGUGCAGAGAUGAGUGCUUUCUUUAAUAAAUUGAAAGAUGUUAGACAUGCAUCAUCAAAUUCGAAAGGAGCAUCCUUGGGUAGCAAAAGAGUAAGUGGUCUAGCAAUGAAUGAAAAAUCUUUUAUGAAUCUACGAUAAAAACCAGCAUGGCCAAGAAAGCUUCGAAUUCCUUUUAUAUUCACAGGUGGAGGUAGUUGUUCAAUUACUUCAAUUUUAGCUUUGUCUACCUCAAUACCUCUUUCAGACACUAGGUGUCCCAGCACUAUUCCUUCUCUAACCAUAAAAUGACAUUUUUCCCAAUUAAGGACUAAGUGCUUUUCUUCACAUCUUUCCAAAACCUUGUCUAAGUUUUCAAGACAACUAUCAAAAGUUUUUCCAUAUACAGAGAAAUCAUCCAUGAAAACUUCCAUAAUCUCUUCAAUCAUAUCAGAAAAUAUAGACAUCAUGCAUCUUUGAAAAGAAGCUUGUGCAUUACAUAACCCAAAAGACAUUCUUCGGUAAGCAUAAGUUCCAUAUGGGCAUGUAAAAGUGGUUUUGCUUUGAUCAUCAGGAUAGAUCGGGAUCUGAUGAUACCCUGAAUAUCCAUCUAAGAAACAGAAGAACGAAUGGUUCGCUAAUCGCUCUAGCAUCUCAUCUAUGAAAGGUAAAGGAAAAUGAUCCUUUCUCGUGGCUUUGUUUAGUUUUCUGUAGUCUAUGCACAUCCGCCUUCCUGUGACGGUGCGUUGCGGAAUUAGCUCGUUCUUUUCAUUCAUAAUAACUGUCAUGCCUCCCUUUUUAGGCACAACUUGAACUGGGCUCACACACUCACUAUGCGGCACAGGAUAUAUAAUCCCUGCAUGCAGUAACUUUAUAACUUCCUUUUUAACUACCUCUCUCAUAGUGUUGUUAAGUCUACGUUGGGGUUCUCGAGAGGGUGAAACAGAAGGAUCUGUUGGAAUACGAUGGGUACAAAUCAUAGGACUGAUUCCUGUAAGAUCUUGGAGUGAGUAGCCAAAAACUGAGUGAUGUUUCUCAAGAAUGGUCAUCAAUCGCAGAGUUUGCUCCUGAGUGAGUUUAUCACUAAUGAUCAUAGGAAACUCUAGAUUAUUGUUUAGGAAAGCAUAGAUAAGACCGGGUGGUAAAGUUUUAAGCUCUAUGGGAGGUCUAGGUGUUUCUGCAAACUCAUCUAAGGGUUCAAGUUCAGAAGGUUCGGCUUAUUCUUCUAUGAAGAAAGGAGUUUCAUCUUCUAAGUCUGAUUCAUCUAAAAGCUCAAGAGAUGCAGCCUUUACCUCCUCCAUAGGAUCAGGCAAAAGAUAUGACUCGGCCUUAUUAUUUAAGGAGUGUGAAAUUGUUAUUGGAAAUUUAAAGGCUUUUCCAAAAGAAAUGUGUAGCUUUCCAGUAUGACCCUCAUAAAGGAGACUUCUAAAAGGUUGGCCUAUCAAUAGGUCGAAGUCUCAUGUAUCAAAGGUAUAGAAGUUCAAAUGAACCAUGGAGCCUUCUACUGUAAGAGGUAGGACAUUAAUAAUUUCAAGACUGGGGACUAAUCGUCUUGAAGAUUUUUUUAUGGCCUUUGUUGUGGGGGUUAAGAACAAGUUUUUAAAUAGUUUAAGUGCAAAAGAUUUAGACAUGAUGUUGAUCCCCACAACAGGAUUAUAGAGAGCAUCAAAUCGAUCAGAAUUAUAAGCACAGCGCAUAGUUAUAGAGGGUGUGUCCAAACGGAUCACAUCAGAGGAAAGCUCUGAUUCCUCCAACCACUUGCUACUCAUGACUGAGAUAAGCUCUCUUAAUUGAUAUUCACUUGGCAAACAAAUGCUAAUAUGGCCGUUUUGGGGUCUGUUAGUAGAAUGGUAGUUUGAAAUGUUUCCAAAAUCGGCAAAAAGAUCAGAUUCUAUAUCCAGCAUGAAGUUCGGUGGUGGAAUUUCUUCCUCUUGUGGCUCAGAACUUGGAAUAGCUAAAGUAGAUGAAGAAUUUGGCAGAGUGUCUACUUCAGCUUUGUAGGUUUCAUCAUGAAGGGUAUUAUCCAUCUUAGCUUCUAGGAUUCUAUCUAGGAUCACUCUAGCUUCAUCAGUAGGGAUGCGAAAGAAAGAACCACUAGACAUUGUAUGUAGCAUUUGUUUGUGAUCUUUUUGAAGACCUCGAAAAAAGUGAAAUAAAAGAACAGGGUCUUCAAGAUUAAGGGUUGGACCAGAUUCUAAAAGAUCAUAAAAACAUUUCUAGGAUUUUCCCAAAGUUUCAUUAUCUUUUUGUUUAAAAGAUAGGACUUCGAGUCCAAGGUCGCCGAUACGGUCGAGGGAAUAGAAAUCUAGACAAAAGUUGGCUCGUAAAACUCCCCAUUCACCUCGUUGUUGACUUACCUUCUGACUGUACCAUUGUCUAGCUUCUCCCCUUAAGGAAAAAGGAAAAAGCUUCCAACUUAAAGUUUUAUCAGAAAUGCCUUCAAUGCGAAGACAAUCACAUGUUUGCUCAAAAUCUCUAAUGUGAAGGGUUUUCGUCUUCCUUUCCCGUAAAAGAUAGGUUUUGAAUCAUGGCAAUCAACCUAGAACUUAACUUAUACUGGGAUGUUUGGAUAGGCUGUGAUGACUCCCAUGGUAAAAGGUCAGUUUCCGAAGGUGUUGCAAAUUGGUAGAUUGAUUUAGAAUCUUGGUUUUCCAUAAGGUAAGAGUAAAGAAAAUGGAUAAAGAAUAUAAAAGAUAAGAAAAAGAUAAAAGUAUAAAUACAAGCUAGUAGUAAGACUCAAGGUUAUCUUAGCAAACCGUCUUUCUCCCCGACAACGGCGCUAGAAAUGCUUGUUGAUAUUUGGAAACGCAAUAAGGAAUUGAUCUGCAAGCGCACGUAUAUCGGUGAGCACUUCACACGGGAGAUUAUCCAGAGUAUCGUAUUUAUUUUUUUACCACUAGGAGAAAGAGUGCAUCUGACUAACCUGGUCUAUUACUACUAACCCUUUAGGCUACAAAGAAUGUGUCUCGAUGUGAGUGAUGAAUAGAGAAGACUACAACCGUAAUCUCCUUCUAACCUUGGUAAGGAUGAUCUACUGUUCAGUUGGGGAGGCUAACGGAAUCUAAACACCACAGCGGAUGUUCAACCCGCACCUAUAAACCCUAUCCUUCCUGCUAACGAGAUAUGGUCUGCAAAGGUAACUCGGAAUUGUCACGUUCCUUGCUACUACCACGGUCUAGCUAGUCAGGGAAUAUCUAUGAGUAUCCUAGCCCAGACACCACGUCUACGCUAGAGAUGAUUACUCUAAACUCUACACGAAGAGAUUAAAGUUAACUCAUAAACCAAAAGAACAAUAAAACAAUAACUUACUAGAAUUUAGAAGUCGAAAUACUGAAGAAUCCUAGGAGCAAGCUUCGGGUUAGGAGAACUUGAUCCCGCAGGUACAAACUCGGAGUAGACACCGACAGUCCAGGCUUCCUCCAAUCUACACCUCCACUCUAUCUCUCUCAAUCUAGUAGAAACUAGAAGAUCUAUUUCUACUCACAUUGGUUGCUAAGCCUAAAAAGAAAUUUUAUUUAGAGGAGAGGUAUUCCUUCGAGGGCUCCUCUCAACUCUAUGAAAAACUUGUCUCCUCCAGGCGCCAGGGGGUUUGGUUUUAUAGUCCCCUCAAGUGAUCGUGAGCCAUUGGAUCAAACCGACAUUGAUUGGACGGUUAUCCUUGAUCCUUUAGGUCGGUGGAGCGUCGUCCGCAAAAAGAGUCCUGAUCCAACUCCAGGAGGGGGUGGGCGCCCAAGUCAACUGGGCGGGCGCCCAGUGCCUGGCCCCGUUCGGCCUCCGCUUCCUUCCCGUGGCUUCUGGAGUCUUCUAGAUGGUAGAAAAUUGCGCGGUGCAUUGAUAUCUCUAUGUAAUCCCGACAUGUGGGCCUUUCUUCCUUAUUUCCUGAUAACCCCCUGCAGAAACAGAUAAACAACAACACUCGUGGAAUGCAGAAACAGAUAAACAACAACACUCGUGGAAUUCUGUCAGAUCAAACCCUAAUUCUAGGUGUUGGUUGCAUAUUGGUCCUUUCUCUUGUUUAUUUGAUAAUUAAAAUUGAUACUUAAGAACUGUCAACAGUAAUAACACUUUACCUAAGUCCUACUUUGAUGAACUAUUUUUGUAAAUUAAGUUAUGUAAUGCUUCCGCUGUUUUACUCCAAAAUGCUACUUUGGUUACAUAUUGUCUGUGAUACUGCAAUGUCUUCACAAUGAAUUAUCCUAGUGUUAAUAUGGUCACUUGCUAUCCUGUGAGGGUGAGAAGAAGAAAUUCUCGUUAAUUGACCACUGCGGGUGGUCAGGAUGAGUUCUGUUAUUUCGCCACGGGUAGUAGUGGAAUGGGUUUCCUGGGAUGAUCAUCGGGCUUCUAGAGUAGAUGGAUCCCUAGCAUCACCGUCAGAGGUCUUUGGGACAAUGACACAUGUCGGUGGGCCCAACUACUUAGGAGGUUCUGCCACAUUGAAUGAGGGCUGAACCAAUAACAGUGUCAUCGGUCGACAAGUAUAAUCUGAAAGGUUUUCCAUGUUGAGGUGGAACCAGUACCAGAGGAUUCAUCAAAUAAUUCUUAAUUUCAUCUAGGGCCAACUAUUGUUCAAUCUCCCAAACAAACUCCUGAUCAGCUUUCAAUUUGAGCAAAGGACUGAAAGCCUUGAUCUUACCCAACAGAUUGGAUAUGAACCUCCUCAUGAAAUUAAUCUUGCCAAUCAAGGACUGAAGCUCGGUUUUAUCGGUAGGAGCAACUACUUUGUUGAUUGCAUCAAUGGAUCUUCUACUAAUUUCAAUCCCUCUCUGAUGCACCAUGACACCCAAGAACUGGCCUACUGAUACACCAAAUGCACAUUUAUUAAAAUUCAUCUUUAAACCAUAUAUCCUCGUACACUCGAGUAUCUUUCGUAGAUCGGCUAGAUGCUUUAUAAAAUCUCCAGACUUAACCACAACAUCAUCAAUGUAAAUUUCCACCAAUGUGCCAAUGAACUCAUGAAAAAUAAAAUUCAUAGCCCUUUGAUAAGUAGCACCAACAUUUUUUAAACCAAAAGUCAUAACUAUCCAUUAAAACAAACCAACAUGGCCAGGACACCUAAAAGCAGUCUUGGGUAUUUCUUCUUCAGCCAUGAAUAUUUGAUUUUAUCCUGCAUUGCCAUCCAUAAAGCUAAUAAUCCGAUGUCCAGCUACAACAUCAACCAGUAAAUCGGCACCCGGCAUUGGGUAGCCAUCCAUUGGUGUAGCUUUAUUAAGAUUCCUAAAGUCAAUACACAUGUUAAGUUUCCCAUUUUUCUUGUAGACAGGAACGACAUUGGAAAUCAAUUCAGCAUACCGACACUACCGAAUAAACUUAGCUUCAAUUAAUUUGGUUAUUUUGGCCUUAAUAUUAGGAAGAAUAUUAGGGUUACAUUGGUGCGCUGGCUGCUGAUGUGGCUGAAAUCCAGACUUGAUAGGUAAUCGAUGUUGAACAAUUGAUCGGUCCAAUCCAGGCAUCUCAGUGUAAUCCCAAGCAAAGCAAUAUUUAUAUUCUCUUAACAAAUUGGUUAAUUGUUGCUUACACUUAGAAUCUAACUUAGCACUAAUAAAGGUAGACCUCAGUCUAUCACUGUUGACGCUUCUUAAGUAUCGAUUUUAAUCAUGAAAUAAAUAAGGAAAAGGACCAAUAUAAGGGCAAUACCUAGAAUUAGGGUUUGAUCUGACAGAAUUCCAUGAGUUUUGCUGUUUAUCUAUUUCUGUAUGGGGUUAUCAGGAAAUAUGGAAGAAAGGCCCACACAUCAGGAAUACAUAGAAAUAUUAACUUGUGCACCAAUUUUCCUUGGCCUAGAAGGUUCUAGAAGUCACACGAAUGAGCGGGAGGCCGAGCGGGCCCAUAGGCAGGGCGCACGCCCAACCCUCCUGGGCGCCCACCCUCCUUUGCUGGCCAAUCAGCAUGAGUCUCGCGGAUUAUGCUCCACCGCCUCUGAGGAUCAAGGAAAACCAUUCAAUCAUGGUCGGUUUGAUCCGACGGCCCAGAUUCAUUUGAGAGGGCUAUAUAAGCAAGGCCCCUGGCCCCUAGAGAAGGCAAUCCCCGUUAUUCAUUAGCAUAUUUUCCAGAGAGGAUUCAGAGAGAGAGGUUCCUUUAGGGUUCCAACCUCAUAGGGCUUAGCUUCCAAUGUGAGAGUAGAAUUAGUUCUACUAGAUUGAGAGAGAUAGAGUGGAGGUGUAGAUCAGAGGAAGCCUGGCCUGUCGGUGUCUACUCCGAGGUUGUACCUGCGGGAUCAAGUCUCUUAACCCGAGGCUUGAUCCUAGGAUUCUUCAGUAUUUCGACUUCUAAAUUCUAGUAAGUUCUUUGUUUUAUUGUUCUUUGAUUUAUGAGUUUACUUUGAUCUCUUCGCAUAGAGUUUAGAGUAAUCAUCUCUAGCGUAAAUGUGGUGUUUGGGCUAGGAUACUCAUAGAUAUCUCCUGCAAUAUGGAGCAUUCUGUACACAUUCAAAGAUUUGGCAGUGUGGAUUCUACUAGCCUACAAUGUAUGAAGACAUGAAGCAAUAUAUCAAAAGAUGUGGGCCAUGUCAAAGGCACGUAAACAUAAACACAAGAGAUGCCAUGCCACUCACCAACAACCUUCAGAUUGAGCUCUUUGAUGUCUGGGGAAUAGACUACAUGGGUCCAUUUCCCCCAUCAAAGAAGUGUGAGUUCAUCUUGGUAGCAGUUGACUACGUCUCCAAGUGGGUGGAGGCACUACCUUGCCAACACGCCAACAACAUCAGUUCAAAGAGGAUGUUUGAAGAAAUUAUAUUUCCAAGAUUUGGAGUCCCCAGAGUAGUGAUAAGUUAUGGAGGAGCACACUUCAUCGACAAACGCUUCGAGCACUAUCUAUCAAAACAUGGAAUUCGCCACAACGUCGCUACCCCCUAUCAUCCCCAGACAAGUGGCCAAGCAGAGACUUCCAACAAGCAAAUCAAGAAUAUUCUUCAGAAGACAGUCAAUGAGAUGGGAACGACAUGGAAGGACAAGUUACCUGAUGCACUCUGGGCAUAUCGGACAUCAUACAAGACCCCAAUUGGAAUGUCCCCAUACCAGUUGGUGUACGGGAAGACUUGCCACCUACCUGUUGAACUAGAGUUCAAAGCACACUAGGCCAUAAGGAGAUGGAAUAUGGACCUAGAUGUCGCUGGAGAUCAUAGAAGAAUGCAACUAUCAGAAUUGGAAGAAUGGCGAGAGAAAGCAUAUCACAAUUCGAAGAUCUAUAAGGAGAGAGUCAAAAGGUGGCAUGAAAAGAGGAUCAAGAAGGAGUUCGGAUCCGAAGAUUAGGUAUUACUUUUUAAUUCCAGGGUAAAGCUUUCUGGGCAUGGAAAACUCCAGAGUAAAUGAGAAGGACCAUUCAAGGUAAUCAAUUCAUCAUCCCACGGAGCUAUCACACUUCAAAAUGAUGAAGGUACAUUAUUCAAGGUAAAUGGUCAACAUCUUAAAUUAUUUUUAGAGCCCAACAAAGAAUUAGAAGAAAUAGAUGUGAUCCAUUUUUACCUUCCCAUGGAGAAUUAGAGCCCGACCUUUUUAAUCUGAUGUUUUUGGACCACGUAUAAAUUUUUCAGAAUAAAAUUUGCAUCUAGAAGCAUGCUCGAGGAGGCGGGCCCACAGAGGAGCCAGGCAUAGGGCGGGCGCCCUGAGGAUGUGGGUGGGCGCCCAGCCUGUGUCUCCCCUCGGCCCCGGUCACCUCUGUCGCGAUAAACUCAUCUAUGGAUAUCCAAAUAAUCAUGCGGAUGGUUUGUUACGCAUGCAUGGCGAUGGGAGUAACCCGAGCAAAUCCUAGAGGCACUUUUUGACCCCUAUAUAAAUAGACCCCUGACGUCAGCUUGCAACACCAAUUCAUUCAAGCCCUCUUUCCUUCCUCAAUUAGACCUUGCCUAGUUCCUCGCGGCUCCGAUGGCCAACAAGUUCCACGACGAUUGGGAAGUCGUCCCCUACGACCUCAACAUGAAGCUCAAGGAAGACCCCGAUGCCUACGCUCUCGUCCCGGCCAACACAGAGCGACAGCUAGUAGCCAUGCCAUCACGCCAGCGCAGCUCCACCCAAUCCUACUAUGCCCAACUAGUUCUCACCACAACGCCGCAGUCCCUACUUCUCAAGGGGCCAUCAGCCAAGAAGGAGGUCAUCGUCAAGGUGCCAGCCGGCAUGAGGAUCCUGCCACCCAGACCCAAUGAGCGGGUCGUCGAAGUCAAGACCAACCAGAGCGGCGAGAUUAGCAGCGUCCUCUACACCACGGAGGAGGAGAGGCCUUACUUUGAGGGGGUUAGAGCAGCCAAAGUCCGCUUCAUCCCUACAAAGGAAGCACCGAAGCACGCCCUCAACGCUCUCGAGACACCUCCUAAGCGCCGCAAAACUAUAGCAGAUGUAGAUGAGGACGUUCGUAGGCUAGACAAGGUCAUCAUAGAUCUCCAGUCCUCGGAUAACUCCAUCAAUAGGCAGCUCUCUAACCAGAACACCGUUAUACUAGGUCUUAAUUGUGAUCUCGCUAGUGCUAAUAAGAUUAGUGAGUUAGAGCGCCGCUAAGUAUCUAGAUUAGAUCUUGAGGCAGUGUAUCUUAGUUAUUCAUCAUUAGAUUUGAUUAGAUUCGAAUUAGAUCUAUUAUUAGAUUCAGUUCAUUAUUAGUCUGUUGUAAUAAAUGCCUCAAGAUUAAUAAAGAUUAUUAUGUCUUGUGUGUCUCUACUUUAUUUUUAUGCAAGUAAGCAGAAAACAAGUAUGGGGGAGAUCCCCCGACAUACCAAAUGCACUUCGACCACACCACUCCACGAUUCAGGUACAUACUCUGCACGCUCGAUUUACACACAUAUAUCUUGGUUCGUGCAGAAUAUUGCCUCCGACAUGAUAAAUUAAAAAGAUUAAAAUAUUUCUAAUCAUGAUCAAUCUCACUUUGUGAUAUUUCCUGAAAACUUGCAAUUAUUAAAAAUGUUGAUGCAAAAGCUGAUCUGCAAACACAAAGGGCUAAUACCCGAUUCAAACGUUAAGGCGUGCCAGCCGAUUUGACCUUACUAUCGGCAAAGGUGAUAACUCGAAUACUUUGGUCCCGACAACAGCGAUGCGCCCGGAUGCCAUGGCCAAGAGGUAUUCACGCGGAACUUGAGAAUACGCCGAGCUUAAGUCGACGAACUCCUAAGAACUCGUAAUGAAAAAGGAAAAUAUGACGAAGUCGUCGAAAAAGUAAAUACUAGAAUAUGAGUAAAAACUUGUGUUUGAUUGAGUGAUUGAUAGAUCCAUAUUACAAAGCCCCCGGGUCUGCAUUUAUACCCUGCUCAAAGAGCUACAACCAGACACGACUAGAACUCGAAUUCUAAAUUAAACAGAAUCUGUAUACAAAAUGAUUUAAAUAACUAAGGAAAACAUAAAACCAUCCUCCCGUGACAAACUGGGACACCUCCAUAGGCCAAUCGGCAACCUUCAGAUUCUUCCUCCGUAUCAUCGGCAGACCCCCUCAUUGUAGCCAUCGGCACCGAUUAACACUGACCAUCAGCACAAACACAUCACCACCUACGGACUUAGUCAUAUUCAGCCGUCCCUUCAUCGGCAACCAUCCUCAUCGGCAACUUCUCCUGCAGACCAAGUAUUGCUACCAUAUCUUGCCGACCUACACUCUACCGAUCCUGGAUACGUGUCCAAAAACGGUGUCAACACAUGCCCCCCAAUUUCGGAGUAUGAAAUCAUUAAUGCUCCAAAAUUCUCUGCAGUAAUGACGCCUUUCCGCAAUUAAUUCUCCCAAUUUGGUAACCGACAGCCUUAAUCCGAACAACCCUAGUCCGAUUCCUCCGCAGAUUCCUCAAAAUCCUCAACUUCCCAAACGGACAUCUCCACUUUAGUCGCCCAUCGGCAAUGUUACCGUUAUAGAGAGCUGCCGAUGGACCGAUCAGGACGUCCUAUACAAUAAAGUAUCUUAUCUUCCCAAACGGAUAUCCCCACUUUAUCCGUCCAUCCGCAAUAUUACGGUUACAAGGCGCUGCCGAUAGACCGACCAGGAAAUCUCGCACAGUAAAAUAUCUCCAGAUCACGACCGCUUCCUGUCAAAUCACCUGCGCAAUCCCUUGAUUACCGUGCGAACAGUUACCAUAUCUUCCUGAGUAUCCUCGGAUUUUACGGAUACGGCGAAGUGAUAAGUCAGAUUUACCCUUGCCCAUUUUGUCCUAUAAAUAGUUCCUUCUCGGGCACUCCUCCUCCAUCGCAUCAUUCUACAGUCCCAACUCCACUUUCCUGGUGGCGGCGCUGUUCGAGAGCUCCAAGAACUCCAGCGAAGCCCAACCUCAAAGUCUUCGAUCACCCUUUUCGUGAAGAGAUGGCCAUCAACUUCGUCGUUCCCGAGGUCAGUUCAUCACCUUAUCUCUUGUACCUUUACCAUAUCCCCGUUCAUUCGCAAUUUAUUUUACUAAACAUUCUUCUUUUUUCUUCUUUUGUUCUUCUUUUUACCUUCAAAACCAUUAGGAUCUGUCCAAUAAAAUUGUCAUCCCUACCGAUCAUCCACAUCUCCAAUGUCUUGGCCCGUUAGGGGAUCCAUAUCCCAUCGACCUUAUCAACGCAGAAACAAACAGAAUCCCCUUUAGAGCCGAGAUCUUUUCUCUGGAUCUGUGGAAGGAUACCUUUCGUUCCUAGCCCAGUCCUACCGUGGGAUGGAAGGAUUGGUUCUUGAGAGUCAGCCACUCAAAUGAAGUCCAGUAGGGUGAGAGAAAACUGGAUCAAUGCAUCACGUUGUCCAUUGCCGAUAUGCAUAGGAAUGAGUCAUUGCUGAUAGCUGCAUCGUAUUUCUGGUCGAACACUCUUAACGCCUUUGUCUUUGGUCACGUCCCUGCUUCUCCCACUCUUGCCGAUGUGCUUAUGCUCACCGGCUUAGAUGUAUCCACUACCGAUAAUAGUCACCUGUUUGACACCAUGCCUAGUGCCAAAGUGGAAACUCGUGCUAUCGGCGGCUGGUCUAGAUACAUUCAGAAGUAUCGUAGAACGGGGCCUGUUAACAUAAAGGAGCAAACCACCUUUCUGAACAUGUGGCUAGAGAAAUUCGUGUUCUGCGGUCGAUCGGCAGGACCAACCUCUGUCUACCUAUCGGCAGCAGAGAGAUUAGCCAAUGGUGGCCGAUUUCCCCUCGGCCGAUACCUGCUUGGCUCUGCCUACCACCUCCUCCACCAAGUAGCCAGAAGACUUCUGCUCGGCCAGUCCAUCGGCAACCUAGGAGGACCCUGGUUUUUCAUCAAUAUGUGGCUUAGCCUUCACAUGCACAAGCGUCGUGAAUUCAACCUCUUCACACAACGCUUCCCCAGGGACAUAGCCGAGGAUUAUGAAUUAGAUGAAGAAGAAUCGGCAACUCGCCCUCCUCUGAACUUUGGCGAGGCUGUCAUCGUUCUGCCUGGCACCGGUGGCAACGCAGACCAGGUCAGCUGAUUCUUCCAGACCUUGUACGAAGGCCUGACCAGAGAGCAGCGAGCGUGGAUGCCUUAUGAAGAUCCACAUACCAUGUUUCCUUUGGUUUUCCAUCCAUUCAAUGAGGCUCUCAACAAGGAUCAUGAUGUGAUGAUGGUACUAAUCACUCCCAGAGCUAUACUAGUGAAUUUUUUUGGCAGUGGGAAAGCUUCCAACCAGACUUAUGAGUUCUACAACCCAUCGGCACUAGCCCGUCAACUCGCUUUCGGUCAGCUACCGAUUGCUCUUUGUUAUGCCAAUGUGAUAAAACCUAGGGAGACCAUCACUAGCCUUCUUGAGUGGACCUGAGUAGCCCAAUUGCCACCGAAUGCCGAUACAGAUGCAGAUCUAUCAGAGUGGAUCCUAGUGUCGGUGUUUUCCCCACGGGGGGUCACACCAACGAGUGAUUUUGUAUGCGUGCUCCCUUUUCCAGAUGGUGAUGCAAAAAGACACAAAGAUUUAUCCUGGUUCGGGCAAGAGAAGGCCCUACGUCCAGGGGGGAGGAGAGUUUGUAUUAUUUUGCACCUAAGUGCUUGUACAACGGUGAAUACAAGUGUGGUAUGGAAUGAGGUGGAGUAUGGAAGUUCUACUGUGUAUGGGUGUAGUGUUGCGUGAUGUCUUGUGUUCACUCCCGAGUCUCACCUUUUAUAGUUCCAAGGAGAGACCUAGGGUACAUGUAUAGGUGUCACAGUAGGGGUCGAUAGAGGCAUGGCGCGCUGACCUACUCGAGAUCUCUGUACCGGCGUGGCCUCGAGCCGUCCCGUCCUGGUAGCUUGAUGAUGAUUACGCGUGCCCUUAUAUCCCGCUCUGUACGCCGUCUUGGGCUGGUUUGUCCGCCGCGCGCCUGUACGUCAUGGCGGCGAACGUGUCGGAACGGUUGUGGUGUUGUCAUUCGACGCCCAACCCUUCCCCAGGAAGGAAUUAUGUCUGGUCGAGGGUCGGAAACCGGGUAGCGCCUCGCUAUCCAGAGUGUUGACUUUAGAUGUCUCGAGGGGGUCUUGAUUAGACGUUCCACCCCUGCUUCCCGCGUCCUGACAUGUUCUGGGUUGUUUGGGGGGAAAGCUGCAAAAAGAAUGACUGGACGGGUGCCUGCUCCCUAUCACGCUUCCCGUGACUGGCGUGUUAGGUGGGAAAGUGACAGGCGCAUUAAAUGCCCUGGCUCCCGUGCGCGCGUCACGCGGCGGGCGGCGUCCUUGCGCUCGACGCCUCCUGAUUCGCUCGAGCCUAUUUCCGUAUUUUACGGUAGUUGGCGCUCGAGCCCUGAUCGAUUCGCUCGACGUCCUUUCCGUCUUCGAGGCCGCGGUCGUCGAUGGCUGUAUGCGCAAUCGAUUGGAGCGUCGAGUUGAGGGCCUCGAUCUGUGUAUGGGUAAUCUCGUUAUGUGCAUCAGUUAGGAUACCACUUACUGAUACCCUCAACAGUAGCCCCCGAGUCACCAUUUCAGCGCUGGCGCUCGAGUGGAGGCUGUAUUCCGUGCUCGAGUUUCUGUGGGGGCGCGCGAGCGACCCCACGGGGUAGCCCCCGAGCCCUUGGAGGAGUUUUUGACUCCUUCAAGGGUUAUAUUGCCUAAACGCUGUCGACACCAGUGGUGGAAAGUUUUGAUUGGCUCGUUUUGUGCAGAGGUUUAGACGUACUCUCGGUAGAGCGAGCGUCAUCCACCCCAGAUUGAGUUCCUAACGGGUAGUCUAAGUGAAAACCUGUGCCCCUUUCGAGGGGGUCAGUUGUAGCCCGGAGGCGUUCUCAUAAAGCGGGGUCGACGUAGUCGGGGAUACUGGUCUCGUUCGAUAGAGUCCAGCGGCUCGAUGCCUCCCGUCGGGGGGAUUCCUCUCAACUGUCUCGACCUUGCCUUGGACAUCCCCAGCGAGUCUUCGAGGCGGGCCUCGAUUUUCGACCACUCGCUGUUGAUCCCUGACUCUGGUGCUCGAGAUCGGCUGUCGAACCCUUUCGGCGGGUCAGCCUGCGACCUCUUGAGGCUUUCAUGGGCGCGUUCCUUGGCUUACAAGGGAAGGAAGAGGCCGUGGCAGUUCACCUUUUCGCCCGUUGGGCGCGCCUUUUCAGGCGGGAGCCGUUGCGACACGGUACCGGCGUAGAAUUCGGAGCGUCCCGUCUAUGAGGAGGAAAAAAGACUGUUAGGCGGCGCAUUUAUGCGGGGGUACCUCAUUUAUCGGAUCUGUCCGCUGGUGGGUUGCUGCCUAUAAAUAUCCCGUGGCAUCGCCGCCGUUCUCCCUUCCGCCUCCUGUCUUCAUUCUUGCCUUAGUCCUCUCGUCGUCUUAGCUCUCUUGCCAUCUCACGCGCACGAACCCCCUCGAGCAGUAGCGAAUCCACCCUCCUUCCGUCCAAGAUGCCUGUGAGACUCAUCGCCGCCGACGACUGGCGCCCGUCGUUGAUGACGGAACGCCGGUUGCUAGGCUUGAGAGGGAGGGACUCCUGCGCCACCGCACCUCACUGUCGUCGCCGGAGUGGAUCGCGCCGCCACGGACCACAGGGAACCCAAGCCGCCCAAGGGCUACGUGGUGUCGUUUGCCAAGUUCCACCGCCACGGCCUGGACGCUCCUCCGAGCCGCUUCAUGCGGGCGCUCUGCCACCAUUACGGGGUGGAGCUCCAGCAUUUCUCCCCAAAUACCAUCACCAUCGCGGCGGUCUUUGCCGCGGUGUGUGAGGGCUAUUUGGGGAUGAUGCCCCACUGGAAGCUGUGGCUCCACCUCUUCAAUGCCCCUACUGGAACUACAGGCGUGAGGAAACCCAUGCGGGCCGGGUGCCUCAACCUGGUGCUGAAGACGAAGAAGACGGAGAGGCCACGCGAGUACAUCCCGGUGGGGUUGUCAUCGAACCACGCUGGUUGGGACUCCCAGUGGUUCUACCUGAGGAACGACGAUGGCCUUCUCCCUGCCUACAUCGGCCGCCUGAUUACGGAGCGCCCGGACAACUAGACAUACGGCGUCGUCCAAGACCACCAGUCGUGACUCGACCCCCUCCUCAACGCCCUGAAGAAGCUGCGCUUGGAGGGCCCAUCCGCUGCUCUCGUCCUCUCGGCCGUCCAUCAUCGGAGAGUUCUCCCGCUGAUGUCUCGGCCGCUGAGGAUGGAUGAGAUGGGGCCCGGCGUUUCCUCCCGGGACCUCGAGGCAUGCCGGAUGUCCAACGAGGCUCUGGCGGACGACAAAGCCGCAGCCCGGGUUAGGGCGGCCAUUGUCGGCAACUUUAAGCCGGAGCACGUCAAUGGCUUCCCCAUGAGGCCUGAUGAGGGCUCGAUUGACCUGGUAUGUUACUUUCUUGUACAUGGCUUUGAUUCUGGAUUUCCUUCAAUUCCCUUUUUAAGCUGGCCUUUGUUCUGGUAGGGAUAGAUCAAUGUCCGGUCCUCGAGGCGUCCAGUAAAGGAGGACGAGGUCGACCUUGACAAGCGGCGCCAGUCCGCCGAGAAACAAAAGUCCGCCAAGGACUCUAAGAAGAAAGGGAAGAAGAAAAGGAACCUCGACCGCCAAGCACUAGAGGCGCGUCGAGCUAAAUCUAGGCAGAGGGGCGGGCCUGAAGAAGAAUCCACCAGUGAAGAUGACGGUGGAGAUGGUGAUGACGAUAGCGACGACUCCGAGGGGAUGGCGUCUCGUCUCGACCGGAUCCUCGAGGGUCCGCCUUGUGGUGACAUCGACGCCCCGCGGACGAGAGCGCCAAAGGAGGGGCCAGGCGGAUCUCACCGCGCUCGCGCUGACACUCCUCCCGUGCCUGCGUCAAGUCGGGCCGUCCCGCACCACCAACCUCCCCCUGCACCAAAGGCGGGUGGCCGGGCUAAGCCCAGGCGACGGGGCCGUUGACCCGUGGCCGCGCCGUGGCCUCCGAAAAGGGGGACGUCGACCGCAGGAGCGCUAGCCCCGGCACUCGCCGAUGGGAGAUGUCGGACCAAGGCCCGCGCCUGCCCGUGCGGGGCCUAAAGUCUCGAUGCGAGGUGGUUUGAGGCCCACCGGUCGGGGUACCGGCAGGCGAGCCAUUCUCCCUGUGGGGUAAGUUCUUCGACGCUGAGAUCCUCAUCCUUCUGUUUCUUUGUGUUUCUUCGCAUAACGGUCUCCCUUAUGCCCGUUUCUCUUUUCUCAGGUUGAAGCGGAUGCUUGAGCAGGCCCAGCCUUCAAUGGCAAAAAGGCUCAAGGUGGGAGCGGCUUCCAAGGACUCAGGUUUGUAGCCUAUUCCCAUUGUCAUGGGAUUUGUGUUGCUCUUAUGUUGGCCAUCAUAAUGACUGACUUUUGCUUUUGCGAUUUAUAUGCUCCUCCGACCCUCGACCCCCGACUGGCACCGAGAGUGCCCCGCCCCGUCCCCUGGCGGGUGAGUCUGUCCCGCCGUCGCCAAAACGGGCUGAGGCGCCUCAGCCCCAAGGGCAAGGGGGAGCCCCCGAGCCUCCCCGAUCGGGGGUCGAGGGGGAUCCCAUUACCAUAAGUGAUGGGUCUGGCGGUGACGGGACCUCGAGGGAUGCGCGUUCUAUGGACGAAGAGGCCCAGACUUCUCUCGUCACAAGACGGAUGCCCUGGCCUGCUGGGCUUUGCUCCAUCGAGGAGCAGAAGAAGAAAGAGGAGGAGGAGUGUGAGCAAGAGACGCGGCGGCAACUGCGGGAGCAGGACCGUCAACAGGAGCCGUAGGAGCUCCAAGAGCUGUAGCCGUAGGGGGACUAGCCGUCGGAGGAGCCGCUCGAGCCUCCUCCUCACAGUCCGCCCCAACCGGUACUACCGGCACCGCAAGAGCCCGGGAACCAAGAAGAGGGUCUGCCGGUUUUUGGCCCUCUGACCCCAGCGUGGCUCCGUCCAGGGACGCCCGCCGCGAUCCCAGCAGAGUCGGGGCGGGCGGACGGCGUGGUGGCGCUCGCCUACAUGAUGCGCACCCCUGUCGACCCUGAGUCCGAGAUCAGGAGGACGAUCUACGGCAUGGACGGGAUCGCCCCGGGAUUCCUCUGGGAGCGUCGGUCGUGGGAGGACCGUAUUCCCGCCGAGGAGGACGAGGCUGGGACGUUGGGCGGAGGCGGAGGUAGCGAAACGGGCACCUGGAAGACGGUGGAUGACGACAGGCGGUUCCCCUCCCUCGUCGACUUGUUCCUGUGCCAUGGAGGGUCCCUCGAGACCGUCGAGGAACUCAUCCGCGGCGUCAAGGCACGGGCCGACCAGGAGAUGGAGAACUGGUGCCCCGAUCGGAUCCGCAUCCGGGCUUCCACUGAUCCGUCCGAGCCCAACAUUUUUCUGGACGAUCGGAAGGAAGCCGAGAAGUGGGAGCACGUCUAGGAGCUCCGCCUCUGGAUGAAGCACAUGGUGGGGCUCCUAUCGGACGUUGUAAACAACAGACUCGGGCCGGCCUACUUUGUAAGUCUCCUAGUCCUUUAAUCUUUAUGAAACUUGUUGGUUUUUGGGUUCUAACCGCUCGAUCACCGGCUCGCAGGACCUGAAAGAGACCUCCCGCAUUGAGUCAAGCUUUAUUCACGCCACGAGAGGCGGCUGGGAGCAGCUCCCCAUCCUCAAGGACCAACUCCUGGAGUCACAGGAGGAACUCCUCCAAGCUUACAAAGAGCUCUUGGCGCUCAAGGAGGAGAAGAAGGAGAGGGAGGCUGCCCUGGCCGAGGCUCGAGAGGCCUCAAGGAAGGCUGUGGAAGAGGCUGUGCUGCUGAGGGAGUGGGCUCUGACGGUCUAGGAGGCUGGGUCCAAAGCCCGGGAGGAGGCCCUGUCCUACAAGAACGUCAUUGCUGACCUAGACAAGGUGAAGGGCCUCCUCAAGACCGACCUGGACUCCCUCCGAGAAUCCUUCCAAAGGAUGAAGGUGGAGUAUGUGAACAGCGAGGUCGCCAGGGGCGCCAUGGAGGAGGCAAAACAGAAGGCCCUCGAAGACCUCGAGGCGGAGCGGGCUCGACCCCACAGCCUCUCUAACGACGUCGAUCGUCUGAAGAGGGCACUGCUGGAGAAGGAAGGAGCCAUUAUGCAGGCCGGCAAGGCGAUCGAGGAUCUGCGCGUCGCCAACACCGAGCUGGCGCGCUCCAACAGGGAGGUCGAGAGGGCCAACACCAAUUUGGUUGGUGAAAACACGGCUCUAGAGGAGAGCAUCUGCGGUACGUUUUCUAUUAUCGAGUUUCUUUUCUGAGGCGUGUUUGGUGUUAUCUAAUCUACUCUCGUUGAUCCUCGCAGGGCUCAAGGAUGAGCUGUUGGCUGCCCAAGUCGAGGCCCGCUCCGUCAAGACCCAGCUCGAGGGGGAGGUCGCCUUAAACGGUCGCCUAAGGACUGCGAUAAGCGACCUCUCGGCUUCCUGGGAGCUCGAGCCUGUUGACGAGUCAAGGGAGGAGGCUCGGGGCGAUGCACUCGUCGACCAGCUAUGCUGUCUUGGAGCUACGCUGAGGGACCGGGUGCGGGACGCCCUCCCGUCGGAGUGAAGCGGGCGAUAGCGGUAGUCUGCUCAGGCUUCUCCUACGACAUGGAGGUGGUGUCCCACGGCUUCAUCACCGACAUCUCGAAGACUGAUGCGGAGAACGAGGAGAGGCUCCACGCCUUGAUCGACGACGCAGAAGUUCCUAGAGAGAGGUUGGCUAAGCUAUUCGAGCCAGAGGUACUUCCUCCUAAGACUAGCUCAGGCGCGGGUGAGGAUGGUGAGGGCCGAGACUCGGACUGAGGCCUGCGAGCCUAGUCUGGGUGCCUGGGCCCCUUGUAUAGUACUCUGUCAAUUUGUAUUUAAGUAAUAUCUUUUAAGUGGUUGUUAAAUGUUUAUCUGUCUUUCCGCUCGAGGCUCUUUUAUUUCCAUUUGCACCUAUGUUUGUAUUCUUCGUUUGAUCUUUUGUGUAAGGCGAUCUCGGUUGCCUCAAGGGUGGGGAAGCGAGUAGAGUUUCCGUAGUCUGGGGGCGUAGGAGUACUUAGGCUCGUCGUCUCUCAGCACUUAAGGGGCUCGAGGUGCCUCUACUACUUGACCAUACGAGAUUACUGAUAGGAAAGAAGGGUUACUUGGUUUUUUUCGAUACUUGGGGGGGGUCACCCCCCUGCUAGCCCCCGAGGGGGUAUCGUCUAUGAUGGGUCAUAGUCGGUACUCCCUUCUGACGUCGAGAUUUUAACUUGUGAAAAAGUAAGUUGCUCGAGGGAAAGACUUUAUUUAUUCAUGCAUUCAUUUACAAGGCCUUGGUACAGAAUGUACGUAGGAAAGUAGAGCUUUGAAAUUCUAGGGGUAGAAUCGACGUAGCUGUUCGAUGUUCCACGCGUUGGUGAAGAUCACCCCCUUUUCAUCUGUGAGUUUUUAUGUCCCUGGCUUCAAGACCUCGGCCACCACGUAUGGGCCCUCCCAAGGUGGAGUCAGCUUGUGGCGUCCUUGAUUGCUUUGCCGCCAUCGUAGGACGAGGUCGCCUACGUUUAAAUCCCUCUUGCGCACGUGCUUGUCGUGGUAGCAUCGAAGUUUCUGCUGGUAUCUGGUAGAGUUGAGGAGGGCCAUGUCUGGAGCCUCCUCGAGUUGGUCGACCGCAUUUUCUUGAGUCACUUUAUUUGAUUGCUCGUUGUAUGCUUUGAGCCGAGGGGAUCCAUACUCGUGGUCUGUUGGGAGCACAGCCUUAGAGCCAUAGACCAUGAAGAAUGUGGUGUACUUUGUGGCCCUGCUUGGCGUUGUCCUUAAGCUCCAUAGGACCGAGGAAAGUUCCUCGACCCAUUUCUUGCUGAAUUUCUUCAAGCGAUUGUAGAUCCUUGGUUUGAGCCCUUGCAAAAUCAUGCCGUUGGCACGCUCGACCUGGCCGUUAGGUCGAGGGUGGGCCACUGCGGACCAAUUCACACGGAUGUGAUGCUGAUCGCAGAAGUCCAAGAACUUCUUGCCGGUGAACUGAGUGUCGUUGUCAGUGAUGAUGACGUUGGGAAUCCCAAACCGGUGGAUGAUGUCGGUGAAGAAAAGGACGGCCUGCUCGGAGCGGAUGUUGGUGAUGGGUCGAGCCUCGAUCCAUUUGGAGAAUUUGUCGAUGGCUACCAAUAAGUGGGUGUACCCCCCUUUUGCCUUUUGUAGAGGCCCUACUAAGUCGAGCCCCCAUACCGCGAACGGCCAUGUGAUAGGGAUCAUCUGGAGAGCAUGGGCAGGCAGGUGCGUCUAUUUGGCGUAGAAUUGGCACCCAUGGCACGAGCGUACGAGCUCGACGGCAUCAGCUACGGCCGUUGCCAGUAGAAGCCUUGUCGGAAGGCGUUCCCCACGAGGGUCCGUGGAGCAGCAUGGUGCCCACAAGCCCCCGAGUGUAAAUCCUCGAGGAGUUUCUGGCCUUCUUAUAUGGUGAUGCAACGCUGCAAGACCCCCGUCGGGCUUCGUCGAUAUAGCUCUUUGUCCUCGCCAUAGAUUACGUAUGACUUGGCCCGUCGAGCAAUACGGCGGGCCUCGGAUCGAUCUUCCGGCAGCUCGCAGCGGAUCAGGCAGUCGAGGAACGGCGUGCGCCAAACGAACGGUCGACCGGGCCGCUGUUCCACUUCCAUUACCUCAGCCGCCAUUAGUAGUGCUUCGACGGUGUCGGUUUGCUGGAUAGGAGCGGGCUCGAUGCUAGCCCCCGAGCCCAAGUCGAUGGAUGGCUCAUGUAGAUCUCUUGAAAACGCGUUAGGUGGGACCGUGCCUCGAGUCGACGCGAUCUUGGCGAGUUCGUCGGCUGCCUCGUUGUAGCGUCGGGCGACGUGGACGAGCUCGAGGCUGUAGAACUUGUCCUCGAGUUGACGGACUUCCUUGCAGUACGCCUCCAUUUUUGGGUCGUGCCAGCUUGAGGUCUUCAUCACUUGGUCGAUGACGAGUUGGGAGUCGCCUCGAACGUCGAGGCGUCGAACUCCAAGCUCGAUGGCGAUCUUCAGACCGUUGACAAGGGCCUCAUACUCUGCAACAUUGUUGGAUGUGGCAAAAUGUAUCCUGAUGACGUACCUCAUAUGAACGCCCAGGGGCGAGAUGAACAGCAGGCCCGCCCCAGCUCCCGUCUUCAUGAGAGACCCGUCGAAAUACAUCGUCCACAACUCUGCCUGAACUUGAGCCGGGGGGAGCUGGGAGUCAGUCCAUUCCGUGAUGAAAUCCACUAGGGCUUGUGAUUUGAUAGCUUUUCGAGGUGCGUAAGUGAGGGUCUCGCUCAUGAGCUCGACUGACCACUUUGCGAUUCUUCCCGUUGCCUCCCGACUCUGGAUGAUCUCUCCCAAGGGGAAAGAUGAGACCACCGUGACAGGGUGCCCGAGGAAGUAAUGCUGCAACUUGCGUCGGGCGAGGAUUACGGCGUAGAUUAGCUUCUGGAUCUGUGGGUAGCGCGCCUUGGUCUCCGAGAGCACCUCGCUGACGAAAUAGACUGGCCUCUGGACUGGCAAUGCAUGCCCCUCCUCCUGCCUUUCGACCACUACUGCUGCACUGACGACCUGGAUCGUCGAUGCAAUGUACAGAAGCAGAGGUUCUGCGGGUUGAGGCGGGACUAGCACUGGUGCAGAGGUCAGCGUUUUCUUCAAGUUAUCGAAUGCUUCCUCGGCCUCUAGGGUCCAAGAAAAACGCUCGACUUUCUUCAGAAGUCGAUAUAGUGGCAACGCCUUUUCUCCCAACCUCGAGAUAAAACGACUCAGCGCCGCUAAGCAUCCUGUGACUCUCUACAUGCCCUUGACGUCUCGGAUUGGCCCCAUUCUUGUGAUGGCCGAGACUUUCUCGGGGUUGGCCUCGAUGCCGCGCUGGGAAACGAUGUAACCCAGGAGCAUGCCUCGAGGUACGCCGAAAACGCACUUCUCGGGGUUGAGCUUGAUCUGGUUGGCGCGUAAGCAGCUAAAAGCGAUCUCGAGGUCCUGGAUCAGGUCUCCCUGUCGCUUUGACUUGACGAUGAUGUCGUCGACAUAGGCCUCGACCGUCGACCCUAUGUGCUUGCCAAACACGUGGAGCAUGCAGCGCUAAUAUGUGGCUCCCGCGUUUCGAAGCCCGAACGGCGUGGUUACAUAGCAAUACAUCCCAAAAGGUGUGAUGAAAGAUGUCGCGAGCUGAUCGGACUCUUUCAUUUUUAUUUGAUGGUAACCAGAAUAUGCAUCAAGGAACGAAAGGGUUUCACAUCCUGCAGUAGAAUCAACAAUUUGAUCAAUACAUGGUAAUGGAAAAGGUACUUUUGGACAUGCUUUAUUUAAACUCGUAUAAUCGACACACAUCCUCAUUUUCCCAUUCUUUUUCUUAACUAGUACAGGGUUUGCUAACCAGUCGGGAUGGUGAACCUACAUGAUGAAUCCGGCCAUCAAAAGCUUAUGGAUCUCCUCGCCAAUAAUCUUGCGCUUCUCCUCGUCGAAUUGGCGCAACCUUUGCUUCACUGGCUUGGAACCGGCUCGAAUAUCCAAGGAGUGCUCGGCGACUUCCCUCGGUAUGCUAGGCAUAUCCGAGGGACUCCAUGCAAACAUGUCGGCGUUGGCACGGAGAAAGUCGACGAGCACAGCCUCCUAUUUGGGGUCGAGGUCGGCGCUGAUCGUCAGCACCUUGCCGUCAGAGUUGUUGGGGUCGAGCGGGAUCUUCUUGGUUCCUUCCGCCGGCUCGAAGCUGCCCGCGUGGCGCUUGGGCUCUGGAGCCUCAGCGGCCAGGGCCUCGAGCUUCGAGGCAAGCUCGGUGGAACUCUCGACCGCCUCCCCAUACUUGACGCACUCGACGUCGCACUCGUAUGCAUGCUCAAAGGAGGAGCUGACGGUGAUGACGCCCUUGGGCCCGUGCAUCUUUAGCUUCAAGUAGGUGUAGUUGGGGAUAGCCAUGAAUUUGGUGUAGCCCGGGCGCCCGAUGAUGGCGUGGUACGUGCCCCGGAUUCCCACCACCUCAAUGGUGAGGGUUUCCUUUCUGAAAUUGGUCGCUGUGCCAAAGCAGACCGGUAGAUCGAUUCGACCUACCGGCAACGCCUUCUACCCAGGAACGACGCCAUGGAAGCCUCCGGCGCUUGGUUGGAGCUGCGACCUGUUGAUGCCGAGGAAGUCGAGGGUCUCGAGGUAAAUGAUGUCCAGGCUGCUGCCACCAUCCAUCAGCACCUUGGAGAGUCUGGUGUUGACGAUGAUGGGGUCGACAACAAGCGGGUAGAUGCCGGGGGCGACCACCUUGUCGGGUGGCCCUCUCGGUCGAAGGUGAUGGGGUUGCUCGACCAGCUGAGGUACUGGGGCACCGCCAUUCUUGCCGCAAAGACCUCACGGCGCUCCCUCUUGUGUUGCCUUGCGGUCAGCUAUGUCGAGGGCCCACCGUAGAUCAUGUAGCAGUUGUGGACGGCUGGGAAACCGUCGUCGUCUUUGUCGUUCCCCUUGUCAUCGUUCUUAUCCUUCUUUGGGUCGUCGCGCGCGUCCUUCUUGAACCCCAGACCGUCAAAAUGCUUUUUCAGCAUACGACAGUCCUCGAGCUUAUGGUUGGCUCCUCCCUUAUGGUAAGGGCACGGCUCCUUCAGCAUCUUAUCGAAGAUGCCCACCUCUGGAGGACCUCGAGGCCUUUUGCGUUCCAUGGCAGCGACGAGAUCGUCGUCGAGGUCUUUCCGCUGGAACGGGCGGGUUUUCUUCUUCUUCUUGUUCUUCUUGAGCCCUCGACUAGGGCCCUCAUCAUCAUCGGCGGGCGGCUUGCCCUUCCUUCCUUCACAGCUGAAGAAAGCGCCGACCGCUUCUUCUCCCGCAGCGUAGUUAGCCACUACGUCCAUCAGCUCGUCGACGGUCUGAGGGCGAUUCCGGCCCAAUUCCCGCACCAAGUCUCGACUGGUGGUACCAGAGACAGGCUAGGAUGACGUCAUUGUCGGGGAUGUGCGGCAGCUUGCUUUGAGAAGUGUCGAGCGUUCUCUCGAAGAGUUUCCCCUGACCUCUGCUUGCAUUUGCUAAAGUCCCAUGAGUUGCCCGGUCUAAUGUAGGUUCCCUUGAAGUUGCCCUCGAACACCCUGACCAAAUCCACCCAGUCGUGGAUCUGAUCGGCUGGAAGCUCCUCGAGCCACCUGUGGGCGGUGUCGGAGAGGAAGAGCGGCAGCUAUCUGAUGAUGGCUCCAUCAUCUCCUCGUGCGCCUCCUAGCUGACAAGCCAGCCUGAAGUCUGCCAACCACAGCUCUAGUUUGGUUUUGCUGUUGUAUUUUGCGAUGCUGGUCGGGGGUCAGAACGGACUGGGCAGCGGCGUGCUGCGGAUUGCCCUGCUGAACACCCGUGGGCCUAGUGGCUCUGGGGCCAUCCGGUCCUCGUCGCUGUCGUACCUCCCGCCGCGAUGGGCGCUAUAACCAUGCUCUUCCGCGUCCCCGUACCGACGUCGACGGUUCUCUUCAAUGUCGCGUCGCGCAUCGUGUCGACGUUGGUUGUCAGCGGGGAGGACGAGCGUGGUCUUUUUCCCUCGAGGGGGCGACUGCUAAUGGACCGACACCUCCUUUUCGUUUUGGCCUGGCUCAUUGCGCCUUUCGGUGGCCGCUCCUCGACGUCGAGAAGCCGAACUUUCGGCCUGCUGAACUGCCGCCACCUGGGGCAGAGUCUGCACCUCGUCCCGGAUGCGCCGCGCUUGGGAGUUCGAUGGCUCUGGCAUGUUUUGCAGCAAUAUUGUUGCUGCCACAACGUUCUGGCCUGCUCGAGGGAAACGACUGACGGGCUGCUGGCAUUGCUAAAUCUCAACGUUCUUCAGCCAUGAAUAUUUGAUUGUAUCCUGCAUUGCCAUCCAUAAAGCUGAUGAUCCGAUGCCCAGCCGCAGCAUCAACUAGUAUAUCGGCAACUGGCAUUGGCUAGCCAUCCAUCGGCGUAGCUUUAUUGAGAUUCCUGAAAUCAAUGCAAACUUGAAGCUUCCCAUUUUUCUUGUAGACUGGAACAACAUUGGAAAUCUAUUCGGCAUACCGACAUUGCCGAAUAAAUUUAGCUUCAAUGAGUUUGGUUAUUUCGGCCGUAAUAUCAGGAAGAAUAUUAGGAUUACAUCGGUGAGCUGGCUGUUGAUGUGGCCAAAAUCUAGACUUGAUAGGCAACCGAUGUUCAACAAUUGAUCGGUCUAAACCAGGCAUCUCAGUAUAAUCCCAAGCAAAGCAAUCUUUAUAUUCUUUUAACAAAUCGGUUAACUGCUGCUUACACUCAGAAUCUAACUUAGUACUAAUAAAAGUAGGUCUAGGCUUAUCACCACUACCUAUAUCUACUUCUACCAAAUCAUCGGCCGAUGUGAAUGUAACACCCUAAAAAUUUAUUUUCAAGAUAGUAUUCAGUUGGCAUAAUUAUAUGAAUUAUCUGAGAAUUGUUUAGGCAAAAUAACAAUUUUUGGAAUAAUUUAAAAUAAACCAUAAGGUCUAGAAACAUGAAAUGUUGCAUUCAUGCUGGUGCAUAAUAUUUUGAUUGAUUCUAAGACUAGGCGGUUUGGUUUAAAAAUCAAAUUGAAAGGAAUUUAUACAAAUUUAUAGCUCUGAAAAAUAUAAAAGAGUUUUCUCUUAUUUUUAUUUCCCUUCAGCAAAUCUGGCCCAGCCCCAAACCCUGGCCGGCCUAAACCCCGCGCCCACCCCUGGCUUUGGGCCGUGGCGGCCCAGCGUCCCGCCCCUCGCCCGCGAUGCGCGCGUGCGGCCCAGUGGCGCGGCCCGCUCCAUGCGGUCAGCCCGCGCGCCCUCCCCCUCUUCCCCCUCUCACUGCGCAGUGGGGCCCGCGUGUCGGCGCUCACCCUUCCCUUUCUCUCUCGCUGCACCGUGGGGUCCGCUUGUCAGCGCCUUCCCCCCCUUCUUCCUCGUUGAGCCGGGAGCGCGCGGCGGCAUUGAACGCCAUCAAUCCCCCCUUCAAGCUCCGAUUGAUGAAGGCCAUCAAUCGGCCAUCAAGCCGCCUUGAUGCCGGGCUUAAUCGCCCGAGCGUUCGCCCCAUCAGUGCCCCUUCACGCCCUAUAAAAGCUCGCGGCCGAGUCCCCUUCUCCCCCUUCCGUUCGUGAACCGAGCUCGAUUUUCCCCCAAAUUCUCCGUCCCGAGAGCACGGUGGACGCUGCGAGCUUGCGCAGCACGUUCGUCUGACGAUACCGCGGCCAUAGGUACACUUUCCCCCUGCCCUUCUUCACGUUUUGGCCGAAACCGAGCUCACCGUCGCCAUUUUUCUUCUCCAGUCCGCCUCGCUCGUGGCCACACUGCUGGGAGCACCUUCGGACGCCGCGAACGUCUUCAACGGAACCGCGGUACUCCUACGUUGCUCCCCGUGUUUUCAAACGUGAGUUAGAGCGCUAUACCGCUGAACCCGAGGCUCUCUGAGGCCGUGGAAAUGGCGCCGCCACGGGGCCGUCGUUCCGACGAGCUUCCCGUCCUUAUUUGUGCUCUAUCAAGUUCGCCUCGUCGCGCUGGUCGUUGUGGUAGUUUUGCUUUUGCUUGGCGCGGCCGGGAACGAGAUUUCGGCGAGCUCCGAGGAGCUCACCUCGUCGGCGGCAAUGGCGCCGCCGUGCUCGGCCUCGGCCAGGCGAGCGCCCUGCCUCCCUUCUUUCUGAACCGCCCGAUCAGAUCCCAACGGCCCAGAUUACAUACCCCUUCGGGGUUAUGUAACCGGUGCACCGUGGACCAUGGUCGCGGUCCACGAGCGCACGGCCGGCCGGUCCACGCGCACAGUGGUGGACCGAGCCAACCACCGCACGCCACAUGGCCCCCUGUCGGCCAGCGACGCGGUCAGCCGCGGGCCGCUGGAGAUUUUGCACUUUAACCCCCCUGUUUCAAGCAAAUCAACCCGCGGUCCAACCCAGUUCAAAAGUAUUUCUUUUUAAUCCCAUUUUCUUUUGUUCUGAACCCUGUACUUUUAUAUAAUUGUGCACGCGGUCCAGACCCGUUAGAAAUUCAAUUUUAAUUCUUAUAAAUUCGUUUUUGAUUCAGUUUAUUCAUAGAAAUGCCAUUCAUUUUGUUUUAUGCAUAACUUUCAUGUUUUAAAUCCGAUUAGAGUGAUUCUUUCACUCAUGUGUUCGUAGAAAUACGUAGAGUAGAUUUAUAUACUUUUCAGUCACUGUUUUCACUGUUUGGUAUACUGUUCUAAUAGAACUCUAUUUGUAUGCAUGUGAUGAUUGGACUGGAUGCUUGAUUGGUGUUUGGAUAGCGAAUAGAAGGUGAUUAGGUUGGGGUGGUUGAGGAGCAGUUUGUGGAGCUUUACUAGGAGGAAACUUUUGAGGAAGGCAAGUGUAAUAUAGGCUUCCUUGUACCUAUGAAUAUUAUUUAAAUCAUACAUAUACAUGUGUCUAAAUUGAAUUACCUAUAAGGACCCUACCUAGAUAAUUUUUGUACCACAAAUCCUUGUUACCCAUGGGAAGGUGUGCAUUUAUUUAGGUUGUUACUUGCUACGCUCAAAACCCAAGUUAAUAAAUUAAUCUGACUAAUUGGUAUAUGCAAUGUGAUAAAAUAUGUUCUAGUAACUUGGUUCAGGGGGCUAGAGCUUGGGUUUGAAAGCUCUAGGUUCCUCUCCAUAAGGACUUAAUCCUGAAGCGGCCACCCAGGAGGACACGUACAAUCCCGAGAGUCAAAUGGCUCUGACCUUAAUCAUAUAACUAGUAUGUCUCUAGCAAUUUAGUAGUUACCGAAAGGCGCUAGAGGGGGGUGCCUCGUGGUGUAUAGACGUCACUCCUACCUUGGUGUGUACAGUGCCGCGACCACGUGUGCCUCUUGAAGGAGGUCGUCUAUGCACACUUGCCACUGAAACCUCGCGGCUACUAAUUUGUUAGGGUGACUAGUGAAAGGCUAAGUAGUGGAACCCGGUCACACUUCCUCGGUAGAAGUGGUGCGGGCCUUGCAAACCCCGACACUAGAGAACCACGGCUCGGGGGUAAAGUUGUACAAUUUCUGCAGAAAUCUAAAACCUGUUAUAGCAGCCGAGCUCUCGGUCAUGAGCGGCCUGGAUCCUUCUUGGUUAGCGGUUACUUGGUUAUACUUGGGAAAUGUAAUAACUUUGAUUAAUUCUUAUGUAACCAGGGAUGGUCUCUCAUUAAAAGUAGUAAGUCUUGGUUAAUAAAAUAUGACCAACUAAAAUGCUAACCGCUGUUAAACCGAGUCAAGCCUUUGAGCCUUCAUAUACCCGUAUGUUAUACUUGCUAAGCAUGGUGCGCUUACACUUGUUUAUAUUUCAAUGAAAAUCCCAGAUGGGUAACAGAUGUGUGUACUGAGGAGUUCCCUGAAGAUGUCCAGGACUUCUAAAGAGCUGGUGUUCACCAGUUGGUGUCCCUGUGGCAACAAGGGCUUAGCUUCCCGCUUUAUGUAAUAAUGUUGCCAAUGAGCAAGACUUUGUGAGAUGUUUAAGUUGAAUAUGCGAUGUAAUAAAGUACUUUACUUUGAUAUAUUUACAAUUUGUGAUAAUAUGUGUGUUUGGACAUCCUGGGCGCACAUAUUUGAGUACUUGGUUUUGUUAUCAAAACUGGGUGCGACAAAUUGGUAUCAAAGCUUAGCCUGACUGUAGGACGAUCAGCCUAGUUAGAAAUGGACUUUUUAGGGUCUUGAGCACUUAUUUUACUAAUUAUUUUCUUAUAAAAUUAUUGCUUAUAACCUGCCUAAUAUCUAUUGAGAAAAUUAUUUUGUUCUAAUCCUCAUAUAAUUUCUUAUAGAUGGCCCGUACCAAGUGGACAGCUCGCAAACGUGUCAUCAUGCCCAACAAGAGGACAAGGUUCACUCUAGGCAAGCGUGUUCCCCCGCAUCUGGUUGAAGCAUUGAGAGACAUGGAGGAAGUCAUGAUAGAAGAACCUGUUGAGGAUGAGGAAACCGAAGAGGAACCCAUGGAACAAGAUGAACAAGAAGGGGCAGGUAAUCCAGAUGAUGGAGAAAGUUCUGACAGCUCCGACUCGAGCAACCAUGGCAGUGGUGGUGAUGAUGGUGAUGGUGAUGGAGAUAGCCAAGAUCACCAUGCCGCACUCUUGGCAGCCACCUUCAUCGGCAACUUCCCUGUAGACUAAUUACCGUUGCUUCAUCUGCCGAUCUAUACUUUAUUAACACCAUGUACGCGUCAAAAGAUACGUGUCCAAAAACGGUGUCAACACAUGCCCCCCAAUUUUGAAGUAUAAAAUCAUUAAUGCUCCGAAAUUCUCUGCAGUAAUGAUGCCUUUCCGCAAUUAAUUCUCCCAAUUUGGUAAUCGGUCAUUAAAUCCGAACAACCUUGGCCCGAUUCUCCUGCAGAUUCCUCGAAUUCCUCAACCUCCCGAACCGAACCUUUCCUCUUUAUGCGCCCAUCGGCAAUAUUACUGUUAGAGGGAAUUGCCGAUGGACAGACCAGGAGAUCUUGUACAGUGAAAUAUCUUCAAAAUCAUGACCUCUUGCUGUCAAAUCACUAACGCAAUCCCUUGAUUACCGUGCGAACAGUUUCCAUAUCCACCUGAACACCCUCAGAUUUUACGGAUGCGGCAAAGAGAUAAGUCAGAUUUGCCCCUGCCCGAUUUGUCCUAUAAAUACUUCCUUCUCCGGUGCUCCUUCUCCAUCUUAUCAUUCUACAGCCUAAAAUCUACUUUCCUGGCGGCGGCACCACCCGAGGAUUCCAAGAACUUCAACAAGGCCUUCUUCACCAAUUCCCCAUGUCUUCAAUCUUCUUCCUUGCGAGGAAAUGGCCAUCAACUUCAUCGUUCCUAAGGUCAGUUUACCAUCUUUCCUUUUCCACAUUCUUGCCGUACUCCUAUUCAUCCGCAAUUCCUUUUACUGAACACUCCUUUUUCUUUUUCUUCUUUCUUUUAUUUUCAAAAACUUUUAGGAUUUGGCCGAUAAGAUCGUAAUUCCUACCAAUCAACCUCACCUCCAAUGUCUUGGCCCGCUAGGAAAUUUAGAUCCCACCGAUCUAAUAAACACAGAAACAAAUAGAAUUCCCUUUAAAGCUGAAAACUUCUCCCUAGAUCUAUGGAAAGAUGCCUUCCGUUCCUGGCCCAGUCCUACCAAGGGAUGGAAGGAUUGGUUCCUGAGAGUCAGCCAUUCAAAUGAGGUUCGAUGGGGCGAGCGGAAGUUAGACCAGUGCAUUAGAUUGUCUCUUGCCGAUAUGGAGAGGAAUGAGUCACUGCUAAUUGCUGCUUCAUACUUUUGGUCAGACACGCUCAAUGCUUUUGUGUUUGGCCAUGGCCCUGGUUCUCCUACACUUGCCGAUGUACUCAUGCUCAUCGGCUUAGACAUAUCCACUGCCGAUAACAGCCAUCUAUUUGACACCAAACCCAGUUCUAAGGUAGAAACUCGCGCUAUCGGCGGUUGGUCUGGGUACAUUCAGAAGUACCGAAAAACAGGACCUGUCAGUGCAAAGGAACAGACCACUUUCCUGAAUAUGUGGCUAGAUAAGUUUGUAUUCUGUGGCCGAUCGACAGGACCAACCUCUGUUUACUUAUCAGCAGCAGAAAGAUUAGCCAAUGGUGGCCAAUUUCCCCUUGGCCGAUACCUGCUCGGCUCUGCUUAUCACCUCCUCCACCAGGUAGCCAAGAAACUUCUACUAGGUCAAACAUCGGCAACUUAGGGGGUCCUUGGUGGUUUAUCAACAUAUGGCUUAAUCUCCACAUGCACAAGCUCCUUGAAUUCGACCUCUUUGCACAACGCUUCCCCAGGGACAUAGCCAAGGAUUAUGAAUUAGAUGAAGAAGAGUAGGCAACUUGUUCCCCCUUAAACUUUGGCAAAGCUGCCAUAGUCUUACCUGGCACUAGUGGUAAUGAAGACCAGGUUAGCCGAUUAUUUCAGACUCUCUAUGAAGGUCUGACCAGAGAACAGCGGGCAUGGAUGCCUUAUGAAGAUCCAGACACCAGAUUUUCCCUGACUUUCCAUCCCUUCAAUGAUGCCCUCAACAAGGAUCGUGAUGUGAUGAUGGCAAUUAUCACCCCAAGGGCCAUACCAGUGAACUUCUUGGGUAGUGGGAAAGCCUCCAAUCUGACCUAUGAGUUUUACAACCCAUCAGCACUAGCUCGCCAACUGGCUUUCGGUCAACUGCCGAUUGCACUUUGCUACGCCGAUGUGGUAAAGCCGAGGGAGACCAUCACCAGCAAUCUUGAGUGGAUCAGAAUAGCUCAACUUCCGCCAAACGCCGAUACAGAUGUCGAUCUAUCGGCUUGGAUCCCAGCUCUCUUCAUUACUCAGGCAUACAAACAGUGGUGGGAGGAGUGGAAAGAGCAUUUGUUCUGCAGAUCGGCCCUCACAUACCGUGGCAUGAUCGACCCCAAAUACAAAGUCCCCGAUAAUACUGUAAGCAUUUUAACCGAUGUUUCAAUCCUUUCACUUUCAUUUUUUAUCGGCAACUUACUUUCUUUGUUUUAUACAGGUCGAUGAUACACCACCAUCAGUUAACAGAAGUGGCAGGCCGAUUGAACUCCUUCCAUCGAGCCCGAUCUCUUUGAUCGGCAACAAUGCUCCGAGCUUGGCGGCUUUAAUGCACCGGGGUGUGCGUUUCAAGAAAAUCACCACCAGGCGAGCUAAAACAUCCCCGUCAGUAGCUGCCACUACUUUGGCACAAGCUUUCAAGGUAAAUUCUUGAACUCUUCAACUUGUACCGAUUCCAUUCUUACAUUUACACAAUUUUUCAGGACACAUCGGCUAGAUGGGAACUUCAUCGGUAACUUUUACUAUUUCAACCAGAACCUCAUCAAUACUCUGUUACACUUGUACUUAUAAAACUUUCAUUGUUAUAUCAGCAAACUAGCAAAUCGGCAAAGACCAGAAGUACCAAAACGACUGCUGAUGCCUCCCAGUCCAGCCAAGCAAAGAGAAAGGGUCCCAAGAGUACCAAGUCACAAGUGAAGCAUCAGAGAACAGCAACGCCUCCUCCUCCUCCUCCAAGGUCACUGAUCCCUAUAGAAUCGUCCCCCUCUUCUCCAGAAGCUCAGACACAUCAAAUACCGUAUCCCCCUCAACCACAAGAAGAACCUCAGCCAGAGGGAACAUCGACCGAUGUACACGAGCAAACUGUUUACCCAGUGAGCUCAAUCAUAGCAUCGUUAGUUUCCUCCAUUCAGACAAGUACUGCACCCCCUCAAGGUAACGUACUUUCUAUGAAAUUAUUGCCGAUGAACCUACCUUUCCAUCUUAUAAUUACCCUUGUUAAUUUUCAGCUGACAUUGUUCCAUUGGCAACUCCAGCCGAUCAACCCAUAGUACCAUCGGCCUCAGCUAGCCACAGGCGAGAAAUUGCCCUGAAACAGGUAAGUUACCCGAUCUCUAUUUCUAUCAUCACCAGCACUUGAUCAUCAAAUAACUUAUUUCAUCUUGUUUUUCAGGAACAGGACUCUCCCGACAGCUUGUUCUCCUUUGCCAUCGAAAUUUCUGAGGAUGAAGGCGAGGAAGCAAGCUCUUCUCAAGCAGUUGGAAUUUCAUCGGCAGAGAUUAGAUCAAAGCUAGAAGAUCUGUCGGCCCUCCUUCAUCAAGACACAACCCAACUAGUUGACGACUCCGAUCCAGCCAAGGCUCUAUUCAAGGUUCUCAAAGGCCAAAUUCCUGCUGAUGCUGAGGAGAUUCUCUGCAAGGCUGCUCAUUUGGACAGUCGACAGCUCCAGUACCAAAAGGCCACUCAGCGCCUUGCCGAUAGAGCUGCUCACGCCUAGCUUUGAGAGGAGGUACUGAAAGUAAAGCACCUUGCCGGUGAAAAACAUAAGAGCAUCAGCAUUCUGAAAUCCUCAGGAGAUACGCUGAAGCAAAAGAUCCCCUAUCCAUCAGCAAAGAGGGAAGCCCUACUGGUAGAACUUGAACAAGUAGAAGAGGCCCUGUCCCAAGCUAAACAGGAAGAAGGUCAGCUGCCUAAGAUGAUCAAGACCCUUGAACAAGAGCGAAAUGUCCAGGCUCGCAAGGCACUGCAGAUGAAGAAGAAACUGAGACCGGUGGAAGGCUCUACCGAUGAAGAUAUCAAAGAGAUAGAAGAAGCCAAUCAAAUUCGCCUGCGCGCUAUAUCGGCCAUCCAAGCCUUGCUGAAUGCAUGAACUCUUUAUCGAUGACAUGCUUUGCUCUAGAAACUCCUGAACAUUUUGGUCUAGCCGAUAGGACUGUUAUCGGCACCCUUUUAAAACAUUGAGUCCAGCCCCAGAUACACUUUGAUCCAGCCGAUAGGAAUGUUAUCGGCACUUAAACUUUCAUGCAUCAAUCCAUAUGCUAGGAUAAUAUUUCUUUAAAUAUUUGCCAUUCAAUGCUCUGGGAAAUUCAACUCCUUAAGAGUUUCUAAAAUAUAGGCAUUGCCAGGAGCAGAUCGAUUUACCCGAUAGGGACCUUCCCAAUUAGGAGACCACUUCCCAAAUUUUGAACUUUUAGUCCCGAUCGGUAGGAUUAGUUUCCAUACUAAGUCUCCAUCGACAAAUUCCUUAGCCUUUACCUUCUUAUCAUACCAUCUGGCAACUCUCUUUUUAUUUUCUUCUAUACUUAUCAAAGCCUUUAGCCGAUGCCCUGCUGAAUCAUCUAACUCGUCUUUCAUCAAAGUAGCAUAAUCAUCGGCAGCCAACUGGUCUUGAAAAGAUAGUCGCCUUGAACCGGUUUUAAUUUCCCAUGGCAGUACGGCAUCGUGUCCAUACACCAACUGAUAGGGUGAAACUUUAGUUGACCCAUGACAUACCAUCCGGUAUGACCAUAAAGCUUCAUUCAACAAUGUAUGCCACCUCCUAGGAUUUUCCUCAAUCUUUCGUUUGAUAAGUUUAAUAAUUCCUUUGUUAGACGUCUCGGCCUGUCCAUUAGCUUGAGCAUAAUAAGGAGAAGAAUUCAACACUUUAAUCCCCAUACUGAUUGCAAAUUCAUCAAACUCGCCCGAUGUAAACAUAGUACCCUGAUCGGUAGUAAUUGUUUGAGGAAUACCAAAUCGGUAAAUAAUAUGCUCUUUCACAAAAUCAAUCAUAUUUGUUGAUGUAACUUUUUUCAAAGGAAUAGCUUCAACCCACUUGGUGAAAUAAUCAGUGGCAACUAAGAUGAAUUUAUGUCCUUUGUUCGACGGUGGGUAAAUCUGGCCGAUUAGAUCAAUAGCCCAUCCCUGGAACGGCUAAGGUUUAAUAAUGGGAUUCAAGGCCGAUGCGGGUGCCCUUUGAAUAUUACCAAAUUUCUGACAUCCUUGACAUCCCUUGAAAUAUUUAAAACAAUCUUCAAGUAUGGUUGGCCAAUAAUACCCAUUCCUCCUAUCAUCCAUUUCAUCUUAAAAGCCGACUGAUGCGCUCCACACAACCCUUCAUGGAUUUCACCCAUCAAACUUUUAGCUUCAUCAUCACCUAAGCAUCUAAGAAGAAUCCCAUCUAUUGUUCAGUAGUAAAGCUCAUCUUCGAGAAGUACAUACUUGGUAGCUUGAAACCGGACACGCCUCUCAACCUUCUUGGAUGGAUUCUUCAAAUAAUCAAUAAUCUCUUUUCUCCAAUCAUCAACACUGAUCACUGAUAUUGUAUUCAAUAUAGGCUGAUAUCCCGAGCCAUGCUGAGCCAACCGAUUAGCCUCCUCAUUAUGCAAUCGAGGAACAUGCUCUAAUCGGAAAUCUUUGAAUUCCCUUAAUAGUUGCAUACUCUUUUCGUAAUAAGUUAUCAGAACUUCACUUCGGCAUUCAUAACUUCCAGCUAAUUGAUUUAUAACCAACAUAGAAUCUCUGAAGAUCUCAACAGCAUCAGCAUGAACCUCUUUUAGUAACUCCAACCCUUUGAUCAAAGCUUGAUAUUCGGCUUGAUUAUUUGUUGACGUAGCAACAAUCGGCAAAGAGAAUUCAUAUUUUCUUCCCUGAGGGGAAAUUAACACUAUGCCAAUUCCUGCCCCCGGUCACACGUGGAUCCAUCAAAGAAGAGCGUCCAAGGCAAAAUUUCCAAAGUCUCCACUGCACCGCUAUGUCGAGUCAUAAAAUCGGCCAUAAUCUGUCCUUUAAUCGCUUUAGUCGAUUCAUAACGCAGACCGAAUUCCGACAGUGCCAAAAUCUACUUACCGAUCCUGCCACUCACAAUUGGCAUAGAUAGCAUAUAUCGGACCACAUCAUCUUUGCAUAUAACAGUGCAUUCGGCCGAUAACAAAUAGUGCCUCAACUUAAUGCAUGAGAAAUAUAGGCAUAAACAUAAUUUUUCAAUAGCCGAAUACCUGGUCUCAGCAUCAAUCAAUCUUCUGCUUAAAUAGUAAAUCACACGCUCCUUCCCUUCAAAUUCUGGAAUCAAAGCCGAACCAAUGACAAUUCCAUCGGUAGACAAAUAUAAUCUGAAGGGCUUUCCUUGCUGAGGUGGAAUCAAUACUAGAGGAUUUGUCAAAUAAUUCUUCAUUUCAUCCAGAGCCAACUGUUGCUCUUCCCCCAUAUAAAUUCUUGAUCGGCUUUUAAUUUAAGUAAAGGACUGAAAGCACGAAUUUUUCCAGAUAAGUUGGAAAUAAAUCACCUGAUAAAAUUUAUUUUGCCGAUUAGAGAUUGGAGUUCAGUCUUGUUAGUCGGAGCAACUAUCUUGUUAAUAGCAUCAAUAGAUCUUCUGCUAAUUUCAAUUCCUCUUUGAUGUACCAUGAAACCAAGAAAUUGCCCUGCCGAUACACCAAAUGCACACUUAUUAGGAUUCAUUUUUAAACCUUGCUUCCUUGUGCACUCCAACACCUUUCGCAAAUCGGCAAGAUGCUUUGUGAAAUCCCCAGACUUAACUACCACAUCAUCAAUAUAAAUUUCCACGAGCUUGCCGAUGAACUCAUGAAAGAUAAAAUUCAUAGCUCUUUGAUUGGUAGCACCAGCAUUUUUCAAGCCAAAGGUCAUGACUAUCCACUCAAACAAUCCAACAUGACCAGGACAUCUAAAUGCAGUCUUUGGAAUGUCUUCCUCAGCCAUGAAUAUCUGAUUAUAUCCUGCAUUGCCAUCCAUGAAGCUAAUAACUCGAUGUCCAGCUGCAGCAUCAACUAGCAAAUCGGCAACUGGCAUUGGGUAGCCAUCCAUCGGUGUAGCCUUGUUAAGAUUUCUAAAAUCGAUGCAAACUCGAAGCUUCCCAUUUUUCUUGUAAACUGGAACAACAUUGGAAAUCCACUCGGCAUACCGACACUGCUGAAUAAAUUUAGCUUCGAUAAGUUUGGUUAUUUCGGCCUUAAUAUCAGGAAGAAUAUUAGGAUUACAUCGGCGAGCUAGCUGCUGAUGUGGUCGAAACCCAGACUUGAUAGGCAACUGAUGUUCAACAAUAGAUUGGUCUAAACCAGGCAUCUCGGUAUAAUCCCAAGCAAAGCAAUCUUUGUAUUCCUUUAACAAAUCAGUUAACUGUUGCUUACACUUAGAAUUUAACUUAGCACUAAUAAAAGUCAGUCUAGGCUUAUCACCAUUAUCUAUAUCUACCUCUACUAAAUCAUCAGCCGAUGUAAACCCCUGGCCUAAUUUUCCAUCAUCGGCAAACUUAUCCAUUAAAACUCUUCAUCAGAACCGACUGCUUGGAUCGGUGGAAUUUCAUAAACGGCAACUUUGAGGAAAUCUUUCUCCCAAAUCUCCCCUGAGAUACACCUGGUCCUUUCAUAAGUGUCUGUUUCUGCCGAUGCAAUGACAUAAGAAGAAUCUCCCGGGACAAUCUCAAUCUUGUCACCUACCCACUGAACCAAGCAUUGGUGCAUUGUAGACGGGAUGCAACAAUUGGCAUGAAUCCAAUCUCUCCCUAGCAGCAGAUUAUAAGCACCCUUUCCACUGAUCACGAAGAAAGUUGUCGGUAAGGUUUUGCUGCCGAUCGUCAACUCGACGCAUAUUGCCCCCUUAACCGGAGGCACAUUUCCUUCAAAGUCUUUUAGCAUCAUAUCGGUCUUGGUCAAAUCUUGAUCUCCUUUCCCAAGCUUCUGAUAGACUGUGUAUGGCAUGAUAUUGAUGGCGGCCCCACCGUCAACAAGUAUCUUGGUCAUUGGCUGCCCAUCAACCCUUCCUUUGAUGAAUAAGGCUUUAAGAUGCUGCCUUUCAUUGUCGGCAGGCUUUUCAAAGAUAGCCGUCAUUGGAUCCAGAGCCAACUGAGCUAUCUAGUCGGAAAAAUCUAGUUCCUCAUCAUCACUGGAUGGAGCAAGAAACUCCAUCAGCAACAUAAAUACCAUGUUAACAUCUGUCGAUGGCCCUUUUCCCUUGGGAUCCGGCUACCGCUGAUCUCCAGAUUCGCCAAGAUUCUCUCCUUUGCUCAAGUCUUCUCGUCUUUCGCACUGCAACCUUCUUUUCUGUGUCCUAGUCAAUCCUUCUGGACACCAUGGAGGAAGUUGUGGCUGCCUUACUGAUGGGCGACGAUUUUCCCUUGACUCCAUUCGAUAGGUAUUGGCAUCCCUGCAAAAUAUGAACUCAUCGGGAACCCAAGCAUUUGCCAUCUCUUCAAGCUCCUCUUGGUUCCUGGGAAAGUAUCCAACACGGUCACCGAGUCUAUCAUGCACACUGAGCCUGCCCCCCAGCCGAUCAUGAACUGAACUUCUCCCCCUAAUCGGCCCAUUAAAAUGUCGAUCAUCAUUCUGAUACUGUCGAUUAGGUCUGUCAUACCGAUCAUAACUAUUGCACUCAGGAUAGUCCCUAACAGUGGGCAAUUUGAUGUUCUGUUCCCAGCAAUGGAUAAAGAACGGGCAGUUCCAGUGAUCUUUGUGCCGAUUCCACUCCUGUCGGCGUUGAUCCUCUUCUCGACGGUGAUCCCCCUGUUGGCGCCGAUACCGAUCUUCACGUUGCUGCCAAGUCUCUCGAUGUCUUCUAUGAGUUAUCACAAUGCCAGAUCGGGAAGGCCUUCCUGAGCUAGUUCCUUCCUGGAUCAAACCCUUUCCUUUAGCAUCGGUAGCAGUAAUCUGAUGCUGAGGAUCCACCGAUGCACUUCUUUCAGCUGCUUCUGACGUCAAGACCUUGGUCUUUCCCUUAGCAUCCAACAUAUUUGUUGGGAAAGGAUGUUGAUCGAUCUUCAUCGGCUUCUGAGCUUUGGGAUUAUCAAACUUGAUUCUCCCAGAUUCUAUAGCCAAUUGCAGUUGUUGCCUAAAAACCUUGCACUCAUUGGUGCUGUGAGAUGUUGCAUUGUGCCACUUGCAGUACUUCAUCUUCUUUAAUUCUUCAGCCGAUGGAAUCACAUGAUUGGGUGAUAACUUAAUCUGACCUUCCUGAAGUAGAAAGUCAAAUAUUCUAUCGGCUUUGGUGAUGUCAAAUGCAAACUUUUCUAGCUCUUUAUGCCCAAAAGGGCAAGACAUCGGCUUCUUAUUUUUUACCCACUCUGCUAAGCCGAGGACUGGUUCCUCAUCAGAAUCUGAGCUUGCUGCCUCAUCGACAAAUGACACCUUUUUAUUCCACGCUCUCUUAGGUUCAAAAGGCUUAAUAUCUUGGUCAGAAAUCCUCUGCACCAAAUGACAGACUCUCGAACUCUUGAGAAGCGUACUUGUCCCUGAUAUGUGGCAACAGUCCCUGAAAAGCCAAAUCAGCUAGCGGCCGAUCAUCUAGAACCAGGCUAUAGCAUUUGUUCUAGACUUCCCGCAACCUCUGCACAAAACUUUCAACCGAUUCAUCAUUGCGUUGCUUCAACCUGACUAAAUCGGUAAUUUUCUUCUCAUGAACCCCAGAGAAGAAAUACUUGUGGAACUGUUUCUCUAGAUUGGCCUAAGUGAUCACUGAGUUGGGAGGUAACGAAAUAAACCAAGUAAAAGCCGAUCCAGAUAAAGAUGAUGAGAACAAACGAACCCUUAACUCAUCUCUGUUAGCAGCUUCCCCACACUGCAUGAUGAACCUAUUGACAUGCUCCAUAGUCGAUGUAUCAUCCUGUCCAGAAAACUUAGUGAAAUCCGGUACCUUGUACCGAUUUGGAAGAGGAAUUAAAUCAUAUGCAGGAGGAUACAGUGUCCUAUAAGAGUAAGUGUUGACCUUGGGUUUUAUCCUAAAUUGGUCUCUCAUCACUUCAGCUAUCUUAUCGACCCAAUAAGCAUCGGCAUCUUGCCGAUGAGGCGGCUGUGGAUCUGGCACCUGAUGAUAUGUCUCCACGUGUCUCUGAGGUGCACGAUCUGCAUGGAACACCAGGUUAAUCAUCUGACCCCCAAUCUGCUGACCAAGAUUCAUCGGCUGAUUGAUCAACCCUUGAUUCCGAAACCUAGGAUGGAUUUGGCCUUGUUGAAACCCUAGAGCCUGAUGAUUCUGCUGAAGCAUCUGCAGAAAGACUAACUGUCCCGUCCAUCCACUGUUAGCAUUCAUCGACAUAAGCCCUGCCGAUGACUGGUAAUUGGUCAUCAUCAUUGAAUUGACGUACCCUGGCUGUGUCAUAAACCUCUGUUGCGUCAGCAUUGAAUCUGCCGAUCCAUUAGGCAUCUGGAACGUUGGAGCUUGAGAAUUCCUAGUGUAAGGUCUUGCAGUAGUAGUCGUAGUAUACUGGGGACUCUGAUUCAUCGGCAGAUUUGGAGGUGCCGAUGCCAUAGGAGCCUUGCCUAUCAAAUCAACCACUUGAGAUGUUUCAGGAGCCUUUGCCAUCAAAUUUGGGGGCAUACCAUAACCCCACCAGUUAGGAGGAACAGAACCUGACAUUGCUGAUGCCAAUAGAUCUGUAGCAAGCUUGACUGACUUGUCUGAUGUUGAUGGAUUGGUUGUCAUUGGUGUAGAUUGUGCAUUAGUGAUCCCUAAUGUGCUUGGAGGAGAAGUAACUUUUGUACCCGUAACGGCUGUAGUAGCCGAUGGAGCCGAGACCAAUGAUGACCCUGGCUGAUGAUAGGCAGGACCCACAUAAUUCGGUGGCAAUUGUCCUUCCUUGAAAGUUCUAGCCACGGCAUUGAAAACCGUGUUGGACAGCACACUAGCUUCAUUGAUCAAGGCACGGUUAAUAGCAUUGUCAACCAUGUCUUGAAGUUUUCCAGGAUUGGCUUCAAAAGUAAUCUGCCGAGGUGUCAGCAAUUCUUCUUUUUGGAUCACCUCACCACUCCUGUUGAUACUGAAGGAUUUCAAGCAUUGCUGCUUGUACUCCUUCAUGGCUUUUGCCAUGGCUUGCUUCUGCUCAUCUCUGAGAUUGGCUUCCGUCACGGGGAUGACGUUCUCCAAGUCGAAAUCGGUAUUCGACAUGUUGAUCUUGAUCUUGAUUCUUUCCCACCGGGUGUGCCAAAAGAUGUGUUGAUGCAAAAGCUGAUCUGCAAACACAAAGGGCUAAUACCCGAUUCAAACGUUAAGGCGUGCCAACCGAUUUGACCUUACAAUCGAUGAAGGUGGUAACUCGAACACUUUGGUCCCGACAACAGCGAUGCGCUCGGAUGUCACGGCCAAGAGGUGCUCACGCGGAACUUGAGAACACGCCGAGCUUAAGUCGACGAAUUCCUAAGAACUCGUAAUAAAAGAGAAAAUAUGACGAAAUCGUCGGAAAGUAAGUACUGGAAUAUGAGUAAAACUUGUGUUUGAUUGAUUGAUAGAUUGUCAUUACAUUGCCCUAGGGUCUACAUUUAUACCCUGUCCAAAGAGCUACAACCAGACACGACUAGGACUCAAAUUCCAAAUUAGACGGAAACUGUAUACAAAACGAACUCUAAUAACUAAGGAAAAACAUUAAACUACCCCCGUGACUGAUCGGGACACCAUCAUGAAUCAAUCGACAACUUCCGUGCUGCUCUUCAGAGUCAUCGGCAGAUUACCCGUCUACAGUCAUCGGCGAACAACAGCAUCGGUCAUCGGCACGAAUACAUCACCACUCCUGGACUUGGUCAUAUCCGAUCAUUUCCCAUCGGCAGCCACCUUCAUCGGCAACUUCCCUGUAGACUAGUUACCGUUGCUUCAUCUCCCGAUCUAUACUUUAUUAACCCCAGGUAUGCAUCAAAAGAUACGUGUCCAAAAACGGUGUCAACACACGUGCAAGGACCUGGUGCGAGAGCUGGGUCAAAACCGGCCUCAGACCGUCGACGAACUGAUGGUUAUGGUGGCGAACUACGCUGUGGGCGAGGAAGCGGUCGGUGCUUUCUUUAACCACGAAGGAAGCAAAGGGAAGGCGCCGGUGGACGAUGACGAGGGCCCUAGCCGAGGGUCUAAGAAGAUCAAGAAGAAGAAGAAAGCGCGACCGUUCAAGCGGGAGGCUCUCGAUGAUGAUUUCAUCGCCACAGUAGAGCGCAAAAAGCCUCGAGGUCCCCCAGAGGGGGUCGUCUUCGACAAGAUGCUGAAAGAACCCUGCCCUUAUCACAAGGGGGGCAAACCACAAGCUCGAAGAUUGUCGCAUGCUGAAAAAGUACUUCGACAGCCUAGGGCUGAAGAAGGACGACCAAAGGAAAGACAAGAGCGACGACAAAGGGGAGACAAGGAAGAUGAAGGCUUCCCCGCCGUCCAUGACUGUUACAUGAUCUACGGUGGACCCACGACGCAGCUCACCGCGAGGCAGCGCAAGAGGGAGCACCGUGAGGUCUUCGCAGCGAGGAUGGCUGUACCCCAGUACCUUAACUGGUCAAGCACUCCCAUCACAUUCAACCGAGAUGACCAUCCCGAUAGGGUGGUCGCUCCCGUCGUCUACCCACUUGUCAUCGAUCCCAUUAUCAUCAACACCAGACUCUCGUAGGUACUGAUGGAUGGCGGCAGCAGCCUGAACAUCAUUUACCUCGAGACCCUCGACCUCCUCAGCAUCGAAAGGGCGCGGCUCCAGCCAAGCGUGGGCGGCUUCCAUGGCGUUGUGCCUGGAAAAAAGGCACUGCUGGUGGGUCGAAUCGACCUGCCGGUCUGUUUCGGCACGGCGGCCAACUUUAGGAAGGAAACUCUCACCUUUGAAGUGGUUGGAUUUCGCGGCACAUACCACGCCAUCAUCAGAUGAUCGGGCUACACUAAGUUCAUGGCUAUCCCCAACUACACCUACCUAAAGCUAAAGAUGCCUGGGCCAAAUGGAGUUAUCACCAUUAGCUCCUCCUACGAGCACGCAUACGAGUACGACGUCGAGUGCGUCGAGUAUGGAGAAGUUGUCGAGAACUCUACCAAACUCGCCUCGAAGCUCAAGGCCCUUGCAGCUGAAGCUCGAGAGCCCAAGCGUCACACGGACAGCUUCGAACCAGCGGUGGGCACGAAGAAGAUCCCGCUCGACCCCAACGGUUCCAACGACAAGGCGUUGACGAUCAGCGCCGACCUCGACCCCAAAUAGGAAGUCAUGCUCAUCGACUUUCUCCAUGCAAAUGCAGAUAUGUUUGCAUAGAGUCCUUUGGAUAUGCCUGGCAUACCGAGGGAAGUCGCCAAGCACUCCUUGGAGAUUCGAACCAGCUCCAAACCAGUGAAGCAACGAUUACGUCGCUUCGACGAGGAGAAGCGCAAGAUCAUUGGCGAGGAGAUCCACAAGCUUUUGACGGUCGGAUUCAUCAAGGAGGUUCACCAUCCCGACUGGUUAGCAAAUCCUGUAUUAGUUAAGAAAAAGAAUGGGAAAAAGAGGAUGUGUGUCGAUUACACGAGUUUGAAUAAAGCAUGUCCAAAGGUUCCUUUUCCUUUACCACGCAUCGACCAAAUUGUUGAUUCUACUGCGGGAUGUUGUUGGGUAUUCUUAACAUCAUUACCAAAAGUAGACUAAGUUCUCUAAAUCUAGUAACGGUGCCAAAAAUGCCAAACCUAUCCCCCACACCACUUAAGCCAAGUUAUCAUCCCCAGCAUGAUAUAAGAGACGCGGUAUUGAAAUAUGCAAUUGCUCUUCUAAAUAAAUAAUGAAUGGGAUCUGCAAGCGCACAGAUUAAUACCGAUGUAGCAUUUUAACCGGGAAGUAUUCCAGGUAUCGUUAUUUAUAUUUUUACCACUGGGAAGGGAUUAGCAAUCAUCACUAUUGAUUACAGAAUAGAAUAUGAGAUUGAGCAUCUAUCAUUGCAUGUAUAAUUGAGAACAUUAUAUCUAACUCUUCAUACAGGGAUAAUUGUCACAUAAAAGAUAUAUGAAAUAAUAAUAGUGACAAGGAUAACUAAUCUGAUCUAGCCACAUAAUAAAUAUGAUAAGCACCUCAAUUAGAUACUCUAGAAAGUCAUUAGCAUGGUAUUAGAACGAACUACAAGAAUAUUCCCUAAGUUAUUCUCAACUAUAUAGUCUAGCAUUAUCAUAAUUAGUGCAAGCAUACUUAGCAAUCAUUGUGAGACAAGACUACGCCCAUGCAUAGUGAUAUUAGCAAGGAAUAUGAGAAUAAUAGCAAUCACUCCCCUGUAAUAAUGUUGCUCUGCCAGCCCAAUACAUGAGAGGGGGACUAUAUAAGAAUCAAUGAAGCUGUCACUAUCACGAACCACCCCACGAUCUGGCAUAUUGGGUACAAUCGCAGAUAAAUACGGUAUAAGCACCACGCCUACACAAUAUCUAUCAUUUACCCAUGGAUCCGAUGGAUAAACGUUAUACGAUCCUAAGCAUGUAUAUAGAUCGAAUCUAACUAAGCCAAGUACAUAACUAUGAUAAACUAAGAACAAUAUAAUCUUGAGUAUAAGCAAGUAGAGCAAAGUCAUAAGCAAUAUAUUGAAGUAGAACAAAGUCAUAUUCAUAAUAUUGAAGAACAAAGAUAAUUAGAAAGUAAUUAGAAGCACAAUUAGAGAAUUACCAAGAAUCCUCUUGGCAGAUCCGGAAACCAAUCGAAGAUUGACUCCUUCUAGUUCUAAUCCUAUGUAGCUAUGCUAAUCUAGAUAUCUAAUUGAUGUGGUGGCCCUAAUCUUGAUCAGAGGCUUCAUCUCCCUUGAGAAUAAUGAAUUAGGGUUGAGAGGCUCUCUCCUCCAGGGGCCAGGGGGUCUGGUUUUAUAGUCCCUUCAAGUGAAUAUGGGCCGUUGGAUCAAACCGACAUAGAUUGUAUGGUUUAGAUUCAUCCUUUAGGUCGGUGGAAAUCUCCCAUGAAGCAGAGUCCUGAUUGGACUCAGGGAGGGGGCGGGCGCCCAGGGCAGGAGGGCGGGCGCCCUGCCUCUGGCCCCGUUUCGCCUCCGCUUCGGUCUCGUGGCUUAUGGAGUCUUCUAGAUGUAAGAUAAUUGCGCGGCACGUUAAUAUCUCUAUGUAAUCCCGACGUGUGGGCCUUUCUUCCGUAUUUCUUGAUAACCCCCUACAGAAAUAGACAAACACCAAAACUUGUGGAAUUCUGUCAGAUAAAACCCUAAGUCUAGAUCUUGAUUUCAUUUGGAUCCUUUUCUUUAUUUAUUUGAUACUUAAGGACCGUCAACAAACUCCCCCAAGCUUACCUCUUGCUCGUCCCUAAGCAAGGAUAGACUCAGCUAUGGAUCAUAAGUUGUUACAAUAUUUUUAAAAAUUGACGGUACACAUGCUUUUUAAAAAAGAUCUCAUCUCUGAGUUAGAGUAAACUGUCAAGACUUAAAACUUACUUACUUUACCUUCACCAUGGGACUUGUAACUGUCACUUCUGUCUUGAGUGGUUAAAAGAUAGAACUGUCUGGCCAAGUGUCAUGUCUCUUAUUCUUGAUCAGCUAUAACUCUGGAGUUUUUGCAGAUUUUCAAAUAAAACUCAGAGAUUCCUUGUAUGACUCUCUUAAAUCUCUCUUUUGUGGUAUUUCUGGAUCCUUACCAAGGCAGUGAUGGUAUAUGCCUUCUCUCAAGAUAUGUGGUAUUUAUGGUAUAAAGCAUAGUGACAUUGUCUUCUCUCUCACCCUACUCUAAUAAGACUUUUAUAUCUGGAGCUCAUAGGUGGGAGAUAAAGUAUACAUACUUACAAGACAUUUAUUGUAUAGUCAAACCAUGGAUCCAAAGAAACAAAUCAAUAAGCCAAAUCAAGAUGUGCAUGUGUGGCGAAUGAAUGGUGUAUGGUGGAAGUCUAAUUCUACUUUGCUCUUUGAGGGAAUACAGACCUUCCUUGCUUUUGAAACUUUAUGAGGAGAAUGAGAUGCUCUUCUUUUUAUUUUCUUUUCUCUCAGGUGGGUAUCUUGUACCCCUAAUUCUACUGUCGGACACUUGUCCAUUUUUACCUCUCGUCUCACUUUUUCUUUCUUUCGAGGUUCAGAGCACUUGCUCCUUUUUAUUUUCUCGUAUUAUUUUUUUCUCUCUUUUUUUUUAUAAGCACUCAUCUCUUGAGAUAAUAUAGCAAGUGGUAGUAACAAGAUAACUUGAGCAUUUAUUUCACGUGGGAAAAACAUGAAUAUUUUUGGUUAUUCUCUCCCGGAUUAGGAGUAGAAUAUUUUUGGGUGAUUCUGGAGAUGGAAAUGGAUGGAUAUAUGUGGAUGGUACUUCCGGAGUAGAAGUAGCAUAUAUGAGUGAACGUGCAAGUGAAUCUUGAUUUAACCACAUGACAAGUUCCUAAGGGUCUACACAGCUUGACCACACUCAAUGCUCAUAAGUAGUAAAUAUUAAAUGUGUGGCUCAAAGUCUAGCAAGCAUGUAUAUAUGGCUGUGGUAGGAAUUUAAACUCUCAUCAUACAGGAACUCAUCAUGCAACAUUUUAAAGAUUUUCAAAGAUAAAAUUCUCCAGAAUUCUAGCAUCUCUAGGAACAGAUAAACAGAAGCUCAACCUUCCCAUAUCGUAUCCGUUAACAACUUAGACUUCAGAUCAAGUUUUCAUCCCAUAAGUUUAGGUUUAGAGCAAGCUUUAAAUUAUAACAGUUAUGUCUAAACUUGAGAGAGAACUUAAAAUGUGCAAAUUAGGCAGAGCAACUAUUCAUCAUAUCCAUGCUUAAGUUUUAUUUAGAUACAGAUUAGCAUAGCCACUUUAUUUAUUUAUUAAACACACUAAGCAAAAGAUAUAUAUAUAUAUAAGCACAAACUCUUUAUUUGGUUUUCCAUAGUUUAUGUGUAUUUAUAUUCUAAAAUAAUAUAAGUAUAAAGAUAGAUAGAAAUACUUAUCGAGAUAAAUGGGGGUGCUCUCCCCCAAGCUGAAUUUUGACGUAAUUUCCCUUGAUGUAGCUAGCAGGUGGCAGAGGUGUAUUUGAAAGUCAGCAGCAUUCUGACAGCGAUUAGAAUGUCCUCCGUCUGCCAGUCUUCUUGAUUCUUAAAUUCUGUGGAGUUCAAAUGGACAACAAAGCUUGUGGAACUGGUUAAGUGUUAGCAUAAAUAUCUAGCCUUUAUCAUGUUGAGACUCCUUAAUAAAUAUUACUUCCUGUUUUUAUAUUUUUAUUUUUUAUAGAGCAGAAAAAUAAUUAUUUUAUUUUUAUGCCACCACAGUGAAUGUACUUAUGGGUUUUAUGCCGCUCGUCUACUCACAUGGGGCUUACUGUUUUUCACAUUUUUAUUUUCUUUUAUUUUUAAGAUAGUAUGAACAUGAUUAACUAAGUAAACUAUUUAAAAUAAUUGAAAGGGAAAGGAUAACGACCAAGUUUACCUCUUGGCAAUGCGUUCGGUGUUUUUAAGUCCUCCGAACGGGACUCUCCAAUUAAUCAUCCUGAGGUUCGUUGGGUGGCGUAGUCGGUACUUCUGGCAGCGCCUCCUCUUCAUGUAUAGUUAUCUUCGUUUUCCAUACCUGACUCGGUGUCUCAGUCUCCUCUGGAUAAUUCUGUUUAAACUCAACGUCUUCUGAUCUUAUCACUUCUCCUUCGUAGUCUGCCCAUCCGUCCUUGAUGAUCCGCCUCCUCUGGUUGCGGUUGCGUCGCUUUCUGACCUGCUUAGAUUCUUCAACGAUAUAGUUAGGGUCAGUAAAAUAACGGCGUACCUUCUCUGAGGGUUGGUGCAUAUGGACUUCUCCGGUUCCAAUGUAGAUAAUUGCUUUAACCGUGCUGAGGAACGGUCUUCCAAGGAUGAUGGGAGGAUCAUAUUCAUCUUCUCCCAUGUCAAUAACUUGAAAGUCUGUGUAGACAAAGUGAUCGUCUAUUUUGACUGGGACAUCAGUUACUAUUCCUUUAACUUCUCAAAAUGUCUGAUCUGCCAUCUGGAGCUGAAUGUAUGUUGGUCUUAGGGGCAUGGUUCCGACAAGAGCCGAUAGGUGACUGCGGCCAUUAUGUUGACGCCUGAUCCAAUGUCACAAGUUGCCUGGUAGAAGUUGUAUCCAUUUAUGGACCAGUAGAUGCUUGGCAUUCCUGGGUCGUCCUUCUUGGUCAAAAGUGGUGACUUAAGUUGAUGAUCUUGGCCUCCAUGAACUACAGUGACCAUCUUAGCUGACUCGGUCCACACUCGCUUGUUCCUGUUCCUCCUGUUGGUCCUCUUCCUUGACUCACGUUUGGAUUGAUCUGGAAUUUGUGUAGUCUUGUUCUUGAAGAAAAAUGUCUCCUUCCUCCCUUUGACAUAGAAACUGAUCUUGGCAGCACUAGCGUAGAUGAUAGCUCCCGUGGUGUUCAAGAAUGGCCUCCCUAGGAUGAUUGGUGCUCUCUCAUCAUUUCCGGUCUCUACCACUGCGAAGUCUGCUAGAGCAUAUAAGGUACCAACUCGGACGCAAAGGUUCUUAAAUAUUCCCUUUGGAAAAGUUAUCGUCUGAUCUGCAAACUGCAAACACAUGGUUGUCUCUAAUAAAGGAUAUGUAAAGAAUUUUUCAUAGAGUACCAUGGGUAUAAUGUUGACGCUAGAGCCAAAGUCGCAGAGUGCUUCUGGAACGUCCACCAUGCCGAUGGAGAUCGGGAUGACGGGGCGUCCUGGAUCGCCUCUCUUGACCGGCACAAGGUCAGUAGAGAAUUCAGUGACGGGGUUACUCCAAUUACCUGCAUCAAACAUGUCUACAAGAUUUGCAGAUUCUAAUCCUUCCAGUUGUGAUGGUAUACCGGGGUUAGUAGUAGGAACAGCAGCAGCUAUUUGAUUUAACUAAGAUUCAAUCAUUUUAUUAAAGCUAAUUUGAUUCUUGAUGGCAGUAGAGAAAUUAUCCAUUCUAUUAUUUAUAUUUUCUAGCAUUUUAUCAUUAGAUGCCAAUUUCUUAGAUAGGUUAUCCAUUAGCUUUCCUUGAUUAGACACUAACUCUUUCAAAGGUGGAAAAUUAUUAUUAUUGUUGUAAGAAUUGUUACCUUGAUAAUUACCUGAGUAUUUAGGCCUCUGUUGAUUCCAACCUUGAUUUUGUUGAGGACGGUUGUAGUAGUUGUUGUUGUUGUUGUUGAUGUAGUUCACAUCCUCAAGUAUCUCAGGGCAGUGGUUGCCUGAGUGUCCAGUAUCUCCACACUCCUCACAAGUCAUGUGAGAGUCGUAGAUGUGCAUAACUUCUUUCUUGUCUCCAGCUCUAUCGCCGAGCUUCUUCAUGAGCAGGUCUAGCUUUGCAGACAGCAUGUCUACCUCCUUCAGCUGAUGCAUACCUCCACCUCUCUUGCGUGUCUGGGUCCUCUCUUCAUUCCAGCUUUGAUUGGACGCCAUCUUCUCCACAAGAGCUGUAGCUUGUGGUAUGGUAAGUGAUAAGAAUGCUCCUCCGGCUGCAGCAUCCAUGGUUUCUCGGGCACUGUUACCGAGCCCAUGAUAAAAUGUCUGCAUCAAUAGCCAACUCUCCAUUCCAUGAUGGGGACAUUCUAGGAUGUAGUCUUGGAAGCGCUCCCAUGCUUCUGGAAUGGAUUCAUCAUUUUGUUGCUAAAAACUUGUAAUCUUCCCACGGAGAGCAUUGGUCUUGCCCAUGGGAAAGAACUUUGCUAGGAAGUAUGUUGAGCAGAGUCCCCAUGUAGUAUUCUUCUCCUUUGUAGCGUAGAACCACUGCUUCACUCUUCCUAACAGUGAGAAUGGGAAGAGGUGAAGUAGUAUAGCAUCUUUGGAAACUCCUGAUAUGGUGAAUGUGUUGCAAAUCUCUAGGAAGUGUUGUAAAUGAGCACUAGCAUCUUCGUGUGCCUUCCCACAGAACUGGUUGGAUUGCACCAUGUUGAUAAGUCCAGGCUUGAGCUCAAAGUUACCAUCGAUCUCUGCAGCAGGUCCAGUGCGGAUGUUGUCCAUAGUGGGAGCUGAGAACUCGCGGAUUGAUUUGUUCACCAUGGCUUCGAACUCUGAAGACAAGUUCCGGUGAUCUUCUUGAUUGGAUGAAGCUUCUUGCUGAAGUGUUGACGAUCUUUUCUUGAGGUUGGCUCCCGCCUUCUUGAAUAAUGCUUCGGGAUUGUCAACAAAAUUUCCUGGAAGAUGUCUUCUAUUCAUACAUUCCCCUGCAUAAGAUAAAAUAGAAAAAUAUCGGGGUAAAACUGUAUGAGAGAAUAGAUAAGCUCAAUCACAUUAGUGAUGCGAAUGAUAACUCAAAAUCUUUUAUUCUAUUCCUGAUUAUUAAUCAACCUUCCCCGGCAACGGCGCCAAAAAUGCUUCUUGGGUAUUCUUAACAUCAUUACCAAAAGUAGACUAAGUUCUCUAAAUCUAGUAACGGUGCCAAAAAUGCCAAACCUAUCCCCCACACCACUUAAGCCAAGUUGUCAUCCCCAGCAUGAUAUACUAGACGCGCUAUUGAAAUAUGCAAUUGCUCUUCUAAAUAAAUAAUGAAUGGGAUCUGCAAGCGCACAGAUUAAUACCGAUGUAGCAUUUUAACCGGGAAGUAUUCCAGGUAUCGUUAUUUAUAUUUUUACCACUCGGAAGGGAUUAGCAAUCAUCACUAUUGAUUACAGAAUAGAAUAUGAGAUUGAGCAUCUAUCAUUGCAUGUAUAAUUGAACAUUAUAUCUAACUCUUCAUACAGGGAUAAUUGUCACAUAAAAGAUAUAUGAAAUAAUAAUAGUGACAAGGAUAACUAAUCUGAUCUAGCCACAUAAUAAAUAUGAUAAGCACCUCAAUUAGAUACUCUAGAAAGCCAUUAGCAUGGUAUUAGAACGAACUACAAGAAUAUUCCCUAAGUUAUUCUCAACUAUAUAGUCUAGCAUUAUCAUAAUUAGUGCAAGCAUACUUAGCAAUCAUUGUGAGACAAGACUACGCCCAUGCAUAGUGAUAUUAGCAAGGAAUAUGAGAAACAUAGCAAUCACUCCCCUGUAAUAAUGUUGCUCUGCCAGCCCAAUACACGAGAGGGGGACUAUAUAAGAAUCAAUGAAGCUGUCACUAUCACGAACCACCCCACGAUCUGGCAUAUUGGGUACAAUCACAGAUAAAUAUGGUAUAAGCACCACGCCUACACAAUAUCUAUCAUUUACCCAUGGAUCCGAUGGAUAAACGCUAUACGAUCCUAAGCAUUUAUAUAGAUCGAAUCUAACUAAGCCAAGUACAUAACUAUGAUAAACUAAGAACAAUAUAAUCUUGAAUAUAAGCAAGUAGAGCAAAGUCAUAAGCAAUAUAUUGAAGUAGAACAAAGUCAUAUUCAUAAUAUUGAAGAACAAAGAUAAUUAGAAAGUAAUUAGAAGCACAAUUAGAGAAUUACCAAGAAUCCUCUUGACAGAUCCGGAAACCAAUCGAAGAUUGACUCCUUCUAGUUCUAAUCCUAUGUAGCUAUGCUAAUCUAGAUAUCUAAUUGAUGUGGUGGCCCUAAUCUUGAUCAGAGGCUUCUUCUCCCUUGAGAAUAAUGAAUUAGGGUUGAGAGGCUCUCUCCUCUAGGGGCCAGGGGGUCUGGUUUAUAGUCCCUUCAAGUGAAUAUGGGCCGUUGGAUCAAACCGACAUAGAUUGUAUGGUUUAGAUUCAUCCUUUAGGUCGGUGGAAAUCUCCCACGAAGCAGAGUCCUGAUUGGACUCAGGGAGGGGGCGGGCGCCCAGGGCAGGAGGGCGGGCGCCCUGCCUCUGGCCCCGUUUCGCCUCCGCUUCGGUCUCGUGGCUUCUGGAGUCUUCUAGAUGUAAGAUAAUUGCGCGGCACGUUAAUAUCUCUAUGUAAUCCCGACGUGUGGGCCUUCCUUCCGUAUUUCCUGAUAACCCCCUGCAGAAAUAGACAAACACCAAAACUCGUGGAAUUCUGUCAGAUAAAACCCUAAGUCUAGAUCUUGAUUUCAUUUGGAUCCUUUUCUUUAUUUAUUUGAUAAUUAAAUUUGAUACUUAAGGACCGUCAACAGAUGUGAAAACCUUUCAUUCCUCGACGCUUAUUCUGGCUACCAUCAAAUAAAGAUGAAAGAAUCUGACCAGCUCGCGACAUCUUUCAUCACGCCCUUUGGGAUGUAUUGUUAUGUAACCAUGCCCUUCGGGCUUUGAAACACUGGGGCGACAUACCAGCGAUGCAUGCUCCACGUGUUUUUCGAACACAUAGGGUCGACGGUCGAGGCAUACAUCGAUGACAUCGUCGUCAAAUCAAAAAAGCGAGGUGACCUGAUUUAGGAUCUCGAGAUCGCCUUUAGUUGUUUACGCGCUAAUAGAAUCAAGCUCAACUCCGAGAAGUGCGUCUUCGGCGUGCCUCGAGGCAUGCUUCUGGGUUAUAUUUUCUCCCAACGCAGCAUCGAGGCUAAUCCCAAGAAAGUAUUGGCUGUUGCAAGGAUGGGGCCUGUUGGGUAUUCUUAACAUCAUUACCAAAAGUAGACUAAGUUCUCUAAAUCUAGUAAUGGUGCCAAAAAUGCCAAACCUAUCCCUCACACCACUUAAGCUAAGUUGUCAUCCCCAGCAUGACAUGAGAGACGCGGUAUUGAAAUAUGCAAUUGCUCUUCUAAAUAAAUAAUGAAUGGGAUCUGCAAGCGCACAGAUUAAUACUGAUGCAGCAUUUUAACCGAGAAGUAUUCUAGGUAUCGUUAUUUAUAUUUUUACCACUGGGAAGGGAUUAGCAAUCAUCACUAUUGAUUACAGAAUAGAAUAUGAGAUUGAGCAUCUAUCAUUGCAUGUAUAAUUGAGAACAUUAUAUCUAACUCUUCAUACAGGGAUAAGUGUCACAUAAAAGAUAUAUGAAAUAAUAAUAGUGACAAGGAUAACUAAUCUGAUCUAGCCACAUAAUAAAUAUGAUAAGCACCUCAAUUAGAUACUCUAGAAAGUCAUUAGCAUGGUAUUAGAACGAACUAUAAGAAUAUUCCCUAAGUUAUUCUCAACUAUAUAGUCUAGCAAUAUCAUAAUUAGUGCAAGCAUACUUAGCAAUCAUUGUGAGACAAGACUACGCCCAUGCAUAGUGAUAUUAGCAAGAAAUAUGAGAAACAUAGCAAUCACUCCCCUGUAAUAAUGUUGCUCUGCCAGCCCAAUACACGAGAGGGGGAAUAUAUAAGAAUCAAUGAAGCUGUCACUAUCACGAACCACCCCACGAUCUGGCAUAUUGGGUACAAUCGCAGAUAAAUACGGUAUAAGCACCACGCCUACACAAUAUCUAUCAUUUACCCAUGGAUCCGAUGGAUAAACGCUAUACGAUCCUAAGCAUGUAUAUAGAUCCAAUCUAACUAAGCCAAGUACAUAACUAUGAUAAACUAAGAACAAUAUAAUCUUGAAUAUAAGCAAAUAGAGCAAAGUCAUAAGCAAUAUAUUGAAGUAGAACAAAGUCAUAUUCAUAAUAUUAAAGAACAAAGAUAAUUAGAAAGCAAUUAGAAGCACAAUUAGAGAAUUACCAAGAAUCCUCCUGACAGAUCUGGAAACCAAUCGAAGAUUGACUCCUUCUAGUUCUAAUCCUAUGUAGCUAUGCUAAUCUAGAUAUCUAAUUGAUGUGGUGGCUCUAAUCUUGAUCAGAGGCUUCUUCUCCCUUGAGAAUAAUGAAUUAGGGUUGAGAGGCUCUCUCCUCCAAGGGCCAGGGGGUCUGGUUUUAUAGUCCCUUCAAGUGAAUAUGGGCCGUUGGUUCAAACCGGCAUAGAUUGUAUGGUUUAGAUUCAUCCUUUAGGUCGGUGGAAAUCUCCCGCAAAGCAGAGUCCUGAUUGGACUCAGGAGGUGGGCGGGCGCCCUGACCAACUGGGCGGGCGCCCAGGGUCAGGCCCCGUUUUGCCUCCGCUUCGGUCUCGUGGCUUCUGGAGUCUUCUAGAUGUAAGAUAAUUGCACGGCACGUUAAUAUCUCUAUGUAAUCCCGACGUGUGGACCUUUCUUCUGUAUUUCCUGAUAACCUCUUGCAGAAAUAGACAAACACCAAAACUCGUGGAAUUCUGUCAGAUAAAACCCUAAGUCUAGAUCUUAAUUUCAUUUGGAUCCUUUUCUUUAUUUAUUUGAUAAUUAAAUUUGAUACUUAAGGACCGUCAACAAACUCCCCCAAGCUUACCUCUUGCUCGUCCCUGAGCAAGGAUAGACUCAGCUAAGGAUCAUAAGUUGUUGCAAUAUCUUAAAAAAUUGACGGUACACAUGCUUUUUAAAUAAGAUCUUAUCUCUGAGUUAGAGUAAACUGUCAAGACUUAAAACUUACUUACUUUACCUUCACCAUGGGACUUGUAACCGUCACUUCUGUCUUGAGUAGUUAAAAGAUAGAACAGUCUAGUCAAGUGCCAUAUCUCUUAUUCUUGAUCAGCUAUAACUCUGGGGUUUUUGCAGAUUUUCAAAUAAAACUCAGAAAUUCCUUGUAUGAUUCUCUCAUAUCUCUCUUUUGUGGUAUUUCUGGAUUCUUACCAAGGCAGUGAUGGUAUAUGCCUUCUCUCAAUAUAUGUAGUAUUUGUGGUAUGAGGCAUAGUGAUAUUGCCUUCUCUCUCACCUUACUCUAAUAAGGCAUUUAAUAUCUGGAGCUCAUAGGUGGGAGAUAAAAUAUACAUACUUACAAGACAUUUAUUGUAUAGUCAAACAUGGAUCCAAAGAAACAAAUCAAUAAGUCAAAUCAAGAUGUGCAAGUGUGGCGAAUGAAUGGUGUAUGGUGAUGAUGGUGAUAACAAUGGUGGUGGAAGUCUAAUUCUACUUUGCUCUUUUAGGGAAUACAUACCUUCCUUGCUUUUGAAACUUUAUGAGGAGAAUGAGAUGCUCUUCUUUUUCUUUUCUCUUAGGUGGGUAUCUUGUACCCCUAAUUCUACUGUCGGACACUUGUCCAUUUUUACCUCUCGUCUCACUUUUUCUUUUCUUUCGAGGUUCCGAGCACUUGCUCCUUUUUAUUUCCUCGUAUUUAUAAUUUUUUUUCUUUUUUUUUAGAGCACUCAUCUCAUGAGAUAAUAUAGCAAGUGGUAGUAACAAGAUAACUUGAGCAUUUAUUUCACAAGGGAAAACAGAAAUAUUUUUGGCUAUUCUCUCCCGGAUUAGGAGUAGAAUAUUUUUGAGUGGUUCUGGAGAUGGAAAUGGAUGGAUAUAUGUGGAUGGUACUUCCGGAGUAGAAGUAGCAUAUAUGAGUGAAUGUGCAAGUGAAUCUUGAUUUAACCACAUGACAAGCUCCUAAAGGUCUACACAGCUUGACCACACUCAAUGCUCAUAAGCAGUAAAUAGUAAAUGUGUGGCUCAAAGUCUAGCAAGCAUGUAUAUAUGGCUGUGGUAGGAAUUUAAACUCUCAUCAUACAGGAACUCAUCAUGCAACAUUUUAAAGAUUUUCAAAGAUAAAAUUCUCCAGAAUUCUAGCAUCUCUAGGAACAGAUAAACAGCAGCUCAACCUUCCCAUAUCGUAUCCGUUAACAACUUAGACUUCAGAUCAAGUUUUCAUCCCACAAGUUUAGAUCUAGAGCAAGCUUUAAAUUAUAAUAGUUAUGUCUAAACUUGAGAGAGAACUUAAAAUGUGCAAAUUAGGCAGAGCAACUAUUCAUCAUAUCCAUGCUUAAGUUUUAUUUAGAUACAGAUUAGCAUAGCCACUUUAUUUAUUUAUUAAACACACUAAGCAAAAGAUAUAUAUAUAAACACAAAAUCUUUAUUUGGUUUUUCAUAGUUAUGUAUAUUUAUAUUCUAAAAUAAUAUAAGUAUAAAGAUAGAUAGAUAAAAAUACUUAUCGAGAUAAAUGGGGGUGCUCUCACCCAAGCUGAAUUUUGACGUAAUUUUUUCUUGAUGUAGCUAGCAGGUGGCAGAGGUGUAUUUGAAAGUCAGCAGCAUUCUGACAGCGAUUAGAAUGUCCUCCGUCUGCUAGUCUUCCUGAUUCUUAAAUUCUGUGGAGUUCAAAUAGACAACAAAGCUUGUGGAACUUGAUUAAGUGUUAGCAUAAAUAUCUAGCCCUUAUCUUGUUGAGACUCGUUAAUUAAUUAUUACUCCCUGUUUUUAUAUUUUUAUUUUAUAAAGCAGAAAAGAAAUAUUUAUUUUAUUUUUAUGCCACCACAGUGAAUGUACUUAUGGGUUUUAUGCCACUCGCAUACUCACAUGGGGCUUACUGUUUUUCACAUUUUUAUUUUCUUUUUAAGAUAAUACGAACAUGAUUAACUAAGUAAACUAGUUGAAAUAAUUGAAAGGAAAAGGAUAACUAUCAAGUUUACCUCUUGGCAAGGCAUUCGGUGUUUUUAAGUCCUCCGAACAGGACUCUCCAAUUUCUUAAUCGUCCUUAGGUUUGUUGGGUGGCAUAGUCCGUAGUUCCGGCAGCGCCUCCUCUUCAUGUAUAGUUAUCUUCAUUUUCCAUACCUGACUCGGUGCUUCAAUCUCCUCUGGAUAAUUUUGUUUAAACUCAAUGUCUUCUGACCUUACAACUUCUCCUUCAUAGUCUGCCCAUCCGUCCUUGAUGAUCUGCCUCCUCUGGUUGAGGUUGUGUCUCUUUCUGACCUGCUUAGAUUCUUCAACGAUAUAGUCAGGGUCAAUAAAAUAACGGCGUACCUUCUCUGAGGGGAAGUGCAUAUGGACUUCUCCGGUUCCAAUGUAGAUAAUUGCUUUAACGGUACUGAGGAACGGUCUUCCAAGGAUGAUGGGUGGAUCAUACUCAUCUUCUCCCAUGUCAAUAACUUGAAAGUCUGUGUAGACAAAGUGAUCGUCUAUUUUGACUGGGACAUCAGUUACUGUUCCUUUAACUUCUCGAAAUGUCUAAUCUGCCAUCUGAAGCUGAAUGUAUGUUGGUCUUAGUGGCAUGGUUCCGAACAAGAGCCGAUAGGUGACUACAGCCAUUAUGUUGACACCCGAUCUGGUGUCGCAAAUCGUCUUGUAGAAGCUAUAUCCAUGUAUGGAGCAGUAGAUGCUUGACAUUCCUGGGUCGUCCUUCUUGGUCAAAAACGGUGACUUAAGUUGUUGAUCUUGGCCUCCAUGAACUGCAGUGACCAUCUUAACUGACUCGGUUCACACUUGCUUGUUCCUAUUCCUCCUGUUGGUCCUCUUCCUUGAUUCACGUCUGGAUUGAUCUGGGAUUUGUGUAGUCUUGUUCUUGAAAAAAAAUGUCUCCUUCUUCCCUUUGACGUAGAAACUGAUCUUGGCAGCACUAGCGUAGAUGAUAGCUCCCGUGGUGUUCAAGAAUGGCCUCCCUAGGAUGAUAGGUGCUCUCUCAUCAUUUCCGGUCUCUACCACUACGAAGUCUGCUGGGGCAUAUAAGGUACCAACUCGGACACAAAGGUUCUUCACUAUUCCUUUUGGAAUAGUUAUCGUCUGAUCUGCAAACUGCAAACACAUGGUUGUCUCUAAUAAAGGAUAUGUAAAGAAUUUUUCAUAGAGUACCCUGCGUAUAAUGUUGACACUGGAGCCAAAGUCGCAGAGUGCUUCUGGAACGUCCACCAUGCCGACAGAGAUCGGGAUGACGGGGCGUCCUGGAUCACCUCUCUUGACCGGUAGAACGUCAGUAGAGAAUUCAGUGACGGGGUUACUCCAAUUACCUGCAUCAAAGAUGUCUACAAGAUUUGCAAAUUCUAAUCCUUCCGGUUGUGAUGGUAUACCGGGGUUAGUAGUAGGAACAGCAGCAGCUAUUUGAUUUAACUGAGACUCAAUCAUUUUAUUAAAGCUAAUUUGAUUCUUGAUGGCAGUAGAGAAAUUAUCCAUUCUAUUAUUUAUAUUUUCUAGCAUUUUAUCAUUAGAUGCCAAUUUCUUAGAUAGGUUAUCCAUUAGCUUUCCUUGAUUAGACACUAACUCUCUCAAAGGUGGAAAAUUAUUAUUAUUGUUGUAAGAAUUGUUACCUUUAUAAUUACCGGAGUAGUUAGGCCUCUGUUGAUUCCAACCUUGAUUUUGUUGAGGACGGUUGUAGUAGUAGUUGUUGUUGUUGAUGAUGUAGUUCACAUCCUCAAGCAUCUCAGGACAGUGACUGCCUAAGUGUCCAGUAUCUCCACACUCCUCACAAGUCAUGUGAGAGUCGUAGAUGUGCAUAACUUCCUUCUUAUCUCUAGCUCUAUCGUCGAGCUUCUUCAUGAGCAGGUCUAGCUUUGCAGACAGCAUAUCUACCUCCUUCAGCUGAUGCAUACCUCUACCUCUCUUGCAUGUCUGGGUCCUCUCUUCAUUCCAGCCUUGAUUGGACGCCAUCUUCUCCACAAGAGCUGUGGCUUGUGGUAAGUGAUAAGAAUGCUCCUCCAGCUGCAGCAUCCAUGGUUUCUCGGGCACUGUUGCCGAGUCGAUGAUAAAAUGUCUGCAUCAAUAGCCAACUCUCCAUUCCAUGAUGGGGACAUUCUAGGAUGUAGUCUUGAAAGCGCUCCCAUGCUUCUGGAACAGAUUCAUUAUUUUGUUGCUGAAAACUUGUAAUCUUCCCACGGAGAGCAUUGGUCUUGCCCAUGGGAAAGAACUUUACCAGGAAGUUUGUUGAACAGAGUGCCCACGUAGUAUUCUUCUCCUUUGUAGCGUAGAACCACUGCUUCGCUCUUCCUAACAGUGAGAAUGGGAAGAGGUGAAGUAGUAUAGCAUCUUUGGAAACUCCUGAUAUGGUGAAUGUGUUGCAAAUCUCCAGGAAGUGUUGUAAAUGAGCACUAGCAUCUUCGUGUGCCUUCCCACAGAACUGGUUGGAUUGCACCAUGUUGAUAAGUCCAGGCUUGAGCUCAAAGUUGCCAUCGAUCUUUGCAGUAGGUCCAGUGCGGAUGUUGUCCGUAGUGGGAGCUGAGAACUCGCGGAUUGAUUUGUUCGCCAUGGCUUCGAACUCUGAAGACAAGUUCCGGUGAUCUUCUUGAUUGGAUGAAGCUUCUUGCUGAAGUAUUGAUGAUCUCUUCUUAAGCUUGGCUCUCGUCUUCUUGAAUAAUGCUUCAAGAUUGUCAACAAAAUUUCCUUGAAGAUGUCUUCUAUUCAUACAUUCCCCUGCAUAAGAUAAAAUAGGAAAAUAUCGGGGUAAAACUGUAUGGGAGAAUAGAUAAGCUCAAUCAUAUUAGUGAUGUGAAUGAUAACUCAAAAUCAUUUAUUCUACUCCUGAUUGGAAUCAACCUUCCCCGGCAACGGCGCCAAAAAUGCUUGUUGGGUAUUCUUAACAUCAUUACCAAAAGUAGACUAAGUUCUCUAAAUCUAGUAACGGUGCCAAAAAUGCCAAACCUAUCCCUCACACCACUUAAGCCAAGUUGUCAUCCCCAGCAUGACAUGAGAGACGCGGUAUUGAAAUUUGCAAUUGCUCUUUUAAAUAAAUAAUGAAUGGGAUCUGCAAGCGCACAGAUUAAUACCGAUGCAGCAUUUUAACUCGGAAGUAUUCCAGGUAUCGUUAUUUAUAUUUUUACCACUGAGAAGGGAUUAGCAAUCAUCAAUAUUGAUUACAGAAUAGAAUAUGCGAUUGAGCAUCUAUCAUUGCGUGUACAAUUGAGAACAUUAUAUCUAACUCUUCAUACAGGGAUAAGUGUCACAUAAAAGAUAUAUGAAAUAAUAAUAGUGACAAGGAUAACUAAUCUGAUCUAGCCACAUAAUAAAUAUGAUAAGCACCUCAAUUAGAUAGACUAGAAAGUCAUUAGCAUGGUAUUAGAACGAACUACAAGAAUAUUCCCUAAGUUAUUCUCAACUAUAUAGUCUAGCAUUAUCAUAAUUAGUGCAAGCAUACUUAGCAAUCAUUGUGAGACAAGACUACGCCCAUGCAUAGUGAUAUUAGCAAGGAAUAUGAGAAACAUAGCAAUCACUCCCCUGUAAUAAUGUUGCUCUACCAGUCCAAUACACGAGAGGGGGACUAUAUAAGAAUCAAUGAAGCUGUCACUAUCACGAACCACCCCACGAUCUGGCAUAUUGGGUACAAUCGCAGAUAAAUACGGUAUAAGCACCACGCCUACACAAUAUCUAUCAUUUACCCAUGGAUCCGAUGGAUAAACGCUAUACGAUCCUAAGCAUGUAUAUAGAUCCAAUCUAACUAUGCCAAGUACAUAACUAUGAUAAACUAAGAACAAUAUAAUAUUGAAUAUAAGCAAAUUGAGCAAAGUCAUAAGCAAUAUAUUGAGUAGAACAAAGUCAUAUUCAUAAUAUUGAAGAACAAAGAUAAUUAGAAAGCAAUUAGAAGCACAAUUAGAGAAUUACCAAGAAUCCUCCUAACAGAUCCGGAAACCAAUCGAAGAUUGACUCCUUCUAGUUCUAAUCCUAUGUAGCUAUGCUAAUCUAGAUAUCUAAUUGAUGUGGUGGCUCUAAUCUUGAUCAGAGGCUUCUCUCCCUUGAGAAUAAUGAAUUAGGGUUGAGAGGCUCUCUCCUCCAAGGGCCAGGGGGUCUGGUUUUAUAGUCCCUUCAAGUGAAUAUGGGCCGUUGGAUCAAACCGACAUAGAUUGUAUGGUUUAGAUUCAUCCUUUAGGUUGGUGGAAAUCUCCCGCAAAGCAGAGUCCUGAUUGGACUCAGGAGGUGGUCGGGCGCCCUGACCAACUGGGCGGGCGCCCAGGGUCAGGCCCCGUUUCGCCUCCGCUUCGGUCUCAUGGCUUCUGGAGUCUUCUAGAUGUAAGAUAAUUGCACGGCACGUUAAUAUCUCUAUGUAAUCCCGAUGUGUGGGCCUUUCUUUCGUAUUUCCUAAUAACCCCCUGCAGAAAUAGACAAACACCAAAACUCAUGGAAUUCUGUCAGAUAAAACCCUAAGUCUAGAUCUUGAUUUCAUUUGGAUCCUUUUCUUUAUUUAUUUGAUAAUUAAAUUUGAUACUUAAGGACCGUCAACUGGGUCGAUUCGAGACGUCAAGGGCGUGCAAAAAGUCAUGGGUUGCCUAGCGGCACUAAGUCGUUUCGUUUCAAGAUUGGGAGAAAAGGCAUUGCCAUUGUAUCAGCUCUUGAAAAAGGCCGAUCGUUUCUCCUGGACCCCCGAGGCCGAGAAGGCCCUCGACAACUUGAAAGAGACGCUAACCACGGCUCCAGUCCUAGUUCCUCCUCAACCUGCGGAGUCUAUGCUCCAAUACGUCGCCGCAACAACCUAGGUGGUUAGCGCGGCUGUGGUGGUCGAAAGGCCAGAGGAAGGACACGCGUUACCAGUCCAGCGACCGGUCUACUUCAUCAGUGAGGUGCUCUCGGAAACCAAGGUACGAUACCCUCAGAUUCAGAAGUUGAUCUAUGCCAUGAUUCUCGCCCGACGCAAGCUGCAGCACUACUUCCUCGGCCACCCGAUCACGGUGGUCUUGUCCUUCCCUUUGGGCGAGAUCAUCUAGAAACAAGAGGCCGCCGGGAGGAUUGCCAAAUGGUCCGUCGAGCUCAUGGGUGAGACCCUCACUUACGCGCCCCACAAAGCCAUCAAUUCUCAAGCCCUGGCGGAUUUUGUCGCAGAAUGAACAGACACUCAACUCCCCCCAGCUCAGAUUCUACCAGAGCUGUGGACGAUGUACUUCGACAGAUCCCUCAUGAAGGCGGGAGCUAGGGCAGGCCUACUGUUCAUCUCACCCCUCGGCGUUCACAUGAGGUACGUCAUUAGAAUACACUUCGCCGCGUCCGACAACAUUGCAGAGUAUGAGGCCCUCGUCAACGGGCUAAGGAUCGCCGUCGAGCUAGGAGUUCGUCGCCUCGACGUUUGGGGCGACUCUUAGCUGGUUAUCGACCAAGUAAUGAAGGCUUCAAGCUGCCAUGACCUAAAAAUGGAGCCAUACUGCAAGGAAGUACGCAGGCUCGAGGACAAAUUCCACGGCCUCGAGCUCGUCCACAUCGCACGACGAUACAACGAGGCAGCCGACGAGCUCGCUAAGGUCACAUCAACUCGAGGCACCGUCCCACCCGACGCGUUCUCGAGAUACCUGCACGAGCCAUCCGUCAACCCGGGCGUGGAGGCUGAUGUCAAAACCCCCACUCCAACCGAUGCUAUCGAAGCCUUACUGACGGCAGCAGAAGUAAUGGAGGUCGAACAACGUCCCAGUCGACCGUUCGACUGGCGUACGCCGUUCCUCGAUUGCCUGAUCCGAGGUUGUUGAUGCAAAAGCUGAUCUGCAAACACAAAGGGCUAAUACCGGAUUUAAACGUUAAGGCGUGCCAGCCGAUUUGACCUUACUAUCGGCUAAGGUGAUAACUCGAAUACUUUGGUCCUGACAACAGCGAUGUGCCCGGAUGUCACGGCCAAGAGGUAUUCAUGCGGAACUCGAGAAUACGCCGAGCUUAAGUCGAUGAACUCCUAAGAACUCGUAAUAAAAAGGAAAAUAUGACGAAGUCGUCAAAAAAAAUAGAUGCUGGAAUAUGAGUAAAAACUUGUGUUUGAUUGAUUGAUAGAUAUCUCAUUUCAAGGCCCUAUGGUCUACAUUUAUACCCUGCUCAAAGAGCUACAAUCAGACACGACUAGGACUCGAAUUCCAAAUUAAACAGAAUCCGUAUACAAAACGAUUUUAAAUAACUAAGGAAAACAUAGAACCACCCCCUCGUAACCGACCGGGACACCGCCACAGAUCAAUCGACAACCUCCACGCUUCCCUUCAGAGUCAUCGGCAGUCUUCCUGUUAUAGCCAUCGGCAAACACCAAUAUUGAUCAUCGGCAAGAACACGUCACCACCUCUGGACUUAGCUAUCUUCAAUCGUCUCUUCAUCGGCAACUAUCCUCAUCGGCAACUCUUCUGCGGGCUAGUUACCGUUGCUCUACCUGCCGAUCUAUACUCUACUAGUCUCUGGGUACGUGUCCAAAAAUGGUGUCAACACAUGCCCCCCAAUUUUGGAGUAUGAAAUCAUUAAUGCUCCAAAAUUCUCUAUAGUAAUGAUGCCUUUCCGCAAUUAAUUCUCCCAAUUUGGUAACCGACAGUUUAAAUCUGAACAACCUUGGCCCGAUUCUCCUGCAGGUUCCUCGAAUUCCUCAACCUUCCGAACCGGAUCUCUCUACUUUAUGCGCCCAUCGGCAAUAUUACCAUUAGAGGGAACUGCCGAUGGACCGCCAAGAAAUCCCGCACAGUGAAAUAUCUCCAGAUCAUGACUGCUUCCUGUCAAAUCACAUGUGCAAUCCCUUGAUUACCGUGCGAACAGUUACCAUAUCAACCUAAGUAUCCUCGGAUUUCACGGAUACGGCGAAGAGAUAAGUCAAAUUUGCCCUUGCCCGUUUUGUCCUAUAAAUACUUCCUUCUCGGGUACUCCUUCUCCAUCGCAUCAUUCUACUGCCCCAACUCUACUUUCCUGGCGGCGGCACCGCUCGAGAGCUCCAAGAACUCCAACCAGAACUUCCUCCAACCACUCCCAAGUUUUCGAUCUUCUCCCCUGCGAGGAGAUGGCCAUCAACUUCGUCAUUCCUGAGGUCAGCGUACUGCCCUUUUUCCUGUACUUUUACUGUACCCCUGUUCAUCCACAAUCUGUCUUAUCGAAUCCUUUUUCUUUUUGUUCUUCUUUUUUUGCUCCUAAAAAUUUCUAGGAUUUGGUCGAUAAGAUCGUUAUUCCUACCGAUCAACCCCAUCUUCAAUGCCUUGGUCCACUAGGAAACUUGGAUCCCACCGAUCUUAUAAACGCGGAGACAAACAGAAUCCCUUUUAGAGCCGAGAAUUUUUCUUUAGAUCUAUGGAAGGAUGCCUUCCGUUCCUGGCCCAGUCCUACCAAAGGAUGGAAGGAUUAGUUCCAGAGAGUUAGUAACUCAAAUGAGGUCCAAUGGGGUGAACGGAAACUGGAUCAGUGCAUUAGAUUGUCCUUUGCCGAUAUGGAGAGAAAUGAGUCACUACUGAUAGCUGCCUCAUACUUUUGGUCAGACACACUCAAUGCUUUUGUGUUUGGGCAUGGCCCUGCUUCUCCCACACUUGCCGAUGUGCUUAUGCUCACCGGCUUAGAUGUAUCCACUGCCGAUACCACCCACCUGUUUGAUACCAAACCCAGCGCUAAGGUGGAAACUUGUUCUAUCGGCGGUUGGUUAGGGUACAUCCAGAAGUACCGAAGAACAGGCCCUGUCAAUGUAAAGGAAUAGACCACCUUUCUGAACAUGUGGCUAGAUAAAUUCGUAUUAUGUGGCCGAUCGGCAGGACCAACUUCGGUUUACUUAUCGGCAGCAGAAAGAUUAGCCAAUGGCGGCCGAUUUCCUCUUGGCCGAUACUUGCUUGGUUCGGCCUAUCACCUCCUCCACCAGGUAGCCCAGAAACUACUGCUUGGUCAACCCAUCGGCAACUUAGGGGGUCCCUGGUGGUUUAUCAACAUGUGGCUUAGUCUCCACACACACAAACGCCUUGAGUUCGAUCUUUUCGCACAGCGCUUCCCUAGAGAUAUAGCCGAGGACUACAAACUGGGUGAAGAAGAAUCGGCAACUCGUUCCCCUCUAAACUUUGGCGAAGCCGCCAUAGUUUUGCCUAGCACAGGUGGCAACGCAGACCAAGUUAGCCGAUUCUUCCAAACUCUGUAUGAGGGUUUGACCAGGGAACAGCGGGCAUGGAUGCCCUAUGAAGAUCCUGACACUAGAUUCCCUCUGACUUUCCACCCCUUCAAUGAUGCUCUCAACAAGGAUCGUGAGGUGAUGAUGGCAGUUAUCACUCCCAGAGCCAUACCGGUGAACUUCUUUGGCAGUGGGAAAGCUUCUAAUCUGACUUAUGAGUUCUACAAUCCAUCGGCACUAGCUCGUCAACUGGCUUUCGGCCAACUGCCGAUUGCACUUUGCUACACCGAUGUGAUAAAGCCGAGGGAGAUUAUCACCAGCCAUCUGGAAUGGAUCAGGGUAGCCCAACUUCCACCAAACGCCGAUAUAGAUGUCGAUCUAUCGGCUUGGAUCCCAGCUCUCUUCAUCACUAAGGCAUACAAACAGUGGUGGGAAGAAUGGAAAGAGCAUUUGUUCUGCAGAUCGGCUCUUACAUACCGUGGUAUGAUCGACCCUCAAUACAAAGUCCCCGAUAACACUGUAAGUACUUCUAAACCGAUGUUUCAAUCCUUUCAUUUUCACUUUCCAUCGGUAUCUUACUUCCUUGUUAUAUGCAGGUCGAUGACACACCCCCAUUGGUCAGCAGGAGUGGUAAGCCGAUUGAGGUCCUUCCAUCGGGCCCGAUCUCUUUGAUCGGCAACAACGCUCCAACCCUGGCUGCUAUAAUGCAUCGAGGUGUGCGUCUCAAGAAAGUUACCACCAAACGGGCGAAGAUAUCCCCAUCGGUAGCUGCUUCUACCCUAGCACAAGCCUUCAAGGUAAAUUUUCGAAUUCUUUUACUCAUACCGAUUCCAUUCUUAUUUUUAUUACACUUGUACUCAUAAAUUUCUCACUAUCGUAUCAGCACACCGGUACAUCGGCAAAGACCAGAAGUACGACUGCCGAUGCCCCCCAGUCCAGUCAACCGAAGAGAAAAGGUUCCAAGAGUACCAGAUUACAAGCAAAGCGCCAGAUAACAGUAACGGCUUCUCCCCCAGUAUCUCCGAUUCCAGUAGAAUCAUCCCCUUCUCCUCUAGAAGCCCAGAUACAACCAGCACCGUCUCCUCUUCAACCACAAGAAGAAACCCAAACAGAAGAACCUCAACCAGAAGUACCCCAGCCAGAAGAAACGUCGGCUGAUGUACGCGAGCAGACUGCCGAUCCAGCAAGCUUAAUCAUAGCAUCGGUAGUUUCCUCGAUUCAGACUAGUACUGCACCUCCCCAAGGUAACAUACUCUUUAUUUAUUGCCGAUGAACCCACUUUUUCCCAAUUUGUAAUUACCUCUGUUAAUCUUUCAGCUGACAUAGUCUUAUCGGCAAUCCCAGCUGAUCAACCUGUGGUUCCAUCGGCUUCAACUAGUCCGAGGCGAGAGAUAACUCUGAAGCAAGUAAGUUACCCGAUCCUUAUUUUUAUUGUUAUCAGUACUUGAUCAUAAAAUAACUUAUUCUGUCUUCUUUUCCAGGAACAGGAUUCUCCUGACAGCUUGUUCUCCUUCGCCAUUGAGAUCUCUGAAGAUGAAGGUGAGGAAGCAAGUUCUUCUCGAGCAGUUGGAAUCUCAUCGGCAGAGAUUAGAGCAAAGCUGGCAGAUCUGUCAGCCCUUCUACAUCAAGACACAGCACAAUUAGUUGAUGACUCCGAUCCGGCCAAAGUUCUGUUCAAGGCUCUCAGAGGUCAAAUCCCCACCGAUGCCGAGGAGAUUCUUUUCUAGGUUGCACAUUUAGAGAGUCGUCACCUGCAGUAUCAAAAGGCUGCUCAGCGUCUUGCCGAUAGAGCUGCUCACGCUCAGCUCUCAGAGGAGAUGAUGAAAGUGAAACUCCUUGCCGAUGAGAAGCAUAAGAGCAUCGGCGUUCUGAAAUCCUCAGGAGAUGUACUAAAGCACAUGAUCUCUGAUCCAUCGGCAAAGAGAGAAGCCUAGUUGGCAGAACUCAAACAGGUAAAAGAAGCUUUGUCCCAAGCUCAAUAGGAAGAAAGCCAGCUGCCUGAGGCGAUCAAGAUUCUUGAACAAGAGCGAAAUGUCCAAGCCCGCAAAGCACUGCAGAUGAAGAAGAGGCUGAAGCCAGUGGAGGGUUCUACCGAUGAUGACAUGAAUGAGAUAGAAGAAGCCAACCAGAUCCGUCUGCGCGCCAUAUCGACGAUCCAGGCUUUGUUAAACAUAUGAAUUCCUCAUCGGCGGCACACUUUGCUCUUUUCUCUUAAUUAUUUUGGUCCAGCCGAUAGGACUGUUAUCGGCAUCCUUUUAAAACAUUAAGUCCGGCCCCAGAUACACUUUUAAUCCAGCCGAUAGGAAUGUUAUCGGCACUUAAUCUUUCAUGCAUCAAGCCAUAUGCUGGGGUUAUAUCUCUUUAAAUAUUUGUCAUUCAAUGCUCUAGGAUAUUCAACUCCUUCGAGAGUUUCUAAGAUAUAGGCAUUGCCAGGAGCAGAUCAAUUUAUCCGAUAGGGACCCUCCCAAUUGGGAGACCACUUCCCAAAUUUUGAAUCUUUAGUCCCAAUCGGUAAGAUUAGCUUCCAUACUAAGUCUCCAUCGGCAAACUCCUUAGCCUUUACUUUCUUAUCAUAACAUCUGGCAACUCUUUUCUUAUUUUCUUCGAUACUUAUCAAAGCUUUCAGCCGAUGCCCUGCUAAAUCAUCCAAUGUUGGGUAUUCUUAACAUCAUUACCAAAAGUAGACUAAGUUCUCUAAAUCUAGUAACGGUGCCAAAAAUGCCAAACCUAUCCCUCACACCACUUAAGCUAAGUUGUCAUCCCCAGCAUGAUAUGAGAGACGCGGUAUUGAAAUAUGCAAUUGCUCUUCUAAAUAAAUAAUAAAUUGGAUCUGCAAGCGCACAGAUUAAUACCGAUGCAGCAUUUUAACCGGGAAGUAUUCCAGGUAUCGUUAUUUAUAUUUUUACCACUGAGAAGGGAUUAGCAAUCAUCAAUAUUGAUUACAGAAUAGAAUAUGCGAUUGAGCAUCUAUCAUUGCGUGUACAAUUGAGAACAUUAUAUCUAACUCUUCAUACAGGGAUAAGUGUCACAUAAAAGAUAUAUGAAAUAAUAAUAGUGACAAGGAUAACUAAUCUGAUAUAGCCACAUAAUAAAUAUGAUAAGCACCUCAAUUAGAUACUCUAGAAAGUCAUUAGCAUGGUAUUAGAACGAACUACAAGAAUAUUCCCUAAGUUAUUCUCAACUAUAUAGUCUAGCAUAUCAUAGUUAGUGCAAGCAUACUUAGCAAUCAUUGCGAGACAAGACUACGCCCAUGCAUAGUGAUAUUAGCAAGGAAUAUGAGAAACAUAGCAAUCACUCCCCUGUAAUAAUGUUGCUCUGCCAGCCCAAUACACGAGAGGGGGACUAUAUAAGAAUCAAUGAAGCUGUCACUAUCACGAACCACCCCACGAUCUGGCAUAUUGGGUACAAUCGCAGAUAAAUACGGUAUAAGCACCACGCCUACACAAUAUCUAUCAUUUACCCAUGGAUCUGAUGGAUAAACGCUAUACGAUCCUAAGCAUGUAUAUAGAUCCAAUCUAACUAAGCCAAGUACAUAACUAUGAUAAACUAAGAACAAUAUAAUCUUGAAUAUAAGCAAGUAGAGCAAAGUCAUAAGCAAUAUAUUGAAGUAGAACAAAGUCAUAUUCAUAAUAUUGAAGAACAAAGAUAAUUAGAAAGCAAUUAGAAGCACAAUUAGAGAAUUACCAAGAAUCCUCUUGACAGAUCCGGAAACCAAUCGAAGAUUGACUCCUUCUAGUUCUAAUCCUAUGUAGCUAUGCUAAUCUAGAUAUCUAAUUGAUGUGGUGGCUCUAAUCUUGAUCAGAGGCUUCUUCUCCCUUGAUGGAACAAUGAAUUAGGGUUGAGAGGCUCUCUCCUCCAGGGGCCAGGGGGUCUGGUUUUAUAGUCCCUUCAAGUGAAUAUGGGCCCUUGGAUCAAACCGACAUAGAUUGUAUGGUUUAGAUUCAUCCUUUAGGUCGGUGGAGACUUCCCGCAAAGCAGAGUCCUGAUUGGACUUGGGAGCAGGGCGGGCGCCCAGUAGGACAGGGCGGGCGCCCUGUCUCUGGCCCCGAUUCGCCUCCGCUUCGGUCUCGUAGCUUCUGGAGUCUUCUAGAUGUAAGAUAAUUGCGCAGCACGUUAAUACCUUUACGUAAUCCUGACAUGUGGGCCUUUCUUCCAUAUUUCCUGAUAACCCCCUGCAGAAAUAGACAAACACCAAAACUCGUGGAAUUCUGUCAGAUAAAACCCUAAGUCUAGAUCUUGAAUUCAUUUGGAUCCUUUUCUUUAUUUAUUUGAUAAUUAAAUUUGAUACUUAAGGACCGUCAACAAACUCCCUCAAGCUUACCUCUUGCUCGUCCCUGAGCAAGGAUAGACUCAGCUAUGGAUCAUAAGUUGUUGCUAUAUUUUAAAAAUUUGACGGUACACAUGCUUUUAAAUAAGAUCUCAUCUCUGAGUUAGAGUAAACUGUCAAGACUUAAAACUUACUUACUUUACCUACACCAUGGGACUUGUAACCGUCACUUCUGUCUUGAGUGGUUAAAAGAUAGAACAGUCUAGCCAAGUGCCAUGUCUCUUAUUCUUGAUCAGCUAUAACUCUGGGGUUUUUUUGCAGAUUUUCAAAUAAAACUCAGAGAUUCCUUGUAUGAUUCUCUCAGGUCUCUCUUUUGUGGUAUUUUUGGAUCCUUACCAAGGCAUUGAUGGUAUAUGCCUUCUCUCAAGAUAUGUAGUAUUUGUGGUAUAAGGCAUAGUGACAUUGCCUUCUCUCUCACCCUACUCUAAUAAGGCUUUAAUAUCUGGAGCUCAUAGGUGGGAGAUAAAGUAUACAUACUUACAAGACAUUUAUUGCAUAGUCAAACCAUGGAUCCAAAGUAACAAGUCAAUAAGCCAAAUCAAGAUGUGCAUGUGUGGCGAAUGAAUGGUGUAUGGUGAUGAUGGUGAUAACAAUGGUGAAACAAUGGUGGUGGAAGUCUAAUUCUACUUUGCUCUUUUGAGGGGAUACAUACCUUCCUUGCUUUUGAAACUUUAUGAGGAGAAUGAGAUGCUCUUCUUUUUCUUGUCUCUCAGUGGGUAUCUUGUACCCCUAAUUCUACUAUCGGACACUUGUCCAUUUUUACCUCUCGUCUCACUCUUUCUUUUCUUUCGAGGUUCCGAGCACUUGCUCCUUUUUAUUUCCUCGUAUAUUUUUUUAUUUUCUUCUUUUUUCUAGAGCACUCAUCUCUUGAGAUAAUAUAGCAAGUGGUAGUAACAAGAUAACUUGAGCAUUUAUUUCACAAGGGGAAACAGAAAUAUUUUUGGUUAUUCUCUCCCGGAUUAGGAGCAGAAUAGUUUUGGGUGAUUCUGGAGAUGGAAAUGGAUGGAUAUAUGUGGAUGGUACUUCCGGAGUAGAAGUAGCAUAUAUGAGUGAACGUGCAAGUGAAAUCUUGAUUUAACCACAUGACAAGCUCCUAAGGGUCUACACAGCUUGACCACACUCAAUGCUCAUAAGCAGUAAAUAGUAAAUGUGUGGCUCAAAGUCUAGCAAGCAUGUAUAUAUGGCUGUGGUAGGAAUUUAAGCUCUCAUCAUACAGGAACUCAUUAUGCAACAUUUUAAAGAUUUUCAAAGAUAAAAUUCUCUAGAAUUCUAGCAUCUCUAGGAACAGAUAAACAGCAGCUCAACCUUCCCAUAUCGUAUCCGUUAACAACUUAGACUUCAGAUCAAGUUUUCAUCCCACAAGUUUAGGUCUAGGGCAAGCUUUAAAUUAUAACAGUUAUAUCUAAACUUGAGAGAGAACUUAGAAUGUGCAAAUUAGACAGAGCAACUAUUUAUCAUAUCCAUGCUUAAGUUUUAUUUAGAUACAGAUUAGCAUAGCCACUUAAACACACUAAGCAAAAGACAUAUAUAAGCAUAAAAUCUUUAUUUGGUUUUCCCAUAGUUUAUGUGUAUUUUAAUAUUCUAAAAUAAUAUAAGUAUAAAGAUAGAUAGAUAUACUUAUCGGGAUAAAUGGGGGUGCUCUCCCCGAAGCUGAAUUUUGACGUAAUUUCCCUUGAUGUAGCUAGCAGGUGGCAGAGGUGUAGUUGAAAGUCAGCAGCAUUCUGACAGCGAUUAGAAUGUCCUCCGUCUGCUAGUCUUCUUGAUUCUUAAAUUCUGUGGAGCUCAAAUAGACAACAUAGCUUGUGGAACUGAUUAAGUGUUAGCAUAAAUAUCUAGGCUUUAUCAUGUUGAGACUCCUUAAUAAUUGUUACUCCCUGUUUUUAUAUUUUUUUUAUUUUAUAAAGCAGAAAUGAAAUAUUUAUUUUAUUUGUAUGUCACCACAGUGAAUGUACUUAUGGGUUUUAUGCCACUCGUCUACUCACAUGGGGCUUACAGUUUUUCACAUUUUUAUUUUUUUUAGGAUAGCACGAACAUAAUUAACUAAGUAAACUAGUCGAAAUAAUUAAAAGGGAAAGGAUAACUACUAAGUUUACCUCUUGGCAGGGCGUUCGGUGUUUUUAAGUCCUCCGAACGGGACUCUCCAAUUUCUUAAUCGUCCUGAGGUUCGUUGGGUGGCGAAGUCGGUACUUCUGGCAGCGCCUCCUCUUCUUGUAUAGUUAUCUUCAUUUUCCAUACCUGACUCGGUGCUUCAAUCUCCUCUGGAUAAUUCUGUUUAAACUCCAUGUCUUCUGACCUUACAACUUCUCCUUCAUAGUCUUCCCAUCCGUCCUUGAUGAUCUGCCUCCUCUGGUUGCGGUUGCGUCUCUUUCUGACCUGUUUAGAUUCUUCAAUGAUAUAGUUAGGGUCAGUAAAAUAACGGCGUACCUUCUCUGAGGGGAAGUGCAUAUGGACUUCUCUGGUUCCAAUGUAGAUAAUUGCUUUAACGGUGCUGAGGAACGGUCUUCCAAGGAUGAUGGGUGGAUCGUACUCGUCUUCUCCCAUGUCAAUAACUUGAAAGUCUGUGUAGACAAAGUGAUCGUCUAUUUUGACUGGGACAUCAGAUAUUAUUCCUUGAACUUCUCAAAAUGUCUGAUCUGCCAUCUGGAGCUGAAUGUAUGUUGGUCUUAGUGGCAUGGUCCCGAAGAAGAGCCGAUAAGUGACUGCGGCCAUUAUGUUGACGCCCGAUCCGGUGUCGCAAAUCGUCUUGUAGAAGUUAUAUCCAUUUAUGGAGCAGUAGAUGCUUGGCAUUCCUGGGUCGUCCUUCUUGGUCAAAAACGGUGACUUAAGUUGGUGAUCUUGGCCUCCAUGGACUACAGUGACCAUCUUAGCUGACUCGGUCCACACUUGCUUGUUCCUGUUUCUCCUGUUGGUCCUCUUCCUUGAUUCACGUUUGGAUUGAUCUGGAAUUUGUGUAGUCUUGUUCUUGAAGAAAAAUGUCUCCUUCUUCCCUUUGACGUAGAAACUGAUCUUGGCAGCACUGGCGUAGAUGAUAGCUCCCGUGGUGUUCAAAAAUGGCCUUCCUAAGAAGAUAGGUGCUCUCUCAUCAUUUCCGGUCUCAACCACUACGAAGUCUGCUGGGGCAUAUAAAGUACCAACUCGGACACAAAGGUUCCUCACUAUUCCUUUUGGAAAAGUUAUCGUCUGAUCUGCAAACUGCAAACACAUGGUUGUUUCUAAUAAAGGAUAUGUAAAGAAUUUCUCAUAGAGUACCCUGGGUAUAAUGUUGACGCUAGAGCCAAAGUCACAGAGUGCUUCUGGAACGUCCACCAUGCCGAUGGAGAUCGGGAUGAUGGGGCGUCCUGGAUCGCCUCUCUUGACCGGCAGACGGUCAGUAGAAAAUUCAGUGACGGGGUUACUCCAAUUACCUGCAUCAAACACGUCUAUAAGAUUUGCAGAUUCUAAUCCUUCCGGUUGUGAUGGUAUACUGGGGUUAGUAGUAGGAACAGCAGCAGCUAUUUGAUUUAACUGAGAUUCAAUCAUUUUAUUAAAGCUAAUUUGAUUCUUGAUGGCAGUAGAGAAAUUAUCCAUUCUAUUAUUUAUAUUUUCUAGCAUUUUAUCAUUAGACUCCAAUUUCUUAGAUAGAUUAUCCAUUAGCUUUCCUUGAUUAGACACUAACUCUCUCAAAGGUGGAAAAUUAUUAUUAUUGUUGUAAGAAUUGUUACCUUGAUAAUUACCUGAGUAGUUAGGCCUCUGUUGAUUCCAACCUUGAUUUUGUUGAGGACGGUUGUAGUACUUGUUGUUAUUGUUGUUGAUGUAGUUCACAUCCUCAAGCAUCUCAGGGCAGUGGUUGCCUGAGUGUCCAGUGUCUCCACACUCCUCACAAGUCAUGUGAGAGUCGUAGAUGUGCAUAACUUCUUUCUUGUCUCCAGCUCUAUCGUCGAGCUUCUUCAUGAGCAGGUCUAGCUUUGCAGACAGCAUGUCUACCUCCUUCAGCUGAUGCAUACCUCCACCUCUCUUGCAUGUCUGGGUCCUCUCUUCAUUCCAGCUUUGGUUGGAGGCCAUCUUCUCCACAAGAGCUGUGGCUUGUGGUAUAGUAAGUGAUAAGAAUGCUCCUCCAGCUGCAGCAUCCAUGGUCUCUCGGGCACUGUUGCUGAGCCCAUGAUAGAAUGUCUGCAUCAGUAGCCAACUCUCCAUUCCAUGAUGGGGACAUUCUAGGAUGUAGUCUUGAAAGCGCUCCCAUGUAUCUGGAACAGAUUCAUCAUUUUGUUGCUGAAAACUUGUAAUCUUCCCACGGAGAGCAUUGGUCUUGCCCAUGGGAAAGAACUUUGCCAGGAAGUUUGUUGAGCAGAGUGCCCACGUAGUAUUCUUCUCCUUUGUAGCGUAGAACCACUGCUUCGCUCUUCCUAACAGUGAGAAUGGGAAGAGGCGAAGUAGUAUAGCAUCUUUGGAAACUCCUGCUAUGGUGAAUGUGUUGCAGAUCUCCAGGAAGUGUUGUAAAUGAGCAGUAGCGUCUUCGUGUGCCUUCCCACAGAACUAGUUGGAUUGCACCAUGUUGAUAAGUCCAGGCUUGAGCUCAAAGUUGCCAUCGAUCUCUGCAGCAGGUCCAGUGCGGAUGUUGUCCGUAGUGGGAGCUGAGAACUCGCGGAUUGAUUUGUUCGCCAUUGCUUCGAACUCUGAAGACAAGUUCCGGUGAUCUUCUUGAUUGGAUGAAGCUUCUUCGUGAAGUGUUGAUGAUUUCUUUAGCUUGGCUCUCGUCUUCUUGAAUAAUGCUUCAGGAUUGUCAACAAAAUUUCCUGGAAGAUGUCUUCUAUUCAUACAUUCCCCUGCAUAAGAUAAAAUAGAAAAAUAUCGGGGUAAAACUGUAUGAGAGAAUAGAUAAGCUCAAUCAUAUUAGUGAUGCGAAUGAUAACUCAAAAUCUUUUAUUCCAUUCCUGAUUAGUAAUCAACCUUCCCCGGCAACGGCGCCAAAAAUGCUUGUUGGGUAUUCUUAACAUCAUUACCAAAAGUAGACUAAGUUCUCUAAAUCUAGUAACGGUGCCAAAAAUGCCAAACCUAUCCCUCACACCACUUAAGCCAAGUUGUCAUCCCCAGCAUGAUAUGAGAGACGCGGUAUUGAAAUAUGCAAUUGCUCUUCUAAAUAAAUAAUAAAUUGGAUCUGCAAGCGCACAGAUUAAUACCGAUGCAGCAUUUUAACCGGGAAGUAUUCCAAGUAUGGUUAUUUAUAUUUUACCACUGGGAAGGGAUUAGCAAUCAUCACUAAUGAUUACAGAAUAGAAUAUGAGAUUGAGCAUCUAUCAUUGCAUGUAUAAUUGAGAACAUUAUAUCUAACUCUUCAUACAGGGAUAAGUGUCACAUAAAAGAUAUAUGAAAUAAUAAUAGUGACAAGGAUAACUAAUCUGAUCUAGCCACAUAAUAAAUAUGAUAAGCACCUCAAUUAGAUACUCUAGAAAGUCAUUAGCAUUGUAUUAGAACGAACUACAAGAAUAUUUCCUAAGUUAUUCUCAACUAUAUAGUCUAGCAUAUCAUAGUUAGUGCAAGCAUACUUAGCAAUCAUUGCGAGACAAGACUACGCCCAUGCAUAGUGAUAUUAGCAAGGAAUACGAGAAACAUAGCAAUCACUCCCCUGUAAUAAUGUUGCUCUGCCAGCCCAAUACACGAGAGGGGGACUAUAUAAGAAUCAAUGAAGCUGUCACUAUCACGAACCACCCCACGAUCUGGCAUAUUGGGUACAAUCGCAGAUAAAUACGGUAUAAGCACCACGCCUACACAAUAUCUAUCAUUUACCCAUGGAUCCGAUGGAUAAACGCUAUACGAUCCUAAGCAUGUAUAUAGAUCCAAUCUAACUAAGCCAAGUACAUAACUAUGAUAAACUAAGAACAAUAUAAUCUUGAAUAUAAGCAAGUAGAGCAAAGUCAUAAGCAAUAUAUUGAAGUAGAACAAAGUCAUAUUCAUAAUAUUGAAGAACAAAGUUACAUAACUAUGUAACUUUCUUCAAAGGAAUAGCUUCAACCCAUUUGGUGAAAUAAUCGGUGGCAACCAAGAUAAACUUAUGUCCUUUGCUAGAUGGCGGAUAAAUCUGGUCAAUCAAGUCAAUAGCCCAUCCUUGGAACGGCCAAGGUUUGAUAAUAGGAUUCAUGGCCGAUGCGGGUGCUCUUUGAACAUUGCCAAAUUUCUGACAUCCUUGACACCCCUUGAAAUAUUUAAAGCAAUCUUCAAGUAUGGUUGGCCAAUAAUACCCAUUCCUCCUAAUCAUCCACUUCAUCUUAAAAGCCGACUGAUGUGCUCCACAUACUCCUUCAUGGAUUUCUCCCAUUAAACUUUUAGCCUCAUCAUCACCUAAGCACCUGAGAAGAAUCCCAUCAAUGGUUCGAUAAUAUAAUUCAUCUUCGAGGAGCACAUACUUGGUGGCUUGAAACCAAACACGUCUCUCAACUUUCUUGGAUGGAUCCUUUAAAUAAUCAAUGAUUUCUUUUCUCCAAUCAUCGGCACUGAUUGCCGAUAUUGCGUUUAACAUGGGAUGAUAUCCCGAGGCAUGCUGAGCCAACCGAUUGGCCUCUUCAUUAUGAAACCGAGGAACAUGCUCUAACCGGAAAUCUUUGAAUUCCUUUAAUAAUUGCAUACUCCUUUCGUGACAAGUUAUCAGGACUUCGCUUUGACAUUCAUAGCUUCUAGCCAAUUGAUUUAUAACCAGCAUAGAAUCCCCGAAGACUUCAACAGCAUCAGCAUGAACUUCUCUUAGCAAUUCCAACCCCUUUAUCGAAGCUUGAUACUCAGCUUGAUUAUUUGUUGACGUGGCAACAAUCGGCAAGGAGAACUCAUACUUCCUUCCCCGAGGGGAAAUUAACACUAUGUCGAUCCCUGCCCCCCGUCACAAGUGGAUCCAUCAAAGAAGUGCGUCCAAGGUACAAUUUCCAGAGUCUCUACUGUACCGCAAUGUUGAGUUACGAAAUCGGCCAUAAUCUGUCCCUUAACCGCUUUAGCCGAUUCGUAACGCAAAUUGAAUUCCGACUGUGCCAAAAUCCACUUACCGAUCCUGCCACUCAUAAUCGGCAUAGACAGCAUAUAUCGGACCACAUCAUCUUUGCAUAUAAUAGUGCAUUCAGCCGAUAACAAAUAGUGUCUCAACUUAAUACAUGAGAAAUAAAGACACAAACAUAACUUUUCAAUAGCCGAAUACCUGGUCUCAGCAUCAAUCAAUCUCCUGCUUAAAUAAUAAAUCACACGUUCCUUCCCUUCAAAUUCUUGAAUGAAAGCCGAACCGAUGACCAUACCAUCGGUAGAUAAAUAUAAUCCGAAGGGCUUUCCUUGCUGAGGUGGAAUCAGAACUGGAGGAUUUACCAAAUAAUUCUUGAUUUCAUCUAAAGCCAAUUGUUGCUCUUUUCCCCAUACGAACUCUUGAUCGGCUUUCAAUUUGAGUAAAGGACUGAAAGCACGAAUUUUACUAGACAAGUUAGAUAUAAAUCUCCUGAUAAAAUUUACCUUGCCGAUCAAGGACUAGAGCUCAGUUUUGUUGGUAGGAGCAACUAUUUUGCUGAUAGCAUCAAUGGAUCUCCUACUAAUUUCAAUCCCCCUUUGAUGCACCAUGAAACCAAGAAAUUGCCCUACUGAUACACCAAAUGCACACUUAUUAGGGUUCAUCUUUAAACCAUGCUUCCUUGUGUAUUCCAACACCUUUCGCAAAUCGGCAAGAUGCUUUGUGAAAUCUCUAGACUUAACCACCACAUCAUCAAUACAAAUUUCCACCACCUUGCCGAUGAACUCAUGAAAGAUAAAAUUCAUAGCCCUUUGAUAAGUAGCACCGGCAUUUUUCAAACCAAAGGUCAUGACUAUCUAUUCAAACAACCCAACAUGACCAGGACAUCUAAAUGCAGUCUUUGGAAUAUCUUCUUCAGCCAUGAAUAUUUGAUUGUAUCCUGCAUUGUCAUCCAUAAAGCUGAUGAUCCGAUGCCCAGCCGCAGCAUCAACUAACAGAUCGGCAACCGGCAUUGGGUAGCCAUCCAUCGGUGUAGUUUUGUUAAGAUUCCUGAAAUCAAUGCAAACCCGAAGCUUUCCAUUUUUCUUGUAUACUGGAACAACAUUGGAAAUCCACUCGGCAUACCGACACUACCGAAUAAAUUUAGCUUCGAUAAGUUUGGUUAUUUCGGCCUUAAUAUCAGGAAGAAUAUUAGGAUUACAUCGGCGAGCUGGCUGUUGAUGUGGCCGAAAUCUAGACUUGAUGGGUAACCGAUGUUCAACAAUCGAUCGGUCCAAACCAGGCAUCUCAGUAUAAUCCCAAGCAAAGCAAUCUUUAUAUUCCUUUAACAAAUCAGUUAACUGCUACUUACACUCAGAAUUUAACUUAGCACUAAUAAAAGUAGGCCUAGGUUUAUCACCACUACCUAUAUCUACCUCUACCAAAUUAUCGGCCGAUGUGAAUCCUUGGCAUAAUUUUCCAUCAUCGGCAAACCUAUCCAUUAAAACUCCUCGUCAGAACCGACUGCUUGGAUCGGUGGAAUCUCAUAAUCGGCAACUUUGAGGAAAUCCUUCUUCCAAAUUUCUCCCGAAAUACACCUAGUCCUCUCAUAUGUAUCUGCCUCUGCCGAUGCGAUUACAUAAGAAGAAUCCCCCGGGAUAAUCUCAAUCUUGUCGCCUACUCACUGGACCAAGCACUGGUGCAUUGUAGACGGGAUGCAACAAUUGGCAUGAAUCCAAUCUCUCCCUAGCAGCAAAUUAUAAGCACCUUUUCCGUUGAUCACGAGGAAAGUUGUCGGCAAGGUUUUGCUGCCGAUGGUCAACUCGACGCAUAUUGCCCCCUUAACUAGAGACACGUUUCCCUCGAAGUCCUUUAGCAUCAUAUCGGUCUUGGUCAAAUCUUGAUCCCCUUUUCCAAGCUUCCGAUAUACUGCAUACGGCAUGAUGUUGAUAGCACCUCCACCAUCAAUUAAUAUCUUGGUCAUUGGCUGAGCAUCAACCCUUCCUCUGACAAACAGAGCUUUAAGAUGCUGCCUUUCAUUGUCGGCAGGCUUUUCGAAGAUAGCUGUCAUCGGAUCCAGAGCCAACUGAGCUAUCUGGUCGGAAAACUCCAACUCCUCAUCAUCGCUGGACAGCACAAGGAAUUCCAUCAGCAACAUAAAUACCAUGUUAACAUCUGCCGAUGGCCCUUUCCCCUUAGGACCUGAUUGUUGCUGAUCCCAGACUGGCCAAAGUUCUCACCCUUGCUUAGUUCUUCCCGCCUUUCGCGUUGCAGUCUCCUUUUCUAUGUCUUAGUCAACCCCUCCAGACACCAUGGGGGAAGUGGUGACUGCCUUGCCGAUGGACGACGAUGUUCCCUUGACUCCAUCCGAUGAGUAUUAGCAUCCCUGCAAAAUAUAAACUCAUCGGGAACUCGUGCAUUAGCCAUCUCUUCAAGCUCUUCCUGGUUCGUGGGAAAAUAUUCGAUACGAUCACCAAGCCUAUCAUUGUUGGGUAUUUUAAACGCAAACAGAAAAAUCCGCAAGCGCACGGAUACCGAUGUAGCCUUCACCCGGGAGUAUUCCAGAGUAUCAAUUUUCCACAGGGAACGUGAGUGUACUAAUUAAGAUCCAAGAUCGCCCAAGGAUAACUAUAUAAUUAUUUUUGGUGGGAAGAGAGGAAGUUUCCUGAGAGUUCUCUAGUUGAUCUAAGAAUCAAGAAUUACUUCAAGAUUAUCUAUAUCGGGACAUCAGAACACUAACCACAGAAAGAGAUGAGAAGGGGGCUAGGAAGGUCUGACUACGGUCCUACAAACACCGAUCCGAACGAGGUGGAAUACAUCGACCGUUAGGGCUGUCACUACCCUAGGGCUACCACAACAAUCCGCAGGAUUGGGUGCAAUUCCAGGUAAUUGCAAGACUAAACACCACAUCUAAUCUAUUAAUUACUACUCUAAUAUUGCAAAGAUUAGAGCACUUGCUGCAAGCGGGAAUCCAAUAAAUAACUUGAAUGUAAAUAAAAGUAAUUAAAGAACUCAGGAUUAUGAAUUGAAGAACCUGGAGAACGACGAAGAACGAACCAGUUGCUGCAAAAGUACAAUGUUGAGGAAGAUCCGACAGAUCCGGCUCCUCCUCCGCUCUCCUCUUCUCUCUCUCUAUUUUCUAGAUUACAACUAGAACUAACUAGAACUAGAACUAGAGGAACUAGAACUAGAACUAGAUGAACUAGAACUAGAUCUAGAUGAACUAGAGGUAGAACUAGAAGAACUAGAGGGAUCCUCUCUACUUGGAUGAAGAAUUGAAACCCUAACUUUGAUUCUGUAGAAGAGGUAUGCCUCCAGGGGCUGGUGGGGGUCUGCUUAUAUAGUCCAGGAAGAGUAGCCCCCAAGAAAUCUAGGAAGAGUAGCUCCCAAGAAAUCUAGAAAGAGUAGCUCCCAAGGAAUUUCCAUGUUAUUCUCCACCAUCCGAUCAAACCGACCUUAAUCGUGUGAUUUUCCUCGAUCCUUAGAGUCGGUGGAGCAUAAUCCCCGAGACUCGUGCUGAUUGGCCAGCAGAGGAGGGCGGGCGCCCAGGGGGGUAGGGCGGGCGCCCUGCUUCCGGGCCCGCUCGGCCUCCCGUUCGUUCCCGUGGCUUCUGGAGUCUUCUAGAUGGUAGAAAAUUGCACGACACGUUAAUACCUCUAUGUAAACCCGACGUGUGGGCCUUUCCUCCAUAUUUCCUGAUAACCCCCUGCAGAAAUAGACAAACACCAAAACUCGUGGAAUUCUAUCAGAUAAAACCCUAAGUCUAGGUGUUGGUUGCAUUUGGAUCCUUUUUCAUGAUUAGUUGAUGGUUAAAUGUGAGCAUUAAGGACCGUCAACAAGCUCCCCCAAGCUUAACCUUUGCUCGUCCCUGAGCAAAGCUGAAAUCAACAAGAAAACAGGGGUUACUUUUAUGCCUCUUACUACAGGGUUUUUAAGUUAUCACUAAGGUCUUAAGUGAUUGAAAAACAGAAUGAUCAAGUCAAGCACUAUGUCUUAAGUUCUUCUGUCUUACCUGUGUUCUGGAGUUUUUUUUUUAUAAGUCUGCAAAAUGAAACUGAGGCAUUGCCUUCUUCUCGGAAGAUAUAUAAGUGGAGCUUUAAAAGUUUUAGCAUACUUUCUUUGCAUUUUGCUAUGUCAACGCUCGGAGUAAGGGAGAAGAAUGUCAUACUCCUAGAUCAAGACCUUUGACCUUUUUGAAAAGUUUGUCAUCUCUUACUGGCAUAUUGCUUAUUAGAGGGACCAUGGGCUAUCAUUUUUUUUCUUUUUUUUCUCUUUUUUUUCAGUCUCUUUUUUUCAAGUGGGCAGCAAGUACCCCUAAUUCUACUGUCGGACACAUGUCCAUUUUUUCCACUCAGGUGGGUAUCUUUGUACCCCUAAUUCUACUUCGGACACUUGUCCAUUUUUUACCUCUCGUCUCACUCUCUUUUUUUUCGAAUCAAAUUUUUGCAUAGUCCCAUGCCUCUAACACAAUAAUACUUCGGAAGAGUGAAUCUUUUAUAUUUUUAAAACAAAAAGAUCUUGAUCUUGGGAGCAUGAUAAUUCUCUCAACCAAAACUACAAGAAUUAACAAUGGCUUGAACAAAGCAAGUGCCCACAGUUUUAAUAUUUAUAUCUUAUAAGACUCUAGGUAUUAUGAUCUCAUAUUUUUUUUUGAAUUUUUAGAUUUUCAAAAGAUAAAAUCUCCAGAACUCUAGCAAAACUUGGAACAAGUUAAAUAGUAGCUCAGACCUUCUCAUAUCAUGUUUGUCAAUUACCUAGACUUGAAUCAAACUUUCUUUUUAUUUUAAACUUAGGAUUACACAAAACUAUUCUAUAUUACUCAAAAGAAAAACUUUGCUUGGUUUCAUGGUUAUGCAUUUUUUUAUUUCCGAAUACUAGUAAAUAAACCCAAGAAAGAAAAGUAAUACUUAUCUAGAUACACGUGGGGGUGCCUCCCCCAAGCUGGAUGUUGACAUAGUCGUUCACUCUUGUGGCCUGCAUGUUCGGUCUCACUCUUCUUAAGCCUCAAAAUCCUGCACAACCCAAAUAGACAACAAAACUAGUGGAACAUGUUAAGGGUUAGGUAAUUGUCUAGAGCUUAUGAGAGCUUAAUAUGAGAAUUCUAUAAACUCAAUCACAUCAAGUUCCUCUACCCGGUUGUUUUGAGGCUCAAGAUAGAUUUUCAAGCGUUGACCAUUUACCUUAAAAGUGUUACCUAUGUCGUCUUGGAUGGUAAUGGCUCCAUGUGUUGAAGUGUCAAUAACCUUGUAUGGUCCAUCCCACUUUCUUCGUAGCUUACCAUGACCAAAGAGCUUAACUCUUGAAUUGAAUAGUAGAACCUUAUCUCCAGGCUUAAACUCCUUGUGCUUGAUUCUCUUAUCAUGCCAUCGUUUUGUUCUCUCUUUAUAAAUGCUUGAAUUGUGGUAGGCUUUCUCUCUCCAUUCUUCUAGCUCAGAUAGUUGCAUCAGACGAUUCUCGCUAGCGAGGUGGAGAUCCAUAUUCCAUUUCUUGAGUGCCCAGUGAGCCUUAAACUCUACUUCCACAGGCAAGUGACAAGUUUUUCCAUAUACAAGUUGAUAAGGUGACAUGCCUAUGGGUGUUUUGAAUGCAGUUCUAUAUGCCCAAAGCGCAUCAGGAAGUUUGUCCUUCCACCCCUUACCCAUCUCAUCUACGGUCUUUUGUAAAAUAUUUUUGAUUUGUUUAUUAGAUGUUUCGGCUUGACCGCUAGUCUGAGGAUGGUAUGGUGUUGCGACGUUGUGUCGAACUCCAUGAUCGGCUAGGUAUUUCCGAAAGAUUUUAUCGAUGAAGUGGGAACCUCCAUCGCUUAUAACUAUCCGGGGUAUACCAAAGCGAGGAAAGAUUACUUCAUGGAACAUUCUCUUGGCAUGUUUUGAAUUAGCUGAUCGACAAGGUAGGGCUUCUACCCAUUUGGACACAUAGUCCACAGCUACUAAGAUAUACUCGCAAUUCCCGGACAUAGGGAAUGGCCCCAUGAAAUCAAUGCCCCAAACAUCGAAAAGUUCUACUUGAAGAUUAUUUGUGAGAGGCAUUUCAUUUCGUGAGUUAAUAUUCCCAUGUUUUUGACACCGGUGGCAUCUCCUGACAAAGUCCUUUGUAUCUUCAUACAUCGUUGGCCAGAAAAAACCACUUUGCCAAAUUUUAGCAUGUGUCCGAAAUGCUCCAUAGUGUCCUCCAUAUAGCGAGGCAUGGCAUCUUUCCAUAAUUUGAGUAGCCUCAGCCAUAGGAACACACCUUCUCAAGAGUCCAUCAGCGCAGACUCGGAAAAGAUAUGGCUCAUCCCAAAGGUGGAAACGACUAUCGUGAAGUAACUUCCUUUUGUUUGCACCAGGUGGGACAUAGCCUUUUACUAUAAAGUUUACGAUGUCUGCGUACCAUGGAUCUGCAUGUGUUAUCUUAAGUAGGGUGUCAUCCCUUAGGUAGUCAUUUAUGGGAAGCUCAUCAUGUGUUUCCUUAUAGUGAAGCCUGGACAAGUGGUCGGCUACAGAAUUCUCUACUCCCUUCCUAUCUCGGAUUUCUAUGUCAAAGUCUUGGAGUAGAAGAAUCCAUCGAAUUAGACGAGGCUUAGCAUCUUUCUUAGUGAGGAGGUACUUGAGAGCAGCAUGGUCUGAAUAGAUGAUUAUCUUUGCCCCCACUAAGUAUGAUCUAAACUUGUCUAUAGCAAAGACAACAGCCAAAAGCUCUUUUUCAAUUGUAGUGUAAUUGAGCUGUGGUCCAGACAAGGUUUUGCUAGCGUAGGAUAUGGCAUAAUGCUUUCUAUCCUUGGUUUGUCCUAAAACGGCACCAACCGCAAAAUCGCUAGCAUCACACAUGAUCUCAAAAGGAAGAUUCCAAUCAGGUGGUUGGAUAAUCGGGGCUGAGAUGAGUGCUUUCUUAAGAGUUUGAAAAGAUUCAUGACACUCAUCACUAAAGAUGAAAGGUGCGUCCUUAGCUAGGAGAUUAGUUAGGGGUCUAGCAAUUUGAGAGAAAUUCUUGAUAAAGCGUCUAUAGAACCCUCCAUGUCCCAAAAAGCUACGGAUUCCUUUCACAUUCGUGGGAGGUGGAAGUUUUUCAAUAACUUCAAUCUUUGCUUUGUCCACCUCUAUACCACGUUCGGACACUUUAUGUCCUAGCACUAUUCCUUCCUGAACCAUAAAAUGGCAUUUCUCCCAGUUCAAGAUUAAGUGUUUUUCUUCACAUCGCUGCAAGACUCUAUCUAAAUUCUCCAAACAAUGAUCGAAGUUUUUUCCAUAGACGGUAAAAUCAUCCAUGAAAACCUCCAUGAUCUUCUCAAUCAUGUCCGAGAAAAUAGACAUCAUGCACCGUUGGAAAGAAGCUGGAGCAUUGCACAAUCCGAACGACAUUCGUCGGUAUGAAUAAGUUCCAUAUGGGCAUGUAAAGGUAGUCUUUUCUUGGUCAUCUAGGUGGAUUGGGAUUUGGUGAUAUCUAGAAUAACCAUCAAGGAAACAAAAGAAAGAGUGGUUUGCAAGCCGUUCCAACAUUUCAUCAAUGAAGGGUAACGGAAAGUGAUCUUUCUUUGUAGCCUUGUUAAGUUUUCGAUAGUCAAUACACAUACGCCACCCAGUGACAAUUCAUUGAGGGAUGAGUUCAUUCUUCUCAUUCCUAACGACCGUCAUUCCUCCUUUCUUUGGCACUACUUGGACAGGGCUAACCCACUCACUAUGUGGCACAGGAUAAAUAAUCCCAGCACGAUAGAGUUUGAGGACCUCUUUCUUAACAACCUCUCGCAUAGCAUUGUUAAGUCUCCGUUGUGGUUCCCUUGAAGGUGUAGAAUUGGGAUCAAUAGGGAUACGAUGAGUGCAGAGAAUGGGACUAAUGCCCAUGAGAUCCUCGAGAGAGUAGCCAAAAGCUGAUCUAUGUCUUUCAAGAACAGUGACAAGUUGUUGUGUUUCAUAAUCGGAAAGCUUGUCACUGAUAAUUACUGGAGUUUUUGAGUUGUUGUGCAAGAAGACAUAUCUAAGGCCAGAAGGAAGAGGUUUUAACUCUAUCGAAGGAGGUGAAGGUUGUUCAUUUUUGUCUAGCUCAUCGGGUUCUACCAACUCUUCUUCUUCUUGAACAAAGUGUUCAUGAUUAAAGAAUGGUUGGGCCAUCUCCUCUUGAGUCACCAUUAAGACCUCCUCAAUAGGAUCUGGGUCAAGUUUGGGUUCCACUAUCGUGUUAAUUGAUCUAACAAGAGGAACAACAAUAGUGGAAUUCCCAACCUUGAAGUCUAAAUGACCUCGUUGUGGUUGUUCCUGUAGAAGUUUCAUGAUUGGUCUGCCAAUCAAGAGAGGAAUCUCCGGUAUGUUAAAAAUGUGAAAAUCUAGACAUAUUCCAGAGUCCUUAAUUCUAACAGGAACUGCCCUUAAUACCCCAUGGCUUUCUAGAAUUAAUCUAGAUGGACUUUGUAAAAGUUUUUGAGAUGGGGUUAUGGACUCGUUGGGAUAAAGAGUGUCCGCUAACUCCUUGGAAAUAACAUUUAUCCCAACAUAUGGAUUGUAGUGGACCUUCCUAACGGACCGUCUAAUUUGGCACAGAAGAAUGGUUGAAGGAGUGAUGAUCCGAGCUACCUCAGGAGACAGCUCUGCUUCUGUUAGCCAUUCAUAACUCAGAAUAGCCGAAAGGCUUUUGAUGUGUUCUAUGUCAACAGAUUCUACUCUUAGAACGGAUUGAGUGGUCCUUGCUAUAGGUCGUGUUUGGAUAGGAAAAUUUGAGGUGUUUCCAUAAUCUUCAAAAAGAUCUUCCUCGAAUUCAAAGGGAUGCUCUAAAGGUGGUGGUUCAUCAUCCUUUAGUUGGUUUUGCAUUCCCUUAUCAGGAGGUUUCUCUACAACCAAAUUAAUAGGUGGGUCAGGUGGAAUUUCUAACUCGGUUGCAAGUUCCUCAUCUUUUGGUUUAGGAUCAGGCUUGACUUCUUUUUCUUCUUCAGGAAACUCAUCAUAAAUGCCUGUGUAAGGGGUAUUUUCAAGGAUUCUCUCUAGGAUAGCUCUCCCCUCAUCUGUAAGUUUGUGUGUGAAUGAGCCUCCUGAAGCAAUGUCGAGGUGAAGAGCAGCUUCCUUGUUUAGACCACGAUAAAAGUGGUAGUACAGUACAUGGUCAGGCAGGGAAAGGUUUGGACCGGAAUUGGUAAGGCUUGUGAACCUAGCCCAAGCUGCUCCUAAAGUUUCCUUCUCUCUUUGUUUGAAUGUAAGAAUUUCGAUUCUAAGGUCAGCGAUUCGAAAGAGUGGGAAGAAAGCGAGACAAAAGUUGUCCCGAAGUUCGUCCCAAUUUCCAUUAACGCCUCCUACAGAAUGAGCAUACCACUUUUUUGCUCUUCCCAAAAGGGAGAACGGAAAUAAUUUCCAUUUAAGGGUUUCUUGUGUCAUGCCAGAAAUAGAUCGGCAAGAACACAACUGCUCGAAUUCUCUAAGGUGGGUGUAUGGAUCUUCAUCUACUUGCCCAGAGAAGGGUUGCUCCUGAAUCAUGGUUAUUAGAUCAGGGCCGAGGUCAUAGCCAUCUGUAAGAAUUGGAUGUGAUGAUGGUGGUGGCUCUAAUAACUCGCCCUUUGGAGCAAAGAAUUUAUAGAUAGGAGUGAAAUCCAUGUGGUGUGGUGAAAAUGGUAAGGUGAGUGUGGUAAAAAAGAAAGGAAAAAGGAUACACGGACGACUUGGUUCGAAACUAGCACAGCUACCGUUCCCCGGCAACGGCGCCAGAAAGCUUGUUGGGUAUUUUAAACGCAAACAGAAAAAUCCGCAAGCGCACGGAUACCGAUGUAGCCUUCACCCGGGAGUAUUCCAGAGUAUCGAUUUUCCACAGGGAACGUGAGUGUACUAAUUAAGAUCCAAGAUCGCCCAAGGAUAACUAUAUAAUUAUUUUUGGUGGGAAGAGAGGAAGUUUCCUGAGAGUUCUCUAGUUGAUCUAAGAAUCAAGAAUUACUUCAAGAUUAUCUAUAUCGGGACAUCAGAACACUAACCACAGAAAGAGAUGAGAAGGGGGCUAGGAAGGUCUGACUACGGUCCUACAAACACCGAUCCGAACGAGGUGGAAUACGUCGACCGUUAGGGCUGUCACUACCCUAGGGCUACCACAACAAUCCGCAGGAUUGGGUGCAAUUCCAGGUAAUUGCAAGACUAAACACAACGUCUAAUCUAUUAAUUACUACUCUAAUAUUGCAAAGAUUAGAGCACUUGCUGCAAGCGGGAAUCCAAUAAAUAACUUGAAUGUAAAUAAAAGUAAUUAAAGAACUCAGGAUUAUGAAUUGAAGAACCUGGAGAACGACGAAGAACGAACCAGUUGCUGCAAAAGUACAAUGUUGAGGAAGAUCCGACAGAUCCGGCUCCUCCUCCACUCUCCUCUUCUCUCUCCCUAUUUUCUAGAUUACAACUAGAACUAACUAGAACUAGAACUAGAGGAACUAGAACUAGAACUAGAUGAACUAGAACUAGAUCUAGAUGAACUAGAGGUAGAACUAGAAGAACUAGAGGGAUCCUCUCUACUUGGAUGAAGAAUUGAAACCCUAACUUUGAUUCUGUAGAAGAGGUAUGCCUCCAGGGGCUGGUGGGGGUCUGCUUAUAUAGUCCAGGAAGAGUAGCCCCCAAGAAAUCUAGGAAGAGUAGCUCCCAAGAAAUCUAGAAAGAGUAGCUCCCAAGGAAUUUCCACGUUAUUCUCCACCAUCCGAUCAAACCGACCUUAAUCGUGUGAUUUUCCUCGAUCCUUAGAGUCGGUGGAGCAUAAUCCCCGAGACUCGUGCUGAUUGGCCAGCAGAGGAGGGCGGGCGCCCAGGGGGGUAGGGCGGGCGCCCUGCUUCCGGGCCCGCUCGGCCUCCCGUUCGUUCCCGUGGCUUCUGGAGUCUUCUAGAUGGUAGAAAAUUGCGCGACACGUUAAUACCUCUAUGUAAACCCGACGUGUGGGCCUUUCCUCCAUAUUUCCUGAUAACCCCCUGCAGAAAUAGACAAACACCAAAACUCGUGGAAUUCUAUCAGAUAAAACCCUAAGUCUAGGUGUUGGUUGCAUUUGGAUCCUUUUUCAUGAUUAGUUGAUGGUUAAAUGUGAGCAUUAAGGACCGUCAACAAUCAUGCACACUGAGUCUGCCCCCCAGCCGAUCAUGAACGGAAGCUCUCCCCCUAAUCGGCCCCUUAAACCACCGACCAUCAUCGUUGUUGACGGUUCUUAAGUAUCAAUUUUAAUUAUCAAAUAAACAAGAGAAAGGACCAAUAUGCAACCAACACCUAGAAUUAGGGUUUGAUCUGACAGAAUUCCACGAGUUUUGUUGUUUAUCUGUUUCUACAGGGGGUUAUCAGGAAAUAAGGAAGAAAGGCCCACAUGUCGGGAUUACAUAGAGAUAUCAAUGCACCGCACGAUUUUCUACCAUCUAGAAGACUCCAGAAGCCACGGGAAGAAAACAGAGGCCGAAAGGGGCCAGGCCCAGGGCGCCCGCCCCCUGCUGGAUCCAGUUCGGGACUCUCUUCGCACGGGAUGUUCCACCGACCUAUUGGAUCGAGGAAAACAUAGUACCACCUCGCCUACCGACCUAAAAACGCAUAGAGGAGGAGGACUAUAUAAGGAGACCCCCCUGGCCCCUGGAGAAGACAUGAAGAAAUUAUCAUAGAGAUUGAGGGGUGCCCUCGAAGGAAAACCUCUUCUCUAAUUAAUAUUUCGUUUUAGGCUUAGCAACCAAUGUAAAGUAGAAAUAGAUCUUCUAGUUUCUACUAGAUUGAGAGAGAUAGAGUGGAGGUGUAGAUUGGAGGAAGCCCGGCCUGUCGGUGUCUACUCCAAGCUUGUACCUGCGGGAUCAAGUUCUCCUAACCCGAAGCUUGCUCCUAGGAUUCUUCAGUAUUUCGACUUCUAAAUUCUAGUAAGUUCUUGUUUUAUUGUUCUUAUGGUUUAUGAGUUUACUUUAAUCUCUUCGCGUAGAGUUUAGAGUAAUCGUUGCUAGCGUAAACGUGGUGUUUAGGCUGGGGUACUCAUAGAUAUUCCCUGACUAGCUGGACCGUGGUAGUAGUGAGGAACGUGACAAUUCCGAGUUACCUUUGCAGACCAUAUCUCGUUAGCAGGAAGGAUAGGGUUUAUAGGUGCGGGUUGAACAUCCUUUGUGGUGUCUAGAUUCCGUUAGCCUCCCCAAUAGAACAGUAAAUCAUCCUUACCAAGGUUAGAAGGAGACUACGGUUGCAGUCUUCUCUAUUUAUCACUCACAUCGAAAGACAUUCUUUGUGCCUAAAGGGUUAGUAGUAAUAGACCGGUUAGUCAGAUGCACUCUUUCUCCUAGUGGUAAAAAAAUAAAUACGAUACUCUAGAUAAUUUCCCGGGUGAAGUGCUCACCGAUAUCCGUGCGCUUGCGGAUCAAUUCCUUAUUGCGUUCCCAAAUAUCAACAAGCAUUUCUGGCGCCGUUGCCGGGGAGAAAGACGGUUGCUGAGAUAACCUUGAGUCUUACUACUAGCUUGUAUCUAUACUUUUAUCUUUUCUUAUCUUUUAUAUUCUUUAUUUAUUUUCUUUACUCUUACCUUAUGGAAAACCAAAAUUCUAAAUCAAUCCAUGAGUCUGCAAUCCCUUCAGUAACUGACCUUUUACCAUGGGAGUCAUCACAGCCUAUCCAAACAUCCCAGUAUAAGUUAAGUUCUAGGUUGAUUGCCAUGAUUCAAAACCUAUCUUUUUCGUUAAAGGAAGACGAAAACCCUUACCUUCAUAUUAGAGAUUUUGAGCAAACAUGUGAUUGUCUUCGCAUUGAAGGCAUUUCUGAUAAAACUUUACGUUGGAAGCUUUUUCCUUUUUCUUUAAGGGGAGAAGCUAGACAAUGGUACAGUCAGAAGGUAAGUCAACAACAAGGUGAAUGGGGAGUUUUACGAGCCAACUUUUGUCUGGAUUUCUAUUCCCUUGACCAUAUAGCCAACCUUAGACUCGAAGUCCUAUCUUUUAAACAAAAAGAUAAUGAAACUUUGGGAAAAUCCUGGAAACGUUUUUCUGAUCUUUUAGAAUCUGGUCCAAACAUUAAUCUUGAAGACCCUGUUCUUUUAUUUCACUUUUUUCGAGGUCUUCAGAAAAAUCACAAACAAAUGCUACACACAAUGUCUAGAGGUUCUUUCUUUCGCAUCCCUACUGAUGAAGCUAGAGUGAUCCUAAAUAGAAUCCUAGAAGCUAAGAUGGAUAAUACCCUUCAUGAUGAAACCUACGAAGCUGAAGUAGACACUCUGCCAAAUUCUUCAUCUACUUUAGCUAUCCCAAGUUCUGAGCCACAAGAGGAAGAAAUUCCACCACCGGACUUCAUGCUGGAUAUAGAAUCCGAUCUUUUUGCCGAUUUUGGAAAUAUUUCAAACUAUCAUUCUAUUGACAAACCCCAAAACAGCCAGUUUAGCAUUUAUUUGCCAAGUGAACAUCAAUUGAGAGAGCUUAUCUCAGUAAUGAGUAGCGAAUGGUUGGAGGAAUCAGAGCUUUCCUCUGAUGUGAUCCGUUUGGACACACCCUCUAUAACUAUACGCUGUGCUUAUAAUUCUGAUCGAUUUAAUGCUCUAUAUAAUCCUGUUGUGGGGAUCAACAUCAUGUCUGAAUCUUUUGCACUUAAACUAUUUAAAAAUCUUGCCUUAACCCCCUCAACAAAGGUCAUAAAGGAAUCUUCGGGACGAUUAGUCCCUAGUCUUGGAAUUAUUAAUGUCCUACCUCUUACGGUAGAAGGCUCCAUGGUUCAUUUGAACUUCUAUAUCUUUGAUACAUGGGACUUCGACCUGUUGAUAGGACAACCUUUUAGAUGACUCCUUUAUGAAGGUCAUACUGGAAAGCUACACAUUUCUUUUGGAAAAACUUUUAAAUUCUCAAUAACAAUUUCACACUCCUUAAACAAUAAGGCCGAAUCAUAUCUUUUGCCUGAUCCUAUGGAGGAGGUAAAGGCUGCAUCUCUAGAGCUUUUAGAGGAACCAGACUUAGAAGACGAAACUCCUUUCUUCAUAGAAGAAGAAGCCGAACCUUCUGAGCCUGAACCCUUAGAUGAGUUUGCAGAAGCACCUAGACCCCCCAUAGAGCUUAAAACUUUACCACCCGGUCUUAUAUAUGCUUUCCUAAACAAUAAUCCAGAGUUCCCUGUGAUCAUUAGCGAUAAACUCACUCAGGAUCAAACUCUGCGAUUAAUGACCAUUCUUGAGAAACAUCACUCAGUGUUCGGCUACUCACUCCAAGAUCUUAUAGGAAUCAGUCCUAUGAUUUGUACCCAUCGUAUUCCAACAGAUCCUUCUGUUUCACCCUCUCGAGAACCCCAACGUAGACUUAACAACACUAUGAGAGAGGUAGUUAAAAAGGAAAUUAUAAAGUUGCUGCAUGCAGGGAUUAUAUAUCCUGUGCCGCACAGUGAGUGGGUAAGCCCAGUGCAAGUUGUGCCUAAAAAGGGAGGCAUGACUGUUAUUAUGAAUGAAAAGAACGAGCUAAUUCCGCAACGCACCGUCACAGGAUGGCGGAUGUGCAUAGACUAUAGAAAACUAAACAAAGCCACGAGAAAAGAUCACUUUCCUUUACCUUUUAUAGAUGAGAUGCUAGAGCGGUUAGCAAACCAUUCGUUCUUCUGUUUCUUAGAUGGAUAUUCAGGGUAUCAUCAGAUCCCGAUCCUUCCCGAUGAUCAAAGCAAAACCACUUUUACAUGCCCAUAUGGAACUUAUGCUUACCGUAGAAUGUCUUUUGGGUUGUGUAAUGCACCAGCUUCUUUUCAAAGAUGCAUGAUGUCUAUAUUUUCUGAUAUGAUUGAAGAGAUUAUGGAAGUUUUCAUGGAUGAUUUCUGUUUAUGGAAAAACUUUUGAUAGUUGUCUUGAAAACUUAGACAAGGUUUUGCAAAGAUGUGAAGAAAAGCACUUAUUCCUUAAUUGGGAAAAAUGUCAUUUUAUGGUUAAGGAAGGAAUAGUGCUGGGACACCUAGUGUCUGAAAGAGGUAUUGAGGUAGACAAAGCUAAAAUUGAAGUAAUUGAACAACUACCUCCACCUGUGAAUAUAAAAGGAAUUCGAAGCUUUCUUGGCCAUGCUGGUUUUUAUCGUAGAUUCAUAAAAGAUUUUUCAUUUAUUGCUAGACCACUUACUCUUUUGCUAGCCAAGGAUGCUCCUUUUGAAUUUGAUGAUGCAUGUCUAACAUCUUUCAAUUUAUUAAAGAAAGCACUCAUCUCUGCACCAAUCAUUCAACCCCCUGAUUGGUCGUUGCCUUUUGAAAUUAUGUGUGAUGCUAGUGAUUAUGCUGUGGGGGCAGUUUUGGGACAAACUAAAAAUAAGAAGCAUCAUGCAAUUGCUUAUGCCAGUAAAACUUUGACAGGAGCUCAACUUAAUUAUGCAACCACUGAAAAAGAGCUUCUGGCUGUUGUCUUUGCCAUUGAUAAAUUUAGAUCUUAUUUAGUUCGAGCUAAAAUAAUUGUUUACACUGAUCAUGCUGCACUAAAAUAUUUGCUCACUAAAAAAGAUGCUAAACGUCGCCUGAUUAGAUGGAUCUUAUUACUCCAAGAAUUUGACUUAGAAAUAAAAGAUAAAAAGGGAGUAGAAAAUUCUGUUGCUGAUCACUUGUCUCGAAUGUAUUUUAAGAGUCCACAGGAAACCCCCAUCAAUGAUUCACUCCGGGACGACAUGCUCUACGGGAUUAACAGGUCUGACCCCUGGUAUGCAGAUAUUGUUAAUUUUAUGGUUUCAGGGUAUGUACCACCAGGAGCAAACAAGAAGAAGCUUAUUCAAGAAAGUCGUUCACAUAUAUGGGAUGAGCCAUACCUCUUCCGAGUAUGCUCUGAUGGCUUACUCAGGAGAUGUGUGACCACUAAGGAAGGAUGGAAGAUCAUCGACAGAUGUCAUUCAUCACCAUAUGGAGGUCACUAUGGAGCAUUCGGUACACAUUCAAAGAUCUGGCAGUGUGGAUUCUACUGGCCUACAAUGUAUGAAGAUACGAAGCAAUAUAUCAGAAGAUGUGGGCCAUGUCAAAGGCACGGAAACAUAAAUACAAGGGAUGCAAUGCCACUCACCAACAACCUUCAGAUUGAGCUCUUUGAUGUAUGGGGAAUAGACUAUAUGGGUCCAUUUCCUCCAUCAAAGAAGUGUGAGUACAUCUUGGUGGCAGUUGACUAUGUCUCCAAGUGGGUAGCGGCAUUACCCUACAAGCAUGCCGACAACGUCAGUUCAAAGAGGAUGUUUGAAGAAAUUAUAUUUCCAAGAUUUGGAGUCCCCAGAGUAGUGAUAAGUGAUGGAGGAGCACACUUCAUCGACAAACGCUUCAAGCAAUAUCUAGCAAAACAUGGAAUCCGUCACAACGUCGCUACCCCUUAUCAUCCUCAGACAAGUGGCCAAGCAGAGACUUCCAACAAACAAAUCAAGAAUAUUCUUCAGAAGACAGUAAAUGAAAUGGGAACGGCAUAGAAAGACAAGUUACCCGAUGCACUCUGGGCAUAUCGGACAGCAUACAAGACCCCAAUCGGAAUGUCUCCAUACCAAUUGGUGUACGGGAAGACUUGCCAUCUACCUCUUGAACUAGAGUUCAAAGCACACUGGGCCAUAAAGAGAUGGAAUAUGGACCUAGAUGUUGCUGGAGAUUAUAGAAAAAUGCAACUAUCAGAAUUGGAAGAAUGGCGAGAGAAGGCAUAUCACAACUCAAAGAUUUACAAAGAAAGAGUCAAAAGGUGGCAUGACAAGAGAAUCAAGAAGAAGGAGUUCACACCCGGAGAUAAGGUAUUACUUUUUAAUUCCAGGGUGAAGCUUUUCGGGCAUGGAAAACUCCGGAGCAAAUGGGAAGGACCAUUCAAGGUAAUUAAUUCAUCAUCCCACGGAGCUAUUACACUUCAAAAUGACGAAGGUACGUUAUUCAAGGUAAAUGGUCAACAUCUUAAAUUAUUUUUAGAGCCUAAUAAAGAAUUAGAAGAAAUAGACGUAGUCCACUUUUACCUUCCCAUGGAGAAUUAGAGCCCGACCUUUUUAGUCUGAUGUUUUUGGGUCAUAUAUAUAUUUUUCUAAAUAAUUUCGCAUCUAGAAACGCGCUUGAGAAAGUAGGCCCACAGAGGGGCCAGAAAGAGGGCGGGCGCCCAGCUCAGGUGGGCGGGCGCCCAGCUCAGGUGGGCGGGCGCCCAGCUCCUGUUCCCCCUCGGUCCCGAUUUUCUCUGUUAUGGAAAAUGCACUUAUGGUAAUCCGAAUAAUCCCUCGGAUGGAAAGUUUCGUACGCACAUCGACGGGAGCAACCCGAACAACCCAUAGAGGCACUUUUUGACCCCUAUAUAAACAGACCCCUGACCUCAGUUUUCAAACACCAAGCCACCAAGCCUUCUCUCCUUCAAUUAGAGCUUGAUUAGUUCCUUGCUGCUCCAAUGGCCGAGAAGUACCACGAUGAUUGGGAAGUCGUCCCCUUCAACCUCAACAUGGAGCCUGUGCAAGACCCCGAUGCCCGUUCUAUCGUCCCGGCCAACACAGAGCGACAGCUAGAAGCCAUGCCAUUACGCCAACACAGCUCCACCCAAUCUUACCAUGCUCAACCAGUUCUCACCGCACCGCCACAACCCCUACUCCUCAAAGUAUCAUCAUCCAAGAUGAAGACCACCAUCAAGGUGCCAACCGGCACAAGGAUCCUUCCACCUAGACCCAAUGAGAGGGUCGUUGGAGUUAAGACCAACCGGAGCGGCGAGAUCAGCAGCGUACGCUACACUACGGAGGAGGAAAGGCCUUACUUUGAAGGGAUUAGAGCAGCCAAAGUCCGUUUCAUCCCUCCAAAGGCAUCCCCGAAGCACGCUCUCAAUGCUUUUGAGACACCUCCCAAGCGUCGCAAGACUAUAAUGGAUAUUGAUGAGGACGUUCGCAGACUAGACAGAGUUAUCAUAGACCUCCAGUCCUCUAUUAAUUCCCUCACUAGGAGCUCUCUAACCACAACACCAUUAUACUAGGCCUUAGGCAGGAUCUUGCCAAUGCCAACAAGAAGAUUAGGGAAUUAGAGCGCCGCUAAGUUAUCUAGAUUAAACCUUGAGGCAAUGCAUCUUAGUUAUCUAUCUUUAAAUUCGGUUUAGGUUUACUAUUAUUAUCAGUUUGCUACUAUCGUCAGUUUGCUACUAGUCUUUUAUAAUAAAUGCCUCAAGAUUAAUAAAGAGUAUUAUUAUUAUUAUAUCUUGUGUGUCUCUACUUUAUUUUUUGUGCAAGAAAGCAGAAAACAAGUAUGGGGGAGAUCCCUCGACAUGCUAAACACACUCCGACCACAUCACUCCACGAUUCAGGUACACACUCUGCACACUUUACUUUACACAUACAUAUAUUUUGGAUUAUGCAGAAUAUUGUUUCCGACAUGAUAAAUUAAAAAGAUUAAAAUAUUUCUAAUCAUGGUUAAUCUCAAUCUAUGAUAUUUCCUGAAAACUUGCAACUAUUAUAAAAUUAUUUUAAAACCCUGUGUUACUUAAGUCAAUAUGGAAUAUGUGAUGGUAGAGUAUGAGUUUCUUAUUCUUGAUAUCAUUGUUGCUUGGAGAAUUUAUUUCAAAAUAUUCAAAAUUCUAGCUACCAUCCUCAAUGUUUUAUAUGCCUGAUAAAACUGAAAAUAUUAAUUAUGAUUAUAAAAGCUAUCUACUCUGUAUUGAGUUUGUUCAAAAUGAGUUAGACCCUUGUUGAGAGAUUUAUCAUGCUCCUAAGAUCAAGACAUUUAUUCAGAAAGAUUCACUCUUCCGAAGUAUUAUUGCAUUAAAGGCAUGGGCUAUGCAAAAAUAGAGAUAUUUUGAGGAAAUAAAAAGGAGCAAGUGCUCGACAACCUCGCAGAAAAAAUGGACAAGUGUCCAGCAGUAGAAUUAGGGAUACCUCGGUAUCCACUUAAAAAAGAGAGAAAAUGAUAGCCCAUGGUCCCUCUAAAAUGCACUAUGCCAGCAAGAGUUGAUAAAGAUUUUAAUUUCCAAAGUCUUUGAUCUAAGAGUAUGACAUUCCCCUCCUCGGAUCCCGUUUUGAUUAGGCAAUAAAUGCAAAGUAAGUAUGCUUGAGAACUUUUGCAAAUUAAAACAGCCUCAGUGAAAUAUAUAAAAGAUAAUGAGUAAUCUGAGAAGAACCUAUGAGGAUAAAAAGGUAUGCUAACUUUCUUUCAAAAAAUAUACAAAAACUCCAAGUGACAGGAUUGAGAAGAAAGGAUCUUUACUCUUAACCAUAAACAUCCCUGACUAUAGUACACAGUGGAUUUUUAACACCCUGCAAUUAUAAAAAGAAUGUUUUAAAUGUUUACUCCAGAUAUUUUUCUUAACCAUCCUUUUCUCGAGGAUGAGUAAAAGCCUAAGUAUGGGGGUAUUUGUUGACAGUUCUUAAGUAUCAAUUUUAAUUAUCAAAUAAACAAGAGAAAGGACCAAUAUGCAACCAACACCUAGAAUUAGGGUUUGAUCUGACAGAAUUCCACGAGUUUUGUUGUUUAUCUGUUUCUGUAGGGGGUUAUCAGGAAAUAAGGAAGAAAGGCCCACAUGUCGGGAUUACAUAGAGAUAUCAAUGCACCGCACGAUUUUCUACCAUCAAGAAGACUCUAGAAGCCACGGGAAGAAAACAGAGGCCGAAAGGGGCCAGGCCCAGGGCGCCCGCCCUGGUGACCUGGGCGCCCGCCCCCUGCUGGAUCCAGUUCGGGACUCUCUUCGCACGGGAUGUUCCACCGACCUAUUGGAUCGAGGAAAACAUAGUACCACCUCGCCUACCGACCUAAAAACGCAUAGAGGAGGAGGACUAUAUAAGGAGACCCCCUGGCCCCUGGAGAAGACAUGAAGAAAUUAUCAUAGAGAUUGAGGGGUGCCCUCGAAGGAAAACCUCUUCUCUAAUUAAUAUUUCUUUUUAGGCUUAGCAACCAAUGUAAAGUAGAAAUAGAUCUUCUAGUUUCUACUAGAUUGAGAGAGAUAGAGUGGAGGUGUAGAUUGGAGGAAGCCCGGCCUGUCGGUGUCUACUCCAAGCUUGUACCUGCGGGAUCAAGUUCUCCUAACCCGAAGCUAGCUCCUAGGAUUCUUCAGUAUUUCGACUUCUAAAUUCUAGUAAGUUCUUGUUUUAUUGUUCUUAUGGUUUAUGAGUUUACUUUAAUCUCUUCGCGUAGAGUUUAGAGUAAUCAUUGCUGGCGUAAACGUGGUGUUUAGGCUGGGGUACUCAUAGAUAUUCCCUGACUAGCUGGACCGUGGUAGUAGUGAGGAACGUGACAAUUCCGAGUUACCUUUGUAGACCAUAUCUCGUUAGCAGGAAGGAUAGGGUUUAUAGGUGCGGGUUGAACAUCCUUUAUGGUGUCUACAUUCCGUUAGCCUCCCCAAUAGAACAGUAAAUCAUCCUUACCAAGGUUAGAAGGAGACUACGGUUGCAGUCUUCUCUAUUUAUCACUCACAUCGAAAGACAUUCUUUGUGCCUAAAGGGUUAGUAGUAAUAGACCGGUUAGUCAGAUGCACUCUUUCUCCUAGUGGUAAAAAAAUAAAUACGAUACUCUGGAUAAUUUCCCGGGUGAAGUGCUCACCGAUAUCCAUGCGCUUGCGGAUCAAUUCCUUAUUGCGUUCCCAAAUAUCAACAAUCGUGAUAGCGCCGAUCGGACCUGUCAUACCGGUCAUAACCAUUACAUUCAGGACAGUCCCUAACAGUGGGCAAUUUAAUGUUCUGCUCCCAGCAAUGGAUAAAGAACGGGCAGUUACAGUGAUCUUUGUGCCGAUUCCACUCUUGACGGCGUCUUCUUCUUCUCGACGAUGGUCUUCUUGCUGACGCCGAUACCGAUCCUCACGCUGCUGCCAAGUCUCCCGAGGCCUCCUAUGAGUUAUCACAAUACCAGAUCGGGGAGGCCUCCCUGAGCUAUUUCCUUCCUGAAUCAAGCCUUUUCCUUUAGCAUCGGUAGCAGUAAUUUGAUGCUGAGGAUCUACCGAUGCACUCCUUUCAGCUGCUUCCGAUGUCAAGACCUUGGUUUUUUCCUUAGCAUCCAACAUAUUUGUUGGGAAAGAAUGUUGAUCGAUCUUCAUCGGCUUCUGAGCUUUGGAACUAUCAAACUUGAUUCUCCCGGAUUCUAUAGCCGAUUGCAGCUGUUGCCUGAAAACCUUGCACUCAUUGGUGCCGUGAGAAGUCGCAUUGUGCCAUUUGCAAUAUUUCAUCUUCUUCAAUUCCUCAGCCGAUGGAAUUACAUGAUUGGGUGACAAUUUGAUCUGACCUUCCUGAAGUAGAAAGUCAAAUAUCCUAUCGGCUUUAGUAAUGUCGAACGCAAACUUCUCUGGCUCCUUAUGCCCAAAAGGGCAAGACAUCGGCUACUUAUUCUUCACCCACUUUGCCAAGCCGAUGACUGGCUCUUCGUCAGAAUCCGAGCUUGCUGCCUCAUCGACAAAUGACACAUUUUUAUUCCAAGCUCUCUUAGGUUCAAAGGGUUUGAUAUCCUGGUCGGAAAUCCUCUGGACCAAGUGACUCAGGCUCUCGAACUCUUGAGAAGCAUAUUUAUCUCUGAUGUGUGGCAACAAACCCUGGAAAGCCAAAUCGGCUAGCUGCCGAUCAUCUAAAACCAGACUAUAGCAUUUAUUCUUGACUUCCUGUAACCUCUGCACAAAACUUUCAACCGAUUCAUCAUUGCGUUGUUUCAAUCUAACCAAAUCAGUAAUCUUCUUCUCAUGGACUCCAGAAAAGAAGUAUUUGUGGAAUUGCUUCUCCAGGUCGGCCCAAGUAAUGACUGAGUUAGGAGGUAACGAAAUAAACCAGGUGAAAGCCGAUCCAGAUAAAGAUGAUGAAAACAGUCGAACCCUUAAUUCAUCCCUGUUAGCAGCUUUCCCACAUUGGAUGAUGAACCUGUUGACAUGCUCCAUGGUUGACGUAUCAUCCUGUCUAGAAAAUUUAGUGAAAUCUGGUACCUUGUACUGAUUUGUAAGUGGAAUCAAAUCGUAUGUAGGAGGAUACGGUGUCCGAUAAGAGUAAGUGUUGACUUUGGGUUUUAUCCCAAAUUGGUCUCUCAUUACUUCAGCAAUCUUAUCGGUCCAAUAAGCAUCGACAUCUUGCCGAUGAGGCGGUUGCGGAUCUGGCACCUGCUGAUACAAUUCCACGUGUCUAUGCGGCGCACGAUCUGCAUGGAACAUUGGGUUAAUCAUUUGACCACCAAUCUGCUGACCACCAAUCUGUUGUCCAAGAUUCAUCGGAUGGUUGACCAACCCUUGAUUCUGAAACCUAGGUUGGAUUUGACCUUGCUGAAACCCUGGAGCUUGAUGACUCUACUGAGGCAUAUGUGGGAAGACAAAUUGUCCAGGCCAUCCACUAUUGGAAUUCAUCGACAUAGGCCCUGCCGAUGACUGGUACUUGGGCAUCAUCAUUGAAUUGACGUACCCUGGCUGUGUCAUAAACCUCUGCUGCGUCGGCAUUGAGUCUGCCGAUGCGUUAGGCAUCUGGAACGUUGGAGCUUGAGAAUUCCCAGGGUAAGGUCUUGCAGUAGUAGUUGUAGUAUACUGGGGACUAUGAUUCAUCGGCAAAUUUGGAGGUGCCGAUGCCAUAGGAGCCUUGCCUCUCGUGUCAGUCGUCUGAGAUGUUCCAGGUGUCUUCAACAUCAUCUCUGGGGGCAUACCAUAAUCCCACCAGUUGGGAGGAACCGAUCCCGACAUUGCCGAUGCCAACAGAUCUGUGGCAAGCUUGAUUUGCUCAUAUGAAGUUGAUGGAUUGGUUGUCAUCGGCAUAGAUUGCACAUCGGUGAGUCCUAAUGUGCUUGGAGGAACAGUAGUUUCUGUGCCCGCAGCGGCUGCUAUAGCCGAUGGAGCUGUGACAACUGGUGACCCCGGCUGAUGAUGAGAAGGACCAACAUAAUUUGGUGGCAAUUGUCCUUCUUUGAAAGUUCUUGCCACGGCAUUGAAAACCGUAUUGGACAGCACACCAGCUUGAUUGAUCAAGGCACGGUUAACAGCACUAUCAACCAUGUCUUGAAGUUUACCAGGAUUGGCUUCAAAAGUAACCUACCGAGGCGUCGGCAGUGCUUCCUUCUGGAUCACCUCACCACUCUUGUUUAUGCUGAAGGAUUUCAAACAUUGCUGCUUGUAAUCCUCCAUGGCUUUCGCAAUAGCUUGCUUCUGCUCAUCUUUGAGAUUGGCUUCCGUCACGGGGAUGACGUUCUCCAAGUCAAACUCAGUAGUCGACAUGUUGAUCUUGAUCUUGAUUUUGUCCCACUGGGCGCGCCAAAAGAUGUGUUGAUGCAAAAGCUUAUCUGCAAACACAAAGGGCUAAUACUCGAUUUAAACGUUAAGGCGUGCCAGCCAAUUUGACCUUACUAUCGGCAAAGGUGAUAACUCGAAUACUUUGGUCCUGACAACAGUGAUGCGCCCGGAUGUCACGGCCAAGAGGUAUUCACGCGGAACUCGAGAAUACGCCGAGCUUAAGUCGACGAAGUCCUAAGAACUCAUAAUAAAAAGGAAAUAUGACGAAGUCGUCGAAAAAAAUAGAUGCUGGAAUAUGAGUAAAAACUUGUGUUUGAUUGAUUGAUAGAUAUCUCAUUACAAGGCCCUAUGGUCUACAUUUAUACCUUACUCAAAGAGCUACAAUUAGACACGACUAGGACUCGAAUUCCAAAUUAAACAGAAUCCGUAUACAAAACGAUUUUAAAUAACUAAGGAAAACAUAGAACCACCCCCUCGUAACCGACCGGGACACCGCCACAGAUCAAUCGGCAACCUCCACGCUUCCCUUCAGAGUCAUCAGCAGUCUUCCUGUUAUAGCCAUCAGCAAACACCAAUAUUGAUCAUUAGCAAGUACACGUCACCACCUCUAGACUUAGCCAUAUUCAAUCGUCUCUUCAUCGGCAACUAUCCUCAUCGGCAACUCUUCUGCGGGCUAGUUACCGUUGCUCUACCUGCCGAUCUAUACUCUACUAGUCUCUGGGUACGUGUCCAAAAACGGUGUCAACAGAGGUGAACUACCGAAGAUCGAUCUGAAGCCCGUCGUAUCACUCGACGGGCCAAAUCGUACGUGAUCUACGGCGAAAACGAAGAGCUAUAUCGACGAAGCCCGACAGGGAUCUUGCAGCGCUGCAUCACCAUAGAAGAAGGUUGAAAGCUCCUCAAGGACCUACACUCGGGGGCUUGCGGCCAACAUGCCGCUCCGAGAACCCUUGUAGGGAAUGCCUUUCGACAAGGUUUCUACUGGCCAACGGCCAUAGCUGACGCCAUAGAGCUCGUUCGCUCGUGCCAUGGGUGUCAAUUCUAUGCCAAGCAAACCCACCUCCCUGCUCACGCUCUCCAGAUGAUCCCCAUCACAUGGCCAUUCGUGGUGUGGGGUCUCGACCUCGUGGGCCCUCUAUAGAAAGCUGCGGGAGGAUACACCCAUUUGUUGGUAGCCAUCGACAAGUUCUCCAAAUGGAUCGAGGCUCGACCCAUCACAAACAUCCGCUCCGAACAGGCAGUCCUCUUCUUCACUGACAUAAUCCACCGGUUCGGGAUACCUAACGUCAUCAUCACCGACAAUGGUACCCAGUUCACUGGCAAAAAGUUCUUGGACUUCUGCGACCGGCAUCACAUCCGUGUGAACUGGUCUGCAGUAGCCCAUCCUCGAACCAACGGCCAGGUCGAGCAUGCCAACGGCAUGAUUUUGCAAGGUCUUAAACCAAGAAUCUAUAACCGGUUGAAGAAAUUUGGCAAAAAAUGGGUCGAAGAACUCUCCUCAGUCCUCUAGAGCUUAAGGACGAUGCCAAGUAGGGCCACAAAAUAUACCCCAUUCUUCAUGGUCUACGGCUCCGAGGCUGUGCUUCCAACAGACCUCGAGUAUGGGUCACCUCGACUCAAAGCCUACAACGAACAGACAAACAAGGAGACCCGAGAGAACGUGGUUGACCAGCUCGAGGAAGCUCGAGACACGGCCCUCCUCAACUCCGCAAGGUACCAGCAGAAGCUCCGACGCUAUCACGACAAGCACGUGCUCAAAAGGGAUCUAAACAUGGGCGACCUCGUCCUACGACGACGACAAAGCAACCAAGGAUGCCACAAGCUGACUCCACCCUAGGAAGGCCCAUACGUGGUGGCCGGGGUCUUGAAGCCGGGGACGUACAAGCUCGCAGACAAAAAAGGGGCGGUCUUCACCAACGCGUGGAACAUCGAACAGCUACGUCGCUUCUACCCUUAAAGCUUCGAGGCUUUACGUUUUCACACACAUUUUGUACCAAGGCCCUAUGAAUGAAUAUGUGAAUAAACGAGAAUAUUUUUUCAAGUAGUUUACGCUAUCACCUGUCAAAUCUCGACAUAAGGAGGAAGUCCCAAAUAUGACCCAUCAUAGUCGAUACUCCCUCGGGGGCUAGCAGGGGGACCCCCCAGGUUCCUAAAUAUCGAAUGACUUUUUCUUUUUUAAGCCCUAAGAAAACCUCGCAAGAUCAAGUAGCAAAGGCACCUCGAGCCCCUUAAGGGCCGAGAAACGUCGAGCCUGAGAACCCCUACGCCCCCGGGCUAUGGCAACUCUACUUACUUCCUCACCCUUGAGGCAAUCGAAGAUGCCUCAACGAAAGAUCGAACGAGAAUGCAAAAUUAGGCAGAAAAGGAAACAAAGGAAAUUCGAGCGUAAAAAUAAACAAACGCACAUGAAAAUCAUAAGUCUUAAGACCACUCAAGCCACAACGUUUACUUAAGACAAAUGAUAAAUAUUUUACAACGGGUCUAAAUACCCAGAAUAGGGUCGCAGGCCUCAGUCCACAUCUCUGUCCUCACCACCAUCUUCUGCGCCCAGGCUAGUCUCAAGAGGGAGUACCUCUGGCUCGAACAGCCUCGCCAACCUCUCGCCAGGGACCUCUACGUUAUCGAUCAAGGCAUGGAGCCUCUCCUCGUUCUCGACGUCGGUCUUGGAAAUAUCAGUGAUGAAGCCGUGGGACACCACCUCCAUGUCAUAGGAGAAGCCCGAGCAGACGACCGCCAUCGCUCGCUUCACCCCAGUAUGAAGGGCGUCCCACACUUGAUCCCUCAGCGUGGCACCUAAGUAGCACAGCUGGUCGACCAGCGCAUCGCCUCAGGCCACCUCCCUCGACUCAUCCACAGGCUUGAGCUCCUAGGAGGCCGAAAGGUCGCUUAUCGUAGUCCUUAGUCGACCGUUUAAAGCAACCUCCCCCUCGAGAUGAGCCUUGGUGGAACGGGCCUCGACCUGGGCGGCUAGGAGAUCAUCCUUAAGACCUACAAAAACCGACAUGAGAAAGUUAGGCAACGCAAGAGAAGCAUCUUACAAAAGAAACACGAAAGUAUGAAGAAACUUACCUCGGAUCCUUUCUUCGAGAGCCAUGUUCUCACCAACUAAAUCGGUGUUGGCCCUCUCGAUCUCCUUAUAAGAACGAGCCAGGUCAGUAUUGGCGGCCCGUAAGUCCUCGAUCAUCUCACCCGCUUGUAAGACGGCUCCCUCCUUCUCCAAUAGCAAUCUCUUCAGACGGUCAACGUCGUCAGAGAGGCCGCGAGAACGAACUCGCUCCGCCUCGAGGUCCUCACGGGCCUUCUUCCCAGCCUCCUCCACGGCGCUCCGAGCGAUCUCGCUCUUCACACACUCCUCCUUUAUCUCAUGGUAAGCCUCCCGAGCAGAGGCGAGGUCCGACUUAACAAGGCUCUUCUCUUUGUCGAGCUCAGCGGCCGCAUCUUUGUAAUGUGCGGCCUCUUCUCGGGCCUUGGACGCAGUCUCCUCAGCCAAGGCGGUCCGCUCCGUCAGCUGCGCGGCCUCUUCCUCCGCUUUCUCCGAGGCCUCCCAAGCCCUAGCCAGGGCAGUCUCCCUCUCCUUCUUCUCCUCCGCAGCUGCCAUGAUGUCCUUGUAUGCCUAGAGAAGCUUUUCCUAUGACUCGACGAGUUGAUCCUUGAGAAGAGGGAGCUGUUCCCAACCGCCUCUCGUCGCAUGAAUAAAACCCGACUUUAUGCGGGAGGUCUCCUUCACAUCCUGCAGCAAGUAGCCGAACGAUAAGGAUACAAGACUAGGUACCCAAAUGGCUAAGGACCAAAGAUACUUACAAAGAAAGCUCGCCCAAGCCCGUUGUUAACAAUAUCCGACAUCAGGCCCAUGACGUGCUUCAUCUAAAGCCGAAGCUCGUCGAGAUGCUCCCACUUUUCGGUCUCCUUUCGGUCAUCCAUCAUGAUGUUGGGCUCCUCUAGGCAGGUGGAGGCUCGAAGACGGACCCGACCGAGGCCCCAGUUCUCCAUCUCCUCCUUCGUGCGUGCCUUGACGCCUCGGAUAAGCUCUUGAACGGUCUCGAGCGAGCCUCCGUGGUGCAGGAAUAUGUUGAUGAGAGAAGGAAACCGCCCAUCAUCGUCCACUGACCCCCAGGUCCUGGUCUCAUGGGCGUCACCGCCGCCGGAAGUGCCGGCGUCGUCCCCCUCCUUGGCGCUGAGAUCCUCCCACGGCCGCCGAUCUCGGAGGAACCCCGGGGCGAUCCCAUCGAUACCGUACAGGGAGCCCUUGAUUUUGGAUUGGGGGUCCGCCGGCGUGCGCAUAGCACACGUGAUAGGCACGACGCCCUCCUCUCACCCAGGUUCGGCCGGGAUAGAAGCUAGCCCCCCCGGACGGAGCCACGCAGGGGUCGGCGGACCAUAGACCGACAGCCCCUCCUCCCCGGCCUCGGGUCCUUGCGGCAACGACAAUACUGGCUGGCACAGGCUUCACGGUGGCUGUUCGAGCAGCUCUUCCAGCUGCUGACUCCACUGCUGCUGCUGCCAUUGAAGCUCCAGCAGCUCUUGCUGCCGGCAUUGCUCCAUCUGCUCCUCGAGCUGCUCUUCCUACUGCCGCUGCUGCUACUUUUCUUUUUCUUCUUCUUCCCCUCCCUUACGCCCUUCCUCUUCUUUUUUCCUCCUCUCCUCGGAGGAGGUUGCGGCUGAGGAAUGGCCUGGCCCUGUGCGGGCGCAGGAAGGGUGCCGGCAUGAGAACAGCGUGGCGAGAACUCCUUUUGCUGACCGUCACGGGGACCACCAGACGCCCUCUUAGGAGCCCCCGUCCGCGGUAUGUUGACGUCGGCUUGCGGCGGGCCCUCGAGGAUCCUGUCAAGACGAGCCGCCAUCCCCUCGGAGUCAUCUCUAUCAUCGUCGCCCUCGUUGCCAUCGUCCUCGUCAGGGGAAUCUUCCUCGGACUCCCCCUUCUGCCUCGAUUUCGCGUGGCGUUUCUCGAGCGCUUGUUGCUCGAGGUUCUUUUUCUUUUCUUUUUUCUUUUCCAAGUCCUUUGCGGACUUUUGCUUCUCCGUGGAUUCGCGCCUCCUCUCACGGUCGAUGCCGUCCUCCUUUACCGGAGGCUUCGAGGACCGAGCGUCGAUCGGUCCCUGUGCAAGUAGGCGUGAGUCCCAAGGAGGAUCGAAAAGAUCGAAAAUUGAGUAACGGUAAUAGGAAGAACUUACCAGGUUGAUCGACCCCUCAUCAGGAUUCAUGGGGAAGCCGUUGACGUGCUCAGGCUAAAAAUCGCCGGCGACGGCCGCCCUGACCCUGGCAGCGACCUCCUCAUCUGCAGGCGCCUCAUUGGACAUCCGAGAUGCCUCGAGGUCACGAGACAAGACGUCAGGACCCAUCUCAUCCAUUCUCAGCGGCCGAGACAUCAACGGGAGUACCCGUCGAUGGUGGACAGCCGAGAGGACGAACGCGGCGAUCAGACCUUCCUCACGCAGCUUCUUGAGGGCAUCGAGGAUGGGGCGGAGCCGCGACUGAAGGGUCUUGACGACGCCAUAAUUCCAGUUGUCCGGACGCUACGAGAUCAAACACCUGGUGUAGUCAGGGAAGAGGUCGUCGUCGUUUCGAAGAUAGAACCACUGGGUGUCCCAUUGGGCGUGGUUCGACGUCAGCCCAACUGGGAUGUACUCCGGAGGUUCCACCGCCUUGCCUGUCUUCUGCACCAGGUUAAGGCAGCCGGCUCGCACUGGCUUCCUCACCCCUGUGGCUCCACCAGGGGCGUGGAAGAGUUCGCCCUGGUAUAGAUGGAGCCAAAGAUCCCAGUGCGGCAUCAUCCCCAAGUAGCCUUCACACACCGCGGCAAAAAUCACCACGGCGGUGAUGGCGUUAGGCAAAAAAUGCUGGAGCUCCACACCAUAGUGGUGGCAGAGCGCCCGCAUGAAGCGGCUUGGGGGAGAACCGAGGUCGUGAUGAUGAAAUUUGGCAAAGGAGACCACAUACCCCUUAGGCGGCCUCGGCUCGAGGUGGUCUGCCACCGACGUGAUCCACUCCGGCCGCGACGAGGAAACGCGGGGGCGCAGAAGUCCCUCCUUCUCGAGGUCCAGCAGGCGGCGGUCCGUCAUCGACGACGGGCGCCAGUCAUCGGCAGCGACGAACCUCACCGGCAUUUUGACGGAAGAAGAAAGGUGGCUCCGUUGCUAAGUGCUCGAGGACGCGCGCACGUAGGAUGACAAAGAAGAGCAAGGGCAAGAACUGUGGUGGAAGGCGGAAGGAGUAGCGGCUGAGAGACCCGACGAUAUUUAUAGACAUCCACCCCCCAACGGGCAGAUCCGGUGAAUACGGUAACCUCCCUAGUAAAUGCGCCGCCUAACGGUCCUGUUACUCUCACUAACAGGGCGCUACGACUUCCACAACGACACAAAUGCUGCAACGGCUCCUGCCUAAAAAGGUGCGCCCAACGGGCAAGAAAGUGAACUACCACGGCUUUUCCUUCUCCUGUAAGGUAAGAUACGCGCGCACCGCAAUAGCAAUCUCGAGGGAUCGCAGACCAGCCCGCCGGAUGGGUCCGACGGUUGCCCUCGAGUACCAGAGUCAGGGAUGCCCGACGAGGGGUCGAAAACGAGGCCUGCCUUGAAAGACUCGCUGGGGAUAUCCAAGGUAGGGGCAAGAAGGUCGAGAGGAAUCCCCAUGGAGGGAGGCAACGAGCCGCUGGACUCUAUCGAACGAGGCCAGUAACCCCGACCGCGCUAGCCCCGCUUUUAUGAGAACGCCUCCGGGCUGCAGCUAACCCCCUCGAAUGGGGCACGGGUUCUCACUUGGAUGACCAGAUAGGGACUCGUCCAGGGAUAAGUGACGAUCGCUCCACCGGGAGUACGUCACGACCCCAGCCUCGAAAAGGCAGAACCGACCGGCUAAGGCUCGAGACCCCUCUUCCAUAACAAACGACUUUCGAAGAAAGGGGAGGGCGAGAACAAUUCCAUUAGAAAAAACCAUAUAGCCCUCAAAGGAGUUAAAGACUCCUCCAAGGUCUCGGGGGCUACCCCCGCGGGGGUCGCUCGCGCGACCCCGUGGAAACCCGACCAACAGAAGAACCUCCACUCGAGCGCGAGCGCUCGAGCAGAGGCUCGGGGGCUACUGUCGAGGGUGUCAAUAAGGGGUAUCCCAACUAACGCUCAUAAUGAAGAGAUCCGUACAUAAGUCGAGGCCCUAACUCGACACCCCCGCUUACACACGCGAUCACCAAAGCUCGACACUAACCAUAGCCUCGAACACGGAAAUAGGGUCGUGCGAAUCAAUGGAGGCUCGACUAAACGACAACCGUCGAAUACGGAAGUGGCUCGAGCGAAUCAAUAGGCCUCAAGCGCAAAGGCGUCGUCCGCCGCCUGUCGCGGGUACGGGAGUCAGGGCAUUUAAUGCGCCUGCCAUGCUCUCACCUAACCCGACAGUCACGGGAAACGUGAUAGGGAGCGAGCACCUGUCCAAUCCCACUUUUCGCAGCUUUAUCCCCCAGAUGAGCAAGAGUACAGCCAAGCACGGUGAGACAGUCGGGAUGUCACAUCACGGCACCCCUUGAGGCACCCAAAGUCAGCGCACCGCUCAACAAAGCCCUGCGUAAUGCCAGACCCUCGAACGAGUACGUUCCUUCCUAGAGAAGAGUCGGGUGACGAAAGACAGCACCUCAACCACUCUGGAUGCGACUACUGCCGUGACGUACAAGCGUGCCCACGGUUAAACCAUCCAAAGUGACGCACAGGAGCCAAAUUCAGAAGCAUGCACAAUCAUCACCAAAGUACCCGGUAACAAGACGACUCGAAGCCACGCCGGUACGGAGGCCUCGAGUAGGUCAGCGCACCACGCUCCUAUCGGCCCUUAUUUUAUUACCUCUACCAUGUAACCUAGGUCUCCCCUUGGAACUAUAAAAGGGGAGGCCAGGGGAGAGUAUAAGAAGAACACUACACGUAGAACAACCAUCCAUACAUCACCAUUCUCAGCGACACUCGCCUGUAUUCACCCCUGUACAAGCACUUAGGUGCGAGAUAAUAGAAAAGCAUCCCCCCGCUGGACGUAGGGUCUUCUCUUGUCCGAACCAGGAUAAAUCUCUGUGUCUUUCUCGCAUCACCAUCUGGGAGAGGGAACACACAUACAAGUUUACUCGUUGGUGUGACCCCCCGGGGGUAAAACACCGACAGGCAUAAUAUUAAUUACAGGCCCCCCAUCGAUGAGUAUUUUAGAGACUAGCUGCCCAUCAACCUUGCCUUUAAAAAACAGAGCUUUGAGAUGUUGCCUUUCAUCAUCGGAUGGUUUCUCAAAUACAGCCAUCAUCGGGUCAAGCGCUAAUUGAGCUAUUUGAUCAGAGAGACUAAUCUCCUCAUCAUCACUGGAAGGCGCAAGAAAUUCCAUCAGCAACAUGAAUACCAUAUUGACAUCUGCCGAUGGACCUUUCCCCCUGCGGUCCGACUACUACCGAUCUUCAGAUUUAGAAGAAUUUUCUUCUCUAUGCAAAUCUUCUUGAUGUUCCUGUUGCAUUCUUCUCCUAUGCGUCCUUGUUAAACCCUCUGGACACCAUCGAGGAAGCUUUGUCUUCCAAACCGGUUGAUAGCAAACUUCUUUUGAUUCCACACGAUGGAUGUUAGGAUCUCUACAGAAUAUGAAUUCAUCGGGGACUCGUGCAUUUGCCAUUUCCUCUAGUUCUUCUUGAUUCCUUGGAAAGUAACCGAUCCGUCCACCAAAUCUUUCAUGCACAUUAAGCCUGCCCCCAGCCGAUCAUGAACUGAUGUUCUUCCUCUGACCGGCCCAUUGACACGUCGAUUAUCGAUCUGGAAUCUCUGAUUUGACCGAUCGUGCGGAGACGGGGAGGAUGGAUAUGUGGCAACAGCAUAGUAGCCGCUGGCGGGGAGGAUGGAUAUGUGGCAGCAGCAUAGCAGCCGCUGGCCAGACGCGUGGUGCUGUGGAGGCUGCUAUUGCUGUGCCGCUGGCCAAGACAGGAGCCGGCGGACGGGUGGGAUAAAGACCCGCCGGGAGAGUGGUGGGGGCAAGCAGGGAGGACGAGCAAGAAGGGCGUGACCACAACUAACCUCGACGGCGGAUCGACGGAUCAGUGCGGCCAAAAAGAGGAUAAUUUUUUGCUGUAGGUGUGUGGUGGCGUGGUGCUGAAGCUCCCGUGCGUCAUUGGAAUUUGUUUUUUUACGGGCCUUACCAGAACUAGCCCAAAUAAUCACCUGUUUAGAGAUAGUUUUUUUGGUGAGCUAGUUAAAAAAAAGCUUUAACACUCCUGUUUGACUACUCUAUUUGACUACUUUUGAGCUAGGGCCGUGUUUAGUUCGUGAAGGAAAAAAUAUCGUGAUACUGUAACAUUUUGUUUGUUUGUGAUUAUUGUUCAACCAUGGAGUAAGGGCACUCACAAUGCAGACUCUAUCAUAGAGUCUAAAGUUAUUUAUUACCUCGAACGAUGUGGACUUAGAGUCUAAAUAAGACUUGGAGUCUUAUUUUUUCUACAUCUUUCUUCAAUAAAUAUACUGUCACAUCAGCAAAAUACCAUAAAUAGUAUGUAAUUAAUUGUCUUAGACUCUGUAAUAGAGUCUUGCAUUGUGAGUGCCCUAACUAGACUUAAAGAUUCGUCUCGUAAAUUCUGACCAAACUAUACAAUUAGUUUUUAUUUUCGUCUAUAUUUAAUACUCUAUGCAUAUAUCUAAAGAUUCGACGUCAUGGAAAUCUUCAAAAAUUUUGAGACUAAAUUAGCACAAACUAACUCUACCGUGAUCCGGCCAUUCUCUCCUCCCUAAGAGGCGAAGCGGCGCCCCGGGUGAAUGCCGAUGGCCGCGGCUUCGCCGGAGAAGCUCCACUGCGGCGAGGUGGGGACCGGUGACGAAGAAAAGGAGGACGCGGAGAGGGCUGAUGCCGAGGUGAUAGCGCAGCAACUGUCGAAUCAAUCGCUGCGGGAGAAGGCACAGCGCCUCCAGGGCCUGCUCACCGAAGGCACGUCCGAACGCCUCCCUGACCGCGGUAGGAAGCUGCGCGCCACACUCGUUGCCAUCUACCGGGAGCAAGACCGCCGCCAGGCCCGAGGCGACAGGGCACGAGCGCCGGUGAGUCGCUCUUAUUCCUCCCUGUUUCUGUCUUCGUGGGCGGAGGUAUUAAGAGUAGAGGUUCUAUUUUAUGGGUGCUCCAAGCUGGUGUAGAAAACUUUGUGCGGGAUGAAUUGGGGGAGGAGGUGGAGAGUUGUGCUUCAGUUCAAGGUCCUAUUCAACGAAAUGCCUGCAAGCCGUUUGAAGUCUAAGCAGAAUUGACGCAAAGAUGCUAUGCAAUCUUGGACGUGCACAAAGAAUCUGAAAUCAAAAUUAGAGCUUGCUAGAGUAUUUGAUCAAUUUGUCUUACUGUCUGGUAAUGCCUAGCAUAUGUAGCUGAAAUUGUGCCCAGCAGAUGCUAUGGAUAAUUGUACAAUACAGUAAAGGUUUGGUAAGUAAAUUUGCGUGCCUGGUAAGCCUUGUUCUGGAAUUUUUUCUUGCAGGGCAAUGAAGCAUGUGAAAGGAGAGUCCGAUCGAGGUGUAUUGAAUCAUCGGGUACGUUACUGAUGCAAUGUCAUUUUAGCAACUUUCUAGACUUGGGAGUUUCAAAAUACCAACUUGUAGAAAUUCAUUGUUCAUAACAUGAUUACAUACUCUCAAAUAGUAAAAUGCACGGUUACAUACUUUCAUGUUUGCAUUUACGGAUAUUCAGUGUAUUAUCGAUAUUGAAUGAAUGAUGAUUAUCCUUUCUAUGCUUUUCACAUUCUACAGUUAAUGAUGUUGUUUAUUGCAGUUCCAGUGUUGUCUGUUUAUGUUAGUUUGGGGCUUUAUAAUUUUUUUCUCACUAUUUUAUUUGUAACUAUCACUCUACUCUAUUUUCUGUAACUUCUUUAGUGCAUCUUUUCAUGUGCAUUUCUUUCCUUAAUAUAAUAUAUGGCUUUCUUGUUCUUAACCCUUUAAAUAAAACAUAAACACUGUAGUUUCACAAAACUAACAUGGAAAAUGCAAUUCAAGUUUGCAUAGCUCAAAUGAAAUAAUAAAGUUUUCAUUGAGGGCUCUCUUGUACUUGAGGGACUUGUUUUUUUUUCUCGAAUACGCAGGAGAGCUGCAUAUCAUUGUAUUAGUAGAAGAAAAAGGAGUCCUACAUAGACCCAAACACACUCACACACAAACCACCAAAACUUCCCUGAUUUCUAAGGCUACCUCACAGAAACUGAGAGAAGAACGACCUAGUGGGCUAAGAGACUAAAGGCCCCUAGCAGUGAGCAAGGACAAACCCUUAGCUCCUGCCAAACACCACCAGUGGACGUCAUCCCUAGCUAAACUAAGGGCAGUGUUGAUGUUUGGAACAACCCCAUUGAAAACGCAGUCAUUCCGGUGUUUCCAGAUGUUCCAGGCGCCAAGGAUGACAAUGGAAUUUAAGCCCUUUCUCACAUCCCCGAAGGUAGCUGCCUCCACCUUUUCCCACCAGUCAUCCCAAACUGAAUCCUCAGGCUGAGGCGUGAGGGAAGACAGUCCAACUUGCUGCAAGAGAUAGAACCAGAAUUGCCUAGCAAAAACACACCCAAUUAGGAGGUGCUGAAUGCUUUCCUGUUCUUGAUAUUCAUCUUUUGGUUAAUUGACUAACUUUUCUCUUCAACGUUUGAUGUAACUGAAUAAUCCUGACAUUGUAAGAUUUUUUAUAUAGCUUUUCAAUGAUUGAAUCUAGAAGGUUAGAAAUUGUUAAAAUAACUGGGUUAAAGCAAAUGAAUACCGAAAGCUAUAUGAUAGCCGAAACUAUGUUGUAAAAGAAAAAAAAAAUAUGCGCUUUCAAUUACAACGAAUUCGUAUCUGUGAAGUUAGACAUUGACACUUUUGACUCACUGUUAUGGCCAUGUGACUAGAUCCAAUGAAGAUAAAUUAUCGCCAGUGUAUGGACCAAGUAUGAAAAAAAUCUGAAUGUUGUGUGUGCUUUUAUCUUUUCCACCACCCACAAAUCCAACUACUUGUUGAAGUGUGGAAGGUUGAAAAGCAGUAUACUGAUUGAGUUUUGAGCAGUUUGGAUAACAUUGUUUUUUGGGCUGACCAAGUUGUUUAUACCGUCUGUAUACCGUUUGCCCCUUUCUUUCUAUAUGCUUGUUUUUUCAUGCUUGAUUUCUUUGUUGUUCAGAUAUGCAUUUCCUAACUUCUUGUAGGUUUGCGUAGUGACCUCAGUAGAGUUGAAGUAUCAGUGGCUGAUUUCAUGUCUUCAUUUGGAGCGGAUAAAGAGGUGAAUAUCUUAUUGUGUCACUUAAAUAUAUUUCUUUUCCUGUGCAAAUGUUUAUGUUAUGUACAUUAGGCAGGCAUCAACAUAUCUAGUUUGGGAAUAAAAAGUUGGAGCCCAAACCAGCCUAGCACUUUGAUAGGAAACAAGGGGAAGUUAUGUGAAGAGAAAGACUCUUGUGAAGCCUCUUUACAACCAAUGAAUUCAGUUCAUGAAGAGUGGCAUCUGGACACCUCAGAGAACAUGGGGAAGACAUCUUCUGGUGAUGCCUCUAACAGCAAUGUCCACAAUAUAUUGUGGGAAGAGGUUCCCAGACCCUCUCGUAAAAGGUUGGUAUUCAUAUGCUCUUGUGUCAACUUUCUAACGAUGAACAUUUUUUUCUCAUUUUUUGAGUUUUGGAAUUUCAUUUAAUUAAGUAACAUUGCAUAGUAAAAAAAAUCUGCAUAUUCGCUUUAUUAUUGCAUGAUGAUAUUAUGAUAAGACAAGUUUUCAGGCUUCCCACCUGAUUGCUUAAAGAAGAUGCAAGAUGCACACUACCUUAUUUACACAUUUUCAGUAAGUAUAAAUAGGUCUGACUAGUGGAACCAAGAAACACGUUUUCAAAAUUAACUAGAAGUAAUCAAGGAAUAUAAUUGCUUUAGUUUUUUUUUUUUGCAUAUUUAGAUAAAUGAAAUAUAAAAUAUAUGUUCUGCAUCUAUACGAUUAAUUGUUAAUUGUAUUGCACAUAUGAAUAACCAAAGUUACAUUAAUUUGUAAUAUUUAGGGGUGUAAAUUUCAAUUGAACCCUUCUCAUCUCCUUUAGUUUCAGAUUAUUCAGAAGACUUUCCAUUUGACCAAGGAUGCUUGGUAGUGUGUUAUUUACCUUUUUUUAAUAAAACAAAAUACACACUGUAGGUCAUUGAAUGACAUAUAAUUGCUCUCCCAGCUUUUUCUUUUUCUAUCUUUUUUCUGUGAACUUGUUCCGCCAACCAAUUCAUUCAUUUUUCUGAACUAUUGUUGCAUUCAGUUUGGACUGUGGAUAGGUGCUUGACCAUGUGAAAAUAUUAAGUUUUAAGUUAAUUCUCAUUUAUGGAAAAUUAUUGGAGGGACCACUAUUCAAAAAAUAAUUUUAUUUUCCACCACGGUUCAUCAUUAACACUACAUAUGUACAGAAUGUCCUUUAGUCUCCUUAGCUGGCUUUGGAGAUCCUCAUGAAGCCAUCUCCUAAAAGUAAGAAGCCAAUUCCUAUUUUUUAUAGUAGCCAUUGACCAAAAUUGCUCUUUGUUAUCUCAAACAACCAUGGGAGCUUAUCCUUGAGGGAUACAUUGUCCACACCACUUAUCGUGCCACAAAGUAGUGUCUUUUCCAUUUCCCACUGACAUGGAUCUCCUACUUAGGUAAAUAUGUCUCACUUUCAGCAAAUCAUUGCACUCAGGUGAAUUGUUGCUUGCUUACCACCAUUCUUCAUAUAUUUCAUCUUCACAAUCUCCUGCUAAAUUCCACUCCCGUUUUCCUCAUUCCACCACCAUUUGCAGAGAAGAGUAAUGUUUAAUUUCCUCAGGUCCUUAAUUCCUAAGCUCCCUUUCUCUUUGGGUUUUGUUAUUUUGGCCCAUUUGACAAGAUGAUAUUUCUUUUCACCUUUCCCCCUUGCCAAAAAAAAACUUGGAAACAAUCUAAUAAGACUUCCAAAAUGCAAUUUUGAGAUACUUGUCAUUCUAGUUUUUUAAUAUGUACUUGUCUAGUUGAGAGUGUAGGAUGGCUGAGCUAGCCUUAGGUUGGCAAUCACAUAUGAUAAAUUGUGCUAAUCUAUCAUGUGCUGGAAAGGACAAUAGAAUAUGGGGACCAUGAUGAUAGCAUGUCUUGCUAUGCAGUUGUAUCUGCACUGAUUAAUGGAGAUGUUACAGUACAAUUAUUUCUACAUGACCACUUCUCAUGCGUGUCUAUAAGUGUAGAUUAGCUGCUGUAAUUUGUUUUUUAUCAUGUGGAUUUUGUUGUUGCAUGAGUAAUCUAACUGACUUUUAUUAGGAAAGGAGCUGAUCCAUUUAACUUUUCAAUGCGAUUGAGAUCAACAAAGGUCAGUAUGGACUUUUGACAUUCUUGCCAUCAUGAUUUUGUGCAUUGCUUGUUUUUUUACCACCAGAGACCAGACUGCUAUAAUUUUUUCUCAAAUAUGCAGGAGAACUGCAUAUCAUUGUAUUAAUAGUAGAGAAAUGAGUCAUACAGAGACCCAAACGCACACACAAACACAAACACCCAGACUGCUAUAUUUAUGUAGCAUUUAUGCUGGAUUGUUUAAUUUGAUUACUUUAAUUGGUAGAUCCUCAAGCAUUUUAGUUUUUGGACAUGGAAAAGGAAAGUUGUUUUGUUUGUGGGCUCAUCGAUAAUGUGGAAAUGAUUACUAGGCUACUAUAUUUUCGAACUGUGGGUAAUGAAAUACUGAUUCAUAGGUGUUCAUGUCACCUAUUAGCUUAUGGACCUAGACCCUUCAACUUUAAAGCACUGAGCAUUCUAUAUCAUCAAAGGCAUCAACCAUCAUGCAUGUUUCUUCUGUGGUGAUCUGUUUAAUUUGAUGGCCACUGGAAAGUAAGAAAUAUUGUUAUGCCUUUGCACUCAAAGCAAUAAACAUAGUGGUGACAUGUGAGAGCAAAUUUUGUGUUGCGAGCUUAGGCAGCAUUGGUGUUUAGUACUUUAAGUGUACAUUUGAUAUCACCUUUCUGUAUGAAUAAAUUUCAAGUUUGUUUGUGCUUGUUAAUAUGUUCUAUGAUCAUAUGUUUGUGUACAACUAUUAGUUUGGCCAUGAAAGUCUUUUAGUUAAAUGUAAUUGUUAGAGUAUUCUAGUAUCCUGUGCUAGUGUCCCUUUAAUCCCUAUGUCAUUUACUGCUAAUUACUCUGCUUUGCGCCAUCCUAUGUGGCUCAUGUAAACUGCCCCCUUGGGCCUCUAUAUAUUGUAACCCCUGUGUAAAACUCUAAUCAAUCUAUUCAAGCCUGUAGGCUAUUCUCCAAUAUGGUAUCAGUCGACUAAUCAGAUCCUGAGACCUCCUUUGCUUUCACUCUUUCCCUCGCGCCGCGCGCCCCUCCCACGCCACCAGCUGCUGCUGCUCCUCGCCGCCCCAACAUCAUCCCGUCACCACCACAGUUUGUCAAAGAUGCCCCUCCGAUCGGUGCUGUUCCCAUUCCACCGGUUGACAACAGUCAUGUCAUGAUGACUCGUGGGAAGACCAGAUACUCAUCCCUUCACCACCACGGUUUGUCAAAGAUGCCCCUCCGAUUGGUGCUGUUCCCAUUCCACCGGUUGACAACAGUCAUGGCAUGAUGACUCGUGGGAAGUCCGGAUACAUACAACCGCGCAUUCUCCACGCCGAGGCUCUGUCUCCAAUUCCCCGGUCUUGCCGUGAUGCCCUUGCUGAUCCUCACUGGCGUCGCGCCAUGGAAGAUGAAUAUGCCGCUCUCAUGGAGAACCAUACUCGGGAUCUUAUGCCUCGCCCUGCCAAGGCCAUCGUAGUCACCGACAAGAUCUUCAAGCAUAAAUUUCAUGCUGAUGGCUCUCUGGACAGAUACAAGGCUCAUUGGGUCCUUCGCGGCUUCACUCAACGACCUGGCAUUGACUACUAUGAAACUUUCAGUCCUGUUGUCAAACGUGCCACUGUCCGUACAGUCUUCACUCUAGCCCAUUCCCGGGAUUGGCUGAUUCAUCAACUCGACGUCAAGAAUUCAUUUCUUCAUGGGACUCUUUCAGAAACAAUGUAUUGCUCUCAGCCAAUGGGAUUUGCCAACUCCGCUCUUCCUCAACAUGUUUGCAGGCUCAACAAAUCCCUAUAUGGUUUGAAGCAAGCCCCCCGCAUAUGGUACAACCGUUUUGCAUCAUUUCUGCUCUCUCUAGGUUUCACUGAAGCAAGAUCAGACACUUCUCUUUUUAUUUACCAUUGCGGUACAGAGACUGUCUUUCUGCUGCUCUAUGUGGACGACAUUGUCCUCACUGCCUCUUCCCAGCAGCUCCUCCGCCGGGUUAUUGAUGCUAUGAUGAAAGAAUUUGCCAUGAAGGAUCUUGGCCAUAUUCACCACUUUCUCGGCAUGGCAGUCCAGCGGCAAGGUGAUUCCUUACUCUCUCCCAACGUCAGUAUGCCCUAGAUAUUCUGGCUCGCCAUGGCAUGAGCAACUGCAAACCCUGCUCCACCCCUGUUGAUACCUGUGCCAAAGUCUCUGCUAAUGCCGGCCCCCCUGUGGCUGAUCCGACAGACUACCGCAGCCUCGUGGGCGCCCUUCAGUACCUGACAUUCACCAGGCCCGACAUUGCUUAUGCCUGUAGAAGGGAAUAGAAUGGAGGGAAUCACCACACACCCAUUGUGGGUGGGGAGCCUUUUAUAUAUAUAGCCAAUAGGCAUGCAUGGAAGUUACAUACAUGGGAAGGUAUUCCCUGUACAAGGAAACAAUCCUAGGCUAUAAAUAGAAACAAUCCUAGGCUAUACAUGGCAGCUAGCCUAUCUAGGGGAUUGCCAAUCAAUCUCUAAUUGAUCUUGAUAUGUACACAUCCUAAUACCCGCCCGCAGUCGUAGCGGAAGCAUCACGGACGCAUAGACUGGUCCGAAAAUCAGUGAAGAGUUGGACGGGCAGACCCUUUGUCAUGAUGUCGGCGAACUGGUACUCAGAUGGGACAUGGAGAACACGGGACUGUCCUAGAGCUACCUUCUCGCGGACGAAGUGGAUGUCAAUCUCAAUGUGCUUCGUGUGGCGGUGGUGUACUGGGUUGGCAGCCAUGUAGACAGUGCUCACAUUGUCAUAGUAGACAACCGUCGCAAGCGGGAUGGAGAUGUGGAGCUCCUGCAGUAGCUGACAAAGCCAGCAGCACUCAGCAACAACAUGGGCCACUGCACGGUACUCCGCUUCGGCACUAGAGCGAGACACGGUCGUCUGACGCUUGGAAGACCAAGACACCAGGUUGUCGCCGAGGUAGACGUAGAAGCCGGAGGUGGAGCGGCGCGUGUCUGGGCAGCCAGCCCAGUCGGCGUCAGAGUAGGCUGUGAGCUGAUCGACAGCACCGGAGCCCAAAUGCAGACCUGCGGACAGAGAACCCUUGACGUAGCGCAGGAUGCGCUUGAUUAGCGCAAGGUGCUGUUCGCGAGGGUCAUGCAUGAAGAGGCAGACCUGCUGGACAACAAAGGCCAGGUCCGGCCUCGUCAGGGUGAGGUACUGAAGGGCACCAGUGAGGCUCCUGUACUCCGAGGGGUUGGCGACUGGAGCGCCCUCGGAGGCGGAGAGCUUGUUCCGGGCUUCCACCGGAGUAGCUGUCGGGUGGCAUUCAGACAUGCUAGCACGCUGGAGGAGGUCAACGGCGUACUGUCACUGAGAAAGGAACAAUCCACUGUUGUCCCGUGUCACCGAGAUGCUGAGGAAGUGGUGGAGGUCACCAAGGUCCGUCAUGGUGAACUCCGAGGAGAGGCUGGAGAUGACGUGUUGGAGAAGAGCUAGUGACGACGCGAUGAUGAUGAUGUCAUCGACGUAGAGAAGGAGAUAGGCCAUGUCGUUGCCAGCCUUGUAGACGAAUAGGGAGGCAUCCGAUUUUGAUGCGGUGAAGCCGAUGCUGCAGAUGAAGUUGGAAAAGCGCUGGUUCCAAGCUCGCGGUGCCUGCUUAAGCCCAUAUAAGGACUUCUGCAACAAGCAAACAGAGUUAGGUGCAGCGGGGUCGAUGAAGCCUUUUGGCUGCUCGCAGUAGACUGUCUCCUCGAGGUUGCCAUGGAGGAAGGCAUUCUUCACGUCGAGCUGGCGUAUGGGCCAAUCUCGAGACGUAGCAAUGCUGAGGACGGUGCGGAUCGUGGCCGGCUUGACGACCGGGCUGAACUUCUCAUUGUAGUCGACGCCGGCCUCCUGAGAGAAACCGCGAACAACCCAGCGCGCCUUGUGCCGGGCGAGGGAGCCGUUGGAGUUGAACUUCUGUUUGAACAGCCACUUGCCAGUGACGAUGUUCGCACCAGGUGGCUGAGGUACAAGGCGCCAAGUGCCGUUGUCGAUCAGCGCCUUGUACUCCUCUGCCAUCGCAGCGCGCCAAUUAGGAUCUCUCUGGCAGUGGCGUGGUCGUCCUCGUUGGUAGCGUCGCCGAGCCCUGUUUGGGUCGUGGCCGUCGGAUCUGAGACCAUGUUCCCCGUCCUGCAACAGUAAAACAGUGACUGCCAGGGUAUGGUUACAGUAGCGCGGGUUAACUCCUCCCAUUCCUCCCAUUGUCACACAACGCUUACAGUGACAGAGGUGAGGCGUUACAGUGAUGGGAGUUGGUGAAAUAGCGGGCGUCGCGCCCUGUCGUGGCGUGGGAAGCAUGGCUCACGUCGCGUCAGGGGUACGACCGCCGUGUGUGAGAAGCCUGGCGCCGAGGCCGAGGGGCUCGGUCGAGGCGUUGAUUGCGCUCGAGGCCAGGGGCACGGUCGAGGCGUCGAUUGCGUUCGAGGCCGGGGCUCGGGCGACGCGUUAAUUGCGCUCGAGGCCCGGGGCUCGGGCGAGGCGUUGAUUGCGCUCGAGGCCCGGGGCUCGGUCGAGGCGUUGAUUGUGCUAUGGCUCGGGGCUUGUCCCUGUUCUUUUUGCCGCUUUUUUCCCUUUUGGUUCGGGUAUCCCGGUUUAUGGUACCCAACAAUUCUGCUUUGCACCAUCCUAUGUGGCUCAUGUAAACUGGCCCCUUGGGCCUCUAUAUAUUGUAACCCCUGUGUAAAACUCUAAUCAAUCUAUUCAAGCCUGUAUGCUAUUCUCCAAUAGUAAUACCUGUCGUUGUGAAGCGCAUACCUAAAGUCUUGAAUUCAUCCUUAGUUGAAAGAAUUAAAAAAGACAAGUAGUUGACUGUAUCAUGAAUAUUCCUUGUAAUAUGCUACUUCCCAUAUAGCUACCCACAGAUACAUAUGGUGCACUGCAUGUACUUUUUCUCAAAUAUGUAGGAGAACUGCACACAAAUAUGUAGGAGAACUGCACAUCAUUAUAUUAAGAAGAAAAGGAGUCUAGAUGACUCUUACAACCCCUAAAGGGGCAAAUAAGUUACAAAAAGGGGCUUGUCAACAGAACCUUAAACACAACUAGUGACCAUGAGCGAACAAUCAUGCAUAUAUGCUAUGUAGCCCUUUGGCUCAUGACAUACGCAAUAACAGUGUCUCCUCGCUAAUAUCCUGCAAGAUAGUAACAUGAGUACUGUACGCACUGCAUCACACACAUGUGUUGUCAGAAAUUUUGCCUAUUCUCUUCAAUUUAUAAUGUAGCAUAUGGUGUACUGCACUCAUGUAUUACAUAUUUUUCAUGAACCUUUUAGAUGUUGGCAUGAACUGGAUUGCAAACACAAGAUUGAACUGCCAGAGGGCAGCUUGGCUAAGAGAGGCCGCUUGGAUUGUAUUGAAAUUGCAAAAUCAGAACCACACAAUACAAGGGUGAGGGGGCUGCUGCAUAUAUAGCCUAGAGGGCAGACAACACCCCAACAUAUCCCUGACAGACUCUAACAAACUAGAGAUGUUGUCUACCAGCAACUUGGUUCACAAGGCACCAUAUUCAACUUGGCUGCCAAGGAACCUAUUAGGUAAAUAAAACAAUUACAGCAAAGUAAAUUACAGCAAAGUAAAGAUAACUAGGCUAACACUAGGCUAACCCUGUCAAUUCUCCCCCUUAGCCUUGUGUGCCUUGGGGAUGAUCCGCCUCAAGCCAAUUCUUCCCCUCAUCUCCUGGAAUUUUGCCUUGCCCAGAGACUUGGUCAGAAUGUCAGCGAGCUGAUCAGUAGUAGACACAUGCUCAGCCUUGAAGGUUCCAUCUUCCAGGCAGCUUCUAAGGAAAUGAUACUUGAUCCUGAUGUGCUUGCUCUUCUCAUGGAAGACUGGAUUCUUGGCCAGAGCAAGUGCUGAUUUGCUGUCCAUCUUCAGUUCCACCACCUCGACACCUCUGCCAAGGAGCUCAGCCAGCAGCCGUGACAGCCACAGUGCUUGAGUAGCAGCAGUGGAACGCCUCCACUUCACCUUCUUCGGCGCCGGUGAUGAUCAGAUCGUCGACGUAGACGCCGACAAGCAGGACAUGCGCCCACCGCCCCGCCUGUACAUCGCCGCUUCGUGGGCGCUCUGCUGGAAGCCCAUGGCCUUCAAGGUGCCGUCCAGCUUUGCGUUCCAUGCGCGCGGAGCUUGCCGUAGGCCGUAGAGAGCCUUGUGCAGCCUGUAAACCUUCCCUUCUUCUCCGGCGACGGUGUAGCCUGGCGGCUGCUGCACAUACACCUCCUCCUUGAGGUCGCCAUUGAGGAAAGCGGACUUGACAUCCAUGUGAUGAACACGCCACCCUUCUUGAGCCGCCAGCGUGAGGAGGACCCGAACAGACUCCAUGCGUGCCACUGGAGCAAAUGCAUCGUCGAAGUCGAUUCCUUCUUGCUGGACGAAGCCGCGCGCCACGAGCCUGGCUUUGUGCUUGAUCACCGCGCCCAGCUCGUUCUUCUUGAGCUUGAACACCCACUUCAAAGAAAUGGGGCGAUGACCGGCAGGGAGAUUGACCAGCUCCCAGGUGGAGUUCUGUUCCACCGACGCAAGCUCCUGCUCCAUUGCCGCUCGCCAGGCAGGGUCUUCCUUGGCUUCGGCGUAGCUGGCCGGUUCUCCGGCGUGCGUCAGGUGGAGCUCGGCGAAGAGGCGCGGGGGAGGCUCUGGUGUAGGCGCGUCGCCCAAGAGGUUGCCCACCGUGCGGUAUCGCAGUGGCUCAUCAUCGUCGUGGAAGGCGUCGAGGCGGUCUUCAUCUUCUUCAAGCGGAGUGGCGAACUCCACGCGGCCACCGUCCUCAGCUGGACCUGAUGACGCCGCUGGUGUCGAGGCCCGACGAUGGUGGCGCAGGGGAAGCAGGGCGUGGUGGCGCCGUUGGUGAUGGCGACGGUGUCCGAGCAGAGGGCCCAAUUGGAGUUGGCUCUCUCUGCUCGAACUCCCCCGGAGCUUGACUUGCCGACGAGGAAUCUUCAGGAGCCCCUCCUUGAUCUCCCGGCGUCCAGAGCUCGACGGUGAACUCGCUCCCUGCCGCUGCUGAGCAUCCUGCGCCCGGAGUGGAUCAGUCCCAGCCGCGACCUUCAUCAAAAACCACGUCACGGCUUACCUUGACCCGCUGUGUGGCCGGAUCAAGGAUCCGGUAAGCCUUUGCCCCUUCCGCGUAGCCGAUGAAGACGCCCGGCUUGCCGCGGUCGUCGAGCUUGCGCAACAGGCCCAAAUCCUUGACGUAGGCGACGCAGCCGAAGACCUUGAGAUGGCUCACCGACGGCGUGCGCCCGUACCAGGCCUCGUACUGGGUCUUGCCCAGCAAGCUUUUGGUCAGCGAUCGGUUGAGCAGAUGUACCGCCGUCACGACCGCUUCUCCCCAGUACUUGGCCGGCAACCUCUUCUGCUUCAGCAGCGCACGGGCGGUGGCAACCACAGUCUGAUUGCGGCGCUCUACCACUCCGUUCUGCUGCGGCAAGUGAGGUGCACUGAAGUGGCGUCGAACACCUUCGCCGGCGCAGUAGUCCGCGAACUCGGCGACGGUGAACUCCUCGCCGUUGUCGGUGCGCAGAACCUUCAGCGCGUGUUCGCUCUCCUUCUCUGCUUCCGCCUUGAUCAUCUUCACAGCAUCUGCUGCAGCAUCCUUGGUGGAGAGGAGGGCGACCCACAUGAAGCGCGAAGCAUCAUCAACCAUCAGGAGGAAGUACCGGCGGCCGCCAGGAGUUGCUGGCGUCACCGGGCCGCACAGAUCCGCGUGGACGAGCUCUAGCGGGUCCUCGGUGCGGUACUAGGCCUUCUGUGGAAACGGCCGCCGGCGCUGCUUGGUGACGAGGCACGUAUCGCAGACCUGCUCUGCAUGCUUGAUGAGAGGCCGCGCGCCAUGGAGUGCUGGCCGAGCUGGUGCAGUGCCUCAAAGUUGAGGUGGCCGAACCGCUCGUGCCAAAGCCAGUCGGUGUCGUUCUUCCUUGCGGCGAGGCAGACCGGCUGCGUGGCGUCGAGGUGGAGGAUGUAGAGGCGGCUGGGUCCGCGGUUCACCUUGACCAGAAGACGCCCGCGUGGAUCCCAGAUGCGCAGCAUGCCAUGGUUGAUCUCCACCUUGGACCCUCCUUCAUCAAGCUGGUCCAGGCUCAUGAUGGAGUUGCGCAGCGCCGGGAUGAAGUAGACGCCCUGCAGCACGCGAUGCUCUCCGUUCUUCGCCUGGAACAUGAUGGAGCCGACGCCUUGAAUCUCCACCCUUGACGCGUCGCCGAACCGCACCGUACCGCGCACCGAUGUGUCGAGGUCGGAGAACAGCUCGCGACAUCCGGUCAUGUGGUGGGUGGCGCCGCUGUCAAGGUACCAGCCGUUGAGCAUAUCCUCGCCGCCGUUGUUGAGGAACGCGCGUGCUCUGGGCUCGCUGAUGUCGACGUCGGCCUUGGAGCAGAAGCCGCGGUCCGCGUCCAGCUCGAUGAAGCCGUGGGCGAGGAAGAGGGCCGCCUCGCCGUCAUCGGCCUGCGCGACGUGAGCUGCUCCGCCACGCUCGCGCCGAGGCUCGGGGCGCUCGCGCCGAGGCUCGGGGCAGUCCUUUGCCCAGUGACCGGGGCGACGACAGUUGAGGCAGAGGUCGUCGCGGUUGGCCUUGUGGUCGCCGCCAGCGCCUCCUGCCUUCGCACCUUGCCCGCCACCAUCACGUUCUCCUCCCUUGGCGGUCUUGCCCUUUUGCUUCCUUCCGCCACGCGGCCGUCGACGUGCUUCGCCGCUGGAGGAAGCAGAGCCGCCCGCGCCACCCGCGUCCUUCUUCUUCUUCUGGCGCACCAGCCACUGCUCCUCUGUGAGCAUAAGCUUGCCGCCGACGGACGCGGGCUCGUGCGCAGGAUCGUCGUCGAGGUCGUCCACCGUCUUCAACCUCCCGAUGACUUCCUCGAUGGUGAGGUCCUGGAAGUCGAGCAGGGUCUCGAUGGCGAUCUUGAGCUACGCGUACUUCCUGGGCGUAGCACGAAGAAGCUUCUCCACCGCUCGCUCCUUGUCCAUGUUCCUCUCGCCGUGGAGGAUCAUCUGCUGCUUCAGCGUGGCGAGGCGGAGGCCGAAGUCCUCGAUGUGCUCCCCUGGGUGGAAGGAGAGGUUCUCCCACUCCUUGCGUAGUCGUUGUAGCGUGGCGCGGCGGACGCGGUCGACGCCGAUGCGCGCUGCGGCGAUGGAGUCCCAGGCGUCCUUGGCGGUGAGCUUGUCCGCGAGCGACACCUGCAUCUCCUGCGGAACUCCCGCGAUGAUGGCCUCCAGCGCGCGCCGAUCGUCGUGGUACGGGAGAUCGCCAUACUCGACGGCGUCCCAGAGCUGGCGGGCCUGCAUCUUGAGUCGCAUGAGCGUGCUCCACUCAUGGUAGUUCGACUUCGUCAGCAUCGGCCAUGGAGUCCCCGCGCCGCCAUCCUUGUACACCGUCUGGACCACCGGAGAUCCGCGACGGCCUCCGCGUCCUCGACGGCGAGCGGGCGACGGAGAUUGAACCCGGCGAUGCCUCUCAGGGCUCCGCGACGGGCUCCCGCGGCGCGGAUCAGGGCUCCUCCGCCUGUACACGCGCGGCUCCCGGUCCACCUCCGCGCGGAGAGCCGCGGCCGUGGCGGCCGCCUCCUGAGCUGCUGCUGCUGCCUCCCGCGCCACCUGUGCUGCCUGCGCGGCUGCGGCCUCUGCCGCUGCCAAGCGCCUGGCGUGAUCACCUCCUGGGUUCACCACGGCGCCAACCUCUGGGUAGGCGCCCGCGGCGGCGGCGGCUGCAGCUUGUGCUACUCUGGCUCUCUGGCUUGAGGUAGACAUGGCCCCUAGGAUCUCUAAACCUCGCUCUGAUACCAAUUGUUGGCAUGAACUGGAUUGCAAACACAAGAUUGAACUGCCAGAGGGCAGCUUGGCCAAGAGAGGCCGCUUGGAUUGUAUUGAAAUUGCGAAAUCAGAACCACACAAUACAAGGGUGAGGGGGCUGCUGCAUAUAUAGCCUAGAGGGCAGACAGCACCCCAACAUAUCCCUGACAGACUCUAACAAACUAGAGAUGCUGUCCACCAGCAACUUGGUUCACAAGGCACCAUAUUCAACUUGGCUGCCAAGGAACCUAUUAGGUAAAUAAAACAAUUACAGCAAAGUAAAUUACAGCAAAGUAAAGAUAACUAGGCUAACACUAGGCUAACCCUGUCAUUAGAUGCACUGCAUAUUUUAAGUGUGGAAUCUGCUACAUUUGAAUGUGAACCCAUGUCAGGAACACAAAAAAGAAUGCUAUGAACAUCAAAUAAAUAGCUUCAUUAAGAUCCAGCAGCCAUCUGCACCAGAUACCGCUAGUGGAAAAUUGUAAACACCAGUCUACUUGAUUUAUAAGUCACUUAUCUCCCCAAACAAAGGGCUAUGUAUUACAAAAAUGAGAGAUGGAAAUACCAGCUUGGAAAUCAUUCCAACAAUGUUUAUAAGUAAUGCGCCAUAGCUGCCAGCUAAGCACUUGUGUAGAGCAUUUAUCCAGUGAUUUCAAAGAAAUAGGCAUCCCAGCCACAGGGCAAAAUUGGAUAAGGGUGGAAUUGGGUACCACUGCUGCAAUGCCCAUAUUAACCUUUGAAGCUGCUGGAUGUACUAUGUACAGGUGGCAAAGAUGCCAUUUAGACACAUCGCAAUGCUUGUGUAUUCGAUGGAGCGACUGCUAGCAUGUAAAGAGCUCUUAGUGUCACUAGUGAUGAACGGUGUCUUCGGGAGAUAGCAAGCGCAGGAAGCCUCUUUUCUUUGACUGGUCCGGCUCAUGAAGAGUAGUAGGUUGGCAUCUGGGUGUGUCAGUCACUUGUUUCAAUCCUAAAGGCGCGCUUGUAAUCACAAUGAAGGAGAAUAUAAAUGGUAUCAGAGCUAGAGGUCGAGUUCGAAUCCUGGUUAGCGCAAUUAAAUGAAAUAAUUGUUGCUCGCUCCUAUUCCACGUCCGAGGCCUGAGGGAGCCUCCAUGUGAGGGUGAGUGUUGGAAUAUAAGUGAAUUACCCCACCUCUCCUCAUCAACUUAAACUUUUGGGUUGAACUAGUUGGUGCAUACAACUCAAUACACAAAACAAUAGAGUGGUGUGUAGUGUGUGUGCGGGUGUUAGUGUUUAUGUUUGUUUGUGGUUUAGUUGACCCUUUUUUCUUCUUAAUAUAAUGAUACAUAGCUCUCCUGCGUCUUCGAGAAAAAAAAGAUGCCAUUUAGGAUGCUAAUGUCAUUUCAAUGGGAUUGCACAGGCUCCAUGCAGAAACUUCUUUUCCAGAUAAUAAAUCAGCAGUCUAAGAUGUAUUAGACUAGACUCAAUAAAACACAAACAUCCUUUUUGAACUGGAAAUCUGUGAUUAGUAUUUUUUGAUUCAUAGGAACCUGAACAUUUUGAAUGUUAUUAUCAGGAUCCUUAGGACUUACGAGUAUCAGUAGAGAGAAUAUUUUCUUGAAUCUUAUAUUUGCCACGGUUAAGAUGGAAUUUAAGCACAGUUUGGUUCUGCGUUUGUCCUGGGAUGGGACAGGGCAACCCCCGUUUCAUCGGUGUUUGGUUAGGACUUAGGAGGGGCUAGGGACAGAUUCAUCCCUGGAAAGGUAUAUCCUUUUCUAGAUGCGGGGCAGCUCGGUUCUCUCAAAUUGGGUGGACGAAGCCAUCCCUCACAGCCGGCGUGAUGCGCUAUCUCUGCGUGGCCAAGUGCGAGCACGGCUACCAGGAAGAGCCAAGUGGCAUGGCUAGCGACAGCGGGGGGAAGCAUCGUCAACUCGUGAGGUGCUGGCAUGGCCGAGCUCCGAGCUCGAGGCAAGCAGAGGAGAGGGGCGGAGAAGAUGCGGAGCACUUGGGCGAGCGCCAACGGGUGGGAGAAGCUCAAGGAUCGACGGCGAGGGAGCAGCGUGAAGCUCCAGCGCAUGGCAGAGCAGGCCCAACGACCUCCUCCAGCUGCGCAAGAUCUCCGCUGCGGUGACCUCCGGCCACUUGAGAUCUCUGACAGCAGUGCUAUAUUCUUUGCGGCGGUGUGAGAUCUCGGUGCAUGAUCUUGGGCAGGCCGAACAUCUCUGGCAGUGGUGCCUUCUCUGCACGAGAAUUGCAGUGGCCGGUGCUCACUUGAAAAGGAAGAAGACACUAAGAGUAGACUUAGAGAGAAUGACAGGUGGGACCCAUGGAUUACUAGCUAAUGGUGUUAAAACUCCAUCCAUCCCAUCCCACCUAAUCCUUCAUACCAAAAAAAAAAAAAAACUGGAAUGGACUUAUUCCUCCAAUCAAGCAUGAGCUGGGAUGAUCACAUCACAAAAAAUAGGGAUAGGAUCAUUGCCCCACUUUGUCCCUAAACCAAACACAACCUUAGUUUGAAGUUACAACCUGUGCUAUCCUAUAUGGUAAAAUGCUUUACUUCUAGUCCUCUACCCUUUUAUUGUUUUUGCUGGAGUGUUAUUGAAAUGAAUCCUAUGGUAUCUGUGACUGGAAGUAGAGAUCUUCACAUGUGAACUUUCAGGCACUGUUAGAUAAACACUUUUCUCGCUCUGUUAUUUAUUAGAUUACUCCCACAAAGUGUUCUCUCAUUUUUGUAUUGUGAUUCAGGAAGAGGUUGUUGUUUUGGAUGGAGAUACACCCCAUCUAGAAUCUGCUCAGGAAACAUCCAAUAAUAACUGGUAAAUGUUCAGAUACACUUAGUCAUUUUGCUUAUGUCAUAAUUAUCUUAAGUGUGAAUGUAUACAUCAUACUUCAUAGGCUAUUAACUAUGCAUACUUAGACGGCUGGUUCAUAUCUUCGCAUCUGAACUCUUCUUAUGUUUUGUGAUAGUAUCUUAAGUUAUUGCCUAAUGUUGGAACACCAUUUUUUCAGGGAUUCAGAGAAGCUAUACUAUCCUUCAAGGUUUGCAGUUAAUCUAGAGAAGCUAUACUAUCUUUGAUCUUCUUUUGACACACAGUUCAUCGCCAUUUUAUUUCUGCCUUAUUCACAGGGAACACCUUAGUUCUGUUGAGAUUUCUUCUGAUGACAUCAGAUGUCUCCAGCCUGAAUCAUUGCUGUCCUCACCUAUAAUGAACUUUUACAUCAUGUAAGCACUGUUCUCCUUUGCUUGCUAAAAACAUUGGUUUUUUUAAUGUUGUUGAGACUUGAGAAGUAAGACGGGCUUUACAAAUUCAGUUGCUCAUAUCGAAUUCAGCGAUGUAGUCAUGAGUUUAUACAUGUAGACUGGAUUUAGUUCACCUUUGGCGUAUGUAUCAACAUGGAACAUUCAAGACCUGGGUGUUUUGGAACUUCUUCUACCACAUUUUGAGAUAAUUUAAUCUGCUAGUAUUGAUGCCAAGCAUUUCUUGUGAGGCCUCUAAAGACCAGCUUAUGCUUUUACAUGAGUUGUGGGAUAGACUUACUUGUCUGGCCCCAAAUGUAGGUCGUUUUAGGAUUCUAAUUGGUCAAACUUCUUUACUUUGACCAUCAAUUUAUAAAGAGCAGCAUAGGUUGACAACAUAGAUUGCUCUUGGAAAAUACUUUCAUACUAUACAAUUUUCACUAUCUAAAACAUAUACUUUCAUAAAAAUUGCAAGCAAAGUGUCAUAUUGGAGACCAUAUUGUUGUCCUAAAUGACAUACAUUUGGAACCAGAUGUAGUUAGUUGAUUCUAGAAAGGGUAUCUAGCACAAGUUAGUAGCUCAUGUUACAAGUUUACUUUUGACACAGGAAAAUGGCUUGAUGCAUUGGCAGGCAGAACUCAAUACUUUUUUUUGCUGAACAUGUAGGAGAACUGCGUGUCAUUGCAUUAAAAAGAAGAUAGUUUGUUAUAUCUAGUUUGUUAGUUUACAUCUGCGCUGUUUUAUGUAUUGAAACUCCAACCCAGCCUAAGCAUCUAUCAUUUAACAGCUUCUAGCAGGUAGAACUCAAUAUAGAUUUGGAAAAGGGAAUUCAUGGAUAUUGUGCCACUAUUAUAAUAAAUGUAGCUCUGUCCAAUUAACAAAUCUGAUAUAAGCUUAUGAUACUGCAAAUUUUGAGGCAAAAUUAUCGUUCAUGAGCUAGCUGCUAGCCCAUCAUACAUUGAUACUUGUAUAUCAUGAUUUUACAAAUAUAAAUAUGAAUAUAAUUGCAAGUACGCGACUGUCAUACCUGGGUUGUCAUGUGACUUUUUUGCUUUCCAAAAUGGCCCAAUGUAGACUUUUCAAAAAAAAAGGGUCCAAUAUAAACUGACUGAUUUUGAGGCAUUGAGCUUUAUUACCCUCAUGUGGUAGUAAAUGAACAUUUCCAGAGGUGAUUUCGGGUGGUAAUUAUUUUUUUAUGAUGUUGAUUCUCUAGGGAGGGUUUACAUUUUUGUACUCUUAUAUUGCUUGGAAGUUUGUAGUUGCCUUUUCUGACCUAUUUCAUGAUAAUCAUAACUAGGCUUUCUUGUAGGUAUCUACAGGGACCAAUGCCAUCAAUUAUUAGACCAAUAGGCGAGUAUCACAUUUUUAACACAUACUUCUUUAGCAAACUUGAAACCAUAACAGCGAAGGUAACUUUUUUGUAUGGAACUUUUUACUUAAUGAUUUCCUUACUUUCUUGUUAAAGUUAAAAAUAUAUGUUCUGUCUCUUUUGCUUGACAGUGUAUUCUAGUACAUAUUCCACAUUCUAUGAGAAUGAACAUCUAAACCCAGAUGAUUCUCCAAGAUAAAUGGAUUUUAAUCCAGGAAUAGCAAACAUCACAACCAAGGGAUUUACUAAUGCACAGAAUUAGGGAACAUCUCACACCCAAUAUUGGGGGGUGGGGGGGGGUGGGGUGUGCGUGACUUCCACAUAUAUAGUCAAAGUACAACUUCGAGUACAAGUCACAUGAUAUACAUGUGUUAGACUAUACAUAUAUCUAUUGCCAGCCCGCAGUCACUGGCACAGCGGUAGGGAACUAGACGCAUAGACUGGACCUGAAGUCACUACAUGUAGUCCCUUAGUCAUGAUGUUUGCGAACCGAUGUGUGGAGGGGACAUGGAGCAUGCGGACUUGCCCCAAAGCAUCCUUCUCACGUGAUAGAUAUAUACAACAAGUGUAUAGAUAUAUAUAGCAAGUGUAUAUUAGGCAAGUCCACUGAUAGAAAAUGAUUUUCACUAACUGGGCUAACCCUAAACAGGGUAGCCAUAUAAUUCCAUACAUGGGCCUAGAUUACUCAUACUCCAAUAGCCCCCCGCAGUCUGAACUACCAGCGCAACGGAGUUGCAGACUGGAGUUGCAGCGGAGUAGGCGUGGCCGGCGGAGAGGAGACCACCGGUGGUGGCGGUGGCGACGGUGGAGGAGACACCACUGGUGGCGACCGAGGCAGGGGCGUCGCCGACAAAUGAGAGGCCACCCCCGAUGGCGGAGGAGGGACCGCCCGCGCCCGGCGCUGGUAGACGUGCACCGGCUGGGCGAAGCACGCCGGGGGCGCAACAGGCACCGGCUGGGUGCAGGGUGCCGGAGGAACGGACACCGGCGUCCCUGGGCCCGUGAUAGGUGUUGUGGCAAGAACCACUCGGAGGGGCGUGGCCACCGGACCCGUGUAAGGCACCGAGUCGGGGGCCGCACCGGCGGGCGGCGAGCCGGGACACGAUGCCGGCGAAGACCUCGGUGGAGCAGGACCUGCAGGAAAUAGUAAAGGUGGCUGGGCCACCGGGUCAGCGGGACACGACGAGAAGAAGUCGAGGUCAGGGGCGGAAGCCGGUGUGGUGGUGGUGGAGAAAGGGAAGACAGACUCAUCAAACACCACAUGGCGAGAGAUGAGGACCCGACGAGAGGUGAGAUCAUAGCACCGGUACCCCUUGUGGUCCGGGGAGUAUCCGACGAAGACACAUAGAGUCGAACGGGGUGCCAACUUGUGGGGAGCAGUGGCUGUGGUGUUAGGGUAGCAUGCACACCCGAAGACACGAAGGUGGUCGUACCGAGGAGGGAUGCCGAAGAGAGCAUGGUGAGGCGUGGGAGCUAGGCAGGCAACGGAAGGAAGGCGGUUAAGGAGAUAGGUGGAGCUGUGGAGGCUCUCGGGCUAGAAGCGCGUAGGGAGCGAUGCCUGAAGAAGGAGGGUGCACAUGGUCUCGGUGGUGGUGCGAAUCAUGCGCUCAGCCUUGCUGUUCCGAGGGGAGGUGUACGGGCAAGACAUGCGCAACUGGACACCGUAAGAUUGAAAGAAGGCAUGAGAGGCAGAGUUAUCGAACUCUCGACCAUUGUCGCACUGGACGGCCUUGAUGGUGAGGCCGAACUGUGUGGACACCCAAGCGAAGAAGUGGAGGAGCGUGGGAAAAGCAUCAGACUUGGCACGUAAAGGAAAGGUCCAAGAAUAAUGUGAAAAAUCAUCGACCACCAUAAGAAAGUAUUUGUAACAAGAGUUGCUGAAGACAGGAGAAGUCCAUAGGUCACAGUGAAUAAGAUCAAACAUACGAGUAGUAUGGGAGGAAGAAGGAGAAGGAAGACGAACAUGACGGCCCAGCUGACACGCAUGACACAAGUUCUCCUCGUGAGCUCGAGGGCACUGAAUGUUGGAACUACGACUCAGCUACGUCAAGGCAUCAUGACCAGGAUGGCCGAGACGACGGUGCCAAAUAGUGGAGGAAGGGGUGGUGGCAAAAGCAACUGACAAAGCAGGAGGCGAGGAAGAAGACGUAGUUGGAAAGCGAAGAGUGCUCUGCACUACUUCCACGGCACCCCUCGCGGUCGCUCCAUCACCGGCCGAUGUUGAGCAGCCGUGACACUGAGCUCAUUUGGAGGAGCUCACUGAGGACCCAACCAUCCUACAGCUUGGCUCGGUCCUAGCACCUGCUCCGGCUCAGCCUGCUCCGGCUGGCCCUCCGCCCCUACGGGUCUACACUCAGCGACUUGUUGCUCCUGCACAGGAGCGUGCUGGUGCUCCAACACCAAAUUCCGAGCCGCCAUCUCCACCAGUGCUUGAGCUUCCACAGCCGGCACCCGCUGUGGUGGGGCUCCGACCCCACCACCUUCCCCGCCGCCUACUACCUCUAGCCGAACAGUGACACGCCUCCAGACGGGCUCGCUGAAGCUUGUGGACAGAUAUGGCUUCCCACCGGCAGCUCAUGAUGUCACCACCUCCACCGCCUCGCAAGUUCCCCGUGACUACGGGGGGUCUUGCCAACCCCAGUGGCGCGCGGCUAUGGCUGACGAGUACAAGGCGCUCAUCGACAACAACACCUGGUGCCUCGUUCCCCGUCCGCUCGGUGCAAACGUGGUCACCGGCAAGUGGAUCUUCACGCAUAAGUUCCACUCUGAUGGCACCCUGGCUCGCCACAAGGCUCGCUGGGUCGUUCGUGGCUUCACCCAGCGCCACAGCGUCGACUACGACGAGACCUUCAACCCCGUCGUCAAGCCUUCUACCAUUCGGGGUGGCCUCAGCAUCACGGCCUCUCGACAGUGGCCUAUCUACCAGCUGGACGUGAAGAACGCCUUCACGGCCAUCUGAAUGAGACGGUCUACUGUCAGCAGGCCCCCGGCUUCGUCGACCCGCCACGCCCUGACGCUGUCUGCCUCAUUCAGUGUUCACUCGGGCUGGACAGUUUUAACACGAAAACCGUAAACCAAACCGAGCCGAACCGAACCGAACUGAAGUCUCGGUUUUUUCGGUUUUCGGUUCCUAAAUUUGUAAACUUCGGCGUACGGUGUCUGCUUCGGUUUUCAAACUCCAGCAACCGAACAACCGAAGGCACCAAAUUUAUCUCCUCUGUGCACUACUCACUUCCAUCCCUUCCUCCCACCUUGGCCCAUAUUGGCCCAACCCAACCUCGCAGUUGCAGCCCAUCUCACAAACACAUGAGCCUUAUCCGUAGGAGCUCUCAUCCCAGUCUAUCUUCGGACAACGUUCAUUUGUUCCGACAAAAACAACUACAGCGACGGCGCCGAUGCCAGGGGCAGGAUGCGGGGUUGUAGCAGUCGACGAGGCAUCCCAUGGGCGGCGCGCGCGAUGUAAGCGAGCCUGCGAGCGGUGGUGCGCGCAGGCGAGGCGAGGUCUUAGCGGCGGCGGCACGAGCGCGAGGCGAGGUCGGGGCUUCAACGGCACGAGCGCGAGGCGAGGUUAGGGUUUCGGCUGCGCGACCAUGAUCAUGAGGCAUGCUAUGCUAGUAGCGACUACGCGAGCAACGUAGUGAGCGAUGGACUCUGCGGAUUUGUUCUUCCCUGUUCUGGCGUUUUUCUUUGCCCUUUCGAUUUGUUCUUCGUUCUCAGUUCGGUUGGAUCGGUUAAACUGAAAAACCGAACCGAGUAGGCCGAAGCCGAACUCGUCGGUUUUUGAUUCUAUAGAACACCGAUCGGUUGCUGAUUUCUAGAAACCGAAGUUCAUAGCAACCGAACAAACCGAACCGACUGGUCGGUUAAAACCGAAUGCCCACUCUGAGUUCACACUAUAGCCUCAAGCAGGCCCCUUGGGCGUGGCACCAGCGCUUCACCACGUUCCUUUGACAGCUCGGCUUCGUGGCAUCUGCCACCGAUGCCUCCCUCUUCAUCUUCAUUGAGGGCAAUUCUACAGCCUACUUACUGCUGUAUGUCGACGACAUCGUCCUCACUGCUUCCUCAGAUGCUCUGCUUCGCCGACUCAUCGACCGACUUCAUUCUGAGUUUGCCAUGACAGACCUUGGGGAAAUACAUCACUUCCUGGGGAUAUCUGUCACUUGCUCCUCUGAUGGUAUCUUCCUCAGCCAGCGGCAGUAUGCUGUCGACCUUCAGAAGGCGGGCAUGGCUGAGUGUCACUCAACAUCAACACCUGUUGACUCUCGUGCCAAGCUCUCUGCCACGGAGGGUGCUCCCGUCGCCAACCCCGCCGCGUACCCGAGUCUUGCAGGCUCUCUUCAGUACUUGACGCUCACCUGCCCUGACCUGGCAUAUGCUGUGCAGCAAGCGUGCCUGUUCAUGCAUGACUCGCGUGAGCCUCACCUCGCGUUGAUCAAGCUCAUCCUUCAGUACGUGAAGAGCACACUAUCGGCUGGUCUUCAUAUUGGCAGUGGACCUGUUGACAAGCUGAUUGCAUACUCCGAUGCUAACUGCUGACAAGCUGAUUGCAUACUCUGAUGCUAACUGGGCAGGGUGCCCAGACUCCCGCCGCUCCACAUCAGGCUUCUGUGUCUUCCUCGGCGACAGUCUGGUGUCCUGGUCCUCCAAACGGCAAGCCACCGUCUCACGGUCCAGAGCGGAGGCCGAGUAUCGGGCUGUUGCUCAUGUGGUCGCAGAAUGUUGUUGGCUUCAACAACUCCUUCAGGAACUUCAUGUUCCUUUGCAGGUCGACAUAGUCGUUUACUGUGACAACAUCAACGCAGGUCGUACAUAAAGAAGCAAACCUACUGAAUGGUGUAGGUGAGGUCUGGUUGAGUCAGAGUGAGGUAUUGUAGAGCGUGUGCAAGUCUUUGGUACUGUAAGGGGCCUCGACAGGAGCACCGUCAAUCGCGGACAGCUUGUCCCGAGAGUUAGUGUACUAUCGUUGGGACAGGAGGCGGCUGUCAGAGGAGCAUGUGACGGAGAUGCCGAGUAAGUGGUGGAUAGCACCAUGGUUCAUCAUGGUGAACUCGGAGCUGAGCUGGUCGGUGAUGCGCCGCAGGAGGGUUAGGGAAGAUGCCAUCAAGACGAUGUCGGUGACGUAGAGCAGUAGGUAGGCGACAUCAUCUUCAUCUUUAUAAAUAAAGAGACGUGUCAGAUUUUGUCGUCAUGAAGCUGUGGUUGCAGAUGUACGAAGCAAACACUAGUGCCAUGCUUGACGAGCCUGCUUGAGACCGUACAAGGCCCGAAGGGUCAACAAAACCGGACGGCUACUGGUAGUAGACAGUCUCCACAAGGUUUGCCAUGAAGAAAGGCUUUAUUCAUGUUGAGCUAAUGAAUAGGCUAGUCCCAUGAUGAAUAGGCUAGUCCACGAUGUAGCAAUGCUAAGCAUGGCACAAAUGGUGGCUGACAUGACUACCGGGCUAAACUUUUGUCCAUGGCGAGGUCUUGGACGUUGAAGGCGAUGGAUCCAAGAAGUCAAUUGUGGAUGGAGGAAUCGUCCAUGACCGGACCCACUGGGGAUCAUUGGUGUUGGUCGGUACAGUUCUGUCAAUGUGGUUGCGAAGGCCAAACUUCCCCAGCAGGGACUUGAAGAAGGGCACCCACUUAUGGAAGUUGGGAUGUUUUAGCUUGAGGAUGAUAGGAACAUGAGAGCAUACAACAAUUGUUGUGUAGGUAGCGACAAUGAUUGGCGUGUUGGGGAGAUGGCUCAAGGCGCCGCUAGUGGCAGAGGAGGCCAUGGAGUUAGUGGACAUGGCAGGAAGACGCGGGAGAGGUGCGUGGGGCUCGUGGACACGUGUGUGCGGAGGAGAUCGCCCGCAGGGGAAGGAGAUCAUGCGCAGGAGUGUUGCGAGGUGGGUGUCUGCGUGGCCAUGGAGUCGGCAGCACGAGAGAAAAUAUAUGGUAGAGGAAGGAGCCGGAAGGGGAACCAGACUCUUGAUACCAUGCAGGGAACACCUCACACACAAUGUGAGAGGUAACUUUCAUAUAUACAGUCAAAGCAUAACUUGAAGUAUGAGGCACAUGAUAUACAUGUGUUGGACUGUACAUAUCUCUAAUAAUUAAUACCUAGGAAAGUCACACUUCUUUUUUUGGAGGGGUGCACAUUUAAAAUCUUGGUAAAUAAUUGGAGUGUCCCAGCCACAUUAUGGAAUUUUUUUUAUCAUUUACUCGGAAUAAUUCAUUUUUAACCUCAUAAUUAAUUCUGAAUUUGAUGCCUUUAUUAUCAUAUUUGGCAUGGUAUCCAUGUGUUAAUUUGUUGAUUUACUUGUUUUAUUUAUUAAUCUAAAGGAGGACAAGACCACUUAUUUUUUGAAGUUGAGAAGAUGGUGGAAGGGUGUAGAUAUAUUUCGAAAGGCAUAUAUAUUGAUGCCUGUGCAUGCAGAGUAAGUAAUUUUUUUUGAUGUUGCUGUGGGUUUGAGGUAUCUUUUGCUUACAUGGUCGAGAUCAGCAUUUCUUUUACUAGGUUGGCCAAUUACAAUUUUGAGAAGAGACUGUAAAAGUGGUUCUACUAUCAAAACCUGGAUGUGCCUUGUCCAGUGGUUUGGCACAGCAACCAUCCCUGCAUAUGACUGUCACGACUCACAAAAUAGUUUGUUUUGCAGUAAAUUGCAAAUUUAUUAAUAAGAACUGUAGAGAAACACCGCACACCCUAACCAAGGGGGAUGACCUUCAUUAUAUAGCCAAGAAGGCUUGCAGUACAUCUACAAGUUACAAUGUGGUACUAAUACAAGUCAGGCUAGGAGUACAAGGCUAAUGGGCCGUAAGCCCAAUAUGGGCUGUUAUAAUUAUAUUCUAACACCCUCCCUCAGUCUAAGCGGGAGUGUCACGAACACAAACACUGACCUAAAGUCAGUGAAUAACUGUACAGGUAACCCUUUGGUCAUAAUGUCCGCAAACUGAUGAGACGAUGGAACAUGGAGCACCCGAACCUGUCCCAAAGCAACCUUCUCACGGACGAAGUGAAUAUCUAUCUCAAUAUGCUUCGUGCGACGAUGAUGAACUGGAUUCUGGGCCAUGUUGGUAGCGCUGAUGUUGGGUAUUUUAAACGCAAACAGAAAAAUCCGCAAGCGCACGGAUACCGAUGUAGCCUUCACCCGGGAGUAUUCCAGAGUAUCGAUUUUUCACUGGGAACGUGAGUGUACUAAUUAAGAUCCAAGAUCGCCCAAGGAUAACUAUAUAAUUAUUUUUGGUGGGAAGAGAGGAAGUUUUUCCUGAGAGUUCUCUAGUUGAUCUAAGAAUCAAGAAUUACUUCAAAGAUUAUUUAUUUUUGGGAGAUCAGAACACUAACCACGGAAAGAGGUGAGAAGGGGGCUAGGAAGCUCUGACUACGGUCCUACAAACACCGAUCCGAACGAGGUGGAAUACGUCGACCGUUAGGGCUGUCACUACCCUAGGGCUACCACAACAAUCCGCAGGAUUGGGUGCAAUUCCAGGUAAUUGCAAGACUAAACACCACGUCUAAUCUAUUAAUUACUACUCUAGCGUUAUAAAGACUAGAGCACUUGAUGCAAGCGGGAAUCCAAUAAAUAACUUGAAUGUAAAUAAAAGUAAUUAAAGAACUCAGGAAUUAUGAAUUGAAGAACCUGGAGAACGAUGAAGAACGAACCAGUUGCUGCAAAAGUACAAUGUUGAGGAAGAUCCGACAGAUCCGGCUCCUCUUCCUCCGCUCUCCUCUUCUCUCUCCCUAUUUUCUAGAUUACAACUAGAACGAACUAGAACUAGAACUAGAGGAACUAGAACUAGAGGAACUAGAACUAGAACUAGAUGAACUAGAGGGAUCCUCUCUACUUGGAUGAAGAAUUGAAACCCUAACUUUGAUUCUGUAGAAGAGGUAUGAUCUCCAGGGGCCAGGGGGCCUUGCUUAUAUAGUCUUUUCAGAUGAAUCUGGGUCAUUGGAUCAAACCGACAUUAAUCGUACGGUUUUCCUUGAUUCUUUAGGUCGGUGGAGCGUGAUCCUCGAAUUGGACUCUGAUUGGGCAACAUAGGUGGGUGGGCGCCCUCAGGACUAGGGCGGGCGCCCUGUCUCUGAGUCCUCUCGGCUUCCGCUUUGUUCCCGUGGCUUCUGGAAUCUUCUAGAUGAUAGAAAAUUGCGCGGCAUGUUAAUAUCUCUAUGUAAACCCGACGUGUGGGCUUUUCUUCCGUAUUUCAUGAUAACACCCUGUAGAAAUAGACAAACACCAAAACUCGUGGAAUUCUAUCAGAUAAAACCCUAAGUCUGGGUGAUAGUUGCAUUUGGAUCCUUUUCCAUGAUUAGUUGAUGGUUAAAUGUGAGCAUUAAGUCAACAGCUGACAUUAUCACAGUAGACGAUUGUCGCCGAUGAGAUGGGUGCAUGGAGCUCCUGAAGUCUCAGUCACAGCAUGCGCAACAACACGAUACUCAGCCUCCGCACUCGAAGAAGAGACCGUAGUCUGUCGUUUGGAGGACCAGGAGACUAAGUUGUCGCCGAGGAAGACAUAAUAGCCUGAAGUGGAUCGCCGAGAGUCUGGACAACCAGCCCAAUCAGCAUCGGAGUAGGCGCACCCUCGGUCUCCUCCCCUAGUGCAAGUGCGGCGCUGGCUGCUGUCCGAGGAGGUCCGGUGGACCCUGAACAGCAAUCCGCAGUGCCGGACGUUGUAGUCCCCUUGGCGACUCCGCCCCCUGCAGGGAGUGCUUUGCGUUCAGAAGCCCGGGCUGCUUUUUUCAAUAACCUCGCUCGGCGAACGGAUGCCCUACUUCCGAUGCCGAUCAUCAACAAGCGAAGAUACAAGUCUGGGGUUACACUGCGUUGCAGUCGUCGGCUCGCCGGGGCUGAUGUGGAAUUCCCUCUGAAUGACUUUGAGUAGAAGAAUGAAGAAGGCAAUGCGGUCUCUGGAUAUCAUCCGCGAAAAUGAAGGUAUUGACCAACAGGUUCUGGAUGAUUAUGCAAAAUUAUUUGGUCAUCCAUUGUCAGAUUCACAACUCCAGGCGCUAGCUGCCUUGUUUACUUGGUCCUUGCCUGAUGACCUUAGCCAAGGGGAGGAUACUGAAAUGUUGGGUUAGCAGUCUGGUGCCUGAGUAGUCGUCCUUCAACUUGUGUUUAUGGAUCCUGAAAAAAUUUUGAUUUGAAAUGUUAGGGGACUGAACUCUAUCUCCAGGUAAGACUCUGUACGUUCUUUUGUGGAUUCUUCUCGGUCGGAUAUUGUUUGUAUUCAGGAAAUCAAGAUCACGGAUUUGUCGCGCAGAAUUAUACUGUCUGCAUUAGGCUCAGAUUUCUCAGACUUCACUUUCGCCCCCUCGAUUGGUGCUAGUGGAGGAAUCUUGAUUGCCUGGAGACGGCAUAUCGGAGUUUCUACUGCUCGGCGGGUUGAUAAUCCAGUAAACGGGCAGUCGUGGUGGUUGACUUGUGUUUAUGGGCCUCAAGGCAAUGAUGAAAAAAUUCAGUUUCUACAGGAGUUACGUGAUAUUCGUGCAGCUUGUCCGGGACCAUGGAUGGUGGCUGGAGAUUUUAAUCUAAUCUACAUGGAUGAAGACAAAAAUAAUGCCAAUUAUAAUAGAGCAAUGAUGGGUCGUUUUAGGAGGUUUAUCAAUGACUUGGCCCUUGAAGAGAUACCCCUUCAUGGUCGAAAAUACACAUGGUCAAAUCAGCAAAACUCUCCUACACUGGUGAGAUUGGAUAGAGUUUUGUGUUCUGUUGAUUGGGAGGAGAAAUUUCCAAACUGUUUACUUCAGAGUAUGGCUUCAGAGGAUUCUGAUCAUUGCCCGCUCCUACUUGGUCUCAACGACAGUAAACCUGGAAGACCCCGAUUCCAUUUUGAGCUGUCUCCUCAGCAUGGACUUCAAUCCCUGCUGCUCCAUGCCCUUUCUUACCUCUGAACAGAAAGUUUAGAGCCGUUUCCAAAGGGCUGCAGAGUUGGAGUGACAAGGCGGUGGGUCAAAUUAAGUCUCAGCUUGCUUUGGCAAGACAAAUCUUGCAUCAAUUUGAGAUUGCUCAAGACAACCGUCAGCUUUCCCCUAGAGAACUUUGGUUCAAGAACAAUCUGAAGAAGCAUAGCUUGGCCCUUGCUUCCCUGAAGCGCACAAUGGCUCGAUUACGCUCAAGGAUCAGUUGGCUCAAAGAUGGCGAUGCUAAUACAAGGCUAUUCCAUCUGCAUGCUAGACACCGAAAAAGAAAGAAUUUUAUUGGGAAGCUUAUCACAGGAGAGCGAAUUUGCACCAGCCAUGAGGAAAAAUCUGCGAUCAUUGAUGAUUUUUAUGAAGAUCUGUUGGGUACCUGUACAGUUAGGGAGCACACCAUUAAUUUGGCCAAUUUGGGAAUUGAUACACAUGAUAUGUCAGAUCUUGAUCUCCCCUUCACGGAAAAUGAGGUGUGGAGGACGAUCCAGCAGCUACCUUCAGAUAAGGCUCCCGGACCGGAUGGUUUCACAGGCUGUUUUUACAAGUCUUGCUGGCCUAUUAUAAAGGAUGACAUUAUGGUGGCAGUCUCAGCGGUCUGGAGUAGGAAGAUGGGGAAUUUUGGCACUCUCAACUCAGCAUAUAUCACCCUUCUCCCAAAAAUGGAGGGCGCGGAUCAACCUAAGGACUUCAGACCUAUAAGUUUGGUCCACAGCUUUGCCAAACUAAUCACAAAGCUGCUUGCUAAUCGGCUUGCCCCUAAGCUGCAACAAAUUGUCUCGCCUAAUCAAAGUGCCUUCAUCAAAGGCCGUUUUAUACAGGAUAACUUCAUGUUAGUGCAGCAGACAGCGAGAUACCUUCAUCAGCAGAAACAGCCCCGAAUUCUACUCAAGUUGGAUAUCUCGAAGGCAUUUGAUUCUGUGUCUUGGCCCUUUUUGCUGGAGAUCUUGCAGCAGCUUGGUUUUGGAUAGAUUUGGAGGGAUAUAAUCAGCGGACUGUUAUCCUCUUCAUCAACUCAAAUCUUGUUAAAUGGGGUCCCUGGUAAUCAUAUUUCUCAUCGACGAGGGCUGCGUCAAGGUGACCCUCUCUCACCAAUGUUAUUUAUCUUGGUUAUGGAUGUUUUGGGACACAUGAUUUCGAAGGCUGAAAAUGAAGGAUUGUUGCUGCCGCUGUGUAGGCGAAAUUUACAUCAUAGAAUAUCCAUUUAUGCGGAUGAUGUGGUUAUGUUCAUUCGUCCAGAGGCUGAUGACAUUGUUGUAAUUUUGGAUAUCCUCAAUUUGUUUGGUGAAGCAACAGGGCUGAUGUUAUGACCGGCGUCUCUUAUCAGAGGAAAAAGCCCAUUAGUGGCUAAUGAAGGAGCCGGCAGUAGACAGGGCUUAAGGCCCAAGUUAUUAUUAUUUCCUAGUUGAGAGAUAGUUGUUUCCUAAUAUAGGGAGAGGAGAGUUAUAUAUACUUGGCUGUAAAGACUUUUUGGAUUUCAAGCAAGAGCAAUCUAUUAUUGCUCGGCUUCCUGUAGGGAGCCGGGAGACCUAAUUGUGCCCUAACCGCCACCUCCCUUCCCUCAUCUCGCUCAGCCACGGCGCCCAGGCGCCGACCCCCUUCCCCUCCGGCAGUUCACCACUACAAUCUCAGGUCCCUCGCCGGUAGACCCCGGGGUUCUACCAAUCUGGUAUCAGAGACCUCAGGAUCGAUGUCUCAGCCGCCUGUCUUCCCCACGCAGCCGCCGGCUACCUCCCAGCCGCCGGUGCUGCCCACCACCACGCAGCAGCCGCAGAUCACAGCCACCACCACGCAGCCGCCAGCGCCUCCUUCCUCGACAUCAGGCUUGGUGCUCGCCGGCACGUCUGGGUCCCCAUCAGCACCACCAGCGCAGUCCCCCGUCAGGCCCCUAACGUUCGAGCAACUGACCAUGGCCGUCCUGGACUUGGGGCAGGCAGUGGCUGGGAUUUGCUCCUUCCUGGCGGGAUCCUAUGCGCCGCAGCCGCCCCAAUUCCCGCAUCCGCCGCUACUGUCGCCGCCAUACUCACAGCCGGCUGUCACCAACGCCUAUGCAUAUGGGAUGCCCUAUGAGGGAUCGUCCUCCUACCACCCGCCGGUGUCUGCCCCAGCGUCGCAGGGAGUCCCGAUCACUCAGCUCAGGUUUCCUGCGUCCCCCUCGCCGCUUCCGGCUUGGCUUCUAGACUCUUCGGCACCGCCCGUCUACACGCAGGCGACCACGGUCCAUGAACCGCUGCCUGCGUCAACAUCCAGCGUCAUGCAUGGUGGCGUCCCUGCACCGGACGUCCUCUACGGCAGUGUCGACGGGAGCCUCUUCCAUGGGGGUACGCUACUGCCGGCAUCAGCACCAGCAGGGGGCUCCCCUUACGCUGCUGCCCCUGCGCACGGGCCGCCCUUCGCCGCUGCACCAUCUGCUGCGGGGACAGCAGCCUACGCCGCCGCUCCGGAGCCUCCACCGCCGAAGUUCUACAAGCUGGAGUUCAUGACCUAUGAUGGCUCCGUCGAUCCCCUGAACUGGCUCAACCAUUGUGAGCAAUUCUUCAGGGGACAGCGCACCUUGGCGUCUGACCGCACCUGGCUCGCCUCCUACCACCUCAGGGGAGAAGCACAGACGUGGUACUACGCCCUGGAACAAGAUGAAGGCAUGCCGUCAUGGGAGCGUUUCCGUGACCUAUGUCGUCUUCGCUUUGGUCCGCCGCUGCGGGGUAGUCGCUUGGCCGAGCUGGGCCGGUUACCCUUUCUGUCUACUGUGCAGGAGUUUGCAGGCCGUUUCCAAGCAGUGGCCUGUCAUGCCCAAGGGGUGUCGCCCCGCCAGCGCGCCGAACUCUUCGUUGGGGGGCUGCCUGAACACCUUCGGGUGGACGUGGAGAUGCGCGACCCCCCGGACCUGCAGACAACAAUGUACUACGCUCGGGCCUUCGAGCGCCGGGCGGCUGCCAUGCAAGCGCUCCCUCCGGCGCGUGCUGCUCGGCCGCCUCCGCGCCCUGCAGGCCGCGCACCUGCAGCGCUGCCAGCACAGGACGGCCACGGGGCUGCUGCGGGCAAUGCAGCCCCGGCACGUCCUUUCCGCCGCCUCACACCAGCUGAGCAGGCGGAGCGUCGUCGCCAGGGCCUCUGCUACAACUGUGAUGAGCCUUAUGUGCCCGGGCACGUGUGCCAGCGGCUGUUCUACCUCGACGUCGACGACUAUGUAGUGGAGGACGCCGUACCGAUCGGCGACGCGGCAGCAGCUGCUGCACUGAGGGAGGAACCUGCCGCCCCGGAGCUACCUAACGCUAAUGCUUUUGUCGUCUCGCUCCAUGCUGUGGCAGGUAUCCGGACAGAGAACACCAUGCUGCUCCCUGUUUUGGUGAAAGGGGAGCGCCUGCUGGCCUUGCUGGACACAGGCUCCACCCAUAAUUUCCUCCGGGGCACGACAAUGCGCCGCCUCGGUCUCUCUCCGGCGGGAGGGGAGCAGCUCCGUGUCACUGUCGCCAACGGCGACCGGCUGCCCUGCGAGGGGAUUGCCCACGACGUCCCUAUCAGCAUCGCGGGCGAGGUCUUCUCCAUCACCUGCGUCGGUCUGGACCUUGGCAGUUUCGACCUUAUCCUUGGGGUGGACUACCUCAGGACGUUGGGUCCCAUCCUUUGGGACUUUGGGGCCAUGACGAUGGCCUUCUCGCGACAAGGCCGGCGCAUCCUGUGGAGGGGUGUAGGCGGCUCUGCUGGACCAGCACACACAGCUGCUGUCACCACCGACAUCCAGCAGCCGCUGCUGGACCGUCUUCUCCACCAGCACGCUGCCAUCUUCGAGGAGUCGCAAGGUCUGCCACCAGCCCGGCCGUACGACCACCGGAUUCACCUGCUGCCAGGCACGCCGCCGGUGGCGGUCCGGCCAUACCGCUAUCCCCAGCUGCAGAAGGACGAGCUGGAACGGCAGUGCGAAGCCAUGUUGACCCAGGGUAUCAUCCGGCCUAGCACUUCGCCGUUCUCCGCGCCGGUGCUCCUGGUCCGCAAGGCGGACAAGUCGUGGCGUUUCUGCAUCGACUACCGCGCCCUUAACGCCAAAACUUCCAAGGACAAGUUCCCCAUUCCGGUGGUGGACGAGCUGCUCGAUGAACUUCACGGAGCGCGCUUCUUCACCAAGCUCGACUUGCGUUCGGGCUAUCACCAGGUGCGCAUGCACCCUGAGGACGUGGCCAAGACGGCGUUCCGCACCCACCACGGCCACUACGAGUUUCUGGUGAUGCCGUUCGGUCUCUCCAACGCCCCCGCGACGUUCCAAGCAUUGAUGAACGACGUCCUGCGCCCAUACCUGCGCAGGUUUGUGUUGGUGUUUUUCGAUGACAUUUUGAUCUACAGUGCCACGUGGGCGGAGCACCUUCAGCACAUCGCCAUCGUCCUCAACGAGCUUCGGGCGCACCACCUCCACCUUAAGCGCUCGAAGUGCUCGUUCGGGGCGACGUCCGUGGCCUACCUGGGCCAUGUCAUCUCCGCCGCCGGCGUCGCCAUGGAUGCUGACAAGGUGGCGGCCGUGGCUGCUUGGCCGGCGCCUCGCUCUCCUCGGGGCCUCCGUGGUUUCCUCGGGCUGGCGGGAUACUACCGGAAGUUCAUCCGGGAAUUCGGCCUCAUCGCGGCGCCCCUCACACGCCUCCUGCGCCGCGACGCUUUCGCCUGGGAUGACGAUGCAGAGGGGGCCUUCCAGGCGCUCAAACGCGCCCUCACCACCGGGCCCGUGCUCCAGAUGUCCGACUUCGACAAGCUGUUCAUGGUGGACUGCGAUGCAUCCGGUGCGGGAUUCGGUGCCGUCCUACACCAAGGUGCCGGGCCCCUCGCUUUCUUCAGCCGACCGUUCGCCGCGCGCCACCUCAAGCUUGCGGCAUACGAACGGGAGCUUAUUGGACUGGUGCAGGCUGUCCGCCAUUGGCGCCCGUACUUGUGGGGGCGCCACUUCUUGAUCCGCACUGACCACUACAGCUUGAAGUUUCUCUUGGAUCAGCGCCUCUCCACCGUUCCGCAACAUCAGUGGAUCAGCAAGCUGUUUGGCUUCGACUUCACCGUGGAGUACCGCCCCGGCCGCCUUAAUACCGUGGCGGAUGCUCUUUCCCGCCGUGACGCCGAGUUGGACGGCCCACAGGAGGGCGGGGGCGCUGUGGUGAGCGCCCUCUCCGGGCCUUCCUUCGUGUUCAUCGCCGACAUCCGCCAAGCCACGACGGUUGCUGCUGAUGCGCUGCAGCUCCUGGAGCGCCUUGCUGCUGGUGAGCUGCAGGGCCCCUGGCGCCAUGAAGAUGGGCUGCUCCUGCACGGGCGCCGCAUCUUUGUUCCUGACCACGGUGAUUUGCGCCAUCAGGCCCUCCUACUGGCACACUCUGCUGGCCACGAGGGGGUACAAAAGACCCUUCACCGACUCCGGGCUGAGUUCUAUAUACCCGGUGACCGCUCCUUGGUGCAGGAUUGGGUGCGCUCAUGCAGCACUUGUCAACGUAACAAGACACAAGCCUUGCAGCCGGCAGGACUGCUACAGCCCCUCGACGUUCCGUCUCAGGUGUGGGCCGACAUCUCGAUUGACUUCAUCGAGGGGCUGCCCAAAGUGGGCGGCAAGUCCGUUAUCCUCACGGUGGUCGACCGUUUCUCCAAGUAUGCGCAUUUCAUUGCGCUCGGCCACCCCUACACGGCUGCCUCCGUCGCGCGCGCUUUCUUCGACGGCGUCGUCCGGCUACACGGGUUCCCUUCUUCCAUUGUCAGCGACAGGGACCCCGUGUUCACCGGCCAUGUUUGGCGCGAUCUCUUCAAGAUGGCGGGCGUAUCGCUGCGCAUGAGCACUGCGUUCCACCCGCAGACUGACGGCCAAUCUGAGGUGGUGAAUAAGGUGAUCGCCAUGUAUCUUCGUUGUGUCACUGGUGACAGACCUCGCGCGUGGGUGGACUGGUUGUCGUGGGCGGAGUACUGCUACAACACAUCCUUCCACACAGCCCUGCGCGCCACACCUUUCGAGGUGGUCUAUGGGCGUUCCCCACCGCCCAUGCUGCCGUACAGCCCGGGGACGGCCCGUACAGAUACUGCUGAUGCCCUUCUACGCAGCCGGGACGAGAUGCUGGCUGAGGUGCGCCAACGCUUGCUCCAGGCGCAGCAACUCUCCAAGAAGUACUACGACGCCGGCCACCGCGACGUUGAGUUCCAAGUCGGUGACUGGGUCUGGCUGAGGCUGCUGCACAGGACUACUCAGUCCCUGGACCCUCGUGCGCAGCGCAAGCUGGGGCCUCGUUAUGCUGGUCCCUUUCAGGUGCUGGAGCGCAUUGGGCAGGUUGCUUAUCGGCUACAGCUUCCGGAGAGCGCCCGCAUCCACGACGUCUUCCAUGUCGGGCUGCUCAAACCACAUCGUGGCGAUCCGCCGACUGCUCCUUCCACGCUGCCUCCAGUGGCUGAUGGUCGCGUCCUGCCGGAGCCGGAGACAGUGCUGCGUGCCCAGCUUCGCAGGGGCGAGUGGCGCGUGUUGAUCAAGUGGCGCGGGCUCUCCGCUGACGACGCCACAUGGGAGCUGCUUGAGGAGUUUCGCCAGCACUACCCCGACUUCCAGCUCGAGGACGAGCUGUUUGCGCAGGCGGAGAGAGAUGUUAUGACCGGCGUCUCUUAUCAGAGGAAAAAGCCCAUUAGUGGCUAAUGAAGGAGCCGGCAGUAGACAGGGCUUAAGGCCCAAGUUAUUAUUAUUUCCUAGUUGAGAGAUAGUUGUUUCCUAAUAUAGGGAGAGGAGAGUUAUAUAUACUUGGCUGUAAAGACUUUUUGGAUUUCAAGCAAGAGCAAUCUAUUAUUGCUCGGCUUCCUGUAGGGAGCCGGGAGACCUAAUUGUGCCCUAACCGCCACCUCCCUUCCCUCAUCUCGCUCAGCCACGGCGCCCAGGCGCCGACCCCCUUCCCCUCCGGCAGUUCACCACUACAAUCUCAGGUCCCUCGCCGGUAGACCCCGGGGUUCUACCAGCUGAAGACGAACUUACAGAAAAGCAAUGUGCUGCCUAUUAGAUGUAGUGACGCAGAGCUAGCAGUAGUGCAAAACCUGCUGCCCUGUGCACUCGCAGACUUCCCAUGCAAAUAUUUGGGACUGCUUCUAUCUUUAAAGAAGCUCACUAAGGAACAAAUUCAGCCUAUUAUUGACCGCAUUGCUGAUCAACUUUCUGGCUGGAAAGCAGAUUUGAUGACCAAGGCCGGAAGAAUGGUUCAAGUUCAGUAUGUGCUCACUGGUAUGCUCAUCUAUCUAGUUAUGGCAUUUGAUUUACCAUCUUGGGCUAUCAAAGCAGUAGAUAAAAUUCGACGUGGGUUUCUCUGGAGAGGCCGCAAAGAUGCGAAAGGAGGGCAUUGUCCUGUUGCUUGGGUUAAGGUUUGCCUUCCAAAAGAGCUAGGAGGUUUGGGGAUUUAUGACCUCAAAUCCCUUAGCUGGGCACUACGUAUGAGAUGGGUCUGGUUACAAAAAACAGAACCGCUUCGUCCUUGGGCUAAUCUCCCAAUUCAAGUACCUGAACAGGUUAGAGCCUUCUUCACAAUGGCUAUUUAUUCUGAAGUCGGGGAUGGAACCAAAACCCUUUUCUGGACAGACCGAUGGCUUCAUGGCCGAUGUAUCGCAGAUCUUGCGCCUCGUCUCUUUGCUGCCGUUUCUAAAAGGAGGUUGAAACAGCGAACUGUCCAGGACGCCCUCACCAACCAGACUUGGGUUUCUGACAUAAAAGGUGCUAGAACUGUUGGGGUAAUGGUUGACUACCUCCACCUGUGCGAUGUCAUGGCUGAUUUCCUUUUGCAUCCAGAUGUUGUGGAUAAACAUAUUUGGCGGUUUUCUUCAGAUGGACAGUAUUCGGCAAAAACUGCUUACAAGGGAUUUUUUGUGGGGUCUAUACCUUUUGAGCCAUGGGAAAGAAUUUGGAAGAGUUGGGCACCGUCCAAAUGUCAAUUUUUUGUCUGGCUGGUUGCUCACAACCGAUGUUGGACAGCGGAUCGCCUUGCACGCCGUGGGCUCACUCAUCCUGAGCGUUGCCCAUUAUGUGAUCACGCUGCAGAGACUAUUGAUCAUCUCUUAGUCCGUUGUGUCUUUGCAAGAGAGUUCUGGUUUCAGCUUUUUUCUCAGAUUGGACUCCGAGCCUACUCCCCACAGCCCACAGAUAUAUCUUUCCAUAACUGGUGGGAAAGAGUGAGCAAUGCUGCUGGUGAGAUAUUAAGGAAAGGAAUUAAUUCUCUCAUAAUCUUGGGAGCAUGGACCUUAUGGACACACCGGAACAAAUGUGUUUUUGAUGGUGCGGCUCCAAGUGUUGCUGGUGCACUUGCUGUAACUGAAGAUGAAAGAAGGUCGUGGUCUUUGGCCGGGGCUCGAGGGCUUUCCCUCUUGGCUACCUUCGCUUCGGGUGCUUAGUGCCCAGUGCCCUGUGUGUGCGUUGGGUCGGAUUCAGUCUCUCUGUCACAGGCGCGUUGUUAGCAGUAGUGUAGUGUUCUUGUGAGGUUAGAGCUAUGUGUGUGUGUGUGUGUUUGUGUGGAUUUUUUGUUAUUUUGUGUGUGUUGUAUGGGUUCUUGUCCCAUUUUUUAUCUUCUUAAUAUAAUGAUGCGCAGCUCUCCUGCGUUUUCUUGAAAAAAAAAAGGCUGGUGAUGCUGCCUGUGUCGAUGUGAAGGUGGAGUCGGGGGCACUACGGCUUGCUGCAGUGGGACCGAAGGCUCCUAAGGAGCCGCCUGGGGCGGCUGUGGAGCCGGCGGCGGAGCUAGACGACGACUGUAGUGGAUGCCGAACCGCUGGCGGGCAUGGGCAGGGGCGGCAACACCUGCUGGAGGAGGUACUGGAGCCGCAGCCUGCUGAGGAGCCAAGGUCAGCCGGUGAGCAGCGCCAUGCCACAUAAUGGCAGGGUCGAGUCCAACGGGGUCGCCAGCAUCGCCCGCGUCGUCUGUGCUAGACGAAGCAGGCACCACCGAGUAGUAACAAGAAAGGACAAGAGUUCGCAGCCGGCUAUAGAAUCUACCACAGUCUAUGCGAGGUAAGCCAAAGGGAUCCUUAGAGCAGUGACAUGCCAAUAUUCUAGGGGCAAUAUGGUCUUUUCACCACGUACUUUAAUUCAUGUGAUAGGUCCAAAUGGAAUUAUAUUUGGGAUGAGAGCUAGUAUAAUUUAUGAUUUUUUUCUCGAAUAUGCACGAGGGCUCCAUAUCAUUGCAUUAAGAGAAGAGUUAGGCAAAAAUAGUCAUACACAGCGUACACGCACACACGCCUACAACACUUGCCUGUGAUCACAGGCUAUACUCUUACAUUUGCACCAAAGAUAUGUUACGACCAGCUGGACCAACUCCCAACUACUGCACAAGGGGCCUAGUAGUGACCAUGGCACCAAGACCUUGUAUAAUUUAUGAUUGUUUAGGAAAAUGAUGCUCUUUGUUGAAUAAUGUGGUUUUUGUAAUGCUAAACCAAUAUUUACUGUGAUUUCGGUUACAGGAAGACUAAAUAAAGUAACAUAACACUUGCCUCUAGAUUAGUGGACUCAUUGUCAAUAAAUUAUUUGGCCUCUUUAUUAAUGUAUACAAUACAAUUCAUUUGAUUUUACAAAAAAAACAUUGUUGUUUACAACCUUCAUAAUUUAGAAAAAAAAACAUUUCUAAAAUUCCACUUGUGCAUGAUCUAAGCACUGUUCACUGAUUAUGUACCUGUACGAUAGUAACAUGUUACUUCUAAUAUUUUGUUAAAAAGGCUGAACUUUGUGCUCUUAUUGUUUCAAUUGGUUAGAACACAUUGGAGCCUCAUCAUAAUAUGCAUGCCAGCAAAAGAACAUCCAACAGGCCCCAUCAUACUUCAUUUGGAUUCACUGAAGUUUCAUAGUAGUAGAUGGAUAUUCAAUGUUGUUAGCAGGUAAGCAAUCUUGAAAGCUUUGUCCAGCUGUAUUUGAUUUUUUUUGUACUCAUAUUGCCAUUAUUUAUGAUGAUUUUAGCGGUGUUUUUGGAUUAUUAACUUCCAGUGUGUGGGCCCUAAGGCCAGUCUCAAUGGGAAUUUCAUGGCAGUUUCAUAGGCAUCAAAUAAGCUGAUGUGGCAUAGUUUAAUUGAAGAGGUAGAUGAAAAUGGUUGCAUGGGACGAAACGAGUUUCAUGGGAAUGAAACUUGUUUACACUAUUUCCAACAUCAGGAAGUCUUGGAAACAUAGCCAUGAAACUCCCACUAAUGCCCUAUUAUUUGUUGAUGCUUACCAAUGCCCUUGUCUAGGUGUGAAGACAUUCAUGAUAGUAUUUAUAUAUGUGGUAUUUUAUGUCAAGUAUAUUCAGGAAAGGCAUGUAGCGUUUUAUUUUCAUUCUAUUUGUAGCUCACAUAUUUUUUGCAGAUUUCUCAAAGAAGAAUGGAGCUACCUGAAUGUGAAUACUGCAUCGGAAGAAUGUCCCUUAAGAGAAACAGUGUGGAAGAAUCUUCCUCGUAAAGUCGAAAAGAAAAGAAUUGAGGUAAUCCCUUGUUCCCUUCGAAAUGCUUUCUUCUCAUGGGAAACUGGAUGGGAGGCCCCUUGAAAUGUACUACUGCAUGUGGCAGUCAUGUAGACAAUGCUCAUGAUGUCAUAGUAGACAACGGUCGCCAAAGAAACCGAGAUGUGUAGCUGUUGGAUGCCAUGAUGGUAGGAACAACAUGAUACUUCGCUUCAGCAGUGGAGCAGGAGCGUUUGGAAGACCAAGACACCAGAUUGUCGUCGAGGAAAACAAAUAAUCUGGAGGUGGAGCGCCGUGUGUCUAGGCCCAUCCGGUCAGCAUUAGAGUAGGCAGUGACGGAGUUGAUGGUUCCAACACCGAGGUGAGGGCCAACGGAGAGGGAGCCUUUCACAUACUGCAGAAUUUGCUUGAGGUGCUGCGCUCAAGGAUCAUGCAUGAAUAGGCAGACCUGCUAGACAGUGUAGGCCAUGUCGGGCUGCAUUAGGGUGAGGUACUGGAGAGCACCUGUGAGGCUUCUAUACUCUGAGGGGUCGACAACAGGGGCGCUGUUGCUGCCCGACAAUUUAGACAAAGCGUCCAUCAGUGUUGUUGUCGGGUGGCAGUCAGACAUGCCAACACGCUGGAAAGGUUGACAGCGUACUGGCUCUACGAUAGGAACAUACCGUGCAUCACUGAGAUGGUGAGGAAGCAGUGCAGGUUGUCGAGGUCUGUCAUGGUGAACUCUGAGUGGAGACUCAAAGUAGAUAUGGCACAGGGAAUAUUAGAUCGAUUCAAUGUGUACAAGAGGGUACAACAUAUAUAGGUAAGGAUCAAUAUGGAGUUCAUAGAACACACCAAAUCAACAGAGAUCCUUGCCUAAUCAGAGAGAUCAACAACCAUAAUACCCUGAGGCGUGGGUGCCAAGGCCCAUGGCCAGCCCUAUAGGUGCUAGCCUAGCACGCUCCUGCAGUUGGAUCGUCAGCCACUCUGCACAUUUAGGCUGGACCUAAACUCCGUGAACACGAAGAGGGAAGUCCCUUAGUGAAGAUGUUCCGCAUUCUGUGAAGAGGUUGGAACAUGCAGGACACGAAGAUCACCAGUAGCAACUCACUCUUGGAUGAAUUUAAGAUCGAUCUCAAUGUGUUUAGUGUGUUGAUGUUGAACCGGGUUGGAAGUCAUGUAGGCCGCACUAAUGUUGUCACAAUACAACUAUGUGACACGCUAGAGAGGAACAUGCAGCUCCAAGAGAAUUUGGCGCAGCCAGGUGGCCUUAGUAACUCCAUUGACCACCGCGCGAUACUCGUCUUCAGCACUAGAUCUUGACAGCGUGUUCUAGUGCUUGGAGGACUAAGAAAUCAGUUUGUCGCCAAGAAACACAUCAUAACCCGAGGUGGACUUGCGGGUGUCAAGCCCAAUCAGGUCAGUAUAGACAACAAGAUCAGUCGAAGUAGACGGUCGCAGCAGGAGACCAAGGUGGAGAGUGCCUCGAACGUAGUGCCAAAUCCUCUUGAGAGCCACUAGGUGAGGCUGUCAGGGGUCGUGCAUAUGAAGGCAGACUUCUUGCACAUCGUAUGCAAUAUCUGGACGGGUGAACGUGUCAAGUACUGUAGGGCUCUAGCAAGACUGCAAAAAUAUGCGCCAUCAGUUGCAGCAACCUUUGGAUUAGUAUCAAAUAGAAUGGAGCACGGCUUGCACUCUGCCAUCCCGACGUGAUCAAGAAUCCAUCACCACAUCGCUAAACAUGCAUACCAAGGAAGUGAUGCAAUUCACCAAGGUCUUUCAUGGCGAACUCCUAUUGAAGAGCUGAGAUGAUCCACCAAAGGAGACCGGGUGAGGAAGCUAUGAGGACAAUAUCAUCAACAUAGAGCAACUGGUAGUUUCUGAUCCGCGUUAGCAAACAAAGAGCGAGGUGUCUGACUUGGCUUCAACAAAUCCAAGAGAGGGCAAGUGUGUAGCCAUGCGACUAUACCUUCAGGUGACAAAGUCCAGAUGAGUUGAACCUUCAAACCAGAUCACUGUUGGCAAUUCACUAUCUCUGUCAGGUUGCCACAUAGAAAGCUAUUCUUCACAUCAAGCUAGUGGACAAGCCAUCAAUGGAGAGAGCCAGGGAGAGCACCGUAGGCUUCACCUUAGGCCUAAAAGUUGCAUCAAAGUCCACACCUAGUCACUAUGUAAAGCCAUGGGGAACCCAGCGUGCCUUGUACCUCUUGAUGUUAGAAUUAGGUUUUCCUUAAUUGGGCUAACCCUUAAUAGGGUAGCAAUAUAGUUGCCAUACAUGGGCCUUAUGGGCCUAGCCUCAUGGGCCUACAUUACUCAUACUUUAACACCCCGCACAGUCUGAACUACCGGCACAGCGGAAUUUGCAGACUGGACACGAAAAGAAGUACAACACAUGAGCCCCCCACAGAUGCAACUAGCCACUGGUGAUGUUGAGGCUGGAGAGGAACUCAGCGAAGGUCGAAGACGGGAGACCCUCGGUGAAGAUGUCGACGAACUGGGAGGUGGUCGGGACAUGGAGGACCCGAACAUCGCCAAUGGCGACCCGAUAACGGCCAAAGUGUAAAUCGAUCUCCACAUGCUUGGUCCUCUGGUGCUGCACAGGGUUGGUGGAGAGGUACACCGCACUAACGUUGUCGCAGUAGACCAACGUGCUCUGGGAGAGGGUUGUGGAGCUCGGCGAGGAGCUGUCGGAGCCAGGAAGCCUCAGCCACGCCAUUAACAACAGCGCGGUAGUGCCUCAGCACUGGAGCGGGAGACGACCAGCUGACGCUUGGACGACUAGGACAUCAGAUUGCUGCCUAGGAAGACGGCGUAGCUGGAGGUGGAUCGGCGAGUGUCCGGACACCCGGCCGAAGUCGACGGUGCCGCAGAGGUAGCAAAGGAUUCGCUUGAGAGCAGUGAGGUGUGGCUCCCGGGGAUCAUGCAUAUGGAGACAGACCUGGUGAACUGCAUAGGUGAUGUCCGGCCGGAUGAAGGUGAGGUAGUAAAGUGCACCGGCAAGACUUCGAUAUGCAGUGGGAUCUCUCACUGGGGUGCCCUCGGCCUCUGAUAGCUUGCCCUGUGUGUCAACCGGAGUGGAGCAGGGCUUGCAGUCAGUCAUCCCAGCUCGCUCUAGGAUAUCAAGAGUGUACUGCCGUUGGUGAAGAAGUAACCCGGCAAGAUCUCCACACGCUCUAGGAAAGCAGCAAACCGAUGGUUCCACGCCCGGGGGGCCUGCUUGAGGCCGUAGAGAGACUUGUUGAGCCGACACACCAUGUCGGGAUGAGAAGAGUCAACAAACUCUGCAGGCUGACUGCAGUAGACUGUCUUAGUGAGAACGCCAUGUAGGAAGGCAUUCUUGACGUCCAACUGAUGCACGGGCCACCCGCGAGUGAGAGCCAGCGUGAGCACCAUGCAGAGCCUUGUACCGCUCAAGAGUGUCGUCAGCCCGGCGCUUGUGAGUCCAGAUCCACUUGCCAGUGGUGAUGUUGGAGCCCGGUGGACGAGGCACCAGAUCCCAUGUCUGGUUGGCAAGGAGCGCUGCGUACUCCUCUUCCAUUGCGCGGCGUCAGUGAGGGUCCAGCAAGGCCUCGUGGACGGAAGAGGGAACCGGGGAGACCUGCGAGUCCCCGGGCAUCGCCGCAAGAGCCCAGGGUACCAGUCGCGUGUCGCGUCACCAUAGGGUGAACAUGUUGCGGGUGUUGGUGAAUGAGCGGUGGGUGGUACACCGGCGUCGCGACACGGGCAGCCGGGGGCCUCGGCGGUGGUGUUGGUGUGCUGGCGGAGAAGAAACCGCCGGUGGUGUAGGUGACCCCAGCGAAGAAGGGGACACUAGUGGCGCCGGAGGCAGCGGCGCCGGCCGGGCACGUCGCUGGCAGAUGAGCACCGGCUGGGCAAAGUGCGCUGGUGGGGCCAAAGUCAACGGCCCUGGACCCGCGCGAGGCUCAGGGGCGGGGGCCGGCCUGGAAGGUGACCCCUCGAGGCCCUGGCAAGGAGCAGGGCCAGGGGUGUCACGGGUGACCGGCGAGUUGGGGCACGGCCCCGGCGAAGGGUACGACAUAGCAGUACCUGCAGGAAACAACUGCAAAGGUGGGUCGACCACCGGAUCAGUGGGAAACACAAAGGAUAGGUCAAUCUCCGGGGUGGAAGAGGAGGACGAGGGCCCCGGCGCAGAGAUGGACCCAGGCUGGAGGCCCUGAGUAAGCUCCUCCAUGACAAGGUCGUCACGGACCUGCAGGAAGGUGGGGAAGGGCCGCUGCCGGGUGAUCCACGUUCGUAGGUGGGCGUAGCGUUCACUGAGCCCGGACGUUGAGGACCAAGAGACGGUCCUCCAUGAGCCAGCCGAGGUCGCCGAAGGAGUCCACCAUGCCCUUCAUCCGGCGGCAGAAGUCGCCAAUAGAGAGGUCGCCUUGGACGAAUGUCUGGAAGCUCGCAUCGAGCCACAGAGCCUAGGCUUCGUUGCCCAGAAACUGGCCCUCGAGCGCCAGCCAAAUCCCGCAAGCGUUCAGAGUGUUUCGGACGAGGUCGUGGAGGUCCAGGGAGAUCGUCCCCAGAAUCCAUGAGAGGACGAUGCUGUCGAGGCGCAACCACGAGGGGGUCCGGACCAAGGCGGACGUGGUCAUCGAGGGCGUAGCAGCGGAGGGUGAUGAGGAUCAGGUCCCUCCAGCAGGCGUAGGAUGGGGACUUGGGCUCUAGGACGACUGGGACGAGGAGGCGGAUGUUCUAGGCACCCCCAGCUUGGUAGGAGUUUCGACGGUGAAGAUGGCAGGGGAAAAACCACGCCCACCGGCAUGCCCAGCCCUGCAGCGUGGGCAGCCGCUACGCCUAGUGGCAUACCCAGGCUGGCAGCGUCUGCCCUGACGUCACCUGCAGGGCCGUCCGCGCCGGCGAUAGUCGCGCCAAGAGGAGCCACGCCCGCCGUUGUCAUGAGGAGACGAGCAGCAGCGACGGCGUCGGCGGGAGGAGCAGCCUUGGCUGCGUCGGCGGAAGGAAGAACGGCAUCGACGACCUGCGCCUUGGCCAGCACCUCGGCGGCCCGCGCGGCCUUCGCCCGGGCGGCCUGUGCCCACAAACAGUUGGGGAGGGGGAAAGCAGUUGAAAUAGGUGGGAGGAGGAGGGGGAGGCUGCCAGCCAGCCAUGGCACCCGCGGCGGCGGCCCAGGGGGGCUCACCGGCCGGCGGUGGCGCUAGAAGAGGCCUGGCGGCUAGUAGGAGGGGGAAGGGAGAGAAGACUAGCCUGAUACCAUGUUAUAAUUAGGUUUUCCUUAAUUGGGCUAAUCCUAAACAGGGUAGCAAUAUAGUUGCCAUACAUGGGCCUUGCCUCAUGGGCCUACAUUACUCAUAUUCCAACACUUGAGGGAGCCAUCAGACCGAAACUUGUGCUGGAAGAUCCACUUGCCAGUGAUGACAUUGACACGAGGGGGGUGAGGCACAAGAUCCCAAGUGUGAUUCUCUUCCACAGCCUCUCGCCAUUUGGGGUUGGCUAGAGCGCUACGGAAGGUCUUUGACACCGGUGACAGGGGCGCGGCGUGAAACAUAGCAGGCAUCCAAUAUCCGCUCUUCGAAUGCAUGCCCAUGGCGUGCUGGUUGGCAUUGGAGGGAUAGCAAUAGCACCCUUGGGUAGCGCAGCCUUGGCGACUGUUGUAAGUGCAACCGGAGCAGGAGUUACUCGAGGCCGGCACGUGUAGUGGUGGGUGAAGGCAUGCUCCAAAUGAAGAGGCGGGAACUGCCUGAGUAUAUACAAACUACAAGUACCAGAUAAGGUACAAUCUUGUACUUAGGGAUGAAAAUGGUACGGAUGUUUUCCGACCGUAUUCGAGAUCAAAUUCGUUUAGAGAGGUUCAGAUCUGUCCGUAUCCGAGUCCGAAUAUUCAACAUCUGAUACCGUAUCCGUAUCCGAAUACUUAAAUCGUAUAUUUAUGAUGUCGACAUCCAAUUGUAUCUUAUCCGACAUGAUUGACAUUAUCCGUAUUCGAAUCCGGAUGUGACCAGAAAUAUGAAAACAAAUGUGAUAUUGAUAAUAUCCGUCCGUAUCCGAUCCGUUUUCAUCCCUACUUGUACUACAUGGCUUAUUGCCAUUCUAGCAACAUGGCUGAUAUCAGCCCACUAUGGUACAAAGUACAAACCCGUACACUACAGUACAAGGUACAAGCUUGUACACUAGAUGGCUUAUUGCCAUCCUUGCUAACGGGAGGGCGAGGAGCGGCGUCAGGGGUGGUACGACCUUUUCCACGUCAGCAGAAGAGGGGGAAGGCGUACCUCCAACAGGAGGCGGCAGUAGGGAGUAGCCACCACCAAUGCGGCAGCGAGGAAAGGAGGCGCGUGAGCAGCCGUGAUGGGGUGGCGCAGGUAGCAUUUGGGGGUGGGUGGGCGAGUGGACCUAGGCUGUAUAUAGCCAUGUACAUGUGAAUAGUAUAACCUGUGGUACAUGUAGUGUGGUACAACAAUAUGGUUAUACAAUAAUCCUAAUACUAGCUAUGCCAUGGUCAUUAUAAAUGGUUAGCUUCAAGAAACAUUUUUAAAUGCUGCCAUUACAAUCCAUAUUGCUGCAGCCAGUGAAAUUAUAUUUUGCGUUGUAAAUAAAGGAACAGAGAAGAAAGACCAUCCUUUUGAAACUAUAUUGCUGAGCAGUGAACUAUAUUCUACUUUGGCAUAAAAAACAUUAAAAUGAACAAAUCUGUAAAAAUUGUAUUGUGUAAGGGCCUGUUUGGUAGAGAUUCACCGGCCGUCGCACUCCGGAGCCCCGCCCGCCCCGUCGCUGCUCGGCACUCGCCUUGCUGCCACACUCCGGUCCAGCUCUCGCCGGGGCCGUACCCAUCCAUGGCCAUCCGUAGGUGCCAUGCCCACCCACCGCAAGGAAGAAAAGCACGGGAGAAGAAGAAGCCGAUGCAUUUCUUUCUCCUAACACGUGGGUUCGAGUGUCAGUGAGAAACGCCAGGGCCAAGGGCAGAACAGGCUAUUCCAACCAAAAUGCCCUUGCUUGUAUCUAGAGCUGCUGCUUUAGGCAAACAGUUUCCUAAGAGAUCCACAGUGGGUCCCCAAUCCAUGGUGGAGUUGGUCCAUGGUGAAUCCUAGAUCCAGAUUCACUGUUUCCAGUAUCCUAUAGGUUAUCCACACUGGUAAGCUAUUGAGUAAAUUUAUAGACACAGCAUGUGCAAAAUCACACCAAUUUACAGGGUACAGUUGUUCUCUUGAGAUAUAUAUAUUAGUUGUCCAUGCUUGUUAUACAUUAUCACUUGUCAAAACAUCCUCACAUCUUUCUGUCACAAGCCUCCUUGCUUAGCUCAGCAGGGCCUGUGCUUCUCAGAUUGUAGCUAGAACCAGGUAGGGGAGGCGCCAGGAUUGUUGCCUGGCUGCCCUGCAAAGGUGAGAUUAGAGAAUAGAAAUAGAUGAGAAGACUAGAGAUUACUUCAUUCUUUGUUAAUCAUAAUCGAGGGUCUGGCUUACAUAUAUAUAGGAGAUAGCCCAGCCGGCUGAUCACCCCUGAUUCACAUUCACACCUCAAUCUCUCAUUCACACCUUAAUUUCUCAUUUAUACUCUAAACAGUAUUAGGCCCUUUCACACUUCUGGACCUUUGGCAGCCUUCUGUCCCUUGGGCCGCCGGCUAUAUUGCCGUCCCCACAUGACAUCUCUCCCUCCCUGGAUGAAGCGUGCUGGUGGUGCCAUAGUCGACGGCCCGGGACCCGUGCGAGGCUCAGGUGCGGGGGCCGGCCCGGAAGGUGACCCCUCGAGGCCCUGGCAAGGAGCAGGGCCAGGGGUGUCACGGGCGACCGGCGAGUUGGGGCACGGCCCGGCGAAGGGUACGGCAUAGCAGUACCUGCAGGAAACAACUGCAAAGGUGGGUCGACCACCGGAUCAGUGGGAAACACAGAGGAUAGGUCAAUCUCUGGGGUGGAAGAGGAGGACGAGGGCCCCAGCGCAGAGGUGGACCCAGGCUGGAGGCCCUGAGUAAGCUCCUCCAUGACAAGGUCGUCACAGACCCGCAGGAAGGUGGGGAAGGGCCGCUGCCGGGUGAUCCACAUCCGGAGGUGGGCGUAGCGUUCACUGAGCCCGGACGUUGAGGACCAAGAGAUGGUCCUCCAUGAGCCAGCCGAGGGAGUCCACCAUGCCCUUCAUCCGGCGGCAGAAGUCGCCAACAGAGAGGUCGCCUUGGACGAAUGUCUAGAAGCUCGCAUCGAGCCACAGAGCCUGGGCUUCGUUGCCCAGAAGUUGGCCCUCGAGCGCCAGCCUAAUCCCGCAAGCGUUCAGAGUGUUUCGGACGAAGUCGUGGAGGUCCAGGGAGAUCGUCCCCAGAAUCCAUGAGAGGACGAUGCUGUCGAGGCGCAACCACGAGGGGGUCGGGACCACGCCCGUGGCUUCGAGGCGGACGUGGUCGUCGAGGGCGUAGCGGCUGAGGGUGAUGAGGAUCAGGUCCCUCCAGCGGGCGUAGGAGGGGGACUUGGGCUCGAGGACGACCGGGACGAGGAGGCGGAUGUUCUAGGCACCCCCGGCUUGGUAGGAGUUUCGACGGUGAAGGUGGCGGGGGAAAAACCACGCCCACCGGCAUGCCCAGCCCUGCAGCGUGGGCAGCAGCUACGCCCAGUGGCAUACCCAGGCUGGCAGCGUUUGCCCUGACGUCACCUGGAGGGCCGUCCGCGCCGGCGAUAGUCGCGCCAAGAGGAGCCACGCCCGCUGUUGUCAUGAGGAGACGAGCAGCAACGACGGCGUCGGCGGGAGGAGCAGCCGUGGCUGCGUCGGCGGAAGGAAGAACGGCACCGACGACAUGCGCCCUGGCCAGCACCGCGGCGGCCUGCGCGGCCUACGCCCCGGCAGCCGACACCCACAAACAGUUGGGGAGGGGGAAAGCAGUUGAAAUAGGUGGGAGGAGGAGGAGGGGGAGGCUGCCGGCCAGCCAUGGCACCCGCGGCGGCGGCCCAGGGGGCUCACCGGCCGGCGGGGCGCUAGAAGAGGCCUGGCAGCUAGUAGGAGGGGGGAGGGAGAGAAGACUAGCCUGAUACCUUGUUAUAAUUAGGUUUUCCUUAAUUGGGCUAAUCCUAAACAGGGUAGCAAUAUAGUUGCCAUACAUGGGCCUCAUGGGCCUAGCCUCAUGGGCCUACAUUACUCAUAUUCCAGCACUUGAGGGAGCCAUCAGACUAAAACUUGUGAUGGAAGAUCCACUUGCCAGUGAUGACAUUGACUCGAGGGGGGUAAGGCACAAGAUCCCAAGUGUGAUUCUCUUCCACAGCCGCUCGCCAUUUGGGGUUGGCUAGAGCGCUACGGAAGGUCUUUGACACCGGUGACAGGGGCGCGACGUGAAACAUAGCAGGCAUCCAAUAUCCGCUCUUCGAAUGCAUGCCCAUGGCGUGCUGGUUGGCAUUGGAGGGAUAGCAAUAGCACCCUUGGGUAGCGGAGCCUUGGCGACUGUUGUAAGUGCAACCGGAGCAGGAGUUACUCGAGGCCGGCACGUGUAGUGGUGGGUAAAGGCAUGCUCCAAAUGAAGAGGCGGGAACUGCCUGAGUAUAUACAAACUACAAGUACCAGAUAGGGUACAAUCUUGUAAUUAGGGAUGAAAAUGGUACGGAUGUUUUCCGACCGUAUUCGAGAUCGAAUUCGUUUAGAGAGGUUCAGAUCUGUCCGUACCCGAGUCCGAAUAUUCAACAUCUGAUACCGUAUCCGUAUUCGAAUACUUAAAUCGUAUAUUUAAGAUGUCGACAUCCAAUUGUAUCUUAUCCGACAUGAUUGACAUUAUCCGUAUUCGAAUCUGGAUGUGAUCAGAAAUAUGAAAACAAAUGUGAUAUCGAUAAUAUCCGUCCGUAUCCAAUCUGUUUUCAUCCCUACUUGUACUACAUGGCUUAUUGCCGUUCUAGCAACAUGGCUGAUAUCAGCCCACUAUGGUACAAAGUACAAACCCGUACACUACAGUACAAGGUACAAGCUUGUACACUAGAUGGCUUAUUGCCAUCCUUGCUAACGGGAGGGCGAGGAGCGGCGUCGGGGGUGGUACGACCUUUUCCACGUCAGCAGAAGAGGGGGAAGGCGUACCUCCAACAGGAGGCGGCGGUAGGGAGUAGCCACCACCAAUGCGGCAGCGAGGAAAGGAGGCGCGUGAGCAGCCGUGAUGGGGUGGCGCAGGUAGCAUUUGGGGGUGGGUGGGCGAGUGGACCUAGGCUGUAUAUAGCCAUGUACAUGUGAAUAGUAUAACCUGUGGUACAAGUAAUGUGGUACAACAAUAUGGUUAUACAAUAAUCCUAAUACUAGCUAUGCCAUGGUCAUUAUAAAUGGUUAGCUUCAACAAACAUUUUUAAAAGCUGCCAUUACAAUCCAUAUUGCUGCAGCCAGUGAAAUUAUAUUUUGCGUUGUAAAUAAAGGAACAGAGAAGAAAGAGCAUCCUUUUGAAACUAUAUUGAUGAGCAGAGAACUAUAUUCUACCUUGGCAUAAAAAACAUUAAAAUGAACAGAUCUGUAAAAAUUGUAUUGUGUAAGGGCCUGUUUGGUAGAUAUUCACCGGCUCUAGAUUCACCAUUUUCAGCUCUACUCCACUCCACCAUAAAUUUCCCAAACAGUCCAGAUCCACCAAAUCCAAAUCCAGCAAAAUGGUGGAUUUAGAGACCAGUGGAGCUCCUCGUGGGGUGCAGUUUGGUAGAGUUGGGGAAAAUUACCACCACCGCCACUGGUGGUUCAGUUACCUUUUUUCUUCAUGUGUCCCAACAUCAGCGGUGCCAUACAGCACCGGAACCCCAACCAGAGCUGCGCCGCAAGCACCACUGGAGCCAUGCCGCACUGCAGACCGUGCCCGGCACCAUAGGAGCCCUCUACACGGAGCCGUGCCCACCGGAGCUCCCACAUUGCUGUUGCCGCCACACCCGACACCGGCCGUCGCACUCCGGAGCCCCGCCCGCCCCGUCGCUGCUCGGCACUCGCCUUGCCGCCACACUCCGGUCCAGCUCGCCGGGGCCGUACCCAGUCAUGGCCGUCCGUAGGUGCCAUGCCCACCACCGCAAGGAAGAAAAGCACGGGAGAAGAAGAAGCCGAUGCAUUUCUUUCUCCUAACACGUGGGUUCGAUUGUCAGUGAGAAACGCCAGAGCCAAGGGCAGAACAGGCUAUUCCAACCAAAAUGCCCUUGCUUGUAUCUGGAGAUGCUGCUUUAGGCAAACAGUUUCCUAAGAGAUCCACAGUGGGUCCCCAAUCCAUGGUGGAGUUGGUCCAUGGUGAAUCCUAGAUCCAGAUUCACUGUUUCCAGUAUCCUAUAGGUUAUCCACACUGGUAAGCUAUUGAGUAAAUUUAUAGACACGGCAUGUGCAAAAUCACACCAAUUUACAGGGUACAGUUGUUCUCUUGAGAUAUAUAUAUUAGUUGUCCAUGCUUGUUAUACAUUAUCACUUGUCAAAAUAUCCUCACAUCUUUCCAAAUAGUAUAUCUUCUGGAUUUCCAUAUAGAUAUCCCUUUUUCUUUGUUACCAGGUGCCGCAGCAGGAAAAUGAUUACGAUUGUGGCCUAUUUGUGCUGUACUAUAUGCAGCGGUUUAUUCAGGAGGCGCCUGAAAGGUUUAAGAAGAAAGACUAUUCUAUGGUCAGUCAUCAUUGUGCUGUUUCACUCAUUUUGUUUGUAUGUAGAUAGGACAUGGAUGUGUGUGACUCACUUCUGUCAUUACUCUUUUCUGUUAGUUUGGCAAACGGUGGUUUCGACCUGAAGAGCCAUCUCAGCUUAGAGACCAAAUUCGCCAUUUACUCCACUUGUGUAGAGAAACUGAAGUGAAGAAGGGUGUAACAGGGUCAUGUGGGGAAAGUCAACCUAAGAUUGAGAAUGAUGGAACCGAUCCGAGUGAUGCCUCCGAGCCAACAACACCCAAGCAUCUGAGUGAGUAAUGCUGACAGAACUGGGUAACUGCUGAUUUUGGAUGUUGCUGUAGACCAACAUAGUAGUCUCUAGGUCGUGUGGGUUUGCGCCCAAUAUGGGGAAACUUGAGGGUGCAUCUAUAUAAAAAUACCUGUACCCCUAGUGUCGGGAAAAUGCCGUGUAAAGUAGCGAAACUGGUAGUCAGGUUGCUUUGCGAGACUUCCACAACGCUGUUGGCUUGACAUUCUUCACCUUCAUUAGCUCACGAGCCCUGGCUUCUCGAACUACAUCCUUAUUAUGCUAGCAGUGUGCACCUGUUGAGACUCUGACCAAUGCCAUCCUCCCCCCGUUUACUGGGCUACCUGUCAUAGCUUGGGCUGUGCCCAAUUGAGGGUGGGUCGUCACACGGUUUUUUUGUAUGGCCGAAAGCAUGACACUACAUGAUAAUUUUUUGGCCUGUAUCAGCACGUUAGGAUCUCCGCGUGUUGGUGGCAUGGCAAUGGCAAGACCUGUCUAGUUUGGACCAUGCACCGACGUGACAUAAAAAUAGCAUGUAAUUACGUAAUAAUUUCACAAUACAAUUUUGAAGUAUUUACUAACUCUUUCAAAUUAUAGACGUCUAGCUUUUCUAAAUACAACUCUUUCUAUGCACCUCGAUAUUAUUUAGGGGCUUAAGCCUACCCUUGUUUUUAAGCGAAUAUUGAUUUUACCCUUGUUUUUUUAACUAUAUGAUUUUACCUUGCUUUUUCAAAUUGAAGCGAGACUCUACCCCUAGUCUGUUAAGUCCCUCUGCCAGUGUUAACUUUUUGACAAAAGGAUAUAGUUGCCCAUGUGUUUUUACCCCUGAGCAUUUUAGCUGACAAUCCAUAUAAAUAUAAUUUAAUAGCAUGCAACAAAUCAAUUUCACAUAUUGCAUAACGGCAACAAACCAAAUCCAUAUAACAUGUCAUCACAGUACCAUAUUAGAUGCUAAUAUAAAGGUCCAAAUAACAUGUCAAACACCAACAUAUAGGUCUACAUGACAUGUGAAACAAAAGUAGGAACUAGUAGUGAUUUUCAUAGGCAACUAACAGUGAGCUACAUGUCAAGCAUUGAAACCUAAUAAUAACUCCAACAACAGACGCAAACCGUGACCCAAAGGCAAAAAUAGGUUAUACACAGUAUUUUGCGUAUCAAAAUCACGGUCCAACGGAGGACCCAAACAUCGCACCCAUUUUGGGUAGUAGCUUCAUCGCGACGCAAAUAUGCAUCAUCGUAAGAUGACGACGCAAAUCUCGCGCGUCGCAGUGGUGGGCCCAUCACCCACGGGCCGGUGCACCACGGCCACUCCGGCCUCGUCCCCGGCGCUAGCGCUGGCCUCCGCGCUGAGAUCCGCGUCCGCCACCGCCAUCUUCUGCCUCUCCGAUGCACGCAUCACGGUGCCCGGCGCGCCCGACCUCCAUGGUGAAGCUGCGCUUGGAGAGGCUAAGGGUCUGAUCGAGGCUGAUGUUGAAGGGCUUGAAGAUCUCUGGCGAGCACGGGAGCAGUGGGGCGGCACCGAUCCGGCAUGUGGGGAGGAGUCUAGUGGCCGCGCGUGGGGGAGAGCUCGGUGGCGGCGGAUCUCAGAGGCAAAUUGUCACUGACACAGCGGCGGCGGUUGCCGGUCACCGAACUGCCUUUGGGUUAGCUGACGAGGGAGGAAUUUGGGUUGGCUGUUGAAGACCGGUAGUUUUGCAUCAUGCAGCUAUUCACUAUGCGUCACCCAAAUCUCAGUAUGCCUCUCGUAUUUGCAUUACGUCUGUUGGAGACAGUCAAGUAGCAAGCCUCCCAGAAGUUGCUCCUGUUCUGCCGCUCUUGCUUUGGCGCGCAUCCGCUGGCAGCCCUACUGACGUGCGCACACUAGAAUAAUUAGGGGCGCAUGUGCGUACAGAUCCUGAGCAGCGCACUUAUUCUCAAUAUGCUGAUGGGUUGUCAUAUGCGGGUUGGGAAGCAGAUUUUUUUCUCUCUUCUCAUGUCUAGCUUCAGACUAUAUAUAUUUAAUCGGCCCAUUUAGCAUUUUAUGUUUCUACGAGUUUUUUAUUCUCUUUCGGAAUAACAUGAAUGUGGGAGAUGAAAAGGGCGGGAAAAUGGUUUGACAUCUCUAUAGAUGUAGAAGUUUUUUUUAACACCCUAAAAUUUGCUCCUUUUUGAAAUAGGUGAAAAUGAUUUAAUUUUGUAUUUUUAUGUUCAUGGAAUAUAGGGAAAUAAUAUUCUUCAUCAAAAUAAAAUUUAUCAUAGGGUGUAGCAAUAUUUUUGGUACACUCAUGCUCCUGCAUUUUAUUUAUUGUGCGGAGUGAUUUUACUAAAGUUCAAAAAUAAUUCAAAGUGAUUUUUAAAACGGUUUUGAAAAUAGUUUUGGAAUAAAAGAAAGGAGAAUAGAAAAUAAAAAGGACAAACCCCUUCCCCCUCUUUCUGCCCGAAGGCCCAAACUCUCCUCUCCCCACUCGCGGCCCACUCUCCUCCUCCCCCCUUUCUUUCCUUCCCGGCCCAAGCGCGCCACUCUUCCCCCCCCGGACCCAACUCGCGGCUCAGUGGCAGAAGCCAACCCGCGCCUUUAGUCUCUGCCAGGUGGGACCCGCAGGUCAGCGGCAUCCUCCCUUUCUUCCUCGUCGUGUCCAGCAGGGAUUCCCAACCGAAGGCAAGCAUCGCCUCAACUCCGAUCUUCUCGGGAUUUUUCCUGCCAAAUUCGCCAAGUCGAGUCCCUUUAAAGCCUCAUGCUCCCUCCGUGCUCUCCUUUUUGCAUCAUCAUGCGGCCGCGUAGCCCUAAUCAUUUUCCCCCAUCGUCUCUCAGAUCUCACGAGCAGUUUUACACCCGCCGCCGUGGUUAACGCAUUGUGCUGCCUAUCCUGUGAAUUGAAGAAGAGGAAGAGCUUCACAAGUUGGUAGGGACGCCGCCGAGCCCCUCUCUGUACUUUCUCUCGGUCUAUUCUGCUCACACCACAUCGCCGAACAUGCACAGGGAGAAGCCGUCCGCCUUUCCUCGUGGUGCGCCCUCUUCCAAGCUCUCUCCGAUCGCAAAAGCCGCAUAGGUGAGAUCGCUAUGAUCUACACUUGCUUCCCAUGCCCUUGGAUUCGAGUUUGGCGCAUUGGAGCGCCGAAUCGCCCAACUCCGGCGAGCACUGGCUAUGGCGCCGCCGUGUUCCCUUUCAGCUUCGGCCGGCCGUCGCUCUCCUCUCUCUCUCUAGAUCUAAUCUCGACCAUCAAUCUCUGAUCCAAUGGCUCAAAUCGGUUAAUACCCCUUCGGCCUGGCAGAUUUGCAAAAGAGACCUUGGUCUUUUUAAAUAUAAAACCCGCCGUCCUUAGCACGUUUAUGAAAUACGCUUUCUGACUUUGAAAACGUUAUUUCCAAAAUACGUUUUCGGUUAUUUACAAGUUUGCCACUGAUUUUAUAAUGCUCAUAAAAUACUCAUUUUAACUCCGAUUUGACCCAUUCAAGUUGCGUUAGGUUCAUAAUCAUGAGCCCUACAUGUUAGUAAAACUGUUUUCCCAGUGUGAAAACUUUUUAAUUUCAUGAUCUUAUUUAAUUAAUUUCUUUUCUAUAUAAAAUCUUAGAAAAUCCAUAUCUUCUCUGUUUUAAGUCUGAUUUUCGUGAUCUUUACGUUCGUGUGAUCGUAGCGAUGCGUAGAAUCUUUUUAUAAACUUUUCAUACUGUUUUUAUAUGAUUGGUAUAUUGUUCUAAUUGUAGCCUUGUUUGCUUCAUGUAUGUUUGUUCUCCGAUUGUUUGUGUGAUGAAGAUCGAUGAUCGAGUUUAGUCGGAGAGCUGUUUUUGGUGAUCAAGAUCAGAGCCAUGGGCAAGUGAGACCAGCAGGACCAAAAGGAUAAGCAAGAGCAAUUGGAUUAAGGCAAGUAUAGCAUUUAGAUUUUAUUUCUGUGACCAUGAUCCUGUGGCUAGAUUAAUAUUAAGUAGUAAACAUUAAAAAUGACUUUUUAGCAACUUGAUGAUUUGUCUGUACGUGAUCACCGGGGACAACAGUGCAACCAUGAGAGCUAUAAUGGCUCUGGCUUUAGCUCAGUAUUAAGACCUUUUCUAGCUUGUUAGAGGUUACCCGAAAGGGCGGAGGGGCUGAACCGUUUUGGGUAUAGUGUGGCCUCUGUCUGUAUGUGUAUAGGCUGCGCGUCAUUAUGCCAUCGGAAGGGGGCUCUAUAUCUGUGCGCAAAGGAAACCUUGCGGCCCUAACAUGUUAGACGAACUUUUGAAAGGCUUCAUAGUGAUCCCUGCCGACCUUCCUUGGAAGUGGGUUAAGAGGCUGAUCACCUCGGGCGAAAGGCUAAAUCAUGACUCAUGGUUAAAGAUGUACAACCUCUGCAGAGUGUUAAAACUAGUAUACUAGCCGAGCUCACGGGUGAUGAUUCUUGUGUGUUAAAUAUGCUCAUUGCUUAUUGUUUAGUGCUUUACAUUAUUUAUGUCACAUUGAUCAUGUGAUUGUGGGAGCUAAACAAUCUAGUUGCUAUACUUGUGGAGUUCGACAUGGACUCACUCUUGCUAUUUCCCCCACACUUCAGGAGGUGUUAGGCUUGUGAUCAACCAGUCAGUUGGAUCCUGUAGAGUGAAGUUAAAACCCGAAGUUUGGAGUUGUCUAUCCGCUGUUUGCUAUCAAAGGUUAUCUCUUUUAUACUAAGUAUGUUAUAUAUUUUUGCAUUAUCUUUUGAUAUUACCCCUUAUUUGUAGCUAUAUGUGGGAUUUGACUUCUAAAACUCACAUAUGGUGCAUAUCUGGGUUUUGUCCUUAAAAUCGAGUAUUAUAUUUUUUUUUCAAAAAUGAUAGUAUCUUUGCAUGAGAAUGAUGAUUCAACCGAUACAAAAAAUAAAAAUGGUCUAUAAAGGACAAACAAAGUUAUCAGCACAAAGAAAAUAGAAUAGAGUAUAUCUCAUUUAUCAAGAUAUAUACUCCCUCCGUCUUAAAUUAAUUGUCGUUAUUAGUUUCAUGUCAUAAAUCUGACUCACUUUAUUAAAAAACGUGCAGUAUUUAUAUCUCUAAAUAAAUUUGUUAAAAAACGAGAUUCAAAGAUCUUUCCAAUGAUAUUAGUUAUAUACCAUAAAUAUUAAUAUUUUUAAUAUAUGUUUCAUUAAGAUUGUUUCUCGGGAAACACAAACAAUGGUUAUUUUAGGACGGAGGAAGAAUGUCUAUGUAGAUAGCUAAUACAAAAGACAUCUGACUUCCAGUUUCAAUUAUAUUAGUUGGCAUUAAUACCCUGAAAAAAGCAGAUAAGAUAAAUAAAUUAAAAAUAUCUGAAGUUAUGUUAAACUUUACAUUUAUAUAUGUAAAAGAUGAGUAUUACCCAAAUUAUAAAAUUGAUUCUAAACUUUACACUUCCAUAUAUGAAAAAAUGAAUUCAAAAUUCGCCCUUAAGUUAUAGAAAACUUUCAAGUUUGGCUUUAAAAACUUUGUAACCAUUAGAUUGAAAUAAAAUACUUGCACUCUCAAUCUACAAACUUUGAAGCAGGACACUAUGUACUUUGUGUUCGCAAUAUCCAAACGGUUGUACUUGAAAAUACAAAAAUGUAAUUCAAAAAUUUCAAUACAAUUGUUGCAACAUUUAACUAUAACACUCUAAAACUUUACACACUAAGCUAUGAGAACCUUUUAGUUGUAAAGUUUGUCCUCUAAAUUUAGAUGCUUCAUGCAACACAUUCCUAGGAUUUCAACUUCUAUAACCUAAAAAACCAAACUUGAACUUCAGUCACCAGAUCUAUAAAUUUUGAACUAUGACUAUAACUUUAUACUAACACAUUCAUAAACUUUCUACUAGCACAUUUAGGAACAUUCUACACAUGUAUAAAACUUUGUAUCUCAAAUUUAAGUCUUUGUAAUUUAAACUAAGUUUUAAAUUCAAAAUCUUUAUACUAGCACACUUAAAAGUUGGUACUUUAAGAUUUAAAAAUUUAUAAUUUCAAUCUUUGUUUUUAAAAUCCAAAAACUUUAUACUAGCAUAUUUGAAACUUCAUAUUUUAAGAUUAAGAACAUUGUAAUUUCAAACUUUACAUUUUAAAUUCUCAAACUUUAUACUAGAACAUAUAAAACUUUGUAUUUCAAGAUUUAAGUCUUUGUAAAUUUAACCUUUAUAAUUUAAAUUUAGAAACUUUAUACUAGCACACUUAAAAGUUUGUACUUUAAGAUUUAAAACUUUGUAAUUUUAGUCUUUAUUUUUAAAAUCCAAAAACUUUAUAUUAGCACAUUUAACACUUUGUAUGUCGAGAUUUAGAACUUUGUAAUUUAGAACUUUAUAUUUUAAAUUCAGAAACUAUAUACUCGCACAUUUAAAAUUUUAUACUUUAAGAUUCAAAAAUUUGGACUAUUAUAUUGCAGACUUUGUACUCCUUUGGUUGGAAAAAUUUGAACUAACACACUAUAUUUAAGAGAAUGCAUACCUCUCUUGCGGGGCUAUAGUCGUUCAUCAUUCCAUCUUUGAUUGGACAACAUCUUCUCUGUCAAUGCUUUUGCAUCUGCAACACUAAGAGAGAAAAAGGCACCACCAGCUGCGGCGUCUAAAUGGCUCCUAUUUAGAGGGACUAGACCAUGAUUGAAGUUCUAGAUGAAAAGCCAGUCUUCCAUCCCAUGGUGCGGACAGGCAGUGAUACACUCUUGCAUUCUCUCCCAAGCAUCAAGAUUAGAUUCCUCACCUUGUUGUGUAAAACUGGAGAUUUUAUUGCAAAGAGCAUUGGUCUUGCCCAUAGGGAAGAACUUAACAAUGAAAGCAUUGGAACACUUAUCCCACGUAUCUACAGAAUGGAUAGAUGGGUAAUCAAUAUGUGGAUAAUAAAAUAAAAUAAAAGUUAACCAAACUAACCUGCCAACUAACCUGAGCGGGUUGAUGGAUAAAUAAGAGUGGUAGUAGGUUUGUGAACUCAGUAACAUGAUAGCACUAGUUAUUCUAAUCAAGCAAAGAGGCAUACCUGUCCUGAACUCACCAUAUGGUCGAUCAGACACGAAGCACAAUGAGCCUUACGUUUUAAGAACUAGACCGAACGUGGGGGAAUACGUAGACACUUAGGGCAAUCACCACCUGAUGUUACCCUAGCUAUCCGUGGGUCGAGCUGUAUUUGAAGGUAACCCUAGGGCCUAAGCACCACACUUAAUCUAUACUCCUACUGUCUUUACUCGAGCUCUCUGGUAAAGACACCCUAACUAGACAACAGAGCAAUUCCUUAACUCGAAUAACUAACACUAGACUAACUAUGCAAUCUAUUGCCACACAAUCAAGCACCUAAGCUCAUUAAUGAUAUGAUCACUAUAAACUAAGUACUUGAAAGGUAAACAAUCAAUAUACCGCUCAAAUACUGAAAGUAAAUGAUAAAUAAAUGAGUAGUAAGAUAGAAAAGGUAUAAUACCAGAAUGGAGAGGAGUAAGACUCUUCCUGACUCCAAGCGGAGCUAUAACUGGCUACUCUUCCUGCUUACAACCCCGAGCUACUAGAGCUACGCUAAGCUAGAGGCACAGAGACUGUAGACCUAAGCUCGGCUACCUAAGCGAGGGAGCUACUACUCUAACACUUGCUCUAAUAAGCUCUAUGCUUGUGUUGAUGCAAAAGCUGAUCUGCAAACACAAAGGGUUAAUACCCGAUUCAAACGUUAAGGCGUGCCAGCCGAUUUGACCUUACAAUCGACAAAGGUGGUAACUCGACCACUUUGGUCCCGACUACAACGAUACGCCCGGAUGCCACGCCAAGAGGUGAUCACGCGGAACUUGAGAACACGCCGAGUUUGACUCGACGUAUUCCUAAGAACUCGUAGUAAAAAGAAAAUAUGACGAAGUCGUCGAAAAAGUAGAUGCUGGAAUAUGAGUAAAAACUUGUGUUUGAUUGAUUGAUAGAUGUCUCAUUACAUUGCCCUAGGGUCUACAUUUAUACCCUGUCCAACGAGCUACAACCAGACACGACUAGGACUCAAAUUCCAAAUUAAACGGAAACCGUAUACAAAACGAACUCUAAUAACUAAGAAAAACAUUAAACUACCCCCGUGACCGAUCGGGACACCAUCAUGAAUCAAUCGGCAACCUCCACGCUUUUCUUCAGAGCCAUCGGCAGACCUCCUGUUGUGGCCAUCGGCAAACAUUGAUACUGGUCAUCAGCACGAACACGUCACCACUUCUGGACUUAGUCACAUUCAGUUGUUUCCCCAUCGGCAACCACCUUCAUCGGCAACUUCCCUGUAGACUAGUUACCGUUGCUUCAUCUGCUGAUCUAUACUUUACCAACCCCAGGUACGCGUCAAAAGAUACGUGUCCAAAAACGGUGUCAACACAUGCCCCCCAAUUUCGGAGUAUAAAAUCAUUAAUGCUCCAAAAUUCUCUGCAGUAAUGAUGCCUUUCCACAAUUAAUUCUCCCAAUUUGGUAAUCGGCCAUUAAACCCAACAACCUUGGCCCAAUUCUCCUGCAGAUUCCUCGAAUUUCUCAACCUCUUGAACCGAAUCUCUCCACUUUAUGCGUCCAUCGGCAAUAUUACCGUUAGAAGGAACUGCCGAUGGACCGACCAAGAGAUCUUGUACAGUGAAAUAUCUUCAAAAUCAUGACCGCUUGCUGUCAAAUCACCUGCGCAAUCCCUUGAUUACCGUGCGAACAGUUACCAUAUCCACCUGAACAACCUCGGAUUUCACGGAUGCGGCAAAGAGAUAAGUCAGAUUUGCCCCUGCCCGAUUUGUCCUAUAAAUACUUCCUUCUCCGGUACUCUUUCUCCAUCUUAUCAUUCUACAUCCCAAAAUCUACUUUCCUAACGGCGGCACCACCCGAGGAUUCCAAGAACUUCAACAAAAGCCCUCUUCAGCAAUUCCCCGAGUCUUCGAUCUUCUUCCUUGCGAGGAAAUGGCCAUCAACUUCGUCGUUCCUGAGGUUAGUUAACCACCCUUCUUUUUCCACACUCUUGCUGUACUCUUGUUCAUCCGCAAUUCCUUUUACUGAAUACUCCUUUUUCUUUUUGUUCUUUCUUUUAUCCUCAAAAACUUCUAGGAUUUGGCCGAUAAGAUUGUAAUUCCUACCGAUCAACCUCACCUCCAAUGUCUUGGCCUGCUAGGAAAUCCAGAUCCCACCAAUCUAAUAAACGCAGAGACAAACAGAAUCCUCUUUAGAGCCGAAAACUUCUCCCUAGAUCUAUGGAAAGAUGCCUUCCGUUCCUGGCCCAGUCCUACCAAGGGAUGGAAGGAUUGGUUCCUAAGAGUCAGCCAUUCAAAUGAGGUUCAAUGGGGCGGACGGAAGUUAGACCAGUGCAUUAGAUUGUCUCUUGCCGAUAUGGAGAGGAAUGAGUCACUGCUAAUUGUUGCUUCGUACUUUUGGUCAGACACGCUCAAUGCUUUUGUGUUUGGCCAUGGCCCUGCUUCUCCUACACUUGCCGAUGUACUCAUGCUCACCGGCUUAGACAUAUCCACUGCCGAUAACAGCCAUCUAUUUGAUACCAAACCCAGUUCUAAGGUAGAAACUCGUGCUAUCGGUGGUUGGUCUGGGUACAUUCAGAAGUACCAAAAAACAGGACCUGUCAGUGCAAAGGAACAGACCACUUUCCUGAAUAUGUGCCUGGAUAAGUUGGAUUCUAUGGCCGAUCGGCAGGACCAACCUCUGUUUACUUAUCGGCAGCAGAAAGAUUAGCCAAUGGUGGCCGAUUUCCUCUUGGCCGAUACCUGCUCGGCUCUGCUUAUCACCUCCUCCACCAGGUAGCCAAGAAACUUCUGCUAGGACAAUCCAUCGGCAACUUAGGGGGUCCUUGGUGGUUUAUCAACAUGUGGCUUAGUCUCCACAUGCACAAACGCCUUGAAUUCGACCUCUUUGCACAGCGCUUCCCCAGGGACAUAGCAGAGGAUUAUGAAUUGGAUGAAGAAGAAUCGGCAACUCGUUCCCUCUUGAACUUUGGCGAAGUUGCCAUAGUCUUACCUGGCACUGGUAGUAAUGAAGACCAGGUUAGCCAAUUCUUUCAGACUCUCUAUGAAGGUCUGACCAGAGAACAGCAGGCAUGGAUGCCUUAUGAAGAUCCAGACACCAGAUUUCCCCUGACUUUCCAUCCCUUCAAUGAUGCUCUCAACAAGGACCGUGAUGUGAUGAUGGCAAUUAUCCCCCCAUGGGCCAUACCAGUGAACUUCUUUGGUAGUGGGAAAGCCUCUAAUCUGACCUAUGAGUUUUACAACCCAUCGGCACUAGCUCGCCAACUGGCUUUCGGUCAACUGCCGAUUGCACUUUGCUACGCUGAUGUGGUAAAGCCGAGGGAGACCAUCACCAGCAAUCUUGAGUGGAUCAGAAUAGCUCAACUUCCGCCAAACGCCGAUACAGAUGUCGAUCUAUCGGCUUGGAUCCCAGAUCUCUUCAUUACUCAGGCAUAUAAACAGUGGUGGGAGGAGUGGAAAGAGCAUUUAUUCUGUAGAUCGUCUCUCACAUACAGUGGCAUGAUCGACCCCAAAUACAAAGUCCCCGAUAAUACUGUAAGCACUUUAACCGAUGUUUCAAUCAUUUCACUUUCAUUUUCUAUCGACAACUUAUUUUUUUUUUGUUUUAUACAGGUCGAUGAUACGCCACCAUCAGCUAGCAGAAGUGGCAGGCCGAUCAAACUCCUUCCAUCGGGCCCGAUCUCUUUGAUCGGCAACAACGCUCCGAGCUUGGCGCCCUUAAUGCACCGGGGUGUGCGUUUCAAGAAAAUCACCACCAGGCGAGCGAAAACAUCCCCGUCGGUAGCUGCCACUGCUUUGGCACAAGCUUUUAAGGUAAAUUCUUGAAUUCUUCAACUCAUACCGAUUCCAUUCUUACAUUUACACAAUUUUUUAGGACACAUCGGCUAGCAUGGGAACUUCAUCAAUAACUUUUACUAUUUCAACCAGAACCUCAUCAAUACUGUACAAAACAUUCACUGCUAUAUCAGCAAACUGGCAAAUCGGCAAAGACCAGAAGAACCAAAACGACUGCCGAUGCCUCCCAGCCCAGCCAAGCAAAGAGAAAGGGCCCCAAGAGUACCAAGUCACAAGCGAAGCGUCAGAGAACAGCAACGCCUCCUCCUCCUCCAAGGUCACCGAUCCCUGUAGAAUCGUCCCCCUCUUCUCUAGAAGCUCAGACACAGCAAGUACCAUCUCCAACUCAGCCACAAGAAGAACCUCAGCUGGAAGAACUUUAGCUAGAAGAACCCCAGCCAGAAGAGAUAUCAACUGAUGUACACGAGCAGACCGCCGAUCCAGUGAGCUCAAUCAUAGCAUCGGUAGUCUCCUCGAUCCAGACAAGCAUUGCACCCCCUCAAGGUAAAGUACUGUCUAUGAAAUUAUUGCCGAUGGCCCUAUUUUUCCACUUUAUAAUUAUCUCUGUUAAUCUUUCAGCUGACAUAGUCUCAUCGGCAACUCCAGCCGAUCCACCUGUAGUACCAUCGGCCUGAACUAGCCAGAGGCGAGAGAUAGCUCUAAAACAAGUAAGCUAUUUGAUUAUCAUUCUUUAUUUUACUAAUAUUUCAUCAUCAAAUAACUCAUUUCCUUUUUUCUUUCAGAAACAAGAUUCUCCCGACAGCCUGUUCUCCUUUUCCAUCGAGAUUUCUGAGGAUGAAGGCGAGGAAGCAAGCUCUUCUCAAGCAGUUGGAAUUUCAUCGGCAGAGAUUAGAGCAAAGCUGGAAGAUCUGUCGGCCCUCCUUCAUCAAGACACAGCCCAACUGGUUGAUGACUCCGAUCCAGCCAAGGUUCUGUUUAAGGCUCUCAGAGGCCUAAUUCCUGCCGAUGCCGAGGAGAUUCUCUUCAAGGCUGCUCACUUGGAGAGUCGACAGCUCCAGUAUCAAAAGGUCACUCAGCGCCUUGCCGAUAGAGCUGCUCACGCCCAGCUCUCAGAGGAGGUGAUGAAAGUAAAGCACCUUGCCGAUGAAAAACAUAAGAGCAUCGGCAUUCUAAAAUCCUCAAGAGAUACGCUGAAGCAAAAGAUCUCCGAUCUAUCGACAAAGAGGGAAGCCCUGCUGGCAGAGCUUAAACAAGUAGAAGAAGCCCUGUCCCAUGCUCAACAGGAAGAAAGUCAGCUGCCUGAGAUGAUCAAGACCCUUGAAAAAUAGCGGAUCGCCUAAGCUCACAAGGCACUGCAGAUGAAGAAGAAGCCGAAACCGGUGGAAGGCUCUGCCGAUGAAGAUAUCAAAGAGAUAGAAGAAGCCGAUCAAAUUCGCCUGCGCGCUAUAUCGGCCAUCCAAGCCUUGCUGAAUGCAUGAAUUCUUCAUCGACGACGUGCUUUGCUUUAAGAAUUCCUGAACUUUUUGGUCUAGCCGAUAGGACUGUUAUCGGCACCCUUUUAAAACAUUGAGUCCGGCCCCAGAUACACUUUAAUCCAGCUGAUAGGAAUGUUAUCGGCACUUAAAGUUUCAUGCAUCAAUCCAUAUGCUAGGAUAAUAUUUCUUUAAGUAUUUGCCAUUCAAUGCCGUGGGAAAUUCAACUCCUUCGAGAGUUUCUAAAAUAUAGGCGUUGCUAGGAGCAGAUCGAUUUAUCCGAUAGGGACCCUCCCAAUUGGGAGACCACUUCCCAAAUUUUGAACUUUUAGUCCCGAUCGGUAAGAUUAGUUUCCACACUAAGUCUCAUUGGCAAACUCCUUAGUCUUUACCUUCUUAUCAUACCAUCUGGCAACUCUCUUUUUAUUUUCUUCUAUACUUAUCAAAGCCUUUAGCCGAUGCUCUGCUAAAACAUCUAACUCGUCUUUCAUCAAAGUAGCAUAAUCAUCGGCAGCCAACUGGUCUUCAAAAGAUAGUCGCCUAGAACCGGUUUUAAUUUCCCAUGGCAGUACGGCAUCGUGUCCAUACACCAACUGAUAGGGUGAAACUUUAGUUGACCCAUGACAUGCCAUCCGGUACGACCAUAAAGCUUCAUUCAACAAUGUAUGCCACCUCCUAAGAUUUUCCUCAAUCUUUCGUUUGAUAACUUUAAUAUUCCUUUGUUAGACGCCUCGGCCUAUCCAUUAGCUUGAGCAUAAUAAGGAGAAGAAUUCAACACUUUAAUCCCCAUACCGAUUGCAAAUUCAUCAAACUCGCCCGAUGUAAACAAAGUACCCUGAUCGGUAAUAAUUGUUUGAGGAAUACCAAAUCGGUAAAUAAUAUGCUCUUUCACAAAAUCAAUCAUAUUGGCCGAUGUAACUUUUUUCAAAGGAAUAGCCUCAACCCACUUGGUGAAAUAAUCAGUGGCAACUAAGAUGAAUUUAUGCCCUUUGCUCGAUGGUGGGUAAAUUUGACCGAUCAGAUCAAUAGCCCAUCCUCGGAACGGCCAAGGUUUAAUAAUGGGAUUCAUGGCCGAUGCGGGCGCCCUUUGAACAUUGCCAAACUUCUGACAUCCUUGACACCCUUUGAAAUAUUUAAAGCAAUCCUCGAGAAUAGUCGGCCAAUAAUACCCAUUUCUCCUGAUCAUCCACUUCAUCUUAAAAGCCGACUGAUGCGCUCCACACACUCCUUCAUGGAUUUCACCCAUCAAAUUCUUAGCUUCAUCAUUACCUAAACAUUUGAGAAGAACCCCAUCGAUUGUCCGAUAAUAGAGCUCAUCCUCGAGGAACACAUACUUGGUAGCCUGAAACCGAACACGCCUCUCAAUCUUCUUGGAUGGAUUCUUUAAAUAAUCAAUAAUUUCUUUUCUCCAAUCAUCGGCAGUAAUUGCCGAUAUUGUAUUCAAUAUGGGCUGAUAUCCCGAGACAUGCUGAGCCAACCGAUUAACCUCCUCAUUAUGCAAUCGAGGGACAUGCUCUAAUCGGAAAUCUUUGAAUUCCCUUAAUAGUUGCAUACUCUUUUCGUAAUAAGUUAUCAGAACUUCAAUUCGGCAUUCAUAACUUCCAGCUAAUUGAUUUAUAACCAACAUAGAAUCUCCGAAGAUCUCAACAGCAUCAGCAUGAACCUCUUUUAGUAACUCCAACCCUUUGAUCAAAGCUUGAUAUUCGGCUUGAUUAUUUGUUGACGUAGCAACAAUCGGCAAAGAGAAUUCAUAUUUUCUUCCCUGAGGGGAAAUUAACACUAUGCCGAUUCCUGCCCCCCGGUCACACGUGGAUCCAUCAAAGAAGAGCGUCCAAGGCACAAUUUCCAAAGUCUCCACUGCACCGCGAUGUUGAGUCACAAAAUCGGCCAUAAUCUAUCCUUUAAUCGCUUUAGCCGAUUCAUAACGCAGAUCGAAUUCCGACAGUGUCCAAAUCCACUUACCGAUCCUGCCACUCAUAAUCGGCAUAGAUAGCAUAUAUCGGACCACAUCAUCUUUGCAUAUAACAGUGCAUUCGGCCGAUAACAAAUAGUGCCUCAACUUAAUGCAUGAGAAAUAUAGGUAUAAACAUAAUUUUUCAAUAGCCGAAUACCUGGUCUCAGCAUCAAUCAAUCUUCUGCUUAAAUAGUAAAUCACACGCUCCUUCCCUUCAAAUUCUUGAAUCAAAGCCGAACCGAUGACCAUUCCAUCGGUAGACAAAUAUAAUUUGAAGGGCUUUCCUUGCUGAGGUGGAAUCAAGACUGGAGGAUUUGUCAAAUAAUUCUUGAUUUCAUCCAGAGCCAACUGUUGCUCUUCUCCCCAUAUAAAUUCUUGAUCGGCUUUUAAUUUAAGUAAAGGACUGAAAGCACGAAUUUUUUCAGAUAAGUUGGAAAUAAAUCGCCUGAUAAAAUUUAUUUUGCCGAUUAGAGAUUGGAGUUCAGUCUUGUUAGUAGGAGCAACUAUCUUGUUAAUAGCAUCGAUAGAUCUUCUGCUAAUUUCAAUUCCUCUUUGAUGUACCAUGAAACCAAGAAAUUGCCCUGCCGAUACACCAAAUGCACACUUAUUAGGAUUCUUUUUUAAACCAUGCUUCCUUGUGCACUCCAACACCUUUCGCAAAUCGGCAAGAUGCUUUGUGAAAUCCCCAGAAUUAACCACCACAUCAUCAAUGUAAAUCUCUACUAGCUUGCCGAUGAACUCAUGAAAGAUAAAAUUCAUAGCCCUUUGAUAAGUAGCACCAGCAUUUUUCAAGCCAAAGGUCAUGACUAUCCAUUCAAACAAUCCAACAUGACCAGGACAUCUAAAUGCAGUCUUUGAAAUAUCUUCAUCAGCCAUGAAUAUCUGAUUAUACCCUGCAUUGCCAUCCAUAAAGCUAAUAACUCGAUGUCCAGCUGCAGCAUCAACCAGCAAAUCGGCAAUUGGCAUUGGGUAACCAUCCAUCGGUGUAGCCUUGUUAAGAUUUCUAAAAUCAAUACAAACUCGAAGCUUCCCAUUUUUCUUGUAAACUAGGGCAACAUUGGAAAUCCACUUGGCAUACCGACACUGCCGAAUAAAUUUAGCUUCGAUAAGUUUAGUGAUUUCAGCCUUAAUAUCAGGAAGAAUAUUAGGAUUACAUCGGCGAGCUGGCUGCUGAUGUGGCUGAAAUCUAGACUUGAUAGGCAACCGAUGUUCAACAAUAGUUCGGUCUAAACCAGGCAUCUCGGUAUAAUCCCAAGCAAAGCAAUCUUUAUAUUCCUUUAACAAAUUAGUUAACUGUUGCUUACACUCAGAAUUUAACUUAGCACUAAUAAAAGUAGGUCUAGGCUUAUCACAAUUACCUAUAUCUACCUCUACUAAAUCAUCAGCCGAUGUAAACCCCUGGCCUAAUUUUCCAUCAUCGGCGAACCUAUCCAUUAAAACUCUUCAUCAGAACUGACUGCUUGGAUCGGUGGAAUUUCAUAAUCGGCAACUUUGAGGAAAUCUUUCUCCCAAAUCUCCCCUGAGAUACACCUGGUCCUUUCAUAAGUGUCUGCUUCUAUCGAUGCGAUGACAUAAGAAGAAUCUCCCGGGACAAUCUCAAUCUUGUCACCUACCCACUGGACUAAGCAUUGGUGCAUUGUUUAUGGGAUGCAACAAUUGGCAUGGAUCCAGUCUCUCCCCAGUAGUAGAUUGUAGGCACCUUUUCCACUGAUCACGAAGAAUGUUGUCGGCAAGGUUUUGCUACCGAUGGUCAACUCAACACAUAUUGCCCCUUUAACCGGAGACACAUUUCCUUCAAAGUCCUUUAGCAUCAUAUCGGUCUUGGUCAAAUCUUGAUCUCCUUUCCGAUAGACUGCAUACGGCAUGAUGUUAAUAGCAGCCCCACCAUCAAUUAAUAUCUUGGUCAUCGGUUGUCCAUCAACUCUUCCUUUGACGAACAGAGCUUUAAGAUGCUGCCUUUCAUUGUCGACAGACUUUUCAAAGACAGUCGUCAUCGGAUCCAGAGCCAACUGAGCUAUCUGGUCGAAAAAGUCCAGUUCCUCAUCAUCGCUGGACGGCGCAAGAAACUCCAUCGGCAACAUGAAUACCAUGUUAACAUCUACGAUAGCCCUUUUCCCUUAGGAUCUGGUUGCUGCUGAUCUCCAGAUUGGCCAGAAUUCUCGCCUUUGCUUAGCUCUUCUCGCCUUUCGCGUUGCAACCUUCUCUUCUGUGUCCUAGUCAAUCCCUCUGGACACCAUGGAGGAAGCUGUGGCUGCCUUGCCGAUAGGCGACGACUUUCCCUUGACUCCACCCGAUAGGUAUUGGCAUCUCUACAAAAUAUGAACUCAUCGGGAACUCGAGCAUUUGCCAUCUCUUCAAGCUCCUCUUGGUUCCUAGGAAAUUACUCAACACAAUCACCAAGCCUAUCAUGCACACUGAGCCUGCCCCCCAGCCGAUCAUGAACUGAAGUCCUACCCCUAAUCGGCCCAUCAAAUCGCCGAUCAUCGUUUUGAUACUGCCGAUUAGGUCUAUCAUACCGAUCAUAACCAUUGCAUUCAGGGCAAUCUCUAACAGUGGGCAAUUUAAUAUUCUGCUCCCAGCAAUGGAUGAAGAACGGGCAGUUCCAGUGAUCCUUAUGCCGGUUUCAUUCUUGUCGGCGUCUUUCUUCUUCCCAACGAUAGUCUUCCUGCUGGCACCGAUACCGAUCCUCACGUUGCUGCCAAGUCUCCCGAUGCCUUCUAUGAGUUAUCACAAUGCCAGAUCGGGGAGGCCUUCCUGAGCUAGUUCCCUCUUGGAUCAAACCCUUUUCUUUGGCAUCGGCAGCAGUAAUUUGAUGCUGAGGUUCCACCGAUACACUUCUUUCAGCUGCUUCCGACGUCAAGACCUUGGUUUUUCCCUUAGCAUCCAACAUAUUUAUUGGGAAAGGAUGUUGAUCGAUCUUCAUCGGCUUCUGAGCUUUAUAAUUAUCAAAUUUGAUCCUCCCAGAUUCUAUAGCCGACUGCAGUUGUUGCCUGAAAACCUUACACUCAUUGGUGCUAUGAGAGGUUGCAUUGUGCCACUUGCAGUAUUUCAUCUUCUUUAAUUCUUCAGCCGAUGGAAUCACAUGAUUGGGUGACAACUUGAUUUGCCCUUCCUAAAGUAGAAAAUCAAAUAUCCUAUCGGCUUUAGUGAUAUCAAAUACAAACUUUUCUGGCUCUUUAUGACCAAAAGGGCAAGACAUCGACUUCUUAUUUUUCACCCAUUCUACCAAGCCGAUGACUGGCUCCUCAUCAGAAUCUGAGCUUGCUGCCUCAUGAACAAAUGACACCUUUUUAUUCCAUGCUCUCUUGGGCUCAAAGGGUUUGAUAUCCUGGUCGGAAAUCCUCUGCACCAGGUGACUUAGGCUCUCGAACUCUUGAGAAGCAUACUUGUCUCUGAUAUGUGGCAACAAACCCUAGAAAGCCAAAUCGGCUAGCUGCUAAUCAUCUAGAACCAGACUAUAGCAUUUAUUCUUGACCUCCCGCAAUCUCUGCACAAAACUUUCAACCGAUUCAUCAUUGCGUUGCUUCAACCUGACUAAAUCGGUAAUUUUCUUCUCAUGAACUCCAGAGAAGAAGUACUUGUGGAACUGCUUCUCUAGAUCGGCCCAAGUGAUCACUGAGUUGGGAGGUAACGAAACAAACCAAUUGAAAGCCGAUCCAGAUAAAGAUGAUGAGAACAGACGAACCCUUAACUCAUAUCUGUUAGCAGCUUCCCCACACUGGAUGAUGAACCUAUUGACAUGCUCCAUAGUCGAUGUAUCAUCCUGUCCAGAAAACUUAGUGAAGUCCGGUACCUUGUACCGAUUUGGAAGUGGAAUCAGGUCAUAUGCGGGAGGAUAUGGUGUCCGAUAAGAGUAAGUAUUGACUUUGGGUUUUAUCCCAAAUUGGUCUCUCAUUACUUCAGCUAUCUUAUCGACCCAAUAAGCAUCGGCGUCUUGCCGAUGACGCGGUUGUGGAUCUGGCACCUGCUGAUAUGCUUCCACGUGUCUCUGGGGUGCACGAUCUGCAUGGAACAUGGGUUUAACCAUUUGACCGCCAACCUGCUGACCAAGAUUUAUUGGCUGGUUGACCAACCCUUGAUUCUGAAACCCAGGUUGGAUUUGUCCCUGUUGAAACCCUGUAGCCUGAUGAUUCUGCUGAUGCAUCUGUGGAAAGACUAACUGUCCUGUCCAUCCACUGUUAGCAUUCAUCGGCAUAAGCCCUGCCGAUGACUGGUAAUUGGGCAUCAUCAUUGAAUUGACGUAUCCUAGCUGUGUCAUAAACCUUUGUUGCAUCGGCACUGAAUCUGCCGAUGCGUUAGGCAUCUGGAACGUUGGAACUUGAGAAUUCCCAGUGUAAGGUCUUGCAGUAGUAGUUGUAGUAAACCGGGGACUCUGAUUCAUCGGCAGAUUUGGAGGUGCCGAUGUCAUAGGGACCUUGUCUGUCAUAUCAGCCACUUGAGACGUUCCAGGAGUCCUCAACAUCAUCUCUUGGGGCAUACCAUAACCCCACCAGUUAGGAGGAACAGAUCCCGACAUUGCCGAUGCCAAUAGAUCCGUGGCAAGCUUGAUUUGCCCAUCUGAUGUUGAUGGAUUGGUCAUCAUGGGUGUAGAUUGCACAUCAGCGACCCCUAAUGUGCUUGGAGGAGAAGUAGCUUCUACACCCGCAGCGGCCGUAGUAGCCGAUGGAGCUGUGACCACUGGUGACCCCGGCUGAUGAUGGGCAGGACCGACAUAAUUUGGUGGUAACUGACCUUCCUUGAAAGUUUUAGCCACCGCAUUGAACACUGUGUUGGACAGCACACCAGCUUGAUUGAUGAAGGCGCGGUUAAUGACACUGUCAACCAUGUCUUGGAGUUUACUAGGAUUGGCUUCAAAAGUAAUCUGCCGAGGUGCCGGCAAUGCUUCCUUUUGGAUCACCUCGCCGCUCCUGUUGAUACUGAAGGGUUUCAAGCAUUGCUGCUUGUAGUCCUCCAUGGCCUUUGCAAUAGCUUGCUUCUGCUCAUCUCUGAGAUUGGCUUCCGUCACAGGGAUGACGUUCUCUAAGUCGAAAUCGGUGUUCGACAUGUUGAUCUUGAUCUUGAAUCUGUCCCACCGGGCGUGCCAAAAGAUGUGUUGAUGCAAAAGCUGAUCUGCAAACACAAAGGGCUAAUACCCGAUUCAAACGUUAUGGCGUGCCAACCGAUUUGACCUUACAAUCGACAAAGGUGGUAACUCGACCACUUUGGUCCCGACAACAGCGAUAUGCCCGGAUGCCACGGCCAAGAGGUGAUCAUGCAGAACUUGAGAACACGCCGAGUUUGACUCGAUGAAUUCCUAAGAACUCAUAGUAAAAAGAAAAUAUGACGAAGUCGUCGACAAAGUAGAUGCUGGAAUAUGAGUAAAAACUUGUGUUUGAUUGAUUGAUAGAUGUCUCAUUACAUUGCCCUAGGGUCUACAUUUAUUCCUUGUCCAAAGAGCUACAACCAGACACGACUACGACUCAAAUUCCAGAUUAAACGGAAACCGUAUACAAAAUGAACUCUAAUAACUAAAGAAAACAUUAAACUACCCCCGUGACCGAUCGGGACACCAUCAUGAAUCAAUCGGCAACCUCCACGCUUUUCUUCAGAGCCAUCGGCAGACCUCCUGUUGUGGCCAUCAGCAAACAUUGAUACUGGUCAUCGGCACGAACACGUCACCACUUCUGGACUUAGUCACAUUCAGUUGUUUCCCCAUCGGCAACUUCCCUGUAGACUAGUUACCGUUGCUUCAUCUGCCGAUCUAUACUUUACCAACCCCAGGUACGCGUCAAAAGAUACGUGUCCAAAAACGGUGUCAACAGCUUGAUUUCUUCUUGUGUUCUAUUUUUUCUCACUUCUCUGAAACAGGUGCCGAGGGGGUCCUUUUGUAGGCCAAGGAGUCUUCUGGAGGAAGGAGCUCAAAGGGGGCUGAAGUGGAGUGGCGGGCGCUAGGGAUCAACGGCGAGCGCCACCCCUGAGUAACUGCCUUAGCUCCCAAAAGUCUAGAUUGGCUCCCACGGUCGGUUUCAAGUAGGACACGUGUCGGAGUAACGUUUUGUCACAUCCAGGAAAACCAUAAUUCAUGUGACAUCAUCUUUUGGCCAUUGGAUCAAACCGAUGUCACUUUAGACACCUCAGAUGGACUCCUAGAGGUGUCACGUGGAUCGGUGACGUGGCUUGCCACACUAGGGGUGGCACCCGCCAGGUGGGCCUGAUGGCCACCACCUUGGCAUGGCACCCGCCACCCUGGCUGGCCUAUGUGGCACUAGGUAUGGUUGGUUGCCUUCUAGGUGGGUCUAAUUCGCUCUUUUUCCUGCUGUUGCCUGCAUACAAUUAAAUUUCUUUGUACAUGUGGAACUGGGUAAGUAAUAAGCAAAAUGUGCACAUGAUGAUGUUGAUUUACCAUGGUUUUGGAUGAAAUGUUGAUGGUCAAAAUGGGUGUUAAGGACCAUCAAUAGUAGGCAAUGAACAUUACAAUUAUGAAUAAGUGAUUAUCCCAAGUCAUAUCAAGUAUUCGACUCAAACACGAACUAGAAUGAAAACAAGAUAGAUUACUAGAACAAGAACAAAAACACGAUGAACUAGACAAUUAACAUGAUGAUCUAGAUGAUGAAUUACACAACUAGAAGAUGAAUUAGACAACUAGAAGAACACAAUGUAGAACUAGAAGACAAAUAGAUAAACUAUGUUGAAUACAAGAGAGAAGUACAAGGCUUGUACCUAGCAUCCUCGUGACUAAAUCUAGAAUCCAAGCAUUGCUUGACUCCUCUAAUUCCUAUUCUAUGCUCUAGCUAUGCCCUAGUUGGUGAAGCUCUUGGGUGCCCUAAGUCGAUGACUGGUGAACUGAUUGAUUUGUUGGUGAUCGCCUCAAGGGGGGGCUACCCCUUAUUUUAUAGUUUGGUGGGGUGCGCCAAAGCCCUCGGAUCAAAACCAACUCGAACAAGGGCCAAGAUGCAUUGCAGAAUUGGAUUAGAGGCCGUCCCGUAGAGGAGGGGGAAUAGCCAGGUGGGCCUAGGAAGACCGACCUACAUGUGGGGCCGACCGGACCGACCUACAUGUGGGGCUUGCUUUGCUCUGGUCGCUUCUUGUGUCUUCUAGAUCCUUCUCGUCGACUUUUGCGUGAUUCUGACUUGAUCUCGUUCUGUCUCCUUGAUCCUUACUCCUCCUCGGAUUCUUCUACUUUAGUCCGUCAAUAUCUAGAAUUACACCAGAGCUACGGAAUUUAUUAGGUUUGUCCCUAUAGCUCUGUUGUGGUGUUGGUUCCGAAGUAUUCCAGAAGAUUCCAAUCAUGUCGAAUGGGGACUCCAUCAUUGGGACUUCGAUUAGGGCAAAUGAUAUAUCCGUUUCGAUCAUCUCGACAAGUUCUUCGCAAUGGUGUGCUCUAUUUCAUCAUUUGAUGUACUUUUAUGUGGAAAGAUAUGCAUAACCUGCAAAACAAGUAGGAGCAACACAACUUGUGGAACUUGUUAGGAUAAAACCCUACAACUAUGCAUUAACAACUCUUUUCUUGUUGUAUGGUGCAUGAAUUGAUGGUAUAGUGUUGACAUUAAGGAGCGUCAACAAACUCCCCUAAGCUUAACCUUUGCUAGUCCCUAGCAAAUAGAGGAUUAAAUUAACAUGAUAGAUCAGGAGUUGCUACAAUGUUUUCAUGCCUUACAAGUACACCAAUGUUCAAAAAUUCUCCUCCGGAUUAGAUUUUUUUAACUUACCCAUAUUACUUGUAACUGUGGGGCUUUUAUCCUUCUCUUGGGUCUUUAGUAGUUGAAAAGUAGAACAAUCAAGUCAAGCACUAUGUCUCAAGCCGUUCGAUCAACCUUUAUUCUGGAGUUUUGUAGAAUUUUCACAAAGAAAUAGAGAUUCCUUUGUAUGACCCUUUCAUGUCUCUCAUUUUUGGUAUUUGUGGAUCCUCACUAAAAAUAAGUAAUUGUAUCUUCUUUCAAGAUAUAGAUAUGUGGAGUUUAUAUGGAAAACAUAGAUAAUUUGCAAAGCAUAUAUUUAUCAAGUCAAAUAUUAGACCCAGAAAGAAAAUCGUACACUCUAAUCAAGAUGUGCAUUUAUUGUGUAAGCAUAUUUAUUAGUGCUCUUCUAAAGGUAUACCUCACUGCAAGGAUAUUAGAAAAUAUGUGGUAUAUGUCUAAUUCUACUAUCGGGCACGUGCCCCUUUUUACCUCUCAGGCGAGUGUCUUUACACCCAUUGUUACCUCUCAGCGUGUGUAGAAGCACCCAUUGUUUUAACUCUCCCAUUUAUGAUAGGACACAUUUCCCUUUUGUAUAGACACAUGCUUCUAACACCUUUUAGAGCAGUCACCUUAAUUGGAGCAUUGAUUCAUUUAAUUAAUUAAUUGCACACUAUUUUGAUCAUAGAGCAUGACAGACUUUAUGGGGGUCAACAUAGCUUGACUUAAUUCAAUGCAGAGCAGAAAUUUAUAAAGGUGUAAAGUAUAUACUUCAGCUCUUGGUAGGGAUCAAACUCCCAACCAUACAAAGAAACUCACUUUUUAUUUUUCAAAAGAUAAAUCUCUAGAACUCUAGUAUCACUAGGAUCAAGAUAAAUAGCAGCCCAAACUUUUUCACAUCAUACCCAUCAACCACCUAGACUUAGAUCUAGACUUUGCAACCCACAAGUCUUAGGUUUAGAGGAAAUAUUUAUCAAAAUAUUGUUUUUCUAAAACUCGAGAGAAUUUAAUGUUGAAAAGUAGGUACUUGAAAGGAAUUAUGAUAGAGCAACUAUUCAUCAUCUCCAUGCAAACAGAUUUAUCUAGAACUCAUUUAAUUCUAGGGCAGGUAAGACCUUGUACAAACUCUCUUUUUAUUUAUUAUCUAAUAUUAAUGACUAAUAGAUAUUAAUGACUAAUGGAUAUAAAAAGACUCUUAUAGAAUAUAAUAUAUAUAUAUACAUAUAUAUAAAUAAUAUGUAUGGGAGAAAUACUUAGCUAGGUAAACGAGGGAUGCCCUCCCCAAGCUGAAUGUUGUCGUCUUUCUUUGACAACGUAGACAUCUUCAAUCUCUCUAGGUCUCCCUCCUAGAGUAGAUGAAGAACUUCUAGCUAUGCCUUUCAAUCUUCUUGUUGAAAUCUGUCUCGAUCAAAUAGACACCAAAACUCGGGGAACAGAUUAAGCAUUAGUGGUAUAACUAUUAUGCCUUAUCCAUUGGAGUCUUUUUUAAAAUUAAGAACUUUUCAACAAGAUCUCGAUAUUUUAAGAUUUUCUAUUUAUAUAUGCAAAUGCAAGAAUUUUUAUUUUAUUUUUAGGCCUCCACAGUAAAUAACCGAGACCUAUUCACAUGGGGGUUAGAGUUUUUUAAAUGCAAUGCAAAAAUUUAAACAUGCUAAACGAAUUGCAGAAAUAAAACUAUGCAAGAAAUGAAAUAUGAGGAUAACUACCGAUGUUACCUUUUGGCAAAGGUUCGGAGAUUUAGGUCUGUCGUAUCGGACCUAGUUCGGUCAGGCACUUGAGGGGGUCUCUAAGGAGAUAGAGUCCUCUAGUUUCUCCCCUUGAAUAUCUAACGAACUGGGAGAUAGCGAUUCUUCUUCUUGUGAUGGAGUGCUCAGUGGUGUUGUCUUUUUCUUUCUCCAUACUUUCUGAGUCUUCGGUUUCUCUUCUCGUGAUUCCUCUUUCCUUUCUUGAUUAGCCUCUUCCUUCUUGAUGAUUUGAGAGCGAUGUCACCUAUUCUUGUUCUUCUUGGGCUUCUCAAGAGUGGUGUAGCUAUUAAAGUAACAUCACACCUUUUCUCCAGGGAAGUGGAAGUGGAUCUCCCCUUGCUUCAUGUAGAUGAUGGCACUUGUGGUGUGAAGGAAUGGUCUUCCUAAGAUGAGGUGGACAUCAUCCUCUCCACUCGUGUCUAGAACCAUCAAAUCAGCGGAGACCUCUAUAUCCCUAAUCUUGACCAAUAUAUCUUUGGCUAUUCCUUCUAGAAAUUGGAACGAUUGGUCCGCCAGCUGCAGCUGCAAAUAUGUUGGGCACAAGGGACUAUCAUGAUAUUAGUGUCUAUAUGUUAUUGUAGACAUGAUAUUGAUGCUUGAGCCGAUGUCGCAAAACGUCUUGUAGAAGGUGCUUCCCUCAAUCAUACAGUCGAUGAUCAUACAGUCGAUGGUAGGUACUGCAGGAUCCUAUAGCUUCUCAAUUUGGGAUGGAGCAAGAGUGUUGGUAUUUCUUACGCACAAUUAAAAUAUGAAGGAUUCUGCAAGCACACAGAAAACCAUUGUAGCAUUUUACUGGGAGUAUUCCAUGUAUCGUUAUUUAUAUUUUACCACUGGGAAACAAUGAAUAAAGAUAUUGAUAGUUCACCAUCAUGUAUCUACUAACUAGUACACCAACUAGACUAAAGUAGGGGUAAAUAAUAGAUGAUAGGAAUUAUGCAUAUAUGACACACAACGGAGAAUUCUAUGAUAAAAGAGUAGAUAGCUAAAGUGAGAGGACAACGAGAGAGUUUAAGGUUCCUAAAUACUUCUCUAUUACUAGGGUUCUAUAAUAACUAAUUCAUGGUAGGUAAAGCAAUCACACAAAAACAUUUCAGAACAUCAGAGCACUUAGCCACAGACAGACGAGAAGAGGGCUAGGACGGUGUGACUACGGUCCUACAACACCAAUCCAAACGUGGUGGAAUACGUCGGCCGUGAGGGCUGUCACCACCUGGGGCUACCACAACUAUCCAUAGAACUGGGCGCAAUCUCAGGUAACCUAUAGUCUAGACACCAUGUCUCUACUACAAAUUACAACUCUAAUCACAAAUAAUAACUAGAGCACCCGAUGCGGGCGGAGAUCCUAUGCUAAAGUAUAACAACCAUACUAACCAGUCAAAUGUAAUGCAUAAAAGUAAAUAGAGAAGAUGAAAUAUAUUAAAACAUAAGUCUUACAAUAAAAGAUACAAAGAUAUACCAGAACUCUGACGACUCAUCCGAAGACUACUCCAGAACUCGGGCGUAGCGUCGCUCUCCCUAAGUCUCAACUAGAACUAAUCUACUACAUUGGAAAGUCUAGCCCUAAUUCUCUAGAGGUGAGAGGUCAUCCAUUUGAGGGAUGCCUCUACAUCUCCAUAAUGUGGUGCCCUCAGAGAGGGGGGUCUGCCUCUUUAUUUAUAGCCCAGAAAAGCCUCUCAUCUCUUCUAGACAGGCGAUGUGGGACUAAUUCUUCCACCAUUUACUCUAUUGGGCUAUUAUACAUCAACUUAGGUCUUCCAAUCAUCCCUCAUGUGAGCCCACUCAAGGGAGCAGCUUGGGGCGCCUCUCUUGGGCCUCUAUCAUACCAUAUGAGCCUCUUCUCACGUCAUGGGCCUUGCUUGGGCGUGGGGCCCAUUAGUGGUAAUUCUUCUUUAUUUGUAAAAUUAAUAUCUUUUCACUCCAGACUCCAAAUAUAGCAAAUGAUAUGUCCGUUUCGAUCAUCUCGACGAGCCCGUCACAAUGGCAUACUCCAAAUAAUCAUUUGACGUACUUUUAUUUGAUGGAAAAUUUCAUAUUUCUACAAAACAAGUCAGAACACCAAAACUCGUGGAACUUGUUAGAAUCAAACCCUACCACUAUGCUUUAUGGUUGAUAUCAUGUUAUAUUGAGCAAUAGUUGAUGGUAUAAAAUAGACAUUAAGGACCGUCAACAAGUUCUCCCAAGCAUACCCUUUGCUAGUCCCUUAGCGAAGCCUAACUAGUAAACUUGGAUCAGGAGUUGCUACAAUGCUUUCACGCCUCACAAGUACACAAGUAUUCAAACAAGGACUCCCCUCUGGAUUAGAGUGAACUAUUCUGACUCAAGACUCACUCAUUUUACCUUUCACCAUGGGGCUUAUAGUUAUCACUUAGGUCUUGGGCAGUUGAAAGAUAGAAGAGUUAAGUCGAGCACUAUGCUACCUGCUCUUUGAUCAACUAUUAUUCUAGAGUUUAGCAAGAUUUUCAAAUAAAACUUAGAGUUUCCUUGUAUGACACUUUCCAGUCUCUCAUAUGUGCUAUUUUUGGAUUAUCUCUAAGGCAAGUGAGUAUGCCUUCUCUCUGCUCUUAGAAUAUGUGGUAUUUGUAUCACUAAGACGUAGUUGCCUUCUCUCUCUCACCCUACUUCUAAUUAGCUUAUGUGGAGCUCAUAGGUGGGAAAGAUAAUUCAAACCUACUUGCAUGUAUUGCAUAGUUAACCAUGGAUCCAGAGAAACUAAUUAUACAAUCAAGUCAUAUGUGCAUGUGAGUGUAGUGAAUGAAGUGAAUGAAAGUGGUAAUGAGGGGUGAUAACUGAAGGUGAAUAUCUUAUUCUACAAUUGCUCCUUGGGGACAACAUACCUUCCUAAUCUGAGAACAAGGAUUUGGUCGUCUUUCUUUUCUUUUGCAUUGGGACUUUUGUCCUCUUUCUUUCUUUUUCUCUUUUUCUCUCUCUCUCUCUCUUAGAUAUCAGCCAUCCCUUUUAAUUCAAUGAUAACAGUAGGGAGUAUCAACUGGGAUAACUGGGGCUUUAUUGGAUAAGUAGAAUAAGACAUUGAAUAUUUUUGGGUGUCUUCUCCUAGUGUAGGAGUAGAACAUUUUCUAAGUGGAUGUGGAAUGUGUGUGGGUGAAUGUUGGAAUGCGUACUCCUAGGGUAGGAGCAGCAUAGGUACGUGUCUCUAGGAUACAAACAACACAGAGUGUAGUGCGUAUAUGUGGGUGGUACUUCUAGGAACAGAAGUAGCACAUAGUGAAUAUGGUGGAUGAAAGUGGUUGCAUACUUCUAAGGACAGAAGUAGCUAAGAUCAAUAGAUGGAGAGCACAUACCAUUGACUUUAACUAUAUGACUAGUUCCAUAGGGUCUACAUAGCUUAACUACUCUCAAUGCUUAUAGGUUGAAAUAUAAGUGGAGGUUUUCCUAAUCUAAUCAGCAUGAGUAUUUGGCUGUGGUAGGAAUUUUAAAUUCUCAUCAUAAAGGAACUCAUCAUAUAGCAAUUUAAGAUUUUCAAAAUAAAAUUCUCUAGAAUUCUUGCAUCUCUAGGAGCAAGAUUGAUAGCAGCUCAAAACCUUCCCAUAUCAUAUCCGUCAACUACAUAGACUUAGAUCAAGCAUUUUCUACCCACAAGUUUUAGGCUCAGAGCAAAUCUUAACUCCAAACAGUUGUGCCUAAAACUCAAGAGAGUACAAGGUUGAAAAACUAGGUACUUGCAAGGAAUUACGAUAGAGCAACUAUUCAUCAUCUCCAUAUCAGAGUUUAUUCUAGAGGUUCAUCUUAACAGAUUCAUCAAGAGCUCUCCUAGCAAGAUUAAUUGUGAAAGAUAAAAUAUUUAUUGGGUUUCUAAGAUUAUUCAUCUUUUUUUCUUGUCAUAACGCACUAGUAAUAAAUAGAUAAGCGAAUAAGGCAUACUUAGCUCGGUGUACGGGGUUGCUCUCUCCCAAGCUGGAUGUUGACAUAGUCUGUUGAGAUUGCUGACGGGCAGUGAAUACGCACUGAUCCUCCUGGAGUAUCAUAGGUACUUGCUGUCAGUCCUUCUGCCUGUUAGUUCUUUUUGAUCCUUUGAAGCCUAUGAAGCUCAAAUAGACAACAAAGCUUGUGGAACUGAUUAAACGUUACUAAUAAGCCUCUAAGCUUUGAGAGUCUAGAACUUUCUUAUACCUAUUUAUCUUUUAGCAGGAUCAAUAUUAUUAUUUUUUAUAUACUUUUCAUAUUUAUAGUAUGCAGACAGGAAAAUAAAUAUGCUAAAACUUAUUUGUGUGCCACCACAGUAGAUAAGUAUGUAAGCUGAUGCAUCACGUAUUAAAUACAUGGGGCUUAGUAGUUUUCUAAAUGCAAUGCAAUAUAUUUUUAUUUUGUUUUCUAAUGCAUAAACAAUAAAGAUGCAACCACUAAUGCUGUUAAGAAAAAUAAAUAUGCUUAAAGAAAAAUGCAAAUAAAUACAAAGUUACCUCCUGGCGUGGCAUUCAGUGAUUUUAUGUCCUCCGAACAGGUUCUCUUACCAUGUUCAUUCUUAGAUGCUUUAUCUGGUCCCAAAGGUGGAGACCAUGAUAGUUGCACCUCUUGAGAUGGUGUCAUCUAUGUUUAUUGCUUUUCCAAUAGAUUGGAGUCAAGUACAAGUUCUGGGAGCUAGCAACAUAUUCGCUCAGUGUGCAUGUUCAUAGGUCUAGGAUCCUCACUUGUAGGAUUCUCGGGGAGUUGACUAAAGUGUGUCAUGCUCAUAGAGACAAGGCAGAGAUCAAGUGCUUGGAGUCGGCAGCUUGACAUGGUAAUGCUUCUACCAACUUGGACACAUAGUCAACUGCCACCAAGAUGAAUUCAGCAUCUCCAGAUCUUUGGAAUGGUCCCAUGUAGUUGAUUCCCCAAACAUCGAACAUGUCUAUUUGGAGGUUGUUUUGGAGUGGCAUUGCAUCCCGAGCAUUAAUGUUUCCAUGUUUCUGACAUCUAGCGCAUCUUCUAACAAAUUCCUUUGUACUUGAUACGUCAUAGGCCAGAAGAAUCCACUUUGCCAGAUCUUUGCAUGUGUACGGAACGCUCCAUAAUGUCCUCCAUAGGGUGAUGCAUGACAUCUCUCUAUGAUUUUCAUCACUUUAACCAUUGGGACACAUCUCCGCAAUAAUCCAUCAGAACAAACUCGAUAGAGAUAUGAGUCAUCCCAUAAGUGGCAUCGAGCUUUAUAUUUGAGCUUUCUCUUAUCUCAUCAUGGUGGAACAUAUAUUGCAACCAUAUAAUUUACAAUAUCUGCGUACCAUGGGUUGGAGUGUGUUACCGCGAGGAGUGUGUCAUCCCUUAGAUAGUCAUUAAUGAGUAACUCAUGUGUUUCCUUGUACUGGUGCCUAACAAGUGAUCGGCUACUAAAUUAUCUACUCAUUUCUUAUCUUUUAUUUCUAAAUCAAAUUCUUAGAGUAAAAGAAUCCAACGGAUCAACCGAGGUUUAGCAUCUUUCUUAGUGAACAAGUAAGGUUAGCAGGGGGCGUGGGGCUCCGUGCAGGGCCUUUAUAGGCCGCGACCAUCCUCGGGAGGCACGCGGGCGCUCUGAUCGAGCGGUGGCGAUGGCUUCCGCAUGGCACGGUGCGACGGGGAAGAAGCACUGGUGCAGGACGGGGCAUUAGCACCGGUCGGGAAGGGCCUGUUGCCCCGGUUCCCGAGCCGGUGCUGCCCUUCCGGGAGUAAAGGCCCACCCUCCGGUUGGUAAUACCAACCGGUGUUAAAGGGUCCUGCCAGGGCUGCCACGUUGCAGGACCCUUUAACACUGGUUGGUAUUACCAACCGGUGUUAAAGGGUUUUUUUUUGUUUCACUUAUUCGGUUCUGUUUAUUGUUUUAUAUAAUAAUAAUAGGUUUUUUAAUACAGGUUUUUUCUGAUACAAUAAUAUAUUUAUAUUACAUGCAUAUUAAGCAUAUAUAAAUGAAAAUUAUAGGCUUAGCUUAAUAAUUAAGCUUUGCCUAUAAUAAAAUGAAUAGGCCACAUCAAAAAUUAAAUAGAUAUGUAAAAAGCUUUAUAUAUAUAUAGUUUUAUAUGUACAAAAUUCGUAACACAUAUAUACAUAGAGUUUUUUCUCCCAAUGUCUACAAACGAUACAAAUGAUCAUCGUUGUUUGGAAUAAGAGUUUCGUUGCCGUUGAAGUGAAACUCGCUGUUUGGAUUGAUCACUUGCUCGCGGAGAAAUCCUGCUAUCGUCUCUUGGAUAGCUUUGAUUCGGUCUUUUUGUAUGACCUUUUCCCUCAACCAUUCCGUCUUUAAUUUGAAAUAAAUAAAAAGGUAUUAGUUAUAAUUCAGGAGAUAAUGAAAAGAGACAUGUAACGUACUCUGAGCUUCUCUGUGGGUGUUUGAUUGACUUGUGCCAUCAUGAAUUUGCACACGUAAUAUGCACAUAGAUUGUUCCCCCCUUCUUGUCUUAAACACCACUGUACGAUAUAUAUAUAUAUAUAAAAUAUUCACGACCACGAUAAUAAGAAGGCUAAAAGUUAGCGAAAGUUUGCUAGCUAGUAGAACUUACUUGUGGAUGUAUUAUGUUAAGCGACGCUUUACAUCCACUGAGAUGUUCACGGUUAAUGAAUCUUUCCCAAACCCUACACACAGCCAUUGUGGAUCGUGAACUAAUAAUUACAGAGUCAUAUUAUGAUAGAUCGACAUUACGUACCUUUGAAUAAUGUUUACCAUUUGUUGAUAAUUUUCUUGUGGUUUUCUCAUUGAGUCAAAGAUUAUCAACCGGUUCUUGGGAAUUUCAAUGACUAUGAGUAUCCAGUGAAAACUGUUUACACACAUAUAUAUAGUCAGGCCUAUAUAUAACUAUAUAAAACUUGUCUCGAGUAAUAAUUAUUAAAAUAAAAUAUGCAUGCACUUAAUAACUAUAUAACUCACUCGAAGUUGAAGGGAAGAGUAUUUUUUAUUUUUCUUUUUGGUUCACAAAGAACCUCAUAAGAUUGGUGGUGACUUCUGUCUCAUGAGCUGUUGUCCACACUGCCUGCGGAGCCUUGAAAACAAUAUAAGGGUCAACGAACCCAAUACUAUUGUCAUUUCUCAUUCUGAGCUCUCUCAUUUGGUGCCUGCAUAUAUACAUACAAAUCCUAAUUGUGUAAGGAUUAUAUACAUGUAAUUAAAGAAGUUAGAAGUAUAAUAAAAAGAAAAAAAUACUUGCAGACAAAAGCAGCUAACAAGAGAUUUGUCGAGAGCAUCGAGGUGACAUAAUACUAGAAUCUUUUAAGCCUAGUAAUACACUAGAAUAAUAUACUAAAAGAAUAAUACUAGAAUAAUAGUACAAACAAUAAUAUAUACAAAACUCUAGAAAAUAAAAUAUAUAUUAGAGACUUAUAUACUACUAGUACUACUACAAAUGAUAGUGCUAGCGUGCUCCAAAAAUAAUACUAGAAUCUUUUAAGCCAAGUAAUACAAUAGAAUAAUAUACUAAAACAAUAAUACUAGAAUAAUAGUACAAACAAUAAUAUAUACACAACACUAGAAAAUAAAAUAUGAUACAAAAAUAAUACAAGAAUAAUAUACUACAAAUAUAUACUAAAAAAUACUACUACAAAUAAUAUACUAAAAAAAUAAUACUACAAAAUAAUACAAGAAUAAUAUUAAUAUAUUACAAAUAUAUACUAGCAUAAUAUAAUUUAUAACAGGUCAACACUACACUUAUACUAAUAUACUAAAAACUAUUACAAGAAUAAUACACUAACAUCAUGUAUUAUUUUUUAGUGUAUAUAUAUAUACUUAAUUGGGUCAAGGUCUAGAAUAAAGUCAACACAGAACUCUAUGACCUCCUCUAUUUCGUAGCCCUUAGCAAUGCUUCCUUCUGGCCGGGAACGACUAUGGACAUAUUUCUUUAGGACAUCCAUAAAUCUCUCGAAGGGGAACAUGUUUUGUAGGAACACAGGACCGAGAAUACGAAUCUCUUUGAUCAGAUGAACUAGGAGGUGUGUCAUGAUAUCGAAGAAGGAUGGAUAGAACACCAACUCAAAGCUGACGAGACAUUGAACGACAUCAUUCUGUAGAGUAGCUAGUUGCUCUGGAUUGAUUGCCUUCUGAGAAAUUGCAUUGAGGAAUGCACAUAGCUUUACGGUGGCUAGACGUACGUGUGGAGGUAAAAUUCCUCUUAAACCCACCGGCAGCAAUUGCGUCAUUAGAACGUGACAGUCAUGGGACUUCAAGUUUAGGAAUUUCUUCUCUUGCACAUUAAUUAUUCCCUUGAUAUUGGAGGAGAAUCCAGAUGGGACCUUGAUGCUGCUAAGACAUUCAAACAUGCUUUCCUUCUCUUCUUUGCUCAGAGUGUAGCUAGCAGGGCUUAAGUAAUGACGUCCAUCAUCUGUCUUUUCUAGAUGCAGGUUGUCUCGUUCUUUUAUGCGCUGCAAGUCUUGUCAUGCUUCAAGUGAAUCCUUAGACUUUCCGUAGAAACCCAUGAAUUCGAGCAAGUUCACACAAAGAUUCUUUGUCAGAUGCAUCACGUCGAUCACGUUGCGGACCUCUAGGACAUUCCAGUAAGGUAGCUCCCAAAAUAUGGAUUUCUUCUUCCACAUGGGUACGUGUCCCUUAGCAUCCUUGGGAAUAGGUUCGCUGCCUCGUCCCUUUCCAAAUACCAAUUUAUAUCCUUGACCAUUUCGAGUACACCAUCCCCGGUUCGAUUGAGAGGUUUGGUCCGGUGGUCUGCCUUGCCUUUAAAAUGCUUGCCUUUCUUUCGUACUGGGUGGUUCACAGGAAGAAAGCGACGGUGGCCAAGGUACAUGACCUUUCGACAUUUUUUCAAAAAUACACAGUCAAGGUCUUCAUAACAAUGUGUGCAUGCAUUAUAUCCCUUGUUUGACUGGCCUGAAAGAUUACUCAGAGCUGGCCAAUCAUUGAUUGUUACAAACAGCAAUGCUCGUAGGUCAAAGUGCUCUUGUUUGUACUCAUCCCACACGUGAACUCCUGGUUUGCUCCAUAAAAGUUAAAGUUCCUCAACUAAUGGCCUUAGGUAGACAUAUAUGUCAUUGCCAGGUUGCUUCGGUCCUUGGGUAAGCACCGGCAUCAUAAUAAACUUCCGCUUCAUGCAUAGCCAUGGAGGAAGGUUGUAGAUACAUAGAGUAACUGGCCAAGUGCUGUGACUACAGCUCUGCUCAUCAAAAGGAUUCAUACCAUCUGUACUUAAGGCGAACCGCAAGUUUCUAGCAUCAUCUGCAAAAUCUGGGAAUUCUCUGUCUAUCGCUCUCCACUGGGAUCCAUCGGCAGGGUGUCUCAGCAUAUUGUCUAUCUUACGGUCUUCUUUAUGCCACCGCAACAACUUUGCAUUGUCCUUAUUUAUGAACAGACGUUUUAAUCGUGGUAUUAUAGGAGCAUACCACAUAACCUUAGCAGGAAUUUUCUUCCUAUGACGUUCUUCACCCUCAACAUCGCCAGGAUCAUCUCGUCUAAUCUUAUACCGUGAUGCCUUACAUACUGGACAUGCAUCCAAAUUCUCGUAUUCCUCCCCACGGUAGAGGAUGCAGUCAUUAGGACAUGCGUGUAUCUUCUGGAUUUCUAAUCCCAAAGGGCAGACAACCUGUUUUGCUUCAUACGUAGUGGUGGGCAAUUCGUUGCCUUUCGGAAGCAUCUUUUUUAUGAUCUUCAAUAACUGCCCAAAUGCCUUGUCAGAUGUACCAUUCUUUGCCUUCCAUUGCAGCAAUUCCAGUGUGGUACCCAGCUUUUGUUGCCCCUCUUCAGCGGUGGGAUAUAGCGAUUUCCUGUGGUCCUCUAGCAUGCGCUCGAACUUGGCUUUCUCUUUAUCACUUUCACAUUCUCUUUGUGCAUCACGGAUGGCAUCACCAAAAGCAUCAUCGCCCCGAUCAUCUUCUGCCGCUACCUCUUCUUCAUUAUCUCUCCCCAUUGCAACAUCAUUGAAGCCACCGUACUGAGCAAUAAUAUUGGCAUGGUCCAAUUCUUCUUCUUCUUCUUCACCUCCAUCCAUUAUAAUCCCGCUUUCUCCAUGUUUGUCCAACAAAUAUAGUUUGGUAAGAAACCAGACUUUAAUAAGUGCGAAUGAAGAGUUCUUGAGUUAGAAUAUUCCGUCAAAUUCUUGCACAUGACACAUGGAUAGCACAUGAAACCAUCCCUCUUAUUUGUCUAGGCCACACUUAAGAAAUAGUGCACGCCAUUAAUGAACUCUUCGGAGCGCCGAUCGGUAUUAUACAUCCAAUUACGUGUUACCAUCUGCAUUAAAUAUAAUAUAUAUAUUAUGAAAACCAUGCACACAUAUAGUUUCUCAUCUUAUUGCACAAUAUGUCUAAGAUACAUAGUUGAUUAAUUCAGGAAAGCUUGGCUACAACAAAUACAAUCGCAACUAGCACUAAAAAAACCAAAACUAAAAUGCACUUAAGCAACAUAAUUAGUUCGCGUCCGAUCCCAACUAUAAUAGAUAGAUCAUUCGCUUGAUCAACAUCAUUGAACUCCUUUCGUCGGCUCACUGCCUCACCACCUUUAGCCUCAACCACUUGUGCAAAAGAUUUCUUAAUGUGUUCAAUGUAUUCUUCCUCCUAGUACCAACCUGUACAUCGCCGGUACCGUCCCACUAAAAUUAAAAUAGAGAAUCAAAAGUUUAAUUAAUAUCAUUUAAAAAAAUAUGCACAUAUAUAAGCAAAUGUCUGGAAAUAACUCACAUUACGAUCCGGACACUUGUAGAAUAUACGACCCUUGUUUACUCCCUCUUUCGACACUUUGUACUCCAUCACAAUAUUCUGCCUACACUUGCCACAAGUAAUGAGAGGGAGUUCCGGCCAGUAUCGCUUUUGAACCCAUUGAGAGACCGAAGACCCGAUCACGGUUGCCAUCUACUAUCCAUACUCAAUUUUUAAACAAUUAUAAAUUCCACAUUUACUAGUAAACAUGUAUGAUUAAAGAAGAACCUAAUAAUAUCCUUUAUUUGUCUAGUUACUUCAACAAAUCUUCCAAAUUAUACAAUGGACAUUAUGUAGUAAUAAAAAUAAAUCAAGUGAUAUUAACAAACCAAUUAAUUUGAAAUCCUACUUUCUAAGAUCAUAAAAAGAUACUAUAAUUCAUUCUUGCAAACUACAUUAAUACUAGGUCAACCAUGAAAUAUGAUAUAUAUAUAUAUGGAUACUAAUUCAUGUGAAUGAUUCAAAAUAACAAAGUGGAUUUGAGCUAAAAAUAAUGGGAACAUCACAAGCCAAAAACAACAUGAAAAAGACAAGAAAGACAAAAGUUAGUCACCUCCAAACACGAAGAACGAUAACGGAGUCGAAGAAGAUCAACGAUGGGCGUCGGAGAUGAAGAACAAAUGAAGAACAAGUAAGAAGAAGCUCCAAGAACAACAAUGUUGAAUGGUGCUCUCGGUUUCAAAUGGGCAGAGAGGAGGAGGGAUCCGGCCUAUAAACCGGACCUUUAGCACCGGUUCAGGACAAAAACCGGUGCUAAAGGUUGACCCUUUAGCACCGGUGCUAAAGUGUUACAAACCGGUGGUAAAGGCUUUGCCUCGGCCCGUGGCGCUGGCCGGUGCUAAAGGGGUCUUUAACCCCGAGCCGCAAAAAGGCCGAGGUUUUUGGCCAUUUUGGGCAUCGUUUUUGACCAUUUUAGGCAUCGACCAAUGCCUCAUUUUGUAGUAGUGAAGGGCCGCUGUUGCUGACAGGCAGAGCCCACCUGGCGGUCGCAAGGGCGUGGGGUGGGCUGGCGCGGCUGCUGCUGGGCCAUGGCACAGCUGGGCCAAGGCUCAAGUGGAGGGGCGCUCGCGGUCUAAAGCGGAGGUAGGCCAGGGCUAGGCUUCAAGCUAGCGUGGGCCUAAAGAGAGGGAGGGGGAAAAAGAAAAAAAAGGUUUUUUUUUAUUCAAAAGGGUUUAAACCAAUUUUUUUCAGCAUAUUUAUAAACCAAAAUUUAAUUUAUUAAUUUGAGAUUAUUUUAGGAAUUGUUUUCUUUACUAUUUUUUAGAGAAAACAUAUUUCUAAAUUGUUUUUUAACUCAAAUUAGAAUUAGUUUUCAAAUAGGACUUUUAGUGUUUUAUUUUUCUAAAAACCAAAAAGGUCCUACUGAACUUGCUCAAAUUUUAGAAGUUCAUUUUUCUCGCACAAAAACAAAGCUAAGGGUGAGUAGGGGCAGGCUGGCUAGGGAGCAGCAAUGGUCACCAAUCGAUGGCGCCGUGACAAAGGUGUUGAAAGUGAAGAGUGAGCAAACUCGUGUUAUGGACCUUUUUUAUUUCUUUUAGGAACUAAACAUUACAAAUUAGCUCCCUACUUUUUUUACCACUUUCCUGUUUUGAUCCAUUAACACUAAAAUUAGCGGCUAAAAUUAGUACUAGUGCAUCCAAACAAACCGAACCAUAAGUUUCAUUAGCUGAUUUAGAGUUGCUAAUAGAUGCUUAAAGUUUAUAUACACAUUUGACUCACUAUCCAACCAUCUAUUAGUAGGUGCAUCCGAAUGACCUCCUACUAAAAACUAAGUAGCUAAAAAAAUAAUAACUACUCCCUCCAUCUCAAAUUAUAAGACGUUUGACUUUUUUGACUUUAAGUUUGACCGCUUGUCUUAUUCAAAAAAUUUAUGCAAACAUAGUCAAAUUUAAAUCAUUCUUGAAAAACUUUUAUUAAUAAACAAAGUCGUGACAAUGAAGUGAUAUUUUGCACAAAUUUUUUAAUAAAACAAGUAGUGAAACUUGAUGUCAAAAAAAUCAAACGUCUUAUAAUUUUGGGAUGGAUUAAGUAUUAUCUACUAUCUAUAUAAUUUUUAGUGCUAAUAGAUCAAAGAGACCCUCUUAACUCUUUUAGUUUCUGAAGAUGCUCUAAAUCAGUACACUGAAACUAUAAUGUACCUGUCUUAUUUUAUUUUAUUUAACUGAAAUUAUCUCUAGUUUAUAUGAACUAAUGACAGCUCCUAUGCUCAAGAAAUAAACGAGUUAAUUCAUGUCCUACCCAGCUGGCUGGAAAUAUGCUUUCCGGAACAAAAAUCUGCUAAAACCAAGGGAAUAGCAGCAAAUGACAUAGCGCAUGCAGUUCGUUACCAUUUGCGUUAUCACAGGUUGAACCAAAACACUAUCAUGUGACAACCAAAACACUAUCAGUUCGUUGACAGAGAAGGGAAAAAAAUGACUCUUAUUCAUCACCUCGGUGAGACAAGCAAGGCAUUCUUAUUGCAGGUGGCCGCUGACAGGUUUCUCAGCUCCUCGGUGAGAUAAGCAAGGUAUUCUUAUUGCAGGUGGCCGCUGACAGGUUUCUCAGAGCUACUCUCAUACAGUGACGCAACAGCAGUUUCUUCCUCGCAGCUUCUCCCGAGAAAAGCCAUAUUGCAGCGACAUCUCGCACGGUCACUGGUACUGGCUGGCAAGCUGGCCUUCCUUGACGAUAUAGUUGUGCACCGGGAAGUCCUCUCCCUUGAAAUACCUAUCCAGCAUGUCCCUCGCACCCUCCGCAUACCGCAGCUGCAUGAAUUGUUUGUAUAACCGCAACAGUCAACAGCAUCUAUGAGAAUGAAUAGCAAAUAUCGUGCAAACUGCACUGACAGAACAUAUAUCAGUGUGCAUGCAGUCUGGCCCCAUGGUACAUGUGCACGCUGCACUAUACAUGUCGGCAAGGACUCAAGGUACACAGACACACUGUUAGCUAAUUAUUCCAGUUCUCAGUACAAUUUUACUCCAGUAAAGCCAUAAGGUGAUUGCCAUUCUAACAAGGAAUUCAGCACUAAUGAUGACCAAACUUUUGCUGCCAUCUCCAUUGUUUCUUGAUGUCACAGAAACGCAAGAGCAACGAUGUCCCAGUGGCUAAUUGAACAAUAUAUAAAGUCAUAGUUUAUGGUAGGACAUGAUCAUGUUAGAGCCUGAUGAUACAUUGCACGGUGCUCCUAACUAAGCUAACAGAGACCUAGUUUCCUAUGAGGUAUUAGAAUUAGAUAGAAUUCAAACUCAGGUAAGAAAAUUCAGAACCUGACCUGCGCAUCAAUUGUAGUCCCAGAGAUGUGAGGGGUCAUGGCAUGGUUAGGCAUGUAGCGCCAGGGGUGAUCCUUUGGUGCUGGCUGGGGGAACCACACAUCACCACCGUAUCCUAAGAAAUGGGAAUGAGAUGCUCCAUGUUACAGAAAGUAGUGGUCAAUGUAGGAAUAUAGAUUGCAUUAUUUCCCUAUUCUUCAGCUAAAAUGUAGUCAGGGUGUCUUUUCAGGAAAGCAAAAUGCCUCAUUUGAAGUUUUGAUACUGAAGCCACAAAAAUGCAAUCAUGGCUAACUUCAGCACAAUCAUGGACAAACAAUAUUACUUGUGUAGAAUGCAAUCAUGGCUCAUUUGAAGUUUUGAUACUCAAGCUGUUAUGACCGGCAUCCCAUAUGCCAGGCACAAGCCCAUUGGUGGCUAGGGGGAGCAAGCGGCCAGGGGGAUAAGAGUCCCUAUAUAUCUUAUUUAGUUAUUAUUUAUUCCUAUUAUUAUUAGAGAGGAGUAUAAAUACUUGUAAAGACUUGGUGAUUUGAUUAAGCAGAAACAAUCUAUUGUUUCCGGCUUCCUAAAGGAAGUCGGGAGAAUUAGCCCUAGCUCUCUUCCUCUCGUGCAGCCACGGCUCCUCGCCGCCGCUCCGCCCUCUUCAAGCCCCGACCUCCGAUCACACACGCCUACAAUCUGCGAUCAGCUAGAGGCAGAACCCCGCUGCCUAUCAAACUGGUAUCAGACUUCAUGGCGUCCUCGGCCUCUCCCCCGCCGCCGACAUCCGCCGCGCCAGCCGCCACCGCCGCGCCUUCGAUGACCUCAGCCACGGUGGUCCAGCCGUCGCUGCCGCUGGGAACGGCCUCUGCGGCAGCUCCUGUUUUGUCUCCAGAGCAGACAACAGCGGUGCUCUUGGAUCUCAGGCACGCCAUGCAGGAGGUCCAGGACACGCUGAAGGGUCUCCUCACCGGUCAGCUUCCAAUACCAUCGCUGCAGUCCACGCAGCCACCCCCGCCACUACCACUGUUGCCCUCAUCUGCGGCCGCCCAGAUGUUCUCCUACCCCUACGGGACGCCCAUCGAUGCGGCGCCGUCGGGCUCCUCCGCCCCUAUGCCAUCCACACAGGAGCCCCUCCCCCUGCUUCGUUUUCCGCCGUCGCCGUCUCAGAUACCUGCCUGGGCAUUGGGAUCUUCGGCGCCCAUCUUCACCACAGCUGCGCCGCGCCCCCAUGUUCCACUAGCGCCGACCCCGACCAUUGGCAUGGCCCAUGGCGGGCCAUUCGCAGCGGGCACACUCUAUGGUGGGGUUGAUGGCCCACCUGUUCAUGGCGGCGGUCUUCUUCCAGCCUACUCUGCUCCCUCACCAGCCCUCUACGCCGAUCUGGAGGGCGACUACCAGGGGACCGGCCAGGGUUUCCAUUCGCCGAAGUUCCACAAGCUAGAGUUCUCGAUGUACGACGGCUCCGAGGACCCUCUGAAUUGGCUCAAUCACUGAGAGCAAUUUUUCAGGGGCCAGCGCACUCUGGCUUUCGAUCGCACACGCCCUCGAGCAGGAUGAGUGGAUGCCUCCAUGGGAUCGCUUCAGGGAGUUGUGUCACCUCCAGUUCGGUCCGCCGGUCCGCGGCACUCGCUUGGCCGAGUUAGCCCGCCUGCCGUUCACCUCCACCGUGCAUGAGUACUCCGACCGCUUUAAGGCGCUGCAGUGCCACGCCCGCAACCUGUCGGCUCCACAGAAGGCGGAGCUCUACGUGGGCGGCUUACCGGAGCACAUCCGGGUCGACGUCGAGCUCCGCGACCCCCAGGAUCUCCAAACGGCCAAGGACCUCGCCAGGGCGUUCGAGCGGCGCGCCGCAGCCAUGGCGGCAGUUCCCGCUGCGCGCGGUGUGCGCCCUCCACCGCGGGCAGGCGUGCCUCCAUCUCCCCGUCCUCCAGCCGGGCCUCCUGCACCAGUGGGCGUGCCAGGUCAGGCUGCAGCGGGUAACGCUGUUCCGCCAGCAUAGCAGUUCCGCCGUCUUUCUCCGGCGGAGCAGCUAGAACACCGCCGUCAAGGGUUGUGCUACAACUACGACGAACCCUACGUUCACGGUCAUGUGUGCCCGCACCUCUUCUACCUCGAGUCAGAUGACUACAUCGACGAUGCGUUGGUGGCCGCUGAGGCCGCCGACGGGGUCACCCACCUCGAGGACACGCUGCUUAGGAAACUGCGACCGAUACGGCCCUCGUGGCCUCCCUUCAUGCCCUUGUAGGUAUUCGCACAGCGAACACAAUGUUGCUUCCCGUGACGGUGAAAGGGGAGCGCCUGUUGGCGCUGCUCGACACGGGCUCGACGCACAACUUCCUCCAGGGUGCGACGAUGCGCCGCCUGGGACUCACUUCGCAGGAGCCGGAGGCGAGUCGUUCAAUGUCACAGUAGCCAACGGCGAUCGGCUACCAUGUGAGGGCAUUGCUCACAACGUUCCUGUCUCCAUCGGCAACGAGUCCGUCUCGAUCACGUGCGUCGGCCUGGAUUUGGGCUGUUUUGACUUCAUCCUCGGCGUCGACUACCUACGGACCUUGGGCCCCAUCCUAUGGGACUUCGAGGCCAUGACGCUCUCCUUCUCGCGCGAGGACUGCCGCGUCCUUUGGCAGGGCGUGCGCAGCCCCAGCGUGGCUGCUCCCCAGCAGCAGCUCGCUGCCCUCUCGGCUGACGCCCAGCAGCCGCUGCUGGACGUGCUCCUACAGCAGCAUGGUGCCAUCUUCGACGAGCCCACGGGGCUCCCUCUGGCACGCCCGUACGACAACCGCAUCCACCUGCUGCCCGGUACCGCCCCAGUCGUGGUGCGACCGUACCACUACCCCCAGUUACAGAAGGACGAGCUGGAGAGACAGUGUGCAGCCAUGCUCGCCCAAGGCAUCAUUCGGCUGAGUACCUCUCCGUUCUCCACGCCCGUUCUGUUGGCGCGGAAGGGGGACAAGUCUUGGCGUUUCUGCAUCGACUACCGUUCCCUCAACGCCAAGACCUCCAAGGACAAGUUCCCGAUACCGUGGUGGACAAGCUGCUGGACGAGCUGCAUGGUGCUUGAUUCUUCUCCAAGCUCGAUUUGCGUUCGGGCUAUCACCAGGUGCGGAUGCACCCCGACAACAUCGACAAGACUGCCUUCCACACGCACCAUGGCCAUUAUGAGUUUCUGGUGAUGCCAUUUGUGCUGUCCAAUGCUCCGGCAACCUUCCAAGUCUUGAUGAAUGAUGUGCUUCGACCCUACCUUCGCCGGUUCGUGCUGGAGUUUUUCGACGACAUUCUUAUUUACAGCUCAUCGUGGGCAGCGCACUUGCAGCAUGUCAACAUCGUCCUCAACACGCUCCGAGCACAUCACCUUCACUUGAAGCGCUCCAAGUGCUCGUUCGAUGCGACAUCGGUGGCCUACCUAGGCCAUGUCAUCUCUUCACGUGGCGUCGCCAUGGAUGUCGACAAGGUUGCUGCAGUGGCCGCGUGGCCUACCCCACGCUCCGCUCGCGGCCUCCGCGGGUUUCUGGGCCUCGCCGGUUACUACAGGAAGUUCAUCCGAGAUUUCGGCCUCAUCGCAGCACCUCUUACACGUCUCUUGUGGCGAGACGCGUUCAUAUGGGAUGACGACGCCACAACAACAUUCGAGGCGCUGAAGAAGGCCCUGACCACGGAGCCUGUACUCCAGAUGCCGAACUUUACCACGGUGUUCGUGGUGGACUGUGAUGCUUCAGGCGCGGGAUUCGGCGCUGUCAUUCACCAGGGCGCGGGUCCCCUCGCCUACUUCAGCCGCCCCUUUGCUGCCCCUCACUUGAAGCUGGCGGCAUACAAGCGCGAGCUCAUCGGUUUGUCCAGGCAGUUCAUCAUUGGCGUCCAUACUUGUGGGGGCACCACUUCCUGGUUUGUGCUGACCACUACAGUCUCAAAUUUUUGCUUGACCAGCGCUUGUCCACUAUUCCUCAGCAUUAGUGGAUCAGCAAGCUCUUCGGCUUUGACUUCGCUGUGGAGUAUUGUACGGGGCGUCUGAACUCUGUGGUGGAUGCCCUCUCUCGCCAGGACGCGGAGGAGGGUGUGGUCACCUUCGAGGGGGCGGCUAUGGCCAUCCAUGCCUUGUCUGGGCCAACGUUCGCUCUCCUUGAUGACAUCCGGCGGGCAACAAUGGCCGCUCCUGAUGGCCAGCAGCUCCUUCAGCACCUUCGGGCCGGUGACCUAUUGUCGCCGUGGCGCUUCGACGACGGCCUUUUUCUCCACGGCUCCCGUAUUUUUGUGCCGGAUCAUGGGGACUUGUGCCAUAAAGUCCUCCUGCUGGCGCAUUUGGCGGGCCAUGAGCAUGUGUAGAAGACUCUUCACCGCCUCUGUGCUGAUUUCUACAUCCCACAUGAUUGGGCGUUGGUCCAAGAUUGGGUGCGCUCUUGCACCACCUGCCAGCGGAACAAGGUGGAGACGUAGCCGGCGAGGCUGUUGCAGCCUCUCGAGGUGCCGUCCCAAGUGUGGGCCGACAUCUCAAUGGAUUUCAUCGAGGGGCUGCCCAAGGUCGGCGGCAAGUCCAUCAUCCUCACUGUGGUCGAUCGCUUCUCCAAGUACGCUCACUUCAUCGCGCUCGGCCAACCCUACACUGCCACGACCGUCGUCCAGGCUUUCUUCGAAGGCAUUGUUCGCCUUCAUGGGUUUCCGCUCUCUAUUAUGAGUGACCGGGACCCUGUCUUUACCUGGCAUGUGUGGCAGGACCUAUUCAAGAUGGCCGGUGUUACUCUCCGCAUGAGCACAGCUUUUGACCCUCAGACAGAUGGGUAGUCCGAGGUGGUCAAUUGGUGAUCACCAUGUACUUGCGCUGUGUGACGGGCGACCGCCCGCGUGCAUGGGUGGACUGGCUCUCGUGGGCAGAGUAUUGCUAUAAUACUUCCUUCCACACCGCCCUGCGUGCUACUCCUUUUGAGGUGGUCUACGGUCGUCCUCCCCUGCCGAUGCUUCGUUACACGCCCGGGACAGAGGCCCGGGACGGCGCGUACUGAAGCUACUGAUGUUAUUCUCUGUUCCCGUGAUGAGGUUUUGGCGGAAGUUCACCAACGUCUUUUGCAGGCCCAGCAAUUGUCCAAAAAAUAUUAUGAUGCAGAGCACCGCGAUGUGGAAUUUCAGGUGGGCGAUUGGGUCUCGCUGUGGUUGCUGCACCGGACAGCACAGUCCCUCGAGCCGCGCGCCAAGGGCAAGCUCGGCCCUCGCUAUGUUGGGCCGUUCCAGGUUCUGGAACGCAUUGGCCAGGUGGCGUAUCGUCUUCGGCUACCAUGAUGGAUAAGUCUCUGUUGGCUGGUGGUUGUGGGCUGCAGUAGGCAGCACAUGGUCCUUGUGUAGGACAGCAUCCUUGACUGCUUUUAGGACAGCAGUUAGCAUCUGUAGGACAGCAUCUUAGACUAGCAUCUUAGACUAGUAUCUUGGCAUAUGCUGGCUGGUUAGCAGCCCUAUAAAUAUGUAUCCCCAACCCCUCAGGUUGGUAUAGCAUUGUGUGAGAAAUAAACCCAGAAAAUUGCCCCAACUCAGUGUGCUAUCCUCUCAAUGAGAGUAAGGAUCCUGCUCACACCUAGAGCAAGGAUCCAGCGACUAACAAGUGGUAUCAGAGCCGUAGUAUCCUGUAGCCUAAGCAUUUCCUGCUCAAUCCCUUCUCCAGUCGAGCUCCCUGCCUCGCAGCAGCCCCGGCUGGCAGCAGCAGCUGUUCCGGCUGCCUCUGCUCUCCGCGCAGCAGCGCGCCAUGGCCGCAGAAGGGCAGUCUCAGCACUCGGGCACCUCGAGCGCGCGGCGUCGGCAGGAGGCCGACCUCGCUGCAGCAGAGGAGCGCAGGCGAGCAGCGGCAGCGACCGCUGCAGCAGCAGCGAGGGCGUCGAGGCUGGCCCAAGCGGAGCUGGCAGCAGCCAGAGCGGAGGUGGAGGCAGCAGCAGCUGCAGAUGCAGCGCGUGCAGCGGCAGCGGAGGUUGAGGACCUGCGCAGCAGUCACAGCAGCUCCAUCGCUGCUGAUGACAGUGCUGACCCAGACCUGGAGCUGCUGGAGAGAGAUGCAGCACGCCGGCGAGCGGCGCAGUGGGCAGCUGUGCACGCCCACGAGCGUGGCCGCAGUCCAGACAGGCGUGGAGGCGCUGGCGGCGUUCCUGGAGGAGGCGCGCACGGCAACGGCAGUGGACGGGUCGAGGAAGAGCAUGGCCUUCGCAGGCCACGUGGCUCUCUCUCCCCGGACCGGUACCGUGGUGGAGCCGGCGACGCUCUUGGAGGAGGCGCACAUGGCAACGGCGGUGGACGGGUCGAGGGAGAGCACGGCCUUCGCAGGCCGCGUGGCUCUCUCUCCCCGGAUCGGUACCGUGGCUACCACGGGUACCAGGCUGUUGCCAGGGACGUUGGCCCUGGUGGUGGGUGGCCUACCCUCACCAAGACCAACUAUGUUGAGUGGGCUGCGGUGAUGAAGGUGAGACUUCAGGUGCUGCACAUGUGGGAGGCAGUCCGGUACGGCGACGUCGACUACGACCAGGAUCGACGGGCACUGAAUGCCCUCAUCGCUGCAGUCCCGACCGAGAUGCAGUUCUCGCUUACCAGCAAGCGGACUGCCAAGGAUGCUUGGGACGCCAUUGCUGCAGCACGCAUCGGCAGUGAUCGCGCCCGCAAGUCCACACUGCAGCAACUCCGCAAGGAGUGGGAGGACUUGGCCUUCAAGCCAGGUGAGGACGUUGAUGAUUUUGCUCUCCGUCUCAACACUUUGCUGCGGAAAGUGGUGCAGUUUGGUGACAACACCUACAACGAGGAGAGAGCUGUCGAGAAGCUCUUCCGCUGCGUCCCCGAGAAGUACAAGCAGAUGGCUCGCUCAAUCGAGUCCCUGCUAGACCUCUCCACGAUGUCGAUCGAGGAGGCGAUAGGUCGCCUCAAGGUCGUCGACAUUGACGAGCCACAACCCUCCUCGGGGCCCAAGCUCCUUCUCACCCGGGAGCAGUGGGCUGCCGGGCAAGGUGACAAGAAGAAGGGGGAGCCUUCUUCUGCAGCAGCCAGCCGCAAGCGUGGCAAGCGCGGCAAGUCACGCAAAGGCGCCCAGGCCGGGGCGCAAGGGCGUGCCAACGGAGGCGCCCGCGGAGGUGUCCAAGGCGCCGCCGCCGAAAAACCCAAGCCGGCACAAGAUGACUGCUGCAGGAACUGUGGUCUUGCUGGCCAUUGGGCUAAGGACUGCAGGCAGCCACGACGCGCCCAGGCCCACGUCGCGCAGGCGGAGGAGGAGGAGCCGACAGCUCUGUUCAUGGCACAUGCUAGCGCCGAGCCAUCUCCAGCAGCACCGGCUGCAGCGGCUCUUCUCCACCUCGACGAGGCCAAGGCACACGCCCUCCUCAGCAGCGGGUCCGGCGGCAGCAACAAGAUCGAUGGGUGGUGCCUCGACACCGGCGCCACCCACCACAUGACAGGCCGGCGGGAGUUCUUCUCCGAGCUCGACUCCAACGUUCGAGGCUCCGUCAAGUUCGGGGACGCCUCCGCCGUAGAGAUCAAGGGCGCCGGCUCCGUAAUCUUCGUCGCCAAGAAUGGUGAGCAUCGGCUGCUCACCGGCGUCUACUACAUCCCCGCGCUGAGGAACUCCAUCAUCAGCUUGGGACAGCUGGAUGAGAAUGGCUCGCGCGUGGAGAUCAAGGACGGCGUGCUUCGCAUUUGGGAUCCUCGUCACCGACUUCUCGCCAAGGUGAACAGGGGGAGCAACCGCCUCUACGUCCUUCACGUACAGGUGGCGCAACCUUUUUGCCUUGCAGCUCGGCGAGACGAUGAAGCCUGGCGGUGGCACGAGCGCUUUGGGCACCUCAACUUCGAGGCCCUAAAGCAGCUCGGCAACAAGGAGAUGGUGCAGGGCAUGCCGUGUGUCGACCACGUGGAGCAGUUCUGCGACACCUGCGUCCUCACCAAGCAGCGACGGCUGCCCUUUCCCCGCCAAGCAAGCUUCCGCGCCAAGGAGAAGCUGGAGCUCGUGCACGGCGACCUUUGCGGCCCCGUGACACCAGCUACACCUGGAGGACGACGCUACUUCCUCCUCCUCGUCGACGACGCGUCCCGCUACAUGUGGGCUGUCCUCCUCGACACCAAGGGGGCAGCCGCGGACGCCAUCAAGCACCACCAAGCUGCUGCGGAGGAGUGCGGCCGCAAGCUUCGGGUGCUGCGCACAGACAACGGCGGCGAGUUCACGGCGGCUGAGUUCGCGGCGCACUGCGCCGACGAGGGGAUCCAGCGCCACUUCAUCGCGCCGUACACCCCGCAGCAGAACGGCGUCGUCGAGCGCCGCAACCAGACGGUGGUCGCCACCGCCCGCGCCCUCCUCAAGCAGAGAGGGAUGCCGGCGAUCUACUGGGGAGAGGCGGUGAUGACCGCUGUCCAUCUCCUCAACCGCUCGCCCACCAAGGCGCUUGACGGCAUGACGCCGUACGAGGCUUGGCACGGGCGCAAGCCGGUGGUGAGUCACCUCCGCAUCUUCGGUUGUCUGGCGUUCGCCAAGGAGCUCACUCACGUCGGCAAGCUUGACGACCGGAGCACUCCAGGAGUGUUCAUCGGCUACGCGGAGGGCGCCAAGGCCUACCGCAUCCUCGACCCUGUGACACAGCGCGUCCGCAUCUCUCGGGACGUCGUGUUCGAUGAAGGGCGAGGCUGGACUUGGGACAAGGCGGUGGACGACGGCUCGGCUUCGACCCUCAGGGACUUCGUCGUCGACUACGUCCACUUGGAGGGAGCCGGGGGAGCUAGCAGCUCGUCCUCACCGAGCUCGCCCUCCUCGGCACCCAGCUCGCCAUCAGCUUCGGCGAGCCCACCACCGCCUUCACCACCAGCGAGUCCAACACCACCGGCUACACCACGCACUCCUGCACCGGCUCCCCACUCUCCUGCACCGGCACCGGCAACUCCAAGGUCGGCACCAGCAGCUUUGGUCCGUCAGCGUUCGGUGGAGUUCGCCACUCCACUGUCCGGCGACGAGGAUCGCGUCGACGCCUACCACGACGAUGAGCCUCUACGCUACCGCACCAUGGACAACAUCCUCGGUAACCAACGUGUCCCUGGGUUAGCGGUACACGACUUCGAGGCAGAGCUGCACCUGGCACACGAGGACGGUGAGCCUCGCUCCUUCGCUGAGGCAGAGGGAGACGCGGCAUGGCGUGCCGCGAUGCAGCAGGAGAUGGACGCGGUCGAGCAGAACCGCACUUGGGAGCUCGCUGAUCUCCCUCGUGGUCACCGCGCGAUCACCCUUAAGUGGGUGUUCAAGCUGAAGAGGGAUGAAGCCGGUGCCAUCGUCAAGCACAAGGCUCGCUUGGUGGCACGAGGUUUCGUGCAGCAGGAGGGGGUCGACUUCGACGACGCCUUCGCCCCCGUAGCACGGAUGGAGUCCGUGCGACUUCUCCUUGCGCUAGCUGCCCAGGAGGGCUGGCGUGUCCAUCACAUGGAUGUCAAGUCGGCGUUCCUUAACGGCGACUUGAAGGAGGAGGUCUACGUGCACCAGCCGCCGGGAUUUGUGAUUCCCGGCAAGGAAGGCAAGGUGCUUCGUCUGCGCAAGGCCCUCUAUGGCUUGCGGCAGGCACCGAGGGCGUGGAAUGCCAAACUGGAUUCCACAAUGAAGGGGAUGGGCUUCGAGCAAAGCCCGCACGAGGCGGCCAUCUACCGGCGGGGCAGGGGACGAAAGGCCCUGCUGGUGGGUGUCUACGUCGAUGAUCUUGUGAUCACCGGCACCGAGGAGGUGGAGAUCGAGGCGUUCAAGGAGAAGAUGAGGGCGACCUUCCAGAUGAGCGACUUGGGCCCUCUCUCUUUCUACCUGGGGAUCGAGGUCCACCAGGACAGCUCCGGUACCUCUCUCCGCCAGACAGCCUACGCCAAGCGCAUUGUGGAGCUGGGCGGUCUCACCGGCUGCAACCCAGCCCACACUCCUAUGGAGGAGAGGCUGAGGCUGAGUCGGGAGAGUACGGAGGAAGAGGUGGACGCGACGCAGUACCGGCGCAUUGUGGGCAGCCUUCGCUACCUUGUCCACACGCGACCGGACUUGGCGUUCGCCGUCGGCUACGUCAGCCGGUUCAUGCAGCGACCGACGACGGAGCACCAGCAGGCCGUGAAGAGGAUCCUCCGCUACGUUGCGGGCACCUCCGACUACGGUUUGCACUACCCGAGGUGCCCCGGUGCAGCACAUUUCAUCGGGUACAGUGACAGCGACCACGCCGGCGACAUCGACACGAGCAAGAGCACCAGCGGGACGCUCUUCUUCCUCGGCAAGUGUCCGAUCAGCUGGCAGUCGGUCAAGCAGCAGGUGGUGGCUCUGUCCAGCUGCGAGGCAGAAUACAUCGCAGCCACUACCGCUUCUACUCAGGCUCUGUGGCUGGCUCGGCUGCUUGGUGAUCUCCUUGGCAGAGACGCAGAGGCAGUGGAGCUCAGGGUGGACAGCAAGUCCGCCUUGGCCUUGGCGAAGAAUCCAGUCUUCCAUGAGCGCAGCAAGCACAUCCGGGUGAGGUACCACUUCAUCAGGAGCUGCCUGGAGGAAGGGAGCGUUCGGGCCAACUACAUCAACACCCAAGACCAGCUCGCCGACUUUCUGACCAAGUCCCUUGGACGAGUCAAGUUCCAGGAACUUCGCGCCAGGAUCGGGAUGGCUCAGAUACCCCACAAGGAGCCACACAAGACUUAGGGGGAGAAUGAUGGAUAAGCCUCUGUUGGCUGGUGGUUGUGGGCUGCAGUAGGCAGCACAUGGUCCUUGUGUAGGACAGCAUCCUUGACUGCUUUUAGGACAGCAGUUAGCAUCUGUAGGACAGCAUCUUAGACUAGCAUCUUAGACUAGCAUCUUGGCAUAUGCUGGCUGGUUAGCAGCCCUAUAAAUAUGUAUCCCCAACCCCUCAGGUUGGUAUAGCAUUGUGUGAGAAAUAAACCCAGAAAAUUGCCCCAACUCAGUGUGCUAUCCUCUCAAUGAGAGUAAGGAUCCUGCUCACACCUAGAGCAAGGAUCCAGCGACUAACAUACCAGAGGGUGCUCGUUUGCACGACGUCUUCCACGUGGGCUUGCUCAAGCGCCACAAAGGUGAACUCCUAGCAGCGCCAGGCGUUCUCCAGCCUACUAUGGAUGGUCGGCUAUUGUCAGUCCCUACCAAGGCUCUUAAGGUUCAGCAGCGCCGGGGCGUUUGGCACGUCCUUGUUCAAUAGCGCGGACUUUCUGAAGAAGAUGCAACAUGGGAGUCUCUCGACGAGUUUUGCACCCUCUACCCCUACUUCCAGCUCGACGACGAGCUGUUUUUGCAGGCGGGGAGAGAUGUUAUGACCGGCAUCCCAUAUGCCAGGCGCAAGCCCAUUGGUGGCAAGGGGGAGCUGGCGGCCAGGGGGAUAAGAGUCCCUAUUUAUCUUAUUUAGUUAUUAUUUAUCCCUAUUAUUAUUAGAGAGGAGUAUAAAUACUUGUAAAGACUUGGUGAUUUGAUUAAGCAGAAACAAUCUAUUGUUUCCGGCUUCCUAAAGGAAGUCGGGAGAAUUAGCCCUAGCUCUCUUCCUCUCAUGCAGCCACGGCUCCUCGCCGCCGCUCCGCCCUCUUCAAGCCCCGACCUCCGAUCACACACGCCUACAAUCUAUGAUCAGCUAGAGGCAGAACCCCGCUGCCUAUCAGAAGCCACAAAAUGCAAUCAUGGCUAACUUCAGUACAAUCAUGGACAAACAAUUCAGCACUAACUUGUGUAGCUGCGGUAUUUUGUGAUUGCCAUGAUUUCAUUCUUUUGAAGCACAAACAAUAUUACUUCAUGGACAACUUCAGUAGAAUCAGGCUAACUUGUGUAGAAAUACUGUUGUGUAAAGAAGCAAAGAAAACAUAUUAAUGCAGUAAGUACCAGCAAUGUGGCCGCUAGAACAUGCAUCUGCGACUGCUUGAGUAUCCAUGAUUGCUCCUCGAGCAUUAUUCACAAUAAUUACACCUUUCUUCAUCUUUGCAAUCCUCUCUUUGUUAAACAUGCCUCUGAACAGAAGAGCCAACAAAACUGUUAGAUAUAUGUAUAUCUAUGGGGUUAAUUGUAUAUUGCUUACUUGUAACUCAAGUCAUUAUUGACUAUAUAAUCAAAGCCACCCAACCCAAGGGGUAUGAGGUGUUUGUCAUAAUUCUGCAUGGUAUCAAGCUACUAGGGUUUAUACCCUCCCGAUCCCUACCCUUCCGCUGCCCUAACCCCCUGGCCGCCUCCACAGCCGCCGUGCCCUAGGGCGCCGCUGCUCCACCAGCCGCCGCCGUCUCUCUCAGGCCGCCGCCCCACCUCCCACCAUGUCUACCUCUUCUACAACCUCUGCUGCAACCUCUGGCACCCAGGGUGCCAACCCCUCCACCUCUCUCGGAUCUGGUGAAGGCACCCCCAUCAUCGCGCCCCCCCUACGCCGCCGUCAACGUGAAGCACCAUGUUCCCAUCACGUUGGAGUUGGCUCACCCCAACUACAACAAGUGGGCUGCCUUCUUCACCUCCCUCUGCGGCAAGUUCUACCUCGGCAGCCACGUCGACGGCUCUCUGGCGCCUGCUCCCACCGAUGCAUCGUGGGUUGCUGCAGACUGCGAUGUUCGUGGAUGGAUCUACAGAUCCGUCGCUGACGACGUCCCCGACCUCGCCAUGGCUCCCGAGCAGACGGCUCGUGACCUAUGGGUCGCGAUCGCGGAUCUGUUCCAGGCCAACAAGGCGCCGCGUGCUGUCUUCCUUGCGGAACAGUUCCAUUCAAUGACACAGGGCGACCUUUCCAUCGACCAGUUCUGUCAACGCAUGAAGCAGACUGCUGAUUCCCUCCGUGAUGUUGGCCACACCAUCCUCGCCUCCCAGCUCGUGCUGAACCUUCUGCGUGGUCUCAACCCGCACUACUCCAGCACUGCCGACGACAUUGUCAACAAGGACGUGCUGCCGUCCUUUGCUGCUGCUCACAACAUGCUCGUCCUCAAGGAGCUUCGCCUUGCCAACGAGUCCAAGGUGCAGACUGGUGCUGCUCUCCUUGCAGGCCCUCCGUCGUCAUCUACCUGCACCAACGCAUCCUGCCGCUCCUCCAACUCUGGUUCUCCCGCCGCCCCUCCUCAGCAGCAUGCGGGGAACUCAGGUUCUGGAGGGGGCGGCUCUGGUGGUGGUCGCAACAACAACCACCACCGUGGUGGUCGCCGUGGCAACAGUCAGCAGCAGCAACAAGCCGGCGGUCACCGACAACAGGCUGCCCAACCCGCUGGUCCAUGGUUCUGCUUCAGUCCAGCUGCUUUCUAGACUGGGCAGCGCCCUGCCUGGCGCCCUCCUGGUGGUCCCGGUGUGCUCAGGCAAGCAUCCCAGGCGCACACUGCCUUCGCGCCCCUGCAAUACUCCAUGUCGGCGCUCCCACCGCAGCAGCAGCAGUGGGAUCCUACUGCCCUGGUUGCUGCCCUCAACCAGAUGUCUAUGAACCAGGACGGUGCACCUUGGGUCAUGGACACCAGCGCCACUGCCCACAUGCACUCCUACGACGGUAUCCUUACUUUCCGCUCCCCUCCUUCCUCCCCGUCCGUCAUUGUCGGUGAUGGAACCUCUCUCUCUCUCAAUGGGCAGGGCAACUGCCUUCUCUCCACGCCUUCCUCCAACUUUGCACUAAAUAAUGUUCUUAUUGUUCCAUCCAUUAUUCGCAAUCUCCUUUCCGUACGUCAGUUCACUCGUGACAACAACUGUUCUGUCAAAUUUGACGCUCUUGGUUUUUCUGUUAAGGAUCCUCGGACCAGUCGGGUGAUGCUUCGCUGCUCCGGCGACCUCUACACCUUCCCUGUCGCCUCCCAUCAAGCUUAUGCCGCCUCAUCCGAUGUUGCCCUCCUGUGGCACGGUCGUCUGGGUCAUCCUAGUCCAGCAGUUUUCACUCGCCUCCAGCGUUUAGUCCCCUCUAACAAAUACCUCACUAGCAUCUGCCAUGCCUGUCAGCUUGGCAAACAUGUUCGUCUUUUAGUAGUUCCUCUUCAUGUACCUUGGCUCCAUUUGAACUACUGCACUGUGAUGUUUGGACAUCUCCUAUUUCUAGUGUUUCCGGCAAUUCUUAUUACCUGGUUAUAUUAGAUGAUUACACUCAUUACUGCUGGACGUUUACCCUUAAGCGCAAGUCUGAUGUUCAUCAGCAUCUAGUUCAGUUUUGUGCCUUUGCUCGCACCCAGUUCUCGCUGCCCGUUAAGUGCUUCCAAGCAGAUAACGGGACUGAAUUUGUGAACGCCACAGCAACCUUUCUCACAUCCAAUGGGAUCCUCCUUCGUCUUUCCUGCCCCUAUACUUCGGCCCAAAAUGGCAAGGCUGAACGUGUUUUGCGCACUCUCAAUGACAUAGUCCGCACUCUUCUUCUCCACUCCUCCAUGCCUUCAGCCUAUUGGGCUGAAGCCCUCGCCACCGCCACUUACCUCUUAAAUCGCCGCCCGAGCUCUGCUAUUUCUCACGAGAUUCCUUUUUCUCGCCUUUAUGGACAGCCGCCUGAUCUGUCCAAUCUUCGUGUUUUCAGGUUCCUCUGCUAUCCUAACCUUUCUGCCAACAUUCCCCAUAAGCUCGCACCACGUUCCUCUGCGUGUCUGUUCCUCGGCUACCCGACAUCUCACAAAGGCUAUCGCUGCCUUGAUCUGUCCUCUCGUCGCGUCAUCAUAUCUCACCAUGUUGUGUUCGAUUAGACCACUUUUCCUUUUUCAGCUAACAUUGCAGGGCUCUCCUCUCCGGCGUCGCUCAACUUCCUUGUCGAUGACAGUGACAAUCUUGCGCCACUCCUUCAAGGUGUCACACCCCAGCCUGGUGGGCGUGGUUCUGUACCCCCGUUCGGCUCGCCGACUCAACCUGGCGGGCGUGGUUCUGUACCCCCGUCCGGCUUGCUGACUCCACCUGGCGGGAGUGGUUUUGUGCCCCUGUCCGGCUCGCCGCCUCAGCCUGGUGGGCGUGGCUCCAUGCCCCUGUUCGGCUCGCCGCCUCUUGAUGACCCCGCCGUCAUCUCCUGCGGCCGUAUUGUUCCAGCCAUCCCACCGACGUCACAGGUCCCGUCGGGGCGGUUCGGCAAGGUCUUCAUCCGUCUUCCCAAGCCGCCGACCUCAGCACCUACUCCGACCGCGGGAACCACAGCCCCCGCUACUGGUGCCUCACCCGCUCCUGGUGUGCCAGCAGGUGACCUCGCUGCCCCUGGUGCACAGCCAGGUACCCCGCUGCCAGGAGGCCCGGCCGCAGCAAUCCCACCUGCUGCUCGUGCUACUACAAGGCUGCAAUCCGGCGCUAUUCGUCUCGUUGACUACAGCAGCGCGUUCCUGUCUACCACCGUCGCCUCGCCACUACCAGCUAACUAUCGCAGUGCACUAGCUAAUCCGUAGUGGCGUGCUGCUAUGGCGGAGGAAUUUCAGGCUCUUGUUGAUAACAACACCUGAAGGCUGGUUCCUCGUCCACCUCGUGCCAACAUCGUCACUGGCAAGUGGAUUUUCAAGCACAAGUAUAAUGCUGAUGGUUCGCUUGCUCGACACAAGGCUCGCUAGGUUGUCCAGGGUUUCUCUCAAUAGUACGGCGUCGACUAUGAUGAGACCUUCAAUCCAGUUGUUAAACCGGCCACCAUCCACGUUGUUCUCAGCAUUGCUACAUCGCGCUCUUGGCCGAUCCACCAGCUCGACGUGAAGAACGCCUUUCUUCAUGGUCAUCUUCAAGAGACCGUCUACUGUCAGCAGCCUCCAGGCUUCGUCGACCCUUCUGCUCCUGACCAUGUUUGUUUGCUGCAGAGGUCUCUUUAUGGUCUGAAACAGGCACCUCGGGCGUGGCACCAGCGGUUUGCCACGUAUCUUCGACAGCUCGGGUUCCAGCCCUCGGCCUCUGAUGUGUCUCUCUUUAUUUAUAAAGAUAGAGACAGUGUCGCCUACCUGUUGCUCUACGUCGACGACAUUGUCCUGACGGCCUCUUCUCCGGCACUCCUCGUCGCAUCACUGAGCGUCUUAGCUCAGAAUUUGUGAUGACGGAUCUCGGCGCGCUUCACCACUUCCUCGGCAUCUCCAUCACGCGCACGGCCGAUGGUCUGUUCCUCUCCCAGCGGCAGUAUGCUGUUGAGCUUCUCCAGCGUGCUGGCAUGUCAGAGUGCCAUCCCACCACGAUGCCUGUGGACUCUAAGUCCAAACUAUCCGCUGCUGGUGGUCCUCCCGUCGACGACCCUGCUUUCUACCUCAGCCUUGCUGGUGCGCUGCAGUAUUUGACACUCACACGUCCAGACUUGGCAUAUGCAGUUCAGCAGGUCUGUCUGUUCAUGCAUGAUCCGUGGGAGCCGCAUCUUGCUCUCGUCAAGCGCAUUCUUCGCUAUGUCAAGGGCACCCUUACGCAAGGUUUGUAUAUUGGCACUGGUCCUGAUCGCUUUCUCACGGCGUACUCUGAUGCGGACUAGGCUGGUUGUCCUGACUCCCGGCGCUCCACGUUAGGCUACCGUGUCUUCCUCGGUGACACGCUGAUGAUCUGGUCUUCCAAACGGCAGACCACUGUCUCCCAAUCUAGUGCCGAAGCGGAGUACCGGGCGGUUGCUCAUGCAGUCGCCGAGUGUUGUUGGCUGCGCCAACUUCUUUAGGAGCUGCAUCUGCCUCUACAGUCGGCUACAGUUGUCUCCUGUGACAACGUUAGCGCUGUAUAUAUGACAGCUAACCCUGCUCAUCAUCGCCGGACCAAACAUAUUGAGAUCGACAUUCACUUCGUCCGAGAGAAGGUGGCUCUUGGCGAAAUACAGGUUUUCCAUGUACCGUCGUCUCAUCAGUUCGCUGACAUCAUGACUAAGUGUCUUCCUGUACAGUUGUUCAGUGAUUUUAGGUCUAGUCUGUGCGUCCGUGAAUCUCACGCUUCAACUAUGGGGGAGUGUUAGAUAUAUGUAUACCUAGAGGGUUAAUUGUAUAUUGCUUACUUGUAACUCAAGUCAUUAUUGACUAUAUAAUCAAAGCCACCCAACCCAAGGGGUAUGAGGUGUUUGCCAUAAUUCAGCAAAAACUCAGAAAAUGCAUAUGUUAAAAUAUUUUGGAAAUGACAAGUUACAAACCUUGUUUUCUCCGUAAGAGGUGUGUUGAUCACAAUCACAUCACACUUCGGAAGCAUAGCAUCCAGGUCCUCCUCAAAUUUGGCCCCAAUUUCUUUCUCAAGCUCUGGGUCAAUCUGAAGUCUGUCAUGGUAAAGCAGGUUGCAGUUAAAGGGCUUAAGACGCUGAAGCAAGAGCCUGCCUAUACGACCAGCCCCAACAGUCCCAACAGUUUUUCCUUCAAGAUCAUAAGCUCUGUGGGCAAUGCCUGCUACGUUCCAUUCACCUUGAACUACCUGUUGGUACCCAGGCAAGAAGUUCCUGAGCAGAAUCAGAAUGCGCAAGAGCUCAUCUUCUGCAACAGAGACGGUGUUACUUCCAGUGACCUCAGCCACAGUUAAGCCUGCAGCAGCCGCUGCUGGAAGAUCAAUAUGAUCAGAGCCGAUUCCAGCAGUGAGAAGAAGCUCAAGAUUCUUUGCCUUCUUUAUCCUCUCUGCAGUGACAUAAGCUGGGUGGAAAGGGGUGGUAAUCAGGACAUGCAUGUCUUCAAUGUGCUUCUCCAGUUCUGGAAACAAUUGCAGAAAUCAUUUAGUCGAAACAAGUACAGAACCAGAGUCUCAUGAAAAUUGUAUCGGAGUUCUGCCAUGGGCUACAAAAAGGUGAUGGGCCAGUUGGUCUCAAGCCCAGGUUACACAGCCUGCCGACUGGUCUGUUCCCCUUACAAGAGUCUAGAACUACAAAUAGCCUGCCAACACCACCAGACCACUGGCCUGCGUCCCUCAUAAAGAAUCAGAGACUUUUUUCGAGACCAAAGGACCAGAGACUCAGAACUGGGGGUCCCAAAAACAAUUGAAUUUUAGAUCUGUUCUAAGUAAAACUAUUUUAAAUUUGAACAAGUUUAUAAAAAAUAAUAUUAAUAGUUAUGAAUUCAAAUGAAUAUAUUAUAAAAAUAUACUCCAUGAUAGAUAUGAUGAUACUUGUUUCAUACUGCCAGUACUAUUUUUUUUCUAUAAAAAAAAUAGUCAAACUGAAGAUGGUUGAAGUUAGCACUGUAGUUAGAAUUGCAUUUUUUUCAGGAUGAAGGGUGUAAAUACUAAGUUGUACAUCAAUAUAUUUCAUUUUAGUAAGCAUAGGUACACAAUCAGCAUCCAUAAGAAUCUUAAGUAAUAGUACAGCAAUAAGACAACAUGACAGUCAAUGCCACUGCAGUUUCCGAACAGUUGGGCUAAACCAGACACUUGGUCAUAGAAUGGCCCUACCAAAUUAAGAACACCAUUUAUCCGUCUCCAUGGAUCAGGAAAAAAAAUCCCCAUUCUAAAUUACCAGAAACAAAAGCAGUUGACGUCUGCAACGUUAUGAUACUGUCAAGCUACCCAGUAUGGACUGGGGAUGCUGCUACCUUCAUCCACUGAGUUACCAGUAAAAAGUUCUAUUUGAGUUCAGAAAUACUCCCUCCGUACCCAAAAAAAAAAGAUCUUACGGGUUUAGUCAAAAUUAAACUGUUGUAAGUUUGAGUAAAUUCCUCAUGUAAUCUUGAAAUGUGUGCAAGAGAUAGCUUUUCUUGCUCUUCUAUUUUAAAAUAUGAAACAAAAUGCUUAGAGCUAGCCGACGUGGUGGGGCUAUACUGACCACAGUUGGGGCCCUCCUUGUCAUCGGUGACAAUGUACUGAUGGCCCUGCGACUCGAGCCAGCCGCGGAUGCCGAGUGCUCCCUCGACGCAGCCGACGAAGUUGGGGUUCUUGUCGGCAUACUCCCCGGCCUUGUAGAACACCCCAACGAUUUUCUUGCUGCCUGCAGACGUCUGCAGAACAAAGGAAGUAUUCAAUCAAUGAGAAUACAUUUGCAAAGUUCCGUGUCAUAAAUAGAUCGGACUGCUCCAGCAUCUGAAAUUAAGGCACAAGCAAUACAUCUGGUGUCAACUAAACUCUAUUAAAUUUCACCCAGGAGGAAAAAAACCAUACACAAGGGAGGGAAAGCAAAAAAGUGAUAAAUGAGAGGAACAGAGAAUCCUGAAAAGAAGCACAGGCAACACUGAAAGGAGUGAAAAAUUCGCCCGUCCCGCACCCGCAGCUGAGAAUCGCGAGCGGAAAGUUGCCGCGUUUUGAUAAACUCGGCGUAAUAGCCACGAUGAAUCAACGAGCACGCGAGAAAGGUAGAGUAGGGAGGAUUGGCUUACGUGUGCGGCGCUUGAACCGAGCGCCCGGUCGACCAGCUGCCUAGCGGCGGCCCUCCACAUCGCCAUGAACCGCGAAGCCAAAGAAGGAUCAGGGAGAAGGAACCGCACGGCCAGGAAGAGCAGGAGUGAGAGCGAGGCGGAAGAGGAAGAGGAAUAACUACAGGAGUGACUGCGGCUAUAUAUGGGUAACGGGCUGGCCUGGCCCGGCCCGACACGGCAGCGGGCCAACACAGCCCGAUGUGGUCAGGCCAAUAAAUUAUGCCGUGCCUUGCGGGUCUAGCCUUCCGCCCAAGCAUAACCCGUUGGGUCAUUUUUUUUAUCAGGCCAGCUCGAUGAACAGGACUUUUUAGCAGACCGGGCUGACUUAAAGUCCACGAAAUACUAGGAGAGAGCCGCGAGAACCAAAGAAGCCGCUCUUGCAGAUUGGCAAAAGUGCUCGGUGUCGGAUCCACCACCUUCCACGAGGAUGUCGUUGUUCUUGAGACGAAGGGCGCCGCACUCGUCGGAGAUUUGGCUGUAGGGGGGAGGUGGCCAACAAACACCGGUUCAUCGCAGUGCUCAAGGCGUGCUAGGAAGUGUGGUGGCUGAGUGGAUUAGGCCUUUAAGUUAGGAAAUGAAAGAUACAAUAUAUAUAUAUAUAUAUAUGACGCGUUUAUUUUACACGCGCGUGUAGUUACUCUCAUCUAUAUAUCUCUAGAUUUAAGGUGUAUAUGACCGAAUGAAAUGUAUAUAGACAAAGUAUAUGAUCAUACUAGACCAUGUAGAGUGAUAUGUAUGUUAAGUAUGUAUGCAUACAUAGAGUAUAUGGUUAUACUUAUUAUAUAUAAUAUAGUAGUGGCAUUUUAGUAAUAUAUUUAAAAUAUAAUUUUUUUUGAAAAAUUUUCGCGUGGUAAGAUCUAGAGUAUCUUAAUAUGAGUAUAUAAACAUACUGAAACCGAUAAACAAGUAUGAAUACAUACACAAUGUAGUUUAUUGAAGAUGAGAGUAACUACACGUACGUGUAAAAAGGAAUUUCCAUAUAUAUAUAUAUAUAUAUAUAUAUAUAUAUAUAGUAUACUCUAUAGCUAGCUAUAGAAUACCAUAUUCUAGCCAGGCCAAUCUGACCGCACCAUCCACCGGCAGUGAUGCCUAUCCAGGCGUGCGCUAGUUGAUUCCUGUAAUUUUUUUUUAAGGAGAUUACCUCUGCUUUUGAGAAAGCAAUAAUAGUUUUUACAGACUGGUGAUACCAGUUUACCAGAUCACAAAAAAACGAAAGAAGCUAGCUCACACUGCUAGUGCUGACCUCCUCAAACAACACACACUUAUUACAAGAUAACAAUGUCUGAAUUAAAGGUGUGAAGACGGCCACUCUUGCUGAUCCAGGACCCUAGGAUCUCCACCAUCUCAGAUAAGUGUAUCUUGUCGGCGUCCUUCAUAAGCUCUCUCCACAUCUGAAGAAGAUUGAUAGUAUUGUACAGAACCACAUUAGGAUUUGCAGGAAAGAUUUUCUGAAUAGCCAUACUAUUUCUAUUUUUCCAGAUUGCCAGUGAAAGAGCAGCAAAGAAUUAACACAAUUCUUUGGGGGACUCCCAGCCUCCUUGGCAGCCAAUCAUACAAGAAAUUCUGUUUUGACGUCGGGAAUUCAUGCCACCCAAAAGCAUCUCUAAUACAGCACCAUAAGUAUUGUGAAAAGCAGCACUCAAAAAAAUGUGGUUAACAGUUUCAUGUUCAUUACAAACACAGCAAAGGGGACUACCCUGCCACCCUCUCCUUUUUAGUGUUACUGCAGCCUGUAGUUUAUCAUGAUACAUUUGCCAAAGAAAAACUUUGACUUUAAGAGGAAUUUUACUCUUCCAAAUCAAGCCACAAAGCCGAUCCCUCACCCCCCAUGGGUUAUUAUGUAGUAUAGAGAUUUAGUAGUAAAAUGAUUUGAUUUGUCUAACACCCAUUUAACAGAAUCUUCCUUAGUACAAUCAAAAUGAACCCCCUCUAAAAUCUGUUGUAAGCCUACCCAUUCCUCAAACCAAGUCCCUUGCAACCUUCUUCUGAAAGUUAAACCCCAUUCCUCUCCAUCCCAAAUGUCACAAACCAGAUCAUGCUGAUUUUCAUUGAUCUCAUAUAAAGCUGCAAACUGAGUUUUUAGUGGCAUGUUCCCAACCCAUGAGUCAUGCCAAAAUCUGACCCUAUCACCUCUAUAAACUUUGUAUUCUGCACCCCACUUAAAUAAGUGUUUCACUUUAUGUAAACCUUUCCAAAACUGAGAAGACCCUUUCUGGUUUGAGCAGAAGAAAUUGCCUGCAUGUAUAUAUUUAGCUUUAAGUAGUUUGCACCACAGUUCAUCUGAUCCAAUCUCAAUUUUCCAAAUCCAUUUAGUUAAGAGGCAUUGGUUCAUGAUUUCAGUAUUGAUAAUUCCUAAACCACCAUGGUCUCUAGGUCUGCACACUGCCAUCCACUUUGCCAUAUGAUAUUUGAAGAUGUCAUCUGCUCCUCUCCAAAAGAAUUUAGAUCUAAUUGUAUCCAUCUUGGCAUGAAGACCCUUUGGUAGAAAAUAAAAACCCAUAACAUACAUGGGCAAACUACUCAAACAAGUAUUCGUUAAAAUCAGUUUCCCCCCUGAGGUCAUGUACUUGCCUUUCCAUGGAUCUAAACGUUUGAUCAUCUUAUUAAGAAUUCCUUGGAAGGCUCCCAUGCCUAAUACUGAAUCAGAAACAGGAAUGCCCAAAUACUUCAUUGGUAACUCUCCCAAUCUACAAUUUAACAUAUUGGCUUUCCUUUCUUUCUCCUCUUGGCUAUAUCCAAAAAGGAUGACUUCACUCUUAUGGUAGUUAAUCUUUAAUCCUGAUAGCCAUUCAAAGCAAUAAAGAAUCACUUUCAAGUUUGUAAUCGAAUUGUCUGAACCAUCUAUCAUUAGAACAGUAUCAUCCGCAUAUUGAAUGUGUGAAAUACCAUUUGGGAUCAGAUGCUCAACCACUCCUUUAAUCAAAUGUUUACUAACAGCCUUGUCCAACAUAGCACUUAAGGAAUCAGCCACUAGGUUAAAGAGAAGGGGAGAUAAGGGAUCUCCCUGUCUCAGCCCUCUCAGAGUUUUAAAAUAGGGUCCCCUAGUACUAUUCACAUUGACACAAACCUGUCCCCCCUUAACAGUUUGCAUAACCCAAUUAAUCCACUUACCAGGAAAACCUUUUCCUUUUAAUACUUCCUCUAGAAAGUCCCAUCUCACCCUGUCAUAAGCCUUUUCAAAGUCAAUUUUCAUAAUCAGUCCCUGCUUCUUUUUGUGACUUAGCUCAUGCAACACUUCAUGAAGAAUAACAACUCCUUCUAAAAUGUUUCUCCCUUGUAUGAAGCCAGAUUGAUUAGUUUCAAUAACCUCCUUGGCUACUGGGGUAAGCCUGCCUGUGAGCACCUUAGUAAAAACUUUAAAAUCAACAUUCAACAAGCAAAUGGGCCUAUAUUGCUUGAUCGUGGCUGCAUCUUUGACCUUGGGUACUAAAGUGAUCACUCCAUAAUUCAGUCUCUUAAUAUCCAACUUACCAUUAUAGAAAUCUUCAAACAUACUAUAGUAAUUAUCUUUAAUAUUGUCCCAGAAUUGUUGGAAAAAACUAGCCCCAUAUCCAUUUGGGCCUGGUGCAGCCUCUUGUUUCAUAUAAAAAACUGCUUGCUUAAUCUCCUCCAUGGAGAAAGCUUUCUCCAGUUUCUGACCAUUUAUCUCAUUUACUUUCCUCCCCUCAGACCAAAAGUUAGAUUUUAGUCUAAUCUGCCUCUCAUCCACUCCCCCAAAAAGUUGUUUAUAAAACUGAACUAUGUGAGCCAUAAUAUCAUUCUGGUUUGUUAGCUGACCUUGCUCAGAAUCCAUCAAGAAAAUCAAUCCCUUUCUUCUUCUUCCAUUAGCAAAAUGAUGAAAAAAUCUGGUAUUAGAAUCACCUUCCAAAAGCCAGUGCUUCCCUCCUCUCUGCUUCCAAUAGCUCUCUUCAAACAGAUAAACUUGUUCUAACUCCCUUUCAACAGCAUACCUAUGCUCCCACUCUUGGGGUACCAAAUCUCUUACCUCAGCUUGCUUAUCAAUCCUUUGCAGCUCUUCCUUGAGCUCAAAGUUAUUCUUUUUUUGAUCUCCUAUCCUCUGGAUAUUCCACCCUUUAAGAAAAGAUCUUAAAAGAGCAAUGCUCCCAUGCCAUUUAUCCAAAGAGUAACACUGUUCAGGGCAUCUAGAUUCUACCAACGCCAGCUUAUCAAUAACCAACUGAGCAAAGCCAGGGAUCUUAGCCCACUGCUGCUCAUAAAAGAAAUAUCUAGGUCUGGUAGGUAAACUUUCUCCAUUAUCAACUAAAAUUGGCAUAUGGUCAGAACCAACCCUAGUUAAACCCCAUGAAGUAGAUAAAGGAAAGUGGUCUUCCCAAUUCACAGAGAAAAGAACUCUAUCUAGAUUGACCAAAAUUGGAUUAUUUUGUUUAUUUGUCCAAGUAUAUCUUUGCCCAGAUGUCUUUAGUUCCCUAAGUUGCAUAUCCCCAAUAAACUCAUUAAAAAUAUUUAUGAGACCCAUAUUAACGUUCUCAGAAUUCUUAUCAUUUGCCUCCCUAAUCAAAUUGAAAUCACCUCCCUGAAUGACUGGCAAAGGAGAUUCCUGACACACAGCUUUUAGCUCAUCCAGGAAGGCAUCAGCAAGAUCAUGAUUAGCUGGUCCAUAGACUGUGAUAAACCUCCAUCUAAAAUUAGUUCUCCUAUCCCUAACAGACAUCAUGAUACAAAAGUCAUGGAUGGAGAAAUCUUCCAAUUCCAGAUUCUCUAAGUCAACCCCCAUAAGGAUGCCCCCAGAUUUCCCUUUGGAAGGCAGAUAUUGCCAUGUGAACUCCCUUGUUCCAGCAAUAUCAAGCAACUCCCUAUCUGAAAAGGACUCCUUCAUAGUCUCUUGUAGGCCUACCAUUUGAAGUUUAUGCUCACCUAUAAAUUCUCUCACCUGCUGCUUUCUGCUAGUCUUCCCCAGCUGAAAGGUCCUAAUAUGGCUAGAGGGGGGGUGAAUAGCCUAUUUAAAAAUUCUACCAAAAACACUAGAGCAAGAGGUUAGUAAAUAACAAAGCGAAGCUUUUUGCUCUAGCUCUAAUUGGGUGUUUGCAAGCCACCUACCCAACAAUUCUAGUUGCUAUGAUCACUAUGCACACAAGAACUAAGUCUCUACUUACACUAGAGAGCUACCUAAAGUUUCUAUACAAGAAGUAAGCUACUCUAGUUUGCAAGAAAGUAAGAGAGAGAGUUUGAUCUUUAUACCACCACGUAGAGGGGAUGAACCAAUCACAAUAAUGAAGUCCAAUCACCGGGAGAAAUCCAAUCAACAAACACAAUGGAGACACAAGAUUUUUCUCCCGAGGUUCACGUGCUUGCCGGCACGCUACGUCCCCGUUGUGUCGACCAACACUUGGUGGUUCGGUGGCUAAGAGGUGUAGCACGAACCUCGUCCUCACUAGGACACCACAAGAACCUACCCACAAGUGAGGUAGCUCAAUGACACGAGCAAUCCACUAAUGUUGCCUUUGGCUCUCCGCCGAGGUAGGCACAAACCUCUGACAAUCACCGGGAGAUGGCCACGAACAAUCACCAACUCGUGCCAAUCCUCCUCCGCUGCUCCAAGCCGUCUAGGUGGCGGCAACCACCAAGAGUAACAAGAAAACCGCAGCCAAAUCGAUCCCCAAGUGCCACUAGAUGCAAUCACUCAAGCAAAUGCACUUGGAAUCACUCCCAAUCUCACAAAGAUGUUUAAUCUAUGAAGAAGAUGAGUGGGAGGAGUUUGCUUAGGCUCACAAGGAUAUCAAGUAGUCAAGAAUGCCAAGGGUAUAAGCCCUAAGCUGGCCAACAACUAUUUAUAAGCCCCUCAAACAAAUAGAGCCGUUGGCUCUUUCACUGGGCGAAAUACGGGGUCACUGGACGCUCUUAAAGGGGCACCGGACGCUCAACACCAGCGUCCGGUGCUCCAACGUUAGCCGCGUGUCAGAGUCUAACGGUAACCUGCAGAGCACUGGACGCUGAGCAGGUUGGCACCGGACGCGUUCGGUGCACACCGGACUCAUGCGCAGAGAGCUCCGCAAACUCGCAGGGUCACCGGACGCAAGCCACCGGACGCACCCUAAGCGUCCGGUGCUCACCGGACUCACACCCAGAGAGGGUUGCAAAACGCGCGGACACCGGACUCAGACCACCGGACGCUCCAGCUUGCGUCCGGUGCCUGGCGUCCGGUGCCUAACCCUAGCUGAGCCAGGCAGCCUGCACACCGGACUCUCAGACACAGCGUCCGGUGCCUCUGAGCCAGCGUUCGGUGAGUGUUUUCUCAGCGAGAAACACUCCCGCGACUUCACCAAUUUUCCCACCGGCGCAAUAGAAAAUAUGCACUUCAUUUUCUCGAAAAGCGCCGACACCACAACGUGUGUACCAACAAGUGCACGUGUGUUGACACUUGCUAACACCACUUGAAUACUAGGUUGUCAUCCCCAGCAUGGCACUAGAGUGUACUAUGGUAUUUAUACGCACACAGAUAAUCCGCAAGCGCACGGAUACCGUUGAAGCUUUUACCCGGUUAAAGGUUUUAUCGUAUCCACAGGGAAACGGGAGAACUGAUCUAUGCUCUAACUUAACCAAGAUAGAUAGAUAGGUGUAAAUAGGAAAGAUGAUAGAAUCGAAUAAGAACAAUAUUAAAGGUAAGAUAACAGUGAGUGAUAAUAUGGGAAUAGAGAAUAGAGCAAUUCUAGUAUAUGGGCGAUGGUAGCAGAAUAGAGAGGAUAACUAUGGUUUCUCUACUUCAUAGGGGUAUGUCUAUGUCUGGGACGAACCACGUGAUAAGAGUACACCACAAAGGAUGCUUAUCCAUAGGCCGAUAAACCCUACCCGUCCUGCUAACGAGAGGUGGACUACAGGGGACCAACGUAACUGUCACCUACGCGGCCUACCACACGAUCCAGCUAGUCAGGGGAUAUCCACAAGUAAUCUAGGUCUAAGCACCACGCUUACACCUAUACUACAACUCUAACCUAUAGGGUCCUAUAGAUUAGAAGUACUCAAAAGAGUUGUGAACCAGAACAUACAUGAUUAGUAAUUGCAUAAUGAAUUAGAAGUAGAUUACCAGAGUCAUCCCAUGAGCAAGCUUGAUUAGAGCUUGAUCAUGGCGAAGUACAACCGGAGGAAGAACCGACAGGCCGGCCUCUCCUCUAAUCCUCCUUCGCUCUCCAUCUUGCUACUAUCUAGAUCUACUCUAGUUUAGAGAAGAGAGGAGAGCUCUCAUCUCUAAACCCUAGCUUUUGCUCUGUCUAUGAAUAAUGAAUAAUGAUCAAGGGGUGCCUCCUCCAGGGGCCAGGGGGUCUGGUUUUAUAGUCCCCUCAAGUGAACCUGGGCCGUCGGAUCAAACCGAUAUUGAUUGAACGGUUAUUCUUGAUCCUUUAGGUCGGUGGAGCAUAAUCCGCGAGAUUGAGCGUGAUUGGCCGAAAAAGGUGGGCGGGCGCCCUAAGGACUUGGGCGGGCGCCCUGUCCCUGACUCCGUUCGGUCUCCGCUUCCUUCCCGUGGCUUCUGGAGUCUUCUAGAUGUAAGAUAAUUGCGUGGCACGUUGAUAUCUUUAUGUAAUCCCGACGUGUGGGCCUUUCUUCCUUAUUUCCUGAUAACCCCCUGCAGAAAUAGACAAACACCAAAACUCGUGGAAUUCUGUCAGAUAAAACCCUAAGUCUCGAUGUUGAUUUCAUUUGGAUCCUUUUCUUUGUUUAUUUGAUAGUUAAAUUUGAUACUUAAGGACCGUCAACAAACUCCCCCAAGCUUACCUCUUGCUCGUCCCUGAGCAAGGAUAGACUCAGCUAUGGAUCAUAAGUUGUUGCAAUAUCUUUAAAAAUUGACGGUACACAUGAUUUUAAAUGAGGUCUCAUCUCUGAGUUAGAGUAAACUGUCAAGACUUAAAACUUACUUACUUUACCUUUCACCAUGGGACUUGUAACCGUCACUUCUGUCUUGAGUGGUUAAAAGAUAGAACAGUCCCGUCAAGUGCCAUGUCUCUUAUUCUUGAUCAGCUAUAGCUCUGGAGUUUUUGCAGAUUUUCAAAUAAAACUCAGAGAUUCCUUGUAUGACUCUCUAAAUCUCUCUUUUGUGGUAUUUCUGGAUCCUUACCAAGGCAGUGAUGGUAUAUUCCUUCUCUCAAGAUAUGUGGUAUUUGUGGUAUAAGGCAUAGUGACAUUGCCUUCUCUCUCACCCUACUCUAAUAAGGCUUUAAUAUCUAGAGCUUAUAGGUGGGAGAUAAAGUAUACAUACUUACAAGACAUUUAUUGUGUAGUCAAACUAUGGAUCCAAAGAAACAAAUAAAUAAGCCAAAUCAAGAUGUGCAUGUGUGGCGAAUGAAUGGUGUAUAGUGAUGAUGGUGAUAACAAUGGUGAAAGUCUAAUUCUACUUUUGCUCUUAUGAGGGGAUACAUACCUUCCUUGCUUUUUGAAACUUUAUGAGGAGAAUGAGAUACUCUUCUUUUUCUUUCCUCUCAAGUGGGUAUCUUGUACCCCUAAUUCUACUGUCGGACACUUGUCCAUUUUUACCUCUCGUCUCACUUUUUCUUUCUUUCGAGGUUCCGAGCACUUGCCCCUUUUUAUUUCCUCAUUUAUUAUUAUUUUUUUCUUUUCUUCUCUUUUCUUUUUUUUCAGAGCACUCAUCUCCUGAAAUAAUGUAGCAAGUGGUAGUAACCAAAAUAAGGAGAGCAUUUAUUUCACAGGGAAUAACAGGGAUAGGAAAAUGUUUUUGGCUAUUCUCUCCCGGAUUAGGAGUAGAAUGAUUUUGGGUGAAACUGGAGAUGGAAAUGGAUGGAUAUAUAUGGAUGGUACUUCCGGAGUAGAAGUAGCAUAUAUGAGUGAACGUGCAAGUGAAUCUUGAUUUAACCACAUGACAAGCUCCUAAGGGUCUACACAGCUUGACCACACUCAAUGCUCAUAAGCAGUAAAUAAAUGUGUGGCUCAAAGUCUAACAAGCAUGUAUAUAUGGCUGUGAUAGGAAUUUAAACUUUCAUCAUACAGGAACUCAUCAUGCAAUAUUUUAAAGAUUUUUCAAAGAUAAAAUUCUCUAGAAUUCUAGCAUCUCUAGGAAUAGAUAAACAGCAGCUCAACCUUCCCAUAUCAUAUCCGUUAACAACUUAGAUUUCAGAUCAAGUUUUCAUCCCACAAGUUUAGAUCUAGAGCAAGCUUUAAAUUAUAACAGUUAUGUCUAAACUUGAGAGAAAACUUCAAAUUUGCAAAUUAGGCAGAGCAACUAUUCAUCAUAUCCAUGCUAGAGUUUUAUUAUUAAGAUUCAUAGCAAACUUUAUUUAUUUAUUUAUUUAUUUAGCAAACUAAGAAAAGAUAUAUAUAUAAGCAUAAAAUCUUUAUUUAGUUUUUCAUAGUUUAUGUAUUUUAAUAUUCUAAUAUAAUAUAAGUAUAAAGAUAGGUAGAAAUACUUAGCGAGAUAAAUAGGGGUGCUCUCCCCCAAGCUAAAUUUUGACGUAAUUUCUCUUGAUGUAGCUAGCAGGUGGCAGAGGUGUAUUUGAAAGUCAGCAGCAUUCUGACAGCGAAUAGAAUGUCCUCCAUCUGCUAGUCUUCUUGAUUCUUAAAUUCUGUGGAGCUCAAAUAGACAACAAAGCUUGUGGAACUAAUUAAGUGUUAGCAUAAAUAUCUAGCCUUCAUCACGUUGAGCUUCCUCAAUAAAUAUUACUCCCUGUUUUUAUAUUUUUAUUUUAUAAAGUAAAAAAGAAAUAUUUAUUUUAUUUUUAUGCCACCACAGUGAAGGUACUUAUGGGUUUUAUGCCACUCGUAUACUCACAUGGGGCUUAGUAUUUUUUUAACAUUUUUAUUUUCUUUUCAAGAUAGCAUGAUUAACUAAUAAUCUAUUUAAGGCAAGUAAAUAAUUAAAGGGAAAAGGGAAUGCAGAAAGGAUAAAUAUGGAUAACUACCAAUCUUACCUUUCGGCGAGGGUUCAAUGUUUUAAGUCUUCUUGACAAGACUUCUCACCGUGUUCAUUCUUCAGGUGCGUCAUUUGAUUCAUGUGCGGACCUUGACGUCUGCACCUUUUAAUACGGUGUCACCCAUGUUCUUCGUUUGCCCAGCAGUUCGAAGUGCGGUGUUAGCAGUAUCUUGCUCAGUGUGUUUGUGCUCGUAGUGUACCUACUCAUAGAGACAAGGCAGAGAUCAAGUGCAUGGGCCCUGUUGGUGGAAAACACCAACAGAACCAAAAGUGUAUUUGUUCUUCUCUAACCUUAAGCAUAGUGAGCAAGACAAAGUUGAUGGAUGAUAAGUUCAUGAGUGUAGCACUUAUAACAUUUGUCAGAUCAGAUCGCUCAACCUUAUGGAAAGAUAAUCUAUUAUGUAUAUGUCUUUUUCUUUAUAUCUCUCAAUGAUUGAAUGUGUAACAUUUUAGCUCAUAUGAUUAGGAGUGUGGGAUCAUGGAGGUAGUACUAAGAACAAGGAUUAAAGGACUAAACAUGUUUAAUCAGUUGGGUUGGUUAAUCUAGAGUUGUAAAUCAUACACGUUUGUCUCUUUAAUUUAUAUGAACGCCAGAACCAAGGAGAAGCUUAUAAAAGUGAUAGUCAAGUACCUUAGGAUGUUACCUUGCUUGAAAAGUGAUGGUACAGUAUCACCUUGUGGAAGAUUUCCUUUCUUAGCGGUUGUGCAUCGUGUUCGUGGCACCCUCCAUGGAUCAUCUCUCUAUGAUGAAUGAGCUAUGUCCUUCUUGUGCAAAUUGUUAAACUUCAUGUGUCACUCUCUUCGUCUCUGAUGUGAGUUUAUCUCAGGACUUCCCAAAUCGAUAUUGAAAGUUUUUCUGCAGGGGUUAGUCCGACAAAAUAUACCAAUAUCUACUCAAGCAGUUUUUUUUAGUUCAAUAACCAAACUAGACUCCAUGUCUAAUCAGAUUAAGGAAGGCUAUUUAACUUAAGCACCAUGCUUAAUUUAAAUGCCAAUGGAAGUAUGGCGAGUACUUCCAAACCAACACUUGCUAGUAAAUAGACAAAGGUAGCAUGACAAAAUUUAUAGAGAUUUACUCAAGUGGAGAUGAAGUAGUGUGAUUAGUAUUUAACAAAUUGAGCAUGUCUCAAAGGUAGGGACAACCAGCAUAGCAACAUGGCAAAGGAUGUUUUUAUGUAAAGUACUCCCCCAAGCUUGAAUUUUGCAAAAUUCAAGUUUGGAUGAAUUUAAUUCAAUGUUGUAUGAUGAUUGGUUGGACAUACCUUGUGCUUGUCAUUCAUCCGAUCUUCUUGCUCCAAUCCUAGAAAGGUUAGUGACAAGAAUACCCGAAGGAAUAUUUUUUUACAAUUAUCCUUAUAUGCUCAAUACACAAGGUAAUGUUGCAAAUAAUUAAAACCUCAUGUUACGAUCUGAUCAAUGCUUAUUUUAAGACACUAAGCUUGUCCUUGGGAAACCAUCAGUUUAUGUUGGCGAAGUGGUUUCCUCUCCGACGCCAACCUAUAUCUAGAUCAACUCAACGAGAUCUGCAAUAUUUAUUAUAGACAUAUGCAUCGACAACCGCCUUUUUAAAGUUUUUAUAAAUAGAAAGGAAGAGGGGGUUGGAGAUCUCAAGUGUGGUGAUGUCGGAGAGACCAAUAGAUUGGAAAGAUGUUGCAUAUGAGCAUGGAGUAAACAAAGUGGCUAUGAAAUAAAUUCCAUGCUCAUUAAUGUUAUCUUCGUCUCCAAUCUGAAUGUUCGGAGUUUCUCCUGGAUUGGCCUCACCUAUGUCCUCUUCUGUAGUUGGAUGAAUCUCAUCUUCAAAGGGAGUCAAGAACUCACCAUUUGAAAUUGAGCCAAAGUCAGAACCCAUUAAGGCUUCUUCCUUAUCCAUCCAUUUUACACAUUCUAGCCAUUUAGAACUUGUGAUCAAAAUAGGGGAGGUGUUAGAAUUUUCUAUAUGGCUUAGCUCUCCUUCUAUGGCAUUACUUGACAUGCCAUCCUUAUGGUCUUCAUGACUCCUAUGGUUUGGUCAUCUUGGUGAAUUGCUAGGAUCAUCAUGAGACUGAAAAGAAGAGGGAUAAGAGGGAUCUCUAAGGUCAAGGAUGGAUUUAGAACUUGUGAACAUGGAAGGGGAGUAGAUAGAAUUGUCUAUAUGGCUUAGCUCUCCUUCACUUGAUAUGUCAUCCUUGACUUCUUCAUGAUAGGAACCAGGACAUUCUCUAAGAGAAACAUUAUUGCAAGGAUUUGAAUUAUCCCUGCUUGAAGGUCUCUUAUAGAACCAGAAGUCUAAACCAUCAGCAUCUAACAGAUUUAAGGUCGGAAUUCCUUCCUCCCUUGGAGAAUUUUGGGGUAUUGAUGGUUUAGGAUUGAUAGCUAAAGUUUGGGAUUGAAGUGGUUCUGAUCUGGCUAUCGAAACUUCUUCUUCUUGUCUAGGAACUGGUUCUUUCUCUUUCUCAGGGAUAUAAAAGCUAGGAGACUUUCCGCUCAUUAAAUCAAUCAAAUUCCAAGCUUCACUAGCGGAUAGGUGGUGGAAAGAUCCUCCAGAGGCCGCAUGAAGGGUUUGCCUAUUUUUCCAACUAAGGCCCUCAAAAAAGUGAAUUAGAAGAACUUCUUCUGGAAUAGAAAGUUUUGGGCGAGUGAGAGUAAGGUUAAUAAAGUGGUCCCAUGAUUUGCCAAGAGAUUCUUCUUCCAGUUGUCUAAAAGAAAGAAUCUCACGCCGAAGUUCCACCACUUUGGAGAUUGGAAAAUAUUUAGAAAGAAAACUACUAUAUAACUCCUUCCAAUCUCCAUGAACACUCCCUACUUUGAGUUUAUACCAAUGUCUAGCUUUUCCCAUUAAAGAGAAUGGAAAGAGCUUCCAUUUAAGGGUCUCAUCGGACAUACCUUCUAUGCGAAGGAGGUCACAGACUCGAUAAAACUCUCUUAGGUGUGUGUAUGGGUUUUCCUCACCUUCUCCUGAGAAAGGUUGUUUUUGAAUAAAUUCUAUGUAUUCGGGGUCUAUCUCAAAACUAGAUGCUAUGAUAGGCUUUGAAGAUUUUGGUGGUUCGAGAUGUGUGCCCGUAGGUCUAUGAAAUUCAUAGAUAGACAUGUUUGAAUUCAUGAUAGACCAGAGAUCAAGGAUUAGAUAAGAAGAAAGAUUAGCAGAGAUGAGGCAAAGGAUAAAAGGAAUUUUUUUUUUCUUAUUUUUCUUUUAGAAAAUGAUUAAGCUAGUUCGUAGUCAACUCAGCAACCGUUUCCCCGGCAACGGUGCCAAAAAAUGCUUGUUGACACUUGGUAACACCACUUGAAUACUAGGCUGUCAUCCCCAGCAUGGCACUAGAGUGUACUAUGGUAUUUAUACGCACACAGAUAAUCCGCAAGCGCACGGAUACCGUUGAAGCUUUUACCCGGUUAAAGGUUUUAUCGUAUCCACAGGGAAACGGGAGAACUGAUCUACGCUCUAACUUAACCAAGAUAGAUAGAUAGGUGUAAAUAGGAAAGAUGAUAGAAUCGAAUAAGAACAAUAUUAAAGGUAAGAUAACAGUGAGUGAUAAUAUGGGAAUAGAGAAUAGAGCAAUUCUAGUAUAUGGGCGAUGGUAGGAGAAUAGAGAGGAUAACUAUGGUUUCUCUACUUCAAAGGGGUAUGUCUAUGUCUGGGACGAACCACGUGAUAAGAGUACACCACAAAGGAUGCUUAUCCAUAGGCCGAUAAACCCUACCCGUCCUGCUAACGAGAGGUGGACUACAGGGGACCAACGUAACUGUCACCUACGCGGCCUACCACACGAUCCAGCUAGUCAGGGGAUAUCCACAAGUAAUCUAGGUCUAAGCACCACGCUUACACCUAUACUACAACUCUAACCUAUAGGGUCCUAUAGAUUAGAAGUACUCAAAAGAGUUGUGAACCAGAACAUACAUGAUUAGUAAUUGCAUAAUGAAUUAGAAGUAGAUUACCAGAGUCAUCCCAUGAGCAAGCUUGAUUAGAGCUUGAUCAUGGCGAAGUACAACCGGAGGAAGAACCGACAGGCCGACCUCUCCUCUAAUCCUCCUUCGCUCUCCAUCUCGCUACUAUCUAGAUCUACUCUAGUUUAGAGAAGAGAGGAGAGCUCUCAUCUCUAAACCCUAGCUUUUGCUCUGUCUAUGAAUAAAGAAUAAUGAUCAAGGGGUGCCUCCUCCAGGGGCCAGGGGGUCUGGUUUUAUAGUCCCCUCAAGUGAACCUGGGCCGUCGGAUCAAACCGACAUUGAUUGAACGGUUAUUCUUGAUCCUUUAGGUCGGUGGAGCAUAAUCCGCGAGAUUGAGCGUGAUUGGCCGAAAAAGGUGGGCGGGCGCCCUAAGGACUUGGGCGGGCGCCCUGUCCCUGACUCCGUUCGGUCUCCGCUUCCUUCCCGUGGCUUCUGGAGUCUUCUAGAUGUAAGAUAAUUGCGCGGCACGUUGAUAUCUUUAUGUAAUCCCGACGUGUGGGCCUUUCUUCCUUAUUUCCUGAUAACCCCUUGCAGAAAUAGACAAACACCAAAACUCGUGGAAUUCUGUCAGAUAAAACCCUAAGUCUCGAUGUUGAUUUCAUUUGGAUCCUUUUCUUUGUUUAUUUGAUAGUUAAAUUUGAUACUUGAGGACCGUCAACAACGUGUGUUAGCAUUUUCACAAACAUUUUCUUCGAAGGAGUUAAGUUAGCUUACUAGGUUCUAAAUGCAUGCACAUGAAUAAUGACACCUAGUGGCACUUGAUAACCGCUUAGCCAAAGAAUUCCCCUCUUUAUAGUACGGCUAUCUAUCCUAAAUGUGAUCACACCCUCUAUGGUGUCUUGAUCACCAAAACCAAAACCUUAAGCAAUACCUUUGCCUUGAUCUCCAUAGGGUUUUGUUUUUCUCUUUCUUCUUUUCCAAGUUGAGCACUUGAUCAUCUUGUGGUCAUCACCAUCAUCACCAUGAUCAUCUCUUGCUCCAUCACUUGGCAUGUACCAACCUUAUUAAGUCUACACACUUAGUAUAAAGGUUAGUACUAGGGUUUCAUCAAUUAUCCAAUACCAAACUAGGGCUUUCACCAGCCCUCUUACAUUCCAGAACAAAAACCUCAUGGCUGUUUUUCCUUGGUCUCCCUCUCCCCUUAGGAGGGAUGAUUUUCUCAAUUUUUGCAUUCUUUUUCUCCAACUCAACCUCCCUGGUCGAGUUAUCAAUAAUGUCUAGAUUAUACUCACUUAACUCCUCUUCUCCUUGAGGAGCAGUUCUUUUUUAAUUUUUUCUAGGUAUUCUUUAUAGUUCGCCUCUGCUAGAGCAGCUCUAACUCUCUCCUCAGCUUUAAAGGUGUCAAUUUGAGUGUCUAAAUUAUCAAUUUCAAGAUCUAAUUCAGAGACAACAUUUUGAAUAUGUUCAUUGUCAAGUUCAUUCAGAACAAGAAAUUGAUUGGCUGAAGAAUUACCUUUGGUAGCCACAUCCUUAUCUUGUGCUCUCUGUAUAGCUUUUCCAUCAUAGUCCUUCCAUCUAUGGAAACCCUCGAGCUGACUCUGGUAGCUAUCACCACCUUACUUUUCUUCUGUUUCUUUGUCUUCUUCUUGCUUCCAGAAACCACCCAAGAUUGCUGAUUUUCUUCAGUAUCUCCUUCAUCCCCACUUGUCAGAAUGCCCAGAUCCAUUAAGGACUACUCCUGUGUAAGUCCCUCAAUGUCAGAUUCAGUAACUAAAUCGAUCACUGGCAGGCUUUUUGUGUGCUCCUGGAUAAUAUCACCAUUCAUUCCUUUGUUUUCACCCAAGACGGGCCAUUGUUUUUUCUCCAUCAGAUAUGGUCCUGAACUUCCAUGUACCAGCACCUUAUCAGCAGGUAUUGACAACACAUCCAAACUUUGAUGAACCUCCGGCUCUUGUUGAAGAAUUUCACAGUUUUCCUGUGUAGGUUGGGUCGGCUCUCUAUCUUCCUUGUGUGUGAUUGCAAGAUCUGCAUUGACAAUGCCAGCACCCUCUAGAUUUGUGUCAACUGCACUCUCCUUCAUCUUAGUCAAGGACUGGAAUCCAGAGUCAGGAUGAUAAGAUGCAAUUGGUUUCACCUCUAUUUUGUCAAUUUCUCCACAUAAAUUCCCUGCUUCCACUUCUGGGCCUCCCUGAUCAGCAAUCUUUGUUUCCCCUUCUAUAAUAUCUUGACUGUCACCAUGACUAUAAUCUGGAUCUUUAUCUAUCCUGCCAACUCUGUCAAACUUAUCAUCCUUCCUCUUGUUUUUGGGAUCUUCCCUAUCUCCAGGAUCUCUCUUACCCCUUUGAUCAUCAUACUUCCCUGGUCCAGAAGAACUUCCUCUGAAUAUAAGUUGUUUGUCUUCAAAGCCCUCAGCCACAAAUUUUAUCUCCCUCCCUUCUUUGUUGAAAAACACCUCUAUUACACAUCUGAUAGCAGCAGGCUCUCUGCAGUUAACCUUAACCCUGAUAGGCUCAUCCCUAAUCAAGCUGAGUUCAUCCACUAUCAGAGGUAGGCCCACCAGAGUAGCAAGACCUUUCACAGCAGACACUUCCCUAGCAAUGGUUGGAACAUUGUGGAUUUUGAUCCAGCAGGUCUUGAGAAGAGAUGUAGCUUUUGGGUCUUGUUUUGAUAUGGAAAUCUUGAUUUGUAAUUUAUGAAUUGGAAGCUCCAAGAAACCAAUCUUAGAGAAGGUUGCUAAAGUUCCUUUGUCUGGGAAUAUAGCCAUGAUUUCAUUUGGAAACAACUGCUUAACAUGGAAAUCCCACUUAUCAUUGACCACCAAUCUUAAAUCUUCAUUCAGUUUUUCCUCUGUAGCAAUCCCUGCUUUCACAGAAAUCAGCCCCACUGCCUGAGCAUUUUUAACUUGAUCUUCUGGCAAUUCCAUAGCAUAGAAACCUUGCCCUUGAUUUCCAAACCCAAAUAACUGAAGUUUCUUCUCUCCCACAGCAUUGCAUUCAGCUGCCAUAUGUCCUUUUUCCUUGCACUUGUAGCAAACUGGUAGAUUGUUACACUGACUGAUGGUGCCCAGUGCCCAAACAUCUGAAACAUUUAAUCUCAACUGGUUUACCUUCAGUAGAUCUCCCUUUGCUUUCAUUAUACCUUUUGUCAUCAGCAGGCUUCCAUGCAUGAGUUUUUGAUUCCUGCCCUGCUUUCCCUGACUGCUGACCUCUGUCCAUCUGGUAACUCCCCAUUCCUCCUCUACUCUCAUCCCUGUUAUAUCUUCCCCCAUGAGAAGGGCCUAAGGUAUCUCUGAAACCUUGAUUACCUCGCCCCCCAAAACCUCCCCUGCUAGAUUGACCCCCUCUCCCUUGGGGCUGAAAAGGCCUAAGUUCAGUGCCAUUACCUCGCUGAAGCUUGAACCGCAGAUCCUUUUCUUGUCGGACUUCCUCUUCCAGCAAAUCAUCCUCCUCCAUCCAAUCCUCUUGCCGUCUUUUCCACGAACGACCUUCAUCUCUAUACGCCAUGGUGUUUCCCUUUACCGCUGAUGCAAAAGAUUGCAGGAGUGGCGGCGGCGGAUCAACCCUCUUGACCUUGCGGGCUAUAUGUCCAAAGCGGCGGAUGUCUUCCCUAGAGGCUGUGUGCCCCACAUCCACAUCUAUGCUACCUUUAGGGAUCCAAGUCCACUUUGGGCCCAGUGGUCUCCAGGAAUGGGUAUGGAUAUCUAGAUAAGAAAAGCCCUUGUCCAACCCUGGAAUAGUAUCACUAAUGACAUAGUCUUCAACCUCCCACCCAUACUCUGUUUGAUCAUUCCUCAUGUUCUCUCACAAUUGGUGGCCUGAAAUUGCAUUCAUAGAUUUCAGAGCUAUCUCCACACGAUUACUCGCCUUCUCUAAUUCCUGGAAAUCCUCAAUCUGUUGAUCAGCUACAAACAACGUCUGUUUAAUUUCUUCAGCCCAUCUGUUGUUCUGCUUUUGAAUGUUCUUAAUCUCCCAAGCAGAUAUUGGGCCAUUUGUUCUUCUCCUACAGGCAAACUUGGGUGAAUUUAACUUUGGAUUUGAUUUAGAACUAGGAGCACUCUGGGGAAUCCUUUUCCCAUGAGAGUCCACUUUCUGAUUAAGAGAUGGCCAUUCCCUCAAUGCUAAGGAAGACUCCUUGCCCUCCUCAAGCAGCAAAUCAUUUGUAUCAAUAAGAGCCGAUCCCUCACCCUUCCGGAAUAUUUCCUUGACAUUAACAUCAUCUCGUUGGAUUGGUUGCCAGGGAUGAAAUUGAUUUGAAUUCCCCUGCCCAAAUCCCCUACUGAAAUUUGCGCCUUCACCCAAACAUUUUGUUCUUACAUGUCUAGCUGCAAUAAGAUUUGCUCCAUGCACAUGCUCAUCACACUUCCCGCAGAGGAACACCGCAUCAAUCUCGCAGUGAACGCUAGCAAUCGCACCACAUAGAGAACACCCUAAAUCCCCCCACGGAUCAGGACAUACCUCCGGGGCAGGCUUGCAUCGCAGAGUCGUUGCCGAGGUCUGAAUGUUUCCCCUCCUCGCCAAUGAAGUUGUCGUCACGCCCAGUUCUCUCUGCGCAGCGGUUCCUCGCUGCCCUGCGAGAUUGGAUUCCGCAGUACAGAUAAUUACUGGAGCGUUGAUCAAGGCAGCUGCUUGAAGUAGUAGCGUGAGUAGCGCUCAUGUAGCGCUAGUGCAUAUGCAUGUAGGUACCUAAUUAGCGUAGGUGCAUUUACUACUUUCCGGCAGUAGUGCUUGAUUAUUGGAGUUGAACGCUUGCAUGUACCUAUCCUAUACUACUACAGGCCUUUGGUCACUUGCCCAAAAUGAACAAUAAUCUCGGCCAAAACAGCGUCCGGGACAAAAACAUAUUUAGUCCCGGUUGGUGAUACCAACCGGGAAAAGUCCCCUGCCCAAUGGCUAUUGUGUCAGACAUCGGCAGAGGGGACUUUGAAAAGUCCCCGGUUGGUCUCACCAACCGGAACAAAAGCCUAGCCUUUAGUCCCGGUUGGUACCACCAACCGGGAUUAAAAGCUGUUGUCCCGGUCCGUCCCACCGGCCGGGACUAGUGUUGGAAUUUAGACCGGUUUUUAAAAGGAACCGGGACUAAAUGUCCCUCCCCAUAUUUGAACUCUUCUUCCCGGAGCCGAGCCCAUCGAUCUUCAUUCUUUUGCUGUGUUCUUCAUUUGGAGUUGCUUGUUCUUACUCUCAUCUCCGGCUAUUGAUUCAUUUCAUCGUUUCUACACCGUCAUUGACUUGUAAAGAGGUCACUAGCUUCAUCUUCUCAACAUUUAGAAGCGGUAUAUGUCAUUUCCUAGUGUAUGUAUAUUGUUUUUUAUUUUAUGGUUUUUUUAAGAGGUUAUUAGCUUCAUCGCCAUUUCAAAAGCGACGCGUUUUUUUAGAGAAAUAGUGGUAAUAUGUUUUUUUAUUUUAAUUAGUUUAGAAAAAAAUAAAAACAUAUAAUACUUUAAUUUGCAAUUUUUGACCGAUUUAGUUAGUUAAUUAUAACUAGUAUGCAUACCACAUUUCAUGAUUAUUUAGGAAAAUAGAGAAUUUUUGUGCUUUUUUAAUUUUGCUUGUUUAGAAAAAUUAGAAAUAGAGAAUUUUAGGUUUUUUGUUACUUUAAUUUCUCUAUUAAAAUGUAGAAACUUAUAAUACUUUAAUUUGCACUUUAUGACAUGGUUAAUUAGUUAAUUAUAACUAGUAUGCAUGCCACAUUUCAUGAUUAGUUAGAAAAUAGAGAACUUUUAUGUCUUUUUAAUUUUGUUGGUUUACAAAAACCAGAAAUAGAGAAUUUUAGGUUAUUUGUUACUUUAAUUUCUUUAUAAAAAAUUAGAAACUUAUAAUACUUUACAUUGCAAUGCAGACAAUGACACGUCAUUGGAUGUACAAUGUCGAUCGCCGCUCCAAAGAAUUCAUUGAUGGUGUGCAUUAUUUCUUAAGAGUGGCCGAGGAAAACAAGCUGGAUGGAUUCAUAUGUUGCCCAUGUGCCUUGUGUCAGAAUUUGAAGGAAUAUUCUAGCUCUAGAAAUAUCCACUCACAUUUGUUGAAGUCAGGUUUUAUGCCAAACUAUAUUUGUUGGACCAAGCAUGGAGAAAACAGGAUAAUGAUGGAAGAAGGUGAAGAAGAACAGUUGGAGCCUGACGACAUUAUUGCUCAAUACGGUGACUUCGGUGAUACAGCAAUGGGAGAAGCUGAAAAUGAGGCAGGUGCAGAAAGUGCACCUGUUGAAGAUGAUGCUCUUGGUGAUGUCAUUCGUGAUGCACAAAAAGAUUGCGAAAGUGAAAAAGAGAAGACAAAGUUUGACCACAUGUUAGAAGAUCACAAGAAAUUACUAUACCCAUCUGCCCAGGAUGGGCAAAAAAACUGGGUACAACACUAGAAUUGUUAAAAUGGAAGGCACAGAAUGGUGUAUCCGAUAAGGCAUUUGGGCAAUUACUGAAGAUCCAAAAAAAUGCUGCCGAAGCCUAAUGAACUGCCCACUACUACGUACGAAGCAAAACAGAUCGUCUGUCCUUUGGGAUUAGAAAUCAAGAAGAUACAUGCAUGUCCUAACGACUGCAUUCUAUACCGUGGCAAGGACUAUGAGAAUUUAGAUGAAUGCCCCGUAUGUAAAGCAUGACGGUAUAAGAUCAGGCGAGAUGACCCUGGCGAUGUUGAGGGGGAAGAACGUCCCAGAAAAAAUCCCUGCAAAGGUUAUGUGGUAUGCUCCUAUAAUACCACGUCUGAAACGUCUUUUUAGAAAUAAGGACCAUGCAAAAUUGUUGCGGUGGCACAAAGAAGACCGUAAAGUAGACAACAUGUUGAGACAUCCUGCUGAUGGGUCCCAGUGGAGAGCAAUAGACAGGGAAUUUCCAGAGUUUGCAAAAGACGCAAGAAACUUAAGGUUCGCUUUAAGUACGGACGGUAUGAAUCCUUUUGGUGAGCAAAGCAGUAGUCAUAGCACUUGGCCUGUUACACUAUGUAUCUACAACCUUCCUCCAUGGUUAUGCAUGAAGCGAAAGUUCAUUAUGAUGCCGGUGCUCAUCUAAGGCCCGAAGCAACCGGGCAAUGACAUUGAUGUCUAUCUAAGGCCAUUAAUUGAAGAACUCCUUCUUUUAUGGAGUGAAACAGGUGUUCGUGUGUGGGAUGAGUACAAACAGGAACACUUCGACCUACGAGCACUGUUGUUUGUGACAAUCAAUGAUUGGCCUGCUCUAAGUAAUCUUUCAGGGCAGACAAACAAGGGAUAUAAUGCAUGCACACAUUGUUUUGAUGACCUUGAUAGUAUAUAUUUGAAAAAAUGCAGAAAGGUCGUGUACCUUGGGUAUCGUCGAUUUCUUUCUAUGAAUCACCCAGUUAGAAAGAAAGGAAAGCAUUUUAAAGGUAAGGCAGACCACCGAUGCAAGCCUCGCAACAGAACUGGAGAAGAUGUAUUUGAGAUGGUUAAGGAUGUGAAAGUUGUUUUAGGUAAGGGACAAGGCAGCCAACCAGUUCCAAAAGAUGCAGCGGGUCAUGCACCCAUGUGGAAGAAGAAGUCAAUAUUUUGGAAGCUACCCUAUUGGCAAGUCCUAGAGGUCCGGAAUGCGAUCGACGUCAUGCACCUAACAAAGAAUAUUUGUGUGAACCUACUAGGAUUCAUGGGUGUAUAUGGUAAGCCUAAGGAUUCACUUGAAGCAUGACAAGACUUGCAACACAUGGAAGAACGAGACAACUUGCAUCCAGAGAAGACAGAUGAUGGACGCCAAUAUUUAAGACCUGCUAGCUUGUUGGCAUUUCUUAACGUCAUCACUAAGAACAGGGUUUAAUCCGUCCUCAGCAACGAUGUCAGAAAUGUCAUGAUAACACUUACUAAUGCAAUCACCAAGAUUAGAGUAUAAAUCUAUCCGAAGCAACGGUGCCAGAAAUGCUUGUUAGCGUUUCUUAGCGUCGCUACCUAGAAAAGGGUUCUGCUCUACUCAUGAUAAUGACAUUGGCAGUGUUAUAUUGGCAGAUCCGUAGCAUCACCACCUUGAAUAGGAAGCUAGAUCUACCUUCCCGAUAACGGCGCCUUAUUACCGUUAGGGUAGGGUUCCAGUUCUUAAUCAUGGUAGUGGAACUAGGAUUGCCAUGUUGGUAUUCCUUAACAAGUCACUAGCUCAGCGCAUGUCUAGCAACAGUGUUAAGUAUAUACCGAGGUGAUAGUUCCUUAGGUUUGGAGUUUAAGUACCGCAAGCGGAUGGGAAUUAUCGUGUAGCAUUUCAACCCGGGGAUUUACCGAGUGUAGUAUUUAUAGGUUCGCUCUAAGGAAGGCUUAAUAUGUUAAGGAUUCUAAGAUAAGCAUAGAUCAAAGUAAUUAUGAUAGCAAUAAUGGAAUCAAAGGUCAUAGCAGGUGAUAAACAUUUAUAUGUAGAAAAGUGAUCCAUCACAAUCUAGGCACGGCAUAUGGGCUAAGGAAUAAAAAGAGACUAAAAGAAUGAAUUGAAUCAAAGAAUAAACAAACAACCUAUUAGAGCAGGUGUGGUCCUAGAUACAGAUCAUGUCAUAGAACAAGUUAAUCAUGUAAUUAUACUACUUAGAUCUAGUCCUGUGUUUAGAUGGUUUGGGAGGUUACGCGAGUACUGGUCUGCCAGCAACCUCCGCAACUAUUUAGACUCCUACACCCUAGCCGAACGUGGGGGAAUGCCAAGGACGGAUAGGGCUGUCACCACCUGCCGCCAUCCCCUCAACCGUGGACUAGGACACUGCAUUUACCCGGCCUUUACACCCAAGCACCAUGCUUACAUGCAAAGAACCUACUCGGACUCCCCCGGGUCCUCGACCCUACGGAUCGACAGGUAAGAAGCCCGAGCCUACUCAAAAGAGCAUGAUAAACCCCCAUCUUCACACAAAGCUAUUUCUAGGAAAUUAAUUAACAUGAAGCAAUUAGACUAAAGUCCUAAGUGAGAAUAAUACAACAUACACUUAGCACUAGUUCAUAUAAUACACUACUAGCCCUUGGGUAGUAUUAUACUAUAAGAACUAUAUACUAAAAUGUAUGUCAUAUCAUUUUCACUAGAACUAUAUUCUAGUUCAUAUGCUGGCAUCAUAAAACAGGGCCUAUGAUCUAUGUCAUAUACCAUAGCAUAAGAACUAUACUCUAGUUCAUAUGAAGAACUAUAUCGGACAUGAUAAGGCAUGGACUUGGAGUAAAGAUAUUCUUUAUUCAUACCCAAGUUUCUCUCCAAGGAGCCAAGCCCUCCUUGAUAGCUCACCCAACUCUCUCUCUAAAAGCUAAAAGGAAACACUAAGAAGAGGUAGUGCCCAAGUGCCUUGAAGGUGGAGUGUUGAUUGUGAAUGUGAUGAGAUGAAUGAAGCCUCCCUCUCCCCCUCCUUAAAUAGGUGGGGAAGGUCGGUUCCCCAGGGUGUAAACUGCAAUUUGCACGCGGGGACUGCGGGGAUAGGAUCAGCACCGCCUCUGCGAAAGGCGGUGCCGAGAUGGGCUCGGUCAGGGUCGGCCGACCCUAGGGGGCGCCCGCCCCCUGGUGGGCCCCGCUGGCCCCGGCCCGAAGCCCGUUGCCUUCCUCUCGGGCCCCUGAGUCCAGAUCCACCUACAAAUUGAUGCACUUCUAUAUUGAGCUUUUGGUACUUGUUAUUGCGCAUUUUUACGGNNNNNNNNNNNNNNNNNNNNNNNNNNNNNNNNNNNNNNNNNNNNNNNNNNNNNNNNNNNNNNNNNNNNNNNNNNNNNNNNNNNNNNNNNNNNNNNNNNNNNNNNNNNNNNNNNNNNNNNNNNNNNNNNNNNNNNNNNNNNNNNNNNNNNNNNNNNNNNNNNNNNNNNNNNNNNNNNNNNNNNNNNNNNNNNNNNNNNNNNNNNNNNNNNNNNNNNNNNNNNNNNNNNNNNNNNNNNNNNNNNNNNNNNNNNNNNNNNNNNNNNNNNNNNNNNNNNNNNNNNNNNNNNNNNNNNNNNNNNNNNNNNNNNNNNNNNNNNNNNNNNNNNNNNNNNNNNNNNNNNNNNNNNNNNNNNNNNNNNNNNNNNNNNNNNNNNNNNNNNNNNNNNNNNNNNNNNNNNNNNNNNNNNNNNNNNNNNNNNNNNNNNNNNNNNNNNNNNNNNNNNNNNNNNNNNNNNNNNNNNNNNNNNNNNNNNNNNNNNNNNNNNNNNNNNNNNNNNNNNNNNNNNNNNNNNNNNNNNNNNNNNNNNNNNNNNNNNNNNNNNNNNNNNNNNNNNNNNNNNNNNNNNNNNNNNNNNNNNNNNNNNNNNNNNNNNNNNNNNNNNNNNNNNNNNNNNNNNNNNNNNNNNNNNNNNNNNNNNNNNNNNNNNNNNNNGGAGUUCUAAAGAAAUAUGUUCACCAACGUGCUCGGCCAGAAGGAAGCAUCGCCGAGGGCUAUGGGACAGAGGAGUUCAUUGAGUUCUGUGUUGAAUUCAUUCCUGAACUUGACCCAAUUGGUGUUCUUGAAUCGCACCACGAGGGGAGACUGAGUGGAAAGGGAACACUAGGAAAGAAAACAUACAUCGGUACGGGGGACGAUUCUUAAAAAAACACUACACAGUUCUUCAAAACUCAUCCGUGGUGGAGCCGUAUGUCACGAAACACAAGGACUUCCUACGAUCGCAAUUCCCAGAAAAGAAUAAAGCUUGGUUUAUGCGUCAGCACAUAGACACUUUCAGUGAUUGGUUACAAAAAGAAUGUCAGGGUAAUGACCAGAUUGAUGAGCAACUAUAUUUAUUGGCUAGGCAACCAUCAUGGCACAUCCUCACGUACAAAGGGUACGAGAUAAAUGGAAAUACAUUUUACACCCUAGGCCAAGAUAAAAGAAGCACGAACCAAAAUAGUGGAGUUCGCGUAGACGUCAUAGACCCGAAUGGAAACAGACAAACAUAUUAUGGCCGUAUAGAGGAGAUUUGGGAACUAGACUACGCACCUAAUUUUAAAAUCCCUUUGUUCCGGUGCCAAUGGGUGAAGGUUACCGGAGGCGGGGUGACAGUUGACAAAGACUAUGGAAUGACAACAGUGGACCUCAACAAUGUUGGUUACAAAGAUGAACCAUUUGUCCUUGCUGCUGAUGUGAAUCAGGUGUUCUAUGUGAAAGACAUGUCUACAAAACAGAAGAGAGGAAAAAAUGACAACAAAUCAACAAACGAGCCAAAACGCCAUAUAGUUCUCUCAGGGAAAAGAAACAUUGUGGGAAUUGAGGACAAGUCAGAUAUUUCAGAAGAUUAUGAAAGGGAUGACCGAAUCACGCCUUUCAAUGUGACCAAACAUCCGAGCAUACUGAUAAAUGCUGAGGACACUCCAUGGUUACGUCAAGAUCAUGACCAAGGAACAUACGUCAAAGAGAAGAUCACUAUUGUGCCCGCCUAAUAAAUAGAUUGCAAUAUAGUAUGUGUAUGUGAUAAUUGUAACUUAAGAUGUUUAUAUUAGUUUUUCUUAUUUUAUAUCAUUUCAAAUAAUGAAAUGACAUUUAAGUUUGCUAUUAUAAGAGAUGUGUCAAUUAUUUGUCAAAUGCAAAAUAGUCAAACUUGGUCAAAUGACAAACUAAAUUACUUAAAAUGAAAAAAUUUUGAAUACCAAGUUGUUAGAUAUCGUCAAGAUUGAAACUUUUUAUAUAGAUAAUUUUUUCAUUUGAGAAAGUUUAAGUUCACAAUACCCACCAAUUCUUGAAUCUCACACAAACUAUAUGAAACUACAUGUGUCAAUUGUGGAUUUUGAACUACACCUUCGCAACACUUUGUCAAAUGCAAAAAUGGUCUAUAUAUUAAAUGUAGAUUUUGAUGAGUGGAACAAUAUUGGUAUUCAUGACUUUUCCGUUUGAGACCAUCUAGGGUUACAAAAACCAAUGCGUGGCUAUGAAUUCUAUCAAAAUUCAAAAUUAAGUGGUUCAAACUUUUCCAAAAGAAAAGUUGACCAUUAGACAAAAUGUAGAACUUGAUGAGUGCAACAAACUUUGUAUUCAUUACUUUUCCAUUUGGGACCAUAUAGGGUUCGAUCAAAGUGUGUGUUUCUAAAAACCAAUGCUUUGACUUUGGUAAAACUUGGUCAAAUGACCCAUUUGGUGACUUGAAAUGACAAAAAUUUGAAUACAAAGUUGUUAGAGAUAAUCCGAUGUAAUGGUGAAUAUUGUUGUAAGCAUAAAUAAAUAAGAAAUAGAGAAAAAUUUUAAAAAAAUAAUCCGAUGUAAUGGUGAAUAUCACGUAUAUCAUGAUUUUGGAGAUAAAUGAUGAUAAAUAAACAAAAUUUACGUUUAAAUAUUGCACAAACAAAUUUUUCUAUCAAAAACAUCUGCUUUAAGAUAUUAAAAUUAAAUAAUACAUUUUUGCAUUAACAAAAUACUAAUUAUUUUUUAUAUUUAAGUUUGUUAAUAUAAAUGAUGUAAAGAUUUUAUGUUUCCAAAUUUAUUAUGUAACCAAUUAGACAAAAAGAAAUAGAACUAUUAUUUUUUAACAAAUUAAUACCUAUUAUUCUAUUUACUAUGCAAUUAACAACAUUAAUCUAAUUAUUGUAUGCAUAAAUAAAUAAGAAACUGAAAAAAUAAAUUUAGUCCCGGUUGCUGGCUAGAACCGGGACUAAAGGUCCCCGCGUGUAUUUAACCGAACAGUCGUCUUCCUCCUCGAUCCAGUUCGACGUUGCCCUAAUUUCUUCCUCCGCCACGCGCCGCUCCCCGCCGUCGCCUCGCGCCGCUCCCCGCCGUCGCCCCCUUGUCCCCGGCCGAGUGCCGCCGUCGUCUCGAGCCAAGGAGCGCCGCCGCCGCCAACGCCGCCACCCCUCGUCCCCGGCCCGAGCCGAGGACCGUACGGAGCGACGCGUCGAGCUCCGACGACCCUUCUUCUUCUACGCGCGGCACCGACGACCCUCGUCCUCGGCCCGAGCUGAGGACGUACGGAGCGCCGCCACCGACCCUCGUCCCUGCAGGCCGAGCCAAGGACCCUCCUUGCGCCGCGCCGAGCUUCGAUCUUCUCCGGCCAGCACCGAGCUUGCAGUUAUUGUCGUUCCUGGCCAUGUUUACUUGCAAAAAAUUAUACAAAAUGUGAAAAGUGUGAUUAAUUAUUUUUUACCUAUAUACAAAUUGUUUGUUUUUUCUACAUGCAAAAUGUGAACAGUGUGGCAUGUUUAUUUUUUCGUCUCGCGAAUUACAUAUAUACAAACUGUGUAAUUAGUUAUUUUUUACCUAUAUUUAAUAUUUUAUGCAUGUGCCGCAAGAUUCGAUGUGAUAUGGAAUUUGAAAUACUUUCCAAAAUAUUUGGGGAAGUAAACAAGGCCUUAGUCCCAAUUUAAAGGCACAAUCGUCGCACUUUCGUUUGUUUGAUAAAUAUUGUUAAGCGAAGUUACAAAUUGUUAUGAUAAAGGCACAAAUCAUAUAAUUGCUUGAGAAAUAAAUACUAUUAACUUAGUUAAAUUUGAAUUAGUUUCAUUAACACAAAUCACAUAAUUGAAUUCUUUUAUGGACGAACAGAGUAUAUUAUAUUAUAUUAUAUAUUUAUAAUAUAUUUCCAAAAUUGAUAUACAUAAAGUCUUUUGCCAAAAAUAAUAUAUUCCCAAAAUUGAUAUACAUAAAGUCUUUUGCCAAAAAUAAUAAAAUGGACGAAGAGAUGUAUAAUUUCUAUUUUAUAAUAUAUCUUUUGUAUUAUAUAAUUUAUAUAAUAUAAUUUAUCCUAUGUUGUAAUUAGUUAGUAGGGAUAGAUAUUGAGAUGAGAUGUAUAAUUUCUAUUUUAUAAUUUAUCUUUUGUAUUAUGUAAUUUAUAUGAUAUAAUUUAUCCUAUGUUGUAAUUAGUUAGUAGGGAUAGAUAUUGAGAUGAGAUGUAUAAUUUCUAUUUUAUAAUUUAUCUUUUGUAUUAUGUAAUUUAUAUGAUAUAAUUUAUCCUGUGUUGUAAUUAGUUAGUAGGGAUAGAUAUUGAGAUGAGAUGUAUAAUUUCUAUUUUAUAAUUUAUCUUUUGUAUUAUAUAAUUUAUAUGAUAUAAUUUAUCCUAUGUUGUAAUUAGUUAGUAGGGAUAGAUAUUGAGAUGACAUGUAUAAUUUCUAUUUUAUAAUUUAUCUUAGUUGUUGUAUCGAAUAUUGUCUAAGUUUAGCCUAUCCAAAUAAUUUUUGUUGAUUGCAUCAAAAACUUUUAACACUUGAUUAAAUUUGCAGAAAUGGCCAAUCCGAAUGACAACAUGGAUGAUGCAAUGAUGGACCUAAUCAACAGCGGUGCCAAUCCAGAUCCCCAAGGCGAAGAUGAUGGGAGUCAGUACUUUGCUGAUUAUGAAGAACUUGUGGGAGACAAUCCUGAUCAGGUCUAUCUACAAUCCAGUAUAUAUGUAUAUAUAUGAAAUUAAAAUAAAUGACAUUUAUACUAAUAUAUUUAUACUUGUUUGUGUAGCCCUCUAAAUCGGUGACAACUUCUGAGAAGAGUAGAAAAGUGCGCGGCCCGAAGAAGCCGUUGGAGGGUCGGUACAUUCUGUCGGAAUUCGAUGAGGGUACAGGACAAGUACUUGGAGCUAAUUCUAAAAAAAUUGUUGCGCACUGUGGCUACCUUGUAAGGGACAGGCUCCCGGUCAGUGCUCGUGAAUGGAGGCAAUGGAAAGAUAACCCUAAUAUUAGUUUUGUCUCAGAUCGUGACAAGGAUUUGAUUUGGCAAGAUAUCCUUCAACAUUUCACGCUCGAUACACAGGAUGAAGCUUUGAAGGAGAAGCUUAAAAUCUGGGCUAUGCAGAAGAUGGUCAAACAAUUUCAGGCUUGGAAGAAGACAUUAUAUAAGACUUUUGUUGCACAAGGCCGGACACCAGAUUUCACCAACAAGGCCUACGUCAAGUUGAGGCCUUUUUGGAUGAGUUCGUAGAGUUUAAGAACUCAAAAGAGGGUCAGGCAUGGAUGAUCAAGAAUCAAGAAAAUGCUAAACAAAAGCAAUACCACCAUCACUUGGGUUCAGGUGGCUACAGAACUGCUAUUCCUAAGUGGCAAAAGCUGGAACAGGAGAUUCUUGGGAGAGGGAUCGAACCAGAAUCAAUGCACUGGCCCGAGCGCGCCAAGUAUUGGUUCUUUAGUCAUGGGGGAACCAUAGACCUAGAGACCGGAAAGAUAGUGUACGGCGAAAAGCUCGAGAGAGUAGGACAGAGAAUGGCCUAUGCUAGAGGAUUAGUUGAAAGCGGCACCUGGCAGCCAAAUAGAGAAAAGUAUGAGCUGACAUACGCCCUAGAGACUGCUGAACACGGUGGGCGAACCAGAGGCUAUGGGGAGGUAUCAUGGGAGCAUGGCUUCCUAAAGAUAGACCGACUUAUAGAAGCCGCCAACGAAAGAAGGAAGAGGAAGCAGAGCGGUUGCAUAGGUUGGAGGCAAUGGUGAUUGAGUCACGCGAAGCGGCUCGUGAAGCGAUAGCACGAGAGAAAGUGCUUGAAGAGAGAAUGAACGAGGAGAUCAAAAGACAAGUGCAGAUUGCAGUAAGUUCUAUACAAGGGCAAACUGCAUCAGAGCCUAGAGUCAACAUUAGCCCUCCCCGAUCAGUUGAAAAGCAGUUGCGCUUCCACAGAGAUGCCAACUAUUCAAGACGACGUGGGGCUACACUUUCCGGUGGAUGACAUCACUGAACCUCUGACAACAUGUGAGCUGCACAUUCCACGGGGGACUGCCACAGUCAUGGUUGUCGCUGUUGUAACUCCUGUCGACCCUACGAGGACACCAAGAAUCUAUGGGGCGAUAGUUCCACCUAGAUAUGCUAGUGUCUCAGUGGAUAGAGUUGUCAAAGGCUUCAGUAAUGUGCAGCUUGAGAUAGAAGGAGGUGAUGGAGAGAAGACUCUAGGAGAAGCAGAUAAGACUUUUAUUUGUUGGCGCAAGCGCUACAUCAUUAUUCCUGGGGCAUCACCUAGUAGUCUACCACCACCUCCUCGUCAUGAAUCUAAUCCUAGGUGCGGAUGAAAAUUGACUAUACAUUUGUUCACUAAAUUUAUUUUGCAUUCUCUUAGCGGUUUACUCAUAUACCUUUUGUUUUCACAGGUGGUCACCGACAUAUCAUAGUGCUGCGGGUGAUGACGAGGGAGUGCAAGACACGGCUGCAUCGCCUCGGUCUCCAACGCCACCACCUAGGGCUCCAACACCGCCACCUCGGGCUCCAACACCGCCACCUCAGGCUCCAACACCGCCACCUAGGGAUCCAACGCCACCUAGGGCUCCAACGCCGCCUCCUCGGGCUCCAACACCGCCACCGGCCGCCCCAUCGCCUCCAUACGUGGCUCCAGCACGAAAUAAGAGGCCGGCCACACAAUCAAAUGUGUCGGCCACCCCGCUGCCAAAAAAGAAAGCCUCCGAAAAGAAACAAGCUAUCAUUCCUAAGAAGCUGUCCUAUGAGAAGACAGAUGCAGAACUAAAUGCUUCAGUAAAAUCAGACGUGGAUAGUUUCUUCAAGAAACUUAAGACUGAAAGAGAAGCCAAGCGAAACCAUGAGAAGCCGUACCUCUUACUACGGCCAGAAGAUCUACGACAAAGGGUUGAGGCUGAACAAAAAAAGGGGCGUGAAUCUUAGAAAGAAUCAUCAUCUUUAUCACACUAUGAUCGCACUUUAAGAAAAUCCAUAGAAGAAGAGAAGAAGAAAGAGAAAAGAGCACGCAAGGGUGUAGCACAGCUCGGGGAACAAUCAAAGCAAUCAGUGCCCCCGCUAGUCAUUGGAAAUGAAUAUGGUUCAAACAUUGACGUGCUAGACCAGCAGAUUUAAAAUUUGAAGAGCUUGAAAUUUUUUUUGCGGAAACUGGUCUUAGCUUAGCCCAAAUGAUAGCGGGGGCACCAAUUGAAAGUGCUCCACAAAUUGAUCAUUGGCAGAAGGAAUAUACAUAUGGCAAGAGUUUAUACAACCCUGCGGCCCUCAGCAAGCUUGGAACGCAAAUGUACAUGCUAAACAAAUGGUACAUGGAAGCGUGUGUCAGAAAAGCAGAUGACUAUAUUUGUGUCCGAAUUAGAAACUAUCAUUACUUCCGUGGUGAUGGUAUUAUUUAUGUUCAAUUUAAUGAGCUACACCAACUAUGCCACAUGGACGCUCUUGACAAAUCUAUAAUGAGUUGCUUCUGUCUGUAAGUGAUUCUUCCUUUCAAUAAUGUCUCUGUAACUUAUCAUGUAUAUAUAUAACUAAUUAUAGAAACCCGCUAUACAUAUGCAGAAACAUGAUGAGGGACCUCAGAGUUAGAAAUGACAAGGAGAUUGGAUUUGUGGAUCCAAAUGUUGUAUUCAAAGACCACAAGACCCUGUAUGUUUUAUGGAGAACUCAAACGGAGAGAAAUCUACGGAGGUUCUUGAUCAACCAAAAAGAUAAAAGAUAUAUACUCUUUCCCUACAACUUUAAGUAAGUGUCGUUAUCGUGUGUACAUUCUAUUUAACUAAUUAAUCAGAUAAAUAUGAAGAUAUAUACCAAUUUUGCCUACAUAUGCACACAAAUGCUGCUUUCAUUGGAUACUAAUUGUCAUUGAUCUCUGGCAAUGUCAAUUGGUAAUCUAUGACUCAUUGAGAAAACCACAGGACGAUUACCAAGAAAUAAUAGAUAUUAUCCAAGGGUAACUCCGAUCUCUAUAUAUUAAAUUCUGCUCUUUUAACUUGGUAAUGAAUAAUUAAUAAUGAUCGUUUUAUUGCUAGGGUUUGGGCUGGGUUCGUGCAGAAACACCGUCCAGAGUUGAAUGCAGCACUUUCAAAGCCCAUCUUACUUCAGUGGGUUCUACGGCAGACACCGAGCAACAAUUUGUGUGGCUACUAUGUGUGCGAGUUUAUGACGGUGUAUGCCAAAAGAACUAAUCUUGAGCACCUAAAAGUAUGUAACAUGUAUAUAUAAUAAGUUUAUUUCAUUUAUUUGAUGCUAUUUAAUAAAUCCUAUUCAUACCUUUAACUUUUUUCUUUAAUGUCUAUUAAAGGAGAUGUGGCUGAAGGAGCAGGUGUUGGAUGCGGUGCGCCUAAAAGGAAUUCAGGAGACAAUCGCAGGAUUUCUUAACGACCAAGUCCUGGAUCCCGGCGGCGAGUGCUACUUCAACCAUCAGGAGCAGAUGAAACCAAAUAACGAUGAUCAUUUGUACGAUGCUUGAGUGGCGGAGAUAAAUUGUGUUGUAAAUACUUUGUCCAUGAAGCAUAUGUGUAAAUAUUAUAUUAUGGACCUAUAGAUACAUAUUAUUUAUAUAUAUAGUGUUUUAUAGUAUAUUUAUAUGUAAUCCUUUAAAUUAUAUAAAUUAUAGGUGCGCGUUCUAUAAACUACCAGCAAACAAUACGCAUUCGAAAAUAACAAUAACAUAAUUGUAAACCCUAAAUGGAAAACCAAAUGAAAAAAAAAAUCUUUAGUUCCGGUUGGUAGCAACAACCGGGACUAAAAGUGGAGGCCAGGUGGCACACCCUGGCGCACCUUUUAGUCCCGGUUGCUGUUACCAACUGGGACUGAAGGUGGACCUUUAGUCCCGGUCCUCGGAACCGGGACUAAAGGUGGGACAUUUAGUCCCGAAACCUUAGCCCCGGUUCCGUAGCCACGACUAAAGGCGCUUACGGCCCGGGGCUAAAGCCCUUCCCUGUACUAUGCACCCAUUCAGAUUCAAGAUUUAGACGUGAGUCACCAAAACAUCGCCGGCUGGAGGCUCCUCAGUUCCGUCGACCAUGUUCAUCCAUGGCGGCGAGGAAGAGCAGUCAACAGAGUCGGUGCAGGUUGGGUUGUCAGCGUCGCCGGUGACGCCGAUGGCGACGCCGAUGCCAAAUGGGACAGCAACCAGCAACUCUUCACCUUCUCCAUGCCUUCCACCAGCAAGAUUAGUUACGGUGACUCCUCUUCAAUCAGUAUCGCCGGCAACCAUGGUGACUCCUGAUAAGGAUAAGACGUACAUGCAUGUGAGUCUAUUUACUUGCUUUGUAAAUAUUUCAUAGUGUAGAUUAUCGUAAAUAUUAAUAGUGAAAAUUAUCAUACAUGUUUGGUGGUGUAAAUUCUCGUAAAAAUUAUAAUGAGUACAAAAUAUUUCGUAUCCCAUCAUCUCGUAAAUAUUAUUAGUGAAAAUUGUCGUAAAUGUUUGUUAGUGUGCCUUUUCUGGUAAAUUUUUCUUGAUAUGAACUGCUAUAAUUAUAGUGGAUAAAUUUUAAUUAUUGUGGUAUAUACCAUGUGUACAUAAGAAUCUAUCGACAGUGUUGGGGUAAAUUGCACUGUAUGCCCAGAAGAUGUUCAGUGUGAUGAUAAAGUUGUCGUUUGUGAAAUAGGAACCCUUGUUACCUGAAGCAAUAGUGCCAAAUGAUGAGUUGCGUUUCAACAGUAUUGAUAAAGCUAAGGAGUUUUACCACAAAUAUGCGAGCAAAGCAGGCUUUGACGUUCGCAUAACCAAGAGCCAUAAAACUGUUAUUGAGUUGAACUGCAAUAAACAAGGGCACUGGGAUUUUACAAGCCCGGGGAGGAGAGAGUCAAAGAGAAAAUGUCAAUGAGGUGUGGAUGCAAGGCAUUUGUGAAGGUUAAAUGGAACAUUAAGAAGGGGUAUUGGUUUUUUGAGAGGAUACGGUUGGAACAUUCUCACCCACUGCAUCCGUCGCCAAGCUUAACACAGUACAUGAAGGCGCACAAGGAUAAGGAGCCAACGAUCAUGGGGAUUGUUGAUCAGAUGCAGAGGUGUGAUGUGCCCCUGAAUGCAACCGUUAAUGUGUUGUCAGACAUAUAUGGUGGUCGGCAAAACUUCACAUUCACAGAGAUGGACUUGAAGAAUAGGUAAUGUAGAUCGUACAGUACUUUCACAGCAUCCGAGCUAAUUUGGUAAUUUAUCUGUUUCAUUGGAUUUGUUUGAUGUUUUGAUUUCAGGAAAGCUGCAGCUGCCAAAGCGGAGAGGGAAAACGAUAUUCCCAAGCUGCUAGAGUUUUUUUCAGAGAUGAAGGCUCAGAAUGAAUAUUUCUACUAUGAGGUGCAGGUGGACAACGAAAAUAUUUUGGAGAUGUUGUCACAUUUGACACCACAUACAAAACUAAUAUGUACAACAUGCCUGUGGCUAUGUUUGUCGGUUCAAACCAUCAACUACAAAAUGUUGUAUUUGGGCAAGCACUUUUGCAGGAUGAGCAAGCUGACACGUUUGAGUGGUUGUUUAAAUCAUUCCAAAAGUGCAUGUCUGGGAGUCGUGAUCCUAGAUGUAUACUCACAGGUAAGCAAACAAAAUUUUCGUAAUUAUUUCUCUACGAUAGGAUACAAAAUUAUAGUAAAUGUUUGUUAGUGCAAAUUCUUGUAAAUGUUUGAUUGGUUCCAAAUUAUUGUAGAAUUUUCUUAGUGCAGAUUAUCGUAAAUAUGUCUUGGUGCUAAUUCUCAUAAAUACUUCUUAGUGCGAAUUCUCGUAAUUAUGUGAAAAAAAUGUCAUGUCUUCUCGUAAAUUCUCAUUACUAUUUCUCAUAAAUGUAUGUUGUGAUUUUUGACUUCAUGUUUUGUGGUACAGAUCAGGAUCCGGCCAUGGCUUUAGCCAUCAGUAGGGUGUUUAAAAAAACUCAACACAGGUUGUGUCGUUGGCACAUGCUGAACAAGUAUCGAAACGAGCUGAAGAAACUAUACAAGUUGCAUGAGGGUCUCAAGAUAAAAUUGCUCACUGUGAUCAAUCACCCGCUUACACCUGUAGAGUUUGAGGCUGCAUGGAAUGCUUUGGUGGACGAAUAUGGUAUACGUGAAGAUGAAGCUAUUCAGGGUCUUUGGCAGAAUAGGCACUUAUGGGUUGCGGCUUAUCUGAAACCCUUGUAUUGUGGGAGGAUGACUUCUACACAAAGAAGUGAAAGUGUGAAUAAGAUGCUCAAGAGUAGGCAUUUCACAGGGCACAUGACAUGCAUAAGCAAAUUUGCACGCAAGAUGCUUGAGUUCAUUCAGCACACAAAUCACACGGCUGCAGGAGAAACACAUUGGUCACAGGUAAGAUCAUAAGCAGUGGUUAAAACUGGAUCAGUAUGAACUUCUAUAUGUAUAUAAAUAUUGUGUAAAUACAGUAAAUAUUUACCUGUUCACUAAAUAUUAUUUGGUGUGUUUGUAUAUGAAACAGGCUUAUAAUUUCCGUGUGACCUUGCAACGCUUUGAUGGCCAUUUGAGCAGGGUGUACACAAGGGCUGUGUUCAAAAAAUACAGAGAUACUUAUGUAUACAGUACCGCAUUUCGUAUUGAUCCUGACGCAGACAACAUUGAUAGUUUCCUGGUUACCCACACGAAUCAGUCUUGGCAAUAUGCAUGGUUUCAACAUUCUUUCAAAGUGCAGGCAAAUGUGAGAGAAGGUAAGUAGACAUGCGAGUGCAAGACAUGGGAGCAUACAGGUAAGAUGGUGGUUUAGUAAAGUAAGGCUAGUAUAUUUUCAUCAUUAUAAUGUUGUGGUAACCAUGUUUAUUAUAAGUAUAAAAUUGAUCAUUUCAGGGUUGUUCUGUGCUCAUCUUAUUAAAGCUUUCACACACCUGUACAGAGUAUAUAAAGAAGAGGUACACCAGAGAUCCUAGGAUGAUGGUAACUUGGGACAGGAAUGAUAUUAUGAAUUUGGGAGAAGACUGUGAAGAUGAACGGUAUAAUACUAAGAAGCUAGUAGAAGUUGCAAUGAUGGCGGUAAGGGCACUCCGCAAAACAAAAACUGGGGUUAAGAGAGGAUGUGAUGAUUUCUUGGCAUUAGCCGAGUGGGGUGAAUCCAUUGCUAGAGAUACUGGAGCAACAUUAAAUGGGGACACUGGAAAUGAUGGAGUUGCGGCCAAUAUAGAAAGAGAAGAACGUCAAGUUCCUACAUUUGGGGAAGGAGAGGAAACUGAAACUGGUUUGGAUCAUGAACUGAUAUCAGAGUGUGCACCGAGGGAGGCAUUGACAAAGGGUAGGAAGCAUGGAGGGAAAAGGCUUGAAAGAGAUGAGACCUGUAUCAAGAAGUCAGGGGGCACCCGCAAUUGUUCCCAUUGUGGACUGAAGGGCCAUUAUAUCACAGGAUGUCCUACAAACCUAGAUAAUGCUUCGAAGAAAAGAGGAGGCACUUGUAGUUUGCGUGGUAAAAUGGGACGGAAGAGAGGGAGGCCAUCUACAAAAAGGCAAUUGGACGAUGAGUUUGAUGAAGUUGCAUGAAUUGGGUGGGAUUAGUGCAAAAACCCAGAAACAUUUUUGUUUAAAAUGCCAUUACUUGUAAUGAUGUAUGAAUAAUUAAUUACAAUGAAAAGUGGUAAUAAUAUAUUAGUAUUGUGUGGUUGAGUUUGGCCUACAUGGUCUAUGUGAAUUUAUAUCUGAAUUUAUCUUUGAAAAUAUUUUGAAUGUGGUCACAUAUUAAGUAGAUCUUGGAAUAUUUGAAUAAUUUAUUCUGGGGAGAAUAAGGAACGUACCAACUGACAGGCUAAGUAUGUACUAUAUAAUUGAUAAGACUUUGGUAAAAGUUACAACAUGGCAUUAGUAUGACUCAAUAAUUAUGUGAAUUUUGUAUCUUGAGUAGUAUAGUAGCCGAAAUCACAAUAGUAUUUACAAGAGUUUUGUUCUAUGAACUCACGGAUUUACAAGAAUAUUUUAAUAAUCAAUGAACCACAUACUGAGGAGACUGAAUAUCAGAAGACAAAGACAUGGUAGAAUUGGACUACGACUAUUUUCUGGAACUUGUAUUGGGAAUAUUUACGAGAAUUUUGUAUAAGGAAUAAUACGCUGGUCGUAACUCACAAUAAUAUUUAUGAGAAAUUGGUGAUCUGAGGAAAUGGAUUUAUGAGAAUAGAAUAACAAUUGUUAAACCAUAAUAUUGACAGUUGAAUAUCCAAAUAAAAAUAGUAGAUUUCGAAACAAAGAGACCAUAGUAUAGGUUCAGAGUACAAAUAAUUAUGUCAUCGCACAAACAAUCCCGUAUGAGAAGUGAAACUAUGAAAACAAAUUAGUUUCAAAUUUAAAUUUGGUAAAUUGGGUCGUUGAUGACCAACAGGAGCGGUCAAUUAAAAACACAGUAACUAAGGCUUCCAUAUUUAUUCUAGCAUUCCCAAGGAGACUGGUCCCAACGUGGUCUUCAACGAUGUGGCUUGAGUGCUUCUAGACCAGCAGGAAGCUUCUCAACAGUGUUGAUUUGGUGAUAGAUGGCGUAGUAGAGAAGCUGAUCUCUAUACAUUGCUGCAUUUUCCUGUUUUUGUAGUGAAGAAGAUCAGCAACAUUGCCGGAGGCAGAGUCUUGGUUGUGAAAGUAAGUACAAUGUUAGGACUUACCGUGAGGAUUGGAAGAUGGAAAGCUUCACCAUUCCAUAACUCCAUGAACUUGAUGGCAUAUAAUCCACUGUCGGUGGCAUUGCGCUGCACUGGGACAGGUAGGAUGGGUCGCCUGAAUCGAGUAAACGACUUAAGCUUACCAUCUGUGGCUUCCUGGAACAGAAGAUUGAGCCUUGGAAUAAUUCUGUUACCCACAACUUCAUGGUAAAUCCUAUGGUCAUCAGGACUAGAGUCGAGAAUAUCUAUUCGGUCAUGUAUAAGGUUGAUGCAGUAAACAGUAUAGUGGUCCUCCUCCAUAAUCGGCAAAAAGAACUGCCAAUGUCCAAAAAGAAAUUAGUAAGGAAACUGUAAUUAGUAUACAUUUAAUGGAAUGAGAAGUAAUACUUACGAGCUUAACAUUAGUUGUGUCAAUAGAAGCAAUGCCACUCUCUAAAAUUUCAAGAGCAUUAUGAGAUUCCCACUCUUCGUAUUCCUCCUGAUCCUCCAUAUUGACGUAUUCCUAGAAAGAGAGUAGAGACUUAUUAGUAAUAAACUAAAAAUUGUUUUGGCAAGGUUGUAAAGGUGUUCUUUGUGCGGACUCACCCCAAUCCUGUGGGGUAGGAACACCCUGUAGCCACCACCAUCUAGCAUGUGGACUGAUUCAUCAUGGCUCAAGCAUUGAACAAAGUAGGACAUCAAUUUGGUCGAAAGCUCUUGAUCAUUAGGGAAGGAAUCUAAUAUUUCAUUGCCAGUGAAAUCUGUGAAGCCUGUACUGAUGAAAACCUCACUGGUAUGGGAAAAAGGUGGUCGUCAGUAACUUGUAGGACGAUACAAAAUUUGAGAAAGGGUCAUAAGCCAUACUUUAAACUCUUGAGACUCGGGCGAAACUUCUUCCACACAGCUAGUGCCUUUGACAUUGGUACUCGUGUCCGCAUUGGAUCACCUUUGAAUGGCGACACGUACUUGGAUUGGCGUCUUGUAAGACGUUGUGGUUUUGGAUAAACAGGUAGGAGGGGCUCAUCAUCAAUGGUGAUAUCAGGUCGUAGAACCUGUGCUCAUCCCGAGAGAGUAAAAUUGUAGUAAGCAACAUGAUAAAAUUAUAAUAAAUGGGGAAUGAACAUGUGGAAGGCACCUCAUUAGGAAGCUGAUGUUGGGUGUGUGUAAGCAUAGCAGGCUCUGAUGUCAUCGUGUCGGUUGUUGUAGUUUGUGGGUGGGCAGCAGGUAGGAGGGGCUCAACACCAAUCGUGAUAUCAGGUUGUAUAACCUGUGUGAAUACCCAAAGCGUAAAAUUUUAGUAAGCAGAUUGAUAAAAUUACAAUAAAUGGGGAUUGAACAUGUGGAAAGCACCUCAUUAGGAAGCUGAUGUUGGGUCUGUGUAAGCACAACAAGCUCUGGUGUCAUCGUGUCGGUUGUUAUAGUUUGUGGGUGGGCAGCAAGUAGGAGGGGCUCAACAGCAAUGGUGGUGCUGUCAGGUCGUAUAACCUGUGCUCAUCCCCAAAGAGUAAAAUUGUAGUAAGAAACUUAAUAAAAUUACAAUAUAUGGGGAAUGAACGUGUGGAAGGAACCUCAUUAGGAAGCUGAUGUUGGGUGUGUGUAAGCACAACAGGCUCUGGUGUCAUCGUGUCAGUUGUUGUAGUUUGUCGGUGGGCAGUCCGUAUAACAGAUGCAGUGAUGAGGUCAACUAGAGAAUCCAGGGAUGAGGUUCCUCCAUGAAUAUUGACAUUGGCACGAACAGCUUAAAUAAAUAGGUAUUAUGGUAAUAUUUGAUGGAACAAAUUUAAGAAAACACAUACUGCCAAUGUGUGAUGCUUGUCCAGUGCCUUCUUGGUCCAUCGCCUGACCCAAAAUUGGAGGAACAACAUCGCCAAUUGUCACGUCCGUGUGAACCUGCAUAUACAAAAAUCACAUGUUUAUUGACUGACCAAGAAAGUUGUAUAGUAAAUAUUAUAGCUAUAUACUGAAAUCUUAAUGUGAUAGGACAUAUGGUAACUCCAGAUCAAACCGGUGAGUGUUCAUGAUCCAAUUCCUGUUCUGACCCGGCAUUCGUUGCGGCAUCCAUGGGCUGUGGUGCCGCAGCCUCCGUGGGACUGUUCUGUUGCAGUGGCACAUGUCUCUCAUGGUUUAUAUGUUGGUUAGUGCCAUAUCCUGAAAUAAAUAAAAAAUAGAUUAGUGGAGACAUAACUGCAGUUGCAUGUUUCAUGAUAUGAAACAGGUAUUUACCAGUACAAUUAGCAAUAGAUAUCUGAUUUCCUCUUACCUUUAGAAUGAUUUGGCGCCUCAGUUACAUGUUCAGACUGUAUGUUAUCUCUGUUAUGGAUAUCAUGCAUGUCAAGAUCGUUGGCAUCAGCUUCAUUCAUGAAACAAUAAAUAGGGUCAGCUUCUUUUUUUGAACAAAAGAGUAAGUAGUGGGUCGCUUUGUGGACCUGCAGUAGGAGCGGUUGGUUUAGCUUGGUGAUCUAUGCUGUUAUUCUCACAACUUUGGUUCUCCAAAAUUGACCGCACCUUUGCAAUGAGCUGGUCAUGUGAGGUUUGUAGCAUUAGUUGUCCCCUGUUUAAGUAAGUUGUUGCCUUUUUUGAUUUGAUGUCAAAUUCUGUGAAAGCUUGCACUAACAGCUUCCUCUUUGGCUUGGCAACUGUCACAUUGACUACUCCAACUAGUUCUGAAAGAAUGCUAGGGAACUGUAUAGCAGACACAGGUUGAAUGUUUGCUGGCUUUUCUGGAAUAGAAUGAUGAGGCAUAUGGUAAACAGUAUCACUGAUGUCCCUAAGCUGCUCACACAAAAUGGAAAUAGGUAAGUGGUAGUAAAUAGGCAUUGACACGGAGGACUGCCUUUAAAAAUGGGGGACAAUAGUUACUAUGUCUCACCGGUAAUCGCCCAAAUGUGACCUUUCCUUGGUCGUCCUUUGUCUUGUCAGCAGCAAUUAUUUUUUUAAUCAAAUCUUGAUUAAGUACUUGGCACGGGGAAUGUCCUUGUGAUUGAUCUGGUGUUUGCAGCGUAAAUUAUCCAAAUACACUAUCUGCACCGAGAAAAAUGGGAAUAAUGGAGAAUAAGUUUAAUAUAAAAUAUGUGGCUAACUAUUCAGCUAUAUCAUAAUAUUUGAAGGCAUAUUAUGUAUGAUAAGUGGGAAACUGACCAACAGAAAAAACGUGCAUCCUGUAAUUGAAGGCGAAACUUUAGUUGUUCUAUCAAGACGCCACGUGCGUGCAGCUUCUUGGAUUUCAUCGGUAACAGCCUUGCACCAGUUCAUAGUGGGUAGUCGAUACAAAUUCCUAGCCAAAUAAACAUCUUUCGCCCUGAUGUUGUUGUCCGAGGAAGGAAACAACAGCUUGUUAGAAGCGAUCAUGAAGAAAAUUUUAAUGCACAUGUUGUCGUCAAGCAUCCUGGAGUCUAGCUCAAUGUCGGCCUCCCAGAUCUCUUGUAGAUACUUUGUGUGCACAUCCUCAGCUUCUUGUAAACCAAUAAAAUCCUUGAAAUCAGACAAGGCCUUGCAUGCUUCCUGGUUUGUGUGUAAAGAUAAUUCUUCACCACUGUCCGGAAUGCCAAACGUUUGCUUAACGACAAAAGGGUUGAUAUGUAUAACCCUAUCUUUACCAAGAACCAACAUCAUAGUUACAGGGUCUAGCCUGUCAUACAGAUACCUCAACAUUUCUCUGCUAACUAGCUUGUCUGCUCGGAUCUGGAGGAGGCCACCAAAAUUCAUAUUAUUGAUUCUAGUACGCUGACUCAUGGUGAGGAGAUCAAUAAAUGAGUUAAAAAUUGAAGGUGAACAUCGAACAAUUGGUGCAUGAAGAUAUUUGGUAAGCUUUUGCUGUUUAGGCUGUAGAAAGAAGACAAAUGACUUAUGUAAUUGUUGAAAAUAAGUGCUAAAUAAUAAGAGUGAAAAUAAGAAACCAUUAUGGUAAGAAUGUAAUGAUACUGUUUGGAAUAAUAAUAAUAAUAAUAAUUUAGUCGCAAUAGUAUACCUUUGUAGGUGGAUCUAUGCGAGAGGCAUUUUUCUUCUGCAGUUUCCCAUCUCUGCGUGCAUUGACAACAACUUUUGUAGUACGACGUUGAUUAUUGUUCAUUACCGGGUGCCAAGUUGGGGGUUGCAUGAAAUCGUCAUCAUCAUCGUCCUCCUCUAAACGAGGGCGUGACGAUGGUCCUGGACAAUGUGGUGGCUGCUGAUGAACUGGUUGAGCUGGUAGUGUCUGAGAUACACCAGUGACGUCACUUAUAUCAAUGUUGAAAUCCUCCUGUGUGGUGUGCAGGGUGAAUGAUUUCAAUCUACCCUGAACAAAUUUAGGGGGCCUCAUUUCCUAUGAAAGAAUGAGGAACUCAUGUGGUAAGCAUAUUUACGACAAAUAGUAUGAAUAUGUUGCAGUAAUAAAUAUUUACGAUAAUUUGUACUGAGAAUUGUUUAUGGGAUUUUGCACUAAGAAUGGUUACGAGAACUUACAGUAAUAUUUACGAUAAAUAUUUUUACAAUGACAAGAGUUACAAGAACUUGCAGUAUAUUUAUGAGACAUGUGGACAGUGAAUAUAGGUACUGAAGUAGUAAAACUAACGGUAAAAAUUAGUUAGAAUGAUCAAAUUUACCAUGAACAGGAACAUAAAAUUACUACUUAAACUAGCUAGAAUGAUCCAUACAAUUUAGUUGAAAGCAGGCACAGGAAUUACUAAUAUUAUUAUAGCCCGCUUUGUUCUCAGACUAACAAUAAGCAUUGGUAAACAGGGACUAGGAAUACAAACAAACAAUUGUUCACGGAGGCAAAAGUUGCAGUGGGCAUCAGUGAACAGGUAUGUAUAGUGUAAAAUUAACACAUUGAUAAGGAUAAAUUACCUCCGUAGCCUGUCUCUGCUGGCCUGAUAGGAUCUGCAGAGUAGAUACGAGCAUGCAACUUCACAGCAGCCAGCAGAGACCCGAGGCAGCUUCCUGGCGUGGAUGUUUGGGGCGUCUCGGCAGCCACUUCCGAUGGAGGAUUGGGGACUCUCCAGCAGCCAAGAAGAGCUGCGGACUGCAUUUAUCAGGAUGUUGUGGUAGGGAGCUGCAGUAUAGAGGGAGCUGCAACGAAAUUUGGGGGAUAUCCCUACGUUCUUGGAUCAAUCGAGCAUUGAUACGGAGAAGCAGCCGAAUCAUAUUCUGUGAUCUCGGAUUGUAGCUGGGCAUCGGCAAAUCCGAUCAAGGUCUUCAAUGGCAGGAGCGAGGGCGAGGGAAAAGUUGGCAGGGGCGGGGGGCGAGGCGCGGGUGCCGAGGGAAGAGGAGCGACGCGCGGGUGCCAGGGGAGGGCAGCGUGCGUCGGGUGCGGGAGGAGGGCGGCGUGCGUCAGGUGCGGGGGAGGGAAGGCCGCGUGCUUCGGGUGUGAGGGGAUUACGGUGAAUGAGGAUCUUUUUUUUACGAGGAGUGAAUGAGGAUCCUUGAUUGAAGCCUUGAAGCCUGAAGGGGACAGUGAAUUAGGAUCUACUACGCAUCUGACCUGAUCAGCCCGCGCGACGCAGCGACCCGGCUACAAAAUAUUUUAUUUUGUAGCCAGCUAUAGAGAAAUAUAUAUAUAUAUAUAUAUAUAUAUGGAAAUUCCUUUGUACACGUACGUGUAGUUACUCUCAUCUUCAAUAAACUACAUUGUGUAUGUAUUCAUACUUGUUUAUCGGUUUGAGUAUGUUUAUAUACUCAUAUUAAGAUACUCUAGAUCUUACCACGCGAUUUUUUUUUAAAAAAAAUUAUAUAUAUAUAUAUAUAUAUAUAUAUAUAUAUAUAUAUAUAUAUAUAUAUAUAUAUAUAUAUAUAUAUAUAUAUAUGUGUGUGUGUGUGUAAGGAUGAAAACAAAAACGAAAAUCUCCGAUCGAAUUGCUUCGUUUUCUAUAUUUUACCCGAUCGUUUUCAGUUUUCUCGAAAUAAUUCGAAUCCGGUACGAAAUUCGGUCAAAUAAUUCGAAAACGGGGCGGAAUUCGGAAUGAGCUUAUUUCGACCGAUUUCUACAUUUCUACAUUUUAUUCGAAAUCCUCCGUAUUCGAAAUUCGGUAGUAUCCGAAUUUAGCCCAAUAACCCCUAGUCCCACUCCUAGACUUCUUUGUUUGCAGCUAAGGCCCAGCCCAAUAACACAACCCUAACCUAACUCCCUCCACUCCCCACCCCAACCCCGCAGUUCUGCACCCGACCCGAGCCUGGCGGCGCCCCUAUCACCUUUGCCGGAGCGUGUGAACCGUACGGAAUCGUCGGCGUGAGAUGGCGGCCACCUCCGCGUUCGAGUCAUCCCCGGAGGUGGAGCGGUUCCUCUGCGAGUGGCUGCUGGACGCGGAGCAGCCCAUCGCGGAGCGCUUCCGGGCGCUCUUCUCCCUCCGCAACCUCCGUGGGGAUGCACCGCGCCGCACCCUCCUCCAAGGUAUCGCCUCGCUUCACUUAAUCGCCUUAGCUACUCUUCAAAGCUUGGUUGAAGGCUUUAGCAGCUUGUGGAUUGGUCUUAGCAACCGGUGCAACAGAUUUCUGGUCCCUGUUGCUUUCCCAAACUAAUCGAGUAGAUGCCGUUCUGCGGUUCACUAAUUGGGUGCUUUGGGUGAAGCACUAUUGGUCCUAGGUACUUCGGUUUAGUACUUUAGUUCCAAAUUCUAGUGGCCUUACAGUCCAAACUAGUGCUGAGCUGAUGAACUGAUGAUACUAGGAAUUUUAACAUUGUUUGAUUCUUUGCAUUAUUUAUCAAAUUGAUUUCAGUUCUCGACAGGCUGCACUAGCUGAUUGUGUGCUAGUGCUAGUUUUAAUUUUAUACUUAUGAAGUUUCUGCGAUUGAAGAAAUUUGGACCGAGUUCCUGACCACCUAGCCCUUUGUAGGACUUGCUGAACAUAUGACCAAUAUAUUUGUUAUUUACUAUUUAGAGUGUUAUAUCAAAUAUUGGCAUUGUUUCAUUGGUUGAGGCUGUUUAAUAUCAUGUGAUCAUGCACUUGUUAUUUGUUAACUAUCUUGUGAUCAUGCACUUCUUAGUUUGGUCAUGCACAUUUUUUAAGUUAUGGACCGUGGGUCAGUAUUUCGUAUUGAAUUUUCGUAUGCAGACCGUGUUCGACAUAAUUCCGAUUGAAUUGGUUCGUUUUCGAAACACCGAAAGUUUGUUUUCGAUUUCGUUUCCGGCUAUAUGGUUUUCGCUUUCGUGUUCGUAUUCAAAUAUAAAUGUAGAAAACAAUAGAGGAGUUUUUCGACCGUUUUCGACCGAAUUCAUCCUUAUGUGUGUGUGUGAAUAUGUGAUCUCUCAAUGGGCCACUAUCGGACCUCUCUUCUUUUACCGGGCUGUGUUGUGCCAGCCCACGCGCUUGAGGUGUGGCCUAGACAUGGUCUGCUCCUUCGGGCGGUGCUUGGGCCGGGCCAAAAUACCAGGCCUUAUGCCGAGCUCACGGGCCCAGACUGCAUGCCCAAAUAUAAGCAUGGCGGAUAAAAUGCUCCCCAUAGGACGCUGAUGGAUGGGCCCACCCAUCGUCACGGGAAAUGGGGCCCACGUCGUCGUGGUCUACGUGUGCGGGUGGGCAAGUUAGUACACAUCGAGGCGGUGGCCCUAGCAGCCAACAUGGGGCCACCCAGCCAUGAUGGAUUAUGAGGACGCUAUGCUAAACAGAAAAUAUUAAGUUCAUUUUUAGCCCCUCAACUAUUGGCCGAGUUUAAUUUUAGCCCUCAACUACAAAACCGUCUGUUUUUCACCCUCAACUAUCAAAACCAGUCACUUUUAGCACCCGGAGAGAGGACUUUUGAGCCACUUUGAGCGGUUUUUUCUUUUUCUUUUCUAUGGUUAAACCUGUGAAUUUCAUAGUGAAAUGUUUGAGCAUGGUAAAUUCAUCAAUUUUUUUGGGCAGCCUUGUCAUGAUGUUCUCUAUGCAAAAAAAAUAUGAAACUAUGAAAGUAAGUAUUUUUUGGAUGCUAAAAAAUUAGCUCUUUUAAUUAAUAAAUACAUGUUCUAUGAUUUUUGUAGGAUAAUAUAUAUAUAUCCUAUGAUCAUGAAACUUUUUGCAUAACUGUUUUAUACUAAGAUAGACCUUCACAAAAAGUUUGAGAUUAAUUUGAUGAUGUUUGCUUAUAUCCCUAAUUAUNNNNNNNNNNNNNNNNNNNNNNNNNNNNNNNNNNNNNNNNNNNNNNNNNNNNNNNNNNNNNNNNNNNNNNNNNNNNNNNNNNNNNNNNNNNNNNNNNNNNAUUAGGAACAUAAGCAAACAUCAUUAAAUUAAUCUUAAACUUUUUUGAAGGUCUAUCUUAGUAUAAAACAGUUACACAAAAAGUUUAAUGAUCAUAGGAUAUAUAUAUUAUCCUACAAAAAUCAUAGAACAUGUAUUUAUUAAUUAAAAGAGCUAAUUUUUUAGCAUCCAAAAAAUACUUACUUUCAUAGUUUCACAUUUUUUCUGCAUAGAGAACAUCAUGACAAGGCUACCCAAAACAUUUGAUGAAUUUACCAUGCUCAAACAAUUCACUAUGAAAUUCACAUAUUUAACUAUAGAAAAGAAAAAAGAAAAACCGCUCAAAGUGGCUCAAAACCGCCGUGUCCUCUCUUCGGGUGCUAAAAGUGACCGGUUUUGAUAGUUGAGGGUGAAAAACAGACGGUUUUGUAGUUGAGGGCUAAAGUUAAACUCGGCCAAUAGUUGAGGGGCUAAAAGUGGACUUAAUUCUAAAAAUUUUGACCUCAUAAAAUAGGAUCAACUGCCAAUUAUAGAUCACGAGAUUACUACUAGACACGUAGGUGCAGCGGAAAUGACUAGGUGUAGUCGUGCACGUAGUAGCAGUGUCAUGUAGUUACGUGGUCGUCCACCAUGUCAAUCCCUCUCCAAGGUGUCCCACACGUGCGGAGAAGAAGCGUUGCACCUCCGGACUGCUAGGUCUGCGAGGAGCAAUAGGCACGAGCGUGGGUGAGCGGCGGCGGCUCCCUAAUGGUGUGAGAUCACCCGAGCCUCGCCUCCUCCCUCUCUUAUAUAGGUGUCCUCUAAUCAGCCCCGAGUUGGAGGCCCAAUUAGAAAACCCUAAGCCUUGUCUAAUGGCUUCCAGCUCCUUAAGCGUGUGACCCUAUGGGUUCACAUACAUAUAGACAUGAGCCGAGUACUCCUACUCGCCCAAUAGUUGAUAGCGGCCUCUAGCAAGGCAUUACAACUCCUAUACACACAAAGAUUAUAUCAGACGAACCACUACAUACACAUACAUGUUAUUCCCUUGCCACACGAUAUUUGGUCCAACUCAUGGGUUAACACUUAACCCAGGCACGACCAUGCAUUUGUUGAACCAAUUUAAAAUCACUUGAGUGAUAUAGUGAUAUCUCUCUCACAUAGAGAGGGGCAAGUUCCAUGAUUAUCUAUAUCUCACAGCAUGUUUCCCCGAUAAACCCAAAGACCACCUUUAUAGCUACUGUAACAUCCCUCAUGUUACGGAUACUAAAACUUGAUCAUGUCAUCAUAAGCAUUGCAAAGCAUGUUUGUUAAACACAUCAUGAUGCAUCAACUUAAAAUAAGUUUAUUUUUUUAUGGUUGUGCUUAAGAAGCUAAAGUGUGUUUAUUUUGUUAAAUGAUGCUUGUGUUGGUGGUAUAAUUUCUAGAUAAGGAGAGGUUAUAGAAAUAGCUACGAAAAACCCUAAUUUCAACCCCAGCUUUUACCCCCUUUUGUGUAACAUAAAAACUAAGCAAAAUUUGGGGAUGUGUUCAAAAGCAAAGUUGUAGGUCUUGUUAAGAUGUACAACUUUGGUGUUUUGAGUUUUUGAUGUUUCAAUGAAAAAUUUCAAGUAAUUUUGAAAAGGAAAAAGUCUACAUCACCCCCCUGAACUGUAGGGCGGUGUCUACUUUACCCCCCGAACUCUCAAACGGUCUAAUUUAUCCCCUGAACUAUCUAAAACCGUUCAAACAACCCCCUGAGCGAUUUUUAUGGUGGUUUUGCUACAGUAGCUAUGGUUUUGCUACAGUAACAGUGGUUUUAACUUUUCUUUUUUUAUUUGUUUUUGCUGAAUCUUUAAAAAAUCAUAGUAAAUCAUAAAAAAAUCAUAAAAUAGAAAAUCUAAUUUUGUUGGACUCCACAUAAGUAGAUCUACACAAUGAAUAUAUAAUAUGGUAUAGUUUAGUACAAAUUUCGUACUCAUUUGAUCAUAUAUAACUUAGUUAUAGAUUUAUUUAGGUUUAUGCUUGUUAAAUAUAAAUAAAUCUAUAACUAAGUUAUACAUGAUCUGAUGAGUAUAAAAUAUUUACUAUAGUUCAAGCAUAGAAUAAUUAGUCCACCAUAAAAAUUUCACCACAAUUGGACCAUAGAAGCUACAACUAUGAAUUAUUGGAAUUAAUUACAGAUAAAAUUUUAUUUUUCUAACUAAUUUAAAGCUAUAGAAAAAAAUUUAUACUAAAGUAUACCAUAUUAUAUAUUCAUUGCGUAGAUCUACUCAUGCGGAGUCCAACAAAAUUAGAUUUUCUAUGUUAUGUUUUUUCUAUGAUUUGCUAUGAUUUUUCAAAGAUUAUAUGAAAACAAAUAAGAAAAAAGAAAAAGUCAAAACCACAGUUACUGUAGCAAAACCGCCGUCAAAAACCGCUCAGGGGGUGAUUUGAAUGGUUUUGGAUAGUUUAGGGAGUAAAUUAGACCGUUUCAUAGUUUGAGGGGUAAAAUAGACACCAUACUAUAGUUCAGGGGUUGAUGUAGACUUUUUCUAUUUUGAAAAUACAGAUUUCCACAAAGUGUCUCCUUUUCAAUUUGAAUCUCUAAUUCAAAAUCUAUUUGGAAUCUUGAAAGGUGACCAAAAUGAAAGUUGUAGAUAUCAUCAAUAUGAACAACUUUUAUUUUGGGAGUUUUUCAAGUUGUUGAGCAAAAUCAAAAGUAAAUUUAGGAUUUCUGCUUGGCCCAAAUUAAAAUUUGAUUUGCCCCCAAUUUGGGAUUUGAAUUUCAAACUGUUUUAAACAAAUUCACAGUCUUCCAUUCAAAACUAGUUCUGGGACUUUAAAUAUGUUUUGUGGAGUUCAAAAUUCUGAACAAACCUUGUUUUGACCAAAAUUUGACUUCCAUUUAAAAUAGUGGAGUAAUUUAAAAAAAUAAAAAAGGGAGGGAUAAGCUUGUCUACAGUGCUUCGUAGGGGGAGAGUGCACGCCAGCGCCGCAGCAGGCACAACCGUUUCGCAUGCCACCACGCACCCUGCUACGUAGCUGCUUGGCUGGUCCAGGUUGCCAUGAAGUAGCCGAGCUCAUGGCGUCCUCAUCCACUCCUUCCCAUGACCACACCUCGCUGCAAACUUCUUUUUCCUUCCUUAUACUCAACGUCGGUGAGCUCCUUCGCCAGCAAAAUUCGUCGUGCCCACUCACUUUCCGAGCCACCAGAGCACCUCUACAGCUUCGCCAAGAUCUCAGCAACCGUUUGCGCCCCCAGGUGCAAGCUCUAACCGUCCCUAGCCCCGGCUACGUCCGUUCUUCCUCAACUCCGGCCGAAAACCGCCGCCGUGAGCACCUCACGUGACCAGCGCUCAUUCUAGCUCCUCCGCAUCUUUUGAGUAGCUCCUCAGGAUCACGGUGAGCCCUUGAUACUCCCAAACCCCCCCUUUUACGCUCUAUCGGGUCCUAGGAGUGGUUGCCUCAUCGGCCGGCGUCGAUGUCCGCCUUGGCCGUGGUUGGGGUCAUCGGAGAGCGGUAGAACGUCCACCGAGGGAGAGGAACAAUGCGUAGGAGCAUAGAGCAUGAGAGGGACGCCAAGUUUUCCCUAGGGAGGCACCUCACUAGCGAGGGGCGGGGCAGUCGCUCCCUCCGGCCAAAGCGCGAGGUAGAAGAGGAAGCUUACAUGUGGGGUCCCCCGUCAGCAACCUGUGGAGAGAGGGACGGACGUAGCGCGCGCGGGCCAGCCUGCGGGCCGAGUGCUGGGCCGGCCAGCGCAGCAGUGCGGUUUUUUUUCCUUUUUUCUUUUAGGAAUAAAACUGAUUUAUGUUUUAUUUUAUGUAGAAAAAGUUGUGCAGAUCCAAAAAUGAUGAAACUUUUUGUAUAGGUUCUGCGCAGUGAGUAGAAUAUAGGAAAAAUAUCAGAUGUCACUUUCUAGUACUUUGAGCAUGUUCUAAAAUUGUGUCCUUUAUCUAAUAAAUAGAACUUCUAGGAUUUUUAGGGAUUUAUUUAGAUGUCCAAAAAUCACCAAAAUUUGUGAGGUGUCUCUGAGUAUUAUUUCCCGGCUUCACAAAAAGUUUGGUGGCAUUUACUAAUAUACCCUUAGUUAGUAGUUAAGUAAUAAUCUUAAAAUAAUUAGGUGAUUAUUAGCUUAAAUUCCAGAUUAGGGUUUGAGUGAUUUUGGGAUUGUGUGAUGGCGAGGGGUCAUUAACCUUAAUGACCUUUGACAUUUAAUUAUUGUUUGGUAUUAAUGUUUAAUUACUAUCAUUAAUGCUUAAUUAAGAAUUAAUUAAUAUAAGUGGGAUUAAUAAUUAGUUAAUUAAAAAUAAUUAUAAAUUAAGAAAAGUCUAAGAUUACUAAUGCAACCUCUUGGGUAAAAACACUAAAGUAGUAAACAACCUCUAAUUACUUUUUCAACUUGCGUUUGUACCGAGAAGGAAAGUCAUACUCAAUUAAAUCCAUCUUAUUUGUUGUCAUAAGCAUACCAUGAGCAUACAUCAUUUUGCGUAUAGUGCACGUGAUCAAAGGAGUGACCGUUGAACCGAACCCCGAGGUUGGUGUUCCGUCCGAGGAAGUGGAAACCGAGACUUGGGAAGUCUCCGAGGAACUCACUCAGCUCUGCAACCAAGGCAAGCCCCGAAUGCAUUUAAACCUUCCUCAAUGUUUUAAAUCUUUUAUCACUUAUGAAUCAAAAUGUUGCAUUACGUAGUUAGGAAUUGGGAUAACGAAUUGUUGCAUUUACCACCUUGAUAUUUGUUAUCUUGUCCUUGGUACCUAUUUUAUUUAAAACUACGUAGUGAUGCUUAGACCUACUUAUUAGAUAGGUUUUCAAAUAAGAACAUUUGAACGGUUGUUGUGGAAUACCUUUAUUGUCAAUAAUGUUUCAACUUGAGACCGAUCGGUAGACUUGCUCUAAGGAUGGAGUCUUAAAUUAGUGUCUCCAACUGUGUCGAUUAAGGACUGGUCCAUUGAUGGCCUACUGGGUUGAGAAUUUAUAGUACUAGCCACUUGCCCUCGGUAAGCCUGGUCUGGUGAUUCCUCGACGAGAGCGGCUACUCGGCACUGGGCGUGGAGCUACGACGAGAGUAGCAUGUACCCUCCUAGCAAAUGGGCUGGAUGGUGGAGUACUGUGCUCUCGGGUGCUGUGAACCUGCUCAGAUCUUGGGAAUGCAAGAUUUGAUUAACAUAUGCAAGAUUCAGUUCUACAUAUGUCGGGUGGUUAGGAACUCCAGCUGGAUUGUUAAGCGGUUCGAAUUGUCGUUGCUCCCCGAUUGGGAGACUCAAUCCACUGACCCUCAUCAUAGUUAAUAAUGCAAUUAAGUUAAGAAAUGGGGAAGAUGGAAAUGUCUCAUGGAGUUCGGAUCCCAAUUCCUGGACUCACAGUGAUAUGAAGCUAUGGCCGUCGGAAAAUAUCAUUCUUGUUAGGGAUUAGUGAUUCACGGACUCAUCUGUGAAAAGCAACUUAGAUAGAUUGUCCUAGAAUUCGUCCACCUCUCGAGGUGGCAUGUUUGAAGCUAAAACUCUAAAAGCAAGGAUCCACUAUUAGUAAGCUUUUAUGCAAAACAACUUGGUUCCUUGCUCAGCCACUCCUUGUCUACCCCAAAACCUGCAUUCCUGAAUUUCUCCUCUUCUUCGUCGGGUAAGUCUUGUUGAGUACUCCCGUACUCAAGGUUCUUUAACCCCUGUUGCAGGUGCUGACUUGUGCAACUAAUGGAGAUCAUGUUAGUGGGUGCGGCAUGAUUUGUCCAUCUCUUCUACCUCAUAUGUUUCAUCUAAUUUGCUUCCGCUACUCUACACAUCUUUUGGAAAUUUAGUUAAGUUUAUAUUCCAUCAUAUUUUGUAAAUUGAGUUAUAAAUCUUCUACACUCUGAUGUAAGUUUUUUUUGUGACAAAUGUUGUAAUGUUGUGGUAACUCCAUGUUGAUCCUCUAUGAGUUGUAAAAUGUGGAUGAUUCGGGGUCCUCUAAGGGCACCUGACAGACUAUCCGAAUUAUAUGACUCUCAUGUGAAGUAAUCAGAGGCCUUAAGGACAAUGAUAGGUGCAUGUGGGCCAUAUAAUUAGGGUGGUUCUUCCAUAGAGUGGUUUCAGAGCUCAUACAUGGAUCUUCUGCAACAUUACUGGUGAAAAACUUCAAAAGGAAUUUCCAAAUUAAAUAUUUUAAGGAUAACAACUUAUAAAUGCUCCUUAACUUUUCUUAUGCUUGUUGUUCAAGUUCUACGAAGACUUUCUACUGACUCAAAUAGAAGGCAUUGAAAGAGGCUUCAAGUCUCCGGCAAGCCAAGUAAAGAAUCAAACUACUCCAACAAUGCUUUGUCAAUAGUCUUGUAGCCUUCCAUCUGAAGCAAUAAAGAUAAUAUAUAAAGUAUGCCCUAUAUAAGUAGUUACCUCCUGGCUAACGUUGUGAAGACAUACAGGGCGAGCAUACAUCAUAUCAUUCACUUCAGAAUAAAGAUACGAGGAUGUUAUAAAUUCCCUUUUUAAUCCAGGACAGCUAUUCUCCUUAUAGUUGUUCUAUUUGAUAAAUCUCAUCAUGUACCAGGUUUCGUUAACCGAUUGAUAAUCUUUUACUCCAUAAGAUCCUAAUCCUUGGGAAUUUGUGGAUAUACCUUGAUAUACAUCAUUACCUCAAAAUUGAAACCUGGGACUAAUCCUUGAUUCUUUUGUUAUGCUUGUGACCUUCCUUGAUUUCAUCUAAUUCAGACACAUGCUACCUCCUUGAUGUCAUUUAACAACAUUUAUGUUGAUUAAUGUCACUAUGAUUGUGUCCUCUUAAGGUACCAUGACCCAUGACUUAGGUAACAACACCGAAACCUGGGGUCUCCUAUGGCUCACGACCAUAAUGAAAUACUAUUGGGCGCUCGCUGUUAUCAAAGUCUAUGAUCAUGAUCCCUUAUAGCCCCACAACUAAGGUGACCUCACUCUUUGAACCAUAGUAUGGGAAUCCAUGCCCAUAUCUCUUUGGAAUUACCUAAAACCUUUGACUUGCAUAACCAACAUAUGUUGAUUGAAAGUUAUUGUAACUACACUCUAUAGUAGGUACCAUGAUCCGUGAUCAUGUUAUAGCGUCGGACCUUGUAGUCUCCUAUGGAACCAUGGCCAUAAGGAAUAUACUACCAGGUGCUCGUUAAACAUCGGGAUCUUUGGUCAUGCUCCACUAUAGUCUACAGUUAGUAUGCUUUCCUUCUCCCUGGAAACUCAUUUGGAGAUCAUAUCUUCUUAUAAAUUCUCCAAAAUUCCUUAUUGAUUACAACUUUCUGUGGAUCUUAGUUGUAAUUCUCGGACCAAUCGUAACUAUUUUAUGAACUUCUCAGAAGUUAAUGUGCUUGACACAUUUCCUUUUCCAUUACUUAACCCCACAGGUUUUACUACCUGGGAAAUCUCGAGACAAGAUUUCUUUAAGGGGGAAGGGUUGUAAAAUCCUUGAUGUUACGGAUACUAAAACUUGAUCAUGUCAUCAUAAGCAUUACAAAGCAUGUUUGUUAAGCACAUCAUGAUGCAUCAACUUAAAAUAAGUUUAUUUUUUUAUGGUUGUGCUUAGGAAGCUAAAGUGUGUUUAUUUUGUGAAAUGAUGCUUUUGUUGGUGGUAUAAUUUCUAGAUAAGGAGAGGUUAUAGAAAUAGCUAAGAAAAACCCUAUUUUCAACCCUAGCUUUACCCCCUUUUGUGUAACAUAAAAACUAAGCAAAAUUUGGGGAUGAGUUCAAAAGCAAAGUUGUAGGUCUUGUUAAGAUGUACAACUUUGGUGUUUUGAGUUUUUGAAGUUUCAAUGUAAAAUUCAAAGUAAUUUUGAAAAUACAGAUUUCCAAAAAGUGUCCCCUUUUCAAUUUGAAUCACUAAUUCAAAGUCUGUUUGGAAUCUUGAAAGGUGAAAAAAAUGAAAGUUGUAGAGCUGAUCACAAUGAAUAACUUUUAUUUUGGGAGUUUUUCAAGUUGUUGAGAAAAAUCAAAAGUAAAUUUAGGAUUUCUGCUUGGCCCAAAUUCAAAUUGGAUUUGCCUCCAAUUUGGGAUUUGGGAUUUGAAUUUCAAACUAUUUUAAACAAAUUCACAGUCUUCCAUUCAAAACUACUUCUAGGACUUUAAAUAUGUUUUGUGGAGUUCAAAAUUAUGAAUAAACUUUGUUUUGACUGAAAUUUGACUUCCAUUUAAAAUGGUGGAGUAAUUUGAAAAAACAGAAAAGGGAGGGAUAAGCUUGUCUAUAGUGCUUCGCAGGGGGGAGUGCACACCAGCGCUGCGGCAAGCGCAGCCGUUCCGCACGCCACCACGCACCCGCCAUGCAGCUGCUUCGCUGGUCGAGGUCGCCGUGAAGUGGCUGAGCUCCUGGCAUCCUCAUCCGCUCCUUCCCAUGACCACACCUCGCUGCAAACUUCUUAUUCCUCCCUUACACUCAACGCCGGUGAGCUCCUUCGCCAGCAAAAUUCAUCGUGCCCACUCACUUUUCGAGCCACUAGAGCACCUCUGCAGCUUCACCAAGAUCUCAGCAACCGUUUGCACCCCCUGGUGCAAGCUCUAACCGUCCCUAGCCCCGGCUACGUCCGUUCUUCCUCAACUCCGGCCGAAACCGCCGUGAGCACCUCAUGUGGCCAGGGCUCUUUCAAGCUCAUCCGCAUCUUCCGAGUAGGUCCUCAUGAUCACGGUGAGCCCCUAAUACUCCCAAACCCUCCCUUUUACGGUCUAUCGAGUCCUAGGAGUGGUUGCCUCGUCGGCCGACAUCGAUGUCCGCCAUGGCCGUGGUCAGGGUCAUCAGAGAGCGGUAGAACGUCCACCGAGGGAGGGGAACGAUGCGCAGGAGCGUAGAGCAUGAGAGGGACGCCAAGGUUUCCCUAGGGAGGCGCCUCACUAGUGAGGGGCCAGGCAGAGUCGCUUUCCUCCGGCCAGAGCGCGAGGUAGAAUAGGAAGCUGACGGGUGGGGUCCCCCGUCAGCGACCUACGGAGAGAGAGGAAGGGAUGCAGCCCGCGCGGGCCGGCCUACGGGCCGAGUGCUGGCCUGGCCAGGGCAGCAGCGUGGUUAUUUUCUUUUUGCUUUUAGGAAUAAAACUGAUUUAUGUUUUAUUUUAUGUAGAAAAAGUUGUGCAGAUCCAAAAAUGAUAAAACUUUUUGUAUAGGUUCUAUGCAGUGAGUUGAACAUAGGAAAAAUAUCAUAUGUCACUUUCUGGUACUUUGAGCAUGUUCUAAAAUUGUGUCCUUUAUCUAAUAAAUAGAAUUUCUAGGAUUUUCAGGGAUUUAUUUAGAUGUCCAAAUAUCACCAAAAUUUGUGAGGUGUCUCUAAGUAUUAUUUCCUAGCUUCACAAAAAGUUUGGUGACAUUUGGAUAAAAUUUGAGUAAAAUACUAAUAUACCCUUAAUUAUUAGUUAAGUAAUAAUCUUAAAACAAUUAGAUGAUAAUUAGCUUAAAUUCCACAUUAGGGUUUGAGUGAUUUUGGGAUUGUGUGAUGACCAGGGGUCAUUAACCUUAAUGACCUUGGACAUUUAAUUAUUGUUUGGUAUUAAUGUUUAAUUACUGUCAUUAAUGCUUAAUUAAGGAUUAAUUAAGAUAAGUGGGAUUAAUAAUCAGUUAAUUAAAAAUAAUUAUAAAUUAAGAAAACUCUUAGAUUACUAUUGCAACCUCUUAGGUAAAAACACUAAAGUAGUAAACAACCUCUAAUUACUGUUUCAACUUGGGUUUGUACCGAGAAGGAAAGUUGUACUCAACUAAAUCCUUCUUAUAUGUUGUAAUAAGCAUAUCAUGAGCAUACAUCAUUUUGCGUAUAGUGCACGUGACCGAAGGAGUGACCGUUGAACCAAACCCCGAGGUUGGUGUUCCGUCCGAGGAAGUGGGAACUGAGACUUGGGAAGUCUUUGAGGAACUCACUCAGCUCUGCAACCAAGGCAAGCCCUGGAUGCAUUUAAACCUUCCUUGAAUGUUUUAAAUCUUUUAUCACUUAUGAAUCAAAAUGUUGCAUUACAUAGUCAGGAAUUUGGAUAACCAAUUGUUGCAUUUACCACCUUGAUAUUUGUUAUCUUGUCCUUGGUACUUAUUUUAUUGAAAACUGCGUAGUGAUGCUUAGACCUGCUUAUUAGAUAGGUUUUCAAAUAAGAACGUUUGAAGGGUUGCUGUGGAAUACCUUUAUUGUCAAUAAUGUUUCAACUUGAGACUGGUCGGUGGACUUGCUUUAAGAAUGGAGUCUUAAAGUAGUGUCUCCAACUAUGUCGAUUAAGGACCGGUCCGUUGAUGGCCUGCUGGGUUGAGAAUUUAUAGUACUAGCCACUUGCCCUCGGUAAGCCCGGUCUGGUGAUUCCUCGACGAGAGCGGCUACUCGCGCACUGGGCGUGGAGCGAUGGCGAGAGUAGCGUGUACCCUCCUAGCAAAUGGGCUGGACGGUGGAGUACAGUUCUCUCAGGUGCCGUAAACUCGGUCAGAUCUUGGGAAAGCCAGAUUUGAGUUGACAUAUGCAAGAUUCAGUUCUACAUAUGUCAGGUGGUUAGGAACUCCAUCUGGAUUAUUAAGCGGUUCGAAUCGUCGUUGCUCCCCGAUUGGGAGACUCAAUCCACUGACCCUCAUCGCAGUUAAUAAUGUAAUUAAGUUAAGAAAUGGGGAAGAUGGAAAUGUCUGAUGGAGUUUGGAUCCCAAUUCCUGGACUCACAGUGACAUGAAGCUAUGGCCGUCGGAAAAUGUCAUUCUUGUUAGGGAUGAGUGAUUCACGGACUCGUCCGUGAAAAGCAACUUAGAUAGACUGUCCUCGAAUUCGUCCACCUCUCGAGGUGGCAUGUUUGAGGCUCAACCUCUGAAAAUAAGGAUCCACUAUUAGUAAGCUUUUAUGCAAAAUAACUUGGUUCCUUGCUCAGCCACUCCUUGUCUACCCUACACCUGCAUUCGUGAAUUUCUCCUCUUUUUCGUCGGGUAAGUCUUGUUGAGUACUCCCGUACUCAGGGUUCUUUAAACCCUGUUGUGGGUGCUGACUUGUGCAACUAAUGGAGAUCAUGUCAGUGGGCGCAGCAUGAUUUGUCCAUCUCUUUUACCUUAGAUGUUUCAUCUAAUUUGCUUCCGCUACUCUACACAUCUUUUGGAAAUUUAGUUAAGUUUAUAUUCCAUCAUAUUUUGUAAAUUGAGUUAUAAAUCUUCUGCACUCUGAUGUAAGUUAUUUUUGUGACAAAUGUUGUAAUGUUGUGGUAACUCCAUGUUGAUCCUGUAUGAGUUGUAGAAUGUCGAUGAUUCGGGGUCCUCUGAGGGCACCCGACAGACUAUCCAAAUUAUAUGACUCUCAUGUGCAGUAAUCAAAGGUCUUAAGGACAAUGAUAGGUGCAUGUGGGCCAUAUAAUUAGGGUGGUUUUGCCACAACUACCCUGUUACGGAGUAGUGUUUAAUAGUCCCUAAGUAGGUCGUUUCACGUCUUGAGAACAUACGACAAUCUCAUGUCUAAGGACAUAACGUACAUGAUGCAUAAAGAGAUAAUAAGAACAUGUCAUGUUGGGUCAGUCCAGCCCCAUGUCAUACAUGUGCCCACAUUAUUAGUUAGACAUUUGUAUGUUUGUGACUUGUGAAACAUAGUCAUCAACUAAUACAUAUGCUAAUCUAAUAUUCAUUUGUGUCCUCACAUGAACUCUGAUCAAGGACAACUUUAGAAUAAUAUAAGUAAAAAAGUUUCAAAAACAAUUCACAUAUUUGUGAAUCAGUACAAGUUUGUCUAUAAUGGAUAUUCAUCAAACUCAUAAUAUAUGUCAUGGAUACAAUCAUAAUAUCAUCAUCUCUAUGAUUACCUCUUGGGCGUAUUCCUAACAGUCUCCCACUUGCACUAGAGUUGAUCUCUAAGAUAUCUAAUACCCAUAGACCUCAAGUGUGCCUCAUGCUUAGGCUGUGGAAGAGCCUUUGUCAAAGGAUUUGCAAUAUUCAAAUCUGUAUGUAUCUUGCACAUCUUAAUUUCACCUCGCCUAACGAACUCUCGAAUGAGGUGAAACUUCCACAGCACAUGUUUGUUCUUUUGGUGAUUCCUAGGCUCCUUAGCUUGUGCAAUCACCCCAUUGUUGUCACAAUGUAUAUUCAAUGGACUCGGUGCAUUUGGAAACACACCAAGUUCAAUGAGGAACCUCCUCAUGCAAACACCUUUUUUCGCAGAUUCAGAAGCUACGAUGUACUUAGCCUCUGUUGUAGAAUCAGUCACUGUUGCCUGCUUGGAACUUUUUCAGCUUACUGCACCACCAGUUAUUGGGAACACGAAACCUAAUUGAGAUUGUGAAUCAUCUGUGUCAGUUUGGAAGCUAGCAUUGGUGUAAUCUUUUACAACGAGCUCCUCCUCACCUCCAUAGAUUAGGAACACAUCUGUAGUCCUUCUCAAGUACUUAAGAAUGGUUUUAACAAGUGUCUAGUAACUUUCACCUAGAUUAGUUUGGUACCUACUCGUAAUACUUAGAGCAUAUGAGACAUCUGGGUGAGUACAUAUCAUGGCAUACAUGAUGGAACAAUUGUCGAAGCAUGUGGAACCUUACUCAUGCGUUUGUGCUCUUCAUCUGAUGAAGGACGCUGCUUAUCGCUAAAACGCAUACCAUGUGACAUAGGCAAGAACACUCUUUUAGAUUGUUCCAUGUUGAACCAUUUCAACACUUGUCUAUGUAUGUAUCUUGGCUUAAUCCUAUUAGCCUUUUGGACCUAUCUCUAUAGAUCUUAAUGCCCAAAAUGUAUGCUACUUCUCCUAAAUCCUUCAUAGAAAAACUAUUAAUUAGUGAAGUCUUUACGGUUUGCAACAUUGGAAUGUCAUUCCCAAUCAAUAAUAUGUCAUCCACAUAUAAGAUUAGAAAUACAACAGUGGUCCCACUUUCCUUCUUGUAAACACAAGGUUCUUCUUCAUUCUGAUGAAAGCCAAAUCUUUUGACCACUCCAUCAAAACAAAUAUUCCAACUUUGAGAUGCUUGCUUUCACCCAUAAAUAAAUUUCUUUAGCUUGCAUAUUUUUCCAACAUUAUUAGGAUCAACAAAACCUUUGGGUUGUAUCAUAUACAUGUCCAUCCAAAUUUCCAUUUAGAAAGACUAUUUUAACAUCCAUCUGCCAUAUCUCAUAAUCAAAAUAUGCAGCGAUUGCUAGAAUGAUUCGAAUAGAUUUAAGCAUCGCUACUGGUGAGAAAGUCUCGUCAUAGUCAACUCCUUGAACUUGCCUAAAACCUUUUGUGACAAGUUGAGCUUUAUAGACGUGAACAUUUCCAUCCAUAUCCUUUUUCUUCUUAUAGAUCCAUUUGCACUCUAUGGGUCUAACCCGAUCAGGUGGAUCAACCAAGUUCCAAACUUGAUUAUCUCCCAUGGAAUCUAUCUCAAAUCUCAUGGCACUUUGCCAUUUCUCAGAAUCUGGGUCCAUCAUUGCUUCUGCAUAAUUUGUAGGUUCGUCAUCAUCUAAUAAUAACAAUUCCCCAUGCAAUUCAUGAAGUCUUGCUGAUCUUCGUGGUUGCGGCAGCAUUUCUACUACCAUAGGUGUCUCAACUUGUUCUGCUAUGUUAGCAUCACUGGUAGAGUUAUUCCAACUGGCUCAUCUAGAACUUCUUCAAGAUAGACCUUAUGUCCAUUUUUCUCUCUUUUAAGAAACUCUUUCUAUUGAUGCAAAAAUAGAUUUGCAAACAUAAAGGGCUAAUACCCAAUUUCGAUAUCAAGGCAUGCCAGCCGAUUUAACCUAGCAAUCGACAAAGGUGAUAACUUGAAUACUUUGGUCUCGACAACAGCGAUGCACCAGAAUGUCAUGGCCAAGAGGUACUCACGCGGAACCUGAGAAAUCAUCGAGUAUGACUCACCGAAUCCUUGAGAACUCAUAAACAGGAAAACGUACACGAAUUGACGAAGUCAUCAAAAAGUAGAUGUAAAACUUGUGUUGGUAUUGAUUGAUUGUUCUUACAUCGCUGUUGGGUUUAUAUUUAUACCCUAGCCCUCAAGAGUUACGACCGAACACGACUAAGAUUCAACAAGACUCUUAUAUAUAAGGCAUAUCUAGACAAGUAUGGAAAAAGAAAUAAUAAUUAUCUAUUCUUAUGUCCCUCCUAAUCACGAUAAAGUCUUCAUUGGUCCCCACUUCAAGUCUCCAUCAGAUUUUGCUUCAAGUCUUCAUCAGCUCCUAUCGCAUCAGCACAUAUAUGCCUCUUCAGCAAUAAUUUUCACAUCCUCCUCCUCCAUCGGCAUCGGUAACCAUAAGUCUUAUCGGCAAUAAUCAGUAGCUUGCCAUCUUCAACUCUAGACUAGCAGAAUCCUUCUACUAACCAUUAUUUCAUCAUUGGCAUCAUUCGAAUCAGCCAUCGGCACUCUUCUGUUGAUCUAACAUAGCAACUUCUCCACUACCGAUAAGCUCUCCUUGACCAUCUUGAUUCAUACCUAAAAACGGUGUCAACACAUGCCCCCCAAUUUCGGAGUAUGAGAUCAUUAAUGCUCGGUAAUUUACUCCAGAUAAUGAUGAAUUUUCCACAAUUACUUUCCUUUUGGUAAAAAUCUAUUACCAAAUCCAAACAAACUCAACCUUGAUCCCCGCAUCUCACUAAACAUCACAAAUCUUCCAACCUCCCGUACCAAAUCAUAGGAAAAACUGCCCAUCGGCAAAACUUUAACAAUAAAACACAUUGCCGAUGACUUACUAAAAUAUUGCGCACAAUGAAAUAUCUUCAAGAUCAUGAUUACUUGCCAUCAAAUCACCUGCACAAUCCCUUUAUUAUCGUGCAAACAGUUACCAUAUCCAUCUGAACUACCUCGAAUUUCACGGAUACGGUGGAGAGAUAAGUCAAAAGUAUCCCCACUCAUCUCAACCUAUAAAUACCUCCUUCCUCAGUACUCAUCUUCUACCUUGCCAUUCUCCAUCUCCAAUCUCAUCUCUCUCGGCGGUGACUUCGACGAAAAACUUCCAGAGCUCCAACAACAAGAAGUUCCACUGCACCAGAACUCCCAAGCCAAAACCUUCAAGCCCUCGGUCUCCCCCUCAUCUUGGAAGAAAUGGCCAUCAACUUCAACAUGCCCGAGGUGAAUCCCGUUUCCAUUCUCCCCUUUUCUUACCAUAACUCCCUAUAUUCUUGCAAGUUCAUAUACUUAGUAUUUUCCUUUUGUUUUUUUGCCUUUUUGAUCCCCCAAACAUAGGAACUGAGUGACAAAAUAGUUAUCCCUACUGAACAACCUCACAUCUAGUGCUUGGGUCCAAUGGGUAACCCAGAUCCCACUGACAUGAUAAACGUAGAAACCAACAGAAUUCCUUUCAAGGCUGAAAACUUCUCCCUAGAUCUGUGGAAAGACACCUUCCGAUCCUGGCCAAAAACCACCAAGGGAUGGAAGGACUGGUUCUAGAGAGUUAAUGGGGCUAACAAGGUGUACUGGGGACACUACAAGAAACACAUGGCUUUUUAACGUUUAGUUACGUCAUAAUAUAUGGAAUUUAUGUUAAAAAUAAAGAUUUGUGACAUCAAGAUGACAAAAAUCAAAACAUGGAAAAGCCCGCGUCAUAAAAUGAUUAUGUGACAUUUGUUUGAUUAAUGUCACAAGCAUAUGACAUUGGUUUAUUGUCACAAAAUCAUUGGCCUUGCCACAUUGCAACUGACAUGGCAUGGAGAAAAAAUGUCACAAAAUGAGUUUUGGCCUACUAAAGCCCACAUAGCUCAUGACGAUCAACAAAAAUGUCAUGUAUACCGUGUCAUACAUUGUUUACUGGUUAGGCCCAGAUCACUGUAUUAACAUGCAUCAUAGCUCAUAAGCUACAACAAUCAUUAAAAAAUAUUGAUUCAUUCAUAUAUUACCAUGUCCACAACAGUUACAUUGAACAACAAAGUACAAAAUUGACCUAGCUCAUAACCAUUUGUUUUGAUAGUCAUUUUACAACUAAUUCUAAGAACAACUACAUUUGAACAAAAAGAUUUCAUCCCUAGGGAGUCUAAAUAAGAAAACAUAUGAUCACUUCAAUUGGCUUGCUGUCGAGAAGGUGCUACCUGAAAAUCAAUAUGAAUAUGGGAUAAGUCAGUUUGCAGCAAAGAUUCUAAAAGAAAUGCUAUCUGUUUAUUAUCAAGCUAUACACAUAUUUUUGAGAGUACAACAUGAGAAUAACUCAUGGUUAAAAAGAGAACAGCCACACGGACACACACAACCAAUAAGGACAAGUAGUCCACAAGUAAAUUAGAAAAAAGCAGCAUUUCAUAACUAUUUGAAGGUUUUGAGUGUAGAUGGAUUCAAGCAAAUCCUAAAUACUACUCUCUAAUAAUUGAGAUUCCUGCCUACUCCUAGAUUCCCAUUAAACUUCACAUUGUGAAGCACAAGCAGUAAUAAUUCAGCAAAGCACGCAUGACAUAUCUAUUUAAGGGCAGCAGCAGUAAGAUUGCUACUCUGCCCUUGUGCAAAACACAAAUGCAGUUGCACAAGUUACUGAUGGAUGCAGUGCUUAUCUGCUUACCUUGUCUCCUGCCACUCUCUGAAAACCAGAAAAAAUGUGAACUGAUGGCCACUGAGAAGUAUAGGAACAAAUGGUCUACACUAGUCCUCAGCGAGCUCCAAGACUUGUAACAGGAGCUACACCUACAAUCCAAAUGAGAGAGCAAAGCAGUACAUUGUUGCUGAAAGAGAAACUGUAAAAGAAAAUAGAUCUCAAACUGGGCAUAAAGUUCCUAUUAAUGAAGAUAUCAUGUUCUAGAAACCACAUAAUUGCACAAUCUGCAGUUAUAGAUUAGCUAUCCAAACAAUACUAUGAUCCCUUGCAUGAAGUCUAAGUCUAAAAAUUAACAACUAGCAAAACAUAUAUAGAAAAUUGCACAAUUUAUAUAGUAGAUAGCUAGAUUAUAAAAUUAUCAAAAAAUUUCUUUGGUCAGGCAAGCACAUUUGAUAGAACAAACAAACUGCAAAACAAGAUACUACAUCUUACUGCUAAUUGUGAGAGACGGAGGGAGAGAUGAUCCAGUACACACCUUGCUUGGAUUAACAAACAAAUAAAAAACUGGAUAACUGAAUAUUCCAAGAACUCAAUACAUAGCAGCACCAAUGGAUAACCUAAUAGUCUGAAAUAUUGAAAAAUCACCUACAAGUGUCCAACAGAUAUACCCUUACUACUGUAGAUCAUGUUUUUUCCCUCUUUACUCACAAUCAUGUUUCCUCACUACUUUGCACUAAAUCCACACUUUUACUACCAGAUCUACCAAAAACAAACAAAAGCUAUAUAUCAGCACAAUACUUGAGUCUAUAAAGAGAGGAUUUUGGUUCUAGAUGGUUGCUCGCCAGGGUUCGAAGCGAUUUCCCCUCCCAAAUAAAUUAAAACCCUAGAUCGGAGAGAAGCAGGUUAUGAUCUAUUAGAACUGUAGGAAAGGGAUGAACUAAAAUUAAACCUCAGAUCUAAUACAGGAAUGAAAAAAGAGGAAAGAAACAACCUGCCACUGGCUUGCCAUAGAUUCGCCGUGUCCAUCCCCAAACCACGGCCUCGCUUCGGCGGGCUGCCUCCAUCCCCAAACCACGGCGGCGGUUCCUAGCUAGCGGUGCUUCCCCGUGAGCCUCAGGUCGUGGAUCUCCCAAGCCCGCGGUGGCCUCAUGCCUACACUAGCAAGAAUCUGAGGCACUGCAGAUCCAGGCCGACCCCCUUCAACUGCAGCUCCAGGCGGAGCAGAAAGAAUGAGUUGUGAUGAUUCAAGUUACCUGCUCCACAAACCACUUCUACUCUGUACGCUUGAGUGGCGCCUUGCCCUGUUGGUGCUGCUGCGGCGCUGCUAGCCCACGGUCACUCGGCGUGCUAGAGCCUGGAUUCUAGAGCGGGGGACCACUGGAGCCGACACGACGACAUGCCGACACCCACCUGCCUUCCUGCCGCUGAGAAGCCGUGUGCUCGGCCAAGGAGAGGACCCGUGGGUCGCGGCCAGGGAGAGGGGACUGGGUCGCGGACUCGCAGCCAAAGGGAGGGGUGGAGGGCGUCGCGCACUCGACACUCGUGCUCGCGCCGUCGGGUUAGAAGUACGGGAAAACACAACGAAGGAGAGGCGGCGCUACUCGGGAGGAAGGGGAACAGAGAGAUGCAUAGGAUUUGUUUUCAUCAGUUGGGCUUUUGGCUUUAGGAUUGAAAUUGUUGGCCCAAUAAGGAAUAUAUAUUUUUUAUAUGUUAGCCCGUCCUACUUAAUACAUAUGUGCAUGAAAAUUUAAGGGAGGCUUAGGGGGGGCUCCAUGUGCUCACGGUCGGUAGGCGGGGCUCGAGCCUCUAGCCCCACCGUUGCCUCUGUCGCUAAGCAGAGGAAUAUCUGUGAGAGAGAGAGAGAGGAUAGAUGUGAGGCAUGCACCGUGUCCGUGGCUAACCCAAGUUAACUGCAAUGGAUAAAUAAUUCGGGUCCGUGAGAGCCCAUUAUACUAGCAUUAAGACAUUUUUAUGAUAGGUGGGCCAAUUUUGACUUUUUUAUAUAUUUCUUUAAAUUUGACUUGUUUAUAUACAUUAGAUAAAAAAAAACUUUGCAUCCAACCGCUAGCGCUCGUCAAUAUCAUUUAAUCUUUGGGAAACAAGGAUCAUGAAUUCUUCAAUCCCCUCAAUACGUUCCCUGUUGAAUAUCAUAUUCUUAAUCCAAGAUCUAUCCAUCUGUAACAAAUCAUGAGAUACACUUGAUAAAAAAAUUUACAUAUAUAUGAUACAUGACCAAAAUUAUCAAACAUGUGACAUAUCAUUAUUUAUAUAUAAAAAAUAUGAUCUGAUAUAAUAAAAAAUAAAAUAGAAAAAAGGGAAAAACAUGUGUUGAUGUGGCAAAAGACAUGGAAAGUUUUUUUCAACAUGGAAAGUUUUUUUAAAAAAAUAAUAAAAUAAUUUGUGACACACAAAUAGGCCUUGUGAUAUAGAAAAUAUUGUCACUAGAUGAAAUCAGACUUGUUAAAUGAUAUUUAUUGUGAUAUACAACUUUUAAUUGUCACUAAGUCACUAUGCCUAAAAUAUAAUGUCACAAAAUGGAUGAUAUAAUAACAUUCUUACAAUUGUCAUACUAAAAAUAUUAAAAAGCCAUGUAUUUCUUAUAGUGGGAGAACACAAACUAGACCAGUGCAUCAGACUCUCCAUUGCUAAUAUGGAGAAAAAUGAGUCGAUGUUGAUAGCAACUGCAUACUUUUGGUCAGAUACUUUUAAUGCUUUCAUGUUUGGUCACAGCCCAGUUUUCCCCACACUUGCCGAUGUACUUAUGCUUACAGGUCUAGAUAUCUCAAUUGCCGAUGAUGGUAGUCUUUUCAAUCGGAAACCCGAGCACAGAGUAGACACCCAUAAUAUCGGCGGUUGGUCAGGAUACGUCCAGAAGUAUCGGUAAACCAGAUCGGUCAGCUAGAGAGAUCAUGCCAUUUUCUUGAACAUGUGGCUAGAUAAGUUUAUUUUUUUGCGGCCGAUUGGUAGGGCCAACUUGUGUUUACUUAGCAGCUGCCGAGUGGUUAGCCAAUGGUUCCCGAUUCCCCCUUGGCCGAUACCUAUCAUCUCCUUCACCAAGUGGCCGAGAAGCUUUUGCUGGGUGAACCUAUCGGUAAUUUGGGAAGCCCCUAGUGGUUUAUCAAUAUGUAGCUUAAUGCUCAUAUGCACAAGCGUCUGCAAUGGGAUUUCUUUGCGCAGCAGGUCCUACGAGACAUUGCCGAGGAUUACGAGCUGGCGGAAGAUGAAUCGACAACUCGUUCGCCCCUCAACUUUGGUGAAGCCAUCAUAGUCCUUCCUGGAACCGAUACAAAUGAGAAUCAGAUCGACAGAUUCUUUCAAACUUUCUACAAUGGUCUUUCCCGAGAUCAUCGGGCCUGGAUGCCUUAUGUGGAUGAGGAAUCUAGAUUGCCUCUCCUCUUUCAUCCUGCCGAUGAAGUACUCAACAAGGACAACGACUUGAUGAUGGCCAUUAUCACCCUAUGGGCAAUUCAAGUGAACAUCUUUGGCAGUGGAAAGAAUACCAACGUGACUUACGAAUUCUACAAUCCAUCAGCAUUAUCUCGUCAGUUGGCUUUUGGUCAAUUGCCAAUCAAACUCUGCUAUGCCGAUGUGAUCAAGCCAAGGGAAACAAUCACCAGUGGUCUUGAGUGGAUCAGGGUAGCUUAACUUCCACCAGAUGCCGAUACAGCAGAUGUCGAUCUAUCGGCCUGGGUUCCAGCUUCCUUCAUCAUCGAAUCCUACAACCUAUGGUGGGAAGAAUGGAAGGAACAAUUAUUCACGACAUCGGCUCACGUAUAUUGGAACAUGAUCGACCACGAGCAUGAAAUCCCCAUUGACGUUGUAAGUCUCUUUCUGAUACUCAAUACUUCCGCUACUUCUAACUUCAUCGGCAACUUACUUCUUUAUUGUGACAGGUUGAUGAUUCGGCACCAUCGAUGAACAAAAGCGGGCGACCGUUUGAUCUCUGGCUAGUAUCUCCAGUCUCUCUGAUCGGCCACAAUGCUCCUAGCUUAGCAGCUCGGAUGCACCAAGACAUUAAUUUUAAGAAAAUGACUACCAAGCGAUCAAAGGCUACUCCAACAGUUGCUGCCGCUACCCUGGCACAAGCUUUCAAGAUAAAAAUCCUCAAUUAAUUCCUAUUAUACCGAUUUCAACCUAUACUUAUAUUAUCCUUUCAGGGCGUAUCAACCACAACUGGAACAUCAUCAGUAACUUUGUUUUACACCAAACACUUUUCAUUCUUAAUGAACUUUAGAAACAUUCCUCUGCUUUUAUACUUAACUCACAAAGCUUUACGUCUUGUAGCAGCAAACCAGCGCAUCGGCAGGGGUCCAAGGCAUUCAAUCAUUGGGUGCCGAUGCCCCCCAGUCAACAGCCAGUCAAGCUCAAUCCAAGAGAAAAGCCCCUACAAGCAACAAGACUCAGCCAAAACGGUAGAAAGCAGCACCAUCCUCUCCACCUCAUCCGACGCCCCAAAUUCAAGCAGACCUGGUCGGUGCACCUGAAUAGACCAUCGAUCCAUUCGAUCAAGGCAUGUCAUCGGUCGUUAUUCCUGAGCAGGCAACCAUCGCUCCCCCUCAAGGUAAAAUAUCGAUCAUAAAGUCAUUACCGAUGAACUUUUACACAAACACCAUCUUCAUUCUUAGUAUUUGCAGCUGAGGACAUUCCAUCAGCAGAUCUAGCCGAUCAGGGCAUAAUACAAGUUACAUCUCCAGGCCAAAGGCAAGAGAUUGCUCUGAAACAAGUAAGCCACCUGAUCUGCUCGAUCUUGUGUUAUCCAUAUCUAAUCCUGACUAACUCAUCUUUUCUUCUGUUUUUAGGAACAAGACUCCAUUGAUAGCCUAUUCUCCUUUGCCAUCAACAUCUCCGAUGAUGAAGGUGAAGAAGCAAGUUCUUCCUUGGCGCUGGGAAUCACAUCGAUAGAGAUCAAAUCCAAGUUGGAAGAUCUAUUGGGCCUACUGCAACCAGACACCACUCAACUGGUAGAUGACUCAGAUCCAGCUAAGGCCAUCUUCAAGACUCUCCGUGGCCAGAUUCCAGCCGACGUCAUAGAGGCACUUUUCCAAGUCUCCCAUCUGGAAAGUCGUCAGCUCUAGUACCAAAAAGCUGUUCAAUGCCUUGCCAAUAGAGCUGCCCAGGCCUAACUCAAGGAGGAGAUGCUGCAGGUAAAGCAUGCUAUUGAUGAAAAACACAAGAGCAUCGGCACUAUGCAAUUUUUAGUUGCUGAACUAAAGCAGAAGAUUUCCGAUCUAUCGGCCAAAAGUGAAGCCCUGCUUGCUGAACUUAAGCAAGUUGAAGAAGCAUUAACCCAGGCCAAGCAGGAAGAAAGUCGACCGCCCGAUAUGCUCAAAGAUCUCUAGCAAGAAAGGGACGCCCAAGCUCAUAAGGCCCUGUAGAUGAGGAAGAAGCUAAAACCUGUAGAAGGCUCGGCCGAUGAAGACACACAAGAAAUAGAGGAAGCCAACCAGAUCCACCUGCGUGCGAUAUCGGCUAUCCAAACUUUGUUGAAUUUGUAAACCUCUACAUCGGCAAUAGGCUUCACCAGUCCUUCUAAAAACACUAGUAUUUUGUCCAGCCGAUAGGAUUGUUAUCGACACUUAAACUUCUUUAUGCAUCGGCCCAGAUACUAGGGUAGUACUUUUUUAAAUACUUUCCAUUUAAUGCCCUAGGAAAUUAAACUCCUUCAAGAGUCUCUAGAAUGUACGCAUUGCCAGGAGCAAAUUGACUUAUCCGAUAAGGACCCUCCCAAUUAGGAGAGCAUUUUCCAAAUUUUAAACUUUUAGGCCCAAUCGGUAGAAUUAAUUUCCAAACUAAAUCUCCAUCGGUGAACUCCUUAGCCUUUACCCUUUUAUCAUACCAUCUAGCUACUGUCUUCUUAUUCUCUUCUAUAUUUACCAAAACCUUCAACCGAUGCCCCGCCAAAUCCUCCAAUUCAUCUUUCAUUAGAGUAGCAUAAUCAUCGGCAGCUAAUUGGUCUUGAGAGAAUAUCCGCCUAGAACCAGCUUUGACCUCCCAAGGUAACACAGCCUCGUGCCCAUAUACCAACAGAUAAGGUGACACUUUAGUUACACCAUGACAUGCCAUCCGAUACGACCAUAGGGCUUCAUUUAAUACCGUAUGCCAUCGUUUAGGGAUUUCUUCAAUCUUUUGCUUAAUAAACUUAAUGAUUCCUUUGUUAGAAGCUUCGACCUACCCAUUAGCUUGAGUGUAAUAAGGAGAGGAAUUCUACAUCUUAAUCCCCAUACCGAUUGCAAAUACAUCAAACUCUCCUGAUGUAAACAUAGUACCCUGAUCGGUAGUAAUUGUCUGAGGAAUACCAAAUCGGUAAACAAUGUGCUCCUUAACAAAAUCAAUCAUGUUAGCUGAUGUCACCUUUUUCAAAGGAAUAGCCUCAACCCAUUUAUUAAAAUAAUCAGUAGCAACCAGAAUAAACUUAUGUCCCUUGCUUGACGGCGGAUAAAUUUGUCCGACGAGAUCAAUAGCCCAUCCUUGGAACAGCCAAGGAUUGAUAAUAUGAUUCAUACCGUUGCGGGUGCUCUCUGAAUAUUUGCCAAACUUCUGACAUCCUUGACACCCUUUGAAAUAUUUGAAACAAUCUUCAAGAAUAGUCGGCUAAUAAUAUUCAGUCCUUCUAAUCUUCAAGCCGACUCGUGUGCUCCACAUACCCCCUCAUAAAUCUCACCCAUCAAACUUUUUGAUUCAUCAUCACCAAGACAUCUAAGUAAAAUUCCAUCUAUAGUACGAUAAUACAACUCGUUAUCAAGGAGUACAUACUUGGUAGCUUGAAAUCUAACUCGUCUCCCAACUUUCUUGGAUGGAUCUUUUAGGUAAUCAAUGAUUUCCUUUUUCCAAUUAUCGGCACUGAUUGCUGAUGAAAACACCUCCAUGAUAGGUUGAUAUCCUGAAGCGUGUUGAGCUAACCGAUUAGCUUCUUCAUUAUGUAAUCGGGGAAUAUGUUUUAAACGGAAAUCCUUAAAUUCCUUCAACAACUGCAAACACUUCUCAUAAUAUGAUAUUAAAAUUUCACUUUGGCAUUCAUAAACUCCAAGCAACUGAUUUAUAACGAGCAUAGAAUCACCGAAGAUUUCAACAUCAGCACAAAUUUCUCUUAAUAACUCCAACCCUUUCACCAGAGCUUGGUACUCAGCCUGGUUGUUCGUCGAUGUAGCAAAAAUCUGUAAUGAAAAUUCAUACUUCUUUCCCUGGGGGGAAAUUAACACUACACCGAUACCUGCUCCCUGAUCACAUGUAGAUCCAUCAAAGAAAAGCGUCCAAGGAGCAACCUCCAAAGAAUCCACCGAACUGCAAUGUUGGGUAACAAAAUCGGCCAUAAUCUGUCCCUUGACUGCUUUAGCCGAUUAACGUAAGUCAAACUCUGACAAUGUUAGUAUCCAUUUACCGAUUCUACCACUCAUAAUCGGCAUCGACAACAGGUAUCUGACUACGUCAUCUUUGCAUAUGAUAGGACAUUUGGCCGAUAACAAAUAAUGCCUUAAUUUAGCACAAGAAAAGUACAAACAUAAGCAUAAUUUCUCAAUAGCCGAAUACCUCGUCUCAGCAUCCACCAAUCUUCUACUUAAGUAAUAAAUCACACGUUCUUUCCUUUCUAAUUCUUGAAUGAGAGCUGAACCGAUAACUACAUCAUCGGUCGAUAAGUAUAAUUUGAAGGGUUUUCCAUGCUGAGGUGGAACCUGGAGGAUUUGUCAAAUAAUUCUUAAUUUCAUCUAAAGCCAGCUGUUGCUCUUUUCCCCACACAAACUCUUGAUCAGCUUUCAAUUUGAGCAAAGGACUGAAAGCCUUGAUCUUACCCGAUAGAUUGGAUAUAAAUCGCCUGAUAAAAUUAAUCUUGCCGAUCAAAGAUUGAAGCUCAGUUUUAUCGGCAGGAGCAACUACCUUGUUGAUUGCAUCAAUGGAUAUCCUACUAAUUUCAAUUCCUCUUUGAUGCACCAUGAAACACAGAAACUGGCCUGCCGAUACACCAAAUGCACAUUUAUUAGGAAUCAUCUUUAAACCAUGCUUCCUUCUACAUUCAAGUAUUUUUUGUAAAUCGGAUAGAUGCUUCACGAAAUCUCUAGACUUAACCACUACAUCAUUAAUAUAGAUUUCCACCAACGUGCCGAUGAACUCAUGAAAAAUAAAAUUCAUAGCCCUCUAAUAAGUAGCACCAACAUUUUUGAAGCCAAAAGUCAUGACUAUCCAUUCAAAUAACCCAACAUGACCAGGACAUCUAAACGUAGUCUUGGGAAUAUCUUCUUCAGCCAUGAAUAUUUGAUUGUAUCCCGCAUUACCAUCCAUGAAGCUAGUAAUCCGAUGCCCAGCUACAGCAUCGACCAACAAAUCCGAAUCCAGGCAUUCGAUAGCCAUCCAUCGGUGUAGCUUUGUUAAGAUUUCUAAAUCAAUGCAUACAUGAAGUUUUCCAUUUUUCUUAUAGACAGGAACAACAAUGGAAAUCCACUCAGCAUACCGACAUUGCCGAAUGAACUUAGCUUCAAUUAGUUUGGUUAUUUCGGCCUUAAUAUCAGGAAGAAUAUUAGGGUUACAUCAGCGCGCUGGUUGUUGAUGUGGCCAAAAUCUAGAUUUAAUAGGCAACCGAUGUUCAACAAUCGAUCGGUCUAAUCCAAGCAAAGCAAUCUUUAUACUCUUUUAGCAAAUCAGUUAAUUGUCGCUUACAUUCGGAGUCUAACUUAGCACUAAUGAAAGUAGGACUCGGCCUAUCACCACUACCUAUGUCUACUUCUACCAAAUCAUUAGCCAAUGUAAACCCUUGUCCUAACUUUCCAUCAUCGGCAAACCUAUCCAUUAAAACUCUUCAUCAGAACCGUCUGCUUGGAUCGGCGGAAUCUCAUAAUCAGCAACUUUGAGGAAAUCUUUCUCCCAAGCCUUUCCUGAUAUACACUUAGUUUGUUCAUAAGUAUCUGAUUCUGCCGAUGCAAUGAUAUAGGAAGAAUCUCAAGGGACAACUUCAAUUUUAUCACCUACCCAUUGAACAAGGCACUGAUGCAUCGUAGAAGGGACACAACAGUUGGCAUGAAUCCAAUCUCUUCCCAGUAGUAGAUUGUAUGCGCCUUUUCCGUUGAUGACAAAGAAAGUUGUUGGCAAGGUUUUGCUGCCGAUAGUCAAUUCAACGCAUAUAGCUCGUUUAGCUGGAGACACAUUACCUUCAAAAUCUUUCAACAUCAUAUCAGUUUUGGUUAAGUCCUAAUCUCCCUUACCAAGCUUCCGAUACAUUACAUAUGGCAUAAUAUUAAUUGCAGCCCCUUCAUCGAUAAGUAUUUUAGAAACUGGCUGCCCAUCAACCUUGCCUUUAACAAAUAAAGCUUUGAGAUGCUGUCUUUCAUCAUCAGAUGGUUUCUCAAAAACAACCAUCAUUGGAUCAAGCAUUAAUUGAGCUAUUAGAUCAGGAGACUGAUUUCCUCAUCAUCACUAGAAGGUGCAAGAAAUUCCAUCGGCAACAUAAAUACCAUAUUGAUAUCUGCCGAUGGUCCUUUCCCCUUGCGAUCUAACUACUGCCGAUUCUCGGACUUAGAAAAAUUAUCCUCACUAUACAAAUCUUCCUGACGCUCUCGCUGCAUCCUCCUCCUCUGCGUCUUUGUUAAUCCUUCUGGACACCAUCGGGGAAGCUUUGUCUUCCAAACUGGCUGAUAGCGAACCUCCUUUGACUCCACAUGAUGAAUGUUAGAAUCUCUACAAAAUAUGAAUUCAUCGAGAACCUGUGCGUUGGCCAUCUCUUCAAGUUCUUCCUGAUUCUUCAAAAAAUGACCGACACGUCCACCAAGCCUGUCAUGCACGUUAAGCCUGCCCCCAACCGAUCGUGAACUGACGUUCUCCCCCUAAUCAGCUCAUUGAAACAUCGAUCAUUGUUCUGGAACCUCUGAUUUGACCGAUUGUACCGACGAUAGCCAUUACACUCGGGACAAUCCUGAACGGUCGGCAGUUUGAUGUUUCAUUCCCACUAGUGAAUGAAGAAUGGGCAAUCCCAAUGAUCUUUAUGCUGAUUCCAUUCUUCUCGCUGCCUCUCUUCUUAUUGAGGUCGAUACCGAUCCUCACGCUGCUGCCAAUUCUCUCGAUACCGUCUAUGCGUAAUCACGACACUAGAUUGGGGAGGUCGUCCAGAGCUGCUACCUUCCCUCAACAAUCCCUUCCUUUGGCGUCAUCAAUAGUUACCUGAUGUUGGGGAUCUACCGAUAUGUUCUUCUCAGCCGUUUCUGAUGUUAAGACCUUAGUCUUACCCUUGGCGUCCAACAUGUUUGUGGGGAAAGGAUGCUGAUCAAUUUUCAUCGGCUUCUGAGUUUUGGAACUAUCAAACUUGAUUUUCCCAGAUUCUAUAGCCGAUUGCAACUGCUGCCUAAACACUUUACAUUCGUUUGUACUAUGUGAAGUCGCAUUAUGCCAUUUGCAAUACUAGAUCUUCUUCAAUUCUUCUGCCAAUGGGAUCACAAGAUUAGGUGAUAAUUUAAUCUGUCCUUCCUGCACCAAGAAAUCAAAUAUUCUAUCAGCUUUAGUGAUGUCAAAAGCAAAUUUUUUUGGUUCUUUCUGGCCGAAAGGACAAGACAGCGGCUUCUUAUUUUUCACCCAUUCUGCUAAGCCGACUGGUUCUUCAUCAGAAUCAGAACUUCCUGCCUCAUCAACAAAUGAUACCUUCUUAUUCCAAUUCUUUCUAGGUUCAAAAGCCCUGACAUCUUUAUCAGAAAUCCUUUGCACCAAAUGACUUAAGCUUUCAAACUCUUGAGAAGCAUAUUUAUCUUUGAGAUGUGGCAGCAAUCCUUGAAUAGCGAAAUCGUCCAACUUUUGAUCAUCUAGAACCAAGCUAUAGCAUUUGUUUUUUAUAUCCCACAGUCUCUGCACAAAGCUCUCCAUCGAUUCAUCAUUAUGUUGCCUUAGUCUUACUAAAUCGGUAAGCUUCUUCUCAUGAACUCUAGAAAAGAAGUACUUAUGAAACUGUUUCUCUAGAUCAGCCUAGGUAAUAACUGAAUUUGGAGGUAAUAAAAUAAACCAGGUAAAAGCCGAUCCUGACAAGGAUGAUGAAAAUAAACGAACCCUUAAUUCAUCUCUGUUAGUAGCCUCUCCACAUUGAAUGAUGAACUGAUUAACAUGCUCCAUUGUUGAGGUAUCAUCUUGCCUAGAGAACUUAGUGAAAUCUGGCACUUUGUACCGAUUUGGAAGUGGAAUUAACUCAUAUGCAGGAGGAUACGGUGUUCGAUAGGAGUAAGUAUUGACCUUAGGUUUUAUCCCAAACUGAUCUCUCAUAACUUCUGCUAUCCUAUCAGCCCAAUAGGCAUCAGCAUCUUGCCAAUGUACUAGUUGAACUUCUGGCACCUGCUGUUAUGCUUCCACGUGUCUCUAGGUACACGAUUUCCACCAAACAUCAUAUUAGCCAUAGCUUGUGGACCACCAACUUGCUGAGCAAGAUUCAUCGGCUGAAUUGGCGGUGCCUGAUUCUGAAAACCGACCUGCAUAUGAUCCUAUUGAACUCCUGUGACCUGAUGAUUCUGCUAUGUCGUGUGUGGGAAGACCAACUGUCCUAUCCAACAAUAUUAGCAUUCAUUGGUACAAGAUUUGCCGAUGGCUGAAAACUAGUUGUCAUUGCUGGAUUGACAUAACCCGCCUGAGACAUGAACCUCUAUUGCGUCGGCAAUGGAUUUGCCGAUGAGUUUGCAUUAGGCAUCUAGAACGUUGGCAUCUGACAAUUCCCAACAAUUGGCCUCGCAGUAGUUGUGGUAGAAUACUGAGGCACCUGAGUCAUCGGUGAGACUGGAGGCGCCGAUGGCAUGGGAGUUUUCCCUGCUAAGCCAGUUAUCUAAGAUGUUCCAGAAGUAUUUGCAAAAAAACUCUGGAGGCAUACCAUAUCUCCACCAGUUGGGAGGAACCUGACAGUUUUGAAAUACAGACCCUAACAUAGCUGAUGCCGCGUUGGGUAUUUUAAACACAAACAGAAAAAUCCGCAAGCACACGGAUACCGAUGUAGCUUUCACCCGGGAGUAUUCCAGAGUAUCGAUUUUCCACAGGGAACGUGAGUGUACUAAUUAAGAUUCAAGAUCGCCCAAGGAUAACUAUAUAAUUAUUUUUGGUGGGAAGAGAGGAAGUUUCCUGAGAGUUCUCUAGUUGAUCUAAGAAUCAAGAAUUACUUCAAAGAUUAUUUAUUUCGGGACAUCAGAACAAUAACCACAGAAAGAGAUCACAAGGGGCUAGGAAGCUCUGACUACGGUCCUACAAACACCGAUCCGAACGAGGUGGGAUACGUCGACCGUUAGGGCUGUCACUAUCCUAGGGCUACCACAACAAUCCGCAGGAUUGGGUGCAAUUCCAUGUAACUGCAAGACUAAACACCACGUCUAAUCUAUUAAUUACUACUCUAAUGUUGCAAAGAUUAGAGCACUUGAUGCAAGCGGGAAUCCAAUAAAUAACUUGAAUGUAAAUAAAAGUAAUAAAAGAACUCAAGAAUUAUGAAUUGAAGAACCUAGAGAACGAUGAAGACCGAACCAGUUGCUGCAAAAGUACAAUGUUGAGGAAGAUCCGACAGAUCCGGAUCCUCCUCCUCCGCUCUCCUCUUCUCUCUCCCUAUUUUCUAGAUUUCAACUAGAAAACUAGAACUAGAAGAACUAGAACUAGAACUAGAUGAACUAGAACUAGAACUAGAUGAACUAGAGGUAGAACUAGAUGAACUAGAGGGAUCCUCUCUACUUGGAUGAAGAAUUGAAACCCUAACUUUGAUUCUGUAGAAGAGGUAUGAUCUCUAGGGGCCAGGGGGCCUUGCUUAUAUAGUCUUUUCAGAUGAAUCUGGGCCGUCAGAUCAAACCGACAUUGAUUGCAUGGUUUUCCUUGAUCCCUUAGGUCGGUGGAGCAUGAUCUGCGAAAAGGACUCUGAUUGGGCACUGUAGCAGGGCGGGGGCCCAGGAGAGUAGGGCGGUCGCCCUGCCUCCGAGCCCGUUCGGCCUCCCGUUCGUUCCCGUGGCUUCUAGAGUCUUCUAGAUGAUAGAAAAUUGGGCGACACGUUAAUAUCUCUAUGUAAACCCGACGUGUGGGCCUUUCCUCCAUAUUUCCUGAUAACCCCCAGCAGAAAUAGACAAACACCAAAACUCGUGGAAUUCUGUCACAUAAAACCCUAAAUCUGGGUGUUGGUUGCAUAUAGGUCCUUUUUCAUGAUUAGUUGACGGUUAAAUGUUAGCACUAAGGACCGUCAACAAGCUCCCCCAAGCUUAACCUUUGCUCGUCCCUGAGCAAAGCUAAAAUCAGCAAGAAAACAGGGGUUACAUUUAUGCCUCUUACUACAGGGUUUUUAAGUUAUUACUAUGGUCUUAAGUGAUUGAAAAACAGAAUGAUCAAGUCAAGCACUAUGUCUCAAGUUCUUCUGUCUUACCUUUGUUCUGUAGUUUUUUAUAAGUCUACAAAAUAAAACUGAGGCAUUUGCCUUCUUAUCAAAAGAUAUAUAAGUAGAGCUUUAAAAGUUUUAGCAUACUUACUUUGCAUUUUGCUAUGUCAAUGCUCGGAGCAAGGGAGAAGAGUGUCAUACUGCUAGAUCAAGACCUUUGACCUUUUUGAAAAGUUUGUCGUCUCUUACUGGCAUAUUGCUUAUUAGAGGGUCCAUGGGCUUGUUGACGGUCCUUAAGUGCUAAAAUUAACAAUCAAAUAAACAUGGAAAAGGAUCAAUAUGCACUAAACAUCUAGAAUUAGGGUUUUAUCUGAUAGAAUUCCACGAGCUUUGGUGUUUAUCUAUUUCUGCAGGGGGUUAUCAGAGAAUAUGGAGAGAAGGCCCACAUGUCAUGUUUACAACGAGAUAAUUAUGUGCCGCGCAAUUUUCCUCAAUCUAGAAGAGUCCAGAAGCCACAGGAACGAACGAGAAGACGAUCGGGCUCGGGGGUAGGGCGCCCGCCCAGGGUUAGAGUCCAAUCAGGACUCUCUUUCGGGACUAAACUCCACCGACCUAAAGGAUGAAUGUAAACAAUACAAUCAAUGUCGGUUUGAUCCAACGGCCCAAAUUCACUUGAAAGGACUAUAUAACCAAGGCCUCUCCACCCCUGGAGAAGAGAGGAGAAGAGAAGAAAUCAUUAUCAGAGGUAGCCAUCAAAGUUAGGGUUUAGAGCUUCUCUCCCACAGAGAAUUAGAAUUAGCUACUCCCUAAUCCUCCAAGUUUAGAGGUUUGAUUAGAUAGCAAUUAGAGAAGUAGAGCACUACGCUCUGGAUUCGGAUCUUCGGUAAUAAAGAUUGGUAUUAUUCAUAUCUUUCUCUAAUACUUUGUUCUAAUUGCAUUAUGUCUCUAAUUAUUAUGUUCUUAGUUUGCUCUAGUUCUAUAUUUGAUAUAGUUAUGAUUGGUAAUGAGUUUAUGUAUAAGUUUGCAAAGCGCUUAGCUCUUGACGUGAGAGAGUUAAGUGGUAGAUCACAUGUGAGCGUAGUGCUUAGAUAUUAUUUACCUACAAAUGUAUCCUAUUGGCCGGGUUGUGUGGUAGUUCGCGAUAGUGACAGCUUCGUUGAUUCUUAUAUAGUCCACCCUCCAUUGAUAGGACAGGCAGAACUUGUAUUGCGGAGUAAGUCUUGUGAUGUUCUGAUUUACUUUAGCAAUGUUCCUUAUACAUGAAUGAAGAGUCUUUUAUGCUAUAUAUAAUCUUGUAGAUAACUAGAGUAGAUUAUGACUUAAUAGAUAGUAGAUAACUUAGAAUCCAUUCUCUAGCUAAUCCGACAUCACCUACAUAUAUAAGGAGUAGUUUAUUUUCUAAUAGUUGUGUUAUUUACCCAUGAACUUAUACUUCAUUAUUAUUAUCUUUAUGGUUUACCCCCUGCCAAAGUAAGUGACUGUGUGAUGAGUUUCUCAUUAGUAAUCAUAUUCUUGCAAGUUUAUCUCUAGUCUAUGCCUUGAUAGAUUUUUUCCUUAUUUUAAUUUCAUCCCUUUUGUUCUCUUAAGCAAAAUUAUAAAUAACGAUACCUGGAAUACUUAUCCUGGUGAAAUGCUACAAUGAGGUGUUUUAUCUGUGCGCUUGCGGAUAGAAUAGAUUAUUUUCUAAAGAGCAUCUAGAACAUUGGCAUCUGACAAUUCCCAACAAUUGGCCUCGCAGUAGUUGUGGUAGAAUACUGAGGCACCUGAGUCAUCGGUGAGACUGGAGGCGCCGAUGGCAUGGGAGUUUUCCCUGCUAAGCCAGUUAUCUAAGAUGUUCCAGAAGUAUUUGCAAAAAAACUCUGGAGGCAUACCAUAUCCCCACCAGUUGGGAGGAGCCUGACAGUUUUGAAAUACAGACCCUAACAUAGCUGAUGCCGCGUUGGGUAUUUUAAACACAAACAGAAAAAUCCGCAAGCACACGGAUACCGAUGUAGCUUUCACCCGGGAGUAUUCCAGAGUAUCGAUUUUCCACAGGGAACGUGAGUGUACUAAUUAAGAUUCAAGAUCGCCUAAGGAUAACUAUAUAAUUAUUUUUGGUGGGAAGAGAGGAAGUUUCCUGAGAGUUCUCUAGUUGAUCUAAGAAUCAAGAAUUACUUCAAAGAUUAUUUAUUUCGGGACAUCAGAACAAUAACCACAGAAAGAGAUGACAAGGGGCUAGGAAGCUCUGACUACGGUCCUACAAACACCGAUCCGAACGAGGUGGGAUACGUCGACCGUUAGGGCUGUCACUACCCUAGGGCUACCACAACAAUCCGCAGGAUUGGGUGCAAUUCCAGGUAACUGGAAGACUAAACACCACGUCUAAUCUAUUAAUUACUACUCUAAUGUUGCAAAGAUUAGAGCACUUGAUGCAAGCGGGAAUCCAAUAAAUAACUUGAAUGUAAAUAAAAGUAAUAAAAGAACUCAAGAAUUAUGAAUUGAAGAACCUAGAGAACGAUGAAGACCAAACCAGUUGCUGCAAAAGUACAAUAUUGAGGAAGAUCCGACAGAUCCGGCUCCUCCUCCUCUGCUCUCCUCUUCUCUCUCCCUAUUUUCUAGAUUUCAACUAGAACUAACUAGAACUAGAACUAGAAGAACUAGAACUAGAACUAGAUGAACUAGAACUAGAUCUAGAUGAACUAGAGGUAGAACUAGAUGAACUAGAGGGAUCCUCUCUACUUGGAUGAAGAAUUGAAACCCUAACUUUGAUUCUGUAGAAGAGGUAUGAUCUCUAGGGGCCAGGGGGCCUUGCUUAUAUAGUCUUUUCAGAUGAAUCUGGGCCGUCAGAUCAAACCGACAUUGAUUGCAUGGUUUUCCUUGAUCCCUUAGGUCGGUGGAGCAUGAUCUGCGAAAAGGACUCUGAUUGGGCACUGUAGCAGGGCGGGGGCCCAGGAGAGUAGGGCGGGCGCCCUGCCUCCGAGCCCGUUCGGCCUCCUGUUCGUUCCCGUGGCUUCUAGAGUCUUCUAGAUGAUAGAAAAUUGGGCGACACGUUAAUAUCUCUAUGUAAACCCGACGUGUGGGCCUUUCCUCCAUAUUUCCUGAUAACCCCCAGCAGAAAUAGACAAACACCAAAACUCGUGGAAUUCUGUCACAUAAAACCCUAAAUCUGGGUGUUGGUUGCAUAUAGGUCCUUUUUCAUGAUUAGUUGACGGUUAAAUGUGAGCACUAAGGACCGUCAACAAGCUCCCCCAAGCUUAACCUUUGCUCGUCCCUGAGCAAAGCUAAAAUCAGCAAGAAAAUAGGGGUUACUUUUAUGCCUCUUACUACAGGGUUUUUAAGUUAUUACUAUGGUCUUAAGUGAUUGAAAAACAGAAUGAUCAAGUCAAGCACUAUGUCUCAAGUUCUUCUGUCUUACCUUUGUUCUGGAGUUUUUUAUAAGUCUACAAAAUAAAACUGAGGCAUUUGCCUUCUUCUCAAAAGAUAUAUAAGUAGAGCUUUAAAAGUUUUAGCAUACUUACUUUGCAUUUUGCUAUGUCAAUGCUCGGAGCAAGGGAGAGGAGUGUCAUACUCCUAGAUCAAGACCUUUGACCUUUUUGAAAAGUUUGUCAUCUCUUACUGGAAUAUUGCUGAUUAGAGGGACCAUGGGCUUGUUGACGGUCCUUAAGUGCUAAAAUUAACAAUCAAAUAAACAUGGAAAAGGAUCAAUAUGCACUAAACAUCUAGAAUUAGGGUUUUAUCUGAUAGAAUUCCACGAGCUUUGGUGUUUAUCUAUUUCUACAGGGGGUUAUCAGAGAAUAUGGAGAGAAGGCCCACAUGUCAUGUUUACAACGAGAUAAUUAUGUGCCGCGCAAUUUUCCUCAAUCUAGAAGAGUCCAGAAGCCACGGGAACGAACGAGAAGACGAUCAGGCUCGGGGGUAGGGCGCCCGCCCAGGGUUAGAGUCCAAUCAGGACUCUCUUUCGGGACUAAACUCCACCAACCUAAAGGAUGAAUCUAAACAAUACAAUCAAUGUCGGUUUGAUCCAACGGCCCAAAUUCACUUGAAAGGACUAUAUAACCAAGGCCUCUCCACCCCUGGAGAAGAGAGGAGAAGAGAAGAAAUCAUUAUCAGAGGUAGCCAUCAAAGUUAGGGUUUAGAGCUUCUCUCCCACAGAGAAUUAGAAUUAGCUACUCCCUAAUCCUCCAAGUUUAGAGGUUUGAUUAGAUAGCAAUUAGAGAAGUAGAGCACUACGCUCUGGAUUCGGAUCUUCGGUAAUAAAGAUUGGUAUUAUUCAUAUCUUUCUCUAAUACUUUGUUCUAAUUGCAUUAUGUCUCUAAUUAUUAUGUUCUUAGUUUGCUCUAGUUCUAUAUUUGAUAUAGUUAUGAUUGAUAAUGAGUUUAUGUAUAAGUUUGCAAAGCGCUUAGCUCUUGACGUGAGAGAGUUAAGUGGUAGAUCACAUGUGAGCGUAGUGCUUAGAUGUUAUUUACCUGCAAAUGUAUCCUAUUGGUCGGGUUGUGUGGUAGUUCGCGAUAGUGACAGCUUCGUUGAUUCUUAUAUAGUCCACCCUCCAUUGAUAGGACAGGCAGAACUUGUAUUGCGGAGUAAGUCUUGUGAUGUUCUGAUUUACUUUAGCAAUGUUCCUUAUACAUGAAUGAAGAGUCUUUUAUGCUAUAUAUAAUCUUGUAGAUAACUAGAGUAGAUUAUGACUUAAUAGAUAGUAGAUAACUUAGAAUCCAUUCUCUAGCUAAUCCGACAUCACCUACAUAUAUAAGGAGUAGUUUAUUUUCUAAUAGUUAUGUUAUUUACCCAUGAACUUAUACUUCAUUAUAUUAUCUUUAUGGUUUACCCCCUGCCAAAGUAAGUGACUGUGUGAUGAGUUUCUCAUUAGUAAUCAUAUUCUUGCAAGUUUAUCUCUAGUCUAUGCCUUGAUAGAUUUUGUCCUUAUUUUAAUUUCAUCCCUUUUGUUCUCUUAAGCAAAAUUAUAAAUAACGAUACCUGGAAUACUUAUCCUGGUGAAAUGCUACAAUGAGGUGUUUUAUCUGUGCGCUUGCGGAUAGAAUAGAUUAUUUUCUAAAGAGCCUUUACAUUUAUAAAUACCUAUGUACACUCUGGCACCAUGCUGGGGAUGACAACCUAGUAUUCAAGUGGUGUUAGCUAGUGUCAACAAGCAUUUCUAGCGCCGUUGCCACAGAAGUCAUAAAAGGAAUCAAAAGGGGAACACAUAGGAACGGUAAGGAAAGUCAGGAAAUCAAUCAAGGUUAUUCACAUAAAAUAUUAGACUAGACUAUAGAGAAAUAAUUGCAUAAACAGCUACUAAGUGAGAAAUCAUAACAAGGCACCUCUGCUUUGGCAGGUUCACCAUGUUGUUUUUCUAUGUUUAUAUUUUUAUACAGGGUAUAUCAGGAUUGACUUUGGGUACAUUCAACUCUUCAUCAUCAGAACCAAAGCAAUCAAGAAAGAAAGAAGAAACUAGCUACCAAUUGCUGAAGCUAUGGCACAGAAGACCCUACAAGAAUUCUCUGCUCCAAGUCUUGAGAACAUUCCAACUGGUCCAAGAUUUGCAGUAGAAGAAGGAGUACCCGAGUUUGAGAUCAAGUCAAGCAUCAUCAAUUUGGUACAAGCUACACAAUUCAGUGGAAAGGCACAUGAAGAUGCAGUGCACACUUGCAGAAUUUCUUAGAGAUUGGAAGCACAAUCCACAUCAAUGGAGUCGACAAAGAUGUCAUACUGCUUCGCCUUUUCCAUUCUCACUAGAAGGGAAAGCGAGGAAGUGGUUCUACACUCAUCAAGAUAACAUCAACAACUGGACGAACUUGUGAGAUGCCUUUCUAUCAAAGUUUUUCCCUAUAGGCAAAACAACUGCCUUAAGAGAAAAUAUUGUCAGUUUCCAACAGUAGAAGACAGAAGCCAUUUCAGAAGCAUGGGAGCGUUUUCAAGGAUACAUUUCAGAUUGUCCUCACCAUGGAAUGGCCACGUGGUUACUUAUUUAGACCUUCUACCAUGGAUUAACCGAGAAGGCUCAUGAGUGCCUAGAUGCAUCUGCUAAAGGAUCAUUCUUGGAGCUUACAACUGGAAAAGCAGAGAUACUUUUGGGUAAGAUAGCAGAAAACCAAAGCUGGUUCCAAGAUAAAGCUCAACAAUGUCACCAAACUGAAGAAAUACCAGAAGAAGUAAAUGCAUUAUCAACUAAGAUGGAAAAUUUGCUCCAUUGGAUUGACCAGAGGACCAUGUUUAAAGAAGAUCAAAGGGCCAUUGAGACAGCAUACAAAUAUCAGCCUACCUCAAGUCAACCCAAUAGCAAAGGUAAAGAAUAUAACUACUAGAGGAGGCAAAGCCACCAGAGAUCCCCCAUACCCAAAAGAGAAACAAAGAACAUCAGCACCAAUGCAACCACCAGUGAUAGAAGUAGAAAGCCCAGUUGAAGCAGAAGAUCUGCUACAACCACCAAGAACUGGAGAAAUGAGGAAAGAUUUUUACGACACCAACUAUUUGCCAUUUCCUAAAAAAUCAGAGGACUGCAGUCGAAUGAGCAGUUUGGUAAGUUUGUAUAGGUCAUUCAGAAAUUAUAUGUCAACAUACCUCUGCUUGAUGCCAUACAGGUACCUACAUAUGCAAAGUACAUCAGAGAUAUUCUUAACAAGAAGAGACCACUGCCCUCCACUGAGGUUAUCAAGCUGACAGAAGAAUGUAGUGCGGCCAUCCUCAAUAGACCACCAAAGAAGAAGGAAGAUCCAGGAUGCCCCACUAUUGAUUGCUCGAUCGGAAACCAACACUUCAACAAUGCACUUUGUGAUCUCGGAGCAAGUGUCAGUGUGAUGCCAGCAUCAGUCUACAAGAAGCUUGAGCAUACGACCCUAGAACCAACAUCGAUGUGCCUACAACUAGCAGAUCAAUCGGUUCGACACCCGUUGGGCAUCGCCGAAAACAUUCCAGUCAAAAUCAGAGAUUUUCUGGUGCCAGUAGACUUCGUAGUACUGGACAUGAGUCCUGACUCAAAAGUGCCCAUCAUCCUUGGAAGGCCAUUUCUGAGCACUACCAAUGCCCACAUUGAUGUCGGGAAGGGAGAAAUCAAGUUCAACAUAAACGGACAAGAAGAACACUUCACAUUCAAACCCAGACCAGAGAGAGACCCUACAGUGAAGGAAGUUCAUGAAGAACCACCGGAGACACCAUCUCCAGAGGAAGGUAAUUCAGAAGAUUAAAAGAUUUGGAGGUCCAGCUUGGGGGACCUAAAGAUCCCAAACCCUCACCGGGAGGUAAAUCGGUCUUUAUCCACGUUAGUAAUUCUAUCAUAUUUAAUUCUUGCAUUAAUCAUAUUUAUUCAUAGCAUUAUCAUAAUAAUAAAAAGCCCCAUAUAAAUAAUAUUUAUGGUGUGCAACAACCCAUAUUUAUUAAUUAUUGUGGAGGCACAAAAAUAUUUUUCAUUUUCAUUUCAAUAAGUUUUAAUUCUCAUAGAUUUUUCUGCAUUAUAUUUAAUUAUAGUAACCUUCUAGAAGCAUGACCCACACUCCUUGGGUCCCACAUGUCAUACACCACACCUCACAUACAUCCAAUCACAUUAUUUGAUCCACCAACAUAUCUCCACUAACCAACACUUUUUCACCGGCCAACCACCACCCAUGAUCCAUUAUUUUGCGUGAGAAUUAAGCAUAGAAAGGUGUGGAGAAAGAGGCAGCCAGAAUGGGCACCAAAGGUGGGCACCCGCCCACCUACCAAGGGCGCCCGCCCUGCCCCCUCUUCCUCCUAUAAAUAGCCACCUUCUACCUCCAUCCUCUCCACACAAGGACUCCAGAAAACCACACAAGUUUCAGUUUCCUGAGAAGGAGCUCUUGUAGUGAAGUGAGAAGAGAGUAGAGAAGAAGAGAAGAGUGGAAAAGAAGUUGGUAGUUUUUGAGUGAGAGAGUGAGUUUCACCUAGUAAGUAGUGAUCCCGCUGUCCAAGCGGAAGUAAAAGUUGUUUAGGGGGAGCUUCUGCCAAAAUAGAAACUUGUCUUGAAUGACCAACCCCUGGACUACUGACAUUCCGGACAGCUGACCACUAACAUUUUCUCUCACAUUUUCCACUAGUUGUGUUUUUGCCAACUUUUGUUUACAGGAUGUUUAAGAAGGUAAAGAAUGCAGGGAAGGCUCUCAAGAACAUUGGUACAAGGAGUUCAACCCGACACUCCUCACACCCAUCAGAGAUGAGUGUCGAUACGACACCCACACAAGCUCCGUCAUCUUCAUCUGGUCAGUAAGUCAAGGUCCUUCUCAAGAUAGGAGACCUAGGACUAAAGACCCGAAGGGAAAAGGAUGUUUACCAGCAACUGAAGAACAAAGAUUUCAUUCACACCACUACUCUCGAUCCAAUCUUACUACAAGAAACAGGUAUGGACACUGAAUUCAACUUAAUUUUCCAGAUGUUAGGUUGGACAAAUUUUUGGAACAUAACUGAUCUGGGUUCUCGUCUUCUCACCCUCCAAUUUCUUUGCACUUUACAAUAUUAUGAGGGGGAAUUGUUUUUCGGAUGUUCAAACAGGAGAUUAUGUUGUCUUGGAGAGAACUAAGUGACCAUCUUGGUUUCUCUUCAAGAUGCAUCCUGAACAUUGACUCUGACUUACCCAACUUUGAGAGACACCAGUUUUGGAGAGAAAUAUCUAGAGAUAAUUUUUAUAGUCAAGCCCGAACCAGUGACAUGGAACACCCCACUUUAGGAUGUUCCACAAAUGGCUUGGGUACAAUCUUUUCUAUCGUGAUGAUAUUAGGAAAGUAAGAGUAGGAGAUUUGCAACUUUUAUAUGCUGCUAUUAGUAAAGUACCCACUUCACCUGUUACACUUUUAGUUUCUCAUUGGCUUAGUGUGCCCAGUCUUCAGGGACCAGUAGGAUGUACUUCACUUAUCACUCGUCUAGCCUCUAAUCUUCACUUGCUAGAAAACUCUUCGUUGGACUUCAUAGAUGAGUUAAGAAUUUAUCAUGGCUAUGACAAAUUUAGACAGGCUCGGAUGUUAAAGAAAGAGGGGAAUAUAAUGUAUAUGCUCUAUGAUGAUAAAGGCAAGAUUCGGUUACCUAACCCGAACCUUGGCCUCUACGUUGUUCAAAAUUUUUUGAUUGAGAUUGCAGCAACACCAGUGAACCAGAGAGCUCCAUAGCGAGUGGCAUCUGAAAGGAUGACCACCCACCGAGAACGCACCUGGUAUGGAGCUGAUCCCAGGCCGGAAGAAGCAGCGCACUUGCAUUAUAGCGACUACAACCCCCGAGUCCUUCGAGACCCAUGGGUUCGACAUGCGCAACCACAAGAGCCAACACAGGAGACAUGGCCGGAGAGCCAAGAUCACCAGUGGACAAACCCGCCUUUUCAUACGGGUAGGUACUCCACUGAUCCAUAUGGAGCUUCAGGAUCCAGACCUCCGCCCCAAUUUGAUGCAGGACGAUACUCCGACGCCUCCUACGCUUUCACGAACGACUACUACCAAGAGGCCGGUGUUUUCUUCACCCGUACCGACAACACUCUCCUCGACAUCCAGAACACGCAAGCAGAACAUGGACGACUCCUGGAAGAGCAACAAAAAUAGAACCAGGACCAUGCCACUGCAGUACAAGAGCUGAGACAAGAUACAACAAUAAUGAACGACAACAUCACAACCAUGAUGCGGUUCUGGAAGAUCGGGUAAGGCCGACAUCAACAUCCAGCUUGGGGGAGUCCCUUCCCAAUUUAUCAAGUAAGUUUUUAUUUGCACUUCUUAUUUAUUCUUUUCUAUUUUAGUAUUUUAUCUUAAAGAGAAAACCCAAUAAAUAUUUUCUUGCUUUAAUUUACUGCAUUUUAUAAAAAUGAAAACAAAAUAAAAAGAGUGUGUAGAUAAGUGUGCUUUAUUUACCUACUAAGUGUUAAUCUCUAGAAAAAAAUAAAAAAGACCAAAAAAAAUGCAUGAUGGAAAUGAUGAACAGUUGCUCUAUUUGCUUAUUUUCAAGUACCUAGCUUUUAUAUUAGAGUUCUUCUAGAAAUUACUAAAACUGAAAUUACUAUCUUUGGGAAGCAUAAAACUAAAGUCUAGGUAAGAGAAGGGCAUGAUAUAAAGUUGAGUUACUGUUUAUCUUGUUCCUACUACACUAAGUUCUGGAGAUUUAUUUUGAAACUUAAAAAUCACAUGAUGAGUUCCUAGCAUUACAAACUACCUACCAUAGCCAUACUUGCUAUAACAUCUUUUAUUCACAUUGAGUUUGAUCGAGCUGUGUAGACCCUUAGGAGCUUUUCAUGUGGUUAAAUUAAGAUAUUCAGUUGCACACAUCUACCACAACAUUCAUCACCAAUCAUUAAAAUUGCUAAAAAUAUUAUCACUCACUAUCCCAAAUAUUGUUAUUCUCUCUCUCUGAAAAGAUUUAAUGCAGAAGAGGCAUGGGUUAUGCAAAAAUAUGCGAGGAAAUAAAAAGGGGCAAGUGCCCGGAACCUCAGAAAAGAAAGAAAAAGAGUGAGACGAGAGGUAAAAAUGGACAAGUGUCCGGAGUAGAAUUAGGGGUACAAAGAUACCCACUUGAGUGGAAAAAAUGGACAAGUGUCCGACAGUAGAAUUAGGGGUAUCUACUACCCACUUGAAAAAAAAUAUAGCCCAUGUUCUCCCAAAGCAAAGAUCAAAGAAGAGGAGAGAUAGCAAUAUGAGGAGCAAUGAGAAGUAAGCUUUAUUAUCACUUAUACAUUUUUACCAUCACUAUCAUUUACUCCAUCACACAUGCACAUCUUAAUUUAAUUAUAUGUUGAGUUCCUUUGGAUCCAUGACUCGAUUAGACAACAUAUGUAUGAGCUGUUUUUCACUCCUAUGAGCUCUAAUUAAUUAUUCCAUUAGCUAUAGGUAAGUGAUAUUUUGGUAAGGAUCCACAAAUACCACAUAUAGAGAGACUUGAGAGAAUCAUUGCUGGGAACUCUGAGUUUUAUUUUGAAAACUUAUGCAAAACUACAGAACAAAGGUGUAGUAUAGAAAGGAGGAAUAGUGCUUGACUUAAUUAUUUUGUUUUUCAAUUACUUUAGACUCAAGUGCAGGUACUAAGCUCCAUAACACUUCACUCUAAUCUGGAAGAAUUUUAUAAAAGCAUGUGUGCCUGUCAGGAAAGAAAACAUCAAAGCAACUCCCGAUCCAUCUGAGUUUAGCUGUUUGCUCAGGGACGAGCAAAGGGUAAGCUUGGGGGAGUUUGUUGACGGUCCUUAAGUACUAAAAUUAAUAAUCAAAUAAACAUGGAAAAGGAUCAAUAUGCACCAAACAUCUAGAAUUAGGGUUUUAUCUGACAGAAUUCCACGAGCUUUGGUGUUUAUCUAUUUCUGCAAGGGGUUAUCAGAGAAUAUGGAGAGAAGGCCCACAUGUCAUGUUUACAACGAGAUAAUUACGUGCCGUGCAAUUUUCCUCAAUCUAGAAGAGUCUAGAAGCCACGGGAACGAACGAGAAGACGAUCGGGCUCGGGGGCAGGGCCCGCCCAGGAUUAGAGUCCAAUCAGGACUCUCUUUCGGGACUAAACUCCACCGACCUAAAGGAUGAAUCUAAACCAUACAAUCAAUUUCGGUUUGAUCCAACGACCCAAAUUCACUUGAAAGGACUAUAUAACCAAGGCCUCUCCACCCCUGGAGAAGAGAAGAAAUCAUUAUCAGAGGUAGCCAUCAAAGUUAGGGUUUAGAGCUUCUCUCCCACAGAGAAUUAGAAUUAGCUACUCCCUAAUCCUCCAUGUUUAGAGGUUUGAUUAGAUAGCAAUUAGAGAAGUAGAGCACUACGCUCUGGAUUCGGAUCUUCGGUAAUAAAGAUUGGUAUUGUUCAUAUCUUUCUCUAAUACUUUGUUCUAUUUGCAUUAUGUCUCUAAUUAUUAUGUUCUUAGUUUACUCUAGUUCUAUAUUUGAUAUAGUUAUGAUUGAUAAUGAGUUUAUGUAUAAGUUUGCAAAGCGCUUAGCUCUUGACGCGAGAGAGUUAAGUGGUAGAUCACAUGUGAGUGUGGUGCUUAGAUGUUAUUUACCUGCAAAUGUAUCCUAUUGGCCGGGUUGUGUGGUAGUUCGCGAGAGUGACAGCUUCGUUGAUUCUUAUAUAGUCCACCCUCCGUUGAUAGGACAGGCAGAACUUGUAUUGCGGAGUAAGUCUUGCGAUGUUCUGAUUUACUUUCGCAAUGUUCCUUAUACAUGAAUGAAGAGUCUUUUAUGCUAUAUAUAAUCUUGUAGAUAACUAGAGUAGAUUAUGACUUAAUAGAUAGUAGAUAACUUAGAAUCCAUUCUCUAGCUAAUCCGACGUCACCUACAUAUAUGAGGAGUAGUCUAUUUUCUAAUCGCUGUGUUAUUUACCCAUGAACUUAUACUUCAUUAUCGUUAUGUUUAUGGUUUACCCCCUGCCAAAGUAAGUGACUGUGUGACGAGUUUCUCAUUAGUAAUCAUGUUCUUGCAAGUUUAUCUCUAGUCUAUGCCUUGAUAGAUUUUGUCCUUAUUUUUAUUUCAUCCCUUUUGUUCUCUUAAGCAAAAUUAUAAAUAACGAUACCUGGAAUACUUAUCCUGGUGAAAUGCUACAAUGAGGUGUUUUAUCUGUGCGCCUUGCGGAUAGAAUAGAUUAUUUUCUAAAGAGCCUUUACAUUUAUAAAUACCUUUGUACACUCUGGCACCAUGCUGGGGAUGACAACCUAGUAUUCAAGUGGUGUUAGCUAGUGUCAACAGGGCUAUCAUUUUUACCUUUCUUCUUUUUUUCAGUCUCUCUCUCUCUUUUUUUAAGUGGGCACCAAGUACCCCUAAUUCUAUUAUCGGACACGUGUCCAUUUUUUCCACUCAGGUGGGUAUCUUUGUACCCCUAUUUCUACUUCGGACACUUAUCCAUUUUUACCUCUCGUCUCACUCUUUUUUUUUCGAAUCAAAAUUUUUUUCAUAGUCCCAUGCCUCUAACGCAAUUAUACUUUGGAAGAGUGAAUCUUUUAUAUUUUUAAAACAAAAAGAUCUUGAUCUUUGGAGCAUGAUAAUUCUCUCAACCAAAACUACAAGAAUUAACAAUGGCUUGAACAAAGCAAGUGCCCACAGUUUUAAUUUUUAUAUCUUAUAAGACUCUAGGUAUUAUGUCAAAUAGGAUCUCAUUUUUUUUAGAUUUUCCAAAGAUAAAAUCUCCAGAACUCUAGCGAAACUUGGAACAAGUUAAAUAGUAGCUCAGACCUUCUCAUAUCAUGUUUGUCAAUUACCUAGACUUGGAUCAAACUUUCUUUUUAUUUUAUUUAAAACAUAGGAUUAUACAAAACUAUUGGAUAUUACUCAAAAGAAAAACUUUGUUUGGUUUCAUGGUUAUGAAUUUUUUUUCAUUUCCGAAUACUAGUAAAUAAAACCAAGAAAGAAAAGUAAAACUUAUCUAGAUACACGUGGGGGUGCCUGCCCCAAGCUGGAUGUUGACAUAGUCGUUCACUCUUGUGGCCUGCACAUUCGGUCUCACUCUUCUUAAGCCUCAAAAUCCUGCACAACCCAAAUAGACAACAAAACUCGUGGAGCAUGUUAAGGGUUAGGUAAUUGUCUAGAGCUUAUGAGAGCUUAAUGUGAGAAUUCUAUGAACUCAAUCACAUCAAGUUCCUCUACCAUGUUGUUUUGUGGCUCGAGAUAGAUUUUCAAGCGUUGACCAUUUACCUUAAAAGUGUUACCUAUGUCGUCUUGGAUGGUAAUGGCUCCAUGAGUUGAAGUGCCAAUAACCUUGUAUGGUCCAUCCCACUUACUUCGUAGCUUACCAUGCCCAAAGAGCUUAACUCUUGAAUUGAAUAGUAGAACCUUAUCACUAGGCCUAAACUCCUUGUGCUUGAUUCUCUUAUCAUGCCAUCGCUUUGUUCUCUCUUUAUAGAUCCUUGAAUUGUGGUAGGCUUUCUCUCUCCAUUCUUCUAGCUCAGAUAGUUGCAUCAGACGAUUCUCGCUAGCAAGGUGGAGAUCCAUGUUCCAUUUCUUGAGUGCCCAAUGAGCCUUAAACUCUACUUCCACAGGCAAAUGACAAGUUUUUCCAUAUACAAGUUGAUAAGGUGACAUGCCUAUGGGUGUUUUGAAUGCAGUUCUAUAUGCCCAAAGUGCAUCAGGAAGUUUGUCCUUCCACCCCUUACCCAUCUCAUCUAUGGUCUUUUAUAAAAUAUUUUUGAUUUGUUUGUUAGAUGUUUUGGCUUGCACUACAAGAAAUGUGCCAACUUUUGACAUUUGAUAUAUGUCACAAUACCUAUAAAAUAUGUCAUAGGUCAUCAUUUAUGACACCAAGUUGACGAAAAAUCAAAUGUCAAAAGAUGAGCGUCUUUAACGACAACUUGUGACAUUUAAGUGUUAAUGUCAUAUCAUUAUGACACUGAUUUUGAACGUCAUAACCUUUAUGACCUUUGCUUUUAUGUCACAAGUUCUUUGAUCUUGCCAGUUAGUGAAUUCCAUAUAGCCCAAUAUUUAUUUGGACAUCAUUCAAGACCCACAGCUGCACAAACAAUCCAAAAUAACAUGUGUGCCCAACAAUAUAUUCCAUUCACAACCAAAUACAUAAGUUCACAAGUCACACAUCAACAUCAUUGUUACAUUCAUCGCAAACACCAAAGUAAUUGUUCAAGAAUUGACCUUAGUCACAAAGGUAUCUUAGAUAAAAUAAACAUAUGGAUAAUUCACAUCCCUGUCUCACAACUGACCUUUGUCACCAAACUAAUAGUCCUAAUAGACAGUGCUAACAGCUAAUUAUUCUUGGUGUCAUGAGCAAAUAACUUAAGUUAUUGAAAUCUCUCCAUGUCCUGCAAACGUACAACACAUUAGAAACAACCAUCACUUGUUGAAUCAAAUAAAAUUAUCAAUAAAGAAUGUUACAUGUGUACUACUGGAAGAAAUCAAGCAACAACAAUCUUUUCCACUUUAACAUAUAUUUGAGCAUUUGUAGGAAAUACACUAAUUCACACUGAACAUUCUCACACUGAUAAGUUCCUAGACAGUUAUUAUUAGCCUCACAUUGCUCUACUGUCAAGCAUUUUAGUUGCUGCACAGAACAUUGACAAACACUCUGCUGUUAUCACAAAGCCACUACUGAACAUAUUUUUCGAUACUGAAAACAACUCUGUUGUUUAUGCAUGAAACAAUAUUUCAGAGUGAAGUUUCAUUUCUCCUGUCUCACAGUGCGGAUUGGUGCAGGAGAGCACCUAGGGGUCGAGGAGGGGAGGUGCGGCACAUUGCCGUCGUGUUGCUGUCCUCCGACAUAGGGGACUCGCUGCCGUCGGAGCCGGUGCCCCCUUCGAGGAUUCGUGCUAUGGGUGAUAGCAUACAACGUAGGGCUGUAGUUGCGAGUUGAUGACAGACGGAAUAUGGCAUGACCAUCACAAAUAGCAGAACUAAAAUUUGAACAUGGCACUCUAGCAUCUCUACAAGCACAGAAUAUGCUUGUCUGAUGUUAUUUACGAAAAACAUACAAAUCAAUGUUAUUUAGGUUUCCAGUUUACUCCUACCUGAUGAAACUAUAUGUAACAAGAACUAUCCCAUUAUAGCCUCAAAAUGCACCUCUUAGCAGUUUCAUCAGCAUAAAUCAAAAAAUAAAGCUGGAAGGCAUAUAAUGUUCUACCUGAUAAUUUAACUGAAUCUAAAGGAUGAUAUCAUCACCUUAUAACCUGCAAAACAACGUACCCAUGCACAAUCUUUAGCAUAUCCUAGAAAUAAUUUUUUUAUUACAUCUGGUAGAUGCCUAUAGGUCUGUACUAAUAAAACUAUAAGAUGCUAGCUAUAGGUCUGUACUAAUAAAACAGAGCAAGAUAAAUAACAAUGGUCCCUGUGAAUAUAACAAUACUAAGGAAAUCGAAGUACAUGGUCAAUGUAAUGAAAAAGUAAUGGCACAUAAUAAGCUAUGGGCUUUUCAACUGUAUUUACCUUGUUUUGCAUUGAGGGUGUUAUAUUAGCAAUUAGCUGCUACCUGCAGUCCUGCACGCAUCAUAUAUGAAAAUACAUAUAUCCAUUACUGCAAGACCUAUAGCUAGCAUAACUGUAGCAUAACUAUUUGAUAAACAGAGGUAGCAAAACUGCAACAUAACUAUUUGAUAAAUAGAGGUAGCGAAUUGCAGCACAAAUAUUUGAUAAACAGAGUUAGCAAAAAUGACAGUCUAGCUAGCAGCAAGUACAUAAUCAAGCUAGCUACUACAUCCGACUCCUAGUCAAUGUAGUGACAAAAUUGGUUCUUAAAUUCAUAUAUGCAGACAUAUUACAUAUCACAGCCUACCACUAAUUGUCUAGCAGAUUGCACAUAGAAAAAUUGAACCUUUGAGAAAACUUAAAAAUCUGCAUUACAUAAAUUUGAGCCACACAAGAAUAGAUCCACCAAAACUUAAGAAUCUGCAUUACAGCUAGCAGUAGGUGCAUCUGAAUCUGUGAAUAAGAGGACACAAAACGUUUUUUCUCGGUUCUCUGGCUGUGACAUGGCCGCUGCUGAAGUGCUGAUUGCCGCUGGCUGCUGCUUCCUGGGAUGAUGCUGCAUAGUAGAGGCAAACCUAGGAAAAGUAGAUUCACCUAAAUUCUACAAAAAAAAUGAGAGAAAAAUAAUGAAUGGGUACUACUACCAGCACACAUUCACGCCACAUGAACUAAAUCCAUGACCAUCUGUACACAAUCAAGAGAAACACAUUUGGGUUCAAGUGAUGGGAUUGAAGGCUACUGCUACGUACCUAUGAAGGCAGCAGCUCGAGCUCUCUUUGCCUGCAGUCUCCGCCGCCGCUGCCAACCAAAAUCAUUUACUUGUUGAAGUGAACAAUUUUACUGCAGUUUGAAUCUGCUAUAAAAAAACAUGAAAUCCAAUAUGCAGUGGUAGAGAGCAAGGAACUAACAGCCUUCAUUUACCAGAAUCUGUCAUCCCAUUACUAAUACAUGUACAUGAAGGAACACCUAGCAAUGUGACAAAUUCUGUAACUCAGAUAGAUUUAGGCAAUGACCUACACAAAUAUAGAUAGAUGCAGUUCAGCUAAUAUACAGACAGUUCAGCAGCUAAUGCCUAAUACAUGGGGAUUCACGCAAUCAGGCAUCCAGGCAAUACUAGCGUUUAGUAGUACCAGCAUAGCAAGCAUUCAGGCAAGAGGCAAUAUUAGCAGACUAGUAGUACAUUACAGAGGAGGCAAGCUAAUACAGCAGCUGGGCAAGGGAGGGCAGAUCCAAUCAUCCAAGUUCUUACCUGCACGUGCAGCUGCUUGGCUGGAAGGGAGCGGCUAGUGGAGAAGGCGUCAGGCGGCCAACCACCCAGCGGACAGUGGAGCCACUGUCAAGAGCAGGCCCCCAGCCAACCACCCGCGUGGGGAGGCGAGCGGCCGGCGGGGAGGAGGGAGACCGGCGACAGGCAGGGAGCGUCCUCGCUGUCGUUUUCUCGCGUCCAUUCCACCGAAUCACCGCAGAAGCGCACGGUCCUGUGGAGGAACAACAAGGAGAAGCCAUGAGAAGAGAGGGGAACCUCGACUCACCAGAUCCCAUGGACACGCACGAUAGCGGCGUCCUUGCCUGCGCUUAGCCAUGCUCCGCCGCCAGCGCCGAGUGCGCCGAGAGGAGAGAGAAAAAGGGAAGGGGAACUAGAAGAAGAGUCUGGGAGGUGGGAAGGUGAAAGGAUAAGGUUGGGGAGAUAUGGAGUUUAACUACAUUGAAGAAAUUUUUUGUGACAUGAAAUCAUAUAUGUCACAAAGUUGAGAUGGCUUUCAAAAGAACGUCAUAAACUGAUCGAUUUAGUGACAUUUUGAUCACAUUGUCAUGCCAUAAUCGUCAUAAGAUGACACAUUUCUUGUAGUGUUGACCGCUAGUCUGAGGAUGGUAUGGUGUUGCGACAUUGUGUCGAACUCCAUGAUCGGCUAGGUACUUCCGGAAGAUUUUGUCGAUGAAGUGGGAACCUCCAUCGCUUAUAACUAUCUGGGGUAUACCAAAGCGAGGAAAGAUUACUUCAUGGAACAUUCUCUUGGCAUGUUUUGAAUUAGCUGAUCGACAAGGUAGGGCUUCUACCCAUUUGGACACGUAGUCCACAGCUACUAAGAUAUACUCACAAUUCCCAGACAUAGGGAAUGGCCCCAUGAAAUCAAUGCCCCAAACAUCGAAAAGUUCUACUUGAAGAUUAUUUGUGAGAGGCAUUUCAUUUCGUGAGUUGAUAUUCCCAUGUUUUUGACAUCGGUGGCAUCUCCUAACAAAGUCCUUUGUAUCUUCAUACAUUGUUGGCCAGAAAAAACCACUUUGCCAAAUUUUAGCAUGUGUCCGGAAUGCUCCAUAGUGUCCACCAUAUGGCGAGGCAAGACUUCUUUCCAUAAUUUGAGUAGCCUCAGCCAUAGGAACACACCUUCUCAAGAGUCCAUCAGCGCAGACUCAGAAAAGAUAUGGCUCAUCCCAAAGGUGGAAACGACUAUCGUGAAGCAACCCGGUGGGACAUAACCUUUUACUAUAAAGUUUAUGAUGUCUGCGUACCAUCGAUCUGCAUGUGUUAUCUUAAGUAGGGUGUCAUCCCUUAGGUAGUCAUUUAUGGGAAGCUCAUCAUGUGUUUCCUUAUAUUGAAGCCUAGACAAGUGGUCGGCUACGAAAUUCUCUACUCCCUUCCUAUCUCGGAUUUCUUUGUCAAAGUCUUGUAGUAGAAGAAUCCAUUGAAUAAGACGAGGCUUAGCAUCUUUCUUAGUGAGGAGGUACUUGAGAGCAGCAUGGUCUGAAUAGAUGAUUAUCUUUGCCCCCACUAAGUAAGAUCUAAACUUGUCUAUAGCAAAGACAACAGCCAAAAGCUCUUUUUCAGUUGUAGUGUAAUUCAGCUGUGGUACAGACAAGGUUUUGCUAGCGUAGGAUAUGGCAUAAUGCUUCUUAUCCUUGGUUUGUCCCAAAACGGCACCAACCGCAAAACCGCUAGCAUCACACAUGAUCUCAAAAAGAAGAUUCCAAUCAGGUGGUUGGAUAAUCGGGGCUGAGAUGAGUGCUUUCUUAAGAGUUUGAAAAGAUUCAUGACACUCAUCACUAAAGAUGAAAGGUGCAUCCUUAGCUAGGAGACUAGUUAGGGGUCUAGCAAUUUGAGAGAAGUUCUUAAUAAAGCGUCUGUAGAACCCUGCAUGUCCCAAAAAGCUACGGAUUCCUUUCACAUUCGUGGGAGGUGGAAGUUUUUCAAUAACUUCAAUCUUUGCUUUGUCCACCUCUAUACCAUGUUCGGACACUUUAUGUCCUAGCACUAUUCCUUCCUGAACUAUAAAAUGGCAUUUCUCCCAGUUUAGGAUUAAGUGCUUUUCUUCACAUCGCUGCAAGACUCUAUUUAAAUUCUCCAAACAAUGAUCGAAGGUUUUGCCAUAGACGGUAAAAUCAUCCAUGAAAACCUCCAUGAUUUUCUCAAUCAUGUCCGAGAAAAUAGACAUCAUGCACCGUUGGAAAGAAGCUGGAGCAUUGCACAAUCCGAACGACAUUCGUCGGUAUGCAUAAGUUCCAUACGAGCAUGUAAAGGUAGUCUUUUUUUGGUCAUUUGGGUGGAUUGGGAUUUGGUGAUAUCUAGAAUAACCAUCAAGGAAACAAAAUAAAGAGUGGUUUGCAAGCCGUUCCAACAUUUCAUCAAUGAAGGGUAAUGGAAAGUGAUCUUUCUUUGUAGCCUUGUUGAGUUUUUGAUAGUCAAUACACAUACACCACCCAGUGACAAUUCCUUGAGGGAUGAGUUCAUUCUUCUCAUUCCUAACUACCGUCAUUCCUCCUUUCUUUGGCACUACUUGGACAGGGCUAACCCACUCACUAUGUGGCACAGGAUAAAUAAUCCCAUCAUUAUAGAGUUUGAGGACCUCUUUCUUAACAACCUCUCGCAUAGCAUUGUUAAGUCUCCGUUGUGGUUCCCUUGAAGGUGUAAAAUUGGGAUCAAUAAGGAUACGAUGAGUGUAGAGAAUGGGACUAAUGCCCGUGAGAUCUUCGAGAGAGUAGCCAAAUGCUAAUCUAUGCCUUUCAAGAACAGUGACAAGUUGUUGUGUUUCAUAAUUGGAAAGCUUGUCACUGAUAAUUACUGGAGUUUUUGGGUUGUUGUGCAAAAAGACAUAUCUAAGGCCAGCAGGAAGAGGUUUUAACUCUAUCGAAGGAGGUGGAGGUUGUUCAUUUUUGUCUAGCUCAACGGGUUCUACCAACUCUUCUUCUUCUUGAACAAAGUGUUCAUGAUUAAAGAAUGGUUGGGCCAUCUCCUCCUGAGUUAGCAUUAAGAUCUCCUCAAUAGGAUCUGGUUCAAGUUUGGGUUCCACUAUCGUGUUAAUUGAUCUAGCUAGAGGAACAACAAUAGUGGAAUUUCCAACCUUGAAAUCUAAAUGACCUCGUUUGUGGUUGUUCUUGUAGAAGUUUCAUGAUUGGUCUGCCAAUCAAGAGAGGAGUCUCCGGUGUUGUGUAUUUUAAACGCAAACAGAAAAAUCUGCAAGCGCACGGAUACCGAUGUAGCCUUCACCCGGGAGUAUUCCAGAGUAUCGAUUUUCCACAAAGAACGUGAGUGUACUAAUUAAGAUCCAAGAUCGCCCAAGGAUAACUAUAUAAUUAUUUUUGGUGGGAAGAGAGGAAGUUUCCUGAGAGUUCUCUAGUUGAUCUAAGAAUCAGGAAUUACUUCAAAGAUUAUUUAUAUCGGGACAUCAGAGCACUAACCAUAGAAAGAGAUGAGAAGGGGGCUAGGAAGGUCUGACUAUGGUCCUACAAACACCGAUCCGAACGAGGUGGAAUACAUCGACCGUUAGGGCUGUCACUACCCUAAGGCUACCACAACAAUCCGCAGGAUUGGGUGCAAUUCCAGGUAAUUGCAAGACUAAACACCACGUCUAAUCUAUUAAUUACUACUCUAGCGUUAUAAAGACUAGAGCACUUGAUGCAAGCAGGAAUCCAAUAAAUAACAUGAAUGUAAAUAAAAGUAAUUAAAGAACUCAGGAAUUAUGAAUUGAAGAACCUGGAGAACGAUGAAGAACGAACCAGUUCCUGCAAAAGUACAAUGUUGAGGAAGAUCCGACAGAUCCGGCUCCUCCUCCACUCUCCUCUUCUCUCUCCCUAUUUUCUAGAUUACAACUAGAACUAACUAGAACUAGAACUAGAGGAACUAGAACUAGAACUAGAUGAACUAGAACUAGAUCUAGAUGAACUAGAGGUAGAACUAGAAGAACUAGAGGGAUCCUCUCUACUUGGAUGAAGAAUUGAAACCCUAACUUUGAUUCUAUAUAAGAGGUAUGAUCUCCAGGGGCCAGGGGUCUGAUUUUAUAGUCCCUUCAAGUGAAUCUGGGCCGUCGGAUCAAACCGACAUUGAUCGCAUGAUUUUCCUUGAUCCUUUAGGUCGGUGGAGCACGAUCCACGAAGUUGAAGCUGAUUGGUUACUGUAGCUGGGUGGGCACCCAAGGGGGGAGGGCGGGUGCCCUGCCCCCGGGCCCGAUCGGCCUCCCGUUCGUUCCCGUGGCUUCUGGAGUCUUCUAGAUGGUAGAAAAUUGCGCGGCACGUUAAUAUCUCUAUGUAAACCCGACGUGUGGGCCUUUCUUUCGUAUUUCCUGAUAACCCCCUACAGAAAUAGACAAACACCAAAACUCGUGGAAUUCUGUCAGAUAAAACCCUAAGUCUAGGUGUUGGUUGCAUUUGGAUCCUUUUCUAUGAUUAGUUGACGGUUAAAUGUGAGCUUUAAGGACCGUCAACAAGCUCCCCCAAGCUUAACCUUUGCUCGUCCCUGAGCAAAGAUGAACUCAAGAGUUUCUACAGUGAUUUCAUACUUUAAAGGUACACAUGCGUUCAAACAAGAUCUCAUCUCUGGGUUAGGGUAAACUUUUAAGAUUUAAACUCACUCAUAUUACCUUCCACCAUGGGGCUUGCAACCGUCACCUGUGUCUUGAGCAGUUAAAAGAUAGAACGGUCUAGUCAAGCACCAUGUCUCUUAUUCUUGAUCAGCUAUAGCUCUGAAGUUUUUGCAGAUUUUCAAAUAAAACUCAGAGAUUCCUUGUAUGACUCUCUCUAGUCUCUCUUUUGUAGUAUUUCUAGAUCCUUACCAAGGCAGUAUUGGUAUAUGCCUUCUCUCAAAGUAUGUGGUAUUUGUGGUAUAAGGCAUAGUGGCAUUGCCUUCUCUCUCACCCUAGUCUAAUAAGGCUUUUGAUAUCUGGAGCUCAUAGGUGGGAGACAGCUAAUACAUACUUACAAGACAUUUAUUGCAUAGUCAAACCAUGGAUCCAGAGAAACAAGUCAAUAAGUCAAAUCAAGAUGUGCAUGUGUGGCGAAUGAAUGAUGCAUGGUAAUGAUGGUGAUAAUAAUGGUGAAAGUCUAAUUCUACUUUUGCUCUUUUGAGGGGAUACAUACCUUCCUUGCUCUUUUGAAACUUUUGGGGAGAAUGAGAUGCUCUGUAUUUUCUUUUUCUUUCCUCUCAGGUGGGUAUCUUGUACCCCUAAUUCUACUGUCGGACACUUGUCCAUUUUUACCUCUCGUCUCACUUUUUUUUCUUUUCUUUCGAGGUUCCGGGCACUUGCCCCUUUUUAUUUCCUCGUAUUUAUUUUUUUCUCUCUCUUCUUCUCUUUUUUAGAGCACUCAUCUCUUGAAAUAAUAUAGCAAGUGGUAGUAACAAGAUAACUUGAGCAUUUAUUUCACAGGGAAAAAACAGAAAUAUUUUUGGAAUAUUUUUGGCUAUUCUCUCCCAGAUUAGGAGUAGAAUAUUUUUGGAUGGUUCUGGAGAUGGAAAUUGGUGCAUAUAUGUGGAUGCGUACUUCCGGAGUAGAAGCAGCAUGUAUGAGUGAAUGUGCAAGUGAAUCUUGACUUAACCACAUGACAAGCUCCUAAGGGUCUACACAGCUUGACCACACUCAAUGCUCAUAAGCAGUAAAAAGUAAAUGUGUGGCUCAAAGUCUAGCAAGCAUGUAUAUAUGGCUGUGGUAGGAAUUUAAACUCUCAUCAUACAGGAACUCAUCAUGUGAUAUUUUAAAGAUUUUCAAAGAUAAAAUUCUCCAGAAUUCUAGCAUCUCUAGGAACAGAUAAACAGUAGCUCAACCUUCCCAUAUCGUAUCCGUUAAUGACUUAGACUUUAGAUCAAGUACUCUCCCCACAAGUUGAGGUUUAGAGCAAAUCUUAAUUAAUACCAGUCAUGCCUAAACUUAAGAGAGAUUUCAAUUUUUACAACUAAUCAUGGCAGAGCAACUAUUCAUCAUUUCCAUGUGAGAGCUUAUCAUGAGGGUUCAUAGCAAACUUUAUUUAUUUAUUUAUUUAGCAACCUAAGCAAAGAUAUAUAUAUAUAUAUAAGCACAAAAUCUUUAUUUGGGUUUUUAUGAUUAUGCAUCUUUUUAUUAUUUGAGUAAAAUAUAAACAUGAGUAGAGCACUUAGCUGGAUACAAGGGGUUGCUCUCCCCCAAGUUGGGUUUUGACGUAAUUCCUUCUAGGUGGCAGAGGUGUAUUUGAAUGUUGGCAGCACCCUGACAGCGAUUAGGAUGUCCUCCGUUUGCUAGUCUUCUUUGAUCCUUGAAUUCUGUGGAGCUCAAAUAGACAACAAAGCUUUGUGGAACUAGUUAAGUGUUAGCAUAAAUAUCUAGCCUUUAUCAUGUUGAGUCUCCUCAAUAAAUGUUACUCUCUUUAGUAGGAAUAUAAAUUUAUUUUUAUAUUUUCAUUUUUAUAGGACAAGAAUAUAUUUAUUUUAUUUUUAUGCCACCACAGUGAAUGUACUUAUGGGUUUUAUGCCAUGAGCAUACUCACAUGGGGCUUACUGUUUUUAACAUUUUUAUUUUCUUUUCGAGAUGAUAUGAACCUGAUUAACUAAGCAAACUAUUUUAAAAUAAUUGAAAGGAAAAAGAUAACUACCAAGUUUACCUCUUGGCAAGGCGUUCGGUGUUUUUAAGUCCUCCGAACGGGACUCUCCGUUUUCUUAGUCGUCCUGGGAUUCGUUGGAUUGCGAAGUCGGUGGUUCCGGCUGCGCCUGCUCUUCGUGUAUAACUAUCUUCUCUCUACAUACCUGACUCGGUGCUAUGGUCUCCUCAGGACAGUUCUACUCAAGUUGUAGGUCUUCAGACCUUACCACUUCUCCUUCGUAGUCUGCUCAUCCGUCCUUGAUGAUUUUUCUCCUCUGGUUACGGUUGUGUCGUCUUCUUCUUGUCCUGACCUGCUUAGAGUCUUCAACUAUAUAGUUAAGGUUAAUAAAAUAGUGGCAUACCUUCUCAGAGAGGAAGUGCAUGUGGACUUCUCCGAUUCCAAUGUAGAUGAUUGCUUUAACGGAGCUGAGGAAUAGUCUCCCAAUGGUGAUGGGUGGAUCGUACUCGUCUUCUCCCAUCUCAAUAACCUUUCGGAAUCUGUCAUCUGGAGCUGAAUGUAUGUCGGUUUUAGGGGCAUGGUUCCGAACAGGAGUUGAUAGGUGACUGCGGCCAUUACAUUGACGUCAGAUCCAGUGUCGUAGAGUGUCUUCUGAAAAGAAUAUCCGUUGAUUGUGCACUCGAUGCUUGGAACACCAGGGUCGUCCUUCUUGGUCAGGAACGGUGACUUGAGUUGACGAUCUUGACCUCAUUGAGCUGCAGUGACCAUCUUAGCUGACUCAGUCCACAUUUGCUUGUUCCUGCUCCCCCUGUUGAACCUCAUCCUUGGUUCAUGUCGGGAUUGCUCUGAGAUUUGUGUAGUCUUGUUCUUGAAGGAAAACGUCUCCUUCCUCCCCUUGAUGUAGAAAUUGAUCUUGGCAGCACUAGCAUAGAUGACAGCUCCUGAGGUGUUCAGGAAUGGCCUCCCUAGGAUGGGUGCCCUCUCAUCAGUACCAGUCUCUAUCACCACGACGUAUGCUGGGGCGUACAAGGUACCAACUCGGACGCAGAGGUUCUUCAAAAUUCCCUUUGGGAAACUUAGCGUACGAUCUACAAGCUGCAAACACAUGGUUGUUUCUAAUAAAGGAUGUGUAAAGAAUUUUUUCAUAGAGUACCCUGGGCAUAAUGUUGACGCUGGAGCCAAAGUCGCAGAGUGCUUCUGGGAAGUUCACCAUGCCGAUGGAGAUCGGGAUGACGGUGCGUCCUGGAUUGCCUCUCUUGACCGGCAGAAGGUCAGUAAUUACUUCCACAAUGGGGUUACUCCAGUAGUUACGUCCUCAAGCAUCUCAGGGCAGUGAUUGCCUGAGUGUCCAGUAUCUCCAGUGUGUUUGUGCUCGCAGAUCUAGUUUCUUCACUUGGUGGAGUCUAGGAGUUGUAAAACUCCUUCAUAUGCUGCUCGAAGUGUACCUGCUCACAGAGACAAGGCAGAGAUCAAGUGCAUGGGCCCUGUUGGUGGAGAACAGCAACAGAACCAAAAAUGUAUUUGUUCUCUCUAACCUUAAGCAUAGUGAGCAAGAAAAAAGUUGAUGGAUAAUAAGAUCAUGAGUGUAGCAUUUAAAACAUUUGUUAGAUCAGAUUGCUCAACCUAAUGGAAAGAUAAUCUAUCUAUACUUAUGUGUUUUGUUUAUAUCUUCUAGAGAUUGAAUGUGCAACAUUUUAGCUUAUAUGAUUAGGAGUGUAGGAUCACAAAGGUGGAAGGACUAAACAUAUUGAAUCGAUUAGGUUGGUUAAUCUAGAGUUGUAAAUCAUACAUUUUUGUCUCUUUUAUUCAUGUGAACGCCAAAACCAAGGAGAAGCUUUAUAGAAGUGAUAGUCAAGUACCUUAAGAUGUUACCUUACUUGAAGAGUGAUGGUACAAUAUCACCUUGUGAAAGCUUUCCUUUCUUAUCGGUUGUGCAUCGUGUUUGUGGCACACUCCAUGGAUCAUCACUUGUGAGCUAUGCCUUCCUUGUGUAAAUUGUUAAACUUCAUGUGCCUCUCUCUUUGUCUCCAAUGUGAGUUUAUCUCAGGACUUCCUAGGUCGAUAUUGAAAGUUUUCCUGAAGGGGUUAGUCCAACAAAAUAUCCAAUAUCUACUAUAGCAUACUAUCGGUUCAAAAUUCAACCUAGACACCAUGUGUAAUUUGAUUUAGGAGGGCAUUUUAACCUAAGCACCAUGCUUAAUUUAAACUCCCUUGGAAGUAAGAUCAUCAUUCCUAAACUAAGCACCAUGCUUAAUUAAGAGAUAAAUGAAACUACUCCAAGCCUAGACAUAUACUAAAGCAAAUAAAGGUGGUAUGAUAGCAUUUAUAGAGAUCUACUCAAGUGGAGAUGAAGUAGUGUGAUUAGUAUUUAACAAAUUGAGCAUGUCUCAAAGGUAGGGACAACCAACAUAGCAACAUGGCAAAGGAUGUUUUUAUGUAAAGUACUCCCCCAAGCUUGAAUUUUGCAAAAUUCAAGUUUGGAUGAAUUUAAUUCAAUGUUGUAUGAUGAUUGGUUGGACAUACCUUGUGUUUGUCAUUCAUCCGAUCUUCUUGCUCCAAUCUUGGAAAGGUUAGUGACAAGAAUACCCGAAGGAAUUUUUUUACAAUUAUCAUUAUAUGCUCAACUCACAAGGUAAUGUGGCAAAUAAUUAAAAGCUCAUGUUAUGAUCUAAUCAGUGCUUGUUUUAGGACACUAAGCUUGUCCUUGGGAAACCAUCAAUUUAUGUCGGCGAAGUGGUUUCCCCUCCAACGCUGACCUAUAUCAAGAUCAACUCAACGAGAUCUGCAAUAUUUAAUUUAGACAUAUGCAUCAACAACCGCCCUUUUAAAGUUUUUAUAAAUAGAAAGGAUGAGGGGUUUGGAGAUCUCGAAUGUGGUGAUGUUGGAAAAACCAAUAGAUUGGGAAGAUGUUGCAUAUGAGCAUGGAGUAAAUGAAGUGGCUAUGAAAUAAAUUCCAUGCUCAUUAAUGCUUAGAGUAAAAUCCAUGUGGUGUGGUGAAAAUGGUAAGAUGAGUGUGGUAAAAAAAAGGGAAAAGAAAAAGGAUACACGGACGACUUGGUUCGAUACUAGCACAGCUACCGUUCCCCGACAACGGCGCCAGAAAGCUUGUUGGGUAUUUUAAACGCAAACAGAAAAAUCCACAAGCGCACGGAUACCGAUGUAGCCUUCACCCGAGAGUAUUCCAGAGUAUCGAUUUUCCACAGAGAACGUGAGUGUACUAAUUAAGAUCGAAGAUCGCCCAAGGAUAACUAUAUAAUUUUUUUUGGUGGGAAGAGAGGAAGUUUCGUGAGAGUUCUCUAGUUGAUCUAAGAAUCAAGAAUUACUUCAAAGAUUAUUUAUAUCAGGACAUCAGAGCACUAACCACAGAAAGAGAUGAGAAGGGGGCUAGGAAGGUCUGACUACGAUCCUACAAACACCGAUCCGAACGAGGUGGAAUAUGUCGACCGUUAGGGCUGUCACUACCCUAAGGCUACCACAACAAUCCGCAGGAUUGGGUGCAAUUCCAGGUAAUUGCAAGACUAAACACCACGUCUAAUCUAUUAAUUACUACUCUAGCGUUAUAAAGACUAGAGCACUUGAUGCAAGCGGGAAUCCAAUAAAUAACAUGAAUGUAAAUAAAAGUAAUUAAAGAACUCAGGAAUUAUGAAUUGAAGAACCUGGAGAACGAUGAAGAACGAACCAGUUGCUGCAAAAGUACAAUGUUGAGGAAGAUCCGACACAUCCGGCUCCUCCUCUGCUCUCCUCUUCUCUCUCCCUAUUUUCUAGAUUACAACUAGAACUAACUAGAACUAGAACUAGAGGAAUUAGAACUAGAAUUAGAUGAACUAGAACUAGAUCUAGAUGAACUAGAGGUAGAACUAGAAGAACUAGAGGGAUCCUCUCUACUUGGAUGAAGAAUUGAAACCCUAACUUUGAUUCUGUAGAAGAGGUAUGAUGUCCAGGGGCCAGGGGGUCUGGUUUUAUAGUCCCUUCAAGUGAAUCUGAGCCGUCGGAUCAAACCGACAUUGAUCGCACGGUUUUCCUUGAUCCUUUAGGUCGGUGGAGCACGAUCCGCGAAGUUGAAGCUGAUUGGUUACUGUAGCUGGGCGGGCACCCAAGGGGGGAGGGUGGGCGCCCUACCUCCGGCCCCGAUCGGCCUCCCGUUCGUCCCCGUGGCUUCUGGAGUCUUCUAGAUGGUAGAAAAUUGCGCGGCACGUUAAUAUCUCUAUGUAAACCCGACGUGUGGGCCUUUCUUCCGUAUUUCCUGAUAACCCCGUGCAGAAAUAGACAAACACCAAAACUCAUGGAAUUCUGUUAGAUAAAACCCUAAGUCUAUGUGUUGGUUGCAUUUGGAUCCUUUUCUAUAAUUAGUUGACGGUUAAAUGUGAGCUUUAAGGACCGUCAACAUCCGGUAUGUCAAAAAUGUGAAAAUCUAGACAUAUUCCAGUGUCCUUGAUUCUAACAGGGACUGCCCUUAAUACCCCAUGGCUUUCUAGAAUUAAUCUAGAUGGACUUUGUAAAAUUUUUUGAGAUGGGGUUAUGGACUCGUUGGGAUAAAGAGUAUCAGCUAACUCCUUGGAAAUAACAUUUAUCCCAACAUAUGGAUUGUAGUGGACCUUCCUAGGGGACCCUCUAAUUUGGCAUAGAAGAAUGGUUGAAGUAGUGAUGAUUCGAGCUACCUCAAGAGACAGCUCUGCUUCUAUUAGCCAUUCAUAACUCAGAAUAGCCGAAAGGCUUUUGAUGUGUUCUAUGUCAACAGAUUCUACUCUUAGAAUGGAUUGAGUGGUCCCUGUUAGAGGUUGUGUUUGGAUAGGAAAAUUCUAGGUGUUUCCAUAAUCUUCAAAAAGAUCUUCCUCGAAUUCAAAGGGAUGCUCUAAAGGUGGUGGUUCAUCAUCCCUUAGUUGGUUUUGCAUUCCUUUAUCAGGAGGUCUCUCUACAACCAAAUUAAUAGAUGGGUCAGGUGGAAUUUCUAACUCGGUUGCAAGUUCCUCAUCUUUUGGUUUAGGAUAAGGCUCGACUUCUUUUUCUUCUUCAGGAAACUCAUCAUAAAUGCCUGUGUAAGGGGUAUUUUCAAGGAUUCUCUCUAGGAUAGCUCUCCCAUCAUCUGUGAGUUUGUGUGUGAAUGAGCCUCCUGAAGCAAUGUCGAGGUGAAGAGCAGCUUCCUUUUUUAGACCACGAUAAAAGUGGUAGUACAAUACAUGGUUAGGCAGGGAAAGGUUUGGACCGGAAUUGGUAAGGCUUGUGAACCUAGCCCAAGCUCCUCCUAAAGUUUUCUUCUCUCUUUGUUUGAAUGUAAGAAUUUUGAUUCUAAGGUCAGUGAUUCGAAAAAGUGGGAAGAAAGCGAGACAAAAAUUGUCCCAAAGUUCAUCCCAAUUUCCAUUAACGCCUCCUACAGAAUGAGCAUACCACUUUUUUGCUCUUCCCGAAAGGGAGAACGAAAAUAAUUUCCAUUUAAGGGUUUCUUGUGUCAUGCCGGAAAUAGAUCGGCAAGAGCACAACUGCUCGAAUUCUCUAAGGUGGGUGUAUGGAUCUUCAUCUACUUGCCCAGAGAAGGGUUGCUCCUGGAUCAUGGCUAUUAGAUCAGGGCCGAGGUCAUAGCCAUCUGUAAAAAUUGGAUGUGAUUAUGGUGGUGGCUCUAAUAACUCGCCCUUUGGAGCAAAGAAUUUAUAGAUAGGAGUGAAAUCCAUGUGGUAUGGUGAAAAUGGUAAGGUGAGUGUGGUAAAAAGGAAAAGAAAAAGAAUACACGGACGACUUGGUUCGAAACUAGCACAGCUACUGUUCCCCGACAACGGCGCCAGAAAGCUUGUUGGGUAUUUUAAACGCAAACAGAAAAAUCCGCAAGCGCAUGGAUACCGAUGUAGCUUUCACCCGGGAGUAUUCUAGAGUAUCGAUUUUCCACAGGGAACGUGAGUGUACUAAUUAAGAUUCAAGAUCGCCCAAGGAUAACUAUAUAAUUAUUUUUUGUGGGAAGAGAGGAAGUUUCCUGACAGUUCUCUAGUUGAUCUAAGAAUCAAGAAUUACUUCAAAGAUUAUUUAUUUCGGGACAUCAGAACACUAACCCCAGAAAGAGAUGAGAAGGGGGCUAGGAAGCUCUGACUACGGUCCUACAAACACCAAUCCGAAUGAGGUGGGAUACAUCGACCGUUAGGGCUGUCACUACCCUAGGGCUACCACAACAAUCCGCAGGAUUGGGUGCAAUUCCAGGUAAUUGCAAGACUAAACACCACGUCUAAUCUAUUAAUUACUACUCUAAUGUUGCAAAGAUUAGAGCACUUGAUGCAAGUGGGAAUCCAAUAAAUAACUUGAAUGUAAAUAAAAGUAAUUAAAGAACUCAAUAAUUAUGAAUUGAAGAACCUGGAGAACGAUGAAGAACGAACCAGUUGCUGCAAAAGUACAAUGUUGAGGAAGAUCCGACAGAUCCGGCUCCUCCUCCUCCACUCUCCUCUUCUCUCUCCCUAUUUUCUAGAUUACAACUAGAACUAACUAGAACUAGAACUAGAAGAAUUAGAACUAGAACUAGAACUAGAACUAGAUGAACUAGAGGUAGAACUAGAUGAACUAGAGGGAUCCUCUCUACUUGGAUGAAGAAUUGAAACCCUAACUUUGAUUCUGUAGAAGAGGUAUGAUCUCCAGGGGCCAGGGGGCCUUGCUUAUAUAGUCUUUUCAGAUGAAUCUGGGCCGUUGGAUCAAACUGACAUUGAUCGCACGGUUUUCCUUGAUCCCUUAGGUCGGUGGAGCACGAUCCGCGAAAAGGACUCUGAUUGGGCACGGUAGCAGGGCGGGCGCCUAGGAGAGUAGGGCGGGCGCCCUGCCUCCGAGCCUGUUCGGCCUCCCGUUCGUUCCCGUGGCUUCUGGAGUCUUCUAGAUGAUAGAAAAUUGUGCGGCACAUUAAUAUCUCUGUGUAAACCCGACGCGUGGGCCUUUCCUCCAUAUUUCCUGAUAACCCCCUGCAGAAAAAGACAAACACCAAAACUCGUGGAAUUCUGUCACAUAAAACCCUAAAUCUGGGUGUUGGUUGCAUAUAGGUCCUUUUCCAUGAUUAGUUGACGGUUAAAUGUGAGCAUUAAGGACCGUCAACAUGUCGAUAGAUCUGUGUUGAGCUGGACUUGUCCUCUUGAAGUCAUUGGAUCAGAUCUCACUAGUGUAGAUUGCUCACCAGCCAAUCCUGCUGUACUCGGAGGCGACGUGAAUUCUGUACCCGCAACGGGUGGAGAAGCCGAUGGAGCCACAACCGAUGAUAAUCCUAGCUGAUGAUAGGCCGGGCCAGCAUAAAGUGGUGGUGACUGUCCCUCUUUAAAAGUUUAGACCACAACAUUGUAAAUAGUAUUGGAUAGCACAUUGGAGUGAUUAAUCAAAGCAUGAUUAAUAGCAGUAUUAACCAUGUCUUGCAGUUUACCAGGAUUGAGAUGAAAGGUAACCUGCCGAGGCAACGGUAGAUCUUGCUUCUGAAUAACCUCCUCGUUCCUAUUCACGUUGAAGGAUUUCAAAUAGAGCUGCUUGUAUUCCUCCGUAGCCCUCUCCAUAACUUGCUUCUAUUCUUCCCUGAGAUCGGCUUCUGUCAUGCCGAUGACGUUGUCUGUGUCAAGAUCAGAAGUAGCCAUGUCGAUCUUUGUUGAUGAUUUGUCCCACUAGGCGUGCCAAAGGAUAUGUUGAUGCAAAAAUAGAUCUGCAAACAUAAAGGGUUAAUACCCAAUUUCGAUAUCAAGGCGUGCCAGCUGAUUUAACCUAGCAAUCGACAAAGGUGAUAACUUGAAUACUUUGGUCUUGACAACAGCGAUGCGCCCGGAUGUCAUGGCCAAGAGGUACUCACGCGGAACCCAAGAAAUCGUCGAGUAUGACUCGCCGAAUCCUUGAGAACUUGUAAAUAGGAAAAAGUACACGAAUUGAAGAAGUCGUCGAAAAGUAGAUGUAAAAGUAGAUGUAAAGCUUGUGUUGGUAUUGAUUGAUUGUUCUUACAUCGCUGCUGGGUUUAUAUUUAUACCCUAGUCCUCAAGAGUUACAACCAAACACGACUAAGAUUCAACAAGACUCUUAUAUAUAAGGCAUAUCUAGACAAGUAUGGAAAAAGAAAUAAUAGUUAUCUAUUCCUAUGUCUCUCCUAAUCAUGAUAAAGUCUUUAUUGGUCCCCACUUCAAGUCUCCAUCAGAUUUUGCUUCAAGUCUUCAUCGGCUCGUGUCCCAUCGGCACAUAUAUGCCUCUUCAGCAAUAAUUUUCACAUCCUCCUCCAUCGGCAUCGGUAACCAUAAGUCUUAUCGGCAACAAUCAGUAGCUGCCAUCUUCAACUCCAGACUAGCAGAAUCGUUCUACUAACCAUUAUUUCAUCAUUGGCAUCAUCCGAAUCAGCCAUAGGCAUUCUUCUGUCGAUCUAACAUAGCAACUUCACUACCGAUCAGCUCUCCUUAACCAUCUUGAUUCAUACCUAAAAAUGGUGUCAACACUUUCUCUAAGAAAACACCGUUUUGAGUAACAAACAUUUUGCCUCUGUGCAGUUAUAGACAUAAUACCCUAAAGUUUCCUUCGGGUAUCCCAUGAAAAAGCACUUGUCUAAUUUGGGUGUUAGUUUAUCUGAUAUGAGCCGUUUGACAUAAACUUCACAACCCCAAAUUUUAAGAAAAGACAAACUAUGACACUUACUAGUCCACAUCUCAUAUGGUGUCUUAACUACAGACUUAGAUGGUACCCUGUUUAAAGUGAAAGCGGCUAUUCGACUGGCUCAUCAUAGAUUGAACCAUUUCCAACGAAGUUCGAUUACGUUGCUUGGACACACCGUUCCUCUGAGGCGUUUAUGUGGCAUAAGUUGUGGAACGAUACCAUAACUCUUUAGAUGAUUGCCAAAUUUGUGAAUCAAAUAUUUGCCUUCACGAUCAGAUCGCAAAGCCUUAAUUUUCUGGCCACGUUGAUUCUCUACUUUAUUACGAAAUUCUUUGAACAUUUCAAAUGUUUCAGACUUAUAUUUCAUUAAGUAGACAUAGCCAUAUAUACUAAAAUUAUCAGUAAAAGUUAUGAAGUAUUGGAAUCUGCCUCUAGCUGUCGUGCUCAUUGGUCCACACACAUUAGUAUGUACAAGUUCCAAUAAGUCAGACGCUCUCUCAGGAAAACCUUUGAAAGGCGCCUUGGUCAUCUUUCCCAGUAAGCAAGACUCACAUGUCUCGUAUGAUUCAAAAUCAAAUGAAGUUAAAAGCCCAUCAUCAUGGAGCCUCUUCAUGCGAUUCUCACUUAUAUGACCCAUACGACAAUGCCACAUAUAUAGGUAGGACUUAACACAUUAAGCCAAGGCCUUUUAGCACUAACAUUACAGAUAGGUGCAUUAUCAAGAUUUGAAAUAAAUAACCCAUUCACUAUGGAUGCAAAGGCCACAAAUAUAUCAUUCUUAGAGAUCACACAACCAUUGGCUUUACUCACAAAUGAACAACCAUGCUUCAUCAAACAUGAAGGUGACACAAUGUUUUGACUUAAACUAGGAACAAAAUAACAAUUAUUCAAUUCCAAAAUAAAUCCCGAUAGUAGAUGGAGUUGCAUCGUCCUGAUGUUCAACGCAACAACUCUUGCAUUAUUGCCCACACGGAAAUCAACUUCUCCCUUUUCAACACUUCUACUUCUUAUCAUUCCCUACAUCAUAUUGCAAAUAUGAGCAACCGAUCUAGUAUCAAAUACCUAAGAAUUAAUAUAAGAGUUAGCGAGGAAAAUAUCUGUAACAUAAACAACAAGUGUAUGAGCAGUGGGAGUACCUUUACUACCGCCAUCCUUUUUCAAGAAUGCCAACUACAACUUGCAGUUCCUCUUCUAGUGACCUUUCACCUUACAAUGAAAGCACUCUUCAUCAACAACUAGUCCAUCCUUGGGUGCAGGUGGGUUUGGCUUAUGGAUCUCAUCCUUAGCCUUGCCCUUUUUCUUCUUUCAAGCAUUGCCCUUCUUUCUCUUAAAGUUAGGCUUGUUUUGAACAACCAACACUUGGCUACUGCCUGUACUUUUCUUGAUGUCAAUCUCUGCUCUUUUUAGCAUGCCACAAAAUUGAUUCAAGCCCUUCUCUGCCCCAUGCAUAUGGUUGUUCAAGAUGAAGUUUUCAUAACUAGGUGGAAGAGACGAGAGAAUAAAAAUAGUAGCCAACUCUUGGCCAACUGGGAAGCCCAACUUCUCCAACCUCUGAGUGUAACCAACCAUCUUGAUUAUAUGUGGACUAACUGCUGCACCCUCUGCUAGCUUGCAUUCAACAAAAGAUUUUGAGACUUGGAACCUUUCAGUUCUAGCCUUAGCUUGGAACAUAUCAUUAAGCGCUAUGCUUAUGUCAUACGCUGCAUGAUUAUUUUUGAACUGCAUCUGUAGCUCAGGUUCCAUACAAGCAAGCAUGAGGCAUCUUACUUCAAGAUUAGCAUCACAUGCUCUCUUAUAAGUGUUCUUCUCUGCAAUAGGUGCAUUAUCAGUAGGUGCUUCUGGUAAUGGGUGUUGACAGUCACUAAUGCUUAUUUUCAUCCAUCAACUAUUGCUUGGCAUGAUAUGAUAUGAACCACAAAGCAUAGUUGUAGGGUUUGAAACUAACAAGUUCCACGAGUUUUGGUGAAUCUAUAUUUUACAAGGGUUAAACUGGAAAAGGACCAGAAUCAUCAAAUAGAAGUAUCUCAAGUGAUGAACUAGAGUACACCAUUGCAAAGAGCUCGUCAAGACAUAUGAAAUAGAGUUUUGAUUCACCCAAAUCAGAGUCCACACAACAAAGUUAUGCCUUCCAGAAGAUUGCAAAGGGGCUUCUAGAGUAGUCCAGAGCAAAUUGGGCAUAUCUCCCUCAUCGAGACUCCAUUUUUAGUGACCAGAACUUUUUGGAAACCUAAUAAAAAUAUCUAUCAACCCUACAAAGUGGGGCCCACUUGGCAGAGACCUAGGGGUGGAUGCCCACCUGUCAGGGCGGCCGCCUAGGGCUCUGAGCCAAUCAGCUUCCACCUCACGGAUCCUGCCUUCACCGCCUUUGAGGAGUAAUCUUGGCCAUCAAUCAAGGUUUGUUUGAUCCGAGGGCUGUAGUGCUUCCUAGGGGGCUAUAAAUACAACCUUGACCCCCCCUAGAGGCAUCUCCUUCAUUAGCUACAUCAAGUAGAGAAGUAGAGGUCCCUCUAGUUUAUCUAGUUCUAGUUCAUCUAGUUCUAGUUCUAGUUGUCUAGUUGUAUCUAGAUAAGAGGAAGAGAGAAGAGGGGAGAGCCGAGGAGGAGCUAGAUCUAUCGGAUCUUCCUCAACAUUGUAUAUUUUUAGCAGCUGGUUCGUCUUUGGCUAAUCUCCAGGUACAUUAAUUCUAUAAUUCCUGAGUUUUUAUUUAAUUUUCAUAUUUAUCUUUAAGUUAUUUAUUGGAUUCCCGCUUGCAUCAAGUGCUCUAAUUCUUUGAUAUGCUAGAGUAGUAAUUAAUAGGUUAAGCAUGGUGCUUAGUCCUGCAAUUACAUGGAAUUGAACCCAAUCUAGCGUAUUAUUGUGGUAGCCCUAGGAUCUUGACAGUCGUGACGGCCGACGUAUUCCACCAUGUUCGGAUUUGUGUUGUAGGACCGUAGUCAGAGCUUCCUAGCCCCAUCUCAUCCCUUUCUAUGGUUAGUGUUCUGGUGUCCCAAGAUAAGUAACCUUAGAGUAAAUCCUGAUUCCUAGAUCAACCUAUGGAAUUCUUAGCAAAAUUUCUCUCUACCCUACAAAAAAAUAUAUAGUUAUCCUUGGGCGAUCUAAACCUUAAUUAGUACACUUCAUGUUCCUCGUGGAAAAUCGAUACCUUGGAAUACUUCCGGGUGAAAGCUACAUUGGUAUCCAUGCGCUUGUGGAUUUUUCUAUGUGUGUUUAAAAUAUCCAACAAGCUUUCUAGCACCGUUGCUGGGGAAUGGUAGCUAUUCUUGAAUAAAACCAAGGUCAUCCAAGUUUUCUUUUUCAUUUACCACCUUUUUAUUUUUAUUACUUCUUCCCUACAAUAACCUAAAUUUCAUGCCUAUCUAUCAUUAUGCUGCACCCAUGAGCACAAGCUUAGAGCCACUAUAGCCCAUGGUUCUCACAUCUAGCUAUAAGUUGCAUCCAUGUUUGGUUGCAAUAGGCCCUAUCUUCUCUCCUUCUAUGCCCACACUAGAUGACUUCUAUGAACCCACCAUUGAACCCAUCCUUGACUCAAAUGAAUCCUCUAAUGCUCUUUCUCCUAAACCUCCUAACAAUCUUAGAAAUCCAUCUACACAUCCCACACAUAGGAAUCAUCUUGACCAUAAGGAGGGUUGAGAAGAGCAACAUCAAUGGCUAAAGAGCAUUAAAAACCGAUAUGCUAUUAUCAUUGAAUGUGUGGACGAGGCCUUAUAUGAGACCAACGUGUGGACGGUGGCGAUUCCCAUUCUUGCUCGUUGGGCACAUCUUUUUAGGAGGGAACCAUUGCGGCACGUUUUUGUCCUGGCGAUAAUAGCAAGUAACCUAUCACGUGAAUUGAGGAAUGGUUAGGUGAUGAAUUUAAUGCAGGGAUUUACCUUCCAUGGUUGUUGGAUCCAUCCGUUGCGGCUGACCCUACUUAUUAUAGGGGUUGCACUCACUACUCCUACUUCCGCUUUUCGUCAUUGCCUCCUAGUUUCUUCCUCCUGCCUUGCUGCACACAAGAGAGAGAAGAGGUAGAAAAAGAAAGAGAGAGAGAGAGCUAGGGACUUCCCCCGGUUGCCAACCGUCGAGCUGAUCCGUGCUGCCAUGCCGGUGACUCUGGUGCCUAUCGAUGAAUGGUGCCCAUUAAUUGUAACAGAGCACCGGCUGUGCGACUUAGCGGGGGAGGGGCUCCUCCGUCCUGUCACCUCCUCGACCCAACUAGAGUGGAUCACGCUACUUGCAGAAGACCGGGAGCUGAAUCCCAUAGGGGGCUAUGUUGUCAACUUUGUCAAGUUCCACCACCACGUAUUUGGCUCUCCCCUAAGCCGCUUCAUGCGGGCGCUCAUCCACUAUUAUGGGGCCAAGCUGUAGCACUUCUACCUCAACGCCAUUUCCAACAUGGCAAUCUUUGUCGUGGUCUGUGAGGGCUACCUAGGCAUGAUACCCCAUUGGGAGUUGUGGCUCCAUCUCUUCUAGGGUGAGCUUUUCCAAGGCACCGGCGGGGCCAGAGGCGUGAGAAAGUCUGUCUGGGUGGGCUGCCUCAACCUGGUAUUGAAGUCCAGCUGCUUGGAGGAACCUAGUGAGUACAUCCCUACUGGGGUGAUGUCAAAUCACACCCAGUGGGACUCAUAGUGGUUCUACCUAUGCAACAACGAAGGGCUCCUUCCUCCCUACACCGGGCGGGUCAUUACAGCGUGUUCGGAGCAUUGGAAGUAUUGCGUGCUCGUGGACCGCCAAUCUUGGCUAAGAUCCCUCCUCAAUGCCUUGAAGCAUCUUUGCCAAGAAGGUCUGACGGUGGCUCUCGUACUCUCGGUCGUCCACCAUCGGUGGGUGCUCCCACUGAUGGCUCGUCCACUAAGGAUGGACGAGAUGGGUCCAUGCGCUACGUCCAGGAAUCUUGAGGCAUGCUGAACAUCGAGCGAGGCGCUACCCGAUGAGGAGGUUGCAACAAGGGUCAGAGCAGCCAUCUCUGACACCUUCCUGAUUGAGGAUGUUAACGCAUUCCCAAUGAUGCCUAAGGAGGGCUACCUCAAUCUGGUGAGUGUCGUGAGCUACAGUGUCUUGAGCCGUAUCCCUUACAUCCGAUCUCUCUAAUAUCUGAAUAUUUUAGGCAAGGGGAAGUUGAUGUCAGGUCGUCGAGGCCCCCCGUAAAGGAAGACGAGACAAAUCAUGAGGUAAGACGUCUCUCUGCUCAGAAACAUAAGAAAGAGCUUGAUGCAGAGAAGAGGAGGAAGAAGAAGAAUAUUGCCCAGCAGGAGCUUGAGCAGUGUCGUGCCAAGUCGAGGCGUGAGGGGGCCUAAAGAGGAUUCCCCUAACAAGGAAGACGAGGAUGAUGAUGAUGAUGAUGAUUGUUGGUGCAAAAAUUGGUAUCUCGCACCAACAAUCUCGGGGCUUCUCAGAGGGAGUGUAGGAGCUGAAGUCCUAGACCUCUUGAGCCACAAACACACAAGCUUGGUGAAUUAAUUCUGGGUCAUGCCAGUCAAUUCGACUUGAAAUUGACAAGGUAGAAGUACAAAAGUCAAAUUAUAGAACCUACCGUUUGUUGCCAGACAGUUCUGAUAUGUAUCGCCUCGAAAAGCUGUUGAAACAAAGGAAAUUAACUAGAAUGUCAACUCCUUGUAACGAUGCAAAAAGAUAAACGUUAUUGGACAUAUUGAUCAAUUGUAUAUUAAUGGUAUAAAUAACCAGAUAAGCUACUUAGCCGAUAUGCUGUGUGUGAAGGUAAGGGAUAGCUUACGUGCAUUAUCCUUUUAUUCAUUAAAUAAAUAAUAACUUAUUAAAAUUGGUCUAAAGGCCUGCGGUUUUAAUAAAUUACUUUUGUAACUUGUAUUGAAUUUAUAUUCACCUGGUCUAAAGGCCAGCGGGCUUCAAUAAAUUCAACACAGAUUACUAGUUCAUUUAAUGCAAUAAACGGAUUCAUACUCGUGCACUAUUCAUUUGAGCUUAGCUGGAUUGACUAUUUAGCAGAUACAGGAUCCAUGAAGCACAAACAGGAUCUAUCUACUUUGUUAUAACCAGAUUUAGUUAUUAUUACCAAAUUAAUCAUAACAGAAUAAAUACCUCGAACGCACAUCAUGUAAUAAUCAAGAUCAACAAGUUAGCUAUCAUAUUUUUGCUUAAUAAUUGUUAUUCAUUCAAGUUUAUAGUAAGCGUUAAGAUUUUAAGCUCGAUCCAACUCAUUGAGUCUUGAUUGGGCAGAAUAUUGUUACAAUAAAUAAAACAUUGAGCUUUGAACAAUAUGGAUAACUUGAUGAAUCUAUUAAAUUACCAAUUUAAUAGAGCUGAUAACUAUCUUGAACCAUGAUUCAUAAGAGAUUGAAACAAUGCAGCCUUACAAACAUAAUUCAAGUCGAUAACUGGUUUAUAAUUAAGAUUGACAUGUGUUCGGAUGAUGCAGCCAUGACAAACUAAACAUGAACAAUGACAAAACUUACAAGCAAACCAAAGAUCGAAAUCAACCGAUGCAGCUCGAUUCAUUGAAGGUCACGUCGAAAUCUACUAUUACUCCUACUCAUAAGGUUGGUGGCCGAAGCCAGAAAGGGUUUGUAUUAUGAUUGUGUAUAUUCUUACAAAAAUCGGAUUCCCAAUAUUUAUAGUCUAAAGUCCUAGUCUUAUGUCCUAACACGACUCUUUCCUCAAAAAGGCAACCUGGACUACAACUUCUCCUUUCUUAAUCGAACCCGACACAUUUGCCUCGUCUUGCCUUAUUCCGACACCCUUCUGAUCGACUAAUUUUGCCUCUUGUUUAGUCGAUCCACUCAUCCGGCUGUCCCUCUUCUGCAAAGCAGGGCCACCGACAGUUUUCCAGACUUGCCAAAAUUUAGGAAUUAACAUAUGCCCCCCAAUUUUGGGAUAAAAUUAGUUUUAUUCAACAACUGCUACUCAAAACCAAUACGGACAUAUUGAUUACUCCGUUUCCUCCUCUAUCUUAUCCAUUCACCGGCCUUAAAAGCUAGGGUUUCCCUCCAAGCAUCCUCAAUCAAAAAUUUGAAACCCGCACAAUCCACCAAAUUUCCACACGAUUUAAUCCCAAUACACCGAAUCCUUCAACUCGGUGACUUUUGCUCCAAUGGCGUUCAUCGACAACAUCCCAGAGGUAUGCCCUCUCCCUUUGCUCCUCUAAAUUUUCUUACUCUAUUAGCUUACCCUUACUCUUUUUUUUAUUCAGGAUCUCCAAGGCCAAGUAUUCAUCCCACUUUAUGGUAAUCUGCACAAGAUUUUCCUAGGUCCAAUGGGUGAUCCAAAUCCUAGGAGGGUAAUUGUUGCCGAGAGUAACAAAGUUUCUUUCAAGGAAUCCAAUAUGCAUCCAGGUCUUUGAGACAAAAGGACUUCUUGAAGGAGCUGGCCCCCAAUCAUCCCAGGCUGAAGGAACUGGCUGAUCAAAGUAGCGGCCAAGAAGAGAGCAGAUUGGACAACUAGGAACUUGGACCAAUGCAUCUCCUUGUCCCUCUCUAAUAUCAAGAAGAAUGAACCUAUGCUCAAGGCUGCCUGUUUCUUUUGGUCCACCACCUAUAAUGCCUUUCUCUUUAGACAAGGCCCAAUGUCUCCAACAUUAGCCGAUGUUCAUAUGCUGACAAGCCUUAACAUCGCAGGACACAUCAACCCUUCCAGUCUGCUGGUGAAACCCACUACCAAGCUUGAUAGCACAAGAACGGGGGGUUGGUCCCAAUACAUUACCAAUUACAAGACUGACAGCAGAUCUAUGUCUGAUAAAGAAUACACAACCUUUCUGAAUAUGUGGUUGGACAUAUAUAUCUUGUGUGGACAGGCUUCCUCUCCAACUCCCAAUUAUCUAACUUUGGCAGAGAAGAUAUCAGGCAACUCUAAAAUCCCUCUCGGCAAGAUUCUCCUUGGAUCAUUGUACAAUUUGCUGAAUAGAGUUUCUCAGCAUCUAAUGCAGAAUGAAACUGUUCCAACAAUCAUAGGCCCCUGGUGGUUGUUGCAGUUAUCGCUCAACUUACACCUGCACAAGUUAGUGCCUCUAGAGCUGAUCAACCUAUGUUUCCCUUCCUUGGAAUAUUCAGAAGAACAAGAAGAACAACUUCCAAGAAGUCAAAAAUUUCAUCGAUGUAUGUCCUUUGGUGAGGCAGCAUCGGCAAUUACUAUUAAUGGAUGGUUUGCUUACUCAUUCUAGAAUUUGAGCUCCUAGCAUCAUUCAGAUUCCAGACUAUUUAUAGUGAUCCUAAGGAGCUCAAAAUUCCAAGUCGUUUGGUAACGCCGAGUCUUCUACCUGUUGAAGUAAGGCAUGGUAGAGAAAAACCUCCAACUUCCUAUGAUUUUUUUUGCCCUUCAAUAGUAGCUAGACAAAUGGGCUUUGGUCAGUUGCCGCCUAGCUUUAUUCUUUGCUGAUAAGGUGAAGCCAGGGAAACUAUCACCGCUGGAAUAGAAUAUAAUAGAAUUCUUCACUUUGAACAAUCUCUAUUGCCAAAAGCCAUCAGUGGAUGGGAAUGUACCCCUUUCACUUAUAUAGCCUUUGAUCAUUGGUGGCAAGAAUGGAACCAACAUAUCUUUAAGGAACUAGUAUCCACUUACUGCUCCCUCUUUGAUCUAGAUUUUCAAGCUACACCUGAGGUAUGUCUUUACACACUAUAUUUCUAAAUUCUUAUACCUCAGAAUAUACUUACUCAUUUUAAUUGUUCAUAUGAUCUUGCUGGCUUGGCCCCUCCACUAGUGAAUUAUGAUAUAUGGUGUCCCAACCCAAGAUUGGGCUCUGAUGCGCCAUCUCGGAAAGUUUUGAUGAAGAAACUAGCAGUAGACCUACCUACCUGAUGAUCAGCCAAUUGCCACACUAAAAAGAAAGCAACCAGGUGCCUCUCAAAAGAGAACUUCGAAGAAGACCAAAGUUGCUCCUUCAAAACAACUUAAAUCUUUAGCUGAUGCAGCUAUUGAGGUACCCUUUCUACUGAUUUCCCAAUCAUAUAGCAUACCCGUGCAUCAACUAACUUCCUAACAUUUCAGGACGUUGCUCAAGAAUUUGCUACUAAAAAGGAACUUGAACUCCCUGACCCUUCAGAGGAUUUAUCUUUCACCAGCGGCGAUCAUGAUGCUAUCCCUAAUCCAGGCAAUAUUCUAGAAGUUUCUUUAGGUAACAUCCCAUAAAAUAGCCGAUAGGAUAAACCCUUUUACUUAUAUUAACAUAUUUCCAUGAAUCCAGACCUUUAACUUCUUGAAGUCACUUCAUCGGCUAUUCCCAGCUCUACCAUGGUCUCAGUGGAACAGGUAUGUCAAAACCACUUAUUCUUAUCUGCUAAUAUCUUGUGAUAAACACUAAUCUAUUUACCUUGACACAGGAACAAGUUUCUUCACCUGAUCUACCAUUCUCCUUAGAGAAAUAUCUUGAUGAAGAACCAAUCCUAAUCUUAGAAGAUACACCUCCAACCAUACCUAAUCACAUCAAAUCAAUUGCAAAGACUAAUUAACCAUCUAGAGCUGUAUAUUUCAUCCUUAACUCAGGAUGCAGGAUCUAUUAGAGAGAUCUUCAACCAAAUAAAAAAUGAUCUCCCUUCCUUCUUGAAAGAAGUGAUUCAGCCAACUGCAUUCUUGGAAGCUAAUGGCCCUAAAUUCUUUAAUGCCCAAUCCAGAUUACCUGCUCAAAAAGCUUAGAAAAACUGAGCUACUGCUGAAGACCAAUGCAUCCAAGAAAUCCUAUCAGUUAAAAAGACAGUCCAUCUCCUCAAAGAAUCCCCUGCCGAAAUCAACAAGGAUCUGGCUGCUCUUAAUGAAGAAAUGACACAACUAUUAGCUCAGCUGAAGACUAUCGACGAUGCCAUUAAAUAGAAGGAAGAAGCUUUAUCUCAGAUCCCUACGUCUUUAGCUGAUCAGAAAAUGAACAUGGCAACCUUGAAGGCUAAGCUUGACAAAAUCAAGCAAGACAAGAGAGCCAAAAUUCCUAGAUUAGCUGAAGAAGAUCAACAAUAGAUAGCCGAAAUAGAUAGCAUUAGGCUUUCAGCUUUAAAUUCCAUUAAGUCUGUUCUAAACAUGUAAUUUGAACACUCUUCUUCAUUUUAUUUUGCGUCCUAUAAUCUCCAAACUUAACUUUUAUUUACUCAGACUCCUUUUCCUUUUAGCAAAUAUAUACUUUUGUUAAAAUCUUAUCAUCAAUGUUAACUGAAUCAAAGUAAAGUAGAAUCCCAUCAGCAAAAGUUAGCCAAUCUACUACUCAGGCCUCCCGCAAUCACGGUUAAGUUGAUCAGCUAGGUUGUCACACCCAUAUUUUAAGAACAAAAUAGGAUGCAUAAAAGACUCAUAUGUGCCCCAGAAACAGUCGCACACAUAAGUAGACAAAUCUCAAAUGUAUCAUUGCAGUGUUUAUUACAUAGCGGAACAUAAUAAAUCACAUAGUCUUAUCCAUAAAUGAUAGCAAGAAGUAAACAACGCUCUUGACGGAAGCACCACACAGGGACACUGUUGACCGGUUCACUCCAAACCUAGUACUCAUAACGGUAGUCCUCAUUCCAAUCAUCAUCAUUAGCAUAACCUGAGGUGUUGGGGAAUUGCAAGAGUGAGCACAUAUCGUACUCAACAAGUAUAACCAGGGGUUCAUGAGGCUCAAACAGCUGACACUGGUUUGACUGCAUUUAGCUUUUAAUAGUGGAUAACAUGUUUAAUCAUUGGAUAGCAAAUAUCAAGGUAGCAUAAAUAAUCCCAUAACCACAUGAUCAAUUGUAAACAAGAAUUAAGAAUAACACAUAUAAACAACACAAUAAACCAUCAUUUAUUAUCAUUAUUCACGUUCAUCAGUGUCCAUCUAUUCCGUCAGUUUUCUGGGCCGCCCGUAUCCGUGGGCACGGCUAGUAUACCAGAUUUAACACUUUGCAGAGGUUGUACAUCUUUACCCAUGAGUCAUGAUUUACCCUUUCGCCCGAGGUAGCUAAUCUCUUAACCCCCUUCCUAGGGAGGUCGGCAGGGAUCACUAUGAAGCCUUUCAAAAGUUCGUCUAACAUGUUAGGGCCGCAAGGUUUCCAUCGCGAGCAGAUAUAGAUACCCUCCUUCCGAAUGGCACAAUGACGCGCAACCUAUACACAUAAGGACAGAGGCUCGCACUAUAUCUGUGUCGGUUCAGCCCCUCUAGCGCCCUUUUAGGUAACCGCUAACAAGCUAGAAAAGUUCUUCAUACUGAGCUAAAGUCAGAGCCAUAUAGCCCUCAUGGUUGUACGAAUUGUCCCAGCUUUUGCCAAGGGAUAAGUCCUUAUGGAGGGUCAAGAUCAAUCUAGCAAAAGCCAGAGUUCUUUCCACCCUUUAUAUUCAAGUUGCUAGAAAGCUUAUUUUAUUUUUUAUUGUAUAUUCAAAUAUUCAUGUUACAAGAUCAUGGAUUAAUAAUCAAGCACUAGCAAGAACUACCCAAAUGCAUAUCCAACUAGGUAUCAAGGAAUUUAGGAUAACAAUCAUCUAUGAUUUUGCUAAGGUCAUCAAGGUGGACACAUGCAUUUGAUAAAUAUUGUAUUAAGUGUGUAUAGGUAACAAGGAUAGUCCCAAAUUAUACUUGCCUUGAUCAAAGCUCUUCUGAGCCUGCUGGUCUUCAAAUGCUUGAUCUUGAGCACCAACGUACGGCUCACUGUCUAAUCCCAAUCAUCAAUCAACAACACACAGUCCAAUGUAGACAAUCAUACACGAAGCAAACAAGCAAUUAUUAGAACAAUACACCAAACAGUAGUAAAAUAAAUAUAAAAGUUUAUCAAAAUAUUCUACGCAGCGCUACGAUCACAUAAACGUAAAGUUCACGAAAAUCGGAAUUAAAACGUAGAAGAUAUGAAUUUUCUAAGAUUUCCUAUAGAGAAAUAAUUAAUUAAAUGCUACUGCAGAAUUAAAAAGUUUCAAAACAGUGAACAAAUACUUUUAACAUGUAGAGCUCGCAAAUACGAAUGUAACAAAAUUUGAAUGGACAAAAACGGAUUUAAAAUGAAUAUUUUAUGAGCAAAACAAAAUCAAUGGCAAACUUGUAAUUACUGGAAAACGUAUUUAGAACUCGCUGAGUCGGUUUACGCUUUCAUAUCGUCAAAACGUAUUUAGAAAGGCGCCAAAGGGACUGCGGGUUCUAAUGCCAAAAAGGAGAGGGGCUCUUUAGCGAAAACUCAUGUCAAACGAUAUUUUCUAAUCUGAGCCGUAGAUUUCCAAUUGGACGGCUCAGGACUCAUCCAAGCUGAGCACCGGCCGGCCGACCGCAGGAGAAAGGCCCGACGCGGCGGCGCCAUGGAUGUUUCCCCCCGGAGCUCACCGGUGAAUGCCGAUACGGCGGUUCCGAGCACCAAACAACAACAUAAAUUCACCAGCACGCGGAGGAGCUUACCCCGAAUCCGUCUAGGGGCCUUACUCCAACUAGGAAGGAGCAGGAACAGCUCGCGGCGUAGAUUGGCGGACGGAGUUCUCCUGCGAGAGUUCGGCACCAAUGUGAGAAAGGUUUGGCACGGUAGGGAGUCUGGGGAGGGGCUCGGCACCUACUUCACCUUAGCGCAGAGCUCGGCACGGCCUUUGUCUUGUCUCUACGGCCACGAACCAGGAGUUCCACGGCGGCGGCGGUGAAACUCCUCGGUGAAGAUCCAACGGCGUCAGGGAGCAGCGGAGUCGGCCAAGAGCGCGUAAAGAUGGGAAAGAAAGUCUCAAGGGGUUCACCAAGGCUAAAAAGGGGCUCGGGUAACCGAUUUGGCAAGGAAAUCACGCCAAUUUCGGAGUCAGUUGGAGCCGGAUCCUGUUCGGCCCCGCUGGGGAAGAAGGAAGGGAAGGUGAGAGAGAGAGAGCUGACGCGUGGGGCCCAGCUGGCGGUGAAAGAAGGGGUGGGGCCCGGCCGUCAGCGUAAGGGAGAAGGGGGCGCGCUUGCUGGGCUGGCUCGGGCUGUGAGACAAGCUGGGCCGCGGGGGAGGAAGCUGGGCCGCGCCCUGGCCGAAGCUGAUGCAGCUGCGCUGGGCUGGGGUUUUUCCCCCUUUUCUUUUUAUUUUCUUUUUCAAAAGCAUUUUCACAAAUUGAAUUUUUGUGCACAAAUUAUUUCUAACCAAAAGCAAUCAAGCAAAACAUAAAAUAUGCUCCAGCAUGAAUGCACCAUCAAGGUUACUAAACCUAUGAUAAAUUUUAUUUUCCUAAAAAAUAUUUAUUCUCUAAAUUAAAUGCCCACAAAAAUAUUCAAAUAAAUCAAAUUAAAUCCUAUUAUUUGAAAAUCAAAUUUUGGGUGUUACAAACUCUACCCCCUUAAAAGAAUCUCGUCCUCGAGAUUGAGCAGAACUUACUCAAACAAAUAUGAAUAUGAUUUUCUCAGAUCAUCCUCUCUUUCCCAAGUUGCCUUUGCUUCCGAAUGCCGAUUCCACUGCACUUUGCACAUUCUGAUGACCCGACUUCUGGUGACUCUCUCAGCUGUCUCCAAUAUUCUGACCGGAUACUCUUCAUAAGUGAGAUCACCUUUAACAGAAAGUUCUUCCAAUGGUAGUUGCUCCUCAGGUACACGCAAACACUUCUUAAGUUGUGACACAUGGAACACAUCAUGCACACCUGAUAAACUUUCAGGCAACUCUAACUGAUACGCUACUUCUCCACACCUUUGCAAGACUUUAAAUGGACCAACAUACCUUCGAGCUAGCUUUCCUUUCAUAUUAAACCUCUUCACACUCCGCAUAGGUGACACUUUCAGAUAGACAUAAUCACCUUCCUCGAAAGCUAGUUCUCUCCUACGUGUAUCUGCAUAACUUUUCUGACGAGACUGAGCUACUCUCAGAUUAUCUCGGAUAGUCCGCACUUGUUGUUCUGCAUGUCUAAGCACAUCCAUACCAAACACCUGAGUCUCCCCAGUUUCAUUCCAAAACAAAGGUGUUCUACACCUACGCCCAUAUAAUGCUUCAAACGGUGCCAUUUUAAGACUUUGCUGAUAACUGUUGUUGUACGAAAACUCUACAUAUGGCAAACUCUUAUCCCAACUGGUUACAUACUGCAAUGCACAAGCUCUCAACAUAUCUUCUAGUAUCUGAUUGAUCCUCUCAGUCUGUCCAUCUGUCUGUGGAUGAUAUGCUGUACUAAAAUUCAACUUUGUCCCCAAGGAAUCAUGCACUGCUUUCUAGAAAGUAGAGGUAAACUGAGUGCCUCUAUCAGAUACAAUCUUCUUAGGCACUCCAUGCAAACAAACUAUCCGCUUCAUAUACGAUUCUGCUAGUCAAGCUCCUGAAUCAGUGGUUUUGACUGGCAUGAAGUGAGCAACUUUAGUCAAUCGAUCCACUAUUACCCAUAUUGAAUCAUAUCCUCUCUGUGUACGAGGCAAUCCCACGAUGAAAUCCAUGCCUACUUCUUCCCACUUCCAUUCUAGAAUCUUCAUUGGUUGCAACAAUGCAGCUGGCCUUUGAUGUUCAGCCUUCACUCGCUGACAAGUAUCACACAAAGCAACAUACUCAGCUACAUCUCUCUUUAACCCAUACCACCAAUAUUUCUGUUUCAGAUCCAGAUACAUCUUACUGCUUCCAGGGUGAAUGGAAUAUGCUGACUCAUGAGCCUCUCUCAGAAUCAUAUCACGAAUAGCCUUCACUUCAGGAACACAUAUCCUUUUUCCAAACCACAAUACACCAUUGUCAUCUAUUCUGAAUCUUGGUGCUUUGCCUAGUACCACAUUCUAUGCUAUCUCCUUUAGUUUCUCAUCUUCCAAUUGUCCUUUCAAUAUCUCUUCCUCUAGAGUAGGAGUGACCUCAAUUUCCAUAGCAUUUACUACAAUUCCCAAGUACAAAUAUGCAAAUUCAGUACACAACUCCUUAGAUUCAGGUGUCGCCCGAAGCUCAUUAGCAUAUUUCUUUCUGCUAAGUGCAUCAGCCACGACGUUCGCCUUUCCAGGAUGAUAAUGCACUUCCAAAUCAUAAUCUUUUAUCAGUUCCAACCAUCUUCGUUGUCUCAAAUUCAGAUCUGUCUGGGUGAAGAUAUAUUUCAAACUCUUAUGAUCAGUGUAUAUGUCACUCUUAUGCCCAAUCAAAUAGUGUCUCCAAAUCUUCAAUGCAUGCACCACAGCUGCUAACUCUAGAUCAUGAGUAGGAUAAUUCAGUUCAUGUUUCCUCAACUGUCUAGAUGCAUAAGCAACAACUCUACCUUCUUGCAUAAGAACACAACCCACACCCAGACAAGAAGCAUCACAAUAGAUAGAGAAACUCUUACUCAGAUCUGGCAAUACCAACACAGGUGUAGUAGUCAAUCUCUUCUUAAACUCCUCAAAACUAGCUUGACACUUAUCAGACCAUACAAACUUAGCAUUCUUCUCCAACAGAGCAGUCAUAGGCUUUGCAAAUUUUGACGAUAGUAACCAGCUAAACCAAGAAAACUGCGAAUUUCACUUACAUCUGUAGGCGGUUUCCAAUUCAGCACAUCUUUCACCUUAUUAGGAUCCACUGCAAUACCACCAUUAGAGACAACAUGACCAAGAAAAGAAACUUCUUCCAACCAAAACUCACAUUUACUACGCUUAGCAUACAACUUAUGUUCUCUGAGUUUCUAUAAGACCAAUCUCAGAUGUUCAGCAUGUUCUUCCUUUGUUUUAGAGAAUACCAGAAUAUCAUCAAUAAAUACCACCACAAACUUAUCAAGGUACUCCAUAAAUACUUUAUUCAUCAUGUACAUAAAGUAAGCUGGUGCAUUGGUCAAACCAAAAUACAUAACUGUAUACUCAUACAACCCAUACCUUGUGGUUAAAGCUGUCUUUGGUAUAUCUGAGUUCCGAAUCUUCAAUUGCUGAGAACCAGAACGCAAAUCAAUCUUAGAGAACACACAAGCACCUCUUAACUGAUCAAAUAAGUCAUCAAUCCUAGGCAAGGGAUAUUUAUUCUUGAUAGUGACCUCAUUAAGUGACCGAUAAUCAACACACAUUCUCAGACUACCAUCCUUCUUAUCAACAAAGAUAACUGGUGCACCCCAUGGUGAAGAACUAGGACAAAUGAACCCUUUAUCUAGCAAUUCCUUAAUUUGUUUCUUAAGUUCUUCUAGUUCAUUAACCCCCAUUCUAUAUGGUCUUUUAGCUAUGGGUGCAGUACCAGGUAGUAAUUCAAUAAUAAAUUCAAUGUCUCGGUCAGGUGGCAUACCUAGCAAUUCGUCUGGAAAGACAUCCGGAAACUCAUCCACUACCACAUUCUGAGGAUCAACAUCAUCAUUCAGUUGGUUCACCUUAGCUGUGAGUGGUGUUUGCACUGUUAUAUCAACACUGAUUCGUUCUCCCUUUGGUGUUGUCAGAGCCACUACUCUCUCCUUGCACUUAAUAUCUAUGUCAUAUUGCUUCAUCCAAUCCAAACCCAAGAUCACAUCUAUGCCUGAAGUUCUCAUAACCAUGGGACUGAUUGGAAAAUCUACCCCCUUAAAGAGAGACUUGCUGAGGGGCAACAUAACGAAACUGGUAUAGUCCCACCCGGUGAAUUUACUAGCAUAGGGGUUUUCAUUGCAACUAGUGGAAUGCUAUGAACUCUAACAAAUGCUUGUGAUAUGAAUGUAUGCGAAGCUCCAGAAUCAAAUAAAACUGUAGCAGGGAUAGAGUUGAUGCUGAACGUACCCGUCAUGAUUUCUGGUCCCUCGUGAACUGUUUCCGCUGCCACGUUGUUCACCUUUGCUGAAUUAGGAGUGGAUCUCCGGUCGUUGUUCUGUGGAUUAAACUUUUCUGGGCAAUCAUAGGACAUAUGUCCUUCCUUCCCACAAUGGAAGCUCCUUGUAGGAGUGUUAGAAACACUUCUUUUCAUGGAGGUAGCAUUUGAAUUCCCUGAGCGAGGUGUCUGCUGACCAUGUUACUGUUUAUUAUGGUUACGUUGUUGGAAUGGAGGACGUUGGUUCCCACUUUGUGAUUGAUUCUGGAAACGCUGGGGAUGUUGGUUGUGGUUCCACUGACUAACUGGUCCCUGGAACCUCUGCUGAUAGCCUUGCUGAGAACUGAAACGCUGACGGUUGUUACUUCCAGAACCUUGUGCCAGCAUCCUUCUCUUCUUAUCCUGACCCUUACGCAUAUUAUCUAGCACGAUAGCACGAUUCACCAGGGCUUGAAAGGUAGGAUAAGUGUUUCCUGCUAACUGCAACCUGAGCUCGUAGUAAAGACCUUUCAUGAACAGACACUGCUUAUCAGCAUCUUUCCUGACCUCGUUCGGAGCAUAGCGAGCCAACUGUUCAAACGUGUCAUGAUAUUCUGCCACAGUCAUGGAGCCUAUCCUGAGAGAUCUGAAUUCUUCUUUCUUGAGCUCCAUCAUUCCCUCAUUUAUAUGUCGAGCUCUGAAAUCUCUACAAAAUUCCAGCCAUGUGACAGGAGGAGCAUUGUUGGGACGAGCAGCUUGAUAUGACUCCCACCAUGUCUGAGCUGCCCCCUGAAGCUGUCCAGAAGCAUACAACACCUUCUCCAAGUCAUUGCACUGGGCUAUGUUCAGUUGCCUCUCCACGGCACGUAACCAAUCAUCUGCCUCCAUAGGAUCAGCUGAGUGUGUAAUUACUGGAGGUCUUCCCUUUAUAAACUCCCCACGCUUAUCCCUCACAUGAACAGGUGGUGGUGUCGGUGGAGGUUGCUGCUGUAAGUGCUGCAUGAAGACGUGCAUCAUCUCAUUUUGGGUUUGCAUGAGUUCCUCCACAGUAAUUGGGGCAUUGCCACCAUUGCCAUUGCCAUUGCCACGGCCUCUGCCUCUGCCUCUUCCCCUUGCUGCCAUCUGCAUUCCAAGGUAUAUAAACACAUCUUAGUAAUGUCCAACAUGACAAUUACAAGAGUUAACAGAAUCUGAAAUUUUCUGGGGAACAUCCAACAUUAGCAGAUCAGAAAAUCAAUCAUAUCUCGAGUUUCAGAAUUCAAAAGGAUACAUGCUGUACACCGUUGGAAAGAUAAAGAAAUUUUCUACAACUUUCAUUUAGAUCAUAUUAACAGAUUCCAAAGUUAGGUUAAUCAAAAACUGGGUACAACCGAAACUGUUCCAGAAUUUUAGACUGCGCAGAAACCUCAACUUUAAACAGUCAUAACUCACAGCUCAUAAUAGAUAAUAUGGUCAUUCUUGCGGAAUUGGAAAGAUAUGAAAGUCUACUUGUUCCCAGAAAAAUUUGAUGAACGUUGCACGAACAGAAUUUGAUUUAUACUAGAAUCAAUGCAGACUGCUCCAGAAAACAGCAAAGGACAGAAACAGGAUAUGACCCCAAACCACUAUUUAUUCAUGUUCUUACUUAAGGUUCUUGACUAGGAAACUUGUGGAUAUGCCCACAAGGUUCCAGCACUCAUUACAAAAAUUCAAAUCAAGCAUAAGCAUAAUAACAAAUCAACCAAGCAUCAAAAGUUCACACUUCAAGCAUUGACUCAACUUGCGGUACUAACGUUCUCUUCCUAUUAAGGGCAAAGAUCCUAAAACUCCUAUUUCAAUGACGUUAGAAGGUGGUAAGAAAAAUUCUAAAAGCAUAUUCAAAGCAAAGAGUGGGGAUGAGAACAAAUCUUUAAAAUAAGCAACAAGGUGAAGAUGAAUAGCAAUGAAAGGAUAUAGUAUAGGAGAAAAUAUCAAGGUUUAUAGAACAAGGAUUUUGUAGCAAUUUCAAAACCUUAAGGCGGCCAAUUUCUAACUAGACUUGCGUCCGACAGUCAACAAAGCUUUGAUACCAAUUUGUCACACCCAUAUUUUAAGAACAAAAUAGGAUGCAUAAAAGACUCAUAUGUGCCCCAGAAACAGUCGCACACAUAAGUAGACAAAUCUCAAAUGUAUCAUUGCAGUGUUUAUUACAUAGCGGAACAUAAUAAAUCACAUAGUCUUAUCCAUAAAUGAUAGCAAGAAGUAAACAACGCUCUCGACGGAAGCACCACACAGGGACACUGUUGACCGGUUCACUCCAAACCUAGUACUCAUAACGGUAGUCCUCAUUCCAAUCAUCAUCAUUAGCAUAACCUGAGGUGUUGGAGAAUUGCAAGAGUGAGCACAUAUCGUACUCAACAAGUAUAACCAGGGGUUCAUGAGGCUCAAACAGCUGACACUGGUUUGACUGCAUUUAGCUUUUAAUAGUGGAUAACAUAUUUAAUCAUUGGAUAGCAAAUAUCAAGGUAGCAUAAGUAAUCCCAUAACCACAUGAUCAAUUGUAAACAAGAAUUAAGAAUAACACAUAUAAACAACAUAAUAAACCAUCAUUUAUUAUCAUUAUUCACGUUCAUCAGUGUCCAUCUAUUCUGUCAGUUUUCCGGGCCGUCCGUAUCCGUGGGCACGACUAGUAUACCAGAUUUAACACUCUGCAGAGGUUGUACAUCUUUACCCAUGAGUCAUGAUUUACCCUUUCGCCCGAGGUAGCUAAUCUCUUAACCCCCUUCCUAGGGAGGUCGGCAGGGAUCACUAUGAAGCCUUUCAAAAGUUCGUCUAACAUGUUAGGGCCGCAAGGUUUCCUUCGCGAGCAGAUAUAGAUACCCCCCUUCCGAAUGGCACAAUGACGCGCAGCCUAUACACAUAAGGACAGGGGCUCGCACUAUAUCCGUGUCGGUUCAGCCCCUCUAGCGCCCUUUCGGGUAACCGCUAACAAGCUAGAAAAGUUCUUCAUACUGAGCUAAAGCCAGAGCCAUAUAGCCCUCAUGGUUGUACGAAUUGUCCCUGCUUUUGCCAAGGGAUAAGUCCUUAUGGAGGGUCAAGAUCAAUCUAGCAAAAGUCAGAGUUCUUUCCACCCUUUAUAUUCAAGUUGCUAGAAAGCUUAUUUUAUUUUUUAUUGUAUAUUCAAAUAUUCAUGUUACAAGAUCAUGGAUUAAUAAUCAAGCACUAGCAAGAACUACCCAAAUGCAUAUCCAAAUAGGUAUCAAGGAAUUUAGGAUAACAAUCAUCUAUGAUUUUGCUAAGGUCAUCGAGGUGGACACAUGCAUAUGAUAAAUAUUGUAUUAAGUGUGUAUAGGUAACAAGGAUAGUCCCAAAUUAUACUUGCCUUGAUCAAAGCUCUCCUGAGCCUGCUGGUCUUCAAAUGCUUGAUCUUGAGCACCAACGUACGGCUCACCGUCUAAUCCCAAUCAUCAAUCAACAACACACAGUCCAAUGUAGACAAUCAUACAUGAAGCAAACAAGCUAUUAUUAGAACAAUACACCAAACAGUAGUAAAACAAAUAUAAAAGUUUAUCAAAAUAUUCUACGCAGCGCUACGAUCACAUAAACGUAAAGUUCAAGAAAAUCGGAAUUAAAACGUAGAAGAUAUGAAUUUUCUAAGAUUUCCUAUAGAGAAAUAAUUAAUUAAAUGCUACUGCAGAAUUAAAAAGUUCCAAACCAGUGAACAAAUACUUUUAACCUGUAGAACUCGUAAAUACGAAUCUAACGAAAUUUGAAUGGACAAAAACGGAUUUAAAAUGAAUAUUUUAUGAGCAAAACAAAAUUAAUGGCAAACUUGUAAUUACUGGAAAACGUAUUUUUACGCUUUCAUAUCGUCAAAACGUAUUUACGAAAGGCGCCAAAGGGACUGCGGGUUCUAAUGCCAAAAACGAGAGGGGCUCUUUAGCGAAAACUCAUGUGAAACGUUAUUUUCUAAUCUGAGCCGUAGAUUUCCGAUUGGACGGCUCAGGACUCAUCCAGGCUGAGCACCGGCCGGCCGGCCGCCGGAGAAAGGCCCGACGCGGCGGCGCCAUGGAUGUUUCCCCCCGGAGCUCGCCGGUGAAUGUCGAUAUGGCGGUUCCGAGCACCAAACAACAACAUAAAUCCACCAGCACGCGGAGGAGCUUACCCUGAAUCCGUCUAGGGGCCUUACUCGAACUAGGAAGGAGCAGGAACAGCUCGUGGCGUAGAUUGGCGGACGGAGUUCUCCUGCGAGAGUUCGGCACCGAUGUGAGAAAGGUUUGGCACGGUAGGGAGUCUGGGGAGGGGCUCGGCACCUACUUCACCUCAGCGCAGAGCUCGGCACGGCCUUGGUCUUGUCCCUACGGCCACGAACCAGGAGUUCCACGGCGGCGGCGGUGAAACUCCUCGGUGAAGAUCCAACGGCGUCAGGGAGCAGCGGAGUCGGCCAAGAGCGCGUAAAGAUGGGAAAGAAAGUCUCAGGGGGUUCGCCAAGGCUAAAAAGGGGCUCGGGUAACCGAUUUGGCAAGGAAAUCGCGCCAAUUUUGAAGUCGGUUGGAGCCGGAUCCUGUUCGGCCCCGCUGGGGAUGAAGGAAGGGAAGCUGAGAGAGAGAGAGCUGACACGUGGGGCCCGGCUGGCGGUGAAAGAAGGCGUGGGGCCCGGCCGUCAGCGGAAGGGAGAAGGGGGCGCGCUUGCUGGGCUGGCUCGGGCUGUGAGACGAGCUGGGCCGCGGGGGAGGAAGCUGGGCCGCGCCCUGGCCGAAGCUGAUGCAGCUGCGCUGGGCUGGGGUUUUCCCCCUUUUCUUUUUAUUUUCUUUUUCAAAAGCAUUAUCACAAAUUGAAUUUUUGUGCACAAAUUAUUUCUAACCAAAAGCUAUCAAGCAAAACAUAAAAUAUGCUCCAGCAUGAAUGCACCAUCAAUGUUACUAAACCUAUGAUAAAUUUUAUUUUCCUAAAAAUUAUUUAUUCUCUAAAUUAAAUGCCCACAAAAAUAUUCAAAUAAAUCAAAUUAAAUCCUAUUAUUUGAAAAUCAAAUUUUGGGUGUUGCAUAGGUUCUGCCACCCACGUCCCUAGGAUUACGGAGACAUUUUAACUUUAGCCGAUCCACUCACCCCAAAUUCAAGGAACCGUCUUUGCGAUAGCCGAUCCACUUUCUCUAGGGGAUUAACUACACUCCGCUUCGACUUUCACUUACCCCAUUAUAAAUAAUACCAGACCUCCAAGGGUAAAAGCCACACAGCAAGAUUCACAUCUUCAACCUUUUGGUCUCUAAGCCCCUGCCUUCUCUCCUAGAAACCCUAAGCUUCCAAUGAAUAGCAGACAAUAGAGGCAAGUGUCCCGCAUCACCUUCCUCAUUUGAGGACAUGAACUCUGCUCAGCGUAGGCGUCUGGAUAGGUAUUCUGAUUAAUUGAGUUCUUUAAUUAGUUUCAUCUUGAUCAGCUGUUCAUCCCCUAUUCUUCUUGUAGCCUUGCCCCCCAAGUCAAUCCUGGGGUAGGCCUGAGCCAUCCUACUCCUGCUGCAUGAGCAUCCUCUCUGCCCCUGGUGGCAGUAGUAUUUGAGGAGGCUGCUACAAGCCAGGCAGCCGAGGCAAGCCAGGUAGGCUCAGAGCCGGUUGCUGAUGAAGAUGCCGCCGGUUACGAUGCCGUCUUUGGGCACGAGGACGCCUAGGGCUUCCUCCAGCGUCUUAGAGUAGCCCAGGACCUCAACUCCGAGGAGUGCAACACGUCCCACUGCCUCUAGGAACAGCUCAAUGCUCCAGAGGCGGCGUUAUCCAGCAUCGAGGGAUCCUUGGCCCAAACCAAGGAACAAUUAGCAGAGUUUGACUCUGUAGUUGUCAGUAAGUUCAUUCCCUCUGCAUUUUCAAUUGAUCAACUAAUCCACCGAUACAUCUGUUUGCUGAUCAUGAGGGCUGUACAAGCAGUUCAACACCCUCUCACCUACCAUCUUUGCGGUCACUGGGAUGGUGAACGCUUGCGGGGAGACCCAGGUGGAGCGCCUCCAGGAUGUGCCUGAUCGCGUCUGGGAGAUUGCGCUCCAUGGCGUCCGCUCAAGAGCAGCGGGCACGUUGGUAGCUGCCUAGCUCCGCCAUGGAGCCCAACUCUUGGAGCACCUUGCUCUGGACUUCGUCGAGGAAUGCAACGACGGAGACUUUGACGAGCUGGUGGAGGAGUUCGCCCCCUGCGCCGAUGCUAUGGCGCAGGUCUCAUCAUCGGCAGACAUCAUCAGGCGUGUCUUCGAUGAUGAGGAUUAGUUUUAGUUUUUUUAUUUUAAUCAAUGUAAAAACUCCACUAGAUGAAUCAAGAACACUGCCCUUGAGGCAAUUUAUCUUAUUUUGUGUUUGCUGAUUUAUUAUCUUCUAUUUUUCUGUGAUAUUGCCAAUCGAGACAACUAUUAACAUAAUCCUGUAUGAGAAAAGCUUCUCUGUGUUCCUGAUUUUUGUGCUAAAGGAGAUAUCUGUGAUAUCGGCUAUAAAAUUAUAGUUUUGAACACUGAAUAUAACAACUGCAUCGACUCCCUUAACUUUCCAAAAACUCUAAUUUCAAAAUAGAAGGCGAUAAUCACUGUAUUGGCUAUAUUCUGAAUGCUCUAGUACUCUGAAUUUUUAUGCUAAAGGUGACACUUAGUGUAUCGGCUAUCAAAAUACUUCUCUGUGCAACUUGAUCAACUAAAGCAAAUCAACCCAGACACUAGGGUAAUACUUCUUAAAAUAUUUUCCAUUAACAGCUCUGGAAUACUCUUCUCCUUCCAAAGUCUCGUAAAAAUAAGCAUUUCCAAGAGCAACCCUAGUAAUCCGAUAUGGUCCUUCCCAAUGAGGUGACCACUUGCCAAAUUUGCUAUCUUUAGAUCCAAUCAGCAAAAUUACCUUCCAAACUAGUUCACCUUCACUGAAUCUUCUUUCACGCACUUUUUGGUUAUAAAACUUGGUAAUUCUAAUUUUAUUAGCUCUAAUAUUUUCUAAAGCCUUUAGCCGAUGGAAAUUCAAAUCAUCUAGAUUGUCCAACAUAAGACUCUUGUAAUCAUUGGCUAUCAAUUUGUCUUGCUGUGAUAUCCUUCGAGAUCCCAUACUAAUCUCCCAUUGCAAUAUAGCUUCAUGUCCACAAACCAAUUCAUAAGGUGAGCACUUAGUCGAUCCAUGACAAGUCAUCCUAUAAGACUAGUGAGUUUCACUAAGUAUUGAAUGCCACUUCCUCGGAUUUUCUCUGAUCUUUUUCUUAAUGAUCUUAGUAAGAAUCUGAUUAGAAGCUUCUGCUUGUCCAUUAGUUUGGGAAUAAUAAGGAGAUAAAUUAAUCAACUUAAAACCUGUAUUGGCAACAAAGUCUUCAAACUCUUUAGAUGUAAACAUCUUCCCUUGAUCAUUUGUAAUAGACUGAGGUACUCUAGAUCUGUAAAUAAUAUGUUCUUGGAUGAACUCAAUCACAUUAGCCGAUGAUGCUACUUUUAAAGGAAUAGCUUCCACCCAUUUAGUAAAAUAAUCUAUUGCUACCAAUACAAAUUUAUGUCCCUUGAUGAUGGAAAUAUUUGGCCAAUUAGAUCUAUUUCCCGACCUCUAAAUGGUCAUGGUUUCACAAUAGGAUUCAUAGCCGAUGCUGGAGAUUUCUAAAUAUUGCCAAAAUUUUGACAUUCUUGACAUUCUUUAUAAUAUUUGAAACAAUCCUUCAACAUGGUCGGCCAAAAAUAACUUGCUCUUCGAAUCACCCACUUCAUCUUAUGAGCAGAUUGAUGGGCACCAUAAACUCGUUCAUUAAUCUCUCCCAUCAAAACCUUAGCUUCUUCUUUGUUAAGACACUUAAGGAGCACAUCAUCAACUGUUCUAUGAUAUAGCUGAUCACCAAGAAGAACAAAUUUAAGAGCUUUAUACCUCAAUUUCCUAGGUACUCGUCAUGAUAGAUUUUUCAAAUAUUUGAUAAUAUCUUUCCUCCAAUCUCCAUCAACAAUAACUUCAUCGGCUAAAAUUUCAAUAAUUUGCCGAUUCAUAGAAGCACUUUGAGCUAGUCGAUUAGCCUCUUGGUUCUGAUUCCUGGGGAUAUGCUUCAUAAUAACAAAAGAAAAGAAUUAAGAAGUUCUCGACAUUCUUCAUAUCCUCAGGACGUCAUCUCGGCCUUUACUUCAUAUAAAAGUUGAAGUAAUUGAUUAAUUACUAAUUGAGAAUCACCAAAAACUUCAAUACUCUCGGCCUUUACUUCAUAUAAAAGUUGAAUACCUUUAAGAACAGCUUCAUACUAUGCUUGAUUAUUAGUAGAUGUCGGUUUUAUGGGAAUACCACAUUCAAAACUCAGCCCUUGUGGAGAAAUCAACACAAUACCGACACCCCCUCCUUGCUUACAAGUAGAUCAUAAAAGAAUAAAGCCCAAGGGGUAAAUUCCAACAAUGUUACCUCCCCUCUUCGAUGAUGAGUAAUGAAAUCAGCUAUAGCUUGACUUUUAACUGCCUUAGCCGAUUCAUAUCUCAAAUCAAAUUUUGAUAAUGUAAGAAUCCACAUACCAAUCCUCCCAUUCAAAAUAGGCAUAGAUAGCAUAUGUUUGUUCACAUUAAACUUAGACACUACUGUGCACUCCGAAGACAACAAAUAAUGCCAAUGUUUUGUACAUGAAAAAUACAAACAUAAACAUAUCUUUUCAAUGGGAGAAUAUCUAGCUUUUGGAUCCAUCAAUCUUCUACUUAAAUAGAAGAUAACUCUCUCUUUUCCUUCAAUUUUUUGCAUUAAAGCCGAUCCAAUAGUAUGGUCAUCGGCUGCUACGUACAACUUAAAAUGCUUUCCCUUGUGACGAGGGACUAAAUCUGGUGGAGACUUCAUAUAUUCCUUAAUCUCUUCAAAUGCCUUUUGUUGUUCGUUCCCCCAAAUAAAUUCUUGAUCACUCUUCAAUUUGAACAAUGCAGAGACUGACAAAAUCUUAGCUGAUAAGUUUAAAGUAAACCUCCUAACAAAAUUAAAUUUGCUGAUCAAAGAUUGCAACUCAGUUUUUGAAGUUGGAGGUACUGUCUUACUAAUUGCCUCAAAACUCUUCGGCCCAACUUCAAUCCCUUUUUCAUGUACCAUGAAACCCAAGAACUGCCCUGCUAAAACUCCAAAGGCACACUUAUGUGGAUUCAUCCUCAAUCCAUGCUUUCUGGCACACAUAAGAAUUUUCUUGAGAUCUUCCAAAUGUUCUUAAUAACCCUUGGAUUGUACAACUACAUCAUGUAUAUAAACAACAAUCUUGCCGAUCAACUCAUGAAAAAUAUAUUCAUUGCUCUUUGAUAAGUUGCACCGGCAUUCUUGAGUCCAAAAGUCAUAACUACCCACUCAUAUAAACCCAAUGCACCAAGACAUCUAAAAGAAGUUUUAUGAAUAUCCUCUUCUGCCAUGAAUAUCUGAUUAUAUCCAGCAUUACCAUCCAUAAAACUAAUCACUUUAUGUCCUACUGCUGCAUCGACUAACAUAUCGGCAACAGCUAUAGGAUAACUAUCCAUAGGGGUAGCUUUAUUUAAAUCUCUAAAAUCAAUGCAGACUCUUACUUUACCAUUUUUCUUAUACAUAGGAACCACACUAGAAAUUCAUUCAGCACAUCGACACUACCGAAUGAAUUUUGCUUCAUAUAAUUGAGAGAUUUUUACUUUAACAUUGGUCAUUACCUCUGGUUUAAUCCUUCUUGGAGCUUGCUUAAAGGGUCGAUACCCAGGUUUAAUUGGUAGCCGAUGUUCAACUAACUUUCUAUCAAGACCAGGAAUUUCAUAAUACUCCCAAGCAAAACAAUCUUUAUAUUCUUUCAACAGAGCUAUUAAUUCUUGUUUGUACCCAGGAUCUAAUUUAGCACUUACAUAUGUCGGCCUAGGCUUAUCACCAUCACCUAUAUUCUAUUGCCUCUAACUCAUCGGCCGACAUGAAUCCUUUGCCCAUCUUGGCUUCAUCUUCAUCAACUAAAGAAUCCAACAAUUAAAACUCUGAGAGCCGAUUGCUUGUAUCCGCUGUUGAUUAUCAUCAAACACUUUGAUGACAUCUCCUUCAUAGACUUUUUCAGGAAAACACUCCAUGCCUUCAAAAUUCCACUCAUCUAUUCCAGCAUAAGAAAUACUAACAGAAGAAUUAGCUGGAACAAUUUCAACAUCAUCUCCAAUCCAUUGAAUUAAACUCUGAUGCAUGGUGGAUGGAAUACAACAACUAACAUGAAUCCAAUCUCUUCCUAAGAGCAAACUAUAUGUGCUUUUAGCAUCAACCACAAAGAAAGUAGUAGGCAAGCUCUUACUACCAACUAUCAAUUCCACACAUAUAACACCUUUGGUUACUGAAAUGUUGCCACUGAAAUCCGUCAAUCUCAUAUUAGUCGUUGGACAUAAAUCUUCUAUCCUUUUACCGAGCUUUCUGAAUAUAAAAUAUAGCAUCAGAUUGACAGUUGCACCUCCAUGGACUAACAUCUUGGUCAAUGGCUUCCCAUCGAUAAACCCUUUGAGAUAUAAUGCCUUUAGAUGCAAAUGUUUCUCAGGUGGUUGCACUUUCUGCUUGACAAACCUAUUGAUCCAUAGAUAUUUCUUCAUCUGAUUCUAUCAUCAUCAUUGGAUCUAAAUUCAGCAAUCAACAUAAAAAUAGUAGAAAUCUCAGUUGAUGCCUUACCUUUGACUUUAUCAAUUGUUUGUUUAACUUGCCAUACUUUAUGUCUCUUUUGAUGCAAUUCAUCAUUUCUCAGACGUUGAACUCUCCUCUUCUAGCUUCUGGAAAGUCCACUAGGGCACCACUAAUUUUCCUGCCAAUCGUAUUCUAUAUCAACUAUUCUCUGUUCAGCUAUUUUUGUUGUGAGCCGAUCAUGAACACUCUCUAUUUUUACACGCCGACUUGUUCUUUCAAAAUUCAAUCUUUCAUGUACAAGUCGGAGGUUGACCUUUUCCUCAUGAUACUUCCAAUACUGAUCACUACAUUUAGGGCAAUUAUUGAGAGUUGGCAACUUCAGGCCUUCAUUCCAGCAAUGUUGGAAGAAAGGACAGUUCCAAUGAUACUCAUUUUCUUCUUGAAUUCUCCUUCUUUCAUAUUCCUCUUGAUACCUCCAAUAAUCUCUUUCUUGAUGCAUUUGUUAUGUUUCUUUCUACCUUUGCCAUUUAUUCAACAAAAUUCUGACAGUGGGACGUCUGCGCAUCUCACCACUUUUGGAGGUUUCUAGAAUAUCUAACUGACUAAUUUGUCGAUCUUGUUUCUCUUUCAUCUUUUGAUAUUCAAUAGUUGAAAUUUUUCUUAUAGAAUCUACUACCUUAGCUUCCUUGGCUCUUUCAGAAGUAAGCACCUUGAACUUCCCCCUUGGAAAAGAAGAAGCAACCAUAUUUGCUAGAAAAGGGAUGUCCUUCUAUACCCAUACCACCUUUAGCUUUCUCUAGCCCAAUUUUCUCUUUGUUGAUAGCUUGCUGGAUAAUAUCUCUCAAAACUUUGCAAUCAUUGGUGUUAUGAGUAUUGGAACUAUGGUAUUUACAAUACCUCUUCUUCUUAAGCUCCUCAGCCGAAGGGAUCCUAUGAUUUCCUGUCAGCUUAAUUUGCCCUUUCUCCAACAAAUAAUCAAAGAUUUUGUCAGCCUUGGUGAUGUCAAAGUUGAAUUUCUUCUUUUCUUCUUCUGUUGACUUGUUCUUGGCCCAUGGUAUAUAUUCAGAAUAUUUCCACACCCAAUCUAUAGCGACUACUUCAUCACUUUCAACUUUUUCAUCACUGCUAUCGACUAACUCUAGGUCAGACUCAUAGCCAACAUUAUUUACCUUCUGAGGCCUAUCAAAGCGUGCAUACUUAAACUGAGUUUCCAUGCUAGAUAAUUUUCUAGCCAAAAUAGCUAAAUUGGGACAAUCAAACCCAAUCUUCUCCUUGAUAGCUGGUAUUAGCCCUCGAAUUGUAAUGCUAACCAACUCUGUCUCUAAUAGUGUCAAAGUAUAGCAUUGAUUCAUGACUUCUUUAAACCUCUACAAAAAAUGAAAUGCAGACUCAUUGUGUCGAGGAUACCAAUAAGAGGUAUCCCAACCGACACUCAUAACGAGAGGACUUAUAAGCAAAUCGAGACUCUAACUCGACGCCCUGGCUUACGUACAUAAUCGCCAGAGCUCGAUGUCGACCAUGGCCUCGAACGCGGGAGCAGGGUCUUACGAACCAACGGGGGGUCGACUAGCAGCCACCGUCGAAUACGGAAGUGGCUCGAGCGAAUCGAUAGAACUCGAACGCAAGAGCGCCAUUCACCGCCAGUCACGAGUACGGGAGCCAGGGCAUUUAAUGUGUCUGCCCUGCUCCCACCUAACCCGACAGUCAUGGGAAACGUGAUAGGGAAGAAGCACCCGUCAAAUCUCUACUUUUCCCAGCUUUAUCCCCCAAAAUGGACAAAAGUACAACUCAGUACAGUACGACAGACGUGAUAUCCCAUCGUAGUGCCCCUCGAGGCACCCCAAAGCCGGCAUUCCCACAACAAAGCCACCCGUAUGUCCGACCCUCGAGCAGGUACGUCCCUUCUUAGGGAAGGAUCGGGCGACGAAGUCAGCGCUCCAACAACCCUAGACGUGACUAGUGCCGCGACGUACAAGCGCGCUUACGUCCGAGCCAAUCCAAGACCAUACACAGGUGUUGAAUCCAGAAGUGCACGCGCCAUCAUCACCAGAGUACACUGCAACAAGACGGCUCGAGGUCACGCCAGUACGGAAGCCUCGAGCGAGUCAACGCUCCAUACCCCUAUCGAGACAUAUACUAAUACCUAUAUCCUGUAACCUAGGUGUCCCCUUGGAACUAUAAAAGGGGACGCUAGGAAGAGAUAUGGGGGUACAAAGAACUCGUAGAAUACAACCCUCACACACCACCACCGGCCAAGACUUAGAGCUCUUGGGUACACCAACUUGUAUUCACCCCUGUACAAGCACUUAGGUCCAAGAUAAUACAAAAUCCCCUCCCCCGCUGGACGUAGGGCCUUCUCUUGCCUGAACUAGGAUAAACCAUCGUGUCACUCUUGCAUCACCAUACGGAAGAGGGAGCAUGCACACAAAUUCACUCGUUGGUGUAACACCCUGGGGUCAAAACACCGACAAUUGGCGCGCUAGGUAGGGGUCCUACGUGUUACCACCGAUUUCCCAUCUCCUUCCGGAUGGCCACUCUCGUCUCCCCGAUCCCGCGCUCCAUGCUGAUUUGGUUUGGGAGCCUCGAGUUCAUGUCCACCGGCUCUGGCUAUGACAUGAUCUUGCUCUCGAUCCAAGGACCUGGAGGGGCUCGUAUCAUGCCCACGCGAUCAAAGGCUCCGAGACGGCCUCGCCACCACGCUUCCCCGCCUAAGAGGAGGCAUGGGCAGCGUCGCCACCACCCCACCGCCGCUGCACGAUCACCACUUCAUGUGAGGUGGGCAGCGGAGCAGGAGCCAACGGCCCCAUGCGCCAAGGCCACGGGUACGACAACCCAGCAUUAAGAUGGCCGCGCGGCAAUGUCAAGCAGUAGCAUGCCUCGUUCACCCUCACCCCCGUCCGCGCUGUUACCACACGGCCUGUUUACCGCUAGGAGGACAAACCUGUUCGGCUUGGACAACGCAGCGACGUCGCUCGCUAGGACGAUAUGCCCAGGCACCAAGACGUACAUAGAGCAACCACUGGUCCUCCCGUGCGACGCUGAGACACGGCAGCAAGCUCAUCCAACGGCCGAGCAGCCAGAUUUUUCACAAGUGCCUGGGCUCCGACGCCUAGGACCCGGACGGUACACCAUCACCUCACGCAGGCAGCAGUUGGUAGAGGAGGGACGCGGAUGCUUCUACACCGCUGAGCUAGAUCCCGACUCCAAAUCCGACAGCUACGAUCCUGUUGACGGUCCUUAAUACUCACAUUUAACCGUCAACUGAUCAUGGAAAAGGAUCCAAAUGCAACCGACACCUAGACUAAGGGUUUUAUCUGACAGAAUUCCACGAGUUUUGGUGUUUGUCUAUUUCUACAGGAGGUUAUCAGGAAAUAUGGAGGAAAGGCCCACACGUCGGGUUUACAUAAAGAUAUUAACGUGUGCGCCAAUUUUCUAUCAUCUAGAAGACUCCAGAAGCCACGUUGAACGAACGGGAGGUCGACUGGGCCUAGGGGCAGGGCGCCCGCCCUCCCCCUUGGGCGCUCACCCUGCCCUGGUGACCAAUCAGGGCAGGUCUCGCGGAUCGUGCUCCACCGCCUUUGAGGAUCAAGGAAAACCGUGCGAUUAAGGUCGGUUUGAUCCGACGGCCCACGUUCAUUUGGAAGGGCUAUAUAAGCAGGCCCCCUGGCCCCUGGAGAACAUACCUCUUCUACAGAAUUAAAGCUAGGGUUUCAAUUAUUCAUCCAAGUAGAGAGGAUCCCUCUAGUUCAUCUAGUUCUAGUUGUAGUUCAUCUAGUUCUAGUUCUAGUUAGUUCUAGUUGUAAUCUAGAAAAUAGGGAGAGAGAAGAGGAGUGCGGAGGAGGAGCCGGAUCUGUCGGAUCUUCUUCAACAUUAUACUUUUGCAGCAACUGUUUCGUUCUUCAUCGUUCUCCAAGUUCUUCAAUUCAUAAUUCCUGAGUUAUUUAAUUACUUUUAUUUACAUUCAAGUUAUUUAUUGGAUUCCCGCUUGCAUCAAGUGCUCUAGUCUUUGAAACGCUAGAGUAGUAAUUAAUAGAUUAGACAUGGUGUUUAGUCUUGCAAUUACCUGGAAUUACACCCAAUCCUACGGAUUGUUGUGGUAGCCCUAGGGUAGUGACAGCCCUAACGGUCGACGUAUUCCACCUCGUUCGGAUCAAUGUUUGUAGGACCGAAGUCAGAGCUGCCUAGCCCCCUUCUCAUAUCUUUCUGUGGUUAGUGUUACGAUGUCCCGAAAUAAAUAAUCUUUGAAGUAAUUCUUGAUUCAUAGAUCAACUAGAGAACUCUCAGGAAACUUCCUCUCUUCCCACUAAUAAUAAUUAUAUAGUUAUCCUUGGGCGAUCUUGAAUCUUAAUUAGUACACUCAUGUUCCCUGUGGAAAAACGUUACUCUAGAAUACUCCCGGGUGAAAGCUACAUCGGUAUCCGUGCGCUUGCAGAUUUUUCUGUUUGCGUUUAAAAUACCCAACAAGCUUUCUGGCACCGUUGCCGGGGAACGGUAGUUGUGCUAGUUUCGAACCAAGUCGUCCGUGUAUCCUUUUUAUUUUUUACCACACUCACCUUACCAUUUUCACCACACCACAUGGAUUUCACUCCAAACAUUAAUGAGCAUGGAAUUUAUUUCAUAGCCACUUCGUUUACUCCAUGCUCAUAUGCAACAUCUUCCCAAUCUAUUGGUCUCUCCAACAUCACCACAUUUGAGAUCUCCAACCCCCUCUUCCUUUCUAUUUAUAAAAACUUUAAAAGGGCGGUUGUUGAUGCAUAUGACUAUAAUAAAUAUUGCAGAUCUCGUUGAGUUGAUCUUGAUUUAGGUCAGCGUUGGAGCAGAAACCACUUCGUCGACAUAAAUUGAUGGUUUCCCAAUGACAAGCUUAGUGUCCUAAAAUAAGCACUGAUCAGAUUGUAACAUGAGCUUUUAAUUAUUUGCAACAUUACCUUGUGUAUUGAGCAUAUAAGGAUAAUUGUAAAAAAUUCCUUCGGGUAUUCUUAUCACCAACCUUUCCAGAAUUGGAGCAAGAAGAUCGGAUGAAUGACAAGCACAAGGUAUGUCCAACCAAUCUUGAAUUUUGCAAAAUUCAAGCUUGGGGGAGUACAUUACAUAAAAACAUCCUUUGUGAUGUUGCUAUGUUGGUUGUCCCUGGACCUUUGAGACAUGCUCACUUUGUUAAAUACUAAUCACACUACUUCAUCUCCACUUGAGUAGAUCUCUAUAAAUGCUCUCAUGCUACCUUUAUUUGCUUUAGUGUAUGCUUAGGUUUGGAGUAGUUUCAUUUAUCUCUUAAUUAAGCAUGGUGCUUAGUUAAGAAUGAUGAUCUUACUUCCAAGGGAUUUUAAAUUAAGCAUGGUGCUUAGGUUAAAAUGCCCUCCUAAAUCAAAUUAGACACGGUGUCUAGGUUGAUUUUUGAGCCGAUAGUAUGCUAUAGUAGAUAUUGGAUAUUUUGUUAGACUAACCCCUGCAGGAAAACUUUCAAUAUCGACCUGGGAAGUCCUGAGAUAAACUCACAUUGGAGACAAAGAGAGAGACACAUGGAGUUUAACAAUUUACACAAGGAAUACAUAGCUCAUAAGAGAUGAUCCAUGGGGGGUGCCACAAACACGAUGCAUAACCGCUAAGAAAGGAAAGCUUCCACAAAGUGAUACUGUACCAUCACUCUUCAAGUAAGGUAACAUCUUAAGGUACUUGACUAUCACUUUUAUAAGCUUAUCUUUGGUUCUGGCGUUUACAUGAAUAAAAGUGACAAACUUGUAUGAUUUACAUCUCUAGAUUAACAAACCCAAUCGAUUCAAUGUGUUUAGUCCUUCCACCGUUGUGAUCCCACACUCCUAAUCAUAUGAGCUAAAAUGUUGCACACGCAAUCUUUGGAAGAUAUAUAUAUAUAUAACAUAAAUAUAGAUAGAUUAUCUUUCUAUUAGGUUGAGCGAUCUGAUCUGACAAAUGUUUUAAAUGCUACACUCAUUGUAACACUCCUAGUGUUAGCUUGCAUGUUAACCAUGAGCAUUGCAUCAACAUAAGCAUCAUCAUGCUCAUUCAUAAGCAUCUAUCAUGAUCACAUGUCAUCUUAUGUAUACCAUGUAUGAUUGAAUUGCUUGUGUGACUUGAAUUGAGUAACUAUAAGGGGUAACCAAUGCAAAUAAAUGUACAUUGUCUUCCAAAAUACUUCAAUCAUGUCUAGAAUAUCAUUUGGAGCAAAGUCCAUGUUGAAGGUUUUGGCCAAAAAUGCCCCUAGGUUAGGGUUAAACCUAGAAUGGCUUGUUUUGACUCAUAGACCUCCUUUCAAAGAUAUUUUAUGAAAGUAAUGUUAGAGACUUUGCAUGUCUGUAGCACCUGAAGCAAAGUUGUAGAGAAUUUCAUAAGCUACAAAAGUUAUGUUGAUGACUUUUUAUGAAAAAGCUUAGAACAUAUCCAAAAAUUGCUCACAAGCCAAAAAUCAGGGCUGAUUUCAUACUUAGCCGAAUUUGGCUAAGUGUUGGAUCACGCAGUUUCGACCAAGGGUUGUUGGGAGCCUUGUAGUUUGAAAUCCAGACCGAGUUAGACUUUGGUCUUGAAAUCAAAGUUGUAGAGCUCGUGUAGCUCUGUCCAGAGGAUCAAAUCCCAGCCAAAACCACCGAUUGAGCUGAGGGUAAAACGUUGACAAAGUUCGAGUUUCAGUCACUGUUGGCGACGACUGAAUCACGCGAUUCAGUUUCGUCAGAAACGUCCGCCGCCGCGUGUCCGGCCAGGUGUCGGCCGUACGCCAUCGACGACCCCGCCUGUCAGCUCCCACGGCGUCUCCAAGUCGCCACGCACCGAGUGGACGCCUCAGACGCGCUUUCCACUCGCUCAGUGCCUCCCAUUUCGCUCUGCCGUCGCCUCAGGAAGCUCCGCCGCGCUUCGGCGAGCUCCUCCGGCCGUUCCACCGCGUCUCCGGCCAAGCCAGCCCGUCUAGAGCUCCGCCUUGACGUCCUCUUCCUCGACGUCCACCCCAUUGCCUUAGCCGAGCACCGGUGAGGUCACAUUGUCAUCUCCGUCGCGAGCUCCACCUCGCCGGAGUUCACAGAGAUCACCGAUAACGUGGCCAGACCUCUCUGGUUCACCUCUGGCCGUGAUUCUUCAUACUAUAGCUUCGCCUUGAGCUGCUCUUGCUCGUCCGCAACCUCUACCGCGUCGCCAUUGCCUGGAUCCGCCGGCGUAUCGCCGCGCAGCGCCGCCGCUCCGCCAUUCCCGACGGCGAGCACCCUAGAGUCCAGUAGAGCGUGCGUAAAGUAGGUCAACAGAGUCGCCUUGAUAAGAGGAACACGUAGUGCCCUUGGAUCCGGCCGAGACCUCGUCGUCAUUGAGCUUCGCCGGCGACGAGCAUCUCCGCUGUCCCCGUUUCACUGACGCGUGGGUCCCGGAUGUCAGCCUCUCUGUGUCACCCCCUCUGGUUCACUGUUGUGCAGAGCCAAAGCUGUUUUUGUAAAAUUCAUAUCUAGAGUUUUAGAGAUCCAAAUGUGGUGCUUCCAAUUUUUCUAGGUUCCAGCUCAAGCCUAGUUUUUAAUAAAAAUAUGAAACAUGCUAUGUUUUUUGCAGAAAUAAAUAGAUAUAAAUUAAUCUUGGUUUUUCAGUGGGUAAUUAUAUCUUGAGAUCUAGUGAUCUGCUGGCCAUGCAAAUUUAGGGAGUUGUUACUUAUGUUAUGAAUUGGCUCUGAUAAAUUUUUCAUGAUUUUUGGAAGUAUAGUUAAGAAGUUAAAAAUAAUUCUUGCUUAAAUAGGAGUUUCUUGUGAUAUUUUUAGUAAUUAAGUUAUAACUCCUUUUGUGAUGAAACUUGCUGAGUGUUGUACUUAUGUGUGGACAAAGCUAGGAAAAAUCUGAAAUCUGUUGUUUGACACAUUUUGAUAGGGUUUCACAUUUAUGCCUUGCAUGCCUUUACUAGCUUGUUAUUUUUAUACCUCACCAUGUGUAUGUGUAAAUGUUCUAAAAUUUUACAGUGAUCUUGUGUCAGCAUAGGUAGCUUGCUGUAAUUUUCUUAGGAUUUUUGGAACACUUUGAGUAUAUGUUCAUUAAAUCACCUUCAUAAUUAAAUAAAUGAAAAAGGUGAUGAUAGAAAUGAAUUUAGACCUUGCCAUGAUGUUUUCUAGUGUUUCUUAGUCAUGUUCUAUCUACUGGUGCAAUUGGAUUGUUCCCUUGAUACAUUCUUACUAUGUGUAAAAUAUUAUUUUAGCUAUUUUUGCCUUUCCUAGAGCAUUUCUGUACAGCUGAUGGCAAUUGAUUAAGAGCUAUGUGAAGAUUGUGUUUUCUGGGAAACUUGUCUACAACAAACUUGUAGCUAACUUACUGAUCUACUUCGUGUCCAAAUUUUAUGACAUUUGGUUGAGUAGUUUGAAAGUUAUGCAUAUUUCAAGUAGCUGCUACAAAGUGCUUGCUCUCUGGAAUUUCCAGAGCAGCCAGCCAACUUUGUAUGUUCUAGCCUAUUUCGGUUGGGAAUCAUACUGGGAUGUCUAAAAGUAAAUUGUAGACAAUUUGGUAAGCUUUCCAGAAAGUGCUUACUUGCUUAAUUUGGUUAAGUGAUACUCGAGUUAUAGCUGAAACUUGUGACUGGUUGGUUUGCCUACUAAACCAGUGACUGGGUAAGAGUAGCUAGGACUUGUUUAACUUGUCUAUUUAGUCUCUCUACCAGAAAAGAAGUAUGCAUUUACUUGUUAUUCCAUGACUCACUUAUUCUUAGAAGUUUAUGCUCAUGUUAUACCUUGUUUAUGUCCCUUUGGCUCUUCAUCAUGACAUCAUGCAUCAUAUGUGCAUUCUCUAUAUUCAUCUCCUUGUCAUGCAUACAUAGGUGUACCCAAGGGAGUAACGGUGCUGGAGUUCGAGCUGCCGGAGCCGGAAGGACAGCAAGGGGAACUACCUCAAGGAGUUGAGAAGGAGGAGGACUUGCCAGAGUGCCCUGACCACCGUCCCUCUACCUACGUUGAAGGCAAGCCCCGGAGCAUUAUAAGCCUCCUACUAUUUUGUUAAUUGUGUUCAGCUAUCAAUUGACUAUGGUUAUAUAUAUUGAUGCAUUAAGUGAUAGGCGUUGAUAUGACACCCUUGCUGCAUAAUGACUACCUUGUCCACCGCAUAUCUCACCAAAGUAGGUCCAGGAUCGAAGUACUACUUAGCCAUGCUUAGCUCGGUAGAAGCCAGGUGAUUUCCUGUCACCUGCGAGAGAUAGGUGGAUGAUGAUCACGGUUGGCUAUAUUUGCUAUCGUGGAAAUAACCAUGUGCUAAUAAUGAACUUGAGACCGGGCGGGAUGACGAUAGUGCAGCAACAAGGCAUGGAGGUCUUGGGUGUGAAUCUAUCCCCGUCUGUGUCGUUUAAGGACCGAAUCGCUGUACGUCCCCGUGUCAUGUUGAACGCAUGCCUAUCACUUAGUUGGCUGGAUAAGUCGUUCCGACCGCGAAGCCUACGAGUGCAUCUCCAGCGGGAUACCCCGUUCGGUUCAAGUGCACACCCCGGUUGGUAGCAAGGAUGUGCGGGGAGUGAAUGGCGUAAGACCGAGGUGUCAGGUUAGAGUCCUGACCCUGGCAGAUUGGCGGUCCCUGGGGUGCGGCGCCGUACGGACCCGCAAAUUGGUCCGGAGUUGUGCUAAAGGUGAUCUGAGCUGCCGUCAUGAAGUAUGCUUGGGUGAGUGUUAGGAAUACUCCUCCAGCUGGAUAGGAAUCGAUUCGAAUCGCCGUCUCUCCCGGAUAGUGAGAACUUGACUUGGGCAGCGGCAACGUAGAGCUCACUAAGCAAACAUAAUGGUUAUGAUGAGAAUGUUGAUAGCAAACUGAUAAUCCUGAUAUGGUUAUUAUUGAAAUGAUUAAUUACUCUAGUGUAUGCUUAGAACAGGUGCUAAUCUAGUGGAUAGCUGCUAAGUAAUGAACUUGCUGCUGAAAUAUGAAUAAAUGAAUUACUUACCACCAAGGCUUUUAUGCAAAAAGUGAGUCAAACCAGUCCACAAAGAUCAGCCUUGCAUACUCUUUGGUGUCACUUUAUUUCUGGUUUAUGACGGGUAAGCCUAGCUGAGUACAUUCUCAUACUCAGGGUUUUAUUUACCCUUGUUGCAGAUGAUGUCGUUUAUCACGGCUAUUGCGCUAACUGUCAUCACCCAGCUGCGGAUGAUGAGUAGAUCAUGGACGUGAUCACCUCCUUUAACUUCAGUUGUGCUUUUGUUGGGACUUGACCUUGGAACUGGCAUGUAUUAUAAACUGAGUUGGUGUUGCUUCAAAACUACUUUGUUUCCGCUACCGCUAUGGUUUGUAAUAACCUCCUUUAAACUCUGAUGUGAUGUAAAACUAUGUUCUGCGAUGGAUGUUGUAAUCUGUGAUGGUGAUGCUUGAUCAUGUACGAUCUUGGUUGUAUGUUGGUUGAAUCGAGGUCUUUUGAGAUUUCGUCGGACUACCGGGUUUAUAUGGGUUCAAGUCCAUUGGCUUGACUGCCUCUGUGGUCGCUAAUUCACUUGAAUUCUUAUAAAUUGGACGGUUCUGUUACACUCAUGAUCUUAUUAUCUAUCAACUUUGUCUUGCUCACUAUGCUUAAGGUUAGAGAAGAACAAAUACACUUUUGUUUCUGUUGGUGUUUUCCACCAACAGGGCCCAUGCACUUGAUCUCUGCCUUGUCUUUAUAAGUAGGUACACUUCGAGCAAAAUAUGAAGGAGUUUUACAACUCCCAGACUCCACCAAGUGAAGAAUCGGGAUCUACGAGCACAAACACACUGGAGAUACUGGACACUUAGGCAAUCACUGCCCUGAGAUGCUUGAGGACGUAAACUACAUCAACAACAACUACUACUACAACCGUCCUCAACAAAAUAAAGGUUGGAAACAACAGAGGCCUAACUACUCAGGUAAUUAUCAAGGUAAUAAUUCAUACAAUAAUAAUAAUAAUAAUAAUAAUAAUAAUAAUAAUUUUCUACCUCUGAGAGACUUAGUGUCUAAUCAAGGAAAGCUAAUGGAUAACCUAUCUAAGAAAUUGGCAUCUAAUGAUAAAAUGUUAGAAAAUAUAAAUAAUAGAAUGGAUAACUUCUCUACUGCCAUCAAGAAUCAAAUUAGCUUUAAUAAAAUGAUUGAAUCUCAGUUAUAUCAAAUAGCUGCUGCUGUUCCUGCUACUAACCCCGGUAUACCAUCACAACCGGAAGGAUUAGAAUCUGCAAAUCUUGUAGACAUGUUUGAUGCAGGUAACUACUGGAGUAACCCCAUUGUGGAAGUAAUUACUGACCUUCUGCCGGUCAAGAGAGGCGAUCCAGGACGCCCCGUCAUUCCGAUCUCCAUCGGCAUGGUGGACUUCCCAGAAGCACUCUGCAACUUUGGCUCCAGCGUCAACAUUAUGCCCAGGGUACUCUAUGAAAAAUUCUUUACACAUCCUUUACUAGAAAUGUCACACCCCAAAAUUCCUACUUUGGGAUGUGACUUAGAAAACACUAAAAACAAAACCAAAUACUUUAUUAUUUUAUAAAAUGUUCAAACUUUAGUUAUGUUGUCGAUAUUUUAGAUGGUGAAAAAUGUGGGUUUCUAAAUUUUUUUUGCAAAUCAACUUAGUGAUUUGUUGCAUUCAUGCCGUUGCAUAGUGUUUAAAUGAUUUUAUUUGUUUUCAAAUAUGCUUAGCGUUUAACCUCAAUCUCAUCUUUCCAAAUAUCAUCUUCAAUCUCUAAAACUCUUAUCAAGUACUUCGCCGAGAAUCCUACUAAAACCCUAGCCUAACUCUCUCCCUCUGUUACUUUGCUCUUCCUUUUCGGGCUUCUACUUAUUUUUUUAUCAAGUCUUCCCAACCCCCUAUAUCUACGUUAUAUGACCAAUCGUUGUCUCUCUUCUCUUUCACACAAUUCUAUCAUUACUUUGAUCAUGUCAAAGCAAUCACUUGUAAAUGUUAGGACAACCGUCACAAUCAAUCCUAGCCAAUCAACAUAUCAACUUUCUCCUUUCUGGACCAAAUUCUAAGGGUUGAACUUAUUCCAAAAUUAUGUCGACUUUCGCUCAUAAUCCUUAUCAUUGCCUAUAUGGAGCCAAAACAUAAUCUAACUCUUAUAUGUCUCCUUUCACCAACGAUCCGAUUCAAGUGAGCAGCCCAAUUCUUCAUCUCACUAAUGGUCUCCAUCCUUUUCUCUUUAUCACCAUCAAUAAUAGCCAACAUGCACCUCUUUGCCAAUGGGCUUAGUGCUCCCUCUUCCUCUCGUCUUGUGGCAAGACUAACUCAGCCAACACUCUUCUCUCCUCCCACCCCUUGGCCCAGCUCUCUUUUUUCUCCUGUGAAAACAUGAGCUGCAUCUUCUCUGAUAAUGCAUGGAAUCAACACCAUAAAUCACUUUUAGUGUUCCUCUAUUGAAUUGUGCAAUUAAAAGAUCAGUAGCAGCAGCAUAUGUCCCUAUGGCGCAUCCUCCUCCUCUCACGUAAAAAUAGUAGUAUCUAAUGCAGUCUCAUCAAGUGCUCUAUUGCUAUUCAAUUGGAAGCAUGCAGAAAACAACUAGAACAUUCUCUCCUCCCUCCCCCUCACAUGAAAACAUCACUCCUUCCUCAAUGCCGAUCUUCACCUGGCCUCAUGCAAAUAAGAGCAGCAGCACUUAAUCCCUGACCACCUCCUUUGCAUGCCCAUCCUAUAUCUCUCCAUCAAUCACACAUUACUGCUUUGAUGGCUGAUGAAACAACAUGUAGCUUCCUCCUCUUCCUUCUCUUUCUGCAUGCACACAUGCAACAUAGAUGCACCUAUAUCUUCUCUUCUCCCUCCCUCCAUCACGCACAACAGAUGGAAACACAUCUACGAUCCCUUUUGGUCGCCAUCUCUCCAACCACAUGCAGCACUAAUACAAUUCCUCCUUAAACUCACCAUAGGCCAGUCACAUAUGCAUUAUUGCCUUGAUGGAAAAUCUCUCAGUCCUUCACGCCUCCUCCUAUCUCUCUCAUCCAAAAUAACAGCAGCCCAUAAUUCACCCUCAAUUCCCUUUACAGGCCCCUUUUAUUCCCCUUUACCACUCUCUAACUACAGGAUGAAAGGCUCAUGAAAACAACCAUGCAUCCUCCCCUCUCCCUCUGCAGAACAGAUGCACCUCCUCUCUCCCUCUCUCUCUGUCUCUCACUCCCUUCAUGUUCUGCACACACACAACAGAAGGACACCCCCAUGUCCUCUCUUUCCUCCACCAUGGGCGACCCCUGUUCUUCCCUCUAACUCCCUAUCCUUCCUCUCCAUCAAAACAGAAAGGAAACAUGGCUGCAAUUCCGUUUUGCCGCUUCCCUCAUCAUCACAGAGACCGAGCAAACCAUCAGGGAAGGAAGCUGUCACCGAUUCUUGCUACUGUAAGGUCGUUCUCCCUCCCUCCAUCUCUCUGUGUGGCCUACCCUUCAGCCCUCACCCAUCUCUCGAUCUCUCUCUCUCGCAAUACAGGAAUGCAACAAUUGAAAGAUCGCAGCUCGGUUGUCGAUAUCCCGCUGCAGUACACAACAUGUCACCGGCAAACCCCAUGGUUGCUUCUUCCCCAUCUUCCAUGGACGUCCCACCUCUUCCCCAACAUCCCUCUCCAUCAUCACCAUCAAAUUGGAGUGUCCUCGCUGCGACAAAUCCGUUUUGCUGCUGCAUGCCUCUCACCGUAUCAGAAUCCUAGAAUCCUUUGCAUGAUGCUGCGGUAAGUGUCAUGGCCUUCUCUAUUCUUCACUAAACUCAUGUUCAUAAUAAUGUCCCCUUUCUGUUUUGACCUCUCAAGGAAAAUCAUGGUGCCACAGCGCUUCAUGCAGAUCACCACAAUGUGUGUUGCCAUCUUCCCGAACCUACAAUAGCACCUCACUAAUCAUCUUUACCGCUGUUUCUGUCAGAACAUGGUGAGGCCACCCCUCUGAUGUUGCUGCUCUUGCACGUCUCAUUCAUCUCUUUGAUCUCGCUUGUGGUGUAGAUCAUCACUGAAAUGGAAAUUGGGUGCUGCUCCAUUGAUCGUAGGCCCUGUCGUCACAUGUCCACGCAGGCUACCUGUCAUCGUCCUCCUCUGUAUACAGCACAUGGUGAUGUCCAUGGUGAGACUACACCCUCUCCCCUAUUGUUUUCUAUCCUAGCCAUGAUCCAGCUCAUCAUUCACAACUCUUUCACAUAUCACAGAUCAUCUCUGAAAAGAAUCACCACCGUCCAGCAAUACUACCACUGAUGGCAACAACAUUCCCAUUGGUCCUUUGAGAUAUAUGUUAAAUCCUUGGAUUAACAUGUCCUUCAUAUACUUGCACGUGCUUCUGAAAAAUUUGGUGAGUAUAGGAUCCAAAAUGAAAGAGAUAUAAUCUUUUUCGUGCCCGCUGUCUCGGUUGUUCAACAGCACUGCAUCUCAGUGGUAGUGUUAUUCCCCAUUAACCGUUUAUCACAUAGUCAAACCCUUUUACCACAGAGUAGAUAUCAUUCCUGAGCACACCUCUGUAAGACGGUUUUGUCAUAGUAGUUGAGACACCAAAUAUAUCAUCAUCUUUGUGAACGCUAUCCCUGCAGUCCUGGCAGCUAGGCUGAUCUGAAUUUUAUUGGCGUUCCCCAUUAAUCUAAAAGCCCAAUCCUCAAACCCUUUGACCAUCUUGUGCCCCUUAACCUUGCAUACAAUUCUGCAAUUUGGUAUGUCCAUGAGUGCCACGGUGGCCGAGAUAUAAAUGCCACUGUCACUGCCACUCUUGCAGUCCAUCUAUCGGCAUCACAUCUGUUUUAUGAUCAUGUUUUCCGAACCAACUAUUACACAAAAGGACAUGACCUCUUCCCAAAACAUACCUCAUAGAGUACCCAGCAUCCCCACAAAAUGGAUCACCUUUUGGUUUGGUGAUAACCAUACAACCGCUGAUCAUACCUCCCACAAUCUGCCGACGUCCACGUUAUGGAUUGACCGGUGUUUUAUCGUGUUCCCCGCUAAACCCCUAUAUGAAUCACCAAGUCCACUUAAAUGAUGGUGUGUAUAUCAGGUGCACAUAUUUUCACCAAGUGUACUUACUAUACCUUUGGUGCAGCUCCAUAUUUUGGUGGGAAUAUUCCAGAAGCACUUCAUGUUGAUCUAGCAUCCACCGAUUUGCACACAUUUGUCACGAUGUGUUUCCAUUUAAUCACCGAACAUAUCCGAAAGCGCUCUCUCAUCCAUGUUAGAACAAUCACUCCCUCUUAUGCAAUCUAAUGCUUGUACCAUCUUAUAUUCACUUCACUAUGUUCUAUACAACUCAUUAUACACAACUCCAUAGUCAUCAAUAAUUCAUCUAUAAAUCCUUGUGAUCUAUAAAUCUUUCCAAGCUAGCACUAAAUCGAUCAUGUUUAUUCCAUUCGUAUCAUUUACCGAACCUCUAACUUCAACCUUCAAUCCUUCAUACCCUUUUAUAGUAGUUUCACUUAGUUGUUUUUGCGCUCAACGAUUGUAGUUACAAGCAACUUGUUUUAAAACCUUUCUAUCUUGUUUUACAAUGAAUGAUGUAUUGUUUCUAGGUUCGUCUAUGAUGCUUGUACCGAUUGUUUGCUGACGUUAGAAGGAGCUUUGCAAGGAUGAUCCAGGAGAGAAGUUUGAAGGUUUGGAUAGCAAGAUUCUGAAAGGCAAGUGUAACAUGAGUUCCCUUGUUACCUAAUAACUAUUUAAUCACCUCUUCGUGUGCAUGUGUCCAAUAUGAUAAAACCCUAAGGACUUUACCUAGAACUAUUGUAUCUCCUAUCCUUGUUUACCCUGGGGUUAUGCAUAUGGGUAGUUUGGUUAGUUUGCAAUCACCAAACUGUAUAAUAUUAAUACUGAUUAAUGAUUAUGGAAUAAAUAUUACAAUGAUGCUUUCUAGCAACUUGGAUAUCAUGGGGCUAGAGCAUUUGGCCUUUUUGGGUGCUCUAGUCUGCCCUCCGUAAGGACUGAAUCUUAAAGCGGCAACCCAGGACUUACAGUACAACCAUGAGAAUCAUAUGGCUCUGAUCUUAAUCAAGUAUCUAGUACGUCUCUAGCUUGUUAGUGGUUACCAAAAGGCGCAAGAGGGGGGUGCCUCGUAGUGUAUAGUUUUGCUCCUACCUUGGUGUGUACAGUGCCGCGACCACAUGUGCCUCUUGGAGGAGGUCUCUAUGCACACUUGCCGCUGAAACCUCGCGGCCACUAACUAGUUAGGGUGUCUAGUGAAAGGUUAUGUAGUGAUCCCUGCCGACUUACAUUGGAAGUGAGUCAAGAGGUUAGCCCCCUCGGGCAAAGGGCAAUCACGACUCAUGGGUAAAGAUAUACAUACUCUGCAAAGUUAUAAAAACUGAUAUAUCAGCCAUGCUCUCAAUCAAGAGCGGCCUGGAUCCUUUUCGAGAUAGAUGGUUCUAUUGAUGGUUUGGGUGAUGAUUAAUUUUGAUGAUAAUUAGACUUAUCACCUUGGGAGCUUAAGCAUAACCUAGCAACAUAGGUCUAAAAAAUAAAAUAUGACCAACAAAAAAUGCUUAUCGCAGUCAAACCAAGUCAAGCCUUUUGAGUCUUGCAUCCCCUCAUGUUAUACUUGUUGAGUAUGGUGCGCUCACACUUGCUUUACAUUCAACAAUCAAAAAUCCUGGAUGGGUACUAGAUGGUGAAUCAAAGGAGGAGUUCCCUAAGACAUUCCAGGAGUACUAGGCGAGUGUGCCCCCAGUCAACCAUCCCUGUGGAGUAUGGACCCCCAAAGAGAAGAUAUAGAAUAGUUUCUGCCAUGCUUUGUAAUAGAUGUAAGCCUUGUUGUAACUAUAUUCCGAUAUGUAAUAAAACAUUGUUCUUGAUAUUCUCCAUAUUUGUCGCUAUAUGUGUCGUGUGGACAUCCUGGGCACACAUAUAGUUAGCACUUGGUAUUCUUUGGAAAACUAGGUGCGACAAGAAACAACCAUGUGUUUGCAGCUUGCAGAUCGGACACUAAGUUUCCCAAAGGGAAUAUUGAAGAACCUCUGCAUCCGAGUUGGUACCUUGUAUGCCCCAGCAGACUUCGUGGUGAUAGAGACUGGUACUGAUGAGAGGGCACCCAUCAUCCUAGGGAGGCCAUUCCUGAACACCUCGGGAGCUAUCAUCUACGCUAGUGCUGCCAAGAUCAGUUUCUACAUCAAGGGGAGGAAGGAGACAUUUUCCUUCACGAACAAGACUACACAAAUCUCAGAGCAAUCCCGACAUGAACCAAGGAAGAGGACCAACAGGAGGAACAGGAACAAGCAAAUGUGGACCGAGUUAGCUAAGAUGGUCACUGCAGUUCAAGGAGGUCAAGAUCGUCGACUUAAGUCACCGUUCUUGACCAAAAAGGACGACCCAGGUAUGCCAAGCAUCCAGUGCUCCAUUAAUGGAUACAACUUCCAGAAGACGCUUUGCGACACCGGGUCAGGCGUCAACAUAAUGGCCGCAGUCACCUAUCAGCUCCUGUUCAGAACCAUGCCCCUAAAACCGACAUACAUUCAGCUCCAGAUGGCAGAUCAGACAUUCUGAAAGGUUGAAGGUAUAGUAACUGAUGUCCCUGUCAAAAUAGACGAUCAUUUUGUCCAUAUAGAUUUUUAGGUUAUUGACAUGGGAGAAGACGAGUACGAUCCACCCAUCAUCCUUGCGAGACCGUUCCUUAGCACCGUUAAAGCAAUCAUCUACAUUGGAACCGAAGAAGUCCACAUGCAUUUCCCCUCUGAGAAGGUACACCGCUAUUUUACUAACCCUAACUAUAUAGUUGAAGACUCUAAGCAGGUCAGGACAAGAAGAAGACGACGCACCCCAACCAGAGGAGGCAAAUCAUCAAGGACGGAUGGGCAGACUACGAAGGAGAAGUGGUGUGGAGAGAGAAGGUAGUUAUACACGAAGAGGAGGCGCCGCCGGAACCACCGACUACGCCAUCCAGCGAAUCCUAGGACUACUGAGAAAAUGGAGAGUCCCGUUCGGAGGACUUAAAAACACCGAACGCCUUGCUAAGAGGUAAACUUGGUAGUUAUCAUUUUCUUUUUAAUUAUUUAAAAUAGUUUGCUUAGUUAAAUAGGUUCAUAUCAUCUUAAAAAGAAAAUAAAAAUGUUAAAAUAGUAAUCCCCAUGUGAGUAUGCUCAUGGCAUAAAAUCCAUAAGUACAUUGUGGCAUAAAAAUAAAAUAAAUAUAUUCCUGUCCUAUAAAAAUGAAAAUAUAAAAAUAAAUUUAUGAUCCUACCAAAGAGGGUAAUAUUUAUUAGAGGAAGCUCAACAUGAUUACGGCUAAGAGAUUUUAUGCUAACACUUAACCAGUUCCACAAAGUUUUGUUGUCUAUUUGAGCUCCACAGAAUUCAAGGAUCGAAGAAGACUAGCACAAGAAGAACAUCCUAAUCGCUGUCAGGGUGCUGCCGACAUUCAAAUACACAUCCGCCACCUGCUAGCUACAUCAGAAGAAAUUACGUCAAAAUCCAGCUUGGAGGGAGAGCACCCCCAUUUAUCCAACUAAGUGUUGUACUCACGUUUAUACUUUACACAAAUAAUAAAAAGAUGCAUAAUCAUAAAAACCCAAAUAAAAAUUUGUGCUUAUAUAUAUAUAUUUGCUUAGUUUUCUAAAUAAAUAAAUAAAAAAAGUUUGCUAUGAACCCUCAUGACAAGCUCUCACAUGGAAAUGAUGAAUAGUUGCUCUGCCAUAACUAGUUCUUAAAAUUGAAAUCUCUCCCAAGUUUAGGCAUGACUGUUACUAACUAAGAAUUGCUCUAAACCUAAACUUGUGGGAAGAGUACUUGAUCUAAAGUCUAAGUCGUUAACGGAUACGAUAUGGCAAGGUUGAGCUGCUGUUUAUAUGUUCCUAGAGAUGCUAGAAUUCUAGAGAAUUUUAUCUUUGAAAAAUCUUUAAAAUGUUGCAUGAUGAGUUCCUGUAAGAUGAGAGUUUAAAAUCCUACCACAGCCAUAUAUACAUGCUUAUUAGACUAUGAACCAUACAUUUACUUUUUACUGCUUAUGAGCAUUGAGUGUGGUCAAGUUGUGUAGAACCUUAGGAGCUUGUCAUGCGGUUAAAAUCAAGAUUCACUUGCACGUUCACUCAUACAUGCUGCAUCUACUCCAGAAGUACGCAUCCACAUACAUCCACUCAUUUCCAUAUCCAGAUUCACCCAAAUUUAUUCUACUCCUAUCUAGGAGAGAAUAGCCAAAAACAUUAUCCUAUCCCUGUUAUUCCCCGUGAAAUAAAUGCUCGAGAUAUUUUGGUUACUACCACUUGCUACAAUAUUCUCAGAGGGUGAGUGCUAUAAAAAAAAGUGAAUACGAGGAAAUAAAAAGGGGCAUGUGCCCGAAACCUCAAAAAAAAGAAAAAAGAAAAAGUGAGACGAGAGGUAAAAAUGGACAAGUGUCCGAUAGUAGAAUUAGGGGGACAAGAUACCCACCUGAGAGAAAAGAAAAAUAAAAUAUAGAGCUUCUCAUUCCCCUCAAAAGCCUCAAGUGCAAGGAAGGUAUGUACCCCCUCAAAAGAGCAAAAGUAGAAUUAGACUUUCACCAUUAUUUUCACCAUUAUCACCAUUCAUUCGCCACACAUGCACAUCUUGAUUUGACUUAUUGACUUAUUCUUCUAGAUCCUUGGUUUGACUAUGCAAUAAAUGUCUUGUAAGUAUGUAUUAGCUGUCUCCCACCUAUGCGCUCCAGAUAUCAAAACAUUAUUAGAGUAUGGUGAGAGAGAAGGCAAUUCCACUAUGCCUCAUACCAAAAAUACCACAUACUUUGAGAGAAGGCAUACACCAUUACAGCCUUGGUAAGGAUCCAGAAAUACAACAAAAGAGAGACUAGAGAGAGUUAUACAAGGAAUCUCUGAGUAUUAUUUGAAAAUCUACAAAAACUCUAGAGCUAUAGUUAAUCGAAGAACAAGAGACAUGGCGCUUGACUAGACCGUUCUAUCUUUUAACUGCUCAAGACAUAAGUGACGGUUGCAAGCCCCAUGGUGGAAGGAAAAAUGAGUAAGUUUAAAUCUUAACAGUUUACCCUAACAUAGAGAUGAGAUCUUGUUUGAACGCAUGUGCACCUUUAAGGCAUGAAACCACUGCAGAAACUCUUGAGUCUAUCCUUGCUCAGGGACGAGCAAAGGUUAAGCUUGGGAGAGCUUGUUGACGGUCCUGAAUGCUCACAUUUAAUCGUCAACUAAUCAUGGAAAAGGAUUUAAAUGCAACCGACACCUAGACUUAGGGUUUUAUCUGAUAGAAUUCCACAAGUUUUGGUGUUUGUCUAUUUCUGCAGGAGGUUAUCAGAAAAUAUGGAGGAAAGGCCCACACGUCGGGUUUACAUAGAGAUAUUAACGUGUACGCAAAUUUUCUAUCAUCUAGAGGACUCGAGAAGCUACGAGAAUGAACGGGAGACCGAGCGGGCCCGGGGGUAGGGCGCCCGCCCUCCCCCCUUGGGCGCCCGCCCUGCCCUGGUGACCAAUCAGGGCAGGUCUCGCGGAUCGUGCUCCACCGCCUUUGAGGAUCAAGGAAAACCGUGUGAUUAAGGUGGGUUUGAUCCGACGGCCCACGUUCAUUUGGAAGGGCUAUAUAAGCAGCCCCCCUAGCCCCUGGAGAACAUACCUCUUCUACAGAAUCAAAGCUAGGGUUUCAAUUAUUCAUCCAAGUAGAGAGGAUCCCUCUAGUUCAUAUAGUUCUAGUUCUAGUUCUAGUUCAUCUAGUUCUAGUUCUAGUUAGUUCUAGUUGUAAUCUAGAAAAUAGGGAGAGAGAACAGGAGAGCGGAGGAGGAGCCGGAUCUGUCAGAUCUUCCUCAACAUUAUACUUUUGCAGCAACUAGUUCGUUCUUCAUCGUUCUCCAAGUUCUUUAAUUCAUAAUUCCUGAGUGCUUUAAUUACUUUUAUUUACAUUCAAGUUAUUUAUUGGAUUCCAGCUUGCAUCAAGUGCUCUAGUCUUUGAAAUGCUAGAGUAGUAAUUAAUAGAUUAGACGUGGUUUUUAGUCUUGCAAUUACCUGGAAUUACACCCAAUCCUGUGGAUUGUUGUGGUAGCCCUAGGGUAGUGACAGCCCUAACGGUCGACGUAUUCCACCUCGUUCGGAUCGGUGUUUGUAGGACCGAAGUCAGAGCAUCCUAGCCCCCUUCUCAUCUCUUUCUGAGGUUAGUGAUCUGAUGUCCUGAAAUAAAUAUUCUUUGAAGUAAUUCUUGAUUUUUAGAUAAACUAGAGAACUCUCAGGAAACUUCCUCUCUUCCCACCAAUAAUAAUUAUAUAGUUAUCCUUGGGUGAUCUUGAAUCUUAAUUAGUACACUCACGUUCCCUAUGGAAAAUGAAUACUCUGGAAUACUCCUAGGUGAAAGCUACAUCGGUAUCCGUGCGCUUACGGAUUUUUCUGUUUGCGUUUAAAAUACCCAACAAGCUUUCUGGCGCCGUUGCCGGGGAACGGUAGAUGGCUACGACCUUGGCCCUGAUCUAAUAGCCAUGAUUCAGGAGCAACCCUUCUCUGGGAAAGUAGAUGAAGAUCCAUACACCCACCUUAGAGAAUUCGAGCAGUUGUGCUCUUGUCGAUCUAUUUCCGGCAUGACACAAGAAACCCUUAAAUGGAAAUUAUUUCUGUUCUCCCUUUUGGGAAGAGCAAAAAAGUGGUAUACUCAUUCUGUAGGAGGCAUUAAUGGAAAUUGGGAUGAACUUCGGGACAACUUUUGUCUGGAUUUCUUCCCACUUUUUCGAAUCGCUGACCUUAGAAUCGAAAUUCUUACAUUCAAUCAAAGAGAGAAGGAAACUUUAGGAUCAGCUUGGGCUAGGUUCACAAGCCUUAGCAAUUCCAGUCUAAACCUUUCCCUACCUGCCCAUGUAUUGUACUACCACUUUUCUCAUGGUCUAAACAAGGAAGGUGCUCUUCACCUCGACAUUGCUUCAGGAGGCUCAUUCACACACAAACUCACUGAUGAGGGGAGAGCUAUCUUAGAGAGAAUUCUUGAAAAUACCCCUUACACAGGCAUUUAUGAUGAGUUCCCUGAAGAAGAAAAAGAAGUCGAGCCUGAUCCUAAACCAAAAGAUGAGGAACUUGCAACCGAGUUAGAAAUUCCACCUAACCCAUCUAUUAAUUUGGUUGUAGAGAAACCUCCUGAUAAGGGAAUGCAAAACUAACUAAGGGAUGAUGAACCACCACCUUUAGAGCAUCCCUUUGAAUUCGAGGAAGAUCUUUUUGAAGAUUAUGGAAACACCUCGAAUUUUCCUAUCCAAACACGAUCUCUAGCAAGGACCACUCAAUCCAUUCUAAGAGUAGAAUCUGUUGACAUAGAACACAUCAAAAGCCUUUCGGCUAUUCUAAGUUAUGAAUGGCUAACAGAAGCAGAGCUGUCUCCUGAGGUAGCUCGCAUCAUCACUCCUUCAACCAUUCUUCUGUGCCAAUUUAGAGGGUCCGCUAGGAAGGUCCACUACAAUCCAUAUGUUGGGAUAAAUGUUAUUUCCAAGGAGUUAGCUGACACUCUUUAUCCCAACGAGUCUAUAACCCCAUCUCAGAAACUUUUACAAAGUCCAUCUAGAUUAAUUCUAGAAAGCCAUGGGGUAUUAAGGGUAGUUCCUGUUAGAAUCAAGGACUCUGGAAUAUGUCUAGAUUUUCACAUUUUUGACAUACUGGAGAUUCCUCUCUUGAUUGGCAGACCAAUCAUGAAACUUCUACAAGAACAACCACAACGAGGUCAUUUAGACUUCAAGGUUGGAAAUUCCACUAUUGUUGUUCCUCUUGCUAGAUCAAUUAACACGAAAGUGGAACCCAAACUUGAACCAGAUCCUAUUGAGGAGAUCUUAAUGCUGACUCAAGAGGAGAUGGCCCAACCAUUCUUUAAUCAUGAACACUUUAAUCAUGAACACAUACCGAUUAUGAAACACAACAACUUGUCACUGUUCUUGAAAGGCAUAGAUCAGCAUUUGGCUACUCUCUCGAAGAUGUCACGGGCAUUAGUCCCAUUCUCUGCACUCAUCGUAUCCCUAAUGAUCCCAAUUUUACACCUUCAAGGGAACCACAACGCAGACUUAACAAUGCUAUGAGAGAGGUUGUUAAGAAAGAGGUCCUCAAACUCUAUCAUGCUGGGAUUAUUUAUUCUGUGCCACAUAGUGAGUGGGUUAGCCCUGUCCAAGUAGUGAGAAAAGAAAGGAGGAAUGACGGUCGUUAGGCAUGAGAAGACUAAACUCAUCCCUCAACGAAUUGUCACUGGGUGGCGUAUGUGUAUUGACUAUCGAAAACUCAACAAGGCUACAAUGAAAGAUCACUUUCCUUACCCUUCAUUGAUGAAAUGUUGGAACGGCUUGCAAACCACUCUUUCUUUUGUUUCCUUGAUGGUUAUUCUGGAUAUCACCAAAUCCCAAUCCUCCCAGAUGACCAAGAAAAUAUUACCUUUACAUGCCCAUAUGGAACAUGCAUACCGACGAAUGUCGUUUGGAUUGUGCAAUGCUCUAGCUUCUUUCCAACGGUGCAUGAUGUCUAUUUCCUAGGACAUGAUUGAGAAGAUCAUGGAGGUUUUCAUGGAUGAUUUUACCGUCUAUGGUAAAACCUUCGAUCAUUGUUUGGAGAAUUUAGAUAGAGUAUUGCAGCGAUGUGAAGAAAAGCACUUAAUCCUGAACUGGGAGAAAUGCCAUUUUAUGGUUCAGGAAGGAAUAGUGCUAGGACAUAAAGUGUCCGAACGUGGUAUAGAGGUGGACAAAGCAAAGAUUGAAGUUAUUGAAAAACUUCCACCUCCCACGAAUGUGAAAGGAAUCCAUAGCUUUUUGGGACAUGCAGGGUUCUAUAGACGCUUUAUCAAGAACUUCUCUCAAAUUGCUAGACCCCUAACUAGUCUCCUAGCUAAGGAUGCACCUUUCAUCUUUAGUGAUGAGUGUCAUGAAUCUUUUCAAACACUUAAGAAAGCACUCAUCUCAGCCCCGAUUAUCCAACCACCUGAUUGGAAUCUUCCUUUUGAGAUCAUGUGUGAUGCUAGCGAUUUUGUGGUUGGUGCUGUUCUAGGACAAACCAAGGAUACAAAGCAUUAUGCCAUAUCCUACGCUAGCAAAACCUUGUCUGGACCACAGCACAAUUACACUACAACUGAAAAAGAGCUUUUGGCUGUUGUCUUUGCUAUAGACAAGUUUAGAUCUUACUUAGUGGGGGCAAAGAUAAUCAUCUAUUCAGACCAUGCUGCUCUCAAGUACCUCCUCACUAACAAAGAUGCUAAGCUUUGUCUAAUUCGAUGGAUUCUUCUACUCCAAGACUUUGACAUAGAAAUCUGAGAUAGGAAAGGAGUUAAGAAUUCUGUAGCCGACCACUUGUCUAGUCUUCAAUAUAAGGAAACACAUGAUGAGCUUCCCAUAAAUGACUACCUAAGGGAUGACACCCUACUUAAGAUACCACAUGCAGAUCCAUGGUACGCAGACAUCGUAAACUUUAUAGUAAAACGCUAUGUCCCACCUGGUACAAACAAAAGGAAGUUGCUUCACGAUAGUCGUAUCCACCUUUGGGAUGAGCCAUAUCUUUUCUGAGUCUGUGCUGAUGGACUCUUGAGAAGGUGUGUUCCUAUGGCUGAGGCUACUCAAAUUAAGGAAAGAUGCCAUGCCUCGCCAUAUGGAGGACACUAUGGAGCAUUCAGGACACAUGCUAAAAUUUGGCAAAGUGGCUUUUUCUAGCCAACGAUGUAUGAAGAUACAAAGGACUUUGUCAGGCGAUGCCACCGAUGUCAAAAACAUGGGAAUAUCAACUCACGAAAUGAAAUGCCUCUCACAAAUAAUCUUCAAGUAGAACUUUUUGAUGUAUGGGGCAUUGAUUUCAUGGGGCCAUUCCCUAUGUCUGGGAAUUGCGAGUAUAUCUUAGUAGCUGUGGACUACGUGUCCAAAUGGGUAGAAGCCCUACCUUGUCGAUCAGCUGAUUCAAAACAUGCCAAGAGAAUGUUCCAUGAAGUAAUCUUUCCUCGCUUUGGUAUACCCCGAAUAGUUAUAAGCGAUGGAGGUUCCCACUUCAUCGACAAAAUCUUUCGGAAGUACCUAGCCGAUCAUGGAGUUCGGCACAACGUCACAACACCGUACCAUCCUCAGACUAGCGGUCAAGCCGAAACAUCUAAUAAACAAAUCAAAAUAUUUUACAAAAGACCGUAGAUGAGAUGGGUAAGGGGUGGAAGGACAAACUUCCUGAUGCACUUUGGGCAUAUAGAACUGCAUUCAAAACACCCAUAGGCAUGUCACCUUAUCAACUUGUAUAUGGAAAAACUUGUCAUUUGCCUGUGGAAGUAGAGUUUAAGGCUCAUUGGGCACUCAAGAAAUGGAACAUGGAUCUCCACCUCGCUAGCAAGAAUCGUCUGAUGCAACUAUCUGAGCUAGAAGAAUGGAGAGAGAAAGCCUACCACAAUUCAAGGAUCUAUAAAGAGAGAACAAAACGAUGGCAUGAUAAGAUAAUCAAGCAUAAGGAGUUUAAGCCUAGAGAUAAGGUUCUACUAUUCCAUUCAAGAGUUAAGCUCUUUGUGCAUGGUAAGCUACGAAGUAAGUGGGAUGGACCAUACAAGGUUAUUGACACUUCAACUCAUGGAGCCAUUACCAUCCAAGAUGACAAAGGUAACACUUUUAUGGUAAAUGGUCAACGCUUGAAAAUCUAUCUCGAGCCACAAAACAACCUGGUAGAGGAACUUGAUAUGAUUGAGUUCAUAGAAUUCUCAUAUUAAGCUCUCAUAAGCUCUAGACAAUUACCUAACCCUUAACAUGCUCCACAAGUUUUGUUGUCUAUUCGGGUUGUGUAGGAUUUUGAGACUUAAGAAAAGUGAGACCGAACAUGCAGGCCACAAGAGUGAACGACUAUGUCAACAUCCAGCUUGGGGGAGGCAUCCCCACGUGUAUCUUGAUAAGUAUUACUUUUCUUUCUUGGUUUUAUUUACUAGUAUUUGGAAAUAAAUAAAUAAAUAAAUAAAAAUGCAUAACCAUGAAACCAAACAAAGUAUUUCUUUUGAGUAACAUACAAUAGUUUUGUGUAAUCCUAAGUUUUAAAUAAAAUAAAAAGAAAGUUUGAUCCAAGUCUAGGUUUGACAAACAUGAUAUGAGAAGGUCUGAGCUACUAUUUAACUUGUUCCAAGUUUUGCUAGAGUUCUGGAGAUUUUAUCUUUUGAAAAUCUAAAAAAAAUUGAGAUCCUGUUUGACAUAAUACCUAGAGUCUUAUAAGAUAUAAAUAUUAAAACUGUGGGCACUUGCUUUGUUCAAGCCAUUGUUAAUUCUUGUAGUUUUGGUUGAGAGAAUUAUCAUGCUCCCAAGAUCAAGAUCUUUUUGUUUUAAAAAUAUAAAAGUUUCACUUUUCUGAAGUAUUAUUGCGUUAGAGGCAUGGGACUAUUCAAAAAUUUGAUUCGAAAAAAAGAGAAGUGAGACGAGAGGUAAAAAUGGACAAGUGUCCGAAGUAGAAUUAGUGGUACAAAGAUACCCACCUGAGUGGAAAAAAUGGACAUGUGUCCGACAGUAGAAUUAGGGGUACUUGCUGCCCACUUGAAAAAGAGAAAGAGAGAAAAAGAAAAGAAAAAUGAUAGCCCAUGGUCCCUCUAAUAAGCAAUAUGCCAGUAAGAGAUGACAAACUUUUCAAAAAGGUCAAAGGUCUUGAUCUAGGAGUCUAACAUUCCUCAACCUUGCUCCGAGCAUUGACAUAGCAAAAUGCAAAGUAAGUAUGCUAAAACUUUUAAAGCUCUACUUAUAUAUCUUUCAAGAAGAAGGCAAAUGCCUCAGUUUUAUUUUGGAAACUUACAAAAAACUCCAGAACAAAAGUUAGAUAGAAGAACUUGAGACAUAGUGCUUGACGCGAUCGUUCUGUUUUUCAAUCACUUAAGACCCUAGUGAUAAUUUAAAAACCCUGUAGUAACAAUAAAAGCAACCAGUGUUUUCUUGCUGAUUUUAGCUUUGCUCAGGGACGAGUGUUGAUAUUUGGGAACGCAAUAAGGAAUUGAUCCGCAAGCGCACGGAUAUCGGUGAGCACUUCACCCGGGAAAUUAUCCAGAGUAUCGUAUUUAUUUUUUACCACUAGGAGAAAGAGUGCAUCUGACUAACCGGUCUAUUACUACUAACCUUUAGGCACAAAGAAUGUCUUUCGAUGUGAGUGAUAAAUAGAGAAGACUGCAACCGUAGUCUCCUUCUAACCUUGGUAAGGAUGAUCUACUGUUCUAAUAAGGAGGCUAACGGAAUCUAGACACCACAAAGGAUGUUCGACCCGCACCUAUAAACCCUAUCCUUCCUGCUAACGAGAUGUGAUCUACAAAGGUAGCUCGGAAUUGUCACGUUCCACACUACUACCACGGUCCAGCUAGUCAGAGAAUAUCUAUGAGUACCCCAGCCUAAACACCACGUUUACGCCAGCAAUGAUUACUCUAAACUCUACGCGAAGAGAUUAAAGUAAACUCAUAAACCAUAAGAACAAUAAAACAAGAACUUACUAGAAUUUAGAAGUCGAAAUACUGAAGAAUCCUAGGAGCAAGCUUCGGGUUAGGAGAACUUGAUCCCGCAGGUACAAGCUUGGAGUAGACACCGACAGGCCGGGCUUCCUCCACUCUACACCUCCACUCUAUCUCUCUCAAUCUAGUAGAAACUAGAAGAUCUAUUUCUACCUUACAUUGAUUGCUAAGCCUAAAAAGAAAUAUUAAUUAGAGAAGAGGUUUUCCUUCGAGGGCACCCCUCAGUCUCUAUGAUAAUUUCUUCAUGUCUUCUCCAGGGGCCAGGGGGCCUUGCUUAUAUAGUCCUCCCCUUCUAUGCGUUUUUGGGUCGAUAGCUGAGGUGGUACUAUGUUUUUCUUGAUCCAAUAGGUCGGUGGAAUAUCCCGAGCGAAAGAGUCCUGAUUUGGCUCCAGCAGGGGGGCGGGUGCCCAGGCUUCUAGGGCGGGUGCCCUGGGCCUGGCCCAGUUUUGCCUCCGCUUCGGUCUCGUGGCUUCUGGAGUCUUCUAGAUGAAGUAAAAUUGCGCGGUGCGUUGAUAUCUCUAUGUAAUCCCGACAUGUGGGCCUUUCUUCCUUAUUUCCUGAUAAUCCCUUGCAGAAAUAGAUAAACAACAAAACUUGUGGAAUUCUGUCAGAUCAAACCCUAAUUCUAGGUGAUGGUUGCAUAUUGGUCCAUUCUCUUGUUUAUUUGAUAAUUAAAAUUGAUACUUAAGAACCGUCAACAACGAGCAAAGAUAAAGCUUAGGGGAGCUUGUUGACGGUCCUUAAUGCUCACAUUUAACCGUCAACUAAUCAUGGAAAAGGACUUAUAUGCAACCAACACCUAGACUUAGGGUUUCAUCUGACAGAAUUCCACGAGUUUUGGUGUUUGUCUAUUUCUGCGGGGG